AUAAAAGCAGGUUUGCAAUUAGAAGAGUUACCAGAAAAGGAGCAAUGGAGUCCGGAUAUUGAGAAAGUGUCACUUAUGUAUAACUCCAUAUCAGAAAUUUCCAUAGAUGUGCUGCCUACAAAAUGCCAACUGCUCACAACCUUGUUAUUGCAGAACAACCCUAUAAAGAAGAUCUCAAUUUCUUUCUUCACAAACAUGCCUUGUCUUAGUGUUCUCAAUUUGGCUUUUACAAAGAUCGAGAGUUUACCAAAUUCCAUCUCUGAACUAAAGAACCUCACAACAUUGUUGCUUCGUGGCUGUGAAGAAAUAAGAGAUCUGCCAUGUCUUUCGAUGCUUCAAGAAUUGAAGAAGUUGGAUCUUUCUGUGACUAAAAUUGAGGAAGUCCCUGAAGGAAUGGAUAUGCUGAUAAAGCUAAGAUAUCUUGAUCUUAGAGUGCGCACUCUGAAAGAGAUACCCGCUGGACUUUUACCAAAACUUGUUCACCUUCAGCACUUGAGUUUUGAAGUGGACAAUGAAAAAACAAGUCUAAAAGCAGAGGAGAUGGAACCAUUGAAGAAGUUGGAGUGCUUUACCGGACGUUUCGAAGACAUCGGUGAAUUGAAUAAGUUCAUCUCCUCAAUGCAACAAAGUAAGAAAAAUCUCAUAAAGUAUUAUUUACAGGUGGGCUCAUCUCUUAUGGGUAGUACAACAGAUAAAGUAGUAACAAUUGGAGGAGUCCAGAAUUGGGAAGGUGAGUUAAUUAUGCACCCAAUUGAAAUUCAAGAGUUGAUUAUUUUAAGGUGCGACUAUUUGAGAAACUUAGUCGAUGAUAAUUCUUCCUUCAAAAAUGCGAUUGACUUGAGGAUUUGUAGUAUUUGGGGGUGUAAAGGGAUAGAGUGUGUUGUUCCCUUGUCCUCUUUUGCCUCUUCUUCCGCUCAUCCAUUUCAGAGCCUCGAGGUGUUGAAUCUUCAAUGGCUGCCAAAGUUGAGUGCCCUUAUUAUGAAUGAUGAAGGAAUUGGUUCAGCAACAACAUCAACAUUGGUUCCGUCUGCCACCUUUUCCCAUCUUAAAAAAUUACGAUAGUGAACUGCUCAAGUAUGAAGACGUUGCUUCCAAACCUCCAAAACCUGGAAGAUAUACACGUGGUGGCUUGUAUACAGCUAGUAGAAAUAUUGGGAGGUGAAACAUCAGAAGUUGAAGAAAAAGGGAGUGAUGCAUUAAUCAAAUUCCUUCUUCCCAAAUUGAGAGUGUUGUCAUUCUCCGAAUUACCAAAUUUGAAGAGCAUAUGCAGCAAAAGUGGAGUGAUGGUUUGUGAUUCUCUCCAAGUUAUCGAAGUUCAUGUAUAUUGCAAUAAACUGAAGAGAAUUCCUCCAUUUGUUCCCCUUGUUGGCAAUGGGUAGCCAUUUGCAUAUGCUCCACCUUCUCUUACCAUCAGGUCAAGCACAGAAUGGUGGGAAUGGUUGGAGUGGGAUGACCAUCCAAACUUUAAAAAUGUUCUUAGCUUCAUCCCCUUUUGAAGCUUUUAAGGUAUGAACCAUUUAUAGCUUAGUUUAUUUUAUAAAUCUAAUUUCUCCAUUUUACUACCAUUUCAUGUCUUAUUUUAUUUUUGUUUGAAGAUGAUGCUGCCUCCAUUGCCGCCAAAGAAGUAUAAGAGAGUAGCAGGGCGGAGGAUGGUGCAAAAAAGGUGGGAAUAAAAGGAAUGAUGGAGCAUUGAGGAAUUGAGCAGCCACCAUUAUAAUUGACUCCUUUUCCAUUUUAUUUGUUUUAAAAUAAAUGUACUUCCCGAAGUAACUUUCUAAAUAAUUCAAUUAUAGGGUUAUUUUAGUAUCACGUAGAAUCAAAUAUUAUUUUAAAAAAUCUUUAUAUGUUCUUAAGCAAAUAUGUUGUUUUUAAAAUUAUUUCUUUAAAAUCUUUAAUCUUCUAUCAAUCAUUUAUGUAUUUAUUAUUUAUUUUCAAAUUAAAUAAUAAAUAACAAAUAUUAUUUUCAUAAAAUAACAAAUAUUAUUUUCAUAAAAGAAAAAGUAAUAAAACUUUGUGGAACCUACCACUGACUUCAUAAUUUCCCUCUUUUUAUCUUCACUUUCUUCUUAUUUCUUAUCCACUGCUUUUAAUUUGUUUCGAUGUCACAAAUUUUGAAGCAUCCAGCCAAGGUAAUUUUCUUUCAUUUGCUUAAUUCAUCACAUGCUUUUCUUUGCUUUUGAUUAUCUGCUACUGUUAUAGCAGCUAGCUUUGUAAGAUUGUCAAGGAACUCAACUUCACUGCUUCAUUUUCCGUUCUACUCUCUCAACACUUUUCAGCCACUAAGUCAGGUAAUAAGAUCUGAAGCUAUGAUUUCCUCUACUGAUUAUCAACAGUUUUAGAUUUUAAGAGUGGAUGACCAGCAGACAUAAUCUACUAUAGAUAGAAAUUAAUACAAAAAGAGCUACCCAGAAGCAAUAUAAUGUUGAACAUUUUACCUUUUCAUAUUCGGUAAUGAACUCUUGCACACUUGAAUCUAGCAUUUUAUAAUACAUUGAGAGCUUGAUUCUGGUGACCAGAAUUUCAUCAUGUUUCUGUCUGCCACCCAUCCAUAGCUCCAUCUAAUAAACGCCAUUGCUUGAAACUUGCAUUCAUGUUUCCUUUUCAUGCUUACACAGACAUAUCAAUACUUCAUCCAAUACAUUCGCAGAUUUUCAUUCUCUUCUACUGUUAUAUAUGAUUGCAUUGCAGGGACAUAGCAAUGCAAUACGUAGAGCAUGUUGUCACCAUUGCAAAUUGUCUCGGAAUUCCUGUUUGUAAAUAUUUGCAAUAUCACAGAGAGCUGAACGAUUAUGUGAGAAACUUCAAGAGGAUCAGAGAUGAAUUGAAUUGCAAAAUGGAAGAUAUAAAGCUGCAAUUGAAAGCAGAGCUUCUUCGUCCUCUGGGGAAGAUACCAAAGUAGGAAGUUGAAAAUUGGUUGAAAGCUGUGAAAAAGAUGAUUAGGAAAGCACAAGUUGUUGAAAACAAAGUCAGUAACGGGGGAUAUCUCUGUCGUGCUUGCAACGGGAAGCUGGUUGAUGAAAAGACUCAAGAAAUGAAGGAAUUUCUUAAUAACGCUCCUAAUGCCUCUGAAGGUCUUGCCAUGGAUGGUCCAAGUGCUGGGUUUCCACUGCCAACAUCAGAACUAGUUGGAGAAGAAGCUGUCAGAAAUGAUAUUUGGUCAUGUUUGAUGCAGGAGGAGGAGGGCAAGAUUGGGGUUUGGGGGAUGGGCGGUGUGGGUAAAACCACUAUCAUGAAGCACAUCCACAAUGAUCUUUUGAAAGAACAAAGAUUCGAAAGGGUAAUCUGGGUUACCAUAUCAAAGGAGUUCAAUGUAAUGAAGGUACAAGAUAAUAUUGCAAGUGCGUUGAAGUCGAAGGAAUAUUUAGACAAAGAAGAGGACAAGCUCAGACGAGCUGCAAUCUUGUCAGAAAUACUGAAGAAAGUAGGAAAGCAUGUUCUAAUCCUAGAUGAUGUGUGGGAUAAAGUCUCUCUAGAGGAAGUUGGGAUCCCUGAGCCGAGUGGCAGCAAUGGCUGCAAGUUGGUGUUGACAACCAGUUCGGAGCAUGUCUGUAAGUAUAUGGGUUGUAAGGUGAUAAAAGUGAAGCCCCUUUCAGAAGAAGAGGCAUUGAUACUAUUCUUGAAUAAAGUUGGACCUAACAUAGUUCAAAGUCCAACUAUAAUGCCUACUUUGAAGCUUGUUGUCAAGGAAUGUGCGGGUCUACCUCUUACAAUUGUCGUCAUAGCUAGUACAUUGAAAGGAGAAGACGACCCUCUUAUUUGGAAAAACGCACUCAGGGAAUUGGAAGAGAGAAUAGAAACAGUGGAAGGAGUGGAAGCUCAAGUGAUAGAGCGUUUGAAAAUUAGCUUCGAUCACUUAAAGGACGAGAAAGUGAAAUAUUGUUUUUUACAUUGCGCAUUAUAUCCCGAAGAUUUUGAAAUUGAAAAGGAUGAACUAAUUGAGAGCUGGAUUGAGGAGGGAUUCAUAGAUGAUAUGGGUACAAGACAAGAAAUGAUAUGCAAGGGCCAUGUUAUUUUGAAGAAGUUGGAAGAUAAUUGCUUGUUGGAAAAUGUCUCGAGUGAAAGAGUGAAGAUGCAUGAUGCAGUGAGAGAGAUGGCAUUGUCGAUCACAAUAAUGAAUCCUCGAUAUAUGAUACAAGCAGGUUUGCAAUUAGAAGAGUUACCAGAAAAGGAGCAAUGGAGUCCGGAUAUUGAGAAAGUGUCACUUAUGCAUAACUCCAUAUCAGAAGUUUCCAUAGAUGUGCUGCCCACAAAAUGCCAACUGCUCACAACCUUGUUAUUGCAGCAUAACCCUAUAAAGAAGAUCCCAUAUUCUUUCUUCAUAAACAUUCCCUGUCUUUGUGUCCUCAAUUUGUCCUUGACAAAGAUCGAGAGUUUACCAAAUUCCAUCUCUGAACUAAAGAACCUCACAACAUUGUUGCUUCGUGACUGUUAUGAAUUAAGAGAUCUGCCAUGUCUUUCGAUGCUUCAAGAAUUGAAGAAGUUAGACCUUUCUGGGACAAAAAUUGAGGAAGUUCCUGACGGAAUGGAUAUGUGUUGAGCAUUGGCCUGCAAUGUAACAAACUUCCAGCAGCAGCAGACCAGCUUUAGAAUCGAAUAGGAGCUGCUUGUUUCAUUUUGUUUAUUUUGAUUUUUUUUGUAAAGCAAUCAAGUUGACAUGUAACUUGAUUUCUAGAGUUAGUAAGAUAUGAAAAUGAUGGAUGUAAUAGCUGAUUUAUUUUCAGCUUUUGACUUGUAUUAUUUUAGUUGGCAACUUGCCAAAUUUGGUGGGAGUAGUUACGUUUAGGUAACUGACUUGCUUUUGUAACUCAUAUAUAUUUUGAAAUGGAAAUGAAAGCAAUAUAUGGGACUUUUCUCAUUCGGUUACUUGCUGCUUCUCUUUGGAUUUUCAGUUUGUUCUUUUUGUUUUGUUUUGCUGCUAAUGAGCUUUAGUCUUGGCUAUUUAAAUUUUGCUUAGUUGCUGCUGUUUUUUCUAACAAAUGGUAAUCAGAGCCUCUUGUCUUUGAGGACCUCUGUUGUUUAAGUUUUUUUUUGUUUCAAAAUAAACUCAAAAAUCGUGUUUGUCAAACUAGUUUCAGCAACAUGAGCUUUGCACCUCCUCCACCACCAGUUUUUGCUGGAGAAAACUACCACAUUUGGGUAGUUAAAAUGAAAACUUACCUCCAAGCACUUGAUCUGUGGAGUGCAGUUGAAAAUGACGUCGAACCACCACCAUUGAGAGCAAAUCCAACCAUUGCUCAGAUCAGGCAACAUGGUGAGGAGCGAGCCAAGAAGCAUAAAGCCAUGGCCUGCCUACAGAAUGGAGUGUCUGAUGUGAUUUUUACUCGCAUCAUGGCUUGUGACUCACCCAAACAAGCAUGGGAUAGGCUGAAAGAGGAGUUCAUGGGAUCGGACAAGACAAGGCAGCAACAAGUAAUUAAUCUUAGAAGGGAGUUUGAAAAUUUGAAGAUGAAGGAGUCAGAAACUAUCAAGCAAUAUUCUGAUAGGAUUAUGGCUACUGCAAUAAUAUUAGACUCCUUGGAGAAGAUUUCAGUGACAGUAGGGUUGUUGAGAAGGUUAUUACCACCUUACCUGAAAGGUUUGAGUCAAAAAUCUCCUCAUUGGAGGACUCGAGAGAUCUCACAACCAUUUCUUUGUCUGAGUUGGUUAACUCACUCUAUGCACUUGAGCAGAGAAGAGCAAGUAGGUAGGAGGAGAGUCCUGAAGGUGCCUUUCAAGAAAAGGUCAGAGAAGGCUCCAGCUCAAGUCAGAAAGCUAAGAAGCCUUGGUUUGAAAAGAGGGAAAGAUCAAAGAAAGAUACCGGUAGAAGGAGGUUUCCACCAUGCGUUCACUGCAAGAAGACUAAUCAUUUGGAGAAGUAUUGCUGGACCAGACCAGACAUACAGUGCAAAAGCUGUAAGAAGUAUGGCCAUCAUGAGAAAAUCUGUAGAAGUCAUGAGAAGGCACAAGCACAGCCAGUACAAGCCAAGUCUGCCGAGGAUGUCCAAGCUCAGGAGGAGCAUGUAUUUACAGCUUCAUGUUUUGCAGCUAACAGCAAGAGCAGUUGGCUUGUGGAUAGUGGCUGCUCACAUCACAUGGCAUCAGAUGAGAGCCUUUUCAAGAACCUUGACAGGAGCUAUGUCUCGAAGGUCAGGAUAGGCAAUGGCAACUUGAUUGAAGCAAAAGGCAGAGGUGAUGUGGUGAUUCACACUGGUUCAGGUAACAAAAUCAUUUCUGAUGUGCUCUAUGUGCCAGAAAUAGACCAAAAUUUACUCAGUGUAGGCCAGCUAGUCAAGAAAGGCUUUUCACUAGUUUUCAAGAAUGAUUCUUGUGUUAUAAGUGAUGCUCAUGGUAGGGAGAUUGUCUCAGCACCUAUGGGAGACAAAUGUUUUAUGCUGGAUGUGAGUCAGCUUGAGAAAAGUGCCUAUACAAGCUCAGUUGACAAUACUGAUCUUUGGCACAAGAGGUUUGGCCAUGUUAACCUCAAAUCACUUGAUUUGCUGCACAAAAUGAACAUGACAGAGGACAUGGUGAAGGUUAGUGCAAGUGAAGGUGUUUGUGAGGUGUGUCAGCUUGGCAAACAAGCCAGGUUGCCCUUUUCAGCUAACCAAGCAUGGAGGGCUCGAGAAAGACUUGAGUUGGUGCACUCAGAUGUCUGUGGACCAAUGAAGACCCCUUCACUGAAUGGCAGUAAGUAUUUUAUACUGUUUAUUGAUGAUCUGACCAGAUUUUGCUGGGUUUAUUUCAUGAAACAGAAGUCAGAAGUGUUUGAAGUUUUUGGAAAGUUCAAGGCAUUGGCAGAAAAUCAAACAGGCUGCAGGAUUAAGGCUUUGAGGAUAGACAAUGGUUCUGAAUACUUGUCUGAAAGAUUUCAGAAGCUAUGUGAGCAGGCUGGGAUUCAUCAUCAGUUAACCACAGUGUACACUCCUCAGCAAAAUGGAGCGUGUGAGAGGAAGAACAGAACAGUGAUGAACAUGACCAGGUAUUUGUUGUUUCAAAGCAAGCUUCCAAGUAUUUUUUGGGCUGAAGGUGUCAACACCUCAGUGUACCUGCUCAAUAGGCUGCCAACACAUGCUGUGAAUGAUAAAACUCCUUUUGAAGCAUGGUAUGAUCUUAAACCAACUGUUUCCCAUUUAAAAGUAUUUGGUUGCAUGUGUUUUGUACUUGUCCCUGUAGAAAGAAGAACCAAGCUCGAGAAGAGGUCAGUUCCAGGUAUAUUUGUUGGCUACAGUAGCUGCAAGAAGGGCUACAGAGUAUUUGAUCCUUCAACCAAGAAGAUUUUGGUAAGCAGGGAUGUCAAAUUCGAGGAAGGAAGGUUUUGGAGUCUAGAUGGCUCUAACACAAGUCAGUUUGAAGAAGAGCAGAUUGACAGCAAUCUGGAAUUGGCAGAAAAUGAAGUCAGUAAUGCCAAUGUAGAUGAUGCUCCUGUGAGAGGGACCAGGUCUAUUGCUGAUAUCUACCAAAGAUGCAAUGUGGCCAUUGUUGAGCCUUCAAGCUAUGAAGAAGCUGCACGAAGCAAGAGUUGGAAGAAGGCUAUGGAGGCUGAAAUCGACAUGAUCCAUAAGAAUGACACUUGGGAUCUGGUAGACAGACCUGAUCAGAAGAAGGUCAUAGGUGUCAAGUGGGUUUUCAGGACCAAAUUCAAUGCUGAUGGCUCUUUGAACAAACACAAGGCAAGGCUUGUGGUGAAAGGGUACAAUCAACAGUUUGGCAUUGAUUUUGAGGAGACAUUUGCUCCAGUAGCAAGGCUGGACACCAUAAAGCUCCUGUUUGCUUUGGCUGCACAAAAACAGUGGAAGGUCCAUCAACUUGAUGUCAAGUCAGCUUUCCUGAAUGGCUUCCUUAAAGAGGAAAUUUAUGUUGAACAGCCUGAUGGAUUUAAAGUCCAAGGAAAGGAAGACAAGGUUUACAAGCUGAAGAAGGCACUCUAUGGACUAAAACAGGCUCCUCGAGCCUGGUAUGACAGGAUAGAUGCUUACCUGUCUAGGCUCAAUUUCGAGAAAAGUUUGAGUGAGCCAACUUUGUUUAUAAAGAAGUCCAAAGAUGAGACUUUGCUGAUUGUCUCAAUAUAUGUGGAUGAUCUAUUAGUGACUGGAAGUAAGGUCGAUUUGAUUCAGGAGUUCAAGAAGAAUAUGCAAGACAUGUUUGACAUGACAGACUUGGGAAUCAUGACUUACUUCCUUGGUAUGGAAGUAGACCAGUCUGAUCAAGGCAUUUUUAUCAGCCAGCAUGCAUUUGCCUUGAAAAUUCUCACUAAGUUUCAUAUGGAAAACUGCAAACCAGUGAGCACACCAUUAGCUGUGGGAGAGAAACUAAGCAGCUUUGGAAAUGAAGAAAAGGUAGAUGAAAAUGAGUAUAGAAGCUUGAUUGGUUGUUUACUUUACUUGACAGCAACCAGACCUGAUCUUAUGCAUUCAGUAAGUCUAUUGUCUAGAUUCAUGCACAGCUGCAAUACAACUCAUUUGAAAGCAGCAAAGAGAAUACUCAAGUAUGUCAAAGGUACUUUGAAGUUUGGUGUAAUGUUCAAGAAAGGAAGUGAGCUGAAAUUAGCUGGCUACUCAGAUAGUGACUGGGGUGGAUCAGUUGAUGAUAUGAGAAGUACUUCAGGCUACUUCUUUACACUUGGUUCGGGAGUUUUCAGUUGGAGUUCAAAGAAGCAACAAACUGUUGCUCAGUCUACUGCUGAAGCCGAAUACAUAGCAGCAGCUGCAGCAGUGAAUCAAGCCAUUUGGCUUAGGAAGUUGCUAUGUGAUUUGAAUGAAGAACAGCUUGAGCCAACUGAAAUUAUGGUGGAUAACCAGUCAGCAGUUGCCAUCUCCAAAAAUCCUGUUUUUCAUGGCAAAACCAAACAUUUUAAGCUCAAGUUUUACUUUGUUCGAGAAGUUGUUCAAUCCAAAGAAGUGUGUCUAACACAUUGCAGCUCACAAGAUCAAUUGGCUGACAUUUUGACAAAGCCUCUUGGCACAAUCAGGUUUGAAUUUCUAAGGGAUUCAAUCGGUGUUUGUUGCCUACAGUCCAAGGAGGAGUGUUGAGCAUUGGCCUGCAAUGCAACAAACUUCCAGCAGCAGCAGACCAGCUUUAGAAUCGAAUAGGAGCUGCUUGUUUCAUUUUGUUUAUUUUGAUUUUUUUUGUAAAGCAAUCAAGUUGACAUGUAACUUGAUUUCUAGAGUUAGUAAGAUAUGAAAAUGAUGGAUGUAAUAGCUGAUUUAUUUUCAGCUUUUGACUUGUAUUAUUUUAGUUGGCAACUUGCCAAAUUUGGUGGGAGUAGUUACGUUUAGGUAACUGACUUGCUUUUGUAACUCAUAUAUAUUUUGAAAUGGAAAUGAAAGUAAUAUAUGGGACUUUUCUCAUUCGGUUACUUGCUGCUUCUCUUUGGAUUUUCAGUUUGUUCUUUUUGUUUUGUUUUGCUGCUAAUGAGCUUUAGUCUUGGCUGUUUAAAUUUUGCUUAGUUGCUGCUGUUUUUUCUAACAAUAUGCUGAUAAAGCUAAGAUAUCUUGAUCUUAGAGUGCACACUCUGAAAGAGAUACCCGCUGGACUUUUACCAAAACUCGUUCACCUUCAGCACUUGAGUUUUGAAGUGGACAAUGAAAAAACAAGUCUAAAAGCAGAGGAGAUGGAACCAUUGAAGAAGUUGGAGUGCUUUACCGGAAGUUUCGAAGACAUCAAUGAAUUGAAUAAGUUCAUCUCCUCAAUGCAACAAAGUAAGAAAAAUCUCAUCAAGUACUAUUUAGUGGUGGGCUCAUCUUUUAUGACUGUUGAAAGAGAUAAAACAGUAACAAUUAGAGGAGUCCAGAAUUGGGAAGGUGAGUUAAUUAUGCACCCAAUUGAAAUUCAAGAGUUGAUUAUUUUAAGGUGCGACUAUUUGAGAAACUUAGUCGAUGAUAAUUCUUCCUUCAAAAAUGCGAUUGACUUGAGGAUUUGUAGUAUUUGGGGGUGUAAAGGGAUAGAGUGUGUUGUUCCCUUGUCCUCUUUUGCCUCUUCUUCCGCUCAUCCAUUUCAGAGCCUCGAGGUGUUGAAUCUUCAAUGGCUGCCAAAGUUGAGUGCCCUUAUUAUGAAUGAUGAAGGAAUUGGUUCAGCAACAACAUCAACAUUGGUUCCGUCUGCCACCUUUUCCCAUCUUAAAAAAAUUACGAUAGUGAACUGCUCAAGUAUGAAGACGUUGCUUCCAAACCUCCAAAACCUGGAAGAUAUACACGUGGUGGCUUGUAUACAGCUAGUAGAAAUAUUGGGAGGUGAAACAUCAGAAGUUGAAGAAAAAGGGAGUGAUGCAUUAAUCAAAUUCCUUCUUCCCAAAUUGAGAGUGUUGUCAUUCUCCGAAUUACCAAAUUUGAAGAGCAUAUGCAGCAAAAGUGGAGUGAUGGUUUGCGAUUCUCUCCAACUUGUCCAUGUUUUGGGAGGUUGUAAUAAACUGAAGAGAAUUCCUCCAUUUGUUCCCCUUGUUGGCAAUGGGCAGCCAUUUGCAUAUGCUCCACCUUCUCUUACCAUCAAGUCAUGGGAAGAAUGGUGGGAAUCGUUGGAGUGGGAUGACGAUCGAAACUUUAAAAAUGUUCUUCGCUUCAGCCCCUUUGGAAGCUUUUAAGGUAUGAACCAUUUAUAACUUAGUUUAUUUUAUAAAUCUAAUUUCUCCAUUUUAAUACCAUUUCAUGUUAUAUUUUAUUUUUGUUUGAAGAUGAUGUGGCCUCCAUUGGUGCAUAAAGAUGCAUGAUGUAGUGAGAGACAUGGAGUUGUCGAUGAUGAUGUGGCCUCCAUUGGUGCGAAAGAAGUAGAAGAGAGUAGGAGGGCGGAGGAUGGUGCAAAAAAGGUGGGAAUAAAAGGAAUGAUGGAGCAUUGAGGAAUUGAGCAGCCACCAUUAUAAUUGACUCCAUUUCCAUUUUAUUUGUUUUAAAAUAAAUGUACUUCCCGAAGUAACUUUCUAAAUAAUUCAAUUAUAGGGUUAUUUUAGUAUCACGUAGAAUCAAAUAUUAUUUAAAAAAAUCUUUAUAUGUUCUUAAGCAAAUAUGUUGUUUUUAAAAUUAUUUCUUUAAAAUCUUUAAUCUUCUAUCAAUCAUUUAUGUAUUUAUUAUUUAUUUUCAAAUUAAAUAAUAAAUAACAAAUAUUAUUUUCAUAAAAUAACAAAUAUUAUUUUCAUAAAAUAACAAAUAUAUGAUACAAGCAGGUUUGCAAUUAGAAGAGUUACCAGAAAAGGAGCAAUGGAGUCCGGAUAUUGAGAAAGUGUCACUUAUGUAUAACUCCAUAUCAGAAAUUUUCAUAGAUGUGCUACCCACAAAAUGCCAACUGCUCACAACCUUGUUAUUGCAGCACAACCUUAUAAAGAAGAUCCCAUAUUCUUUCUUCACAAACAUGCCUUGUCUUCGUGUUCUCAAUUUGUCCUUCACAAGGAUCGAGAGUUUACCAAAUUCCAUCUCUGAACUAAAGAACCUCACAACAUUGUUGCUUGUUGGCUGUAAUGAAUUAAGAGAUCUGCCAUGUCUUUCGAUGCUUCAAGAAUUGAAGAAGUUGGUUCUUGCUGGGACUAAAAUUGAGGAAGUCCCGGACGGAAUGGAUAUGUUGAUAAAGCUAAGAUAUCUUGAUCUUCAAGUGCUCACUCUGAAAGAGAUACCCGCUGGACUUUUACCAAAACUCGUUCACCUUCAGCACUUGAGUUUUGAUGUGGGCAAUGAAAUAAGUCUAAAAGCAGAGGAGGUGAAACCGUUGAAGAAGCUGGAGUGCUUUACCGGACGUUUCGAAGAAAUCGAUGAAUUCAAUAAGUUCAUCUCCUCAAUGCAACAAAGUAAGAAAAAUCUCAUCAAGUACCAUUUACAGGUGGGCUUAUCUUUUUUGAUUUCUACAAGAGAUAAAACAGUAACAAUUAGAGGAGUCCAGAAUUGGGAAGGUGAGUUAAUUAUGCACCCAAUUGAAAUUCAAGAGUUGAAUAUUUCAGAGUGCGACUAUUUGAGAAGCUUAGUCGAUGAUGACUGUAAAGGGAUAGAGUGUGUUGUUUCCUUGUCCUCUUUUGCCUCUUCUUCCGCUCAUGCAUUUCAGAGCUUCGAGAUGUUGACUCUUCGUGAUCUGCCAAAGUUGAGUGCCCUUAUUAUGAAAGAUGAAGGAAUUGGUUCAGCAACAACAUCAACAUUGGCUCCGUCUACCACAUUUUCUCAUCUUAAGGAAAUUACGAUAGUGAACUGCUCAAGUAUGAAGACGUUGCUUCCAAACCUCCAAAACCUGGAAGAUAUACACGUGGUGGCUUGUAUACAGCUAGUAGAAAUAUUGGGAGGUGAAACAUCAGAAGUUGAAGAAAAAGGGAGUGAUGCAUUAAUCAAAUUCCUUCUUCCCAAAUUGAGAGUGUUGUCAUUCUCCGAAUUACCAAAUUUGAAGAGCAUAUGCAGCAAAAGUGGAGUGAUGGUUUGUGAUUCUCUCCAAGUUAUCGAAGUUCAUGUAUAUUGCAAUAAACUGAAGAGAAUUCCUCCAUUUGUUCCCCUUGUUGGCAAUGGGUAGCCAUUUGCAUAUGCUCCACCUUCUCUUACCAUCAGGUCAAGCACAGAAUGGUGGGAAUGGUUGGAGUGGGAUGACCAUCCAAACUUUAAAAAUGUUCUUAGCUUCAUCCCCUUUUGAAGCUUUUAAGGUAUGAACCAUUUAUAGCUUAGUUUAUUUUAUAAAUCUAAUUUCUCCAUUUUACUACCAUUUCAUGUCUUAUUUUAUUUUUGUUUGAAGAUGAUGCUGCCUCCAUUGCCGCCAAAGAAGUAUAAGAGAGUAGCAGGGCGGAGGAUGGUGCAAAAAAGGUGGGAAUAAAAGGAAUGAUGGAGCAUUGAGGAAUUGAGCAGCCACCAUUAUAAUUGACUCCAUUUCCAUUUUAUUUGUUUUAAAAUAAAUGUACUUCCCGAAGUAACUUUCUAAAUAAUUCAAUUAUAGGGUUAUUUUAGUAUCACGUAGAAUCAAAUAUUAUUUAAAAAAAUCUUUAUAUGUUCUUAAGCAAAUAUGUUGUUUUUAAAAUUAUUUCUUUAAAAUCUUUAAUCUUCUAUCAAUCAUUUAUGUAUUUAUUAUUUAUUUUCAAAUUAAAUAAUAAAUAACAAAUAUUAUUUUCAUAAAAUAACAAAUAUUAAACUAAAGCUCAAACAUAAGUCUAAAUUUCAAACUGCAUUAAUGUAACUCGUUAAUUAAAUUUUAAUAUUAUUUUCAUAAAAUAACAAAUAUUAUUUUAAAAAUAUUUUUAUUUUUUACAUACAAUUUUAAAAUAUAUAUAUACAUACAUCACAUCCUUUAAUACCUCAAUUCUAUUAUUUAAAACUAUACUACUCUUUUGCUUAUAUUAAUCUAUUGUUGCAAAUUUUAUCUCGUGGAUCAAACAAGCAAUCUUCUCAAAAUCUCAGGUAAAUAAUUAAACAGUGAUACUUGAAAUAAAAUAAUAAAAACACAAUUCAUUAGUUUUGGUGUAGUACAAACUCAAAUAAAACAAAAGGAUUAUAUAGAAGUUGUCACUAUCUUCUUUUAAAAUUACUUGAAUUUCCACAGGAGGGCUGUCAAACAUACGCAAAUCUUCAUCAUUCGUCAAGGACAUUUUUGCUAAUGCAUCCGUUAUCUAAUUGUUCUCUCUAAGUGUAUACCUCAAAAAUCACUUGUUUUCACCUGACAAAAUAUGUUGAAUUCUUCUAAUCAAUGAUGAACUCGAUUCGGCUGAUUGACUAUCACAAAGGGCUCCAACAAUCUCAACAUUAUCAGAUUGAAUGAUGACCUUAUCAUAUCCUUAUUUCUGAAGCAAAAGUAAACCAUCUAAGAUGUCCCAUAACUCGGUAUCAGAUACCAAACACUUCCCCAAGAACCGACUAUAACCCAAUAACCACUUCCCUGUUUCAUCCCAUACCACACCACCUGUGACAGAUAAACCAAUAGUUGUCUAAACAACACUAUCAAUAUUGAGGAAAAAAGAAUUUGCAAGUGAAAUGAAUCAAACUCAGGUCUCAAAGAUACUUACACUACUUCUUAACCACUAGGCCAUAACUCACUCUUUAAAAAUAACUUAUUUUGAUCCAUUAGAGAGCGCCCACAUUAUUUCUAAGAUGCCACUAUUUUCUUUAUUGAUAACCUAAGAUGCCACUUGAUAAAAAAUUUACUUUAUACAACUACAUCAUAGUUCAAUCAAACUUAAGAUCUCAAGUAAAUAAUAAAUAAUGAGGAUUAAAUAAAACAUAGAACUCCAUGUGUUGGUCUGAUGGUCAGAAUGUUCACCACUUAAGGUGUAAUUUGAGAUUGAGUCGUGCUAGUCGCGUUGCUGUUAGGGCUUUGCCCUCCUCUUAUAAAUCACAAAAAAAAAGCAUAGAAAACAAUGAGAAAACAUUUGAUACAGAGGCGAUCCCAUGCCAGCCCCACUAAAAUGAAAAAUUGCCAUUUAGGCUCUCUAAAUUUUUUUAAAUUUUAAAUUAAUAAAGGUAAAAUUACACUUUGGCCCCCUUAAAAUUAUAAAAAUUUGAUUUAAUCUUUUAAAAAUUAUAAAGAUAUAGACUAUAAAAAAAUUAAAAUUUCAUCCAGCCCUUAAAAAAUUGUUUUGGCUUCGCCUUGAUUUGAUAGGAGGGAAAGUAAUAUUUUUAAAAAAAAUAAUUAAUGGGAGAGUAAUAUUUAUAUUUAUCAACAAAUUUUCUAGGAAUAUGACUUUAAAUUAAGAAUUAAUUUUACUUAAACAUGAGAAUAUGAUUCCUUCCAAUAUAGGUGAAAAAAAUUACUUUUCAUGUAGUUGAUAAGUUGAAGUACACAUUUGGACAAAAAUUAUCCUUUUUAUUAUUUAUUACCGUCACUGGUUUUGCUUUCAUGGUUAGUUUUCACUAUUUUCUCAUUAUUCUUUAGGAUAACUUACCUAGCUAGCCACUUAACUAUGGUUUUUUAAUUUUUUUAGUCACCUAAUUAUGAAAAGUUACAAAAUAGUCAUUCAAUUAUUAGUAUUUUUUUAUCACCAAAUUAUAAUAAGUUACAAAAAUGAUCAUUCAACUAUUCCAUUUUGUCUUUUUUGGUCACACAAUUAUAUUAGAUUUUGGGGUGUUUCCACUUUUACGUUGUUAGUUGGUGACCAAAAAAGACAAAAUUAAAUAGUUGGGUGACCAAAAAAGAGAAAAAAAUAAUAGUUGGGUGACAUUUAUUGUAGUUUACCCUUUUUUUAAUCUUUCAUGUUCAUUUUACUCCAUAUUUAGAGUUUGUGAUUCUCUUUUUCAAUCUAUAUAAUUUAAAAAUAAUAAAUAAAUAUAAGUUAGUUAAGUUUAUCAAUUCGAUUAUAAAUUUUAGUCAUCAGUACUCCACUGUCCAAAUCGACAAACUGAAUUAAUUAAAAUGAAUCAAAUCGUCAAUUAAGUGGAUUAAAUCAAUCAUAACUGAAUAAUACUCUUACCUAAUUUGCGUUAUUCACUACACCAAAACAGGGAUUUAGUUGCGCUUUUUUAGGCCUUCAGCGGCGCUUUGUCAUGCGCCGCAAAUAACGCCGCUAUUGAACGCGUCGUUAACUUUAGCGGCGUUUGUGAAUUGAGCGCCGCUAAAAGUCAAGCCCUUUAGCGGCGUUUGUGGCUUAAGCGCCGCUAAAGGUUAUUAUCUUUAGCAGCGCUUAAACCUAAAAUGCCGCUAAAGAGCUUGACCUUUAGCGGCGCUUUCACUAAAAACGCCACAAAAACAUUAGCCUAUAGCGGCACUUUAUUUACAAAUGCCACUAGAUACCUUGACCUUUAGCGGCGCUUUGACAACAAACGCCGCUAAAAACUCUGAUUUUUUAGCGGCGCUUUCACUACAAACGCCGCAAAUACAUUAGCCUAUAGCGGCGCUUUAUUUACAAACGCCACUAUAUAUGUUGACCUUUAGCGGCGCUUUGGGCACGAACGCCGCUAAAAGACCUUGACUUUUAGCGACGCUUUUCAUAAAAACGCCACUAAAUGCAUUAACCUUUAGCGGCAAUUUUCCCACAAACGCCGCUAAAUUGAGCAGCUUUAUAAAAGAAUAUUUUAUAUAUUUUUAUACCUCCUGUAACAAAAAAUCAGAAGAAACUAAAAUCUAAACCAAUCGAAAGCAAUAAAUCUAUAUAACAUUUAAAAUUAAAUGAAUAAUAUAUAAUAAAUUUCAAUAAAUGGAAUAAAAUUCAUAUUAUUAUUACAAAUAUGUUAAAAGGUAAAAUGAUAAUAUAAAGUUAAAAUGAUAAAAAAAUUUACACGAUAGUCUAAGACGACGGUGGUUGCGACUGUUGAAACAUCUUCAUCAUAUUCUGAAGCUGCUUCUGGAGUUCAUCGUACUUUCUAGUCUGCUCUGCUUCCCUCUUUGCCGCUUCUGCUUUUAGCUGUAUCUGGAGUUCUUCAUACUUCCGUUGAACCUCAGCUUCUCUCGCUGCUGCCUCCGCUUUAAGUUGUGUAAUUUGCUCAACUGUUGUCGCUUGCAUCUGAGCCAUCUGGUCUCUUAACCUCUGGACUUCAGCUUGAGCUUGACUCCCCGAAGGCAUGUAUUGUUGCGAGCUGGAUCCAAAAUAUUGGGUUGGGCUAACAAAAGAUCCUUGAAAUCGAACCCGACCGUACCUUUCAGGACCCAAAACAUCAGUGAUAAUACGAUUAUCAAUGUCUUCAAUAUGAACAGAACUAUCACUGGAAGCAAUCGCUUCGUACUCCGCUUUUUUAUCCUUUAGUUUAUCCUACAACAAUAAAUCACAUUGUUAGGAACACAAUAUUUAUUAAAAAAACAAAUGCAACAUAACUUAACAAAAUUUGCAUUACAAGAAAUGAAAUAAACCAUUAGAAAAUAUACACUGUAAAAUAUUAAAACAAGUCAAAUUGUAUUAAGCAAACGUACCAGAAUUUCUGCAGCUUCAGGAGUCAUAGGGUUCCCAUCUUUCUUCCUAUGUGUAAUGUCAAAAAGUUGAAGGCGUCCAACUUUCUGACCGGACGACAGUUCCUAUAAUACAGUAGUAAAAAUAUUAUUUGAUAGAAAGUAAUAAAAAUCUGACAGAAUUACAAAGUUCAAAAUACCUCAGAGUGAGCUACACAAGCAAAACUUUUGGACCCAGCUGUGUGAGUGAAUUUCUGUUUCUGCCUACUACAUUUUCCAACUCGUUCACGAUCCUACGUUAUGAAAUUAUUAGUACGUUGAUUAAUAAAUAAUAUAAACCAAAAUCAAGAUUGUUUUAGUAACACAUACCUCUCCUUUCUUCGAAGUCCAAAAUCUAACGACCUCUUCCCACUGAUACCUCAGCAUUCCCGGCGGGACAUUUUGUAAUCUCUCGUCCAGGGUUGUUUUUGUCUUAAAAUAGUCUUUCUUUAAUGUGCUCUUAUGGUCUCUUCAUCUUUUUCCCAAUACCUUUUUUACAUAAGCAUCAGAGACCUCUAGAGCAAAUCUCGCCUACAAAGAACAGAAGCUAAGAAAGUUAAUAUAAUUGAAACUUAAACCCAAGUAUUAUAAAUGACAUUAACGUUUUGUUACCUUAACGUUAUCAAGAGCUUGGUUCUUGUUACUAUCGGGCAUUUGUCGCCAUGUCUCGAAGUUAAUUGGUAACAUAUUUGCAUUCCGUGCUAGAAUGCCCAAGUAUCCUGCUAAAAGACGAGCUUCUGAUCCAACAGGCUGACCAAAGCUAUUACUGCAUACUUUGACACGCUCGGCUGGAUCUAGCUCGUAUAAAUCCCUCAGUAGCGUACGCCCUCGAACUCUUCGCGUCCCACCAUUUUCAACUGAAAAUUUUUAUAUUGUUAUAAGAAUUUUAAAAAUAAAUAAACAAGAAGUCAACAAGCAUUUAAAUUAAAUGUUAAAGUACUUUCAAUUUCUGUAGGUUCCUCAGGUGUAAUAGAAAUAUUCGAAGACCCAAUAGCAGUCUGUUGAUCAGUGCUGUUUGUUUCCGCAGAGUUUGGAGUACCUGGAACCAGGCUUAGCUGUCGCACUUUUCGUCGCCGCAUUUUAUCUGCAAUACAAAUGAAAUAUUUGAAAAGUUAGUUGAAAUAUACAAUAAGAUUAAUAUUUAUAUUAUGAUAUUACAUAUAAUUAAAUAAUCGUAAAAGCUUACUACAUUAUAAUUCGUAAUUAUCUUCAUCCGUAUCCUGGCGAACCCAUUGAAAUUGUGUACUAGUACUAGGGAUGUUUUCGUCUAAGUUUUGUUCUGGAAAGGGCAAAGUUUGUGUUCUGUCGUCAAUGCCAUCUCUACUUCCACUGCCCAUGUCAAACAAGUCUCUAGGGAUGUUACGGAGUACAACGUACCAACCCUCAUCAGUUGGAUCUUUUGAGUAAAAAACUUGUUUGACUUGAGAAGAAAAUACAUACGGCUCAUCAACCAACUGUUGUCCUGUGUGAAUUAAUCGAGCGAAGUUCACCAUUAUGAAACCAAAUUGAUCUUGCUUAAUUCCACGAGCAGUAUUAACAUCGGCCCAAUCACCUCGAAAUAAGACAACUUUCCAUUUGUCGUAGUAAUCCAACUCAAUUAUGUCAGUAAGAAGUCCGAAAUAUUCCACAUUUCCCUCGACCGGAUUAUUGUCCCUAGCACUAGCAUAACUUGUAAUUGAGGAAUUAACAACUAUUCCACAAUUUUGCGUUCUCCUCAAUCUCUCGCGAUAUUUUGUAUGAAAUCUGAAUCCGUUGAUGAGAAACGCAGUAUAUCUUUUAACCACCCGAUUUGGACCUUGAGAAAGCCAUUUAACUUCGUCGGAGACGUUCUUCCCACUCCAAACCUACUGAAUGGAAAGUAAACUGAGUUAUUAAAAAUGUUUUGAGCGAACAUUAUUAUUUGUCGAUGAAAGCUCCAAUUGCAUACCGUUUGGCUUAACCAUUCAUGGAAAGAUUCUGUGAACAACUUAUUGAUAUCCCGAUGUUGUGUUCUUCGAGAGCGCGAACGAGAUCUCAAUAUUUGUUUGUACUCACUAUGUUAGAAAUAUUUUUGAAAUUUAUUAGAAGAUAAACAAUUUUUGAUUGAUGAAUAUUUAUCAAAUUUCUAGAACUUACUUGCGUAAAGGUUCCAUUGAUUCGUGGUGAAACAGCACAUAUCGAUGUGCUUGUACCCACGAUAAAUCAUCUAAUUCUGUAAUUUCAACUUUACCGAGUUAUUGUCCAAAACUUUGGAACAAAUAAGUAUCGGCGAAGUGAUGAUCCGUGAGUCCAGUAUUUCUAUUUGGUCUGUUAAACCUUGUUUCAACACCUUCCAAAUAUCUUGAACAGAAAGUCAUACAUUCCUCCGCCAAGUAGCCUUCAGCAAUCGAUCCUUCUAGAUAACGCUUGUUGCGGCAGUAAGACUUCAAUUUGGAAAUGAACCUAAACACGAUAUACAAUAUUAUCAAAAUAUUUCUUUUGAAGGCAUAUAGGUGAAUGAAGGAAAAUUUUAAUCAUUUUAUUUAAGACCUUUCUAUGGGAUACAUCCAUCGAUAGAAAACGGGUCCGCCAAGAAUUGCUUCAUGCGGGAGAUGGAUUAUCAAGUGAACCAUAAUAGUCAAGAAGGAGGUGGGAAGAUUUUCUCCAAGUUACAUAAAGUCAACGCAGCUCGAUCUUGUACCUUCUGAAGUUCUUGAACAUCCAAAACUUUUCCACAAAUGGCUUUAAAAAUAUUCGAUAGUUCAAUUAUACAAGACGUCACAUUCUGCGACAUACAACGUCGUAGAGCAACUGGCAGUAAAUCUUGCAUCAAGAUGUGAUAGUCAUGUGAUUUUAGCGAAUACAGUCUUCGAUCUUUUACACAAACACAUCGAGAUAUAUUUGAUGCAUACGCAUCUGGAACCUUUAUAUCCUUCAACACCAUGCAGAACACUUCUUUCUCCAUCUUCGACAUCGAAAAAAUAGAAGGCGGCAACCGAUAUUUCCCAUUCGGAAGUGGAUUGGGAUGAAGAUCAGGCCGAAUGCCGAUUUGGACUAAAUCAAGUCGACUCUGAAUAUUGUCUUUUGAUUUUCUGUCGACAUUUAAAAUUGUACUCACAAUGUUCUCACAGACAUUUUUCUCAAUGUGCAUAACAUCAAGAUUGUGUCGUACAAUGUGAUGCUCCCAAUAAGGCAACUCAAAAAAAAUACUUCUUUUUUUCCACAAGUCCGUCUCAUUAGGAUCGUCCUCUUCAUCUGACUCAUCAUCAGCUUGAUCAUUUGAUCUUCUAUUUCUUUGCGUGUUUGGCGGUUGGUUCGUCUUCCCAUAAGUGAAAUUCAUAUGUUCCAACAUGAACAAGAUUUCAGAGCCAGUGGUCUGCAAAGGAGCUUCUCUAAACUCUUUAGUACCGUCAAAUACAGAACUCUGAAAUCUAAAUCUAUGAUUUUCCGAUAACCACCGGCGAUGCCCCAUGUAAGAGAACUUCUUCCCAUUAUACAAUCAUUGCGAACAUGUUUGUGCAGCACAACAAGGACACGCAUAACGACCCUUGGUACUCCAACCGGAUAAAUUGGCAUAAGCGGGGAAGUCAUUAAUGGUCCACAUCAAAGCUGCACGUAAAUUAAAGUUCUCCUUUCUUAGCACAUCGUAUGUCUCAACACCGGCUCAUAAUUGAUUUAACUCUUCAAUAAGUGGCUGUAAAUAAAUGUCGAUAUCAUUCCCGGGCCCUUUCUCUCCAGGGAUAAUCAUAGAUAAGAUAAGGGAAGAUUGCUUCAUGCACAUCCACGGAGGCAGAUUGUAAGGAAUAAGCACCACUGGCCAAGUACUGUACGCAGUGCUCAUAAUCUUGUAAGGAUUGAAGCCGUCGGAUGCUAGCCCAAGCCUCACAUUCUUAGGAUCGCUUGCAAAGCUUGGAAAUUUAUUGUCAAAUGAUUUCCACGCUAAAGAAUCUGCCGGAUGUCUUAGUAAUCCAUCAUCGGUUCGUCCAUCUUUGUGCCACGUCAUUGACUCCGCUGUUUUCGAUGACAUGAAAAGCCUUUGAAGUCUUGGUAUCAACGGAAAAUACCGUAAAAUCUUGACUGGCUUCUUUCUUGACUGUGCAUCAUUUUCAUCAUCGUUCCCAUCUUCUGUGUUUCUAUUUAUCCAACGGGAUUCGCCGCAUACGUGGCAGCACUGUUGGUAUUUUCGAUCGCCCCAGUACAACAUGCAGUCAUUCGGGCAACUAUGGAUUUUGUUGUACCCAAGGCCUAAAUCUUUAAUCAUUUUCUUCAUAUCUUUGCAUGAUUGAGGGAUUUUUGCAAACGGAAACAUUUCUGUCAAAAACUCUAACAGCAUUGUCAAUGAGUUUCCAGUCCAUCCUCCUAAACAUUUUAAAUGAAAAAGACGAACGCAGAAGGACAUUUUUGAAAAUUUCAAUCCCUCAUACAGUUCUUUGUUCAUGUCAUUAAGUAGCGCGUAGAAAUUCGCCGCUUCUCCAUUCAGCUCUUCAGGAGGUACAGUUGUUCCCGAUUCGAUAAAAUUAUUUCCAUGAAUAUUACAAUCACCAGAUGGCACAAAGUCGGAUGGGAUCGACGGCAUAUGCUGACUGUUAAUAUUAAAUGCAUCCCGCAACAUACAUUCCAUGUCAUCCCCUCCAACAGACUGAUGGUAAGCAAUACCAGGAUAAGAUACAUCCAUCGUUGAAGAGGAGGUACUAGCCGGGCAUUCUCCAUGAAAAAGCCAUUUUUUAUAACCCCGAACAAACCCAUCGACAACUAGAUGCUCGUACACAACUUCACGAUAAUGCCAGUUUGUGUUGACACAGUUGUUACAAGGGCAAAGAAUCAUGUUCUCUUGGCUUGCAUGUUCAAAUGCAAAAUUAAGAAAAGACUGUACUCCAUUUCGAUAACCGUUGCUUAACCUUGACAAUUUCAUCCAAGAACGGUCCAUUUCUAAAUUCUUGAAGUCUGAUUUCCACCAUAAAUUACAACGGUAAGUUGGUCAGUUACAAGUAUAUAUGAGUUAUGUAAGUUAUGUAUUACGUAAGUUAUUUAGUUAUGUGAGUUACGUAUAAUAUUAUGUAACGUAUUAUGUUAUUAUGUAAGUUAUGUAUUAUGUAAGUUAUGUAAGUUAUGUAAAUUAAAUAUUAUAUAAGUUAUGCAAGUCCGACAAGUUAAAUGUAUAAUCACUACACCAAAACAGGCUUUUAGCGACGCUUUUUUAGGCUUUUAGCAGCGCUUUUUAGCGCCACAAAUACUUUUAGCGGCGCUUUCGAAAGCGCCGCAAGAAACUCCGCUAAUGACAGCGUCGCUAACUUUAGCGGCGUUUUUAUAAAUAAACGCCGCUAAAGAUCAUGACCUUUAGCGGCGCAUUUCUCACAAACGCCGCUAAAGAACAAGACCUUUAGCGGCGCUUUAACCACAAACGCCGCUAAAGACCAAGACCUUUAGCGGCGCUUUAACCACAAACGCCGCUAAAGACCAAGACCUUUAGCGGCGCUUUAACCACAAACGCCGCUAAAGACCAAGACCUUUAGCGGCGCUUUUCUCACAAACGCCGCUAAAGACCAUGAGCUUUAGCGGCGCUUUUCCCACAAACGCCGCUAUAGAACAUGAGCUUUAGCGACGCUUUUAUCACAAACGCCGCUAAAAGUACAACUCUUUAGCGGCUUUUAUAGAAAAACGCCACUAAUUUUGACAAAUUUGUAACACCCGAUUUUCAUCCAUAUACAAUCCUUCCUAUAACAUAAAAUCCAACCAAAAACAACAAAUUUAAAUGAUACUUCAAAUUCAAUGAAAGAUAAAUGAUAUAAAUUGAUAACUGAAUUAUAAUUCAAAAUAUUCUUACAAUAACUAAAGCACACUAAAAUGUUUACACAAUCACCUCCCAGAAACAGGGGCAGCAAUAACCACAAGAACAAAAAAAAAAGAAAAAUUACAACAUACUUGAAAGAAGAAAUUUCAGCCUCUGUGUUCUCCAAUUGCCUCUCCAAUUUUAGCUCAUUCGACCUUAAUCUAAGUGCCUAAAAAGAAAAAAGCAGAUGCCUGCAUAAAUAACUUAUACAAAAAAAAAACAUUCAAUGGAAGAUAAUCCAAAUGCUCGUCAUAUGGUCUAAACAAGCAAAUUAACAAGAUCAAAACCAAAUAAAUAUAAGAGAGAGAGAGAGAGAGUUAAAUCAACACUUUAAAAUCCUUUCGGUUCUAUGCAGUAAGGAUGGCAAACUAUUUAAUCUAAUGGUAGAAAUUUAUAACAAAGAUAUUUGUAAUCAUUAAAUUAAUACUUUUUUUGUCUUUCCACUUUUCAUCCUUGCUACCAAAAAGUGCUAGCCUUUUAUCACAUGCCUAAAGGAGAGGCCUUCAAGCAAGUCAUACACAUAAUAAGUACUGGAAAAUUAAGCCAAUACUAACUUUCAAGGUAACACUUUGGAAUAAAACUAAAUAAGUAAAGGUCUAAUUAUGAAUUUUAUCCCCUUAAUUUACAAAACCUGAUAAGUUAGUCCAAUUGGAUAACAUUAGUAAACCUCACUGUUAAAUUACUAGCUUGAACAUCAACACUUCAAUAUUUAAUAUGUAAGGAAUUAUCAAAAAUCAACAUUUCAAUAAUUUAUAUGCAAGAAAUUAACACAAAUCAAUCUUACAACAGUUUAUGUGAAACAAAUUAGCAAAAAAUCAAUUAUUCAUAGUUCAUAUAUUUACCGGCAUUAGGGCUUAAAUCUUCAAUUUCUAUAAUGAUUUAUAUGCAACAAAUUAACAAAAAUCAAUGGUUCAAGUUCAUGUAUUUACCAAAAAUCAGACUAAUUUUUCAAUAUUUAUAACAACUUAUAUGCAACAAAUUAGCAAAAAUAAAUGGUUCAAGUUCAUGCAUUUACCAACAAGCAGACUAAAUUUUCAAUUUUCAAUUUUUAAAACCCUAAACCCAUUUUGGGUAACAUUAGUAGAACAUUUCAAUAUUUAAUAUGUAAGGAGAUAUAAAAAAUCAUCAUUUCAACAAUUUACAUGCAAAAAAUUAGCAAAAAUUAACAAUUCAUGUAUAAUGUAUUUACCAAAAACCGGACCAACUUGUCAAUUUUUAUAACAUUUUAAAUGCAACAAAUUAACACAAAUUAACAAUACAAGUUCAUAUAUUCACCAAAAACCAGACUAAAUUUUCAAUUUUUAUAAAAUAAGAGGAUGGAAGUCUAACAAAUUAAAGUUUCCAAUGAAAUUCAGACUUACACCAUUAAGUAAAUAAGAGUUUUAAACUAUCAGAGAUCAAAACAAAUUAGCAAAAACCAACUGUUCAAGAGCAUGUAUGCACAAAAAAUAGGAUCAAAUUUCCAAUUUUUGCAAAUUAAAAGGAUCAAAUUCUAACAAAUUAAAGUUUCCAAUGAAAUUCAAAAUUACACCAUUAAGUAAAUAAGAGUUUUAAAUUACCUGAGAUCAAAAACCCAUUUUGGGUAUAAACUUAUGUAACUAUUUAUUAAAUCUGCAACGUCGUUUUGAUGCUUUGGUUCAAUAUUAGCUGAAGCUUCUCUAAGUUCCUGCAAUUUUGAAACAACAAAAUUUAAAAGAAUAAAAAUUUGAGAAGCUAUUACAUUUCAUGUAAGUGUAAAUUAAUGACGUUAGUGUGUUUAGGUGGGAAACAAAAUAUAAGUUGAGACAAGUUGAGGUAUAAAUUGCAUAUUAAUCCUUACCAAAAUUGAUAGCUAAAACUUUAUCUUGUUAACCAUAAUUAAGAUCAUAUUAUUCAAAGUUUGCAAUUUCAGUUUCAAGCCGUGAAGAAUGAAAUAAUAGCCAUAGCAGCGCCUGCAAAACCUCCAUAUGAAUGAACAAAUGUAGUUCUUAUAAUAUAAAUAAUCAAAAAGGAGCAAUAAUAUAAAACAUACCUUUUUGUAGUUUCCUUAUUUUCUCUGAAAUCAAACAGCAGCACAUCCAUAUUUCUGUUUUUAAAACGUUAAUCUGAGACAAAACUAAUGCCUUUUCCGAUGUUUUUCUUUCGGACUUCUCAUCAUCAAAUCCAAUACCCAAUUUUGACAUAUCGAAUUCACUCAAAUUCCUUCGUUUCACGAUUCCAGAUACGUAAUUUUUGCUGUUUUGGUUCAUUGGUCUCGGACUUUACAGAAAUCCCAUGGACCUCCAACUUGCACAACAGAAUGCGUGAAAAUUAAGUUAGAUUUAAUAGAUCUUAGAACAAAAAUAGAAUAAAACACAAAGGAGUGCAUACAUGUAUGCAAGCAUCAAAAGGAAUUAAUCCACAAUGAGGCCACGGAUUAAAGUAGAAUCAUUCAGCUGAUAUCAGUUCCAGGCCCCCCAAAAUGAGAGCCUCUUGAUGUCCUGCUUUAAGAAAAUGUGAGUUUUAUAUAAGUUUUUGCAUGUUUUAACUUUUAAUAUAAUUAAAAGCGUCCAAGUUUACAUAGGCAAACUGGAAGGAAACGACUUUGUAUAAAUUCCGCCAUAUCUUCAAGUGAAUAACUGAAAGAACUUGAAUUUUAAGAAGACUGUAACAGAUCCACCUCAGAAAAUUAAAACCAAUAAACAAAAACACAAUAACCAACUAGCAGUCAACUUGUCAGGUCAAAGCACUCACGCAUAAAUCAUUGCAAAUAAAAACUAUACACAACCAAACAAACUUCAUAAGGCAAUCAAGAUAAAGUAUAACUUGAAAUAAACCACAAGAGUCUACCUUUCUGAUACUGCUGAUCGGUGACAGGCUUCUUAUUAGCAGCUGGUCCCAAGCAAGAAACAAAGCAAACAAAGCAAAUGUCUAAAAGCAGAAGCAAACGUGAAUGAAGGCACAUAUAGUUGUGGAAACGGGAGUAACAAGCUAAUGGGACUUACAGGACAAGGACGCUUAGGAUCUAGGAAAACAACCCGUAGUAUUUGUUCUAUUGCAACUUGAUCCUUCUGCUCAUCAAACUGCAAAAACCAAGCACCUAAGAUUAAUUACUCAACAAAAUUACAAAUAUCCAACCACAAGAGGAAGAAAUACAGAUAGGUAGAGAAGCAAUCAAUCAAUAGUAUAGAUGGUGAAAUUUACAAUUGUGCAUCAUGCUAUGGCAGAAAGACAACCCAAAAUAUUAUUGAAAAACCGUGCAUGCCUCUUUCAAAAUUGGCCCAAGAUCAGCUUUGAGAAAAAAUAAAUUCUCAUCCCAUCAAGCAUGCACAAAAGCGACGGAAAGAUAAUUUUUGAAGGUCUGGAAAGAUAAUUUUUUAAAAAGGGAAGUACAUACAUGGAAAAUAUAGCUUAUUAGCUGGAUCAAGUUUGAGCCGACGCCGAGUCCGCAAAAGCGACUUUGCAACGGACAGCUACCUUCAUUUGCUUGCACAGGAGGGCUCCGAUUCCAUGAGGAAGAACUACCAGCCACGGUUCAUUUAGAUAGGUAAGGCAGAGUCUCAGACAGAACAAUCUCCGCAGCUGCGUCCACAUCCUUAGAGUUCUCGAUAGCAACAGCUUUUAGAAUUCGUGAAUCAACAUAUGCAGUAGGUGUAAGAAAAUAUACUUGCACUGCAUGUUUGUUACAUUUCUUUUUCCAAAUCACCACGCUUUAUGUUAUACACAUACAUAAAUCAAUUACAGCAUGGGAUUAAAAAUGAGUAAAAAGAAAUACCUGUGGGAAAAUAUCCAUGAAGCAUUUAUAAACCUUUUUAAACCCCAUAGUGGAAAGCUAUUAACCUGCAAAUAAAGUAACAAAAAUUUACAUGAAAUCUGUAAUCAAAGUAAAAUACGAUGAAGGAAGUAUUCACAAUGGGAACCAUAAUUUUAAUCACGUUAAUCAAACGUAAAACUAUAAAAUCUUAAUUUAAACAACAGAAUUGAGGAAUAAAUUUUUAAAAAAUAUUACAUGCAAAAUGACCGAUCAAUUGAUAGAAUUCCUUCCAAUUAGUAAUGGAGAAAAACAAAGGAGGGAGAUAUGAUUAAUAUAAAAUAGUGUAUCAUAGAAUCAGAUGAACCGAAAGUAGAAACCCUAACGCCAAGUCUGGAUAUUAAAAAGACAACAAAAGCUAAUUUUGUAUUAAUUGCAAAGGAACAUGGCUGUAUAUCUCAGGUAAAACAAGAAAUAACAUCAUAAGAUUUUCUCACUGAAAAGCAAAUGUAUGCAUACAUGCAGCUCAUAAAAUAGAGAACAUGAUAAGACUGGUAAAGUUAUCUCAAAUCUAGAGUUACCAAGCACAUCUCACCACCCCAUACAAUCUCUAAUACUAGAAGGAGAAAUAACUUGUUAAUCUCGUCUUAAACAGAAAAAAACAUUCUACAACAGGCCAUAGGUGUCAAAAGGAAGAGAAAAAGAAAGAGAAUUUCUAAUAAAAUUAAAAUUAUUUAUUAGAAGGGCAAAAACCUGCUACAAUUAUUAAUGAAUUAAAAAACAUGUAAAAAAGAUUUAUAAGAAAUAAUUACAGACAAUAGCAACCUCUGAAUAAAAGACCUAAAGAAAGGAAAAUGAAAUAAAAGAACCAAAAAUAAAUCCACUGAAAUAGGAGAAAGGAAAAUGAAAGAAAAUUUCCCGAAAAGCACCCAAUAUAGCUCACUGAACCUAAGAACCAAAAAUAAAUUAUGAGAUCCAAAAUCGAUGGGGCUGAAAGGAUAAAUUUAACAUUAAAAAAUGAAGGAAAAAAUAGAGAAUUAAAACAGAGAAUUAAACGCGUUCCAAGUCAAUUUCAAAAGGAGGAUUGGGGAUUCUCAUCUCAUAUUCCAGAUACUCCCUAAGGGUCCAUAUGUUCAAGAACUGCAAAGAUGAAGCAAAUAACAAGUUCUAAUUUUUCCAAAGAAUUCAUUAUAAUAAUUCCAGCUGUAAAUUCAAUUGCAAAGUAACCUGAUAUGGCUUUCUGGCCACAGUUUUUCCAUCAGCUUUCUCAUCAAAUUCUCCUUCCUUCCUCUUUGCCUUCCCUUCACAAUUUGCCGCUAUAUGGCCCAUCUGACCGCAUGUGCAGCAUUUAUCUUGCCCAGGGGUGAAGACAAUCUGAAAAUAUUUCAUAAACCCUGUUACUUUUGGGCCAGGAGGGAACAUGAUAAUAGAAUGAUAAAACAUCCUUCGAAGUAAAUGAUAACAGAGAGAAAAAGUGGUAUCAUUUUCUGAGUAAACGAACAGAAAACGUAACUGAAAUGCAGAAGAGAAAGUGAAAAAUUAAAACAGAUAAAGAAGUUGUAUGUUGAAGGAAAUGGAAAUAAAUGAUUGAGAAUAAGUUGAGAAAAGCAAAGUCACAUGAAUUAAAACAGAUAAAGAAGGAAAUAAAUGAUUGAGAAGAAGUUGAGAAAACUUUACCUUGGGUAUGUUGAAGGAAAGAAAGAGGCUUCAGAGUCACAUGAGAAACAGAUAAAGUAUGAGCUCUUCUGAGAUGUAUGCAAAAAGAGGGAGAGAGGGGAAGAUGAUGAAUACGGUGGUGGCAGAGAGAAACCCUUGGGUGUUUUGAGGAUACCAAUUUUAGGGGGAAAAAUUUAGGGGUUUCAGGGGGAAUUUUGGUAUAAAAGCGGUAAAAGUGAAAUAAUUUUUGUGGCCUUUUUUAUAAAAGCGCCGCUAUUGUUUAUCUCUUGGCCGUAAAAAAAUUAUUUUCAUUUUGAACAAAAUGAUGUCAUUUUACUAAGUUAAAAAUUUUUAUUUUAUUUUUUAUAAAUUGAUUAUUUUUUGUGGCGUUUUUUAUGAAAACACCGCUAAAUGUUUUGCUAUAUAAAAUGGCUAUUUUUUAAAGUAAAAUUAUUUUUUGUAGCGUUUUUUUAUAAAAACGCUGCUAUUGCUUACCUUUUGCGGCGUUUUUAUAAAAACGCCGCUAAAUGUUUUGCUAUAUAAAAUGGUGCUAUUUUUUUAAAGUAAAAUUAUUUUACUAUCAAAUAAUCUCUCACACAUCAAAUUUCUAUUAAAGAUUACGUUAAUUAUGAUUUUAUAUUGUUCAUUUCUGAUCUAAUCUCUAUUUUAUUAGAGAUAUUUCUUCCUAACUAAAAUAUAAUUAUUUUGCUAGAUGUUUGAUGUGGAAUGAUUUUAGUUUUUGUAUUUUAUUUUUAUUUGUUAUAAUUUGGUCCUAUAUAUCUAAAAUAGAUAGUUACCUAUCCGUAUCAAUUUGUUACAUUUUUUUAUUUAUUAAUUUUUUUAAAUCUAAUAUUUAAAUAUAUCAAAUGGUUUAAAUUAAAUAUUUUUUAGUCACAAACACCGCUAAUGUUACCUUUUUCGGCGUUUACAGAAGAAACACCACUAAUAAAUUAAAUUCUUGUAAUGAAACGACACCGUUUUGAAAAAUUCUAAAUCAUAUUAGCGGCAUAUUUUACAAUUUUUUACAUUCAAUUAUUGUAUAUUGCAUAUCAAUCUUAAACUAAUAAUCUUUACAAUUUAUUAUUUCUCUUUUACAAUUAUAUAAGAACUUAUUUAAUAUAUAAAUUAAAAAAUACUAAUUAAUCUAAACCUUAAACCCUAACUCGACCUCGAAUCUCUAAACCCUAAAUCAAUAACUCUUAACCCCAAACCCCAAACCUCUAAUCCUUAAUUAAUAUAGAAAUUAAAAAAUACUAAUUAAUCUAAAUCAUAAACCCUAACCCGACCCCAAAUCCCUAACACCUAAACAUUAUUUAAUAUAUAAAUUAAAACACACUAAUUAAUCUAAAUCCUAAACCCUAACUUGACACUGAAUCUAUAAACCCCAAAUCCCUAACUCUUAAUCUCUAACCCUUAACCCCUAACCCCUAACCCAUAAACCUUAAAUCACAAUCCUUAAAUCAGAAUCCCUGAUCCAUAAUCCCUAAUUCCAUAAUUUAUAAGCCUUAAAAUUGCAACUCUUAAACCAGCCCUAAAUCCUAAAUUAACUAUAUAUAUAUACCCUAAACCAUAUAUAUUAAACCCUAAACUAUAAUGAUAAUUAAAUUAAAUAUUUUAAAAUUAAUACUAUCGUAUCUUUUACAAUUAUAUUUGAAAUUAUUUAAUAUAUAAAUUAAAAAUCAAUCAAUCAGGUACACAAAAAAAUUUAAAAUUAUUUUAAAUAAUAGUAUUUUAAUUUCUUCAUUUUUAACAAAUAUUUUUCUAUGUUUUUUAUUUCAAAUUUAUCCAUUUUUAUCAAAUAUUCAAUUAAAAAUAAAUAAAAUAGUAAAUAGCAGAUAAAAUAUUUUUGCGGCGCUUUUUCAAAAACGCCGCUAAAGAUCUGAAAGGUACAAAACGAUGUCGUUCGGCUUAGGUUUUUUGCGGCGUUUUUCCAAAAAAUGCCGCUAAUGCUAAUUUUUAGCGGCGCUUUCCUGGAAACGCCGCUAAUGCUCGAUCUUUAGCGGCGUUUUACGUAAAGCGCCGCUAAUGCUCGAUUUUUAGUGGCGUUUUUUGUCCAAACGCCGCAAAAAAUGCCGCUAAAAGCCUGUUUUGGUGUAGUGAAUAUUAAUUCAUUUAGUUACGUGAGUUAUGUAUAAUAUUAUCUAACUUAUUAUGUUAUUAUGUAAGUUAUGUAUUAUGUAAGUUAAGUAUUACAUAAGUUAUGCAAGUCCGACAAGUUAAUGUAUAAUAUAAAUUGAUUUAGUUAUGUGAGUUAUGCAAGUUGUUAUAUAAGUUUCUAUAUAAGUUACGUAACUUAUUAUGUAAUAAGUUAUGUAUUAUGUAAGUUUAUAUAUAAGUUAAUGUGUAUUAUGUCAUAAGUUAUGUAUUAUGUAAGUUUAUAUAUAAGUUGUUAUAUAAUUUUAAUUAUGUAACUUAUGAUAUCAUUGAUAUUUAGAAAAUUUGAAUUGUAUAUGUAACUUAUGAUUGAUAUUUGAAUUAUGUAACAUUUACAAUUCUUUCUAAAAUUAUAAAAUUUAUUAUUGAAAAUAUAGAUGUUAAUAUUUAGAAAAAUAACAUUUACAAUUAUUUCGAAAAUUAUAAAAUUUAUUAUUGAAAAUAUAGAAAAUAACAUUUACAAUUAUUUCUAAAAUUAUAAAAUUUAUUAUUGAAAAUAUACAUGUUAAAAUUUAGAAAAAUAACAUUUACAAUUAUUUCUAAAAUUAUAAAUGUUAUUAUUGAAAAUAUAGAUGUUAAUAUUUAGAAAAAUAACAUGUACAAUUAGUUUUAAAAAUUUCUAGAACUAAUUAUUAACAAUAUUUAAAUAUAGCUUAUAUACGUAAAUUAAUAUAUGUAUAAUAUUUAAAAUAUAGUAAUACUUAUUUAAGUUAUCAAAUUAUGUCCCAAAUUUAUUACGUUUUUUCCACGAAUGCUUGUGUGAUUUUCUAAUAUAAAAGCAUAAAAACCCUAGACAAUUUAAAGUUGCAUGCUUUGCUUUUUUAUUUCUAUAAGUUUACUACCAUUUCUUUAUUUUAUAAGUAAUCAUUGAUUUUCAGAGUGUAAUAACAAUUGUAAACCAUAUAUAUUACUAUCAACAACAAUAAUUCUAAUUUAACUUGAGUACCUUUUAAUAGUUCGAGACCAAUAAGACAUUAUGUUUCAAAAAUAUUAACUUGAGUACCUUUUAAUAUUCAUAUGUUAUAAAUCCAUUUUAAAAAUAACUAGUAUUAAUUAAUAAAAUUUGCUUUGGCAAAAGGAACUAUUAGCACAUAAACAUAGUACUCCACCUGCUUAAAACCAUUUGGGGAUUUGCAUAAUACAUGUCAAAACUGCCUACAUGCAACGGCUAUAUCGGUACCUCGAAAAGCAACACGCAUAACUGACGCUGAUACAUUACAACAGAAGAAUGAAACAUUUACCUUCCACACCAAAGAAUAGACAAUUUAUGCAGCGAAAUAGGCAGCAAUCUAGCCCGAAGAAAUUGACCUUUCACACCAAAGAAUAGCGUUCUCCGUCCAACACAGCAAGCUAAGCACAACAACGCAAACAUGAAUUAUGAACAGUUACAUAGUACUGUAAACUACAAACAGGAUAUAAACAAAUAAGAUGUUUCUUUAAUGUAAUGCACUGGAUUAAGCAUUUCUAUAUUAUUUGACUGCAUAUGCCCAAUGAUUUUUGUCAUCUAACUAUAUAUUCAACUCUGUUUUAGGGAGGGAGAGCUGAAGGAGGACCAUAACCAGAUUUAUUUUUAUUUUAUUUCAUUUAAGCUAUAUAUAUAUUUUUAAUUAUGCUAUAAUAUUAUUGGUGAUCAGAACAAGAAACCAAAUUUCCAAUAAUUUCUGUCAUGACUUCACUAAAAACGUCGCUUCUAGGUCUCUCAAGUCAAAUUUAACAACAGCAUAAAUGAUAGGCACUUACAUCACUUUCAAUUAAUUAACUACUCAAUACUAUACGAAUUGUAACUAUAAUUACAAAAUUUCGGAGAAGAAUCUAUCAAAUACAGGGGAGGUUAGGUCAUUUGCCAUGAGAAUUUUAAAUCUAAAGUUUCAAACUUAUGAACAAAAUUAGUACAAAUAGUUCAUGGCACCAAUGGAUGAACAAACAAAUUUCAAACUUAUUAACAUAUAAAACGCAUAUAAAACAACUAUGCAUAUAAACGCAGUUCAAGUGAAUCCAGUACUACAAGGCUGCAAAUCCUGUAAUACAACCAGUUUCAAACUUAUGAACAAAAUUAGUAACAAAAUUAUGAACAAACAGUAUUACAAGCCUGCAAAUUCAUUUUCUAUAAUACAACAGGGUAGUCAAAAUUAUGAACAAAAUUAUGUUUCAAACGUUUUUUUUUUAAAUACAAACAGAAAAGAAACUGUCAAAUGAACUAAAUCAUGCAACUGGUAUAGAUUAAAGUGUAAGAACAAAUUCCCAAUUUUUUACUGCAGGAGAAAAAGAGGAAAACCUUAUAUUUUGUUGUACCCUAGCGACGGCAGAGGACUGCGGCAGCACAGGACAGUGACGGUCGACGGUCGACGACUAAGAACAGGAGGGUCGGUGAGCAAUGUAGCAGAAAUGGUUGGGGCAGCCUAGCUAGGGUUCUAGAAUUGGGGGAAUUUUAGGGGGAAAUUCGGGGGGAAUUUUGGGGAUAAUUUGGGGGGAAUUUCGGCUAAGUGUUGGGAUAAAAUGAUAUACCAGAAUGAACUAUUGCGGCGUUUGUAACAUAGCGCCACUAAUGCUGUUAAUGAAGCAGAUAAAACGACACUGUUUUAUUAAAUCUGUGAAGAAACAUUGCGGCGUUUUAAGUAUAGCGCCGCUAAAUCCUUCAUUUAGUGGCGUUUCUACAUUUACGCCACCAAAGCCAUUCAAUUCCAAAACAAAACUACACCGUUUUUUCCGAUUAAUUAAUAACUUUUGCGGCGUUUUUGCUUAAAACGUCGCUAAAUCUCACAUCUUUUAUUUAUUUAUUUAUUUAUUUAUUUAUUUUAUCUUUAAUUAAUUGUAUCUUUUAAUUACUAAGUAUAAUUAAAGUUUAUCAAUUCUUUUGACAAUUUUGAAUACAAUAAAAAUAAAAAUUUAUUAAUUAUUAAAACAUUUGUACACUACUAAAAGUUUACUUAUAUAUAACUAAUUAAAUUAUAAUAUUUUAGAGUAAAUGGUUUAAGGUUUAAUAUAUUUAGAUAAUAUUACGUCUUAUGCAUGUAUAAAAUUAAUUUAACCAUUCAAUUAUACAUGCAUAUAUAUAUAAAGUUAUCUAUACACCUAUCUCUUAAUUAAAUAAUAUAAACUAUGCAUCCAAAUCCCGUCGUUCAUCCAAGAAGGCUGAACCAGAUUUUGUAGAGUACUGACCAAAAAUUGGAGGAAAACAAAACCGCGCAGCUGGGCGAUAAGACGUAAUAUUAUAUACUCAUAAUUUAAAUAUAUUAAAUUAAUUUAUUGUAAUAUAAAUUAUGAAAACUAAUUAAUAUAAGCAACCAUCCCUAACUUGAGUACCUAACCCUUAAAUCUCAAACCCCAACCCCUAAAUACCCAACCCCUGAGUCCUUAACCCCUAAACCUUAAUCCCGAACCCCAAAACCCCAAAACCCUAAAUCACAAACCCCAGACCCCAGACCACCAACCCUAAAUCCCAAAUCCCGAACCCCUAAACCUAGACCCUAACCCCAAACCCCUAAACCUUAAUCCCAAACCCUAAUCCAUACCUGGUACUCCUUAAAAGACCAUCCAAAAAAAUUAUUCCCUAAAUCUUUAAUAAUCAUAAAAUAUAUUUAAAAUCAACUAAACAAUAAUUAAUAUUUAAUAAUUUUGUAUAAAGUACCAAUACACAAUAUUAAACUUUAUAAAUUUUUUUUAUAUAAAGUUACCAAUCAUUAAUAUAUAUUUUUAUUUAUAAUUAAAAAAAUUCUCUAUUUAACUACUUUAUUAUACUUUAAAUUUAUCAAAUAGAUAAAUGAAAACACAAAGGACGAACAACGACUAUAUAUAUAUAUAUAUGUAUGAGAUUUUUUUUUUAAUAUUGAAGUGAUAACAAAAGGAAUGAUAGCGAGUUAAAAUAUUUUAUAUAUUUUAAUUUGAAUGAAUUCAAUUCAAAUUCACAAAUCUAUUUAAGUUACUAAUUAUAUUGCAACCUUGAAUUUAAAUUAAAUAAUAUUAUAUAUCCAUCGAAUUUUUUAAUCCUAAUAAAAAACAUAUCUUUAAAAUUUAUAAUCAUACUAUCUAUUUUAGGAUCAUAUAAUUUUUUUUAAUAUAUUAUUAUAUAAAAAAAUUAUCAGUAUUAAUCAUGUACUCAAAAAUCUUAAAAAUUAUUUUAAAUAAUAAUAAUUUAAUUUUUUCACGUGAUAUAUUUCAAAAUAUUUCUAUGUGUUAUUUUUUUCCUGAAUAUUUUAAAUAUUUAAUUACAUUUAAGUUGAAUUUUAUUUAAUUAAUAUGAAUAAUAUAAGCUAAAUAAGGAAAAAUGCUUUUUACCGGCGCUUGAAAACAAACGCCGCUAAAUAGACUAAUUUUCCGGCCCUUACAAAUAAACGCCGCAAAAAACCCAACUUUAGCGGCGCUUUAAAACCAAACGCCGCUAAGUACAUUAACAUUAGUGGCGAUUGACCAAAACACGCCACUAUCACCCACCAAUCAAAUAGCGGCGCUAUGAUAGAAACGCCGCUAAAUACCUUAACAUUAGUGGCGAUUGACCAGAACACGCCACUAUCACCCUCAACCAAUAGCGGCGCAUACAUAAAAACGCCAGUAAAAUUCACAACAGUAGCGGCGCUAGGAUAGAAACGCCGCUAAAUACCUUAACAUUAGUGGCGUUUCACCAAAAACGCCACUAUCACCCCCAACCGAUAGCGGCACUAAGAGAAAAACGCUGCUAAUACCUUAACACUAGCGGCGAUUGACCAAAAACGCCACUAAAAUCUCCACCAUUAGCAGCGCAAACGUAAAAACACCGGUAAAGGUAAGAACAUUCGCGACGCUACACUAGAAAACGCCGAUAAAUAUCGUAACAUUACUGGUGGUUUCUCACAAACGCCACUAAAAGACCCACCAUUAGCGGCGUAUACCCAAAAACACCGUUAAAGGUCUCAUCAUUAGCGGCGAUAAUAUUGGAACGCCACUAAAGCCCUUCGAAGACCACAGAAACGACGCCGUACCAUUUUUUUUUGUGGCGUUUUAUGUGAAAACGCCGCUAAUGCAUAUUUUUUUGCGGCGUUCUAUUGAAAACGCUGCUAAAUAUCAGUUUUUACCGGCGCUUCCUCUUAAGCGCCGCUAAUUCUCUAUUUUUUCCGGCGUUUUUUCGAAAAACGCCACUAAAACUGCCGUUAAAACCCAAUUUUGGUGUAGUGAUUUGGAUUUUGUGGUCAAAUUUUAAGUCAGAACAAUUAGAAUUAAGUUCUUUUGAAUUCAAAUUAGUCUAAAUUAGAGUCAUUUUCAUUUCGGAUUUGAAUUUAACUAUUAAAAAUAAUGAUGUCAACUAAAUUAAAAUUUAGAUAAUUUUUUAAAAUUGUUUUAAGCAGUUUGGAAUAUUGGGCGUUCGAGCUUCUGGUACUCUUAGCAGGAUUGAUGCCUAAUUCAGAAGUAACUACUUCCUUGAUUGCCAUGUGGUAUGCUUGCCUUCAGGGUGAAUCCAAAAAACAUUUUUAAGGGGUUGAAAUGAAAUUUUAAUUUUUAAUAGUUUAUAUCUUUAUUAUUUUUAAAGGAUUAAAUUAAAUUUUUAUAAUUUUAGGGGACUAAAGAAUAAUUUUAUCUUUAUUAAUUUAAAAUUUUAUUUUAGAGAGCCAAACCCUGUGAUCGCCCUGUUCGCCUUCUACUUUUAUACUUUUCACUGAAUCCAUUUAAAAGAUUUCAAAAUUAAUGGGAUUUGAGUAAAAUAUUUUGUUUCAGUGUGAAUACAGAAUCAAUUGCUUACAUGAUUACUUACGGACUUAGUGCUGCAGCAAGGUGAGUUCUAUUUUAUUAUUAUCUUAAUUAAUUUACGGAUUUUAAGCUGAUUUAAUUGAAACAGCACGAGGGUUUCGAAUGAAUUGGGGGCUGAGAAUCCGAGGAAGGCAAAGACCGCCAUGGCUGUGUCACUUAAGCUUUCAAUCCUUCUGGUUCUAACAGUGGUUGUUACAUUAGCAUUUGGGCAUAACAUAUGGGCUGCUUCCUUCACCAACACUGCUUCCAUUAUUAACCAAUUUGCUUCAAUCACACCCUUCCUUUUAAUCUCCAUUACUAUCGAUUCUUUUCAAGGCAUCUUAUCAGGUAAUUUUGGAAAACAAAAAACAAACAAUUGAGUGAAGAAAUGGAAGGAUUAAAAUGAAAUGAAUAAAAUGUUGCAGGGGUGGCCAGAGGAAGCGGAUGGCAGGUGUUGGCUGUGUUGGCUGUGUGGUCCAACUUGGGGACCUUUUAUUUAAUUGGAAUGCCAGUUGCAGGGAUUCUUGCUUUUAAGUUUAAGCUUUAUGCUAAGGUAAGUGUCUUAGCCAGAUAUCAGUUUGACUGCUCUAAUUAAUUUAUUCCAUUUAAUUAUAUACAUUUUUUCAUAAGUCCUCUGGAUAAAUAAUUUUGUUCCCAAUCUUUCCCUAAAUAUUCACAUUUUAAUUUAACCUUUUUUUUAUAUAUUUUUUCUUUCAUCAGGGUUUGUGGAUAGGGUUGAUAUGUGGUCUUUCAUGCCAAGCUGCUGCCCUCUUGCUUAUUACUUUGUGUAGAAAAUGGGCUAAAAUUGAGCUUUCCUAACAAAUUAAUAUUGAAACAUAGUUCAAUCUUAACUAAUCUUCAUACUUUAUGGGUAUUUAUUUGUCGAGACUUAUUUAAAAUGGUGAACUUAACAUUUAAAUGAUUUGAGUUUGUAAUACGUGAAAUAAAGGAGGGAAAGGGUUUUCUAGUGAAGAAGCAAGGGAGAAUAUCACAGAAUGGAGUGUCUAAAGUGUUGUCCCUUAAACAGGAAUUUUUAAAAUAUAUGUAAGGAAGUUUUUCGAGUCAAAUUCUAGAUGGAGUUAUGAUAUUCAAAUUUUGUUAUGUUUUUUGUUCUAAUAUUGGAGAUCCUUUUAAUAACAAAGUGACUAGAAAUGAUAAUUGGAUAUUUACAAAUUUUUUAAAUAAUUUCUCUUGAUUUACCUAAAUAAGUUUUCUUAUGUGUUUAUUAUUUGAAUGAUUAAAAUAGCAAUAUUCUUUGAAUAUUAUUUUCACCUACAAAAUUACUUUCACAAUGACUAUGGGUCAAGUUAUUUUGACUCGGGUCAAUUUAAAAUUCGAAUGUCUUAUAAAUAUUUUGUGCAAGGUUUAAUGGUGUAAAAAAAAUUUAAACUUUUUCAAAAAAAGUAAUUGAAUCUAUAUUUUUUAUUCAAUUGGGUACUUAAAUUUUCAAAAUGUAUAAAAAAAGACAUCAAAUUUUUUCAAAAAAGCAAUUAAACUUCUACUUUUUUUUUGCACUCAAUUGGGUACUUGAGCUGCAAAAUGCAUGAAAAAGGCGGUCGAACUUUUUCAAAAAAAACCAAUUAAGCUCCAACUUAUUUCUCAUUUAAUUGGGUACUUGAACUAUCAAAAUGCAUAAAGAAGACCCUCAGACUUACAAAAAAAAAAGCAAUUAAGCUUUUUUUUGUUUUUGCACUCAAUUGAGUACUUGAACUGCUAAAAUAUAUAAAAAAGACGAGUUAACCGUUAACUUUAACGUUGACCGUUAAAAUUAACCGCUCCUAAUUGCAUACCUUUGGAUGAACUCGGAGAUGGGGUCAGCUAAAAGGAUAUUUGAAGUCUCCCCAUUGGCAAUUCGAUCGAUGUAAGGCUUUAUAUCUUCGUAAGUAACAAUGGGUACAUUGUUUUUGAAGAGUUGUUUAUCAGUUCGGCCAUGGAGGAAUCGAGUUAGAUAUUCAGUUCCAGCAUUUCUCAGCAGUAUCUCCUCUAAUACUUGUUCUUGCAUUCGAUGACCAUUUUCGGUUAAUUCUUCCAAAAAAUUCAACCCAUUCUCAUAAUCUUUCGUUCCCAUCAGAUCAGCCAUGAAAACAGGGAUUUUUUUUAAUGAGCUGAUAAAUAUUCUAACACUUCAAAAGACAUGAUCACGAUUUCUUUUUGCGGAUAUGUUUGAAGUGGGAUAGAUGAUUAUGAUUCUGAAACUGGUUGACACAGCUGAUGUGAUGGCGGCCGUAAGUACAGUACACCGCACAGAAAGAUACAAAUCCUUUAAAAUUAUAAGAAUUUUUAUAAAUAAAAAACAAGAAUAUACAUUAAAAGUUAAAAAAAUACAUUUGGUCUCGUAUGAAUUUGGUUAAAUUCUGAUAUUAGUCCCUGUACUUUAUAAAAGCUAUUGAUUUAGUCCUUAUAAUUUAAUUUGGUCAUCUUUAGUCCUUGUACUUUUUAAAUUUGAAAUUUUCAAUCCUCACCAAAUGAUGAUUGUUAAAUCCACUAAGUUAAGUUUUUAUUAUUUCCAAAAUUUGAUGUGCCAAAUAAAUUAUCAUAUGUGUAAUGUCAUGUCAGCUUGUUAUUUUUACAUAUUAAUUACAAAAAUCACAGUUAAUGGAUUAACGGCUAUCAUUCACGUCAAGAUUGAAAUUUCAAGAUUAACGAUUAUCAGUUAACGGACUUCUAUUUUCAUUCGUUGGUCUUUACGACCAUCUCUGUCUUCAAGAUAGUCUUCGGCGGACAUUCCACAUAAGAUAGUCAUUGGUUGACUUUUCGUGUAAGACGGUCUUUGGUGGACUUCCUUUUUGCUGGCGACCUUGUUGCCAAUACACAUUUAGAAAUAAGUUCUGUAGAACCGUCUCACUUCCUUAUGACCCCUGUUGACUUGUCUGUUACCUCUGGUGGACUCUUAUUAACGAAUACUUCUUUGCAAUUAAUUUGAAGAAAAUAUCUCUGUUUUUUCCACACAUAUCUACGCACAAGGCGUUUUUAAAUAUUCCUCAUGCCUUCCCAUCUUGACUUUACCUCUUAUCAACACGUUUGGCCCAGAGAUUUGAGGAAACAUGGCCGGGAUUGUCGUCAAAAUCAUUUCGUUUGGUCUUCGCGAAGCUGAAACUCGCCAUCCCUUUUGCGGCAAUGGUUUGGCGAGUUCAUUUUUUCCAAAUUAAAUUAUAAAAUUUUGAAGAAUCAAACAAAAUUUGUCAUUGUAUUAUUUUAUAAUAUUUCAUUUUUUAAAGGAAUAAACUUCUAAAUUUAUUAUUUUUGGGCUAAAGACUUAAGUCUAAUUAUUUUAAGGUGGGUUAAAUCUCAAAAUUAUACUUAAACUUUGAUUUAAUGUGAAAUUAUAUACAUGAACUUUAAUUUAGUAUAAUUAUAUGCGUGAAACUUAAUUGUAGUUUAAAUAUAUACUUAAAACUUUAAUUUUGAUUUAAUCAUACACAUUUUAAUAAAUAAAUUUAUUUAUUUAUUUUUAUAUUGGAUAAAUAUAAUUAUUUAUGCAUGCAAUAUAUAAACAUAAAAUGAUGUUAUAUUAAUAAUGGUGUUAAUAAUUUACAAGAAUUGAAUCAAAUUAAAAUUUCAUGUAUACAAUAGCACAUUAAAAUUUCGUACAUAUCCUUUUUGAGUUUGAGUCAAAAGUAAGCAUUUGAUUAUUUUAAUCGAUUUGAUAUUUUUUUUUCCUAAUUUAACCGAGUUAAUCGGUCUUAAUAUAAAAUAACCGAACCGAUCGACUAAGAUAUUGUUAACCGAUUUAAUGAAACUGACUAAGAUGUCAUUAAUUGAGUUUGGGUUGGUUUUUGGGUUGGGUUAGGUUAGAUAAUUGGAUUUUAAGUUUGGGUAAUUUAAAUUAUAUCAUAUAUCACAAAUAUAUUUAAAAUAAUUUAAAAAUAAUAAAUAAAUAAAUAUAAGUCAGUUAAGUUGAUCGAUUCAAUUAUAAAUUUUAGUAAUCGGUACUCCGCUGUCCAAAUCGACAAAACUGAAUUAAUUAAAAUUAAUCAAAUCAUCAAUUAAGUCGAUUAAAUCAGUCAUAACUGAAUAAUACUCUUUCCUAAUUUGAGUUAUUUGGAUUUUGUAGUCAAAUUUUAAGUCGGAACAAUUAGAAUUAAGUUCUUUUGAAUUCAAAUUAGUCUAAAUUAGAGUAAUUUUCAUUUCGAAUUUGAAUUUAACUUUCAAAAAUAAUGAUGUCAACUAAAUUAAAAAGUAGAUAAUUUUUUUAAAAUUGUUUUGAGCAAUUUGGAAUAUUGGGUGUUUUAUCUACAUUGAGAUGUUAACUCUGGUCUUUUUAAACAUUUUCCCCCUCUUACCAUUCCUUCUAUUCUCUUUUUCUUCUCUAAUAUGUACACAUACUUACCAAAAUAACCUUCUAAAUAUUUAUUAUUAAAAUAUUUAUAUUAAUCAAAAUGAUUUAAGGUGAGACAAAACUAAGAUCAUAGUUUUAUUUCCAAUAAAAGUUAGGAAAGUAUCGUAAAACGACAUAAUAUUUUUUAGGAUAAACUACACCCAUGGUCACUUUUGUUUACCUUAGGUUACAUUUUAGUCACUUAAGUUUGAAAUGUUAUGUUUUUGUCACUUAUGUUAUCGUGUUGUAACAUUUUAGUCACUAAGCUAUUAAUUGUUGCUAACUGUGUAACGGUAAGUUGACAUGGCACGUUAAAUCAUCAUUUCAAACAAAAAUUGUAGGGUAAAUUAUACAAUCAAUCCUCAUAUUUUUUUCAUUUUGAGCAAUUUAAUUUUUUUUAUGUUUAUAUUUAAUUUUUUUAUUUUUUUUAAUAUUUCCCAUUAUUUUAUGUUUCUCCUUAUAUUUUCUUACAUUCUCCAUUUCUUUUAACAUAUCAAGAAGUCGAAUUGGCAGUGAAGAAAUAAGUAGGAAGUCGAAAACCAUCAUUGCCUAUAACCAAAACCCAUUAAACCCAUGCCAUGCUUUUUUCUUCACUGCCAAUUCGACUUCCCGAUAUGUUGAAAGAAAUGAAGAAGGUAGGAAAAUAGAGGGAAAAGCAGAAGAGAAUGGAAAAUAAUGAAAAAAAAGAGUUAAAAGAACAUAAAAGAAAAAAAUUAAAUUGCUCAAAAUGAAAAAUAUGGGGACCAAUUGUAUAAUUUAACCUAAUUUUUUUGUUUGAAAUGAUGAUUUAAAGCGCCACAUUAGCUUAUCGUUAUACCGUUAACGACAAUUAACGGCUCAAUGACUAAAAUGUUACAACACGAUAACAUAAGUGACUAAAACGUAAAAUUUCAAACAUAAGUGACUAAAACGUAACCUAAAGUAAACAAAAGUGACCAUGGGUGUAAUUUACCCUAUUUUUUAAUUUCCAUGUAAAAUUUCUAGAAACAUUAAGAUUUAAAAAAAUAAAAAAAAUGCUUUUUUUUUAAAACAUAAUAUUUAUAAAAAAAUAUAAUUGGAUUCAUUCAUAUGUAAACGUAACAUAUUUCUAAAAUUAAAUAAUAUUUUAAAAUCUGAGGACUAAAUGAGAAAGUUAAAAAGGUGAAAUCCCUCUUAAAAUAAAUUAAAAACAUUAAAGGGAUUAUGUUGCAAAUAACCCCUCCAAGUUUCCCGUAUAUAAAAGACAUUUUCCUUUUUCUUUUAGUUUGUGAUGGAAAAGGAUAAUUACUUGGGUAAAUUACACUCAAGGUUGUUAAAUUAUUAAUAAAUUUACGUUUUGAUCAUUUAACUUAAAAAAUAUAAAAUGAUGAUUAAAUUAUUUGAAGGCUUUCAUUUAAGCUGCUGAUCUUUUCAAAAGUUUUUACUUAAGUUAUUGAACUAUUAUCCUUUUUUUUUUAAAGUCUGACUAGCGAGGUUAAAGUGGCAAUUUGAUGAACGGUACGAUGGAUUAAUACUUAUGGAUGAGUAAAGAAUGUAUAUUAGAUCAAGUCAAUCUGAUAGUUGAUGUCGAAGAAUGGAGAAGAAAACUAUUUGGAUUUUGAUUCGUAUAUACAUGGCAUUUAAAGUUGUUUUAUAUAUAAUAAAAAAAAUCCCUAAACUAUAGAAAAGUAGAGGUAGAAGAGUUUUUUAUUGGUGUAAGCAGGCAAAUAAUGAGGGCCAUAUAACAAUAAUUUUAACAACCCGAUGACUUAAAAGAAAAUUUUCAAAUAAUUCAUUAAUAAUAUUUUGUAGCUUUUUAAUAUUAAUUGACCAAAAUGUCAAACGCAUGUCUUCCAAGUCAUUUUUGCUCCACCAAUAUAAACAACGGUACAAAGAAUGUUAAAAAAUAAGAAAAUUGGUUAGAAAAGCGGUGAAAGAUUUUUUAAAAAAUUUUAUGGUGAAAAAGAGUUGGUGGAACCACUAACUCAUCCUUGUUGUCCAGGCUUGCGAGAUCAAUUGGAGUUCUUGAAGUGAAAUGCUUAAGCUUGUUAGCAUUUUUCACGUGCGCCAUCAUGGAUUGAAAGUCUAAGCCUAUGAACAGAAUUCAUCAUCUUGAAACUUCAACUCUUCUUCUCGAAUUGUUUUCGUGAUAAAGUCUCAAACAAAUAAGUUGAGUUUUGACUUUAUCUUUUUAGAUUUAGAUCUCGUAAUUGGGCCUUGAGAGAAACUAAGCUCAUCUCUAUUAUGGCCUUUGAAUUGGACUGAGUUGCUCGUAUCAAUAUAAGUUUCGGUAAUUUGAUUAAUGUAUUUAAAAAAAAUUCGGUUCAAUUAACGGUUAAAAAUUUUUACAUUUUAAAUAAUUCGAUUCGAUAAAUCAUUUUACCAUCCCUAUUCGCCACUAUUCUAUGGCACAUGCAUAUGCAAAAUAUAGUUGGCUCAUUACUUGUUCAUAGCUUCCUUGCUCAUUACAUGCAAAUGCAAAGAUUGAUCCUCAUAUUAUUCUUAAUUAUAGAAACAAUUAAAUUUCUUCCAAAAAUAAUUAUGAAAAUUAAAAUUAGUGUUAAAAUGUCGGUAGUAGUCUGGCAAUAGAUUUAAAAUAAUUUAAAAGAAAUAGUAAAAAUUAAAAAUAAUUUGAAUAAAAUUGAUGGGGACAUUCCAUUUCCCACAUUCAAGUCUUUACAUAAGUUGCAACCCACGUAACUAUCUCCAUCAAUUAUUUUAUUCCUUACCAAUUUAAGAACAAAAAACACAACCAAAAUGCUUAUAGUUUAGUAACUAAUAGUUAAUAGUGUAGUUUUUUUUGGUAAAAUAAGAAAUUUACCCUGAUUUUGUAUUAAAAAAAACUAAAAAUUAUUUAUAAAAUAGAAAAAUGUACAUUAGUCAACAUAAGGAUUUUUUUAUCCAAAUCAUACAAAAAAUUAAUAAAUUACAAAAAAUGAUAUGAAAGAUAAAUUAAUUACAAAAAUAAGACAUUGGUUACGAUGUUCUACUGGUGUCGCUUGGCAUAUUGGCAAUACCAGGCUAAAAUAUUAUAACGAAAAAUAUUUAAAGACUUGAUAUGUAAAUUUCUCAUUUUGAUUGGCUGUUAAAAAUAAGCUCUAAGGGUGUUGUGUGGCAAAUUGCAGCCCAAAAUCAUAAAAAGGAUUAAUUUCUUUGUAAACCCUCAUUGUUUAUUAUUUUGUUUUUAUUCCCCUUCAACACUAAAACUAAAAAGUUCUCUUACUCAAAUUUUUUUUUUAAAUUUUUAUAAUUAUAAUUUUAUACGCUACCGUAAAUUAAAUUGAUAAUAAUUAAAUUGAUAAUAAGAAUAAUUAUAAUGCCAUCUGUAAUGGCAGACAGCAAAGAAAAAGGCUAAAAGAAAAAGUAAUAAAAAUAGGAUUCCUUGCUAAUAAUUCUGCCUUUGUGGAUCCGACCAGAGACUUCAUAAUUUCCCUGUUUUUAUCUUCACUUUCUUCUUACUUCUUCUUCACUGCUUUUAAUUUGUUUCUAUGUCCAAGGUCUAUCACAAAUUUUGAAGCAUCCAGUCAAGGUAAUUUUCUUUCAUUUGCUUAAUUCAUCACAUUCUUUUCUUUGCUUUUGAUUAUCUGCAACUGUUAUAACAGCUAGCUUUGUAAGAUAGUCAAGGACGUCAACUUCGCUGCUUCCUUUUCAGUUCUAAUCUCUCAACACUUUUCAGCCACUAAGUCAGGUAAUAAGAUCUGAAGCUAUGAUUUCCUCUACUCAUUAUCAACUGUUUUAGAUUUUAAGAGUGGAUGACCAGCUGACAUAAUCUACUAUAGAUAGAAAUUAAUACAAAAAGAGCUACCCAGAAGCAAUAUAAUGUUGAAAUCUCCUGUUGAACAUUUUACCUCUUCAUCUUCUGUAAUGAACUCUUGCACACUUGAAUCUAGCAUUUUAUAUACAUUGAGAGCUUGAUUCUAGUGACCAGAAUUUCAUCAUGUUUCUGUCUGCCACUCAUCCAUAGCUCCAUCCAAUAAACGCCAUUGCUUGAAACUUGCAUUCAUGUUUCCUUUUCAUGCUUACACAGACAUAUCAAUACUUCAUCCAAUACAUUCACAGGUUUUCAUUCUCUGCUACUGUUAUAUAUGAUUGCAUUGCAGGGACAUAACAAUGGAAUACGUAGAGCCUGUUGUCGCCAUUGCAAAUUGUCUCAGAACUCCUGUUUGUAAAUAUUUGCAAUAUCACAGAAAGCUGAACGAUUAUGCGAGAAACUUCAAGACGAUCAGAGAUGAAUUGAAUUGCAAAAUGGAAGAUAUAGAGCUGCAAUUGAAAGCAGAGCUUCUUCGUCCUCUGGGGAAGAUACCGAAGAAGGGAGUUGAAAAUUGGUUGAAAGCUGUGAACGAGAUGAUUAGGGAAGCACAAGUUGUUGAAAACAAAGUCAGUAACGGGAGAUAUCUCUGUCGUGCUUGCAACGGGAAGCUGGUUGAUGAAAAGACUCGAGAAAUGAAGGGAUUUCUUGAUAAAGCUCCUAAUGCCUCUGAAGGUCUUGCCAUGGAUGGUCCAAGUGCUGGGUUGCCGCUGCCAACAUCAGAACUAGUUGGAGAGGAAGCUGUCAGAAAUGAGAUUUGGGCAUGUUUGAUGCAGGAGGAGGUGAGCAAGAUUGGGGUUUGGGGGAUGGGCGGUGUGGGUAAAACCACUAUCAUGAAGCACAUCCACAAUGAUCUUUUGAAACAGCAAAGAUUCGAAAGGGUAAUCUGGGUUACCAUAUCAAAGGAGUUCAAUGUAAUGAAAGUACAAGAUGAUAUUGCAGGUGCUUUGAAGUUGAAGGAAGAUUGGCCCAGAGAAGGAGACAAGCUCAGACGAGCAGCAAUCUUGUCAGAAAUGCUGAAGAACGCAGGAAAGCGUGUUCUAAUCCUAGAUGAUGUGUGGGAUAAAGUCUCUCUAGAGGAAGUUGGGAUCCCCGAGCCAAGUGGCAGCAAUGGCUGCAAGUUGGUGUUGACAACCCGUUCGGAGCAUGUCUGUAAGUAUAUGGGUUGUAAGGUGAUAAAAGUGAAGCCCCUUUCAGAAGAAGAGGCAUUGAUACUAUUCUUGAAUAAAGUUGGACCUAACAUAGUUCAAAGUCCAACUAUAAUGCCAACUCUGAAGCUUGUUGUCAAGGAAUGUGCGGGUCUACCUCUUACAAUUGUCGUGGUAGCUGGUACCAUGAAAGGAGAAGAUAACCCUCUUAUUUGGAAAAAUGCACUCGGGGAAUUAAAAGAGAGAAUUGGGAAAGUUGAAGGAGUGGAAGCUGAGGUAAUCGAGCGCUUGAAAUUUAGCUUCGAUCACUUAAAGGACGAGAAAGUGAAAUAUUGUUUCUUGCAUUGCGCAUUAUAUCCCGAAGAUUUUGAAAUUGAAAAGGAUGAACUAAUUGAAUGCUGGAUUGAAGAGGGAUUCAUAGAUGAUAUGGGUACGAGACAAGAAAUGAAAGGCAAGGGCCAUGUUAUUUUGAAGAAGUUGGAAGAUAAUUGCUUGUUAGAAAAUGUCUCGAGUGGAAAAAUGAAAAUGCAUGAUGCAGUGAGAGACAUGGCAUUGUCGAUCACAAGAAUGAAUCCUCGAUAUAUGAUACAAGCAGGUUUGCAAUUAGAAGAGUUACCAGAAAAGGAGCAAUGGAGUCCGGAUAUUGAGAAAGUGUCACUUAUGUAUAACUCCAUAUCAGAAAUUUCCAUACAUGUGCUGCCCACAAAAUGUCAACUGCUCACAACCUUGUUAUUGCAGCAUAACCCUAUAAAGAAGAUCUCAAUUUCUUUCUUCACAAACAUGCCCUGUCUUUGUGUCCUCAAUUUGUCCUUUACAAAGAUAGAGAGUUUACCAAAUUCCAUUUCUGAACUAAAGAACCUCACAACAUUGUUGCUUCGUGGCUGUGUAGAAUUAAGAGAUCUGCCAUGUCUUGCGAUGCUUCAAGAAUUGAAGAAGUUGGAUCUUUUUGCGACUAAAAUUGAGGAAGUCCCUGAAGGAAUGGGUAUGCUGAUAAAUCUAAGAUAUCUUGAUCUUAGAGUGCGCACUCUGAAAGAGAUACCCGCUGGACUUUUACCAAAACUCGUUCACCUUCAGCACUUGGGUUUUUAUGAGAGCAAUGAAAAAACAAGUCUAAAAGCAGAGGAGAUGGAACCAUUGAAGAAGUUGGAGUGCCUUACCGGACAUUUCAAAGACAUCAGUGAAUUCAAUAAGUUCAUCUCCUCAAUGCAACAAAGUAAGAAAAAUCUCAUCAAGUACUCUUUACAUGUGGGCUCAUCUCUUUUGCAUGCUGCAGGAGAUAAAAGAGUAACAAUUGGAGGAGUCCAGAAUUGGGAAGGUGAGUUAAUUAUGCACCCCAUUGAAAUUCAAGAGUUGCAUAUUAUUGAGUGUGACUAUUUGAUAAACUUAGUCGAUGAUAAUUCUUUCUUCAAAAAUGCGAUUGACUUGAGGGUUUGUAGAAUUUGGUGGUGUGAAGAGAUAGAGUGUCUUGUUCCCCUGUCCUCUUUUGCCUCUUCUUCCGCUCAUCCAUUUCAGAGCCUCGAGGUGUUAGAACUUUCUGAACUGCCAAAGUUGAGUGCCCUUAUUAUGAAUGAUGAAGGAAUUGGUUCAGCAAAAACAUCAACAUUGGCUCCGUCUACCACCUUUUCCCAUCUUAAGAAAAUUUGUGUAGGGAGAUGCUCAAGUAUGAAGACGUUGCUUCCACAUUGGUUGCUUCCAAACCUCCAAAACUUGGAAGAAAUCCGUGUGAUAGAAUGUGAUGAGAUAGUAGAAAUAUUGGGAGCAGAAACAUCAGAAGUUGAAGAAAAAGGGAGUGAUGCAUUAAUCAAAUUCCAUUUUCCCAAAUUGAGAGAAUUGAGACUAAGUAACUUACCAAAUUUGAAGAGCAUUUGCAGCAAAAGUGGAGUGAUGGUUUGUGAUUCUCUCGAGUUUAUCGAUGUUUAUAAGUGUGAUAAACUGAAGAGAAUUCCUCCAUUUGUUCCCCUUGUUGGGAAUGGGCAGCCAUUUGCAUAUGCUCCACCUUCUCUUACCAUCAGGUCAUGGAAAGAAUGGUGGGAAUCGUUGGAGUGGGAUGACCAUCCAAACUUUAAAAAUGUUCUUCGCUUCGACCCCUUUGGAGGAUAAGAGGUAUGAACCAUUUAUGGUUUAGUUUAUUUUCUUAUUUUAUAAACCUAAUUUCUCCAUUUUAAUAAAAUUGGAAGUAUAUUUGUGAUGAUUUUGAAGAGAAAGAGAAAAGGGUUGGUGGGAAAGAAGUAGGGGCGAGGAUAGUGCAAAAGAGAGGAGAAAAGGAAUGAUGGAAGAGUAUGGAGACAGAGAGGCAAAGGUAAAUUAGAAAUCCAAACACUGCCUCCACUUUUUAAACAUUGUCCCUCUCUCACCAUUCCUUCUAUUCUCUAAAAAAAAGUGUUCAUUUCUUUUAAAAUAUAUAUGUACUUCCCAAAAUAACCUUCUAUAUAUUCAUUUUUAUAAUUAAAACAUUUAAGUUAUAAAUUUCUGAAAAUUUAAAUAUCAAAUAUGUUUUAAAUCUUUAUAUUCUUCUUAUAUUUUAAAUUUAAUCUCUAUUUAUUUUUAAGAAUUUAUUCUCUUUAUUUUUUGGAUUUAAAAAUUUAAGUCUAGUUAUUAACAACAUUAACAUUAAAAUUCUUUUGUUAAAUUCGCUGGUGUGACAUGUUGAAAUUUUAAAAAAAAAAACUCUUAUUUGGUAGCCAUGUAACUGUUUUGCUCACUCAUUUAGCGUAUAAGGGCUAAUUUAUUAAUUUUUUAAAUAGAGAAGAGAAAACGAAAUUUAACUCCUAAAUUCCCAAUUUCAAUGACUUUUUCAAGUCUUCCAUACAAAAUGAGACAGAAUAAUUAAGAAUAGCGGCUAUACUAAGUUGAUAAGGUCAUUCUAUUUUGCUUUUCCUCUUCUUCAGAAAGCUCCCACACAAACAGAAACUGAAGAAGAUAUAGCAGCCGUUCCCCUUUUUUUCUUUUUUCUUUUUUCUGAAAAUCGAUAUGUCAAAGGAGCUCCAUUGGCAGCUUCUAUUUCGCUGUGGAUUUCACUUGUUUUCUUAUAGUCUUAUGUGGUUUUGGCCCAGAGAUUUGAGGAAACAUGGCCGGGAUUGUCGUCGGAAUCGUUUCGUUUGGUCUUCGCGAACCUGAAACUCGUCAUCCCUUCUGCGGCAAUGGUUUGGUGAGUUCAUUUUUUCCAAAUUAAAUUAUACAAUUUUGAAGAGUCAAACAAAAUUUGUCCUUGUAUUAUUUUAUAAUUUUUCAUUUUUUAAAGGACUAAACUUCUAAAUUUAUUAUUUUUGGGCUAAAGACUUAAGUCUAAUUAUUUUGAGUUGGGUUAAAUCUCAAAAUUAUACGUGAACUUUGAUUUAACGUGUAUACACGAACUUUAUUUUAGUACAAUUAUAUGCGUGAAACUUUAAUUGUAGUUCAAAUAUAUACUUGAAACUUUAAUUUUAAUUUUAUCAUACACAUUUAAAGAAAUAAACUUAUUUAUUUAUUUUUAUAUUAGAUAAAUAUAAUUACUUAUGCAUGCGAUAUAUAAACAUAAAAUGAUGUUAUAUUAAUAAUGGUGUUAAUAAUUUACAAGAAUUGGAUCAAAUCAAAAUUUCAUGUAUACAAUUACACAUUAAACCAUAGUUCAUGUAUAAUUUUGGUACAUAUCCUUUUUGAGUUUGAGUCAAAAGUAAGCAUUUGAUUAUUUUAAUCGGUUUGAUUUUUUUUAAUUUAACCGACUUAAUCGGCCUUAAUAUAGAAUAAUUGAACCGAUCGACUAAGAUAUUGUUAACGGAUUUAAUGAAACUGACUAAGAUGUCAUUAAUUGGGUUUGGGUCGGUUUUCGAGUUGGGUUAGGUUAGAUAAUUGGAUUUUAAGUUUGGGUAAUUUAAAUUAUAUCACAUAUUACAAAUAUAUUUAAAAUAAUUUAAAAAUAAUAAAUAAAUAAAUAUAAGUCAAUUAAGUUGAUCGAUUCAAUUAUAAAUUUUAGUCAUCGGUACUCCACUGUCCAAAUCGACAAAACCGAAUUAAUUAAAAUUAAUCAAAUCACCAAUUAAGUCGAUUAAAUCAGUCAUAACUGAAUAAUACUCUUUCCUAAUUUGAGUUAUUUGGAUUUUGUGGUCAAAUUUUAAGUCGGAACAAUUAGAAUUAAGUUCUUUUGAAUUCAAAUUAGUCUAAAUUAGAGUCAUUUUCAUUUCGGAUUUGAAUUUACCUAUAAAAAAUAAUGAUCCAACUAAAUUAAAAUUUAGAUAAUUUUUUUAAAUUAUUUUGAGCAGUUUGGAAUAUUGGGUGUUCGAGCUUCUGGUACUAUUAGCUGGAUUGAUGCCUAAUUCAGAAGUAACUACUUCCUUGAUUGCCAUGUGGUAUGCUUGCCUUUUAGGGGUGAAUCCAGAAAAUCUUUUUGAGGGGGACGAAAUGAAAUUUUAAUUUGUAAUAGUCUAUAUCUUUAUAAUUUUUAAAUGAUUAAAUUAAUUUUUUUUAAUUUUAAGGGGUUAAAGUGUAAUUUUAUCUUUAUUAAUUUAAAAAUUUUUAUUUUAAGGAGCCAGGCCUUACGAGCCCCUGGAUUUGCCUCUGAUUCCACUUUUAUACUUUUCACAAAAUCUUAAAUAGGGUUAAUUUUUUUGUAAACUCUCAUUGUUUAUUAUUUUGUUUUUAUUCCCCUUUAACACCAAAACUAAAAAGUUCUCUUACCCAUUAGUCCAGUUUAAAUUAUAUCUGGCAUAACAGUUAACAUUGUUGAUAGUAAUUCCCCUUUUUAAACAUUUUCCUUCUAUUCUCUUAUUCUUCUCUAAAAAAAAGACUUCAUUUCUUUUAAAAUAUAUAUGUACUUCCCAAAAUAACCUUCUAUAUAUUCAUUUUUAUAAUUAAAACAUUUAAGUUAUAAACUUAUUUUGAUAUGACGUCAAAUCAAAUAUUAUUUUUUUGAAUUUCUGAAAACUUAAAUAUCAAAAUAUGUUUUAGAUCUUUAUAUUCUUCUUAUAUUUUAAAUUUAAUCUCUAUUUAUUUUUAAGAAUUUAGUCUCUUUAUUUUUUGGAUUUAAAAAUUUAGGUCUAGUUAUUAACAACAUUAAAAUUCUUUUGUUAAAUUCGCUGGUGUGACAUGUUGAAAUUUAAAAAAAAAAAAGAAAAUUCUUAUUUGGUAGCCAUGUAACAAAAAAUAAUGACAAUCUAAUAACUUGAAUUUAACAGAGAAUUAAUUAAACAAUGUUGUCAAUUCUUAAAAAUUUACAUCAACAGUUUAAUUAGAAUACGAUGUUUAGACUAAUUAAUGACAUUUAAAAAAAGUGAAGUACCAAAUUAUGUCAAAAAUUAAGACAUAGAGAAUAAAUUUCCAAUCUGAACAUAUUUUAAGGACUAAAAUUGAAAACUAACUAUUGUUAUAUAAUUUCAAAAAGAAAAAUCAAUAAUUUAGUCAAAAUGAGGUAUUUAAAUUGACGAUGACAUUAAAAAGUUGAGGUAUCACAUUAUGUCAAAAAUUUAAAUUUAAAUAUUAAAAUUUAAAUUUAAGCUAAAUAUAAAAAUCAAAACUAAAAUUUGAUAUAUAAUUUCGAAAAAGAAAUAAUAAGUUGUGUAUUUGGAUAUGUAUAUGUAAAUAAAUCCGAAUGAAAUUUUAAUGAUAUUAUAAAAAUUAAAGUACAAAAUUAUGUUAUAAAUUAGUAAGCUUGAAGUAAAUCUCUUAAAAUUUCUUACUUUACUUACUUUUAUUUCCCUCGGUAAAUAAGGUUAGAUGCAUGAAUUGUUUGACUAUUAGUUUUCAAAUUUGUAAGCUUCAAGUAAAUAUCUUAAAAUGAAUUACUUCCCUCACUUAAAAGGUUAGAUGCAUGAAUUGUUUCACCAUUUAUUUUGUUUUUGUUUCCCUCAUUUAAAAUAUAUGAAAUUUUUUAUCACUCAAAUAAUAGUAAGAGUAAAUCACAUUGCAAGUCACUUUAAAAUAGCGUCAUUCUUAAUUUUUUUUGUCAAUUUAGUAACUUUAAUUAAGAUAAUUGCUCAAAUUGGUCACUAAUAUUAAAAUUUUCGUUAAUCCACUAACAAACUGUUGACAUGACUUCUUUUUUUUUUUACUUUUGACUAAAACUAGAGAUUCAUCUGUAAUUAGUCCAAAACACUUUAUUAUGGUUUAUUUGCUACAUAAAGCACUUUUUCCUUCUUGUUUAUUUCUUGGGAAAAGUAAUAAACAAAAAUAGGCUAUUUUACCAAAACAGUCCAAAAAAUAUUAUAUUUACAAAAAUAACCCAGGUUUAAAAACAAUCACCAAAAUAACCUAAAAUGAACAGUAAAAUUGGAUUGUGGCCUGUCAAUGGCCGGAACCCACUCGUAUUUUGCACCAUGAUUGCCUAAUAAUUGUGUCAAACUUAAAAAAAUUAAUUUUUUGGGUUUUGGCCUGUCAAUGGCCGGAACCCAUGUAUUUUUUUAAAAAAUUGUACAAUACUGAUAUACGAAAAAGGAAAAAGAAGAAAAAGGAAAAAAAAAAAUUUGAGUGCUGGCCUGUCAAUGGCUGGUACCUAGUACAAUUAAAAAAAAAUUACUUUUUUUCAUGUCAGAAUCAGAUAUCAGUAUACAAAAAAAUAAAAAAAAUUUUGGGUGCUAGCCUGUCAAUGGCCGGCACCCAGUACAAUUUAAAAAAAAUUCUUUUUUUUUUCAUGUCAGAAUCAAAUAUCAGUAUACUAAAAAAGUAAAAAAAAAAAUUUGGUGCUGGCCUAUCAAUGGCCGACACCUAGUACAAUUUUAAAAAAAAAAUUCUUUUUUUUCGUGUCCAAAUCAGAUAUCAGUAUACGAAAAAAGUAAAAAAAACUUUUUGGGGUGCUGGCCUGUCAAUGGCGGGCACCCAGUACAAUUAUAAAAAAAAAAUUUCUUUUUUUUUCAUGUCAAAAUCAGAUAUUAAUAUACGAAAAAAGUAAAAAAAUCUUUUUUUCGUGUCAGAAUCAUAUAUCAGCAUACAAUCAUUCUACAAUAUUAAUACAAAAAGUAUAAAUUAUUACCCGAUAAUAUAAAAAUACAAAUGUUUGAAAAAGCUAUUACACGAAAAUAUGACAGUAUAUAAUUCAACUCGAUUAAAAUAUGACAGUAUAUAAUUCAACCCCGAAAUUUUGUUGUACACUACGGAAAACUCCAUACACUAUCCGAUCCAAAAAAACUCAUUUCCUAAUACUACAAAACACUAUCAUUUUUAUGCCUCUCAAAAAAUUUUUCUCAUUCCAUUUACACUACAAUAACCCAAACCACUCACUAUAUAUAGAGUUUAAUGCCGGCCAUUAGAAGGUGGUGCCGGCCAUUGACAGGCCAGCACCCAAAAAUUUUUUAUUUUACUUUUUUCUUAUACUGAUAUCUGAUUCUGACACGAAAAAAAGGAAAAAAAAUUUUAUAAUUGUACUGGGUGCCGGCCAUUGACAGGCCAACACCAAUUUUUUUUUUACUUUUUACUUAUACUAAUAUUUGAUUCUUACACAAAAAAAAGGAAAUUUUUUUUUUAUAAUUGUACUGGGUGCCGGCCAUUGGCAGGCCAGCACCAAAAAAAUUUUUUUUUAUACUUUUUUCGUAUACUGAUAUUUGAUUCUGACAUGAAAAAAAAUGAAAUUUUUUUAUAAUUGUACUGGGUGCCGGCCAUUGAUAGGCUAGCACCAAAAUUUUUUUUUUUACUUUUUUCGUAUACUGAUAUCUGAUUCUGACACAAAAAAAAGGAAUUUUUUUAAAUUGUACUGGGUGCCGGCCAUUGACAAGCCAGCACCCAAAAUUUUUUUUUUUACUUUUUUCGUAUACUGAUAUCUGAUUCUGACACAAAAAAAAAGAUUUUUUUUUUUUAAAUUGUACUGGGUGCCGGCCAUUGACAGGCCAGCACCCAAAUUUUUUUUUUUCCUUUUUCUUAUAUCAGUAUUAUACAAUUUUAAAAAAAUACAUGGGUUCCGGCAAUUGACAGGUCAAAACCCAAAAAAUUAAUUUUUUUAAGUCUGACACAAUUAUUAGGCAAUUAUGGGUACAAAAUACAAGUGAGUUCCGGCCAUUGACAGGCCACAACCUAAUUUUACUGUUCAUUUUAGGUUAUUUUGGUGAUUAUUUUUAAACCUGGGUAUUUUUAUAAAUAUAAUAUUUUUUGGACUAUUUUGGUAAAAUAGCCAGAAAAAUAAGUAUAGUUUUGACUCUUUUAAAACAAGUCAACCCCAUUCUCACCUCAACUUGACAUCCUCAUCAUUGUUUCUCUUAUUUUCGUUCUAUCCUUGUUAUUUGUCAUGGGGUUCUUCUUAACCAUUGGUAAUCAAGUUCAUCUUGUGAAUUCAAUUUUCCAACAAAUCAAGCUAGCUUUAACAAUCCAAUAAUAUUUACACAACCAAAUUCAUCUUAGCAACACGUUGUAUCAAAAUCAACAAUUUUGCUAUAAAUUUUUUAAAAUAUUAAAAUUGUCAAAAAAGAGAGAGUACCAAUUAGCAAUACAGAAAAUAACACUAAAACCAGAGUUUUCAACGUCUAAAAUGCCGUUACUGCCAUAGAAGAAGUGUAGAGAGUUCUUUGAUGGUGAGAGAAAGCAUUACAAAUAAGCAAACAGUAUGCAGCGAAAGAAAAUGGAGAGAAAGACUACAACAAAUCCAUUAAUACUGAGCGUAGCAAUAAGUGAUGACCAGUAAGAUAGAGAAAGGGAAAUAUGGUUGGCUAUCAAACUUAACCAAGAAGUAAGUUGAAAGAAUUUCAGAAAGAAUCAUUUAAGAGUUCAAAAUGCUAAAAAAAUUCAAAAGUGCCAAAAAUCUUCUUGCCGGUGGCAAAAGGCUCCUAUUUAUUGUUUUUCAAUAAUAGGAGUUACAAAGUUAGAAAUUAAUGAGAGUAUUAAUAGAUAUUUUUAAGAUAGAAUUGCAUAUUAAUUAAGAAGUGAUAGUGAAAGGAUUUCCUGGUGAUGGGGAAUAAUGAAGAAGAAUUCACUAUGUUUCUAAAAGGAAAGAAAACCACUCAGCAUUAAAAGAAAAUGUUAAGAGGAAGCCUUUUAACUACCUUCAUAUUUGAUACACCAAGUCAAGCUCUCCAAAACAUUCCAAAAGUGAAGAUAACCCAAGAACUCUAUUAUAUUCUGAGAUUACUUCUGUUUCUUCCACUUUAAUGAAGUACCAUGUGAAACAUUUUUCGUGGAAGAUCUCUUAAAAUGCAAGACGAUAGUUGUUCUUGGAUAAAAGUUGUUCCUAAAUGAUUAUUUUGACUUGUUACAAACGUGAGUUGUUCUCAAUAUAAAGGUUGUUCCAGAUAAGAGAUGUUUUGUUGUGAUGUUUUUCUUGGUAAAACUUGUUUUGAAUAACGACUCUUUUGGGAAAAAAUAAUUUUUCUAAAUACAAAUUGUUCCAAACAAUAGUUGUUCUAAACAUAUAGCCAUUCCUGAAAUACUAUUAUUCUAAACAAGAGUUAUUCUCAAAUAACAAUUGUAGGGCACAAUUUUUUGCCCGGCCCGCUAAAGAAACCAAAAACAAAAAACCAAACAAAAACAAAAAUGGUUCAGUCCAGUUUUGUUACAAGCCCAAUAAGCCUAAAAGCCCAACUAACAGCCCAAACCCCCCAAAUCACCGAAACUCUAGCAGCAUUCAGCCUCCAGCAGACCUCAGCCGCCGCAAGACUCGGAAUCGGCCUCCUUCACAUGCGCCACUCCUUCAUGUUUGCCUGCAAAAUAGACUCAAAGAGUCCAACGGGGAAAAACAGUAUAAAAUAACAAAGAAAAUUGAAUUUGUUUUUCUUUUUCGGGCUAUAUAAAAGCCAUUUUAUUUUGUAAAGGGUGGGAGAGAAAAAUAGAAAAGAACAAACGAAAAAAGAAGAUCCAAAGAGAAGAUUAAAAUACAGAUUCGAAAAUUUUUUAACAAAGGUUUUUUCGCUUUAUUUUUUGUGUUCAUUAUUUUUUUCCCUUUCUCUGUUUAUUAUUGUUUUUAUAAAAAAGAGAGAGGAGGAGAUUACCUCUUUGUUGGAGUCGCCGAUUCGAUGCCAUCUCCGUCGUAAUCGGAGCUCUGGUACGAGGACAAAUGAGCGGCUACGUCAAAGGGUGAGGAGAGAAACCCUAGCAGAGCAAAUGUUUUGAAAAAAUAUGAAACAAAAUUGUUUUUUUGUGUUUAACUUAAAGUGCAGGCAAAACGGCACUGUUUAGUUGGGGGAGAUCCGAGCGUCGACCCGACCCGCAAGCAGGGUCCGCGCGUUCCUCAAAAGGGGGAAUUUUCGCAAUGAGGCCCCCCUUUUUGUGAUGUGUUUUAAUUAAACCCAUUUUAUUUUUUAAUUUGGCCCAAAUAUUUUACCUGUAUGGCAUUUUAGUCCACAUCGCUGCACAUCGUUUCGGGGAGGCGGAUUAUUUCUGAUUUGGCCCCCAUGUAAUUCGUGUGUCGCGAUUUGACCCACCAUUUUGCUUAAAUUUCAUUUAUUUCCUGUUGUUUUAGUUUUAUUGACUCUUUAGUCCUUUUUGCAAUUUGUUUUUUUAAGAAAAAUUUAUUUUUCUUCUUUUAUUAUUAUUAUUAUUAUUAUUAUUAUUAUUUCCACUUACGUUCAUACAUUUUUUUUAUAAUAUAUGUGCGUAUAUGUUUUAAACUUUUGUGGAAGAUAUACGUGUACAUAUUUUAUUUAUAUUUUAUUAUUAUUUUAUCUUCACAAUUUUUUUAUAUAAAUGUAUAUACAUAUACAUUUUUCUUAUUUUAUAAUCCAUGCACAUAUGCAUGUAUUGUUUAUAAUAUAUAUAUACAUAUUUUUUUUAGAAAUUAUUAUAAGUUGUUUUGUUUCAUAUAUUUCAUUCCUUUUCUGUUUUUUUAUAUGUAUACUUAUAUAUAUGUGUGUUUUAAUAUAUGCAUACACAUAUUUUCAAAUUUACUUAUAUAUUGUAUUUAUAUAUAUAGUUCAUAUUAAAGUAUUUAUUUUAUGUUGUAUAUUAACAUUUUAUCAUUUUUUUAAAAAGAAAAUAUAUUUGGUUUCAUCAAAGCAUUAAAACCAUUUUUAUUCAAAGGCUUUCAAGAUCAUGUAAAAUUCGAUAUUUGGAAUUUUCGAGGAAAUGGAGCCCUAACGUAUUGGGUUUCAAUUUUCUUUGUUAACCCUAAAUAAAUCGAGAAUAUUUCUUCAAAACGCAUAAAUAAAAAUCAUUUUCGGGAAUUCAACAUGUUGCGUCCUAAUGUAUUGGGUAUGACAUAUUGUUUUCUUGAAUUUUCCCAUAAAAAAGGGGUAAUAUUCAAAGUUUGGGGGUUUUUGAGAAAUUGUACUCUAACGUAUUGAGUCUCGAUUUCUUCAUCUAACUGAAACAAUUGAAUAUUCCCUAAAUAGGAGGAUUUUAAUAUGUAUACAAGUUUUUAAAUAUAAGGGUCAUAUUUUAAAAAUCUUUUCAAGCUUUUGACAUCAUGACAUUAAUAAUCAAUUUGGUACCAAUUUUGGGCGUUACGAGGGUGCUAACCCUUUCUCGUGCGUAACCGGCUCCCGAACCUAUUUUCUCAAAAUUUGUAGACCAAAAUAGUUUUUGAGGUGAGCCGAUCACACCUCAAUAAAUGAUCGGUGGUGACUCUAACUUUUGUUUUUUUUAAAGUCGACAACUAAAUUUUUGUUUUCAAAAAAACAGUUUCGACAACAAUUAUAUUGGAUGACAGCUGUUCUAACUAAAACUAUGUUUUGAAAUAGUUAUUCUGGACAAAGUUAUUCUAGAACAAUAGUUGUUUUGAAUAACUAUUCUAAACAAGAGUUGUUACUUCGGAAGAGAUAUGCUUGGUAGAACAAUUUGCUCAAAUAUAAUAUUCUUGAUUUCAAGGAAUAGAUAAAAUAUUAGUAAUCAAAAAUUGAGUAUUUACAAAAAUUUGAAAAUUGAAGUGUUAAAUUUGAUUUAUAAUUUUUUAUUUUACCAUUUUUAUCUUUACUUUUAACAUUUCAUGUUAAUUUAAUUUACAUAAAUUCUAAACCACAUUGAAUAUACAUAUAAAUAUUUGAAAUAAAUUAAAUUGAUGUUAGGAAAAACAAUUACUCAAUAAAGAAUAAAAAUUAUUAAAAAAAACUUAUAUUCGACAAAAAUAUAAUGAUAAUAAAAGAUCAUUUGUAACAAAAAGCCUUUAAGAAAAUGCGAAAAAUUAAUUAUGAUUUUAUAUUAAAUUUAUAUUCAAUUAAGCCAUUGUCAUUAAAUAAAAUUAAUUAAGCCCUCCAUUAAUAGAAUCUGUGAUUGACCGUUAAGAUAAAUUAAUGAAACAAUCAAAUAAUGACACGUGGUAACUUUUAAUUUAAUUUAAUAUUUUUUCAUACAAAUGUUAAAAAUCAUAAAAAUUAGAAUAAAAGGUAAAUAAAAAACAAAAGUAAGUGAUAUAUAAUGUUUAUAAAUUUCAAUUACUUUUCCUUUUUUCUUUUCUAAUUUUUGGUACAAACGAGAAGUGCAAUUUACCGAUAAUGUUUUUUUUUUUUUGCAAUUCCAAUAAUGUCUUUUUCUUAUGAAAAUUUAUUUUGUCUGCUUCUUGGCUUAAAAUUUGGUGUAAAAAUGAUAACACUAAAGGUGGUUUUAGAUGGACGGUGAUUGUGGUGUAAUGAAAUCUUUUAUUUCACAGUUACAGUAAUUAAUCUCAUCGCUACCACUAUUUUUAACCUUAUCGGAGGUAAUCACAUCCCCAAAGACACCCUAAAUCUAUUUACAACAAUAAUUAUUAUACUUUUUCAUAAAAAAACAAUAAUUAUUAUACGAAUAAUAAAAAAUGGUAAAAGUACGAUAAAACCUUUUAUCUUAUAUAUUGGAUUGCAUUUUAAUUUUUUAUUAAAAAAUUAGCCCAUAUAAAUUAGAUGACUGAGCAAAACACGUCCUUCCAUUUUGUUGUCUAUAUAUAAGAUAUAAUAAUAAAUUUAGCCCUCAGUCAUUACAUAUUUAUUCAAUUUGACCCUUACUUUUUUUUAUUGGAAGUAAAUUAAAAAAUUUUGAACUAAUAAACUAAAGGGUCAAAAAGGCCUUAGUAAUAAAAUUAAAAAAAAUCAAUUAAACCCAUUUAAAUUUUAAAAGUUAUUAAAAAUCUUAAAAAUUAUAAAUAAAAUUUACGAAAAUUUUAAAAAUAUAUUUUUAUUAAAAAAAGCAACACCUACCCAUUAAAAAAUAAUAGUUAGAAGAUUUUUUUUAAAAACAAUUGACCCUACUCUUUUAUUGAGUCAGUAUUGUUAUUUUUUAAUAAAAUUUUUUAUAAUUUUUAAAAAUCUUAAAAAUUUUAGCUUAAUUAAUUUUUUUUUAAAAAAUUUGUUACAAAGACCUUUUUGACCCAUUAGCUUCAUUAGUUUAAUUUUUUUAAAUUUACUUUCAAUAAAAAAAAGUAUAGGUCAAAUUGAAUAAAUGUGUAAAAUUUAGAACUAAAUUUGUUAUUAUACCUUAUAUAUAAACACCAAAAUAGAAGGACUGUUUUGCUCACUCAUUUAACGUAUAAGGGCUAAUUUACCAAUUUUUUAAAUAGAGAAGAAAAAACCAAAUUUAACUCCUAAAUUCCCUUUUUCAAUGACUUUUUCAAGUCUUCCAUACAAAAUUAGACAGAAUAAUUAAGAAUAGACGCUAUACUAAGUUGAUAAGGUCAUUCUAUUUUGCUGUUCCUCUUCCUCAGAAAGCUCCCAGACAAACUGAAACUGAAGAAGAUAUAGCAGCCGUUCCCCUUUUUUUUUGUUUUUGUUUUUUUUUUGAAAAUCGAUAUGUCAAACACGAAUAUUUCAGAAACGGUUCUGCUUUUACCGGAGAUCGAUGAUAACGACAACGAAGAUGGGAGGUGGUGGAAGAAUGUUUUGGAUUUGGAAGAGGCGAAGAAACAAGUGUUGUUUUCACUCCCAAUGAUUGUGACGAAUGUUGUGUAUUUUUCCAUACCUUUGGUGUCUGUCAUGUUUGCCGGUCACCUUGGGGAGCUUCAGCUUGCUGGUGCCACGCUUGCUAAUUCUUGGGCCACCGUCACUGGCUUUGCUUUCAUGGUUAGUUUUCACUAUUUUCUCAUUAUUCUUUAGGAUAACUUACGUACCCACUUAACUAUGGUUUUUUAUUUUUAUUUUUUUAGUCAAUGAAAAGUUAUAAAAUAGUCACUCAAUUAUUAGUAUUUUUUUUGUCACCAAAUUAUAAUAAGUUCCAAAAAUUGUCAUUCAACUAUUCAAUUUUGUCUUUUUUGGUCACACAACUAUAUUAGAUUUUGAGGUAUUUCUAUUUUUACGUUAGUCAAUUAGUGACCAAAAAGACAAAAUUGAAUAGUUGGGUGACAAAAAAAAAAGAAAAAAAAUCGUAGUUGGGUGACAUUUAUUGUACUUUACCUUUUUUUUAAUCUUUCAUGUUCAUUUUACAAUUCAUAUUUGAAGUUCGUGAUUCUUUUUUCUAAUAAUGUUAUCUCCAAGAUUUAAAUUCGUAUUCUCUCAUUAAGAGUGCAAUCUAUAUUACCAUUACACCAUACUCUUAUUGAUUAUUUUAUCAUUUGGUACCUAUAUUUUGCUUGAAUGUUUAAUUAAUUUGGUACUUCAACUUUUUUUGUCCCAAUUUGGUACCUGAGUUUGGCUUCAAUGUUCAAUUUGGUGCCUAAGUUUUUUCAAAUUGAUACUUGAGUUUUUCUUUGUCCCAUACAAAUACUUAAGUUUGACUUCAAUAUUCAAUUUAGCACUUGAGUUUUUCUUUUACUAAAACACAUUUGUCAAAUAUUUAUUGGACCACAUGUUGUUUAGUCGAGGUACCAAAUUAAACAUUGAAAUCAAACUUAGAUACUAAAUUGAGACAAAAGUACCUCAUAUGCCAAAUGGAACAUUGAAAUUAAAUAUAGGUACCAAAUAGUAUAUUAACCCUUUUAUCAUAACUUCAACAUUUUGUUUUUGUGGAUUUACUUGUUUGUUAGACAGGAUUAAGUGGAGCACUGGAAACACUUUGUGGUCAAGGAUUUGGUGCCAAAAUUUACAGAAUAUUGGGAAUUUACCUCCAAUCCUCAUGCAUAAUUUCCUGUUCUUUCGCCAUUCUAAUUUCAAUCUUAUGGUUCUUCACCGACCCCAUAUUGAUCUUCCUUCAACAAGACGCCGAAAUCUCCAAAACGGCGGCGCUUUACAUCAAAUAUCUCAUCCCAGGCUUAUUUGCUUACGGAUUGGUACAAAACAUACUGAGAUUCUUUCAGUCGCAAAGUAUUUUAAUGCCUCUGGUGUGGUUUUCGGUUCUGCCAUUGGCACUUCAUUUGGGCAUCGUUUACGCAUUGGUUAAUUGGACGAAUCUGGGUUUCAUAGGAGCUCCAUUGGCAGCUUCGAUUUCGCUGUGGAUUUCACUUGUUUUGUUAUCGUCUUAUGUGGUUUUGGCCCAGAGAUUUGAGGAAACAUGGCCGGGAUUGUCGUCGGAAUCAUUUCGUUUGGUCUUCGCGAACUUGAAACUCGCCAUCCCUUCUGCGGCAAUGGUUUGGUGAGUUCAUUUUUUCCAAAUUAAAUUAUAAAAUUUUGAAGAGUCAAACAAAAUUUGUCCUUGUAUUAUUUUUCAUUUUUUAAAGGACUAAACUUCUAAAUUUAUUAUUUUUAGGCUAAAGACUUAAGUCUAAUUAUUUUGUGUUGGGUUAAAUCUCAAAAUUAUACAUGAAAUUUGAUUUAACGUGCAAUUGUAUAUAUGAACUUUAUUUUAAUACAAUUAUAUGCGUAAAACUUUAAUUGUGGUUCAAAUAUAUACUUGAAACUUUAAUGUUGCUUCAAUCCUACGUAUUUAAAGAAAUAAACUUAUUUAUUUUUAUAUUAGAUAAAUAUAAUUAUUUAUGUAUGCGAUAUAUAAACAUAAAAUGAUGUUAUAUUAAUAAUGGUGUUAAUAAUUUACAAGAAUUAGAUCAAAUCAAAAUUUCAUGUAUACAAUUGCACAUUAAACCAUAGUUCAUGUAUAAUUUUGGUACAUAUCCUUUUUGAGUUUGAGUCAAAAGUAAGCAUUUGAUUAUUUUGAUCGGUUUGAUUUUUUUUUUAAUUUAACCGACUUAAUCGGCCUUAAUAUAAAAUAAUUGAACUGAUCGACUAAGAUAUUGUUAACCGAUUUAAUGAAACUGACUAAGAUGUCAUUAAUUGGGUUUGGGUCGGUUUUCGAGUUGGGUUAGGUUAGAUAAUUGAAUUUUAAGUUUGGGUAAUUUAAAUUAUAUCACACAUUACAAAUAUAUUUAAAAUAAUUUAAAAAUAAUAAAUAAAUAUAAGUCAGUUAAGUUGAUCGAUUCAAUUAUAAAUUUUAGUCAUCGGUACUCCACUGUCCAAAUCGACAAAACUGAAUUAAUUAAAAUUAAUCAAAUCGUCAAUUAAGUCGAUUAAAUCAAUCAUAACUGAAUAAUACUCUUUCCUAAUUUGAGCUAUUUGGAUUUUUUGGUCAAAUUUUAAGUCGGAACAAUUAGAAUUAAGUUCUUUUGAAUUCAAAUUAGUCUAAAUUAGAGUCAUUUUCAUUUCGGAUUUGAAUUUAAUUGUUAAAAAUAAUGAUGUCAACUAAAUUAAAAUUUAGAUAAUUUUUUAAAAUUGUUUUGAGCAGUUUGGAAUAUUGGGCGAUCGAGCUUCUGGUACUAUUAGCAGGAUUGAUGCCUAAUUCAGAAGUAACUACUUCCUUGAUUGCCAUGUGGUAUGCUUGCCUUUUAGGGGUGAAUCCAAAAAAUCUUUUUGAGGGGCCGAAAUGAAAUUUUAAUUUUUAAUAGUUUAUAUCUUUAUAAUUUUUAAAUGAUUAAAUUAAAAUUUUUUAAUUUUAAGGGGUUAAAGUGUAAUUUUAUCUUUAUUAAUUUAAAACUUUUCAUUUUAAGGAGCCACCCUGGAUUUGCCUCUGCUUCCACUUUUAUACUUUUCACUGGAUCCAUUUAAAGAUUUCAAGAUUAAUGGAAUUUGAGUAAAAUAUUUUAUUUCAGUGUGAAUACAGAAUCAAUUGCGUACAUGAUUACUUACGGACUUAGCGCUGCAGCAAGGUGAGUUCAAUUUUAUUAUUAUCUUAAUUAAUUUACGGAUUUUAAGCUAAUUUAAUUGAAACAGCACGAGGGUUUCGAAUGAAUUGGGGGCUGAGAAUCCGAGGAAGGCAAAGACCGCCAUGGCUGUGUCACUCAAGCUUUCAAUCCUUCUCGCUCUAACAGCGGUUGUUGCAUUAGCAUUUGGGCAUAACAUAUGGGCUGCUUCCUUCACCAACACUGCUUCCAUUAUCAACCAAUUUGCUUCAAUCACACCCUUCCUUUUAAUCUCCAUUACUAUUGAUUCUUUUCAAGGCAUCUUAUCAGGUAAUUUCAGAAACAAAAAACAGACAACUGAGUGAAGAAAUGGAAGGAUUAAAAUGAAAUGAAUAAAAUGUUGCAGGGGUGGCCAGAGGAAGCGGAUGGCAGGUGUUGGCUGUGUGGGCCAACUUGGGGACCUUUUAUUUAAGCAGGGCUUCUUGCUUUUAAAUUUAAGCUUUAUGCUAAGGUGAGUGUCUCAGCUAGAUAUCAGUUUGACUGCUCUAAUUAAUUUAUUCCAUUUAAAAACAUAAUUUUUUUCAUAAGUCCUCUGGAUAAAUAAUUUUGUUCUCAAUCUUUCCUUAAUUAUUCACAUUUUAAUGGAAUUUAACCUUUUUUUUAUAUAUAUUUUUUCUUUCAUCAGGGUUUGUGGAUAGGGUUGAUAUGUGGUCUUUCAUGCCAAGCUGGUGCCCUCCUGCUUAUUACUUUGUGUAGAAAAUGGACUAAAAUUGAACUUUCCUAACAAAUUAAUAUUGAACCAUAGUUCAAUCUUAACUAAUCUUCAUACUUUAUGAGUAUUCAUUUGUCGAGACUUAUUUAAAAUAGUGAAUUUGAAAUUUAAAUGAUUCGAGUUUGUUGAUAUGUUAAAUAAAGGAGGGAAAGGAUUUUCUAGUGAAGAAGCAAGGAAGAAGAUCAUGGAAUGGAGUGUCUAAAGUGUCGUUCCUUAAAGAGUAUUUUUAAAUUUAUAUUCCGGAUGAAAUUAUGAUAUAUUUUAUUAUAAUUGUAUAAUAAAGUUCAAAUUUUGUUAUGUUUUUUUUGUUCUAAUAUUGGAGAUCCUUUUAAUAAAAAGUGACUAGAAAUUAUAAUUGGAUAUUUACAAAUUUUUUAAAUAAAUUCUCUUGAUUUACCUAAAUAUGUUUUCUUAUUAUUAUUUGAAUGAUUAAAAUAGCAAUAUUCUUUGAAUAUUAUUUUUCAAAAAAACCAAUUAAGCUUUUACUCUUUUUUUUUUUUCACUCAAUUGGAUACUUGAGCUGCAAAAUGCAUGAAAAAGGCCAUCGAACUUUAAAAAAAAAACCAAUUAAGCUCCAACUUUUAUUCCCACUCAAUUAGGUACUUGAACUAUAAAAUGCAUAAAAAAGCCUCUCAAACUUAAAAAAAAAAAAAACAAUUAAGCUCUUAUUCUUGUUUUUUAUUUUGCAUUCAAUUGAGUACUUCAACAGCUAAAAUGCAUAAAAAAGACCAUUUGACCGUUAACUUUAAUGUUAACCGUUAAAAUUAACGCUCCUAAUUUAUUUCAAUUAAAGCCACCAUGUGUCACAACCAUUGUGUGACAUGUGGUAAAAAUGAUAAAAAUAAAAAUUUAUAAAAUUUAUAAAAAUAAUUAAAUUUUAAUAAAAAUAUUUAAAAUUGAUUAAAAAUAGAAUAAAACUAUAAAAAUUAUAAAAUAUAUAGAACUGUAAAAUAUAUAAAAAUGUAAAAAAUUUUUAAAAUUAUUCCCGCAAAAAUUAUAAAAUUUUAUAAAGCAGUAAGAAAAUUAUAAAAAAUGUAAAGAAAUAUAAAUUUAUAAAAAAAUUAUAAAAAUUAUCAUACCAAAAUAAGUAUUUUAUAAUUUUUCUAUAACUCUUAUUAAUUUUUAAUUUUUAUCAUUUUUUGUCGCAUGUCACAUUGUAUUGUUACACAUUAUGGCUUUAAUUGGAAAUAAAAAAGAAGAAAUCUAAGGGUUAAAGUUAAUGUUUAAAUGGUCCUUUUGGUACAUUUUAUAUUUUUUUAUGAUUUUUAUAAAAGUUUACAAUCUUUAUAAAUUUUUGUACAAUUUUUAUAAUUUUUUACUAAUAAGAAUAGGAUUUCUUACUAAUAAUUCUGCCUCUGUGGAUCCCACCAGAGACUUCAUAAUUUGCCUGUUUUUAUCUUCACUUUCUUCUUACUUCUUCUUCACUGCUUUUAAUUUGUUUCGAUGUCCAAGUUCUAUCACAAAUUUUGAAGCAUCCAGUCAAGGUAAUUUUCUUUCAUUUCCUUAAUUCAUGGCGUGCUUUUCUUUGCUUUGAUUAUCUGCAACUGUUAUAGCAGCUAGCUUUGUAAGAUUGUCAAGGAACUCAACUUCACUGCUUCCUUUUCAGUUCUAAUCUCUCAGCACUUUUCAGCCACUAAGUCAGGUAAUAAGAUCUGAAGCAAUUAUUCAUUGCCAACUUCAACGAUUUUGUUUUGAUGUCCAAGGUCUAUCACAAAAUUUCAAUCAUCCUGUCAAGCUAAUUAUCUUUCAUUUCCUUAAUCCAUCACAUGCUUUUCUUUGCUUCAUUCAUGACUUUGCAAUGAUUGUUGCUGACUAUCUGCUACUCUUAGCAGCUAGCUUUGUAAGACAGUCAACUUCACUGCUUCAUUUUCAGUUCUAUUCUCUUAACACUUUUCAGCCACUAAAUCAGGUAAUAAGAUCUGAAGCUAUGAUUUCCUCUACUGAUUAUCAACAGUUUUAGACUUUAAGAUAAGAUGAUCAGCAGACAUAAUCUACUCUAGAUUGAAAUUAAUACAGAAAGAGCUACCUAGAAGCAAUAUAAUGUUGAAAUCUCAUACUGUUAACAUUUUAACUCUUAAUAUUCUGUAAUGAACUGUUGCACACUUGAAUCUAGCAUUUCAUAUACAUCGAGAGCUUAAUUCUGGUGACCAGAAUUUCAUCAUGUUUCUGUCUGCCACCCAUCCAUAGCUCCAUCUAAUAAACGCCAUUGCUUGAAACUUGCAUUCAUGCUUACACUGACAUAUCAAUACUUCAUAAAAUAUCCAAUUCAUUCACAGAUUUUCAUUCUCUGCUACUGUUAUAUAUGAUUGCAUUGCAGGGACAUAGCAAUGGAGUACGUAGAGCCUGUUGUCGGUAUUGCAAAUUGUCUCGGAACUCCUGUUUGUAAAUAUUUGCAAUAUCACAGAAAGCUGAACGAUUAUGUGAGAAACUUCAAGAGGAUCAGAGAUGAAUUGCAUUGCAAAAUGGAAGAUAUAGAGCUGCAAUUGAAAGCAGAGCUUCUUCGUCCUCUGGGUAAAAUACCAAAGCAGGGAGUUGAAAAUUGGUUGAAAGCUGUGAAUGAGAUGAUUAGGGAAGCACAAGUUGUUGAAAACAAAGUCAGUAACGGGAGAUAUCUCUGUCGUGCUUGCAACGGGAAGCUGGUUGAUGAAAAGACUCAAGAAAUGAAGGAAUUUCUUAAUAACGCUCCUAAGGCCUCUGAAGGUCUUGCCAUGGAUGGUCCAAGUGGUGGGUUGCCACUGCCAACAUCAGAACUAGUUGGAGAAGAAGCUGUCAGAAAUGAGAUUUGGGCAUGUUUGAUGCAGGAGGAGGUGAGCAAGACUGGGGUUUGGGGGAUGGGCGGUGUGGGUAAAACCACUAUCAUGAAGCACAUCCACAAUGAUCUUUUGAAACAACAAAGAUUCGAAAGGGUAAUCUGGGUUACCAUAUCAAAGGAGUUCAAUGUAAUGAAGGUACAAGAUAAAAUUGCAAGUGCGUUGGAGUCGAAGGAAUAUUUAGACAAAGAAGAGGACAAGCUCAGACGAGCUGCAAUCUUGUCAGAAAUGCUGAAGAACGCAGGAAAGCAUGUUCUAAUCCUAGAUGAUGUGUGGGAUAAAGUCUCUCUAGAGGAAGUUGGGAUCCCCGAGCCAAGUGGCAGCAAUGGCUGCAAGUUGGUGUUGACAACCCGUUUGGAGCAUGUCUGUAAGUAUAUGGGUUGUAAGGUGAUAAAAGUGAAGCCCCUUUCAGAAGAAGAGGCAUUGAUACUAUUCUUGAAUAAAGUUGGACCUAACAUAGUUCAAAGUCCAACUAUAAUGCCUACUUUGAAGCUUGUUGUCAAGGAAUGUGCGGGUCUACCUCUUACGAUUGUUGUGGUAGCUGGUACCAUGAAAGGAGAAGAUAACCCUCUUAUUUGGAAAAAUGCACUCGGGGAAUUAAAAGAGAGAAUAGGGAAAGUUGAAGGAGUGGAAGCUGAGGUAAUCGAGCGCUUGACAUUUAGCUUCGAUCACUUAAAGGACGAGAAAGUGAAAUAUUGUUUCUUACAUUGCGCAUUAUAUCCCGAAGAUUUUGAAGUUGAAAAGGAUGAACUAAUUGAGUGCUGGAUUGAGGAGGGAUUCAUAGAUGAUAUGGGUACAAGACAAGAAAUGAAAGACAAGGGCCAUGUUAUUUUGAAAAAGUUAGGAGAUAACUGCUUGUUGGAAAAUAUUACUAAUGUAUUUGGUCAACCUCGCGUAAAGAUGCAUGAUGCAGUGAGAGACAUGGCACUGUCGAUCACAAGUAUGAAUUCUCGAUAUAUAGUACAAGCAGGCUUGCAAUUAAAAGAAUUACCGAAAAGGGGGCAAUGGAGUCCAGAUAUUGAGAAAGUGUCGCUUAUGCAUAACUCCAUAACGGAAUUUCCCGCAGAUGUGCUGCCCACAAAAUGUCAAUUGCUCACAACCUUGUUAUUGCAGGUGAAUCCUAUAAAGAAGAUCCCAUAUUCUUUCUUCAUAAACAUGCCCUGUCUUUGUGUCCUAAAUUUGUCCUAUACGGAGAUCGAGAGUUUACCAAAUUCCAUCUCUGAACUAAAGAACCUCACAACAUUGUUGCUUUGUUGCUGUUUUCAAUUAAGAGAUAUACCAUGUCUUUCGAUGCUUCAAGAACUGAAGAAGUUGGAUCUUUAUAGGACUAAAAUUGAGGAAGUCCCUGAAGGAAUGGAUAUGCUGAUAAAGCUAAGAUAUCUUGAUCUUAGUGUGCGCACUCUGAAAGAGAUACCCGCUGGACUUUUACCAAAACUCGUUCACCUUCAGCACUUGGGUUUUGAUAAACAAAUAAGUCUAAAAGCAGAGGAGAUGGAACCAUUGAAGAAGUUGGAGUGCUUUACCGGACGUUUCGAAGACAUCAAUGAAUUCAAUAAGUUCAUCUCCUCAUUGCAACAAAGUAAGAAAAAUCUCAUCAAGUACCAUUUACUUGUGGGCUCAUAUCUCAUCAAGUACCAUUUACUUGUGGGCUCAUCUUUUAUGCCUACUGCAAGAGAUAAAACAGUAACAAUUGAAGGAGUCCAGAAUUGGGAAGGUGAGUUAAUUAUGCACCCAAUUGAAAUUCAAGGGUUGAAUAUUGUAGAGUGCGGCUAUUUGAGAAACUUAGUCGAUGGUAAUUCUUCCUUCAAAAAUGUGAUUGACUUGAGGGUUCGGUUUUGUGAAGGGAUAGAGUGUGUUAUUUCCUUGUCCUCUUUUGCCUCUUCUUCCGCUCAUCCAUUUCAGAGCCUCGAGAUGUUGGAUCUUCAACAUCUGCCAAAGUUGAGUGCCAUUAUUAUGAAUGAUGCAGGAAUUGGUUCAGCAACAACAUCAACAUUGGCUCCGUCUGCCACAUUUUCUCAUCUUAAGGAAAUUACGAUAGUGAACUGCUCAAGUAUGAAGACGUUGCUUCCACAUUGGUUGCUUCCAAACCUCCAAAACCUGGAAGAAAUACAUGUGGGUGCUUGUAGUCAGCUAGUAGAAAUAUUGGGAGCAGCAACAUUAGAAGUUGAAGAAAAAGAGAGCGAUGCAUUAAUCAAAUUCCUUCUUCCCAAAUUGAGAGAGUUGACAUUCUCCGAAUUACCAAAUUUGAAGAGCAUAUGCAGCAGAAGUGGAGUGAUGGUUUGUGAUUCUCUCCAAAUUAUCCGUAUUACUAGAUGUGAUAAACUGAAGAGAAUUCCUCCAUUUGUUCCCCUUGUUGGCAAUGGGCAGCCAUUUGCAUAUGCUCCACCUUCUCUUACCAUCGCGUCAUGGAAAGAAUGGUGGGAAUGGUUGGAGUGGGAUGACCAUCCAAACUUUAAAAAUGUUCUUCGCUUCAACCCCUUUGGAGGAUAAGAGGUAUGAACCAUUUAUGGUUUAAUUUAUUUUUUUAGUUUGAUAAAUCUAAUUUCUCCAUAUUAAUAAAAUUUGAAGUAAAUUUGUGAUGAUGUUGAAGAGAAACUACAAAAUAUAUAUAAGGGAAGUUUUUCGAGUAAAAUUCCGGAUAGAGCUAUGAUAUAUUUUACUAAAAUUGUAUAAUAAAGUUCAAAUUUUAUUAUGUUUUUUUUUGUUAUAAUAUUGGAGAUCCUUUUAAUAACAAAGAGACUACAAAUGAUAAUUAGAUAUUUACAAAUUUUUUAAAUAAAUUCUCUUGGUUUACUUAAAUAAGUUUUCUUAUGUGUUUAUUGCCUACAUAUUAUUAUUUGAAUGAUUAAAAUAGCAAUAUAAUUUGAAUAUUAUUUUCACCUACAAAAUUACUUUCACAAUGACUGUGGGUCAAGUUAAUUUGACUCGGGUCAAUUUAAAAUUCAAAUAUUUUAUAAAUAUAUUGUAUAAGGUUUAAUGGUGUAAAAAGUUUUCAAUUUUUUUCAAAAAAAAGUAAUUAAGUCUAAUUUUUUUUAUUUUACAUUCAAUUGAGUACUUAAAUUUUCAAAAUGCAUAAAAAAGGACUUCAAUUUUUUUCAAAAAAAAAAGGCAAGUGGUAUCGAUGAAGUCUCAGCAUAGCUACUGAAUGUCAUCAGUACGAAGCCAAGUGGUUCAAGAUGGCGUUUUGCGUUCCUGAUGGCCUUCAAGAGGUCUGCCUCGCUUGUUUUGUCCAUAUCAACACUCAAAACACUAUUCCGUCGUUCGACAAAUUGGAACUGCAGAGAGUUGUUAUGGAAACCGGUUAACUUGAGAACUGUCUCCAACUCGGUAUCGAUACAGGCCUGGAAAGACAAUUAAGACACUUUAUUAACCAAAAGAAAUCUAAUAUUUCAAAUCUAAAACAAAUGGGAAAUAUUACCCGUGAAAUUUGUAACGACAACCUCGUAAUAUUGACCGAGUUUCACAUUUGUAAAAUCAACAUGUUCAACAUUUCCGUUUGCAUUUAUCAUUUCUGACAACCAUUGGCUUGAAACACCAUCAAGAUUGGAUUCUCGAGCCUUCUCUUCCCCGUCUUUAUCCACAGGGAGAAACUCAAAGUAUGCCAUGUUUGGGAGAAAGGUGUAAGAGACAUCGUAGGGGUUGCUUAAAGGAUUUAAAUUGACCCCGAAAGUAGACUCCGAAGAACCAUAACUUGGUGAAACUAAAGGGAUCCCACCACCAUAAAAAUCAAGCAACGAAAUGUAUUGGCUCAUGGUACCAGUAAUGACGGAAUUAAUAUAUUUUGCUUUAGGCCAAAGUUUCUUAAUAAUCCCUUCCCAUGAUUCAUUGCCACAUAUGUGUUCAAUCGUAUCAGCCAAAUCUGGAUUAGGCCUAGUCAGGAUCGAUGACACUGCGUUCCUACAACCAGGGUCAGUAAUCCAAUCACUAAGGCAACCAGUUCUUAUGUUCGAACAAAGUUCGUUCCAGUAAUCUUCUAAGAACUUGAUGCUCCUUGCCAAAACGGAUCCAAAGAUCGAACUGAUUGAAACAACAUGAUCACGUUGCAGCAAACCAGUAAGCAAUUGGCAGUACAUACUUUGCUUGUGGUCCAAGCAGAGAAUCGUCUCAACAGGACUUGUGCAGAUUUUGGGCACACUUUUCUUGAAGCUAUCGCUCAUGAAAUAGCACGAUGAGAGCGUCUCACUAUUAAACCUGAUGGAGUUUCACUCCCUUUUUUGACAAAAAAAAGGCUCAUUGUUUUGCCUUUUUCCAAGCCAUCAAAAUAUCUGUCAUACCAUUAAAAGAAUGAAAAGAAAAGAGCAAGUUAAACUAGUUAUUUCUUUAGACUAUGUUACCCGAACACCGGUGCAAGUGUGUGAAGUGUGAUAUAUAUAGACGUAAAUUUUUCCCAAGAUGCUUAUGUAUCUACAUCAUUCUUCAAACUGAUAUCCUUAUAUGCACCAAAAUGAGUGUUAAACAUGGAUGCUAGCAAAAAUAAAGAGUCGGGAGUAAAAUAGAUUUAAGCUGCAUAGUAAUAAGUAAGGGCAAAAUACCAAUAAAAGCCCCUUUUUUUAAAAAAAUUAUUGAAAUGGGCUAGGUAAAAAAUUAAUUAUCGAAAUGGCCCUAUUUCCCCGAAAAUGCAUUCACAUCAGCGCGUUGUCAGGUGACGAAGCAGGAAAAUGCUUCCUUUUACCCACGUUUCCUACGUUAGGGUUAGGGUUUUGGGUGUUUAGUGUAGGGCUUAGGGUUAGGGUUUAGGGUAUAGGGUCAAGGUUUUGGGGUUUUUAGGUUUAGAGUUUUUAAGAAAAAAUUAAAUAAAUAAGGGAUUAGAGUUUAGGAUUUCUUAAUUAAAUUAAUUAUAAAUUUUUUAAAAUUAGAUUAGGGUUUCGUGUUUAUAGUAUUUAAAUAAAAAAUUAAUUAAAUUAUGGUUUAGGGCUACUUGAGUAAAUUAAUUAAAUUUUUAAAAAAAUCAUAUUAGGGUAAUAGUUUUUAAGGAAAAAUCAAAUAAAUUAGGGUUUAAGGUUACUUGAGUAAAUUAAUUAUAAAAUUUUAAAAAAAAAUAGAUUAGGGUUUAGUGUUUAAGGUUUUUAAAGAAAAAAUCAAAUAAAUUAGGGUUUUGGGUUUAGGGUUACCUAAUUAAAUUAUUUGUUAAUUUAAAAAAAUUCCCACGUGGACGCGCUUUUGCUACAGUAGCUACUAAAAAAAUAAUUUUGAGAAGACAUUUCUGAGCAAAUAGUGUCAAAAACGCUUUAAGCAGGAUGCUUUGUCAACAAAAGUACUAAAAGAAGCUCCCACGUGGACGCGCUUUUGCUACAGUAGCUCUUGAAAAAAUAAUUUCGAGUAGACGUUUCUGAGCAAAUAGUGUCAAAAACGCUUUAAGCAGAAUGCUUUGUCAGCAAAAGUACUGAAAGAAGCUCCCACGUGGAUGCGUUUUUGCUACAGUAGCUCCUGAAAAAAUAAUUUCGAGUAGACGUUUCUAAGCAAAUAGUGUCAAAAACGCAUUAAGCACGAUGCUUUGUCAGCAAAAGUACUGAAAGAAGCUCCCACGUGGACGCGCUUUUGCUACAGUAGCUUCUGUUUGGCCUGAGGAUAUAAAUGAGGCAAAAGUUUUUAUCAGAUUGUAUAAGUUACAGCAAAAAAAAGUUAGAUAGGCUAAGAAGGAUAGAAAUUGAAGAUGAGUGAAUGUAUUAGUGUUGUUAUUUACUAUGAUGGUGAGGUUCGUCACACCGAGAAUGGUGUUAUUUUUUAUCGAAAAAUAUAGUGUGACUGAUUUUUAACCGGAACAUAGAUUUGACAGAAUUUCGUAAAAGAAUUAGGCGUAAAAGAAUUAGGCGUAUCGGUUUUGUUCUUCUAUUGAUCCAGUGACAUGACUCGUUCGACAUAAAAGGUGCUCGUAACUUGAAGGCAAUGAUGCAAACUCGUCUCGCUAGUGGAGCAUCUUAUAUUGAGUUAUAUGUACAAUUUACAUCACCAAAUGAUGUACUUGCGACUAUUGUUUGAGAGGUAUACAUGACCCCUGCCUGACACUCGGUUAGUGGGUUACAAAACACGUAAUAGCCUAUGUUUGGUAGCGAUAUAGAAUACACAAUCCCUGCACAACACUCUGUCAGUGGAUGGGACAUGCACCUCGGUGGAUCAAUGUUUGAUGUUAGAAAUACGUACUGGGGAACGGCAUCAACUUCUAGUGGUUGGCAAUCUACAUCGAAUUGGGGAUGUUGUGAAAUGCCUAGAAGAAAGGAUGAUGUACUCCUUAAAACGUCAACGAUGAAGGGACCUCGUACGUUUCAGAUGAUGGUGGGUCAGAAGAUGACACCGAUGUGCAUCCACCUUGAGAGUCCGGGCCCGAUGGUGCAGAAGUUGCACUAUUUUCUAAAUCAGAGCCUAUUCCAACUGAACCUGAAGAUGUUGAAGGGGGUUCAGAUGAAGAAAAAGAUUCACAAUUCAGGGCAUACUCACCUCCAGCCCAUAUGCAUAAUGUCGAUCCGUCUGCAAAUGAUGCGCUGGAGUUUCUAGAUCUCUCACACAGGUUGCAUGAUCGUACAAGUUCGCUACUAGAUUUGGGUGAAUUUGAAGUUGGUAAUGAUUUUUCCAACAAGGAUAGGUUUAUUGGUGUAUUAAAACAGCAUAGCAUUAAUAACGACGUUAACUACCAUGUGGUUAAAUCCAAAGCUGAUAAGUUUAAGGCGAAGUGUGCAGUGCAAGACGGUACAUGUUCAUGGAAAAUCUACGCCUCGUUAAGGAAAAUGACAGGAUUGUGGGAGAUAAAAAAGUACAAAGGUUCACAUACAUGUGCUGCAGGUACAUUAUUUAAGGUUUCUAAAUAAUAUUGUUAUUAUGUAAUGUUGCAUUAAAUAAUGCACUCCGUUGAUGGGUAUUUCAUAAGAUCAUCCCAAGAAGGAUUCAGCUAUGUUAGCUAGCUUGAUACUACCCACGGUGAAGGCAAAUCCCAAGUCUUCAGUGCCGGUCCUAAUUGCCAAUAUUCGUAGCCAAAUGAGGUACACGCCCUCUUACCGCAAGGCUUGGAUAGCUAAGCAGAAGGCGUUGGAGAAGAUGCGUAGUGGAUGAGACGCUUUAUAUAAUGAAAUAUGGUAGUGGUGUCAAGUGCUAGAGAGAUACAUCCUAGGUUGCAUAACAGACCUUGAAACGGAACAUGCAUACUAUAACGGUCGAUUGCUACGUGGAUGCCAAGUGUUCAAAUGCUUGUUUUAGACCUUUAUGUUUGGUAGAUAUACCCAUCGGCUAUUACUAGCAGUGGCACAUGAUGACAGUUUGAGAAUUCUUCCAAUUGCAUUUGCAAUAACACCGAGGGAGUCAGCAGAUGACUGAGAUUUCUUUCUAUCUAGGUUAAGGAGACACGUGUGCCCCCAACUUGAUAUCUAUGUUAUUUUGGAUCAGGGCACCGGAAUACUAACUGCAAUUGAUUGACAGGGAAGCUUAUGGCAGCGCACAAACCAUCAGUAUUGUUUAAGGCACGUUGCUUCCAACUACUACAGGCAAUAUCCAUCUAAGAGUGAAUGACGACAAGUGACCUGUUAGAGUAUGCCCAAAGAUCAAUCAUGAGAUGGUUGUAAUAACAUACUUGAUUUAUCAUGUUUAUUAAUAUAAGGCGUUACCAUUAUUAUUUCAGUUUCUUUUUUGUGUAUAUAAAUAAACUGUUUUAUAAUAAUGUCCUGAGAAUAAUAUGAUUAUUCUUAAAAGUUUCUUAGUCAAGUAUUAUUGUUGGAUAGGACAACGAUAAUGCAUUAAGACUAACAUGUAGUUGAUUGAUGAUAAAGAGUUGUCAUUGAUAUGGAAUGUCAGAAUCAUUACAUGAAUAUGUGUGUUAGAUAACAACAUAUUGGACUGGCCCGUUAUGAGUAUGUUUCUUAGAUUAUUAUGUAAUUGCCACGACAUUACUCAUAAUGAUUAAUAUUUAUAUGAUCCACAGACUUGAGAUCAUCAUAAUCCCAACAUCGUGAGUUGUAUAUUUUGAUACAGUCAAACGUACACUGUAACUGAUUGUUCUAUAAAGACUGAUGUUGGAUAUAUCACAAUCUAUGUAGAGGGAUAUGGUUGGUCGAUAUAGGAUAAGUCCCUCUUACAUAAUAGGAGUAAUAUCUUAGGCCACUUGAUUAAGUGAGACUAGAAAUGCAUGGUCAUGCUCAAAUAAGUUGAUAUUAGAUGUCAUACUUAUUUGUAUAUCGUAGUCUGCUUAAGAUAUCAAGGAACAUGGAAUGGACAAUGCAAGUGUGACUAUUCCAUGACUUGUGUCCAAUCCAGAGAUAAAGGACUUAAGGAUUAUUGCAUAAAAGGUUAAUCAUAAAAAAAGGUUAUGUCGAAUCAUGAUCUCUUGUGACUUAGGUAGCAAUGAUGCAUUGCUAGAUGCCACUCAUUGUUUGUAGCAUUAGAAUCAUUCUAGUGUUACUGCUAACGUUACAGGAACCUAUAGGGUCACACCCUAUAGUUGAAAUGAACGAAAUAAACCAUAGUUGGUAUUGUUUUUGGGGUCGCUUGAAUUAAAUUAAUUAUAGAAUUAAUUUAAUUCGGUAAUCAAAUUUCUAACACAUUAUGUACAAGGUUGUUGUAUGUAUAAUGACGACAUGAAUUUAGUUAGCAUAAGAAUUCAAAUAAAUAUAUGGUUUACCGAACUUAUAUUAUAAUUAAUGUAAUUAUAAUUUUUGGUAUAAAAAUAUUAUUAUAUUUAUUUAAUUCCUAAAAACCCUAAAACAAACGGAUAUAUAUAAUCCCAUUUUUCUUUAUUUGAGCCUAGCAGCCGUCAAAGAAAAAUAACUCUCAAAACUGUUUUGGGGAUUCCUUCCGUUCGUAGUCAACUGGGUGGAUUACAUAGAGGUCGGGAUCACGAUAGAUUGCGACUUGGUUCGACAGCAGAUCAGACUACUCAUUGUUGAGGUGUUGCUGUCUACUCUGAAUAAACAUUAGGUAAUUUCGUAACCUUGAUCACCCCGAUUCGUUCCUCACACAUGAAUCCAUGGUUAGGGUCACCGAUUUUACUUUUUCGCUGCGCCGUAGGGGUGCCGGUGAUCCAACAUGACCAACAUCGGUAUUUAGUCUCUAUUAAUAUAAUUUUGUUUGUCAUUUUGAAUUUAUUCUAAAUGAAAGAGUGGUAUGUAAUAUUCGUUAUGAACUUAUAUUGGCAAGGUAUGAAAUAAAUAAAGACCGUUUUCAUGAGAUGUUGGUAGUUUUGCGUUCAAUUAACGGCGAAGGAGCGGACUACCUCUGUAACAUACCUUUCGAACAGUGGGCACAAGCAUACGACGGAGGCCUACAAUAUGGUUAUAUGACCUCAAACCUGGUUGGAUGCAUAAAUUCUGUUCUAAAAGAAACGAGCCAUCUACUGAUAACGUCGGUUGUGCGAGAGACACAUUUUCAGUUAGCGGUGUUAUUUCCAAAGCGUGGAGUGAGUUAUGCAGGCUAGAUGCAGGGAGGCCACGUAUGGUGCAGUAAGAAAUUAACAAGGCCAAGGCGAGGGCGAACACCAUACACACAGUGUGCCACGAUCAAUACAACUUAUGGUUUCACGUGACAGAGUUUGACAGACCGCACCAAGGUGUUAUUGGCGGGCAAUAUCGUGUACACUUGCGAAAUAGGACUUGCGACUGUGGGAUGUUUAACGCAUUUCGUUAUCCACGCGCUCUUGUAAUUGCAGCUUGUCAGAAUCUCCGUCUGGAUCUGAUGAGCUAUGUCGACGAAGUGUACAAAUUAAAAAAAUUUGUAUUAAAUGAAAUAAUGUAAGGACCCACGCUAUACAAGCCGAUCAUGCCCAAAUUGCAAUAGUUGAACAUUAUUGUAAAAAACUUUGUAUUAUUUAUAUUUCUUAAAAUAAAAUAAUAUAGAAAUAUUCAGAAUAUUGACUUAUUUAAAAGAAAAUAUAUUUUAUUAAAAAUAUUAAAGUAAAUUACAAUUACUUUACUUAAAACAACAUUUUAUUUUAUUAAAUGAAAUAAUAUAGAAAUAUUCAAAAUAUUUCCUUACUUAAAAGAAUUUCUAUUAUAUUAAAAAUGUAAAAGUAAAUUUCUAUUUUAUUACAUGAAAUAAUAUAGAAUAAUUUCUAUUUUAUUACAUCAAAUAAUAUCAAAAUAUUCAAAAUAGGCGUACAAAUAUAUUAAAAUAAAAAUCAAUCUCCGUGCUUGUCAGAUUCAGUGCCACAUGGUCGCCGUUGACGGUUACUUGCUGGAUUCCUCCUUUGUCCAGCUUCUAGUUAGGGUUGUGGUUGCUCUGGUGGGGAUUCUGGCUCCUCCAGUAGGGGAUCUAGUUGUCGGUGUUGGAACAAUGAGCCACCUUGAUAGAAUAGUGACUAUGGAGGUGUUUGCAUCACCAACGGCGAAGCUGAUUGAAACUCAUACGGUGAUGAGUAUUGGUAAAAAGAAGAGCUCCUCGACGGCCCCUCCUACAAUCCUUCGUGCGAUAGUGGCCUAUACAUCGGCGGUCCACUCGGCGUAAUUGAAAAAGGAGAUGAAUCAGGCCAUGGACUCUAACUUGCCAUAGGACUAGAAAAAAGAAACAUAUAAAGGUUAGGAUACAUAAAAGGGCUAGGAUACGCACUUGGCAUCAUCUGAAAAGGCUGUGUCGUGGGUGUCAUCGAUUGAAGUGCUGGGCCGAGUGACUGUAUCAGUGCUGUUGCUGGGCCUGUGAUUGUAUGAGCGAUGUUGAUGGGCCGAGUGAUUGUGUGUGCACUAUUGAUGGGUCUGCAUCGUCGUCCCUUCUUCUUGGAUUUAAAGGGCCACGUCGUUCCCUUUGAACACGCAAUUGCCGUUGCUUCUCCUCUUUCGACAGUAAAUACGGCUUGCCAUGGAUCUUAAACAAUGACAUGUAUUCCGGCACGCACGCUAACUCUAGAACGAUGAUCGGUUCCCGAAUAGGUAUAUAAUCAUACCGAUCUUCCCACAUUUGGAUGUAGUGUGACUAGAAUCUCGGCCAAUCCGUAUGCAAUUUCCAUAGGUCGAUUUUGUGAUGAUCAUCCAACACAUCAGGUGCCAUGGGUAUCGGUUGUCGGAAUCUGAAUUGCCGUAAUACUCUGUCCGACUGAUGCAUCUCCAUGGUUGCAAAGUUGACCAAUGGGACUUUCACAUGCCAAACAUUUGGAUUUUGGAGGUACUCAUCCAGAAUUAUUGCUCGAAUUGCUGGAUCCUCGUAUGGUGUCCAUUGAAACUAUAUGAACAUGAUGAAAAUAUUAGUUAUAUGCAUAAGUAAUACUAAAUUCUAAAUACUAAAUACCAAUCGACUAUCUCAUGAUGGAAAUAUCUAUUUUAUUUAAUACUUGUGCUUCCGACCGUUGGUCCAAUAGAAGCCGUAUAUCUUCAAGAGAUGUAGGUAAUCAAGCAUAACUUUCCGAAUAGUUCCACCUAAUUAAAUAUUUUUUUAUCAUACGAUUAUAUUUUAAAUCUACGUAAUAAUUAUAAAAUCUAUUAUAAAAUUUAUCUCGUUAUGAGUGGGAAUGUGUAUGGGUGGUUCACUCGAGGACGUAAAAAUGGAAAGUGAAACUGUGCCCAUGACUGCAGUAGUGAUAGGCAACCUCUGAUUUUCACUUUAUUCAGUCGCGUCGCCCCACGUAUCUCCCGGUACAAUGUUGCCAACACGGCAGACCCCCAACUAAAUUCACCAACUGCUCUAAAAUCAACGAGUUUCAGCAGCCAUCUCAAAUGUAUAAGGUUCUAUGACAAGUCCGGCAUCAGAUAAUCUCCAAUUAUUUGAAGAAUGUAUGCCCGAGCAUAUCAGAUUCUUUCUAGUUCCAUAGAAUCAUCAUCCGGCUCCGAAAAUAUGUCUCGUAACCAGCCCAUCUCGAUCCAACCUCUGUUAAUAUUAUUUGGAAUAGUGCCGAAAAGCUCGUAACAUACCACUCUCCAAUCAUCAAAUUGAACAGACCCGGUGACUGUGUACCCGUCCACCGGCAAUCCCAAUUGCAAAUUUACGUCUUCCAAAGUGAUAGUAUACUCUCCACAUGGAAGAUGGAAUGUGUGCGUCUUGGGUCUCCUCCUCUCAAUCAACACACUGAUGAGUUUUGGGUCCAACUUGCAUCCCCGGCCUACCAUCGCCAAGUGCCAAAAACUCACUUCCCGUAGGUAAUUCUCUACGAACUGUGAUGGAGGACCAUGCAUAUUACGAAUAUAGCAUUGCAAUAUCCGAUCUACAGACUUUUAUAACAAAUAAUAAAAUAAAAAUUAUUUAAAAUUGCAUAAAUCAAAAUAUCUUAAAUAAUAUUUAAAAAUUAAAUUUAACACUUACCAUUCUCAUUUGUUCGAUGGAUAUGUGCUUGUUAUCGAGACGAAUUAAUUCUCCGGCAAUUGCUAACACGAUCAAAUUUUUAUGAUUAAAAAAAUUCAAAAAAAUGAAAUAAAAACUUUUUUAAAAUAAUUAAAAAAAUAAAAGCUUUUUUAACAAGAAAUUGAGAGAAUAUUGAGAGAAAGGAUUUAGGUGUAAAAAAAUGAAAUAGAGGUUUAUAGUUUUUUUUUACCGUUGGGGGGUCACCAACGGUCAAAAAAAUAGUCGUUACUGUUCAUGCGUGGGCAAAACGCUUCCUCAAAGAAGCGCUUUCCUGCCUCGUCACUUGAGAAUGUGCUAACAUGAACGCGUUUUCAGGGAAUUGCACCAUUCCGGUAAUUAAUUUUUUACCAAGCUCAUUUCGAUAAUUUAAAAAAAAAUAGGCUUUUAUUGGUAAAAUGCCCAAUAAAUAAUACCAACAAAUUAAUGAGGGUGGUAAUUAAAAUUUCAACAUCACUUUACACUUUGGAUCAAAGUUCAUGGCCUUUUUUAAUUUUUAAGGAUUGUGGGUGGUUUGGGAUUUGUUAUUCAGGUGUUCCGGUUAACUGCUGAUCUUGGAAGGAUUUGGGUAAGUCCAAUUUCUGCGUUUUUGUGUUUUCUAAACAAUGCUCAAGAGGUGUUUGAUGAUUUGCCCUUUAGAAUAACAAAGCCUGGGUAUUUUUUUCAAGGAAAUUUUGGGUGAUUUUGUAAUGGUAAGUGCCUAAUUCUUUUCAAUAAAAAUGCAAAAAAUUAAGGCUUCUUACUUUUUUACGACUGGAUCAACCAGGGUGAGUUCUAACGUCUUUUUCUCAAAAUUUUCAGCUGUCAUAGGUAUCAACUUCGGCUGCCCUCCUGAAGUACCAGAGCUGCAUAAAAAUUUAAUGGUUUAAUAACAUAAAAAACUUAUGGAAAUCUUUCAAAAAUUAAGAGUAAAAAAUCUAAGAACAUGUUGCAGACCUUUGGAUGAACUCAGAGAUGGGGUCAGCUAAAAGGAUAUUUGAAGUCUCCCUAUUGGCAAUUCAAUUGAUGUAAGGCCUUAUAUCUUCGUAAGUAACAAUGGGUACAUUGUUUUUGAAGAGUUGUUUAUCAGUUUGGCCAUGGAGGAAUCGAGUUAGAUAUUCAGUUCCAGCAUUUCUCAGCAGUAUCUCCUCUAAUACUUGUUCUUGAAUUCGAUGACCAUUUUCGGUUAAUUCCUCCAAAAAAUUCAACCCAUUUCCAUAAUCUUUCGUUCCUAUCAGAUCAGCCAUGAAAACAGGUAUUUUUUUAAUGAGCUGAUAAAUAUUCUAACACUUCAAGAAACAUGAUCACAAUUUCCAUCUAUGAUUCUGAAACUGGUUGACAUAGCUGAUGUGAUGGCGGCCGUAAGUAGUGUACACCGCACAGAAAGAUACAAAUCCUUUAAAUUACUGCAUUACAUAAAAAAAAUUAUAAGAACUUUUAUAAAUAAAAAAUAAGAAUAUACAUUAAGAGCAUGUUUGGUUGGGUGUAUUGGCAUAGCCAAUACACCCCUAAUCAGUGGGCCCCACUUAAUACUCCUUUUAUCCAUUGUUUGGUUUAGUGUAUUGUUAUUACAGGUCUAAUCCAUUACAGACCUAAUCCCCAAAAUCCACCGAUUUCUAUUCCGGAUGAAAAGCUCUGUUUUGUUGCGUAUUAAGUUCUCCCCAUUUUUCUACCCUGUUUUACCCUCCUAAUUGCUUCUUCUGAUUUUUCUGAUUCCAUAACUUUUUCCUUCCUUUCUGCCGCCACAUCUGCUUCUUCUUCAUCACUCAUUAGCAGACUACUUCUUCUUCUUCAUCCGCUCGACCCUGUUGCUGUUUCAUGGUGGUAACCGCUUGAUUCUCAACUUAUUGGCUCUCCAACAAUGGGAACAAAGACUCCAAACUUCGCCACUUUACCGGAAAUGAUAUUCGGUGAAAGUUGUUUGAUUCUCUUAAAGACGUCGCAAGCGGCAACGAUAUUCGUUUCAAUGCAUUAGAUGCUUUUUUCGAUUGGAAGCAUGAAGGUUUGCCUCCUGUUGAAGUUCCUUCUGCUGCUCAAUGGAAAUUCAGAAGGUAAAAGAAAUGUCGAUUAUUUUAUUUAACGUUUUUGGUGAUUUAAAUUCAGUUUUACGAUCAUUUAUUUUACUGAGAACAUCCCGUGCAGGACUUACAUCUGAAGAUGCUGAAGUUCGAGUCCAUAUUUUUGGUCAGAAUAAGCUCGAGGAGAAGCCCAUAAGCACCCGUAAUUUCGGAUAUAUAUAUAGAGAGAGUUUCAAAUUUUCAGUUAAAUCAUCAUUAUUUAUCUGUAGUUCUAGUUAUAAAAUUGCAAUAGAGUAAGACCUUGCAGCCUAUUAGCUAAGCUAGCUGUAGUUUAUCUGGUUUGGUUUGAAGCACUGUGACAAUGCUAGCUUUUUUAUCAUACUCCAGGAAAACAAGUUUUUGAAGUUUCUAAGUUUUAUGUGGAACCCAUUAUCAUGGGUUAUGGAAGCUGCAGCAGUGAUGGCCAUUGUCCUUGCCAAUGGUGGAGUAAGUUAUAUAUCUUUCCCCAUAUACUUUUCAAAGCUUGAAUGGUCACCCUGAUAGCUUUCUGCGGUUUGUUUUGUUUCAGGGUGAGGGUCUUGACUGGCAGGACUUUGUAGGGAUUAUAUGCCUUCUGAUUAUCAAUUCAACAAUCAGUUUCAUUGAGGAAAACAAUGCUGGAAAUGCUGCAGCCGCACUCAUGGCUCGUCUGGCUCCUAAAACAAAGGUCUGCAACUCUCUUCAAGUUUCUUUAAUGCCUUUGCAAAUACAAUAAUGUCUAAAUUUUCAUAAUCAUUUUUCUUUUAUGCAGGUUCUCAGAGAUGGUCAGUGGCAAGAGACAGAUGCUGCUAUUUUAGUACCAGGAGAUAUAAUUAGCAUAAAACUUGGAGAUAUCAUCCCUGCAGAUGCUCGCCUUCUUGAAGGCGAUCCACUUAAAAUUGAUCAGGCAAGUGCUCUACUUGAUAGUGAUAAAAGUCAAUUAAAUAACUGAAGAUAUAUCAUGUAAAAAUUCCUGUAUUAUCUGUUAUUCUUGCAAUCGGUUCUCAUCGACUGUCUCAACAGGUACAACUCUUAUUCAAUGCACAUCAUUUUCCAGUAAAAAUAAGCUAAAACAUCCAAAACAGCACAAUGACAAACUGAAAUACUUAUUCUACGUUGUUUACAAAUCUAUUGUUUGGUUUGUUUUUUUAGGGUGCCAUUACUAAAAGGAUGACUGCAAUUGAAGAAAUGGCUGGAAUGGAUGUUCUAUGUAGUGACAAAACUGGAACUCUGACCUUGAAUCGUCUAACCGUUGAUCGGAACCUUGUUGAGGUACAAUAGCUGGACUUCAAAAUUUUGAAACUCCUAGUUCUUGCAAUGACUCAAUUUUCAGAUAAAGGUUAAAUAGCCAUGUUCACCUUUUUCUUAAGGUUUUUAGCAAAAAUAUGGACAAAGACUUGGUUGUUCUGCUAGCAGCAAGAGCCUCCAGACUGGAAAAUCAGGAUGCUAUUGAUGCAGCCAUCAUUAACAUGCUUGCAGACCCGAAGGAGGUAAUACAACAACAAAAAUGUUCAAUUUCAAGGUUCUCUUUUUCAUUUGAUUCUUUUAGAUGUUCAUGUCAAAUAAUGAAAGAAACCUUGCAUAUUCAGGCUCGUGCAAACAUCAAAGAGGUUCACUUUCUUCCAUUCAACCCAGUCGACAAACGUACCGCAAUUACAUACAUUGACUCUGAUGGUAAUUGCAAAGGUUUAUUUUUGUGUCCCAGGAUAUUUAGGAUAGUGAUUGAUGAUGAUUUUGUUGUCAUUUUAAAUUGCAAUCAGAACCCAAGGGAAGAAAUUUCAAAGGGGAGCUCAGGCCUCCAUUGGGAGGAUUGCACACUGCGGCUUGCUUAUGCAAAUCUAUGUGGUUGACAUUUUCUUAACCAUCUCUUCAUUUUUUCACUCUGUAUCCUGAAAGAAAUGCUAAUUUCAGGUUCAUCUGGUUGCUUGAAAAACUCUUAAUACAUAAGCCACUGCACUCUUUUUCUCUCCUGAAUUGAUUGAAUCAAUCUUUAUCUACUGUAAGUAUAUAAUCAUUGACUUCCUCUCUGGUUUUUCGUGUUUGCCUAUGCCACACUAGCAUGUUCACUUUUAUAUGUGUUUACUUGGGAAUAUUAUCUGUCAUACUUGUUAAUUUCCUUGUAAGUUAAAGUGACAAAUCUUAUUUCCUUGUUACUGCAACUUUAAAAUGUACCAUUUCAAGUAGCUACUCUCCCCUUCUCCUUUUGGUGUGAUUAGGAGUCAGAAAGAUUGUUUUUCCUGAUUUAUCAAUGCAUCACAUAAAUCCAGAAUUGGCAGAGAUUGCUUUUUCCCUUAACUUGUGGAAUGGACACAUGAAGUUGGAGGUUAUUUUCAAUGGCAACUUUGGACAGUAUUCGUUUUCCUGCUAGAUUGAUGAGCUAUUUUGUUUGAAGUGAAGAAUCGGUUUCAUGGAAGGCCAAUUGGAGUUGAGAGCAGGGUGAAAGAGAUAUUGUAUCGGCUUGAAUUUCUUCUAUUGAAUUCUUACUUUAUAUUUUUAGUUGAAGUGAGAUAUUGAGGCAGUACUUCCAUUUAAUUCAGAAUUGUUGUAAAUUCAAUCGAGUUGUUGAUGAUAAUUCAAUAUGGUUAUGUUUUUUUUUAUUUUUAGAGUUCAAUUCUAUAUGGUUAUGUUUUUUUUUUUAGAGUUCAAUUCUUACUCACUUAUUAAAUUUUAUUAGUUAUAAUUAUUUUAAAUUUUAUUAAAUCAUAUAUUUUAAUUAAAAUAUAUUUAAUAUUAAUUAUUUCAAAUUAUCUUUUAUAGUAUAAUAUAUUAUGAUUUGAGUAAAUUCAUAUAAGAAUAUUAAUUAUUAAGAAUUUUAUUAAAUUAUAUAUUUUAAUUAAGAUAUAUUUAAUAAUAAUUAUGUUAAAUUAUCUUUUAUAGUAUCAUAUAUUAUGAUUUGAGUAAAUUCAUAUAAGAAUAUUAAUUAUUAAGAAUUUUAUUAAAUUAUAUAUUUUAAUUAUAAUAUAUUUAAUAAUAAUUAUGUUAAUAUAUAUUUUAUAGUAUCAUAUAUUAUUAUUUGAGUAAAUUCAUAUCAGAAUAUUAAUUAUUAAGAAUUUUAUUAAAUUAUAUAUUUUAAUUAAAAUAUAUUUAAUAAUAAUUAUAUUUAAAUAUGAUUAAAUUAUUUAUUAUUGAUAAUAAUAAUCUUAUUAAAAUUUAAAUAACAAUAAUAAUAAUCAUUUACCAAAACAAAUUUAUGCUAAGGGUAUUCUAGUCAUUUUAGUUUUUUCCAUUAUGCUAUUACACUUCUAUUCCAUUACACCUCUAUUCCAUUACAUUCAACCAAACAGUUGAUUUGCUAUUACACCUCUAUUCCAUUACACCUCUAUUCCAUUACACCUCUAAUCCAAUACAUCUCUAAUCCAAUACAGCGAACCAAACAUGAUCUAAGAGUUAAAAAAAUACAUUUGAUCUCGUAUGAAUUUGGUUAAAAAUUCUGAUAUUAGUCCCUGUACUUUAUAAAAGCUAUUGAUUUAGUCCUUAUAAUUUAAUUUGGUCAUCUUUAGUCCUUGUACUUUUUAAAUUUGAAAAUUUCAAUCCUCACCAAAUGAUGAUUGUUAAAUUCACUAAGUUAAGUUUUUAUUAUUUCCAAAAUCUGAUGUGCUAAAUAAAUUAUCAUAUGUGUAAUAUCAUGUCAGCUUGUUAUUUCCACAUAUUACAUAAAAAACUUACAGUUAAUAGAUUAACAACUAUCAUUUACAUCAAGAUUGAAAUUUCAAGAUUAACGAUUAUCAGUUAAUAGACUUCUAUUUUCGUUCAUUGGUCUUUGCAGACAUCUCUGUCUUCAAGAUAGUCUUUGGCAGACAUUCCAUAUAAGAUAGUCAUUGGUUGACUUUUAGCAUAAGACGGUCUUUGGUGGACUUCCUUUUUGCUGGCGACCUUGUUGCCAAUACCCAUUUAGGAAUAAGUUCUGUAGAACUGUCUCACUUCCUUAUGACCCUGUUGACUUGUCUGUCACCUCUGGUGGGCUCUUAUUAACGAAUAUUUCUUUGCAGUUACUCUGAAGAAAAUAUCUUUGUUUUUUCCACACAUAUCUACGCACAAGGCAUUUUUACAUAUUCCUCAUGCCUUCCCAUCUUAACCGUACCUCUUAUCAGCACGCUUGUCCACGUUCCUAUAUGUUAUAAGUAUUGUAACUAACUUCAUCACGGGAUUCAUAUAAGGGUUUCCACAUAUAUACCCCGAUUGACUUCCCUGUUUAUUGCCCUGGUGGACUUCAUUUUGUCAAAAGGUGUACCUAUCUUUCAUCCAAUCAUGCCAUGACUCUCCAUGGACUUUUGACUCUGAGGAUUCAAUAAACCUCUUUCGAAGUGUUGCUCUAUAGAGCCUGUAGAUAAUCAUUUUCAUGGUGUCGCUUCGUAGAGCCUGUAGGUAACCAUACCACAACGCCGCCAGACUUUCUUAAAUCCCCUAUCAACUUGUCCAUUCCUCCAUUAUGCCAAUUUUUCUAUCUUCAACUAACCCACCAGAGUAACUUCCAUCAUACUCCGCAUUUUAUAUACAUACAUUUCACGCAUAACAUUAUGCCUACUAUCAUAACAUGUAGUACGCCAUAUGUUAAUACAUCAAUACACAACCAUAUUUUGCACCAAGAGAACAUACUUGCAAGCAUUCAUAUAUUUAUACAAGUUUAUGCAUACAUAACUUUCUCAUUCACCAUAAUAAUAUACAACCAUGGAAUUCAAACUGAACCUAGAGCAAAAAUACAAGCAAAAAUUCAAGAAACACAAUAACCAACAAACACCCAAAAGUGGAGUACGAAACUCAUCUGUUAUCCUUCAUCCUCGACAACUUAGCUUUUACUUAUGCCAGAGCCUCCUUCAUCCUAGCAACUAAGCAUGACAACCAAAUAUAUUGGUUAAACUGAAGGAAUUUGAACUAAAAACCCAGAAUCCAAUAUAAUGUAGAAACUUUUAUUUUCAAAUAUUUCAAAAAUCGUUACUUCUCUUUUUCUCAAUUUUACGAAUACAAAGAGAUGAAGAAGCCUACAGCUCACCGAAUUCUCUACUUUCUAUACUUAAACCUCAUGAUCAUUGUCUCAUGUAGGGCUUUCCUCAACUUUCUCUUCUUCGGAGCAAAUAAAGAAGAUGAUGCAGACGAGAAGAAAAUGAAACAGAAGUGAGAAGAAUUUUACCUCCUGAAAAAUCCUUCUCACACAUAUAUAUAACCAUUCUUGCACGGUCACCAAAGUCUCAAGUAACCUAUCCAUCAGUGAUCAUUCUGCUUCCUACUAAGGAACCAGCUGGUUCCAGCUUAAUUGAACCAGAUUGAGACCUAACUUAGUACCAUUCAGUCACUAAAUUUCCCAGAUUUUUUUAAUGGAGCCCACCAACUUAAUAUCCUUUUCAAUUAAUCCCAAAUCUUUCUUAAUUUUGAACCUUAAUGGAAAUCGAGUAUAACAUGCCUCAACAAGUCGAUUCUGACUCCUUAACAUACAAUGAAAUUGUUGCUUUACCGAUCACCAUUGAACCAUGUAGAAUGUAAAGACUAUCGAUUUUUCGACCUCUCUUUAGAACGAGAGUUAUACGAGAUACUUUAAUGCCGUUUAACUUGAUGGUGAUCCUACAACCCUUCAAGUCUAAAUUUCCUUUCUUUUUAAAGAACAAUAUUAUUAUUUAAUAUUUGAUAUUUUGUAUUUUAUAUGAUAAUUAAAGUAUUCUUUUAUAUUCUAUAUUUCCUAUGACCGUUCUAGAGAUGAAAUUGAUGCAAUCAUGGAUUAACAAUUCAAUCGUUUAAUCGAUGAACCAAUAGAUUGAUAUCAAGAACUAAACUUGAAGAAAUAACUAAAAGCAAAUAACAAGCAUCUCAAUGAUUCUUUUACCAAAUUUGCUAAGAAGUUCAACCAGAUUUAGGAUACCAAAGAGACAACACUAGCAUAAAAAGCUAUAUUUAUUUCCAUCAAAGGCUCACCUGCUAAAAAGAUAUAAAAAAACUAAUAAGAUUCCAAGUUCAUGCAAGAUUUCCAUUGCUGAAGAACUUCCCAACAACCCUGGAAUCCAGUAUUUCAAUGGCUUCCUUAAUUUUAAGGCAACAAGGUGUCUUGUAUUGGAGAGGUGCAGCACCCCUCGAUACAAAGAAAUUCAUCAGUUCAUCGAAUGCUCCGAAUUUCACCACCCUGAUCUCCAACGGCCCGAUCAAAUUCAUCUUCCUAUACAACCUGUAAGUGAAAUCAAGCGAUUCUUCGACUCUACGACAGCAUUGUUCCAUCGUAUUAGAGUCGAGUUUUAGCCGAUCAGUGUUGCUAUCUCUCAGCUUUAGCUCCCAGAACAGUAUAUAUCGACCCGGUAUGGACCAUGUGUCGGCAAAGCUACUGUAUGCCGUCAAAAGAAAACCAUGGGGCUCGAGUUCGAUUUCGGCAGCUUUGAUAGCCUUGCUGAGAUCGGCUUCACUUGUUUUGUCCCUAUCGAUGCUCAAAGCCACGUUUUGUCGUUCCACAAAUUGGAAUUUCGGAGAUUUGUUAUGGAAACCAGUUACCUUUAGAAUAUCUCCAACUCUGUAUCGGUAUAAACCUGACAAUUGGAAAUGAAUCAUGAUAAAAUGAAUCAGUAAAAAUGCAUUAAAUUUCUUUUCGAAUACACCUGACAAUUGGAAGGGACAGAUUGGUUUUUAGUUGAAUUAAUCUGAUAGCGGUCAAAAUUAGUUUCAGGUUUGUGAUUUCAAAAUUCCAUCGGGUUUGUGUUAUUUUGAAUAUUUUCAUUUCGGUUCGGCAGUUUAAUUGAUUUUUUAGUUCAGUUCUGAGUCAACUAAUUUUAUACUUCUUAUUGAUGGAUACUCUAGUCGAUUCUCAGUUUAACCAGUCAGGUUUUGACAUCACCGGCUUUUUAAGUUUAGUAUAUUGAUUUGGGUUACUUUUGAAAUCAAAUUGACUAUUAAGUUAAAUCGAAUUCAAGUUAAUCAAUUUGAAUUUUUAUAUUCAAGAUUUUGCUUAGUAUAAAAGUUGGAAAAGAGAGAUGAAAUUUUUUCAUAAUCACUUUUUUACUUUGUAGCUUAAUAAUUAAAUUGAAGAAUUUUUCAUCCUCAAUAUCAUGUAGAGCCAAACGGAUAUAGUCUCCGAUAUUUUUCGGAGAACAAAAAAUUUGAGAUAAAUUACCUGCCAAAGUUGUGACCACCACUUCGUAAAACUGACCCAUCUUCACAUCAACAAGAUCAACAAUUUGAGCACUGCCAUUCUCCAACUUUUCAAUCGAUUCUUCAUUAGAGACGCCAUUAAAAUGAAGCUUUUGAGCCUUUUGUGGGCUCUCUUUAUCCACAGGGAUGAACUCAAAAUAAGCCAUAUUUGGAAGAAAUGUGUAGGAAACAUCCCAAGGCUUGUUUAAUGGUUCCAUAUUGAUCCCAAAACAUGCUUCUGAAGAAUUAUAAAAAGUUGAAAUUAUAGGCAAUCUUCCACUAUAAUAAUCAAUUAAACCAAUGUAUUGACUCAUCGAACCCGUAACAAUGGCAUCGAUAUACUUUGCUUUAGGCCAAAGUUUCGUGAUUAUCCCUUCCCACGAUUCGUUCUUGAAUAUCGGUUCGAGUAAAUCUGCUAAUUCCGAAUUAGGUUCUAAAAGGAACGACAACAUGGGAGUUCUACAAUCCGGUUCGGUGAUCCAAUCGCUAAGAUGGCCGGUUCGGAUGUCGGAGCAAAUGUCCUUCCAAUGAUCUUGCAAGAACUUGAUGCAAUUGGGAAAAGUCGAAGCGAAGAUAGUGCCGAUACGGAGAACCUCGUGUCGUCGGAUUAGGCCGAUGAGUAACUGACAAUACAUGCUUUGGGGUUUGUUUAAAGACAAGAUGAUUUCAAUUGGAGUGGUGACAGUUUUAAAGAGGGUGGUUUUGAAGGUGGGGCUUGAUAAGUAGCUAGAUGAGAACAUUCUUGCUUUUAAACCAGAUGGAGUGUCGAAAUCUGGGUUGCUGAAUAAAAGGUACAUUCCUUUGCCUUUGUCUAAACCCUCAAUAUGUCUGCAGGUUUUGUCAAUUUAUUACCAACAAGUUAAAGCACACAUUGAAAUUAUUAUCAUAGAUAAGGAUACAUCAUAUAGGUACCGUAGAUGAUAGUAAUAUUUCGAGUUAAAUUACUAUUUGGGACCUAAAUUUGGUAACAAAUUCACAUUGAAACCUUAACUAUUUUUUGGUUUAAUCUAAUAUUGGGGCUUGAAAUAAGAAAUUUUUCCGCAUUGGGGCUUAAAUUUUUUUUGUCCAAGUUAGUCUCUGAAGUUGACAAUUGUUCUCAUAUUAGGCCUUGAAGCUGGCAGUUGUUCUCGUAUUGGAGCCUAAACUUUAGGGUUUUCAACGAAAUAUCAGGGGCUAACUUGGACUAAAAAAAUUCAUACCCCAAUUUGUGAACAAUUACCAAUUUUAAGGACUAACUUGGACAAAAAAAUUCAACCUUAAUGUGGAAACAAUUACCAAGUUCAAGGACUAAUUUAAAAAAAAUUUAAACUUCCAUAUAAAAAUAAUGGUCAAAUUCAAAUCUCUAAAAUUGAUUUAACCCUGAUUUUUUUAGUCAAUUUAUAAUUUUCAUCAUGGUACUAUAUUCAAUUUCAUGAUUUAAUCAUUAUAAUCUGAUUUGGUCCACCUACCAUUAUUUUUGUUUAGAAUCCUCAAUUAUUAUUUAUAUAAUAUAUUCAUCUGGUGUUUAUUUAUUUUACAAAUAAUUUGGGUUUGAAUGUGUGAUUUAAAAGGGUGGAAUUAUGAUUAUGAAAUUGUGAGUAAAGAUGGUUACUUGUGCAUCACAGCUUCCAUCAACAUAGGGAUUGAAGCCCUUUUCUGCGAGCAAUCAGCAGUGGAAAGUACAUACUUCGGCUCCCCUCCCGAGGUACCCGAGCUGCAUCAAAACUUUGUUACGCCCAACUUCAAUUGAAUUCUUAAUCCAUGGCUAAUGGUAUCAGUUAAUAUUAUAAAUUUAGUGUACCAGUGAAUUUUAUUAUUAAAAUUAUUUGAAAAAAAUUAUCACAAAAUAAUUAAAUUCAAGUAUUAGAUUUUGAAUGGAAAUUUAAAAUGACUCGAUAAACUUAAAAUAUCUUAAGAUUAAAUGUCAAACCUGAAUAAUAAAAAAAUACAAAAUGCUUUAAACCUUAAAUAAUUUCAACUCAAAGUAAUUUGAACUCAAAAUGCAUAAAAUCUAAAAUAGUCCAAACUUAUAAUCCAAAAAUUUUGAAGUCUAAUUCAAUCGAGAUUGACCCAAACCAAUCUAAGAUCAACCCAAUCUAUCUAAUUGAUAAGUCUAAAAUUUAGGGACAAAUGUGAGGGGUAGGCAAGGGCAUAGCCCCCUCUAAUAGAAAAAUUGUCAUUUAAGUUCUUUAUUAAAUGAUUGAAUUAAAAUUAAUUUAUAAUAAAAUUAUAAUUUGACCCCUCAAAAAUGAAACUGUAUCAAUUCUUACAAAAAUGAUGAAAUCAUAGAUCAGUGUAUUAUAAAAUUAUGUUAUAAUCCCUUAAAAUUUUAUUAUUCUUCUCUAAUUCUCUAAAAAAAAAUUUUAGAUUCACCUCUACUAAAAUCAUAGAAGUAUAUAUAUUAACUUCGUACCUUAGGAUGAACUCAGUAAUGGUUUCGGUAGUAAGGAUAUUCGGAGGCUCCCCGUCGACGAUCCGGUCGAUAUAAGACUUGAUAUCUUCGUAAGUAACGACGGGGACAUAUUUUUUGAAGAGUUGUUUAUCAGUUUGGCCAUGGAGAAACUUGUUCAAGUAAUCAGUUUCAGCAUUUCGUUUCAAAAUGUUCUCCAAUAUUUUCUCUUGCUCUUCACCAGCGUUGCUUGUUUGUUCCUCUAUUUUUUUCAAAAGAUAUUCAAUCCUACUUUUCUCCAUAAUGAACUACUCUUUCGAAUAUCAAAAACUAUGCAACUUGGGAGACACAUGCAUGGUCUCAAGAUUGAUAUUUAUAAUGAAUAGCUUGGACAACCUCACGUAACGAAUAUAUCAUCUCCUCUCUCUAUAAUAGUUAUAAUCAAUAACUACAUUUUAUUAUAAUAGUCAAGCUUGUGGUACAAUCGAUUUUUUACUUCUUUUUUUUUAUUACCCUCUAUGAUAACUUUUAUCUAUGAUUGCAAACAUAAAGUAUGAAAUACAUUUUUUAGUUAAUUAGUUCUAUUCCUAAAUGAAAUAAAAAUGAUAAAUUUUAGUUACUAUAUUAUUUCAAUAAAAUAUUUAAAUUAUAUAUAAAAUAUAUUAAUUAUAUUUUAUUAGAUAAAAAUAAUAUUUUACAUUUGUAAAUUUUAUUAAAGAUGCGAGUUAAAUCUUAUUAAUUAAUAAUAUUGUUAAUAUGUUAUAGUUUUUAAUUAUUUUGAAAUUAAAAAAAAUCAAAUAUGAUCUAAAACUCAAAUGUCGGUAUAAAUGUUUCAGAUGUUGUUAUAGCAUAUAACCCCUCCUCAACCCAUAAAUAGGAAGUUAAUGCACUUCAGUGCACUUGAACUUACGUUUUUUUGAAUUGGCAACAAUACUUAUAUCAAUCGAGUUAAGACUCAAUCGAAAAAUAUUGAUAUAUUAAAUUUUAUUAAAUAAGUCUAUGAAAUAGAAUAAACAAAACAAAAAUGCAUCCUUUUUAGGGUAUAAUUUAGCCAAGCAUUUGGAUUGCUAUUUGGUAGGUCGUAAAUAAAUUGAAGAUAGGCAAUUAUUAAAGUUAGGUGAUGGCACAAUAUGUACAGUAGAAAACAAUUAAUUUAUUCAUCUAACAUUAUUAUAUUAGGACACAAGUGAAAAAUAAAAAUAAAUAUAUUUAUAAAAAUCGAUAUAAUUGAAUAUGUUUUAAAUUUUAUAAAGAGAUUUUUUGAUAAUUUCACUAUUUAAUUAAUAUUCACUUUUUAGUAAAGAUAAACUUAUGCUCAAUAUAAAAAAUAUUCUCAUAAAAUAAUUAAAAAUAAAUAAGCUUCUAAUUGAAAACAACACUCAAUUCAAUUCUUUGAAUUAGAAAUUGCACUAAAUUAAGCUUUACAAAAUAUAGUUUUUUUUCUGAAAAGACUUAUAUUAUGGUGUGAUGGUUAACAUUAGAGGUGUUUAUGGGACAGGUCAGGUUGAGUCUAAGCAUGAUAUUAGCAUACUUUAUGCUUGCUCAAGCUCAGCCCGGCCCGAAAUGUGAGCUUAAAUUUUACUCAGAUUUGUCUAUAUUUGCAAAAAUUAACUGAAGCCCAUUUUAGACUCGUCCAUAUUAUUUUUUAAAAUUUUUUUAAAAAAUAUUUAGAUUAUAUUAUUUUAAUAUUUAAUAAAAUUUUAUAUAUUUUUUUUAUUUAUUGCAAGUUUUUAUAUUGUUAUCUUAACAUUUUAAUAUUCAUAUUAGAGUAGUAUUAUAUAUUUAGUAUAGGUUUAUUUUUUUAAUGUGUUCUAAAUUACAUAAUAUAUAAAAAUAACAUAAUAUAAGUAUUAUAAACUUUAAAAUGGGUCAGCUCGGGUCAGACUCUGGAGUUGAAUGUUCAAGACCGAGCCCGACCCAUAUUUUAAACGGGCCUAAUUUUUUUCCCAAUCUCAUUUUUCGAGCAUAAUAUUUUUGUCUAAACCCUCUCAAAUUUCGAAUGAGCCUUUGAGCUUUGAUAGAUAGCCUGACCUAUUAACAAGUCUAGUUGACAUGACGUUUGAAUUGAAAAUUGAUAACAUAAUAGUUGACGUGAUGGCUUAAUUUUUUAAUUAUUUUUUAAUGAUUUAAUCAAUUUUUUAAUUGUUUUGAUUGAGAAGAGAUGAUGGAAGAAAAGUUUAUAAGAAUAAAUUGUGAUGUAGGUAGUGCCUAAAAAGAAAUAAAAAAAUAGUAGUAACUUUUUAUUUUUUAAAAAUAUUUAUAAUUUUUAAACAAUUUUUCUAAAAUUAUAUAUAUUAUAGUUUUAUAAUUUUAAAAUAAUUUUCAUAAUUUUUUAUAUUUCUUAUAUUUUUUUAAAAAAAUUAAUACUUUAAUACCUUUCUAAUUUUUUAUAACAUUUCUAAUAACUUUUAUAACUUUUUAAUAAUUUUAAUUCUUUUCUAAAAUUUUCUAUAAUCGUUUAUAAUUUUAAUAAUAUUUUAAUUAUUAAAAAUAACUUUUUAGUAUUUUUAUAUUUUUAUAAUUUUCAAAUUUUUUUCCAUGCCAAUGGUUAGAUUAUCAAUAUUUUACUUCAGUGCUACAUCAAUUAUCGUGUCACCACUUAAUUAACAACCUAUAAAAAGCUUUAACAAAAAACUAUAUUUAAGAAAUUUAGUUUAAUGUAACCUAUGAUUCGAAGGGUUGUGAUAUGUUUUCAAUUAGCACCUUAAUUAAUUUUUAAUUAUUUUACAAGUAUAUUUUUGCAUUUAAGCAUGAGUUAAUGUUACAAACCAAAUAACACUAAUUCAAUUUCAUAAAAAAAUAAAGCUACUUCAAUUGAAAAUUAAUCAAAAAUUAAAUAAAUUUAAUUAAUAAAUAUAAUAAUAUUUGUUUCGCUUAAAAUAAUUACUAACAAUUUAUUUUAAAAUAUUACUAUCUGUCUAAGUUCCAAAGGCCCGUUCGAAAUUUGAGUAAAAAUAUUAGGCUUGAAAAUGGACUUGAAUAAAAAAAUUAGACUCAUUUAAAAUAUGUAUAACUCGAACAAAUAUAAAACCAAUGAACUCCUCGACUAUUUACUUAAAAAAGUACCGACAUUUUAAUUUAUAAAAAAUUAACCAUCUUUUUAAAGAGAAAAUAUUUUUCAUGCAUUAUUUUUCCAAAAAAAAAUUAAAUAAAAGACCUCCAACAUAAUCUUUGUGUCAAAUUCUAGUAUAAAUGUAAAUUAAAAGUAACAUGAAUUAUUUUAUUUUCUUAAGUUAAAAUUAAUUAUAUCACUUUUAUACAAAUACAAGGUAAUUUCUUUUUGAAAUAUAUAUUUUUUGUAAAUAAAAUUAGAUUAUGAGUAAAAGAAAUUAUGUAAAAAUUUAUAUUUCUUAAAAUAUUAUAAAAGAACCAAAUCAGACUUUAGUUGAAAUAAUAAAGUUGGAAGUUUAAGAAGUAUGACAUUAAAAUAUAGUAUUUUUUUAUUGUUUUCACUAAAAAUGCUUUGUAAAAUUGAAAUUGAUGAAAAUAAUAGUUCUUAACUUUAAAAGAAUUGAUCUUGAUUCAAAUUCAUAUAGAGACACAAAAAAUAUUUUUUUUCAAUACUCUUUUUAAUAUCAAAUCCGGUAACUUGAUUCAAAUCGAUAUAAAUGUAAUUUUUUUAAUUUUUUUUAUUUUUCAUGUUUCUAUUACAUAAAAAUUCGCACAAAAAAUGUUUUGUAACACCCCAAAAUCUGGCCCAGAAGUUUUGACGGAUCUCGGAGGUCACAUUGACCACCGAAAUGAUCUAAAAGCAAUUUGUAAAAGAAUUGUUUAAAACUCGUUUUGAAUACAGUUUGCUAAAACCGAACUAAAUUAUUUAACAAUUUAUGGUUCAAAAUUGUAAUAAGUGGCGUUAAAAAUAUUCAGAAAUAAAAACCACAGUUUCUAAAACUCAAUCCAAAUAACACUUACGAAAAUCCAACGUAAAAUUUAUACCACGACUCCCAUAAUUACUUACAGACCAAAACAGUUUAAUAAAUUAAGAAUUGAAGAAAAACUUUAUUAGCUUAGGUCAAAACUUAUCAUGCCGAGACCUCCGGUAUGUUGAGUCCAGCUCUAGAAUACGAGAGUUCUUGAAAUGUUUAUUUACUAUUGAAUUGAAUUGAAUUAUAUAUGUUUAUUUGUCUUUGGAUUGCUAUAAAUGUCAAAUGAGCAACUACGAGCAAGAAUCGACAGAGUUAUGAUAUUUGAAAGUCUCAUACGAACCUUAGGAAUAGUAUAGGAUACAAAUGUCAUGACAUUAGGUGACCAAAAUGUGAUUACAUGUAAGACCAUGUCUGGGACAUUAGCAUCAUUAAUCAAUUUCGUGUAAGACCCUGUCUGGGACAAUGGCAUCGAUAUGUGAUAACAUGUAAGACUAUAUCUGGGAUAUGGCAUUGUACGAGUUAUAUGUGAUUGUCGAGCAUCCUUAACGAUUUCGAAUGGUUCAACAGGCAUAGUCAAGACAAGAAUGAAAGUACGAUCGAAAUAAAUAUUAGAGGUAUGUACAAAACUUAUGUGAGAAUCGAAUGAAAGUGGUGAGUUCGUAUUAUAUCAUGUAUAUGAAAUGAAAAAGAUUUUUUUAUAAGUAUAUUUCAUGCCAAAAUGUGUUUAUAUGGCUAUAAUAAGGUAUGAAUUGAAUGAUAUGUAAGAUAUGAGUUAUAGUUGUUUUAACUAAAUAUACAUAUGGCACAUAGUGUGUGAAACAUCGUUAUUUGAUAUUAUUUCACAUAAUUCACUUGGCUAAAGAAAGGUGAUAAAUAUUGAAUUGAAUAUAGUUUUAUAUAUAUAAUUGCUUAUGCAGAUGAAAAUGUGAAUGAAUUGAUAAGAAGUAUUCAAACCAUACGUGUUUUGAAUGAAUAAACUCAUGAAAAUCUUGAUUAACUAUGUGCAAUCAAUUCGAGAUAGAAUGGUGAAAUCAUAUGAAUUAUAACAUGUUUUGAAUAAUUGUUUAAAAUGCGGUUAUUUAAUAAUAUGAGUUUAUUACCAUAUGAGCUUACUAAGUUUUAUAGCUUACUUUAUUUUCUUUUCCAUGUUUUUAGAGUUUCAGAGAAGCUUGCUCGGGUUGGAAGUCGUUAGAGAUUUCAUCACACUAUCCAGCUAUGGUUUGGUAUUUAUAAGCUUUGUGAUAUUGGUUAUAUGGCAUGUAUAGGCUUGAGUCUUUUUUAUGAAUAUUUUGGUGAUGUAUUUGGUCAUUUGGUAUAUGAUGAGUAUUUACUUAUGAAAAGCAUGAUUUUAGACUUGAUAAGUGAAUGGCUAAUAGAUGAUAUUUAUGAGUCAAGCUUUGUGUGUAUUUGAUGGUAGCAAAAAUACAUAUUGAAAGAGGUUGUAUUGAUGAGUAUGAUAUGUACUUUGGUAUAUGAUUGAAUAGGUGAUUAAUGAGGAAUGACUCAUGCUAGUUUGGUAUGUGUUUGAAUGUACAAAUAGUAUUGAUUUGAGUUGAUGAAAUGGAUAGAAUUGAUAUUGUAAGUUUGGUGCAUGAAAUAGCAUGGUUUGGCUGCCUAUUAAUGUAUUGAAAUGGCAUGAAAUGUGGUGUUUUAGGUAUGCUUGAAAAUGGUAAGAAAUAUGGCUUCAACCAAGCCUAUUUUCACUCCACACGGCCAAGCACACGGGCGUGUGACUUAACCGUGUAUGACACAUGGCCUUGGUACACGGCCGUGUGUCCCUUGGGGUACCCUUUCGAAUUAAGUCAGUAUACCCUGCAGGUUUGGUGUAACACCCCUUAACCCCAAACCGUCACCGAAACGAGGUUAUGAAGCAUUACUAGACCUAUCGGACAAUUUACAAUUAAUAUACAAAUAAUUAUUAAACAUAAUAUAAAAUAAUCUUAAAGUCCCUUAAAUGGACCCUCGAGGCCCAAAAUACGAGUUAGGAGUGAUUCGGGACUAAUUCAGGUGCUCGGGGAAUUUUUUAUUUUUAUUUUAUUAUUUUAUUUUGUUUUAUCUUUUUGUGUGAACUCAAUAUAGCCCCUUUAUAAAUAUCUAACAUUCCCUGCAAUUUUCAAACUGAAUACAAUUCAAAACACCAAACUUACCAAAUUUGUCAUACCAUUUUAUUAAACUUAGUACCAAAACACCAAAUAUCAUUCAUUACAACCAAAAUUAUAUAACUUUUUAAAGUGACCAUUACAACACCUAUGUACAUGUCACUUUCAUUUAAGGAAGAAAACAUCACCAAUUUUUUUUCUACUAGAGUCAGGAUCGUUCAUUAAACUAUCCAAUUAACAAUAACAAUAUAAUUUUUUUAGCUAUUCUUCAAUUUCAUUCACAUAUCAUAUGUCUUAAUUUCAAUCACUACAUGAACAUUAAGUUCAUGCCUUUCAUUUCCAAUCUCAAUUUCAGUCCACAAUUCAACUUUCUCACAUUUUCAAUAGUACAAUCAAUCAAAUUAAUUUAACUUUUCCUAUUUUGGUUGUUCACCCUACUAACAAACCUGAACUUUGACAGACACACGGAUUCCAACCCAAACACACCAAUGCGACACAUUGUGCCUAAAAUGGUACAUAGUACCUGAUCAGUAUACGACACAUAAGUGCCUGGAAUAUGGCACAUAAAGUGCCUGAUCAGCAAAGCCUAAAUUUCGUACUCUUCCAAAUCCUAUGGCAUGCCAACUAUAUCUGACUUAGCCCGACUAGUUAAUAUGGUAUUCCAAUUCUCAAUUAAAUUUUCACUUUCAUACUAAAUUUUAUAUCACUAUUCAAUUUCAAUUUCACAUUCAAUCAAUAUACAAUUCAAUUAUACAUACAAACUCACCAUCCAAUCCAAUUCCCAUUCAACUCAAAUAUUAAUACUCACCUUAUGCUCAUUUAUUAAAUAUAAAAUUUAUAUAAAAUAUUUAAUAAAAAGUAAUUUGAAUUAUAGUAAUACAAGCCCGGAUUUAUUCGAUUACUCCUCGACAACUUUUCCCUUUCCUUUCGAUGCUAAUGCUUCGGGUUCUUUGCUAGCUACGAAAAUUAAAAUAAUUAUACCAUUAAUUACAACACUAAUUAUAAGAAAUACAUAUAUCACAAUUGUACAUAUAAAUAUUUUUACAUUUGUAUAUUAUCAUGACGAUCCAUUUGUCUUUCUUUUAUUUAUUUAUCAUACAAAAAUCUUAUAAUAUAAUUAUUUAAUUAAUAAAUAUCUUUAACUUAAAUUUUAAGUAAAUAAAUAAUUAUAAUACAAGUGUAUAUAUAUACAUUAUUACACUUGUACCAUCUUAUCACCAUACACUUGUCUUAAUUUAUUUUAUUUCAUAAUAUAAUAAUAUUAAUAAUAAUAUUUAAAUAGAAAACUAUAAUAAUUAUUAAUAAUUAUAAAAAUAAUAAAUUAAUAACAAAAUCUUAAGAUUUUAUACUCAUUAACCGCCUCAUUCUAAACAAUUAGUCUAAUUGCUUAUUUAGCUCAUUAAGUUUUUCUUAAAUCUAUAAUUAAACUUUCACCUUUUUCGCAGUUACUCUUAAUUAUGCUAAAUUCACCUAAUUAAAACUUAAUUAAGCUCACUACUAGACUUAUAAAUAUUUCUAAUAAUUAUUUACGAACUUGGUUUACUAAGACGGAGGCCCGAUAAUAGCCUUUUUUGAUGCCCGUUAAUUUUGGUUCAUUACAUUUCUCCCCCUCAAUAAAUUUCGUCCUUGAAGUUUACCUGAGAAAAUAUGAGGAUAUUGUGCUCUCAUCAUUUCGUAGUGAGCUUAAUUAAGUUUUAAUUAGGUGAAUUUAGCUCAAUUCAGAGAAAAUAGUAAAAAGGAAUACUAGCUCGGGAAAUAAAAGAGCUAAGAAAUAAACGGGUUCCUCUAGUGAAAGUUUUAUGGAGAAAUCAUAAUGUAGAGGAAGCAAUCAUUUCUUCCGGUUCCCAAGUUGCUUCCUCUACAUUAUGAUUUAUCCAUAAAACUUUCACUAGAGGAACCCAUUUAUUUCUUAGCUCUUUUAUUUUCCGAGCUAAUAUUCGUACUGGCUCUUCUUCAUAGGAUAAAUCUUAUCUAAUUUCAAUUUAAUCCUUUUUCGCAAUUACUCUUAAUUAAGCUAAAUUCGCCUAAUUAAAACUUAAUUAAGCUCACUACUAGACUCAUAAAUAUUUCUAAUAAUUAUUUACUAACUUGGUUUACUAAGAAGGAUGCCCAAUAAUGUGUUUUUUCAAUGCCCGUAAAUUUUGAGUCAUUACAUUUGGCAUGGCCUACACACACGGCGUGUCUACUGGUCGUGUGUGGCACACGGGCUGGCAUAUGGGCAUGUGGUCAGACGUGUAACCCAAGUCAGUAACCCCUCUAGAUUUCACACGGCCUAGCACAUGGGCAUGUCUUCGGUCGUGUGGUGCAAGCCAGUAUGUAUGCCUUGUUUUUACAUGGCCUGUGACACGGGCGUGUUUGGUGGCCAUGUGAGGCACACGGCCUGUUCACACGGGCGUGUGACCCUUAAAACCUUGAAAAUUUUCUAAGUUUUCCAAAGUUUUCAAAUAUUAUCGGUUUAGUCCUGAAUCUCUUUUAAGCAUGUUUUAAGGUCUCGUAGAGCCAUAAAAGGGUACACUUUUUUAUAUGACACCUUUAAAUGCUCCAAGCAGUGAUGGGUUCCAUGCCUUGUUCUAUCAGAGUCAGUGGGAACAUGUUGGUGCUUCGGUUUGUGAGUGGGUCAAAAGGGUUUUUUUAUGUGAGCAAAUGAAUCCGAGUUUAAGUAAUACACUCAUUAUACUUAUCUCCAAGAUUUAAAACCUAGAUAAUUUUUUCUCAGCUCCGCCUUAUCAUCUUUUGCUCUGUCAUUUAUAAACCAGUUAUUAAGGUUAUAGCAAUCACUUCAAAGUUAUAUUUCCGAAGAUCAUCACUCCUGAGUAGGUUGGGUUUGUAGCGGGUGGAAAUAUCAUAGACAAUAUCAUUUUGCUCAAGAGGUUGUUCACUCUAUGAGAAGUAAACAGAAGAACAAAAUAUGGAUAUUUAUCAAAAUUAAUCUAGAGAAAGCGUAAGACACAUAUUGGGAUUUCAUAGAUGCUUCACUCCAGGUUACAAGCAUCCCCAACUUUCUCCGUAAUGUUAUUAUGUUUGUUAUUUCUAGUUCUUCUGUGUAGAUUCUUUAGAAUAAGGAUCCGAUUCAAAAAUUUAGGCUAGUGAGGGGUGUUUAUUAGGGUUGGCCUCUAUCCCCUUAUCUAUUUAUUUUGUGUAUGGAGUGGUUGGGCCACAGUAUCCGUUUAGUCAUUGAUUCUGGUGAUUGGUCACAUAUACAUCUAUCACGCACAGGCCAGCCACUGUCUCAUCUCUUUUUUGAAGACGAACUGAUUCUCUUUGGCCAUAUGGAUAAGCGCCAAGUGAAGAUCAUUAAAGGCAUCCUGGAUAAUUUUUGUAAUUUUUUAGGUCAUAAGAUUAAUAUGCAGAAAACCAACAUCUUCUUUUCAAAAGGUCUGGAUGGUACCUUAGAAAGAUGUAUAAGUAACAUUUUUAGCUAUUAGGAAGUACAAAACCUAGGGACUAAUCUAGGAGUGUAUCUCUUUCACCACAAGGUAACAUACAAUACCCUAUGAUUCGUUGUUGAUAGAGUGAGAAGUAAGCUUUCAAGUUGGAAUGCUAGAAAACUCUUUCUAGCCCAUAGGGUCACUUUGGCCCUGUCAGUGUUACUUGUAAUCCCAAGCUAUUUCAUGCAAUCUAUAAUGAUCCCUGAAGGUUUGUGCGAUGAAAUUGAAAAAUAGUCAGACAAUUCAUAUGAGGAUCCUAUAAUGAGUUUAAAAAGAUGGGUUUAGUGAGCAAGGAUCUAGUGUGUCAACCUAGGGAUCAUGGUGGUCUUGGGCUGAGGCAUUUGAGGGACCAUAAUACUUUUUUUAUGAUGAAGACUAGUUUUAAUAUUAUAACAAAUACCAACGUUCUUUUGGUUCGGGUUCUCAAAUCAAAAUACAGAGUGCAAAAUUGUUUACCAGAAUCCCUUUCGAGUGGGCAUGGCUACUUCUUAUGGUGUUCUCUCGUCAAAGUAUGGCCACUUAUUCGUGAGAACUUACUUUGGUCAGUUCGUAAUGAGGAAGAUAUUAAUUACUGGAAAGAUCUUUGGAUUCCAAAGAUUGGCCUUCUAAUCGAGCAGAUCCCAUAUGUUUCCAACUUUGACAUGGACUGUUCUCUUAGGGAUAUGGUUACGGGUGAUGGUUCUUGGAAUCUUAACUUUUUUCCCCUUUGGUGCAUCAAGGAGAUCAUUGCUAGGAUUGUAGGAAUUCCACCUCUUCAUCCAUAUGCUGGCUCGGAUAGGGUCAUGUGGGGGAGUUCUUUAACGGGUUAUUUCUCAUUGAAAAGCGCUUAUGGUAAACUACAGGAGGAAGAUUGGUUUGAAAGAAUCUAUUUGGCAGCUUUCCUUGAAAGUUUCAAGGACCUUAACGGGUUAGAUUCUUCAUUUGGAUUGUUCUAAAAUGUCAAUUACUCGCGAAUGUAGAAAGGGUAAGGCGAGGAAUAAGGAGUGUCAACACUUGUAUAAUUUGUGGGCAUGACCUAGAAGAGCUACUGCAGGUCCUUAAAGAUUCCCUGUGGCUAGGGAGAUUUGGAACAAGCUUAUUCCUAUUGAAAAACAAGUUCGUUUUUACUCUGGAUCCCUUCAUGAAUGGAUCUUUUUGGAUGAUUUCUUAAUGUAUAUGGAAAAAUCACAACAGUUUUGUUUUUCAGGAUAUCACUUGAAGCACGGAGGAAAUCAUCAAGGUUUCUUAUAGUUGGGCAAUGCAAUAUGCAUCCUUUUAUAGGUUGCCUUCACAGAGGACACGUAGUUCUCCUACUAGUCCGCACUUGGCACAUAAUUGGGUGCAUUUGAACACAGAUGGGUCGAUCAAAAUUGAGGAUGAUUUUGCAGCAGUUGGAAGCUUGGUACAAGAAUGCAAUAGUGAAUGGAUUUUCAGUUUAUACAGAUAUUUGGGUUGUAAUGUGUUGGAGGCUGAACUGUGUGGCAUCUUGGAUGGGUUGAAUCUGUCACUAGAUCAGGGUUUCAAGUACAUCUUAAUUCAAACGGAUAGUUGUAAAGUUGUUAACGCUAUUCAAGAGGCAUUUGUAGGAGAUUCCAAGUCCACUAUGAUUAGAAGAAUCCAUCAACUCUUGUCAAAAGUCCUUCAUUGGAGCAUUCAACAUCCCUCGAGAUGAGAACAAGUUUGCAGAUAGUUUGGUUAAGAUGGUUCGUGAUAAGAGAACAAGAUUGCGCCUUUUGGAAGAUCUCCGCUUGAGGGAGUAGCUUAAUUUCUUUUGUUUGCUUUUAUUUUUUUUCACAAAAAAAAACAUGUUUUUUUAUUUUCAUUUUUGUAAAAAUGUAGAAAAUAAAAAUGAUUUUUCAGAAAUAAAAAUAGAUAAUGAAAAAUAUUUUUAAAAACUAAAACGAGUUUUUUUUCAGUUUCCAAUUAAUUAAAAUUUAAUUGACAUGUUAUAUUAAUUCAAUCAAAUAUUUAAAUAAUAAUAUAGAUACGGAAAUAUUAAUUGUUUCCCUUAAACAACUCCAGCUAAAUUACACUUUAUUAAAGACUUAUUUUAUGUUGAAUGUAGUUUUCAAGGUCAAUUAUUUUUAUUAUCUAUACUAAUAUAACUAUUUUGAUUUAAUUUGUUGUCAUGAGUUAAAAAUAUCAUCUCAUAAAUUACAAAUAAAAAUUGAUAAUUACUUACUUAAAAAAUACUAUAUUUUUUUACAAAAAUAAUAUGUUUUUAUUACAAAGGGUAAACCACACUAGUAGUCACCCGACUAUUAGUAACUAUUUUUUAAGUCACUCAACCAUAAAAAGUUACAAAAUGGUCAACUAAUUAUCUGACCUUUUCUGUUUUGGUGACAAGCCGUUUAAUAUUAAUAGAAAGAUAACUUGACAGCUUUUAAAUUUGACAUAAUAGCAACUUUAACCAAAUUUAUACAUUGAAUCAAUCAGUCUUGAUUCUAAAAAAUUGAACCCUCAACAUUUACGCAUUAUGUAAUUGAUCUUUUUUUUUUGUAGCUUUACUUUCUUUCUCUUUUUUUUUAACACUGAAGGUUAAUUUUAAAUGAAUGAGAAGCGAUGAAAUUAUUAUCUUGAAUUUUGGAUGUUUCCAUUUUUGGUAUAUUUUCAAUCAAAAUUAACUGAUAAAAUUUAUUUUUUUUAGCUUUUUAGGUGAAAAUGUCACAAAGAAAAGUAAUUUUGCAAAAAAAAAAAAGAAGAUCAAAUUACACGACGGGCAAAUGUUGGAGGUUAAUUUUUUUUUUUUUAGAAUCAAAGCUUAAUAUAUACAAUAUAUAACUGUUGAGGGUUAAUGUUAAUGUUAUGCCGCUAGCUAUUUAACAACUGGUGACCAGAAAAAGCAAAAUUGAAUAAUCGAGUAACCAUUUUAUAACUUUCUAUAAUAAGGUGACCAAAAACGAAACAUAGAAAUAGUUGAGUGACUGAUAGUGUUUCAAAAUGUAUUAUUCUAUUAGGACCAUGUUAAUACAAAAAUUCCUUUGAUUCACCCCUAAUUAUUAGUAGUUAUUGGUUCAUUCCUAACUAAGCAUACAUUAAAUACAUGCCAUUAACCCCAAUUUAUUUAUUUAUUCUUGCAUCUGCCCUAAUCCAAAUGUGAUAAACAUGAACACUUGUAGGAUUAUUGUCCAGUUCUGCCUGUAUGAUCCAACUUUGGAUUAAAAAAAUUUUGUUUCCAUGUCAACUUUACUUAAAUUCAAAUUAAAUAAAAAAUUAUUUAAAUUUAAUUAUAAUAUAUAAAAAUAUUUUUAUUAUUAUGUGAACAAAAAAAGAAAUUGAAAAAUUAAAUAAAAUUCAACAUUCAAAAACCGUAGCAUGAACCAACCUAGUUUCUUGACAGUGAUCGAAUCAAACAGAUCAUUAGUUCACUGUCCGAUUAAUUUAAUUGAUUUAUGUUAAUUUGAUUUAGUUGGUCCGCAUUGAUUUAUGAAUUAAUUAAUUUUGUAUCUCUUAAUAAAUUUUAAAUUUAACUAAUAGACUAAUCCAAUCUAAUUCGAAUAAGAUUGUUUACACCGUAUUUGCAAUGUCAUUAAAGAGUAUUGUACGAUGCUGAAAUAGUAAAUCCGCCGGCUGAAGCCUCUAGCUUGAAAAUGGCCACCUAACUCAGCCGACCUAGCCGGUUGGUAAAUUAUUCAAAAUAGUAGAUUUACAUAUUUUUAAAUUAUUAAUAUUUUAUGUAAACCAUACCUAUCGAAUUUUAAAUAAAUUAAAAAAUUGAUGUUGUUCAUUGAAUGUUUAUAAAUUUAAUUAUUAAUUAAUUUUUUAAAUAAUAUAUCUUUUAAAAUUAUUUUUUUUGGUAAAUUGUAAAAAUAGUCACUUUUGUUUGCCUCAUAUUAUAUUUUAGUCACUUAUGUUUGAAACGUUACGUUUUAGUCACUUACAUUAUCGUUUUGUUACGAAGUGGUCACUCUACUGUUAAGCUCCAUUAACUUCCUAACAACGGUCCUACGUGGUAGUCCAAAUGGGCUUUAAAUGUUAACUUGGAUGUCCUACGUGGCAGUCCAAAUUAAAUUUAUUUAAUUAAAAAUCUAUUUUUAUCUCAGCAACUGAACAUCUAAAUUGGCACUUAAAACCCAUUUGGAUUACUAUGUAGGACUGCCAUUAGGGAUGUAAUGGAGUUUAACGGUAAAGUGAUCACUUUGUAACAAAACAAUAACAUAAAACAUAACAUUUCAAACAUAAGUGACUAAAAUGUAAUCUGAGACAAACAAAAAUGACUAUUUUUGUAGUUUAUCCUAAUUUUUAAGUCAUUAUUCAAAUUGUUUGAACAUAAUUAAAAUAUAUUAUUUAAUAAUUCAAUCAUAAUAAAAAAAUUAAUUUUAAUUAAAGCACUAUCAUAUUCAAUGCAAAAAAUAAAUUUGCUUUAAUACAAAAAAAAUUAUUCAAAAUAAUUUACUUUGAUAAUUCGCUAAUAAAAUGAAGUACUAUAAUUAAUAAAAUCAGUUUCUGAAUAAUGUAUUUUAAUUAUUUUUUAGUUAUUUUAAAAAUUAAAUUCUUCAUUAUUGAAAUUUCAUUUAAAUUUUAAUAUAAAUAAUAUUCUUAAAAAUAUUUAAUUAUGCUUUAACAUAAAUAUAAUUUAUAAAUAAAUAAAAAAACCACUUCACAAACUAAUUAGCCAGAUAAAAAUUAACAAAAUCCAAAAACUUAUAAAACAUAUAUUAAUAUUUUAUUUUACAACAAAUACAUCAAUUUUCCUCAAUUUAAAUUCCUCCUCAAAAUAUAAAAAAACCUUUAUUAUUCUAUGAUUUAUGCAUACGUGAUUUUUUUUUUACUUUUUUUUGAAAAUGUUUUAUUUUUUAUAAUAAUUUUUUUACUCGUCAUUUUAAUUUCAAGUUUAAACUUGUAUUAAUUAUUUUUUAUUUUAUGUCUAAUUAUUUUAACACAUGUAUUAAUUAAAUUUUUUCAUUAUAUUAUUAUACUAGUAAUCAAAUGAAACAUUAACACUAUAUAUAAUGUAGUCAGCGAUAAUUUUAUUCUAAUUUCUAUUAUAGUUUAUUUUCUUUUUAAAAAUGAUAUUUUUAAUAAUAAUACUCCGAAAUUGCUAUGUUCAUCGGUCGCUUAACUCAAAUUAUCAUAUCAACCUCAAAGAUUUGCUUAAUAUUUGAGAAAGUUUUAACAUAAGUAUUAACUUUAAAAAAUGAGGUUGAGAAAUAAAAUUAAUCCCAUUUAAGAUAGUAUAAGAUUACAAUUUUUAAAAUCUAAACUCGAUCAUUUUUCGAGUUAAUAAUAUAAUUAUUUUUUUUUCCUUUAUUGCUCUGUAAUUUGUAUUAUACGUGAAUUACAUAUUAAAAAAAUUCCAAGAGUAACAGCUAUGUAUUUUAUAGCUUUAUAGAAGCAUAAGAACGCGGCAUACCUUAAUGAGGAAGGAGAAUUUUUCCCUAGCAAAACGGCCAACCCACCGGUUCAGUACCAGUUCAACAUUUUCCCAAUGAUUCAGCUCCAAAACCUUCUGGAAGUGAUCGCCUUCUACACGCAAACGAUACCGUUUAGGGAUAUGGGCCUUCCUGAGUCCACUCACCUGAGUGGAAACCUCGUGCUAGCCCUUGUUGUAGUCGACGAACCCGGAUUUAUGUUCCUCAAACGCGGUGUCGUUAUUGCGUUUCUAGCAAAGGAUAAGGGAUUUGGAGGUAGUGGAGUGAGUGGAAAUUGGCGAGUUGAGAGGGAAUUUGAUAAGGAGGGGAUGGGAUGAAGUGGUCAUUUAAUUAGAUACGGAGGUUUUGACGGUUGGAAUGUUUGGAAGACCACCGCAGGAGUGGAAUGGUCAUUCAUUGAUUUGCGUUUCGUCAUGUUUUUAUCCACUAAAAUAAUGGACUAACCCCUCCUACUACUCCUUCCUAAAUUAUAAGCUAUCGUUAUCGUUGUUGUUUUCCCUAUUAUUUUUCUCUUUAGUCUCACUGAAUGAUUGAUCUCUCUUUCUAUUUCAAUGAAUCCAUCACAUCUAUUGUUGUUCUUUUAUUCCUCAAUGAUUUUUCCUCUGGAUAUACCCCAUUUUUGUAAAAUGAGUUUUCUUCCGGGACAGAAUAUAUUUAGGGGCAAAAUUAUCCAUAUAUGCCAUUUAAAAAAUAAAAAAAAUCUUGGUAUAUUUUUAUUUUGUUGAUAUCAUUAUUAGUUUUUUGAGUUCAAUAUAUAAUAUUUGAGUGUGCUUAUAUUAAUAUAAAUAGGACAAAGACUAUAUAAUUCAGAUGCAUAUACACAACUUAAGUGUCAGAGCACCACGCAUUAUAGAGUGGUACUUAAAUGAUGUAAGAUUCUUGCAUGCGUCUCAGAUACAUAUACAUAUACUAUAUUUUGACCGUUUUGUUCCUCCAAGGUAGAGCCACAACUCAGUUUGUUGUUAUCUGAUGAAUCUUUGUCCCUUUUUUUCUUCUCUCUUUUUCUUUUUUUCUCUUAACUCUAGUCACUGUCGUUCAUGGCCUUCUCUGGCCAAUCGUCAUUUCCAAAUGGCUCCUCUUUUGCUCUUCUCAAGUCUCACUUUAGAUUUCCCAAUAAGCCUUCAAAAUAUCAAUAUUAAAAACUUAAAGCUUCGAACAAGGCCUCAACAGAUCUUCGUCAUCCACCAUCUGAUCACCACCAUAUUCUGACCACAGCUUUUUUUCGACCAACCAUGACUCUUAACCACUCGGAUCAUCGACCUGGCUUGAGCUCUCCAACCCACAAAACCCAAAAUGGGUGUGGGUUUCUUCUCUUUUGAUUCUCUUCUUCUUUAGUUUUUUUUUUUUUUUACUUCCCUCUUUUGAUGCAAGCCAAUUUGGGAUUCUUGCUCUUUUUUUGUUGGUUUGAUUUUGGAUGCUUGCUAUUUGGUAUUUUAGUUUUUGCUGAUUUUUGUUGUUUUGUCGUCGAUUUUGGUUUGAAGCUUCAUAUCAUUGCACAAGCAGAAGCUCCAACUAAACCGAUGCCGAUGAAUGGGUUGUGAUGGGCAAUUUUAGGUAAAUUCCAUGUCAAUCUGCCACAUCAGCUAAUUGCGUUAAUUGGGUUUCCAAUGUGGCAAGUUAAUUGUCCACAUCAGCGAUCCCAUUAAGACAACAAUAGAAAAUAUUAAUAAAUGACUGAUUUGUCAAUUUUAAAUAACGUUAAUGAUUGUUUUGUUAUUUUUCUAAAGUUAAGUGACUGAAAUAAAAUCUAUAUAACUGCUUUGUCAGCUACCCCAAAGUUAGUGACUAUUUGUGUAAUUUACCCAAAAUAGAAUUUAUUGCAUCUUUAUUUCAUUUUUAAUAAUUUACAAUAUUAAAAUGAUAAAAUAUAUAAUUUUAUAUUAUUAUCUAUUUAUUUUUAUAAUUAAAUUUAAAUAAAUUUAUUUUAAAAAAUAUUUAAUUGAAAUUCAGGUUAGGCCGGGUUGAAAACAAAAAUAAAUUCAUUAAUACACACAGGAAUGGAUCGUGGUUGUGGCAGUAUACUAGAAAUAUGAGACGUUGCUCGCUGCUUGAAGCUGAAUUGUGGCUCAUUUUGGACGGUUUGAAUCUUCUUCGCAUCCAAGGCUUUAAGCGUGUGGAGAUUGAGAGCGACAGUGCUGCUGCUGUCCGCAUCAUAUUGGAUGAGUCUGCUGCUAAGCAGAGUAGAUCGCACAAUUCGAGUUCUUUAGAAUCGGCAAAGGAAGGUCAAGAUACAUCACAUUGUCCGGGAAGCCAAUGCGUUUGGCCUAAGCAGGCUGCUGAAUCCACCACCUGCUGCACCGAGGAGCAUUCUUUGCAAGGACAGUACAGGGACUGUUGGGUAUAGGCUGAAAUCACUACCCUCCUUUAUAUAAACAUUCAACCCUUUAUUACCCAACACACGUAGAUCAAUACCAUUAAGUCACCUUAAUAUUUAUUUCAAUUCCUUUUAUUCUCUCAACUCAUGUUUAGUUGUUCAUACAAAUGCCCCUGCUUUAAAAUUCACAAGCAAUAUUGGUUUUCCCCUAAUUUCUUAACAUCACCACCAAAAAGAUCAAGAAGUUGCUAAGAUCAAGAUCAACAAGCUACACAAGUCAGAACAAAAUCAACAAUAUUGAAAAUAGACACUAAACCUCACUCUAGUUUCCACAAUCUUUUAUCACUCUGCAAUGGUUAUGUACAACUGAUUCACAUUGCAAGUGAUGAUCUUUACACAAUUUGUGAAACAUUUCAGAGCAAGAUUGAUUUAUCAGAGUAUAUGAUAAGAUCCAUAAAUAAGGUGGCAGUGAAUAUAUCUGCAGAAAAGCCCUUACCAACCAUUUCCUUAAGAAGUUGCGUUGCCUUUGAAGUAUAGCUGUUGCGAAGGAACCCCCGAAUCAUUACAUUAUAACAGCAGCUAUCAGGCAAACAGUCAUUAUCUCCCAUGCUCCCAAACAACCUGUAUGCUUCAUCUGGCAAUCCCUCUUUACACAGUCUAUUAAUCAUUACACAAUAUGUGUAAACAUCCGGUUUUAAACCAUUGUUUGAGAGUUGAUGAAAUAAUUCCUUGGCAACUUCGAUAUGCCCAGCUUUACAAAACCCAUCAAUUAGGAUAGUAUACAGGACAAUAUCAAGUUCCAACCCACUGUUUCGCAUUGCUUGAAAAAGUUUCAAUGCCUCUUCGAUAUGACCUGUUUUGCAUAAACCAUCCUGCAAAAUCAAACAGGUCGCUAUAUCUGGAACUUGUCCAGAAGCUAGCAUCUUUCUAAAAAGUUCACAUGCAGUUGAAACUUUCCCUAACUGAAACAUACUCUGCAUAAGAAUGCUGAAAGUGACAGUAUGCGGGAUUGGUCCCUUUCGAGAUAUUUCAUGAAAGAGUUCCAUUGCUUUGUCUAACCUUUUACCUUUGCAAUAUCCAUUGAUCAUGGUGUUGUAAGUAACUAUAUUAGGUGCACAACCCUUCUCAAUCAUCAAGUUGAAAACUCUUCUAGCUUUAUCCAUUUUGUUCCGCAAGCAAUGACCAUUAACUAAUGCAUUAUAGGUAACAACAUCAGGCUCGAUUUCUAGCUUUAUCAUUGAGUCAACAAAAUCCUCAGCUUCAGAGACCAUCCCUUCCUUGCAAUGCGCAUCAACCAAUGUAUUAUGCGUGACAACAUCAGGCUCAAUGCCUUGCUUUCUCAUUGUGUCAACGAUCUCUACAGCUUUAGAAAUCGUUCCUUCCUUGCAAAGAGCAUCAAUCAAUAAAGUAUAUGUGACAAUAUCAAGUGAAAUAUUGUUAUCAGCCAUUUCAUUUAAAAGCCUUGUUGCCUCCUCCUGCUGGCCCAAAUUACACAUACCAUGAAUUAAGCAAGUGUAAGUAAUGAUAUCUGGUCUAAUGCCCUUAACUUCAUUUCAGAUAAGAGAUUGAGAGCCUCCUGUAACAAACCGUUUUUACAAAGGCAGUCAAUGACAGUGUUAUAUGCUACAAUAUUGGGUUCAUAACCUCUGCUUUCCAUCAGCCUUAGAAACCUAACAGCUCUAUCAGUAUUUCCGGUCUUACACAACCCCUUAAGUACUGUACUGUAAACAAUCAAAUUAGGUUGAUACCCUUUUUCAGUCAUUUCAUCGAACAUACAAACGGCCUCAGAAAUCUUACCUUGAUUACAAAGCCCAUUAAUCAAAGUUGAAAAAGUUACAGCACUAGGUUCAACACCUAACUUCUUCAUUUUCCCAAAAACAGAAAACCCAAAAUCAAUUCGACCUAAUUGACAAAAGCAAUUAAUCAAGAUGCUCAUAGAAUAAACAUUAUGGGAAACGCCUAAUAAGUCCAUCUGGCUACACAUAGGAACAACAAUGGCAUAUUGUUUCAUUCUAACAAUGGCUGCAAAUAAUUUAGUGAAUUCCACAAUUGAAGGCACUGGGUACCUGCCAAUCAUCUUAUUGAACAAACUCAAAGCAUGAUCAACAUUAUCGAAGCGGUGGUCUCUUUUUCCCUUUCCUCUAACAGGCAUGGACAUGGGUUUCUUACUUAGGCAUUCGAUGUGGGUAGCAAUGGUGUUAGAAGAAGAAGAAAAAGAGUGGAAAUUAGAAAGAAGGCUUCCAGCAUUAACAACGGAACGAAGAAUAAAAGAAGAAGGAAGCCUACCCAUAUCUUGAAAGCAGAAAUGGCAGCGGCAGUAGCAGCAGAAGUGUAAAUUUUGGGUUGCGUAAUUUGGGUUUUUAAUUUUUUUAAUGUGAAUAAUAUUUAAUAAAAAAAUUAAACUUUAUUUUUAAAUGCAAUCUUCAGUUAUUAUUAACAUUAUUAUAUACUUAUAAAUCUUCCUUUUAAAUUUAAUAAAAAAUUAUUAAAUUUAAAUUUAAAUUUUUAGACUAACUUGAAAAAAAUAUACUAAGAUUACAAUACAAUUAAAACUUAAAUCUAUAAAAUACUCUAUUUUUAUAAUUUAUAUUUUAUCGAUGCAUCUAUGAGCGAGCAAAACUUGAUUUCGAGUUAAUCGAAUCGAGUUAUUCAAUUUUUUCGAGUCAACUAAAAUAAGUAAUUCGAGUUUAAGUCGAUUCGAAUUUUACAAUUCAAUAAGUUAAAUAAUUCAAAUAACAUAUUGGUGUAAAUAACCUUUUGGUCCCUAUCAAUUUUGAAAAUAAGCAAAUUAGUCUCUCUAUCAACAAAAACUACAAAUAAAAUUAAAAAAUAAAAAUAAUUUUUAAAUAUUUAAAUAUUUAUAAAUUUUCAAAUUUUAUACUUUUAAAAAAUUUUAAAAUUUUAAAAAAAUCUAAAGAAUAUAUAAAGAAAAUUUAAAAUUUUCUAACAUAAAAAUUAUGGGACCUAAAUAAGUUAAUUAUUAAUUCUCGUUUAUAUAUAUUUUUUCUUUGAUAAAGGUUUCAAAUAUAUAUAUUUUUUCUCAUGCGCCUUCUCAUUAUCAUACUUCUCAUAGUACAACAUAUAUAUUUUCUCAAUACCACACUUCUUUUUUUUAAUCGACCAACUGCGGAUCAUUUUAUAUAUAUAUAUUACAAUUAUAACAUUACAUAAUAUAAAUAUUAUAAACAAUUAUAAAAUAAGUAUAUAAAGAGAUAAAGUAAUUAAAAUAAAACUGUCAACCAAUGUUUCCAUGGUUAUAUUUCUAGAAAAAUAAAUGAAAAAAAUAAAAUUACAUAAUUUUUUGUCAUAAGGCAUUCCUUGGAUCUUCAACCGUCAUCGCUCCAUCUUCUUCUUGUUAUGGACUCUUUCUUAAUAAAGUAACUAAAAAUAACCUGAAUAAACAAUUCAAAAUGCUCUAAAUCUAAUGUCAAACUCAACUAAAAAAAACCCAAAAUGAUCCAAACCAAAAUGAAAAUAUUCGAAAUAACUCAAACCCGAUGGAAUUUUGAAAUCACAAACCUGAAACUAAUGUAAUUUUAUUUUGAAAUUUAGUUUAAUGUAAUCUAUGAUUCGAAGGGUUGUGAUAUGUUUUUUACUUAGUACCUUAAUUAAUUUUUAAUUAUUUUACAAGUAUUUUUUUACAUUUAAGCAUGAGUUAAUGUUACAAACCAAAUAACGCUAACCCAAUUUCAUAAAAAAAAAUAAAGCUACUUCAAUUGAAAAUUAAUUAAAAAUUAAAUAAAUUUAAUUAAUAAAUAUAAUAAUAUUUACUAACAAUUUAUUUUAAAAUAUUACUACCUGUCUUAGUCCCAAAGGCCCAUCUGAAAUUUAGAUAAAAAUAUUAAGUUUGAAAAUGGACUUGAAUAAAAAAAAUUAGACUCGUUUAAAAUGAGUCUGACUCGAACAAAUAUAAAAUGUGUUUAUAUAAUAUUUAAACUCAGCCAAUGAACUCCUCGACUAUUUACAUUCCCUUACCCACAUUUUUACUUAAAAAAGUACCGACCUUUUACUUUAUAAAAAAUUAACCAUCUUUUUAAAGAGAAAAUACUUUUUCAUGCAUUAUUUUUCCAAAAAGAAAUUAAAUAAAAGACCUCCAACAUAAUCUUUGUAUCAAAUUCUAGUAUAAAUGUAAAUUAAAAGUAACAUGAAUUAUUUUAUUUUGUUAAGUUAAAAUUAAUUAUAUCACUUUUAUACAAAUACAAGGUAAUUUCUUUUUGAAAUAUAUAUUUUCUGUAAAUAAAAUUAGAUUAUGAGUAAAAGAAAUUAUGUAAAAAUUUAUAUUUCUUAAAAUAUUAUAAAAGAAUCAAAUCAAACUUUGGUUGAAAUAAUAAAGUUGGAAGUUUAAGAAGUAUGACAUUAAAGUUCAAAUCCCAUCAUGUGAAUUUCUAUUAAAUUUAUAUCAAAAGAUAAAAACAUCCUCCAAUAAUAUAACCUAUUUUGUAAAAAGUGUUUGGUUAGAAUUUUUAAAAAUUAUUUUUGGAAGAUGAAAAUAUACAGAAUUUAAAAUAUAAUUUUUUUUAUUGUUUUCACUAAAAAUGCUUUGUAAAAUUGAAAAUGAUGAAAACAAUAGAUUUUAGCUUGAUUCAAAUCCAUAUAGACACAAAAAAAUAUUAAAGACUUUGGAUUACUGGAAAGAUCUUUGGAUUCCAAAGGUUGGCCUUCUUAUCAAGCAGAUCCCAUAUGUUUCAAACUUUGACAUGGACUGUUCUCUUAGGGAUAUGGUUACGGGUGAUGGUUCUUGGAAUCUUAAUUUCUUUCGCCUUUGGUGCACCAAGGAGAUCAUUGCUAGGAUUGUAGGAAUUCCACCUCUUCAUACAUAUGCUGGCUCGGAUAAGGUAAUAUGGAGGAGUUCUUUAACGGGUUCUUUCUCAUUGAAAAGCGCUUAUGGUAAACUUCGGCAGGAAGAUUGGAGUUUGAAAGAAUCUAUUUGGCAGCUUCCUUGGAAGUUUCAAGGACCAUAAUGGUUAGAUUCUUCAUUUGGCUCGUUCUAAAAUGUCGAUUACCCAUGAAUGUAGAAAGGGUAAGGCGAGGAAUAAGGAGUGUCAGCACUUGUAUAAUUUGUGGGCAUGACCUAGAAGAGCUACUGCAUGUCCUUAGAGAUUGUCCUAUGGCUAGGGACAUUUGGAACAAGCUUAAUCCUAUUGAAAAACAAGUUCGUUUUUAGUUUGGAUCCCUUCAUGAAUGGAUGACAGAAAACCUCCAAACAAUGUUAUCUUUUGGUUCGAAUAGAAUUGAUUGGUCUUGUCUUUUUGGGAUGAUUUCUUAAUGUAUAUGGAAAAAUCGCAAUAGUUUUGUUUUUCAGGAUAUCACUUGAAGCACGGAGGAAAUCAUCAAGGUUUCUUAUGGUUGAGCAAGACAGUAUGCAUCCUUUUCGAGGUUGCCUUCACACAGGACAUGUAGUUCUCCUACUAGUCCACACUUGGUACAUAAUUGGGUGCAUUUGAACACAGAUGGGUGGACCAAAAUUGAGGAUGAUUUUGCAGCAGUUGGAAGCUUGGUACGAGAAUGCAAUAAUGAAUGGAUUUUUAGUUUCUGCAGAUAUGUUGGAGGCUAAACUAUAGGGCAUCUUGGAUGGAUUGAAUCUGUCACUAUAUCAAGGUUUCAAGUAUAUCUUAAUUCAAACGGAUAGUUGUAAAGCUGUUAACACCAUUCCAAAGGCAUUUGUAGGAGAUUCCAAGUCCGCUCUGAUUAGGAGAAUCUAUCAACUCUUAUCAAAAGUCCUUCAUUGGAGCAUUCAACAUCCCUCGAGAUGAGAACAAGACUGCAGAUAGUUUGGUUAAGAUGGUUCACGAUAAGAGAACAGGAUUGCGCCUUUUGGAAGAUCUUCGCUUGGGGGACUGGCUUAAUAUCUUUUGUUUGCUUUUAUUUUGUUUCACAAAAAAAAUGUUUUAUUUUAUUUUCAUUUUUGUAAAAAUUAGAAAAUAAAAAUAUUUUUUUAGAAAUAAAAAUAGAUAAUGAAAAAAAAUUUCAAAAACUAAAACGAGUUUUUUUUUCAAUUUCCAAUUAAUUAAAAUUUAAUUGACAGAUUACAUUAAUUCAGUCAAAUAUUUAAAUAAUAAUAAUAUAGAUAUGGAAAUAUUAAUUGUUUCCCUUAAACAACUCCAGCUAAAUUACACUUUAUUAAAGACUUAUUUUAUGUUGAAUGUAGUUUUCAAGGUCAAUUAUUUUUAUUAUCUAUACUAAUAUAACUAUUUUGAAUUAAUUUGUUGUCAUGAGUUAAAAAUAUCAUCUCAAUAAAUUACAAAUAAAAAUUGAUAAUUACUUACUUAAAAAUACUAUUUAUUUUUUUUACAAAAAUAAUAUGUUUUUAUUUCAAAGGGUAAACUACACUAGUAGUCACCCGACUAUUAGUUUUUUUUUUUUAAGUCACUCAACCAUAAAAAGUUACAAAAUGGUCACCUAAUUAACGGACCUUUUCUUUUUUGGUCACUAGCAGUUAAAUAUUAAUGGAAAGAUAACUUGACAGCUUUUAAAUUUGACAUAAUAGCAACUUUAACCGAAUUUAUACAUUGAAUCAAUCAAACUUGAUUCUAAAAAAUUGAACCCUCAACAUUUACGCAUUAUGUAAUUUGAUCUCUUUUUUUUUUUUUUGCAGCUUUACUUUGUUUCUUUCUUUUUUGUAACACUGAAGGUUAAUUUUAAAUGAAUGAGAAGCGAUGAAAUUAUUAUCUUGAAUUUUUGGAUGUUUUCAUUUUUGGUUAUUUUCAAUCAAAUUUAACUGAUAAAAUUUAAUUUUUUUAGCUUUUUAGGUGAAAAAGGUCACAAAGAAAAGCAAUAUUGCAAAAAAGAAGAAGAUCAAAUUACACGAUGGGUAAAUGUUAGAGGUUAAUUUUUUUUAGAAUCAAAUGCUAAAUAUAUACAAUAUAUAAAUGUUGAGGGUUAAUGUUACUAUUAUACCGCUAGCUAUUUAACAACUAGUGACCAAAAAAGGUAAAAUUGAAUAAUCGAGUGACCAUUUUAUAACUUUCUAUAAUAAGGUGACCAAAAACGAAACAUAGCAAUAGUUGAGUGACUAAUAGUGAUCGAAUCAAACAGAUCAUUAGUUCACUGUUUGAUUAAUUUAACUGAUUUAUUUUAAUUUGAUUUAAUUUGUCCGUACUGAUUUAAGAAUCAACUAAUUUUGUAUCUCUUAAUAAAUUUUGAAUUUAACUAAUCGACUAAUCCAAUCUAAUUCAGAUAUUUGCAAUGUCAUUAAAGAGUAUUGUAAGGUGCGGAAAUAUUAAAUCCGCCGGCUCAAGCCUCCAGCUUGAAAAUGGUCACCUAACUCAGCCGACCUAGCCGGUUGGUAAAUUGUUCAAAAUAGUAGAUUUACAUAUUUUUAAAUUAUUAAUAUUUUAUGUAAACCAUACCUAUCGAAUUUUAUGUAAAUUAAAAAAAUAGAUGUUGUUCAUUGAAUGUGAUUUUAUAAAUUUAAUUAUUAAUUAAUUUUUUAAAUAAUAUAUUUUUUAAUUAAUUUUUAGGGUAAAUCGUAAAAAUAGUCACUUUUGUUUGCCUUAUAUUACAUUUUAGUCACUUAUGUUUGAAAUGUUAUGUUUUAGUCACUUAUAUUAUCGUUUUGCUACGAAGUGGUCACUCUACUGUUCAGCUCCAUUACCUUCCUAACGGUGGUCCUACGUGGUAGUCCAAAUGAGUUUUUGGUUAACAAAAUCCAAAAAUUAACAUUUGUAGCGACGUAAAAAUUUUGGUUUGGGGUCGCUAAUUGUGGCAAUCUAGUGAAAAAGUUUGAAAACUGAAGUUUGAUUUUAAAAUAAAGAGGGAGUCGCCACCGAUCCUUUUCCUAGGUGUGAUCGGACACCUAUUAGAUUCAUUUUUUUUAAAACAAAAGGAAGGCUGAAUUUAGGUCUACGUUAAAAGCCAGAGGAAAAUUAGGGUUCGGGAGUCGGUUACGCGCGAGGAAGGUAUUAGCACCCUCGCGACGCUCAAAAAUUGGUAUCUCAUAAACACAUGUUGUCUUAAUUUUCAAAAAUGCGAAUUCAAUGUAAAGUUUAGUUAUGAUCCGAAAAAAACGAGAAAUUUUAGUUUAUUCCGGUUUUUGAGAAGGGUAUAUCGCUUUAACACGAGUCAAUUGACGUUCACCCAACGUAGCGAUGAACUCGAUGACUUAAUGUUAAAUCGAUAUGUUGCCUUGAUUAUUGAAAUUAAUUAGCAAAACAAGAAUACGAUUUUCGAAAUAAUGCAAAGUAAAAUAAUAUAAAAUAAAAAUCAAUAAAUGAAAGAGCUAGGGAUAUAUUGAAACAAAUAAUCGAGAUGACAAUAAUAUUAGAAAAGAUGAAGGUAUAAUGUAAUAAUAGAAUUGGACACGAAAUUAAAAUAAUGAAUGUAUACACAUAAUAAUAAUAUUAAGAAUGCGUGUGUAAGAUGACAUAUAUAUUUAGCGAUAUUAAAAAUCCAUACAACAUACAUAGAACAUAUAUAGUAUAUGCAUACCUUAGGAAUGAUAAGAAUAAUAAUAAAACUAUUUUGUACACUACACAAAUACAUACACACACAUAUAUAUAUAUAGAUAUAUAAACAAUAGUAUUAGGAAUAUACAAUAUAAUAUUAGAAACAUGUAUAUAAUAGUGUAAAAGAAAAAUAUGACAAAUAAGAUUAAAAUAUAUAUAAUAAUAUAUAAAAUAUAGUGUUAAAAUCUUAUAUACAUAACGUAUGUGCAAAACACAUAAGAUUAAAACAUUUAUAUAAUACAUACAUAUACAACAAAAAUACAUAUAUAAAAUAACAUGAGAAAUAUACGUAGGAAUUUAGUAUACAAAACUAACAAUUAAAUAAAAUCAUAUACAUACACGAAAUAAUGCGUAUAAAAAAUAUAACCAACAAUAUAAGAAUAUGUACAUGAAAUGGUAUAAGUAUAUAUUAUUAACAUUAAAAUACCUACGUAAUAUAUAAAAUAUACGUAAUAUGUAUUAGAGACGAUCAUAAUAAUAUAAUAUAUAAUAAAAAACUGUUCACAUAUUACAUAAGUAUGUACAUAAAUAUAUAUAUAAUAAUGGUACCAGAAAUAUAUCUAUAAUAGCAUAAAAGAUAAUUUUAAAAUAUAUAUAUAUGGGGCAAUAUGCAAACUAUAUACAUAACAUAAUUAUAAAAAUGCAUGGCCUUAAACACACAUAUAACGUAUGCAUAUAUAAUAACAUAAACACAAACAUUAUAAAAAUAAAAUAAGAUAACGAUAAUAUUAAAAUGAAGUAAUCAAAAAACUAUAUAAAGGUUAUAUGUACAUAAAAAUAUAUAUGUAUAUAUAAGUAAAGAUAAACCAUAGUAAUAAAAAUAAUAUAAUAAUAAUAUAAAAAGUGGAUAAAAUAUAAUGAUAUAAAAGUAAAAUAAGAAUAAAGUAAUAGGUAAUUAUAAAUACAAUAUCAUUAAAAAUGAGAAAAGGUAAGAAAAAGGACUAAAAUUAAAAUAAAAUCGAAGUUAUGGGGCCAAUUUAAAAUAAAAACAAAGAAAAUGGACUUAAUUGUAACACGCGUGCAACUUGGAGGGUCAAAAGCGCAAUAAACCCAGGUAUUAAAACGCUGCGCAGCAUGGGGACCAGAAUGAAUUCGGGGCAAAACCAUGGGGCCAAAUUAAAAAUAAAAAAAACCUUGAUUGUAAACUCCCAGAAAAGCAGAAGGGCUAGAAGUGCAAUUAGCCCUUCCAAAGAAAAACACGCGGAUCCUCCCUGGUGCGGGUCGGGUCGACCCGACCCGCUUCCAAAACGACGUCGUUUUUAUUUACUUGGGGGGGACCAAAACGCACCGUUUUGCUUUUUUUUCUCAUUUGUGCAGCUGAAAGGAAAAAAAAAGGAGAUGAGAGAAGAAAGAGAGGAGAAGGGGGGAAAGGGGAGAGCUCCGGCCAGGGGGGGUCACUGGAAGCUCGCCGGCGCUGGCACCGGCCACCGCACGCGGUGGCCGGAAAGGUAAAAAAUUUGAUUUCUUUUUUAUUUUUUUAUAUUUUUAUACUUUUAUAUGUAUAUAUGCAGUAAAAUGGAUUUUAUAGCGAAAAUGAAAUAAUAAUGGAGAAAGAAAUAACCUUUAGUUUUUUCUUAGCUUCCGAUUCUUUGAUUUUGGUAUUCGAUUGACUUGUAUGCUUUGAACGUUGCUAUUGAAUUCAAACGAUUAAUGGACUGCUAUUUUGAUUCUGGACUUUUUGAUGAUCUUUCUUGUUUUUUGAUUUUUAAAACUGCCAACAAAAGAGAAAGAAAGGCCAGCCCCCCUUUACAAUGGGUAGAUUUUCAGUUUUUAUAACCGAUUACAAAUGUUUUUUUUUGUAUUUGUUUUUUGUUAUUUCUCUAUUUGUUUAUCUCUGCUCCGCUUUGCAGGUGCUCGUGGUGUCAGACACAUGGGCGUCGGCCGGCGUGCGUUGGCGUGGCAGCCGAGAAGGUGGAGCGUCAUGGGGGCGAGGGCGCGCAUGCGACGCUGGGGGGCAGACGAGGCUGAGCGGCGCACAUGGGCAUAGGGCUGCUAGGGUUUCUGUCAUUUUUUGAUUUGGGCUAGGGUUUAUUUUUAUUGGCCCGUUGGGUUUGUUUAGUUAUUGGGCUGGUGGUAUUUUGGGUUUGACGGGCUUUAGUGUGAAUGGGUCAUGUUGGGUUUGUGGGUUGUUUGGUUUAGGGCCCAAAAUUGGCCUGUACAACAUUGUUGGAUACUUUUAGAUAUUACUUAACUUAUAAAACAUAUAUUAAUAUUUUAUUUUACAACAAAUACAUCAAUUUUCCUCAAUUUAAAUUCCUCCUCAAAAUAUAAUAAUAAUAAUAAUAAUAAUAAUAAUAGUAAUAAAAUCUUUAUUAUUCUAUGAUUUGUGUUAUACGUGAUUUUUUUUUACUUUUUUUGAAAAUGUUUUAUUUUUUAUAAUAAUUUUUUACUCAUCAUUUUAGUUUUAAGUUUAAAUUUGUAUUAGUUAUUUUUAUUUUAUUUCUAAUUAUUUUAACACAUGUAUUAAUUAAAUUUUUUCCUUAUAUUAUUAUACUAGUAAUCAAAUGAAACAUUAACACUAUAUAUAAUGUAGUCAACGAUAAUUUUAUUCUACUUUCUAUUAGAGUUAAUUUUUUUAAAAUGAUUUUUUAAUAAUAAUACUCCAAAAUUACUAUGUUCAUCGUUAGCUUAACUCAAAUUAUCAUAUCAAGCUCAAAGAUCCGCUUAAUAUUUGAGAAAGUUAUAACAUAAAUAUUAACUUUAAAAAAUGAGGUUGAGAAAUAAAAUUAAUCCCAUUUAAGAUGGUAUAAGAUUACAAUUUUUAAAAUCUAAACUCGAUCUUUUUUCGAGUUUAUAAUAUAAUUUUUUUUCCUUUAUUGUUCUGUAAUUUGUAUUACACGUGAAUUACAUAUUAAAAAAUACAAAGAGUAAGAGCUAUGAAUUUUAUAGCUUUAUAGAAGCAUAAGAACGCGGAAUACCUUAAUGAGGAAAGGGAAAUUUUUCCUAGCAAAACAGCCAACCCACCGGUUCAACAUUUUCCCAAUGAUUCAGCUCCAGAACCUUCUGGAAGCGUUUGCCUUCUACACGCAAACGAUAUCGUUUAGGGAUAUGGGCCUUCCUAAGUCCACUCACCUGAGUGGAAACCUCGUGCUAGCCCUUGUUGUAGUCAACAAACCCGGAUUUAUGUUCCUCAAACGCGAUGUCAUUAUUGUGUUUCUUGCAAAGGAUAAGGGAUUUGGAGGUAGUGGAGUGAGUGGAAAUUGACGAGUUGAGAGAGAAUUUGAUAAGGAGCGAAUGGGAUAGAGUGGUCAUUUAAUUAGAUACGGAGGUUUUGACGGUUGGAAUGUUUGGAAGACCACCGCAGGAGUGGAAUGGUCGUUCAUUGUUUUGCGUUUCGUUGUGUUUUUAUACACUAAAAUAAUGGACUAACCCCUCCUACUACUCCUUCCUAAAUUGUAAGCUAUCGUUAUCGUUGUUUUUUUCCCUAAUAUUUUUCUCUUUAGUUUCACUGUAUGAUUGAUCUCUCUUUCUAUUUCAAUGAAUCCAUCACAUCUAUUGUUGUUCUUUUAUUCCUCAACGAUUUUUUCCUUUGGAUAUACCCCAUUUUUGUAAAAUGGGUUUUCUUCCGGACAGAAUAUAUUUAAGGGGAAAAUUAUCCAUUUAUGCCAUUUAAAAAAUAAAAAAAUCUUGGUAUAUUUUUAUUUUGUUUAUAUCAUUAUUAGUUUUUUGAGUUCAAUAUAUAAUAUUUUGAGUGUGCUUAUAUUAAUAUAAAUAGGACAAAGACUAUAUAAUUCAGAUACAUAUACACAACUUAAGUGUCAGAGCACCACGCAUUAUAGAGUGGUACUUAAAUGAUGUAAGAUUCUUGCAUGCGUCUCAGAUACAUAUACAUAUAUUAUAAUUUGACCGUUUUGUUCCUCCAAGGUAGAGCUACAACUCAGUUUGUUGUUAUCUAUUGAAUCUUUGUCCCUUUUUUUCUUCUCUCUUUUUCUUUUUUUCUCUUAACUCUAGUCACUGUCAUUCAUGGCCUUCUCUGGCCAAUCGUCAUUUCCAAAUGGCUCCUCUUUUGCUCUUCUCAAGUCUCACUUCAGAUUUCCCAAUAAGCCUUCAAAAUAUCAAUAUUAAAAACUUAAACCUUCGAACAAGGCUUCAACAGAUCUUCGUCGUCCACCGUCUGAUCACCACCAUAUUCCGGCCACAGCUUUUCUUCGACCAACCAUGACUCUUAACCACUCCAAUCAUCGACCUGGCUUGAGCUCUCCAACCCACAAAACCCAAAUUGGGUGUGGGUUUCUUCUCUUUUGAUUCUCUUCUUUUUUAGUUUUUUUUUUUUACUUCCCUCUUUUGAUGCAAGCCAAUUUGGGAUUCUUGCUCUUUUUUUGCUGGUUUAAUUUUGGAUGCUUGCUAUUUGGUAUUUUUGUUUUUGCUGAUUUUUGUUGUUUUGUCGUCGAUUUUGGUUUGAAGCUUCAUAUCAUCGCACAAGCAGAAGCUCCAACUAAACCGAUGCCGAUGAAUGAGUUGUGACGGGAUCUCCUUGACGUUAGCCCAGUCAACCGUUUCGAUGCCAGACUCACCAUUUUCGUCGUCGAUUUUUAAUUUUCACUACUAUGGAAAAAAAUCAUGCCUCACGAUAGUUACGAGCUUUUCUAGGUUUCGUCAGCCAAAACUUUUUCCCCAAAUUUUUUUCCAUUCUGGGCCUAAUUUUAGGUAAAUUCCAUUUCAAUCUGCCACAUUAGCUAAUUGCGUUAAUUGGGUUUCCAAUGUGGCAAGUUAAUUGUCCACAUCAGCGAUCCCAUUAAGACAAUAAUAGAAAAUGUUAAUAAACGACUAAUUUGUUAAUUUUUUAUAACAUUAAUGACUAUUUUGUUAUUUUUCUAAAGUUGAGUGACUGAAAUAAAAUAUAUAUAACUGUUUGGUCAACUACCCCAAAGUUAGUGACUAUUGGUGUAAUUUACCCAAAAUAGAAUUUAUUGCGUCUUUAUUUCAUUUUUAAUAAUUUACAAUAUUAAAAUGAUAAAAUAUAUAAUUUUAUAUUAUUAUCUAUUUAUUUUUAUAAUUAAAUUUAAAUAAAUUUAUUUUAAAAAAUAUUUAAUUGAAAUUCAGGUUAGGCCGGGUUGAAAACAAAAAUAAAUUCAUUAAUUCACACAGGAAAGGAUCGUGGUUGUGGGAAUAUACUAGAAAUAUGAGAUGUUGCUCGCUGCUUGAAGCUGAAUUGUGGCUCAUUUUGGACGGUUUGAAUCUUCUUUGGAUCCAAGGCUUUAGGCGUGUGGAGAUUGAGAGCGACAGUGCUGCUGCUGUCCGCAUCAUAUUGGAUGAGUCUGCUGCUAAGCAGAGUAGAUCGCACAAUUCGAGUUCUUUAGAAUCGGCAAAGGAAGGUCAAGAUACAUCACAUUGUCCGGGAAGCCAAUGCGUUUGGCCUAAGCAGGCUGCUGAAUCCACCACCUGCUGCACUGAGGAGCAUUCUUUGCAAGGACAGUACAGGGACUGUUGGGGAUAGGCUGAAAUCACUACCCUCCUUUAUAUAAACAUUCAACCCUUUAUUACUCAACACACCUAGAUCAAUACCAUUAAGUCACCUUAAUAUUUAUUUCAAUUCCUUUUAUUCUCAACUCAUGUUUAGUUGUUCAUACAAAUGCCCCUGCUUUAAAAUUCACAAGCAAUAUUGGUUUUCCCCUAAUUUCUUAACAUCACCACCAAAAAGAUCAAGAAGUUGCUAAGAUCAAGAUCAACAAGCUACACAAGUCAGAACAAAAUCAACAAUAUUGAAAAUAGACACUAAACCUCACUCUAGUUUCCACAAUCUUUUAUCACUCUGCAAUGGUUAUGUACAACUGAUUCACAUUGCAAGUGAUGAUCUUUCCACAAUUUGUGAAAUAUUUCACAGCAAGAUUGAUUUAUUAGAGUGUAUGAUAAGAUCCAUAAACAAGGUGGCAGUGAUUAUAUCUGCAGAAAAGCCCUUACCAACCAUUUCCGUAAGAAGUUGCGUUGCCUUUGAGGUGUAGCUGUUGCAAAGGAACCUCCGAAUCAUUACAUUAUAACAGCAGCUAUCAGGCAAACAGUCAUUAUCUCCCAUGCUCCCAAACAACCUGUAUGCUUCAUCUGGCAAUCCCUCUUUACACAAUCCAUUAAUCAUUAUACAAUAUGUGUAAACAUCCGGUUUUAAACCAUUGUCUGAGAGUUGAUGAAAUAAUUCCUUGGCAAAUUCGAUAUGCCCUGCUUUGCACAACCCAUCAAUUAGGAUAGUAUACAGGACAAUAUCAAGUUCCAACCCACUGUUUCGCAUUGCUUGAAAAAGUUUCAAUGCCUCCUCAAUAUCACCUGUUUUGCCUAAACCAUUCAUCAAAAUCGAACAAGUCACUAAAUCUGGAACUUGUCCAGAAGCAAGCAUCUUUCUAAACAGUUCACAUGCAGUUGAAACUCUCCCUAACUGAAACAUACUUUGCAAGAGAGUGCUAUAUGUGACAGUAUCCGGGAUUGGUCCCUUUAGAGAUAUUUCAUGAAAGAGUUCCAUUGCUUCGUCUAACCUUUUACCUUUGCAAUAUCCAUUGAUCAUGGUGCUGUAAGUAACUAUAUCAGGCUCACAACCCUUCUCAAUCAUCAAGUUGAAAACUUUUCUAGCUUUAUCCAUUUUGUUCUGCAAGCAAUGACCAUUAACUAAUGUAUUAUAGGUAACAACAUUAGGCUCAAUGCCUCUCUUUAUCAUUGUGUCAAUGAUAUCCUCGGCUUCAAAAACCAUCCCUUCCUUGCAAUGUGCAUCAACCAAUGUAUUAUACGUGACAACAUUGGGCUCAAUAUCUUGCUUUCUCAUCAUAUCAAUGGUCUCUACAGCUUUAGAAAUCAUUCCUUCCUUGCAAAGUGCAUCAAUCAAUAUAUUAUAAGUGUCAAUAUUAAUUGAAAUAUUGUUAUCAACCAUUUCAUUCAAAAGCUUUGUUGCCUCCUCCUGCUGGCCCAAAUUACACAUACCAUGAAUUAAGCAGUUAUAAGUAAUGAUAUUUGGUCUAAUGCCUUUAACCUUCACUUCAGAGAAGAGAUCAAGAGCCUCCUUUAACAACCCGUUCUUACAAAGACAGUCAAUGACAGUGCUAUAUGCUACAAUAUUGGGUUCAUAACCUCUGCCUUCCAUCAACCUUAGAAACCUAACAGCUCUAUCAGUAUUGCCAGUCUCAGACAACCCCUUAAGUACUGUACUGUAAACAAUCAAAUUAGGUUGAUACCCUUUUUCAGUCAUUUCAUCGAACAUACAAAAGGCCUCAGAAAUCUUACUUUGAUUACAAAGCCCAUUUAUCAAAGUUUGAAAAAGUUACAGCACUAGGCUCAACACCUAACUUCAUCAUUUUCCCCAAAACAGAAAACCCAAAAUCAAUUCGACCUAAUUGACAAAAGCAAUUAAUCAAGAUGUUCAUAGAAUAAACAUUAUGGGAAGCUCCCAAUAAUUCGAUCUGUCUAUACUUAGAAACAACAAUGGCAUAAUGUUUCGUCUUAACAAUGGCUCCUAAUAAUUUAUUGAAUUCCACAAUUGAAGGCUUUGGGUACUUUUCAAUCAAAUUAUUGAACAAAAUCAAAGCAUGAUCAACAAUAUCGAAGCGGUGGUCUCUUUUUCCCUUUCCUCUAACAGGCAUGGACAUGAGUUUCUUACUUAGGCAUUCGAUGUGGGUAGCAAUGGUGUUAGAAGAAGAAGAAAAAGAGUGGAAAUUAGAAAGAUGGCUUCCAGCAUUAGCAACGGAACGAAGAAUAAAAGAAGAAGGAAGCUUACCCAUAUCUUGAAAGCAGAAAUGGCAGCGGCAGUAGCAGAAGAAGUGUAAAUUUUGGGUUGCGAAGUGGUGUUUAGGGAAAGGGUUGGGAGCGUAAUUUGGGUUUUUUAUUUUAUUUUUUUAAUGUGAAUAAUAUUUAAUAAAAAAAAUUAAACUUUAUUUUGAAAUGCAAUCUUCAAUUAUUAUAUACUUAUAAAUCUUCCUUUUAAAUUUAAUAAAAUUACUAUUUACUUUAAUAAGAUUUAUUAAAUUUAAAUUUAAAUUUUUAGACUAACUUGAAAAAAUAUACUAAGAUUACAAUACAAUUAAAACUUAAAUCUAUAAAAUACUCUAUUUUUAUAAUUUAUAUUUUGUCGAUGCAUCUAUGAGCGAGCAAAACUUGAUUUCGAGUUAAUCAAAUCGAGUUAUUCAAUUUUUUCGAGUCAACUAGAAUAAGUAAUUCGAGUUUAAGUCGAUUUGAAUUUUACAAUUCAAAUAAGUUUGUAGCGACCUAAAAACUUGGCGCGGGCGCUAAUCGAAUUGAUUGUUGAAAAUUUAAAAAUAGUAUCUCGAUUUUAUUUGAAAAGGGAGUUGCCACCGAUCUUUUUUUCUAGAUGUAAUCGGACACCUAUUAAAUUCUCUUUUUAAAAGAUAAAUUCUUUUUAAAAUUCUUUAAAAGAGUCAAUUUUAGGUUCACGUUAAAAAAAUCAGAGAAAAUUAGGGUUCGGGAGUCGGUUACACGCGAGGAAGGUAUUAGCACCCUCGCGACGCCCAAAAUUGGUAUCUCGUUAAUCGCGCAUUGUCAUAAUUUUCAAAAAUACAAGUUAAAUUUAAUAUUUAAUCGUGAUCUGAUUGAAACAUGAAUUUUUUUAAAACACGAGAAUUUUGAAGCACAAAAAUUUUUGAAACACGAAAAUUUUUUAAAAUACAGAAAUUUGUGAAACACGAGAAUUUUUUGAAAACAUGAAAAUUUGAAACACGAGAAAUUUUUUUGAAACACAAGAAUUUUUGAAAACAUGAAAAUUUUUGAAACACGAUUCUUUUUUUAAAAACGUACCGUAUUUAACAUGAAUCGAGGAUAUUCACCUAAUAUAGCGAUGAAGUCGACGAUUAGUGUCAAACCGAUUCAAUUUAAUAUUUAAUCGUGAUCCUAUUAAAACACGAGAAAUUUUUAAUAAAAAAAACACAAGAAUUUUUGAAUAUUUUCGAUUUUUAAAAGGGCGUAUCGUGUUUAACACAAACCGGUGAUAUUCACCCAACAUAGCGAUGAAAUCAACGAUUUAAUGUUAAAUCGAUUCGUUGUCUUAUUUAUUGAAAUUAAUUAAAUUAAAAUUAAAUUAAAUUAAAAAUAUAAAUACAAAAAUAUAAAAAUGCAUAAAAGUACCAAUAAUAUUUAAAACGGAAUAGCAUAAAAAUAUAUGCAUCAAAUUAAAAAUGAAAUAAACAAAAUUACCGAAAAUGUUCAAAAAUAUGAGCUUAGUCGAACGGAUUACGCAAAUUGAACCCUUUUUACUCCUUUUUCCCCUUUUUCUUUUCUUUUUUUUUCUUCUUCUUUUUUCCUUUUUUUUUUCUGCAGGGUUGGGCUUUGGUGGGCUGGCCUGCUCGCUGCUUGCAGGGCUGCUGCUGGUGCUGGGCUGCUGCAACCGGGCCUGCUUCACUGCUAUUGGGCUGCACUGGUCUGGGCUUGGGACUGCUGGAGCUGGCCUGCUGGACAGGCUGGGGAGUUAGGCUGUGGCCAGCUGUUGGGCCUGCUUUGUUUUUUUUUGCUGCAGGCCUGCUGUUUUGGGGCCGCUGGAGCGCGGGUCGGGUCGGGGGUUGGUGGGUCGGGUCAAAGUUUCGGGCCGGGUCGGGUCAACCGCCUUUUCUAUUUUUUCUUUUUCUUUCCCUUUUCUUUCUUUUUUUCUUUCUUUUUUCUUCUUUCUUUCUUCUCUUCUUCUUCUUUCCCUUCGACCUUGCUCUUCCUCGCCAUCGCCGCUUCCUCCGCCUGGUGCGACGAUCGCCGGUGUCUCCUCUUCUCUUCUUCUUUCUUCUUCUCUUCUUUUCCCUCUUCUUUUUAUGGUUUUGAUUUCUGUUUUUAUUUCCUUUUUUUUUUGCUUGUUGCUUUGCUUGUUUGAGUUGUAGGUGUUGACGACGGUGGUGUUGCGGCGGUGGGCACAGUGGCGCUGGUGCGACGGCAGUGGGCCGCUGCUGUUUUGAUUUUUUUUUAUUUUUUUUGCUUCUAUUUAUUUAUUUUUUGGUUGCUAUCCCUCCCCUGCUCUCUUUCAUUUUUUCUUCUUUUAAUCUUACCAAAUUUGUCUUUUUUUCUUUGUCUUCAGGUAGCAGGUAGGGGUGUGCAAAAUUCGGGUAAAACCAAAAAAAUUCGGUUAACCGACCAAAUUUGGUUAAUCGGUCGGUUAACCGAAUUUUUUCGGUCGAGAGUCGGUUAAUUAUUUUUUGAUUUUACGGUUAACGGUUAAUUCGGUUCGAAACCGGUUGGUUAACCGAAUUUUUUCGGUUAACUGAAAAAAUUAAUAAGUAAAAUUAUAAUAUAUAAAUAGGCCCACUAUUCACCUAAACCCAAUCCAAACCCAAGUAUUCAAUCCAACCCAAUUACCCAACUCAAUUACCCAACCCAACCCAAUCAUAAAAAUUACAAAUAAUUUAAUAAAUUAAAAUAAAAUUCUAAAACUAAAACUAAAGUAUAAAAGUCCAAAAAUAAUUUAAUUAUGUUUGAUUCAAUUAGGUUAAUUCGGGUAAUUCGGGUAAUUCGGGUAAUUCGGUUAAGUCGGGUAAUUCGGUUAAUUUGGUUAAUUCGGUUAAUUUUUAACCAAAAAUAAAAAAACAUAUAAUUUUCGGUUAAUUCGGUUAACCGACCGAAUUAACCGAAAAAAUUUCAGUUCGGUUAAUUUUUUUGAAAAAACUUUCGGUUCGGUUAACGAUUAAAAAUUUUGAAAGGUCGGUUAAUUCGGUUAAUGCUAUUUCGGGUCGGUUAACUGGUCAGUUAACCGAAUGAACACCCCUAGUAGCGGGUAGCUAGGGAAGAGGGAGGCCAUGCACUAGGCCGACGGCCAAAAAUUGCGGAGGGCAGGUGCGCAAAUCGCGCCUGUCUGCCAGAGGGACCAGAUUGAAAAUACAGCAAAACAUUUGGGGCUAAAGUGUAAAUUUUGGAAAAUUUGGGUCAAAAUGUAAUUUUAGGAAAGUUAAGGGUUAAAAUGUAAUUUUAAGAAAGUUUAGGGGUCAAAAUGAAAUUUAAAAAAAUUAGGGGUCAAAAUGAAAAUUUCUUAAAAACACGAAAUUUGUCCCGGACAAAAUUCAGUGAUUAGAAAGUUAAAUAAUUCAAAUAACAUACUGGUGUAAAUAACCUUUUGGUCCCUAUCAAUUUUGAAAAUAAGCAAAUUAGUCUCUCUAUCAACAAAAACUACAAAUAAAAUUAAAAAUAAAAAUAAAAAUAAUAUUUAAAUAUUUAUAAAUUUAUAAAUUUUCAAAUUUUAUAUUUUUAAAAAAUUUUAAAAUUUUAAAAAAAAUCUAAAGAAUAUAUAAAGAAAAUUUAAAAUUUUCUAACAUAAAUUUUAUGGGACCUAAAUUUAACGUUUAUUAUACUAAAGUGUUUUUUAUUUUGCUUUGAUAAAGCUUUCAAAUAUAUAUAUAUUUUUUCUCAUGCACCUUCUCAUUAUUAUACUUCUCACAGUACAACAUAUGUAUUUUCUUAUUAACACACUUCUUUUUUUAAUCGACCAACUAUGGAUCAUUUUAUAUGUAUAUCACAAUUAUAACAUUACAUAAUAUAAAUAUUAUAAAAAAUUAUAAAAUAAAUAUAUAAAGAGAUGAAGUAAUUAAAAUAAAACUGUAAACCAAUGUUUCCAUGGUUAUAUUUCUAGAAAAAUAAAUGAAAAAAAAUAAAAUUAUAUAAUUUUUUGCCGUAAGGCAUUCCUUGGAUCUUCAAUUGUCGUCACUCCAUCUUCUCAUUGUCAUGACUCUUUCUUAAUAAAGUAACUAAAAAUAACCUAAACAAACAAUUCAAAAUGAUCUAAAUCUAAUGUCAAACUCAACUAAAAAAAACCCAAAAUGAUCCGAUCUGAAAUGGAAAUAUUCGAAAUAACUCAAACCCGAUGGAAUUUUGAAAUCACAAACCUGAAACUAAUGUAAUUUUAUUUUGAAAUUUAGUUUAAUGUAAUCUAUGAUUCGAAGGGUUAUGAUAUGUUUUUAAUUAGUACCUUAAUUAAUUUUUAAUUAUUUUACAAGUAUUUUUUUGCAUUUAAGCAUGAGUUAAUGUUACAAACCAAAUAACGCUAACUCAAUUUCAUAAAGAAAAAAUAAAGCUACUUCAAUUGAAAAUUGAUUAAAAAUUAAAUAAAUUUAAUUAAUAAAUAUAAUAAUAUUUACUAACAAUUUAUUUUAAAAUAUUACUACCUGUCUAAGUCCCAAAGGCCCGUUCAAAAUUUGGAUAAAAAUAUUAGGCUUGAAAAUAUUUAAAAUAUAUUUUAAUUAUUUUUUAAAAAUAUUUAAUUAUUUUUGGAAGUUUCUGAAUAAUAUAUUUUAAUUAAUUUUUAGUUAUUUUAAAAAUUAAAUUCUUCAUUAUUGAAAUUUCAUUUAAUUUUUAAUAUAAAUAAUAUUCUUAAAAAUAUUUAAUUAUGCUUUAACGUAAAUAUAAUUUAUAAAUAAAUAAAAAAACCACUUCACAAACUAAUUAGCCAGAUAAAAAAUGUUGUUUUGGUUAACAAAAUCCAAAAAUUAACAUUGUUGGAUACUUUUAGAUAUUACUUAACUUAUAAAACAUAUAUUAAUACAAAUACAUCAAUUUUCCUCAAUUUAAAUUCCUCCUCAAAAUAUAAUUAAAAAAAACCUUUAUUAUUCUGUGAUUUGUGUUAUACGUGAUUUUUUUUUUACUUUUUUUUGAAAAUAUUUUAUUUUUUAUAAUAUUUUUUACUCAUCAUUUUAAUUUCAAAUUUAAAUUUGUAUUAAUUAUUUUUUAUUUUAUGUCUAAUUAUUUUAACACAUGUAUUGAAACAUUAACACUAUAUAUAAUGUAGUCAGCGAUAAUUUUAUUCUACUUUUUAUUAUAGUUAAUUUUCUUUUUUAAAAAUGAUAUUUUUAAUAAUUAUACUCCAAAAUUGCUAUGUUCAUAGGUCGCUUAACUCAAAUUAUCAUAUCAAGCUCAAAGAUUUGCUUAAUAUUUGAGAAAGUUUUAACAUAAGUACUAACUUUAAAAAAUGAGGUUGAGAAAUAAAAUUAAUCUCAUUUAAGAUAGUAUAAUAUUACAAUUUUUAAAAUCUAAACUCGAUCAUUUUUCGAGUUUAUAAUAUAAUUUUUUUCCUUUAUUGUUCUGUAAUUUGUAUUAUACGUGAAUUACAUAUUAAAAAAUGCAAAGAGUAACAGCUAUGUAUUUUAUAGCUUUAUAGAAGCAUAAGAACGCAGCAUACCUUAAUGAGGAAGGGGAAAUUUUUCCUAGCAAAACGGCCAACCCACUGGUUCAAUACCGGUUCGACAUUUUCCCAAUGAUUCAGCUCCAGAACUUUCUAGAAGUGGUCACUUUCUACUCGUAAACGAUACCGUUUAAGGAUAUGAGCCUUCCUAAGUCCAUUCACCUGAGUGGAAACCUUGUGCUAACCCUUGUUGUAGUCGACAAACCCAAAUUUAUGUUCCUCAAACGCGAUGUCGUUAUUGCGUUUAUUACAAAGGAUAAGGGAUUUGGAGGUAAUGGAGUGAAUGAAAAUUGGUGAGUUGAAAGAAAACUUGAUAGGGAGCGGAUGGGAUAAAGUGCUCAUUUAAUUAGAUAUAGAGGUUUUGACGCUUAGAAUGUUUGGAAGACCACCGUCAUUCAUUGUUUUGUGUUUCUGUAACACCCCUUACACGUAUCCAACACCGAAAUAGAGUACGAGGUAUUAUUAGAACACAUACACUUAUAAACGUAUUUAACCGAGUUAUAAAAUUUCAUCUAAAUUAAAACUUUCAAAAUUAUUAACAUGCCUUUAUAACCAUUCAUAAUAUAUCCUCAAAAUAUUAUAAUCAUAAUAAAUUGGAUCUACGAGACCUGAUAAAUAUUCAUGCAAUUCACAAGUCUUAAUAAUUCAAUGCUUCAUUUCCAUUUCAUUCAAUUCACAAAUUUCUCAUGUUCACAAUUCAAAUCAUUAAGUUCAAUACUAAUACGUAUUUAUCAUUUAACUCAACGUUUAAUUGAUUAUACCAUUCAUUAACACAUUUAUGAAGUUCUCAAUUUUUGCAAUGAAAAUAUCAUUUUAGCUUAUAUAACAACAUCAAUUCAACUCAUCAUCCCGGUAUAAAUUCACUACCACUUAUCCAUUUACUAUAAUUCUUUUGGGACCAUUUGUCAGUUACCAUCCUUAAUCAAAUUAGGGAACGGUUACGGAAAAUUGAGUACUUCACUUCCACUUUGCCAUAGUAUUACUAUGGUCUUGCGUAUGAUCACUUAUCACUUUCCGAAGCCGUAGCCCUGCCACGGUCUUACACAGAUCGUAUUUAUCACUUAUCACUUGUCCCUGAUCAGAUAAGUGUAGCUAAAGCUAGUACUUAUCACUUGUCCCUGAUCAGAUAAGUGUAACUAAAGCUAUCACUUAUCACUUGCCGCUUGUCACUGAUCAGAUAAGUGUAGCUAAAGCUACUACUUAUCACUUGUCACUGAUCAGAAGUACUCAAAUCCGGCGUUCCGCUCAAUUUGAUCAUUUAUUCGGUUUUCACAUUUUUAUUUUAUUUUCAUUUCAUCAACAAAUAUAUAUCAUCAUAUACUAUAUAAUUCAUUAAAUUGACAUUUAAUCAUUAAAAUUUUAGUCAUAUGAACUUACCAGACUAAUUUGCAAAAAUACCAAGAUACAAGAACAUUUUAGUAAUUUUUCAUUUUUCUCGAUUUUCUACCCAAUCUUGAUCUAAAUUAAUUUUUUAUUUAAUAAAACAACUCAUUUCAUGCAAUUUGGUCAUUUUUGAUAUUUUUCCAAAAUUACCCUUAAAGUUUUACUUUUAUUUAGUUUAGUCCCUGAGCCCAAAUCAUGCAAAUUAACCAUUUAUAAUGCAAACCCAUGCUAGCAAAAUAUUCAUAUAUUUAUUUCCCUCCCCCUCCUCUCCAUUCCACAUCCUUAAUGUGUAUAACACACUUAAACAACAUUAACUAUAAUUUCACUAUUCACUCACAUGAAUAUUCAAAACUGUUUAUCCGAGUUAGAGUCACUAAAUUAUUUUUAUCUGGAGCUACAAAGCUCCAAAUUAAGAUCCAUUAAUUUUAACUGAAACUAGACUCACAUAUCUUUUUACUAUAAAAUUUUCAGAAUUUUUGGUUCAGCCAAAUAGUACAAUUUAUUCUUUAAAGUUUUCCCUAUUUCGCUGUCUGACAGUUUCGACCACUCUUCACUAAAAAUGAAUUAUCUAAUUGCACAGAAUUCAGAUGAUGUAAAAUUUUGUUAAUAUCAUUAUUAGUUUUUUGAGAUAAAUAUAUAAUAUUUUGAGUGUGCUUGUAUUAAUAUAAAUAGGACAAAGACUAUAUAAUUCAAAUAUAUAUACAUAAUUUAAGUGUCAGAGCACCACAUAUUUUGAGUGGUACUUAAAUGAUGUAAAAUUCUUGCAUGCAUCUCAUAUGUUUCGUGGAUGUGAAUUGGAGCUUCCAUUUAUCAAUGCUUUGGUAGAGAAAAAGAUAUGAAACUCGGACAUUCCAUCUACUGUGAGAUGAGUGCACCAUUACACUCAAAGGUGUGGUAUUACAACUCGAUUUAUCAAUAGAUGAAUCAAUCACUACAAGUCUAGUGAACCCAAAGAAUUGAAGGCUAAUUUGCAAAUAGCUACCGCCCAAAGUGGCAGAUAAAUUUAGUAGUAAUCAAACAUAUAUAGCUAGAAAAUAAUUUUUACAUAUCUUAUUCCAAUAAUUAAACCAAAAAUUAUAUAAAAACUAAACUAAAUUAUUUUUACAUAUUUUAUUUCGAUAAAUUUUUAGAACCCAUUCCUAAAACAUAAUUUUCUAAACAAAGUUAUAACAUAGAAUAAUAGAACCUUUAGAUUGAAAAAGGAAAUUUGUCUUAUCUAUUAGUUUUUGUUUUUAGUAAGCCUUUACUUGGUUUAAUGAAGAAACAUGUAAUAGUCUCUUUUAAGUUUAAAACCAUACUAUAAAAGGUGAAAUAAAUAAUAAAACUAUAUUUUCUCCUUAAAUAAAAUAAAAUAACAAUAAAGUAAUGUUUAUCAUGGCAGAAAUAACUUCAGCUUACCUACUUUUUCUUUUAUUUUAUCUGCAUAUUCAACCCCACAUCUUUUCUGUGAAAAGGAGACAAUAUCAACAAACAUCCCUUUCGAAGGUUGAAUUCCGGAAUCCUCCAUCCACUGAAGAACCUGCACAGAGAUUUGUCGAGGAGAUUUGAGUCUUAUAACGCAUUUUGUACCAUAAUGCCAUUGCAGAAAAGUAAGAUGUUUGAGGACCUGCGUCUCCUAAUUCAAAGGCCAUUCAGAUUUCAAACAUUUAGCCAUCAUGCCAGAUGUUAAAACUAGAAAAACAGAUGAAUCCAACACCAUUGACAUCAUUUAUCUAAGAAACUCUAUGGAGUGUGGAUUGAAGAUAGACGCUAAAAUGGUUAACAGAUAAUACAGAGUAUAACCUCGAUAUAUUUCCGCCAAUUUUCAGCUGCCAACAGAUUUUUCAACAAGAUUGAGUAGGUGUUGAAACUGGCUGGAACACCUGAUGCUAUUAUCUUGUAAAACAGCUGCAUGUUUUCCAAAGAAAAAAAAAAGGAAGUGGAGAAUAAUAAUAAUCAAACAUAGAACAAACCUUUAACCUUAGUGGUAAGAUAGAACUUGAGAACUUUGGAGUUUUUCAAAGACAGAGCAACAGCAAGGACUUCAAUUGCAUUUAUAAACAUUAAGGAAAUCAAGUACCUUCAUCAUGGAUUCAAUCUUUCCACUCUUCCCAAGCAGAUGAAGAAGCUGAUUCAAAAGCCCAAUGGAAACCAAAGGGAACCAAGGCUCCAUUAGUUUGAUCAGGUCAAUUGUAGUCUUCGAAUCUUGUAAACUUCAUUUGAAUCCCCCAAUGUUAGUUUCUAGUAAGCAGAUAAAGCAUACUAAAUGUUCAAUGAAAAAAGGAUCUAUUUUGUCAUGUAGGAUAUAUCGUGAAAUAGUGUGCAGGCAAGCAAUGUUGGAUGUGGCCCCAACAAAAUUAAUUUCUUCUAUACAUGUUCUUCCUUUAAAAAUGCAAAAAGGAUACAAUUGGGUGUCAAUAGAAUUGGUUAAAUUAGAUUCAUUAUCCUCAAAUUCUGCAACUCUUUCAAAAGUUAAUUUUCCUCUGCUAUAAGAGUAAAAUGGAAAGAUCUGCAUCAGGUAUCAAGCACUCUAAAAAAUAAUAAACAAUAAGCAAUAUUUUUGACAAAAGGGGAAAAAGCUAAUGAAACAUGAUUUCUUUUCAGAAAAUAAAGACAUGAAACUUACAUGCUACAAGCUGAUACCAUUUCAAAGAAAACAGCAUCAUUUAAAGGAAUUGCUUUCUCUCUCAUAUACUUUGCCAAAACAAGAACUUUGGACGGUUGUCCUCCCUUGUUAAAAGCUCGCAGUAGAGCAGAACAUGCUAUAGAGUCUGGUUGGAUACCAUUUUCUUCCAUCUCUAGGAAGAUUGCAGAAGCUUUUGCCCAAUUUUCUGUAGUUAAUAAGCACCAAGUUUUUAGUUCCCAAAGAAGUAGUUUUUCCAGCUAAAGAAGACAUACUUACAAACAAAUUGAACAUAUUAGCAUGAGAAAUAGCCAGUUCUGAUGCAGCUUUAAAUAAAUGUCCAAGACAAAGUGGAAAAUGUUCUUUAGGCAAGUUCAACCAAUAAAUAACAAAGAACUAAGCUCACACCGUACCAUGAAAUUAAUCAAUAAACUUCCAGGUAUAGAAUAAAAAAACAGUUUAAGAAAAGAUCAGCUAUGAUAAUAAAAUUUCUUCGACAAAAAGAUCACUUCCUCCUAUAGCUUGUACAUGUAUCCAGAAUUGGUCUCCACAGUUAGUUAGUUACUUCAAAAGUGUAUCGUGCAACUUACCUGCAGAAUUAUAAGCAUGCAGCAUUGCAGUAUAUGCAACAACAUCAGGACAACAACCAGAAACCUUCAUCAUGUUGAACAUUGAUUCAGCCUCAGCAACUUGGCCCUGAAAUGGGUGUUAAAAGGAAGAAUAAAAUAAAUAAGAAAACAUUUCCCUCAAGUUGUAUAUCAGCAAUUAAGAAGCACACCGUGCAGAAGCACCUGCCUGUUUACUGUAGACACAAAUAACAGAUGAGUACACCUCCUUCGUUAAGGGAAUUUUUAAACCAACCAUGUCAUCAAGAAACCCAAGUGCCUCACUAUAUCUGGACAGUUUAUAGGAACCACUUAUUAAUAUUGUAUAAGUAACAGAAUCUGCUAAGACUUUCCUUUUCCUCAUGGAUUUGUACAAAGCUAUCGCCUUCUCAAACUCUCCGACAUUCAUAUAGCUUCCAAUUGCUGAAUUGUAGGCAACUGUAUUCAGUUUGAUACAUCGCAGCUCAGCUGCUGACAGUACAGCAUCAAUAUUCACUUUCUGCCGACAGCGCCCACAGGCAGCUAAAAGGGUGCAAAUUGAGACGAUGUUUGGCUUAAUCCCAUCUUGCUCCAUUUGACGCAAGACUUCUACAGCCUCAGCUAAUAAACCAUUGGAUCCAUAGGCAUCAAUCAAUGCAUUAUAACUUACAAGAUUUGGCUUAACAUUGUUUCUCUUCAUCAUAUCAAAAAUUUCUCUAGCUUUUUCAGGUAGCUGCGAUCUUCUAUAAGCAUUAAGUAAAGAAGUAUAAGAAACAACAUCUGGACGAAAUCCAUUUUGUUUUAUCUGGUCAAAAACAGCAACUGCCUCUUUACUCAUUCCAUGUGAAGCAUAUGCAGCCAUUAGUGUGUUAUAUGAAACAAUAUUGGGUUGUAUACCUUCUGCAAGCAUUGCAUUGAACACAGCCUUACAGUUUUCUAUCUGUCCGCAAACAGAAUAUAGGUGUAUGAUGCUAGUGAAUGUAACGAUGUCAGGUCGGGAAUCUGCUCUCUCAUCUCUCAUGGAAUUAAAUAUAUCCAUAGCUUUUCCAUAUUGUCCGAGCUUCACUAGGCAAUUUAUCACAAUAUUGAGUGUAGUUGUAUCAGGACGAAUAUGUGUCCCUUUCAUCAAUUCAAAAUAAGAUAAAGCUUUUGAAUACUGGGCCCCACUCUUAUAUGCUGACAAUACAAUGUUAUGUGUCACCAGAUCUGGUCCAACUCCAUUUUCCGUCAUUUUCUUGCAAACCUUCAGAGCUUCUCUCCAGUUUCCACUAGAUCCACAAGCGUUUAUCAAGUUGUUAUAAGUUGAUCGACUUGGAGGGAUCUGCCCAUAUACAUUAAGGUUACAAACAUCUAUUGUUGAAAAGACAUAAAAUUUCUGAAGAGAUGGAAAAAGAAAUUAGGGAAAGAACAGUAGCUUAAUAGAAAAAGCUAGGUUGAUUUAUUUUUUAUAAAACAAGAAAACAUCAAAGCAUUGAUGCUAUCUAUCUAUAUAAAAAAAAAUAUGUGCUAACUUCACUGUUAUGUUAUCAUGUACACUGCAUGCAUGAAAGUUUUAUUUGGUUUCUUCCUCUAUCUAUUUUCCUCCAAAUAUUUAUCAGAGAACUGGAAAAGAAAGAAGCACCCUUUAUGCCACAUCAAUUUUGAUUGCUUAGUCUAGUUUGAAGGGGAAACCCCGACAAAACUCUUAAAUCCCAUUUAAACUUCCAUAAUUCUAAAUCAUAUAAUUUAUCUCACUAUGUGCAACUCUGAAUGAAUUUACAAACUUAAAAGUGGGACUUGAAGCAUGUGACCAAUAAAAAUCAUGCAAAGCAAUCUGCUCAAUCAACCAGGGGAAGAUUAUAUGAAUAGUACAGCCUGCAGACACCAAAUUUGUAUCAACCAUAACAAUAAUUAUAGUGACAACUAGAUAAUAAUAGAAGCACUUUGUGGGUGUUGUUUGACCUUAACAAUAAUAACAGUGACCAUUGCAAGAAAAUGAACGCACCAUGUAGUAUUGUGAACAUUUAUUUUAUAUGCAGUAUGAUUUCAAUGUGAAAAUAACAAAAAGAAGCUCACUCAAGUUAUACCCACAAAGAGUCAUUAGGGAUCAAAAAUACAAAUACACACAGCUGCACUGAGCAUGUCUUCCAUGAUAUUCAUAGCCCAACGCCAUUGCCCAACUUGACCAUGUGCAUGGAUAAGAGCAUUGUAUGUCUCAACAUCAGGCUUGCACCUACGGCAGAGAUACUAUGGAAUUAUCAUGUCACCACAAAGUUAAAUAAGAUUUUUGAAUGAGAAACCGUCAAAUACUUCAAAAGUUAAUAUUUAUAACAUUUGAGGAUACAAGAAGGCUAUUGCUUGGAAAAUUAUAAAACUCCAAAGCUAACAAUAUAUGCACAUAUCAUUUUAGUGUCAGCCAUGCAUGUCAAUCUGUCACCUGCUUGUAUUACACUAUUUAUGUCAUUUCAUGUAAAUUACAUUAUAAUCUUUGUUGUAAAUAAGAUAUUAUUUAGGCUAAAUCUGAUAUUACUGUGUAUGGGUUUUAUUUACUUUGAUUUAUUUCUGUGAAAUCGAGUGAGAGAGAAAAAGAGAAAGAAAACAGCCUUGCAGUCACUGUUUUGGCUGUAAUCAGCUGUGAAAAUGAAGAAGAAAGGUAGAGGAGUUGAGAGAAAGGGGUAUUCUAAAAUAAUUUCUUGUGCCUACACAUUAUGCUACAUAACAUAUUUAUACUAGUACCUAGAUAUACAAAGAAGGAAAGGUACCUAUUUUAAUGCUAAUUAAUCCCUAGAAUUAUGUACAAUAAAUCUAAAGAUACUAAUAGGAUCAUAACAAUUUCCUUAAGUUGACUAUAGUAACUUGUAUAAAUGAGAUGCUCUUCUCAUAAUUUUCUUCUUACACUCUUCUCGAUUCCUACCUUGGUUACAUGGAAUCAGUGCCUUUCGGCUUUUUUUUUUUUUUUUUUUUGGUUUGUGUUUCAUUGUUUUUUGGGGUACUUUAAUGAGUCACUUUUAAAGUGAUUUUAUAGUGUGCACUGGCAGCAAAAGGAGCGCCAUCAUUUCUUCAGCAGAUUUGCAACUUCUGACAACUGGAAAGCAAGUGUGUGAAGCUCACGCACCAUCCAAAGCUGAGCAAACCUUCGUCACAUGGCGGUGCGUGGGGAAGCUUGGGAGGCCUUCUUUCACCGAAUUCUUCCUCCGGUGCCGACUAGUCUGUUUGACCAUAACCCAGCCUUUGGGUGCCUGAUCAGAGCUGGGUUUCAGGGAAUUUGUAUCGGUUUGGAUUUGUGCGAUUGUUUGACCAUUUUGUGGCUAAUAAGUUUUAGGAAAUUCAGAUGAUUCCCCUCUUCGGUUUGAAGUUGGUGGCUUUCCUCGGGUUAUUUUGGAAUAUUUUGCUUGAAAUUUGGUUCUUUAAAUUUUCUUUACUUGUUUUAUCCAUUGUUACUUGGAUUUAAAGGAUGGCUUGUUUUAUCCAUUGUUACUUGGAUUUAAAGGAUGGCAAUAAAACCUAAAGUCCUUACAAGCGAGAUGAUUUUGAUAAUGUUGAGAAUUACAGAGCACAAAUUAAAUGAAACCAAUUAUCUAGAUUGGAGCAAGAUGGUUAGAAUUUACUUACAAAGCAUUGAUAAAGAUGAUCGCUUGAAUAACGAACCUCCUACUGAUGAUACUAGACAAGUGUGGCUGAGAGAAGAUGCUCAAUUGUUUUUUCAUAUUCGAAAUUCUAUUGAUAGUGAGAUAAUUUCCCUAAUUACCACAGUAAUUUUGUUAAGGAGCUAAUGAAUUACUAGGUUUUUUUUUUUUUUUGUAUUUAGGUAAAGAAAAUAUUUCUCAUGAUUAAGAAGUACGUCAACUAAUUGCUUGUCAAAUGUCACAUGAACUAAAAGCACCUAUAGUCAAUUUCUGUUUGAUAAAGUGAUGAUCAAUCUUAAUGUAUUUUGUUCCAUCAUGUUCAACUGGAUUUUGAGCUAUGUUGAUGGCAGCCUUGUUGUUAUAGUACAAGGAUAGUUUUCUGUUUUCUAAGAAGAGCACUAUUAUUAGUCUGAGCUGAAUGAGUGUCUUCAAUACACAACAUUCUCGUAAAAGUAUCUUGAAGAGAUGAAAUUUUAGAUCCAGAAAGAAUAUGUGAUUUGGCAGUCUCAAACUUCGAAGGAAGGUCAAUGAGGAAACUCAUAAUUGUCAUUUGUUCCUGUUAAGGAAGCUGAUCUUUAACAUUUGGGCUAAACGACAGUAGAACAUUAAACUCUUUAUACACCUUUUUAAACUCCAUAAACUGAUUUUUAGGGAUUUCAAUUUCUGAUAUUUGGGGAUAUUAUUACAAUUUACAACUUUACUGAUCUAUUUCUGAUUCAGACAGCCAUAUACUUGUAAAGCUUUAAACAACAUGAUGAAAUAUUCUAGCAAUCCACAGUGCCCUAAAGUUACUUAAGGAUAAUCAAUCAUGGCCGUAUCAUAGUUCUACAGCCAAAUAGUCAUUAUUUAGGAUAUAAUUAACAUGGGGUUCAGAACUUUUCCAGGUUCCACCAAUUACAGUUCCUUGGUCAUUAGUAUGAAGGCUCCCCACCAAAAUGUACGAGUUCAGAAUAUUCUAUAAAAGUUUAUAAUUAAUUGAGAUCUCAUGCCAAUUGAGCAAUUGUAUUGAUGCAGUCUGUAGCUGUAGCUUUAUUAGAAAUAAUUAAACUAGGAUAAUGACUUCAAAGAUCUUGAUAGAAAAACUACAAAGGCUACUUCUUGCCCAGCAUAAGAAGACUCCAAAAAGCUACACUUUUGUUAGACAGACAUGUACUUGUCUACGAACAGCAAAUUUAUUCUUGACUUCUAACCAUUUUAUAAUCAUCAUGAGAUCUACACGAGUAAAGUUUUGCAUACGGUUAAACGUAGUUUAUGUAAGUUGGAAAUGACACACUAAAUUCUAUAUAACAUUAAACAAACAGAAAGCAUUACCUCCACUUUUGCAUUUCAAAGAACAACCCCCUAGCCUGAUCUGUCCGUUUAUGUCUAGCAUGUAAUCUUAUCAUCAUAUUGUAGAUAUCAGUUCGAGCACAGUAGUUCUUCUGCUUUUUCAUCCACUCAAAUACUUUUAUACUAUGUUCAAUUGCACCCCUUUGUGUCAGUUCCUGCAAAUUCAGCAUCAAAAUCACUCAACCGAAUCACUAAUUAUUCUUAGGCUUUGUUUGGUUCUUACUUUCGUAUCUGCUUUUUUUUUUUUCUUAUUAAAAACGAGUAAAUGAAGAAUGUGAGGCGAGGAAGCAUUUUCCAUUAUUUGAAAAUUUUAACAUUUACUUGUUCAACACGUGCACUUAUGCUUGGAAUUAUUUUAAGAAAAAAAAAUACAGAGAGUAACAGCUAUGUAUUUUAUAGCUUUAUAGAAGCAUAAGAACGUGGCAUACCUUAAUGAGGAAGGGGAAAUUUUUCCUAGCAAAACGGCCAACCCACCGGUUCAGUACCGGUUCGACAUUUUCCCAAUGAUUGAGCUCCAGCACUCGGUCGACCACCUCAGAUAUGGUCCAGUCCUUCUGGAAGCGGUCGCCUUCUACACGCAAACGGUACCGUUUAGGGAUAUGGGCCUUCCUGAGUCCACUCACCCGAGUGGAAACCUCGUGCUGGCCCUUGUCGUAGUCGACGAACCCGGAUUUAUGUUCCUCAAACGCGGUGUCGUUAUUGCGUUUCUUGCAAAUGAUAAGGGAUUUGGAGGGAGUGGAGUGGGUGGAAGUUGGCGAGUUGAGAGGGAAUUUGAUAGGGAGCGGAUGGGAUAGAGUGGUCACUGAAUUUGAGGGUUGGAAUGUUUGGAAAAUUUUAGUAUUAGCAACAAACCAGUGGAAUUUUUAAUACAAAAAUCAAUAAAGCAAAACAACUUCAAAGAAAGGAAAAAAACAGGGUUCAGAUUUAUUUAGCAUAGCUGAAGAUUUAAGGUUACCGUCGAAGAUAAUUGGGAAUCCCCAAAGCCUAAACCUGCAAAAAUAUCAAAUAUAUUAAAGGCACUAAAAUGUUAAUAAAAUUAAAAGGAAGAAGACGAAUAGACUGUCACUUACAGAAGGAGAUGUGGAAUUAAAAACUCGACUGAGGGUUUUUGGGUGAUUAUUAGUAUCUACCUUGGGAUCCACACUUUUUAUGGGAGGAUAAGGUUAAGAGUGGGUUGAUUGGGUAUGAAGCACAUUUCCUUUCAUUAGUUCUGCAACUUCGUUUGGGGAGGAAGGCUUGGCAGAAAGGAAUGUAUGUCGCAAUUGCUCAAAAUUUUGAACAUUCUUCUUUUCAGAAUUCAAUCUGCCCCCUCUUUGGUGCUCUCUUCAAGCUUCUGUAAUAUCUUUUCUGACACGUAUGAAUGGUAAAAUAUCAUUAAUAGUCCCCAUAUUUCAUCAAAAUUUCAUGAUUACAAAUUUUAGUUACUUUUUCAAUUGUCAUUUCCCCCAGUUUCAAUACAAUAUUAAGACUUUGGUGGUUGAAUUUUUUAAUUUCUUCUUUUAAAAAAUUUAUCUUUUGGAAUUUUAAUAAAAUGUUGAGGGAUCAUUUGUGAUAUUUUCCAUUCUAAGCCCAAAGCAUAGAAAGCGCAACCACCAAAGAACCGCUUUUGAAAAUUAAAAUUGGAUGGGCUAUAUUGAAAUUUUGAUAUGCAUUCAAGGGUCAUUUAUGAUAUAACAUCAUUUUUCAUCAUUUAUGAUUUUACUAAAUGGCCCGUGAAUGUAUAUAAAAUUUUCAAUAUAGUCCGUCAAAUUUAAAAUUAUGUUUUUUGUAAUUUUUUAUUAUUAGUAAAAAAAAUACCAAUAUGAAAACCAUUUUGUAAGUUUAAAAGUAACAUAUAAGUUCCAAUAUAAAAGUGUAAAUACAAUUUCUUUAAUUAGUAAAUUUUAAAUUCCCAUAUUUUACAAGUAAUUGAAUUUCAAUUUUCUAAAUUUUUUAAAUUCUUAUAAUAAUUUUUAAUUUAUUUUUUAAGUGUUUUUUAGUUUAGAAAAUAACAUACUAUUUUAAAAUAAAAUUUAUAAAAGGAGGGACCAUAUCAAAAUUUUGAUAAAUUUUAAAGUGGAUAGAAUAUAUUGAAAUUUUGAUAAACUUUUAGAGAUUAUUUUUUAUAUUACUCCAUUUAUAUUUGAGCAUUUAAUCUUCCUUUGCCCAAAGUGGAAGACGGUUUUCGUAGGUAUAGGUAAUUCUCGAAGCCCCGAGAGGUGAAUUCAGCAUCCAGACCAUAGUCUUCAACUCAACAAAGUUUGUAUACCUCUUUUAAUUUUGUCAAAUGGUAUAUACCUAGUAUUACUUAGUUCUAAGUUGAAAAUGGUCAAAUUCAUGUAUCAGAGUUGUGGACAUAAGAAAAUGAUAAUGGUUCAUGCAUGAAAAAGAUUUUGUUGAUUUAAAGUUCUAUAUUGAACUUGCCAUAUGUGUGAAAUGGUCUUUUGGGACUUAAGAUUUACUAAUUGUUGUUUUAAGUUAAGUUGAAAUUAAGAGGAAUCACAAUUUUGGUAUAUGUGUGAAAUGGUCUUUUGGGGACUCGGUCUGAUGAAUACUUACUACUCAUAAAUUACAAAUACGCUAGAUUUUCCGUACUGACUGACUAAUAUGGCAGAUUCACCCUUCAGCUAACACUACUGGAAACUCUUUUAGGAAACAAGGGUUAUUUUCAUUUUCUUGAAAAAUGGUGAAGAAAACAUGUUGGGAUAAAAAAAUUAAAAAUAAUUUUUGAAAAAUGAAAAUAAAAAUAUGUGAAAAUUAGAGAAUAUUUUAGAUAAAAAAAUGAUUUAGAAAAAUAGAUUAGCACGACUCAAACCCAAACCACACCUGAGACGAUAAACACCCUUAACUAUUAUGCCAUCACAUGGGUUAACAUUUUUUCUUUACUUUCAAUGCCUUUAAAAACACAAUUUGGUUCUCAUUAAAAUCAUCAUUCAACUUGGUAAGGUUAAAAGAGUUAUGCUAGUAUUGGUCACAUGGGCUUGAACCACUUCGGCUCCACUCAUUUCUCAUUAAACAUAUAUAUAUUGCCACAACAUUUGCUUUGAUUAUUUAGUUUAAGGUUAACUUAAAGUUUUUCUUUGGUUGCCAAAGACGCUUAUAAGAAUCUAAGCACCAGAAUCACUGUAGUUCUCUACACAUCUAGAAACUGACCCUUUAUCCAUCUGCACAAGACUAGCAGUAGCAUUAGGCAAAUUUUCAAAUAGACUCAACACCAUUCCUAAAUUUCUUCCAAUCCUAGCCAAAGAGUUUGCAACUUUGUCAUGUAGUUAUAUUUAUUUUGUUCAACCUAUAGUUGUAAUUUUGAAUCUAGUAGAACAAAAUAAUAUAAAAUUUACAUGGUGUUCAAUAAUGGUAUUGAUUGGUUAGCAAAAUCAGCUCUAUGUAGGAAAAAUUAUGGUAUUGUGCAGCACUUGUAACUGGUUUUGAUUUUGUAUAUGGUAUUUUAUCAUGCACAGGCAUCAAUCAAGAGGGAAAGAAGAAUUAUUUAAUGAGGUAUUCUUUUGGUAGCGAUUUCAUCAAGAGAAGGGAUUUUAACCGUAAGGAGGCUGAGGAAACUUGGAGAGUCAAUAGAUUAAUCGGGAUGACAACUAAAAAGGAUGAUGAUUUAGUCAUGAAAAAGUUAGUAGUCUUGAGGUGCGACUUCUCUCUUAUUUCUUAUUCGUGUUGAGGUGCUCUUUAUCUGCGACUAAAUGAAGUUGGUUUACUCAAAAGUGGUUUGGUGAAGAAAUUAGUGGUUAAUUUGAGACUUGAUCUUAUCAUGUUAACUUAAAACAAAACUAGCAAAGGUGGAAGAUGGGAUUGUUCAAAUGAUUUGGACGGAUUCUAAUAGUUGGUGUGAUUGUGGAGCUCUUAAAUAUUGUUAUCCUACUAUGUCUUUCCUUAGGAAUAGACGCAUUUCGAUCUCGGAUGAGCAUGUUGUUUGUCAUUGGUGCAAAGUGAAAUCUAAGGAUGUUAGUCACAUUUUGUUGAACUAUGCCCGAGUUAACAAAUUCUGAGGUAUUUUAUCCUUUCUUUCGUUAUGCUUUGAUAAGUUGGUGUCUAAACCUCUGUUUAAUUGGUGGUUGAUGUCUAUUAUGGUUGCCUUGUGGACCAUCUAGAGUGCAAGAAAUGAUUCUAUGUUUAGAGCAAAAGAUUUUAAUUUGGAGAACAUUUUUUUUCUGGUUAAAUUAAGAUCUUUGCAUUGGAUAAAAGUCUUGCCAGAAUGUAUGAAUUUUGAUGGAUAAAAGUCUUGCCAGAAUGUAUGAAUUUUGAUGAGUCAAUGUGGGGGAAGGGGGUGUCCGCGAGAUUGUGAAAGGAGUAUCCGUAGCCAUCAUACCAAGAGUGUGACGCGUUGGGAACCUUCAAAUGAAGGCUGAUUAAAGUUUAACGAUGAUGGUUCAACAUUAGGUAAAUUUGGCCUGACAGAGUGUGGAAUGGAUUUUAGAAAUUCAAAGGGUCAUGUCAUUGAUAUGCUUCAGGUCCCUAAGGCAUCCAAGAUUCUAAUUUCGCUGAAAUUAUGACGAUUAAGUUGGCUCUUCAUUUCUUCUUAGACUCCAAGAGGAUUAAAGACUAAAAGCUUAUGGUUGACUCCGACUUCAUAGUCGCGCUUACUUGGUGUAUCAAUGAGAAAUCUAGGCCUUGGAAAUAUUAGCACAUUUUAGCAAGCAUUGAUGAGAUUAAGAUGUCCAUUCAUGAGGUACUAUUUAGAAAAAGUGGGAGAGAUGCUACUGGUAUGGCAGAUUCGUUGGCAAAAUCAGAAUGCUUUCGAUCUUAAAUGUUUUUUUUGUGAUUGGUGAUGAGCAUCGUUGAGUUUAAUUGAGAUGAUAGUUUCAUUGUUAUUUCAUCCAAGAAAAUUCACCGCAGCGAUUAUUAGACUAUCAAACAACAGUAUUUUGUGCCUAUUUGAACGUCAGUGCUGCUGUUUUAAGGUGUGCUGCAGUUGCAAUAAUCAUAACCAAUAAUUCUACAAAAAUAAUUAAGUUAACUAAGUUUGAUUAAAGAUAAAUACUUUAUUUUACGAUAGUUUUGGUAAUUAAAUAAUGAAAAGAAUUAUUUUUUCUGUUAUGAAAAUAUUUAUCUUGUAUCUGUUUCACUUGAAACAAUUUUCAAAAAAUGAGUUCAAGAGAACUUAUCAAAUACUGUAAAAUUUUUUACAUAAAAUCAUUCGGAAAAUAUUACAUUUUUCCGAAAAGCAAACUAUUUUCCGGAAAUCAUUUUCCAGAAAAUGUUUUCAAUCAAACAAACAAACCCCAAAUUUGAUUGAAUUCCACACUUGGAGUUAGAAGUUCUGAGCAGCCGAAAAUUAUACAGAUGCUAUUGUCAUUGCUACAGAUAUUGGUUUUCCCCUAAGUUCUUACCAUUACCACCAACAAGAUUCUCACUUACAACACAAAGUCAGAACAAAAUCAACAAUAUUGAAAAUAGACACUAAAACUCAUUCUAGUUUCCAGAAUCUUUUAUCACUGUACAAUGGUUAUGUACAACUGAUUCACAUUGCAAGUGAUGAUCGUUACACAAUUUGUUAAACAUUUCAGAGCAAGAUUGAUUUAUUAGAGUGUAUGAUAAGAUCCAUAAACAAGGUGGCAGUGAUUAUAUCUGCAGAAAAGCCCUUACCAACCAUUUCCAUAAGAAGUUGCGUUGCCUUUGAAGAAUAGCUGUUGCGAAGGAACCCCCGAAUCGUUACAUUAUAACAGCAGCUAUUAGGCAAACAGUCAUUAUCUCCCAUGCUCCCAAAUAACCUGUAUGCUUCAGCCGGCAAUCCCUCUUUACACAGUCUAUUAAUCAUUAAAUAAUAUGUGACAACAUCCGGUUUUAAACCAUUGUUUGAGAGUUGAUGAAAUAAUUCCUUGGCAACUUCGAUAUGCCCAGCUUUACAAAACCCAUCAAUUAGGAUAGUAUACGGGACAAUAUCAAGUUCAAACCCACUGUUUUGCAUUGCUUGAUAAAGUUUCAAUGCCUCUUCGAUAUGACCUGUUUUGCAUAAACCAUCCAGCAAAAUCAAACAGGUCACUAUAUCUGGAACUUGUCCAGAAGCAAGCAUCUUUCUAAAAAGUUCACAUGCAGUUGAAACUUUCCCUAACUGAAACAUACUCUGCAUAAGAGUGCUGUAUGUGACAAAAUCUGGGAUUGGUCCCUUUCGAGAUAUUUCAUGAAAGAGUUCCAUUGCUUCGUCUAACCUUUUAUCUUUGCAAUAUCCAUUGAUCAUGGUGUUGUAAGUAACUAUAUUAGGUGCACAACCCUUCUCAAUCAUCAAGUUGAAAACUCUUCUAGCUUUAUCCAUUUCAUUCUGAAAGCAAUGACCAUUAACUAAUGCACAAUAGGUAACAACAUCAGGCUCAAUGCCUCGCUUUAUCAUUGCAUCAACAAUAUCCUCAGCUUCAAAGACCAUCCCUUCCUUGCAAUGCGCAUCAACGAAUGUAUUAUACGUGACAACAUUAGGCUCAAUGCCUCGCUUUAUCAUUGCAUCAACAAUAUCCUCAGCUUCAAAGACCAUCCCUUCCUUGCAAUGCGCAUCAACCAAUGUAUUAUACGUGACAACAUUAGGCUCAAUGCCUUGCUUUCUCAUCAUGUCAACGGUCUCUACAGCUUUAGAAAUCGUUCCUUCCUUGCAAAGAGCAUCAAUCAAUAAAGUAUAUGCGACAAUAUCAAGUGAAAUAUUGUUAUCCACCAUUUCAUUCAAGAGCCUUGUUGCCUCCUCCUGCUGGCCCGAAUUACACAUACCAUGAAUUAAGCAAGUGUAAGUAAUGAUCUUUGGUCUAAUGCCCUUAACCUUCACUUCGGAGAAGAGAUCGAGAGCCUCCUUUAAUAACCCGUUCUUACAAGGACAGUCAAUGACAGUGCUAUAUGCUACAUUAUUGGGUUCGAAACCUCUGCUUUCCAUCAACCUUAGAAACCUAACAGCUCUAUCAGUAUUGCCGAUCUUAGACAACCUUAAGUACUGUAUUGUAAACAAUCAAAUUAGGUUGAUACCCUUUUUCAGUCAUUUCAUCGAACAUACAAACGGCCUCAGAAAUCUUACUUUGAUUACAAAUCCCGUUUAUCAAAGUUGAAAAAGUUACAGCACUAGGUUCAACACCUAACUUCAGCAUUUUCCCCAAAACAGACAACCCAAAAUCAAUUCGACCUAAUUGACAAAAGCAAUUAAUCAAGAUGCUCACAGAAUAAACAUCAUGGGAAACGCCUAAUAAUUCCAUCUGGCUACACAUAGAAACAACAAUGGCAUAAUGUUUCAUUCUAACAAUGGCUGCAAAUAAUUUAGUGAAUCCCAGAAUUGAAGGCACUUGGUACCUGCCAAUCAUCUUAUUGAACAAAAUCAAAGCAUGAUCAACAUUCUCGAAGCCAUCAUCCCCUUUUCCCUUUCCUCUAACAGACAUGGCUUUCUUACUUAAGGCUUUGAUGUGGGGAGCAAUGGUGUUAGAAGAAGAAGAAGAAGAAGAGUGGAAGUUAGAAAGAUGGCUUCCACCAUUAACAAGUGAACGAAGAAUAAAAGAAGAAGGAAGCUUACCCAUAUCUUGAAAGUAAGCAAAAUGAAAACAAAAAAAAAAACAAAGAGAGCUGAGCUUGAAAAUGAAACCUUAUUUGGGUUCGUUACUUUCCCGGCUGAAAAAGCCGUAACAGAGAGGCUCCGGAGAUUUCAGCUUCCUCACCUUACUGUCUACUCUUGUGUCGAUGGUGGAUGGAUGAUUAGAAACAUCAACGUUGGGCACCUCUCCCAUAGCCCAAACAUUCAGCCCAUUCUUGGCACCCAUCAUUUUUUUCAUUUCUAAAAUUUCAAUCCUCGUUUAAGUUCAAUUCUGCUACUUACAAAAUUUUAUCUAACAAAUAUAUUAAUACAUAUUAAAUAUUACAUCAAUUUAUUAUUUUAGUAUAAUAAUUAUAAAAAAAUCAUCUUAUUUUAAUUAAAAAAAUUUAAUGACUAAUACACAUACCACGAGACUAAUAAUAAAAUUUUAUCUAUCAAAUUCAAUUGUUACGGUUUACCCUAAAAUUAAAAUUUUAAAAGUUUAAUUUUUUUUAAAGAUCUUAAUCAUUUGAAUCAAGGAAUAGCACUAAGGUCUAAAUGUUAAAAUAUUCACGCUUAAUUUAUCUUAUCUUUUCAUUAAUUUAAAAUAACAUCAUAGUUACUAACAAGCAUAGCGUAUAACGGUAAUUCAUAUUGCAUUUUUAAAGAAAUAUGUAAGAUUAAAUCUUGGAGGCGACAUUGUCAAAAAGAAAAACCUCUAAAACAAACAUGAAAAAUACUAAAAAAAUUAAUGUAAUUAUAUAUAUUUAUGUGUGUAUAUGUUCAUACCAUACAUACAUGCCUUUGGAGAUAGCUUUUAAAGUUUAAGGUAUACAUGGGAUGUUAUCUUUAAUGUGAAUUUUUUUUGGUAGGCUUGAAUUUAAAUAUUUAUUGUUUUAUAUAACCUUUUUUCGGAUCAAAUCAUUUAUAAUAUAUAUGAAAAGUAAAUACAUGAAUAUCGUAGAUAUUAGGCCUUGAAAUUGUGAUGGUUAGCUUUUUUGAGGGUGUAAUUGAAAUGUGAGAGGAAAAAAAGAGAGAGGGAAAGUAGAAGUCAGGGUCGAGUUUGGAUCAUGUCUCAACAAAAUUUUAGGCCUGUUUUUGAAGUCUAGGUUCGGUUUAACUCGAAAAAUAGGUUUGAAAAUUACCCAAGUUUAGUUCAAAUUAUAAAAUCUAAACCCGAGCCUAACCCGUAUUAAAUUUUUUUAUUAUAAAAGUUGAGAUACAAAAUUAUGUCAAAAAUUAAAAUAUAAAAAAUAAAUUAUUUUGCAUUUUAGGCCGAGUUUUGUAAUAUUUAGGGAAAUAAAUUGAUUUUGGAGAGAGCGUGAAAACGUAUCUAGCUGAAAGCGUUUUUUACAUAAUUGGCAGGAAUUUGCACCCAGCUAGACUCGUUUUCCCUUACGCAUUUUCUGAUUUUAUUUUUAAUAAAAUUAGUUACUUUGAUCAGAUGAUUAAAUGUUAGUGGUUUUGUACGAUUCCUCUUUUAAGCACAUUUAUAAUUUUUAUUUCAUCAUGUUUCAAGCUUUUUUAUUUAUUUUUAAUUAAUAAAUAUAUUGUUUUGAAGUUUUUUUAUUUUUAAUUCAUCUUUUUAAUUAAUGUCUCUUUUAUUUAUAAAAUUAAAUAAUAAAUAUGUAAUUAUAUAAUAAAAAUAUAUAUUUUAUGUAUAACUUCUUUAUAUAUAAUACAAACAUCAACUAAUUUUGUAUGUAAUAUAAAAUGAAAUAAUUAUUUCAAAUAUAAUUAUUGUUUUUAUAUGUAAUAUAUUUCAAAUAUUUUUAAUCAUUUGACCAAAAAAACUAAUUAUAUUAAAAAACUCAGAAAAUGUGUCUUAAAGUAAAAAAAUCAGGAUAGUAAAAUCAAGAGUGGUCAUGCUUUGUUUUUAAAUUAAGGUUGUAGGAAUUUUGUAAAGUGAAUUAAUUUGGUUUUGUGAUUAAGUGUUGUGUUUGUGUAUGAGAGUACCUGUGUUCAAAUUUUUUUCCUUGAACUUUUGCUAUUUUUGCCCUAACCUGUAACACCCCUAACCCGUAUCCGUCGUCGAAUUAGGGUUGCGAGACAUUAUUGGACAAAACACAACUCAAUACAGACAUUCAACAAAAUUCAAGAAUUUAACAUUUAUAUGCAAUUCGUUUGAAUACGGGUUUAAAUCUACUAUUUUCAAAUCAAGAUAUAAGCAUCGUAUAUAUAUAUAAAAUGAAAUAUAUUAAGCUUAGUCAAAUUUUAAGUAAGUAUAAUUAUAAAUUCUACUUUAACCUUUUAAAACAAAACAAAACAUUUCGAUCCCGUUAAACCAUAAUAAAAUAAGCCAUUUUCGUAUGGCUAUUAAUUAUAUAUACAGUACAUCAAAGUACGACUUCCAAAACAUUAUUUAGCCUAUACAUGCCAUAAGUUAAAAUUUAAACAUUUCAAUACCGAGACAAUAGAUAGAGUGAUGAUCUUUGCUGACGAUCCCCGAGCCUGCAGCUUUAUUUUUAUCUAUAAAACAAAUGGACGUAAACUAACAAAGUAAGCUUUUAUCGCUUAGUAAGUCUUUAGCAUAUCUAUAAUACAUAUAAAAGAAUCAUAUAACUCCUUAAGUAAAUUUAUUGAGAUCACAAAUACCAUUCAAACAUUGCUAUCUUAAGUCAUUUUGUUGAUAUCUAAAAGAAUGUAUAUUUAAUUAAUACAUAUAAACGAACAUAUGUAUAUUCAUUAUAUGCAUAUAACCAAGCUAUACACAUACUGUAUAUUCAUUAUAUGCAUAUAACCAAGCUAUACACAUACUCACUAUCUGCAUAUACUGAUUGCUAGUGUACUUAUCGCUUGCACUUCAUCGAACACAUUUAUAUAUAUAAUUAUUCAAAUACAUAUGCCAAAAGCAUAUAUUUAUACUUAUCAAUUACAUGUGCCAAAUGCACAUAUAUACUUGUAAUCCACAUAUGCCGAAUGCAUACAUAUAUAUAUCCAACAAUUUCAUAACAACCAAUAUACGUACUUACUCGCUAAACACAAAGAUCCAAACGUUUAUAUGCUCAUCAAAUACAUAGAAACAAAUGUUCAUAUAUUUAUCCAUUACAUAUAACCAAAAUCAUAUAUAUACCCGAUGCAUAUAAUCACUUAAUUUAAACAGAUUCACCGGCACUUAGCCUAUUAGGCUUAAAGCCUAAUUCAGAUCACCGGCACUUAGCCUGUCAGGCUUAUAACCUGAUUCAGAUCACUGGCAUUUAGCCUGAUUCAAAUCACUGGCACUUAGCCUGUUAGGCUUAUAACCUGGUUCAGAUCACCGGCACUUAGCCUACUAGGCUUAUAGCCUGAUUCAGUUCACCGACACUUAGCUUGCUAGGCUUAUAGCUUGAUUCAGUUCACCGGCACUUAGCCUGCUAGGCUUAUAGCCUGGUUUAGAUCACCGGCACUUAGCCUGUUAGACUUAUAGUCCGAAAUGUUUCACCGGCAUCAAGCCUGCUAGACAUAAAGUCUGAAUUAUCCCACUGGCGAUAAGCCUUCUAGACACUGAGCCUGAAAUAUCAUUUCACAUAAGUUGUAACUCAUAUUCAAACUAUAUAUGUAUAUAAAAUCCAUACAUAAAAAUUCAACCCAAAAUUUAUAACUUAUAUGCUUGAACCACAUGGAUAUAUAUAAAGUUCAAUCACCAAAUCCAACAUUAAUAUCUCAAUGAUUCAACCGAACAAAUUUAUAUAUAACUUCAUACUUUAGAUACUACUACUAAUAUCAUACUAUUUAACUUAGAACAUACUAUGUACAUUUAACAUUCGAAUCUCACAUAUACCUAUAUAAUUUCAUACCCCAUUUCAAUAUAAAAACUUAUACAUGUACAUAUAUACAUAUUCGAAUCUAACAUAUAUACAUAUAUAAUUUUAUACUUACAUUCGAAACAAGUACUUAUACUUGUAUACACAUACAUUUUCGAAUUUAACUAAUACAUAUAUAAUUUCAUACUUAUACUCAAUAUAAGCAAUUAUACAUAAAUAUACAUGCUUAUUCGAUCCAAACAUAUACAAAUAUAUUAUACAUAUAUAUAUGUAACAUCCAUACUUUUAAUAAAAUCCAAGAAUUUAUACUCAUAUAUACAUACCUAUUCAAACCUCUUGUAAACAUAUAUAACAUUCAACAUUAACUAAAUUCAAAACUUAUUCAUGUAUAUACACAUAUAUCCGAACUUUAUUUAUAUAAAUAUAACAUACAUACUUUUAACUAAAUUCAAGAACUUAUACAUGUAUAUAUAUAUUAUCCACUAUUAGUUCUAUAUUAUUGAAAUUUAAACAAACUUUAGCUAACAUACAUGUAAUUUGCAUCAUUAAUAUCAACUUACCAAAGUAAAUUCUUGUUUUCGGCUAUCAAUAAUAAAAUUUAAAGUUUCAUUCAAUUUGAAUAUAUUAAGUUUCAGCUUAUCAUAUGUAAAAUAAAUAUAAUAAGCAUAUAUUUAAUUUAGAUAACAUUUAAUUGCUAAUUGACUUACCUCGGAUGUCGACAGACACGUUUGACUAUUCCACUACUUUCGUUUUUCCCCAAUCCAAUUCCGUUUUCUUCGUUUCUUGAUCUAAACAUAUUCAAAUUUAGCAUUUUUAUUCAACAAAUCAUUCAAUUAAAUCCAAAAAUACAUAAAUGGGCAAAUUACCAUUUUGCUCCUAAUAUUUUACACUUUUUACAAUUUAGUCCUUUUUGCACAAAACACAAAAUACACAAAAUUUAAUCACACCAUACUAGGGCCGAAUGUUCCUAGUGUUCACACAAGUCCACACAUUUCAUUUAUUUCACAUUUUAGUCCCUAGAAAAAUUAUUUUCACAAUUUUGCCCUAAUUACUCAAUUUCACCAAAAAUUCAAAGACAAAACAUGUUAAUCUUUCACAUAUCUUUCAUUUUUCAUCAUCAACUAUCACAAAGCUCAAUCAUUCAUCAAUUGCACAUUUCAAAAUCAUCAACAAUUCACAAAAUUAAGACAUGGGUUUUGAAGUAUUCAAAGCAACGAUCUCAAAAACGUAAAAAUUAUCAAAAACAGAACAAAAACUAACCUUGAAUUAAGCUUCAAAAGAUGGCCGAACCUAGCUUAGGUUUCUUUCUUUUUCUUUUCUCUAGUUUCGGUCAAAAUAAGAUGAAAAUGUAGCUUUUAAUUUGUUUGUCUUUUAAUAUAUUAACUUUAUAAUAUAAUAUAUUAUUAUAACCUUUAUACAUAAUAUAAAAACUAUAAAUUAUAAGCAUAAUGCUGUCCACUAUCUUGAUUAAUGACCUAAUUUCCUAUUAAGGACUUCACAUUAUAAAGACAUUAGCAAGUUAGCACUUUACACAUUAAUUAGUCAAUUUCACAUUUUACGCAAUUAAGUCCGUUUAUUAAAUUAAGCACACAAACAAUAAAAUCAAUUCACGAAACUUUCACACAUGUAAAUUAACACAUAAUAAACACAAAAAAUAACAUUAAAAUAUUUUUUUAGACUCGGAUUCGUGGUCCCAAAACCACUAUGUCCUAUUAGGGUCAAAAUCGGGCUGUGACAUAACCCCUCUAUCCUUGAACGUUUGGUUUAUAUAUUAUUUUCGCUUAAUUGAUGACAAAAAUGAGCUUGUUGGUUUAGUGGUAAGGCUUCAACUUAUUUAAAUGUGUUGUGUUUAAAUGUUGUUUGUGUAAAAUAGAAAUUACUUUUUUUUAUUUUAAACUUUGAAAAAAAUAUGAUAAGGAUAACUAAUCAGAUUUAGUGGGAGUUAAUGGGGAUCUGGGUAGUUUUUUGAUAAAUCUGUUUGAAAUUAUUUUCCCAAAAUUCUCAAUUGCUUUUCCACUCUCCACUCUUUCAAUUUUGGCUUUUCAAGUUAGAUUACUGCAUAAGAUUUUCUUUGUUUUCUUCUUUUUUCCCCCUUUUUUUCUGAAAUUUUCUCUUUUUCCUUCCUUCUCUUAUCUUUUUUUUUUGUCUGCCAUCAUUAUUUUGGUGAGUUCGUCACUCGAAUUUUGUAACCAGUCUUGCGUGUCUGGAAGUUCUUUGCUACAAUAUUUAAAUCUUACUGUAAAGUAAAAUUUAUUCUUGUGGUUGGGAGUGUUGAAUGUGAAAUUUUGGUUAAUGAUUUGUGAACGAUUUCUUUUGGGUUAAUUUCUCUUGUGUUUCUGAUAGGAGAUAAUAGAGAGACGCAAAACUCUCAUUCUGUAACACCCCAAACCUAGCCUAGACAUUAUGGUCGUAUCUGGCAAUGGCACAUGAUCGUGUUUUUGAAACCUCGUUGUUACGAUGAAAGCAUUCCAUGUUAUUAUCUUUAGUAAACAUUUGUUAGAACUUAGGAAGUCGCCUUUAUUCAUUUAAAAUAUUUGUUUUGAAACAUCUCUCGUUGGGGAAGCUUUAAUAAAACAGUCUAAGGGCAUGUUUGGUUCGCUGUAUUGGAUUAGAGGUGUAUUGGAUUAGAGGUGUAAUGGAAUAGAGGUGUAAUGGAAUAGAGGUGUAAUAGCAAAUCAACUGUUUGGUUGAAUGUAAUGGAAUAGAGGCGUAAUAGUAAUCUUGUGUUUGGUUGAAUGGAAUAGAGGUGUAAUAGCAUAAUGAAAAAAACUAAAAUGACUAGAAUACCCUUAGCAUAAAUUUAUUUUGGUAAAUGAUUAUUGUUAUUUAAAUUUUAAUAAGAUUAUUAUUAUCAAUAAUAAAUAAUUUAGUCAUAUUUAAACAUAAUUAUUAUUAAAUAUAUUAUAAUUAAAAUAUAUAAUUUAAUAAAAUUCUUAAUAAUUAAUAUUCUAAUAUGAAUUUACUCAAACCAUAAUAUAUGAUACUAUAAAAGAUAAUUUGAAAUGAUUAAUAUUAAAUAUAUUUUAAUUAAAAUAUAUGAUUUAAUAAAAUUUAAAAUAAUUAUAACUAAUAAAUUAUCUUAUAUGAAUUUGUAUAAUUUAAAAUAAUUAUUAUUACAUAUAAUUUAAUAAUAAUAUAUAAUUUCAUAAAAUUAUUGAUAAUAAUUUUUCUUAUAUGAAUUUAUACAAUUUAAAAUAAUUAAUAUUAAAUAUAAUUUAAUAAUGAUAUAUAAUUUCAUAACAUUCUUAAUAAUAAAAUGUUCUUAUAUGAAUUUACUAAAAUCAAAAUAUAACUUGAGAAUUAUAUUCUGCAUAAACAUAAUUAACUUAUAUUAAGAAAAGGUUAGAUGAAAAUGAAAUUCUACAUCAUAAUCCAUAUGUUAUAUAGUUUUACAACAUCAAAAAGUUUGAACAUCGAUUUUUUGCAUGUCAGAGCUGUGUUCUCCUACAUAUUAGAACAGCAGUUGUCGGCUCACUAGUUCUUGUAAAAACCACCCAAGAGAGAGCGAGCGAGAUGAGUGGCAUGGCCAAAACAAAAAUGUCAUGUAUACACACACCCAAAGUCUCCACGUCAGAAGGUCAAAGGAAAGACAGUUCAAUUUCUGUGUUAUUGCCAGCCAUUCUUCAUCGUAUUGAACCUCAUAAGGUCCUGGAUCAUAUUAAAUAUCAACAAUCUAAAAGAUCAGAGAAAGCCAGAAUUCAUUAAUUAGCUUCCAGCAAAGACCAAAAGAAAGAACCUAAACGAAAUGGUCAAAACUUAUGAUAGAUAUCUACAAGAACUUGCGCCCUGGAAGGCAAUUAUCGAGUGCAAGAAAUUUUGUCGCUCGACCACCCUCUUCAUGUUCAACAAGAGUGGUGAAUUUGCAGUGCAAGUAAGCUGAAAACCAAUAAAAUGGUUUGAAUUUUUUGAGCAGCUGAGCAACCAGGAAUGGUCAACAAGAAAACUGAAUACGCUUGAUAUGAAGAUUUUCAUUUUUUCACAUAUAUGCAUUUCCACCAAUCGGUUAUAAUUACCUCAUCUUUGAAUUGUUUUUUUGUAGCGAACAAGUUGUUGCCAGUUCCCAUAAUUAGUGCUGCUGAGCGGCCAAUCGUGUGAAAGGAAAAUUUAAGUCGGUUCCUCUAGGUGCAUGAGCUUGUGAACAUCAUACUCCCAGUUAUAAGAUGGCCUUUCAUGGUGUCAUGCUCAAGGAAAAGCUAAUUCAUUUCAGUUUCAAAGCUUCAACUCUCCACCCUAAAUAAGAAUCAAUAUAACAUAUCUGACACUCGCUUGCAGUAAAUAAACAAUUACCAUUAAAAGAAAUCCAGAAUAAACACAAAAUAGACAAGUAAAAGAACUUCAAACCCAACCUAAACAAUAAUUACUCUCAAAACUGCAUAUGCUUAUUGAUGCUGUCACUGAGAGUUAUAACAAAUAUUUCUUUGGGGACGUUGGGAGAGAAAUAUAUGAGUUCUUUUGGGGUUAUUUUGCUGACUGGUAUGUAGAAUGUUCUUUUAUAAUCUACUUUCUGCUAAUAGAACGUAGUUCUAUUGUUUUAUGCCAUUAAGUUCUGGAUUUUAUGCCAUUUACAGAUCAUGAAAACUGAAAAGUAAUGGAGUUUAUGCUGUUGUUAUAUAGCACAUAAUGCCCUUUUUUUCUAAGGUUAAAGUUGUAAAAUUCAUUUGGUGGAUAGUUUAUUGUUAUCAUUACUAGAAUUCUAUUGUAAGUUGGAUCAGUAUAUGUUGUUGACACAUACAUGAAAUACCUGUCAUGGUUGUAUGUUUUUUGCAAAAAAUACUGGUAUAAACACAGUGAAUACUCCACCUAUCCAAUAAUUAAUAAAAUAUAUGUGCCAUCGAAACAGUAUAAGUUCCUUUGCAAUGCCAUCGAAAGAAGCUAAACAUAUGUCAUAAUAGCAACUAGUAGAAAAUAACAAAUCAACAAGACAAAUGCUUAGAAAUACAAUGUAACAGACAGUGAACAGAAAAAUGGAAGUGAGAAAGAACAAGUGCAUCUGCAUGUGUGUUGCAGUGGGAGGAGAAUGCACCAGGCAUCACAACAAGUAAUAGCUCCAAUACAACAAUAGGAAGGGAUAUGUAAUGUUAGAUGGUAACGCCAAAAAGAAUACCAGAUCAUUGGCAGAACAAAAAGAUGAGCAAGACAUGUAGAGGUUCCAAUGUCACAACAAAAUUGGAAAGGAGACCUAAUUGUAAUCGCACUUGACAGCAAGUUGCAAGAAGUAUGGCAUGUUUAGGUCACCCAACCCUGAUACAUGAACACUGGAAGAACUGACACAACCAUUUCAAAUUAAAGGUUAUUACUCCGAACAGAGUAAUAGAUGACACACUUCAGCAUAUUGUAUUUUGACACCAAUAAAUGUGAUAAACACAAAGAAAUGCCAACAAGUAAUGCCCCAAGUUAAUAAAUUGUAGAUCCACCAAAACUAGUUGAAUUUAUACUACAAUAAUAGGGAAUCGGAGACAUCUUGUACUUGGAAGAGGAUGCAGAUACAUCUAUAUCUAUUUUCAACUCUAUUUAUACCUGACGGAGCCGUCUAUACUGCCCGCUACCAUAACUUCUGUUUCCAUUUGACCCUCUAGUGCCUGGACAUCAACUUGUCUGCUCCAAAGGACUAUAACAUAUAUUUCUUAAUAAAUUUUCAUCUAUUGCACCUUAUCUCCAAACCUGAAACAAAUCUGAAAUACUGUAAAAUAUAAUAAUGAAGACUAAGUGAUUAUCAAUAAGAAAUUUGGGAAUAAAACUCUAACUUAAAGAAUGAAAAAUAUUGCAAAAGAUAUAUGCGUGAGUAUUACAAACAAUAUAAAUUCAUCAAAUUUUGAGUUAUCUCCUCCAUUAAUUAGUUUAUUUUUGUCCUCUCCAGCAGCAAAACAAGGAUUAAGAGGAAGAGAUCGAUAUGGUGAUUACGAUUGACUCCAAGCAAUUUAAUUCUAGUCCAUAGGUUUCCCAUAAGAGAACGAAACAUUAUCUCCCCCGAAAGACAGAGACUUGGGAGUUGAGUUGUAGCUUAUAUUUUUAGAAAAAUUUAAAGAAAACCCAUCACCAAAAACCCUUCUAAACAAAAUUUGAUUAUUGCAAGAACAGAAACCAAACGAAAUUAAACUUGAAAAGAAAAAUCUGCUAACCUGAAAGUGUAAUGCUGUGAUAAAAGAAGCAACUUUGAACGCAUUUGCAGAGAAAGUGUGAAAGAGAUUUUGGGAAGAAUUUUCUUUAUUUCUAUUCAGCCAUAGUCGGAAUGGCCAUUCAAAGCAUUCAGCACUGAAUCCCUAUUACGCAUUUGAGGGAACCAACCAAACAAAGGCAUUGAUAUUCUCCCAAGAAUAAAGAGGGUGCCAACCAAACAUGGCCUGAUUCUUUUAAUCUAAAAACCGAAAAGAAACGGGGGGAGCAAAUCGGUAGAAAAGAAAAGAAAAUAAACUAGGAGCAAAUCGACAGAAAAGAAAAACAAAGAAACAAGGAAGCAAAUCGGAUGAAGGUAGAAGGAACAGAAGAGAAACAAAGGGGAUUGGGGAGGGUAAAACAUGGAGGGUUUGCUGAAGCGGUACCUAAUCUGGGCAAAAGAGGAGGAAUAGAAAUCGGUGGUUUUCACCGAUUAGGGAAGUAAUGGAUUACACGCGUAUUAGCAAUACAUUGAACCAAACGGCGGAUUAGAGAGUGAUUAGGUGGGGCCCACCAAUUAGAGGUGUAUUGGCAUAGCCAAUACACCAAACCAAACAUGGUGUAAGUGAUCAUGCGUUUAGAAAAUACAUUAACUUUUUGAAAACCGAAUUUCCUACGACCAGCAGGUAUAAAUUCAUAAAGUAAAAUAAAUAAAUAAAAACCCAAAAUAUAAAACUAAAGUCCUAGAGAGUCCUUAAAUUACAACCCAAAUAAUCAAUAAUAAUCAAAUCAUAAAUCAUAAAUUGAAAACCAUGUAGUCUAAAAAUUACAGUGGUCACCGCUGAGUCCUCCGUCACAUCGAACCGUCUAAGUUUAAGGAUUACCUGUACACAUUAAACAAAAAGGGUGGGUUUACGUAAACUCAGUGUGUAAUCUCGUAGAAACAAACAAACAAUCAGUAUUCACAGUGCACAGUUGAACAGCCUUGGGCCUAAUCCCUUUUCAGUAUCAGUGACAGUUUGGGCCUUAGCCCAUCUCAGUACAGUGUCAAAAUUGUAGUAGGGCCUUAGCCCAUCACAGUAUCAGUAGUAGUAACAACUAUGCAAUAGCAAAAUCCUACCCAACUAGCCUCUACACACCAUCUCCGUCCAACCCUACACUUUAUGUAGGGAUAUAAUCAACCCCCAUCCCUACACUCCUAGUGGUACCGAAUGUGGCACAAAACAGUAGUUUACAGCUGAGCUGCUAGUAAAUUAGGCUUAAAGCCUUUCAGUACACUUCCUCCAAAUAACAACCCCCAACCUAAUACAAAGCAAUAUACCAUGGAUGAUAUGCUAUUAUGUAAUUUCAAUACAUAUAUUCAGUUCAGAUAUUAACAUGCUCAGUACAAAUAUCAUUCAGUCAAUUUCACACAUUUAGGGGUCUAAGUAGCGUUUACCGACCUUACAGUAGGUUCACAGUCAACUUGGGCGACCCGUGCAACCUUAGAAUCUUUUCAGUAAAAAUGGGCCCACACACCCGUGUGUGCCUGUGUGGCCCACUCGACCCAAAUUGGCCUUGGCCGUGUGAUCCAUUUUUAAUGUAACCUAUGCUAGCUAAAUAUUCAUAUAUGUUUCCACUGUUUACUUAUAUGAUCAUUCAAAGCUGUCUACUUGAGUCAUUGUCACUAAAUUAUUUAUAUCUUGAGCUACAAAAUUCCAAAUUAAGAUCCGCUUAAUGUUUUCGAAACUAGACUCAAAUACCUUUCUAACAUAAAAUUUUCAGGAUUUAUAGCUUAUCAAAUAAGUACAGUAAAAUCUUCAAAAUUAUCCUUAUUCUGCUGUUUGAUAGCUUCAACCUUUCCUUACUAAAAAUUAUUUAUCUCUUAGUACGAAAUUUGGAUGAUGUUUCCAUUUAUUUCUCUUGAAAAUAGACUCGUUAAUGAUUUAAACGUAUAAAUUUUUUAAGCCCCUAACUACUUUUUUACAAUUGUUUACGAUUUCCCAAAGUUAGAAUUCUAACCUUGUCUCAUAAAAUUCAUCAUAUCUCAUAACUUACAAUUUCAUUGCUUACACUGUUUCUUCCAUGAAAAACUAAACUCAAUAAAAUUUAAUUUCAUAUUUUAUUCAACGUCUAACUCAUUUUCCACUAUUUUUGAUGAUUUUUCAAAUUUAGACUACUGUUGCUGUCUAAAACUAUUUUAGUGCAGAAUGUUGAUUUCCAAGUUUAUAACAUCAUUAUUUCCUUUUUCUACAAUUUUUUUUGUAUCAUUUUCUUUUAUUUCUCUUAUUUCUCAACAACAAGCAAUUUCGGCUUUUGUUCAAAUCCUAUUUUUUGCGUUUUGGGUACACACCUAAUAUCAUUUUAUUGUGCAAAGUAACCUGAGCCUUUAAAAACUUAUAUCUGACCAAUAUAUCCCUUAAUUAAUCACUUGAUUCGUCAAUCAAACCAAAUAUCCCCAACAUAAAACUCGAGAAACUAAACCAACGAUGAUUCGAAAACUUACCGCGAUGAAUCUGAUAACCAGUCGUCUCCACAAACUGGAAUAUCUACUUAAAACCUUUGAACAACACCUAAACGAAAGUAAAACAAACCCUUUGUUAAUUGCCUAAUCGAAAUACGAUAACUAAAGGGGAAAAUUCCACUUACCGAAAUAGAUGAAGUCGAAAGUUACACCCAAAGAGAUGACUCGUAAAAAAAUACAGAAACAAAAAGGGAGGGGAAGGAAAAGAAACAAGAUUUGGCCAAAGGGGAAUAAAAAACCAAAAGUGACCAAAAAGAGAGAAGACACGAUAGAGAAACAAAAGUCUAACGUCAGAAAAUUUGUUGGGGAAAAAAAUAGAAAACUGAUAAGAAUAAAAUCUUAUUUUGAUAACUUCUCCCCAAUUCAUUCAAAAUAUCCAAAUACCAAAAUUCAUUCAAAAUACAAAAAUUUGCCCAAGUGAAGGCUUGAACUUAGGACCUCCCAAAUACUCCCAGAACACAUAACCACUAAAGCUGACAAAUAUUUGUGUCAUAUUUUCACAAUAACGAAAUUGGAAAUUUUAGGGCGUUACACAUUCAACGAUUAGUUAGCGUUAGAAACUAUUACUUCAAAUCGGGGUAAGUGACUGAAUGUUUAUAAAUGCAUGAUUUUUGGUGCUAAGGCUAAAUAUUUAGCAUGUGUGGUUGAAAUAGUGUCUGGCUUUUAGUAUAUUGAGAUUUGAUUUGUAUAUAGUUAUUAAUUGGUUCGUUAUGAAUGCUGUUUUUAGGGUCUGAAAGUGUGUUGUAGUAUUGUUUUCCAUUUUUAUUAGGUCUGUACCUUUAAUCCUGAAAAACAGCGAACAACGCAAAGUUGAAAAACUCACUGCCAAAGCUACAUAGCCAUGUGGGUCACACGGGCUAGGUUAAAUGGGUCAUGUAGGCCACACAAUCGUGUGUUAGGCCGUAUGGUCCACACAGGCUGGGCUAGUUGGGUCGUGUGGGCCACACGUGCAUAUAGGCUCAUUUUAAGUAAAAUUUUGUCAGGGGUGUAUUAGAAGUGCGAUUCAAGAUCAGCCACUUCGUAGGUUACAAAAUGUGUUAUGUGUGACUUAUAGAUGUAAAAAUUGAUGUUCUACCUCUGUUUAUCCGAUUUUUGAAAGGAUGAUAGUAUGAUUUAUUGUGUAUAGCAUGUAUGACUUUUAGACAUGAAAUCUGAAAUACUGAUAUAACAUGUGUAAAAUCCGAGAGCAUAUCUGUGGUAUAAUUUCUACAUUUGGUGUAACACCCCCAACCCGUAUCUAUCAUCGAAACAAGGUUACGGGGCAUUACCGAGCUUACAGAUCAAACAGACAAAAAACUCAAACAUUUCAUAUCAUUUAGUAUUCAUGUCAAAAACCAAUCGACAUCAUACAUAUUGUCCCUAAUACUAGCCAUCGAGGCCCUAAAUACACUUUAGAAACAAAUUGGGACUAAAUUGGAAAUUUAGAGAAUUUUUUAGAAACUUAUAAAAUUUUAAAACUGCAAGGGACACAUGGCCAUGUGAGCAUACUGACUUGCUCUUUUAAAAGAUACAGGGGACACAUGGCUGUGUCACCUGGCCGUGUGUCACACACAGUUAAGACACACGCUUGUGUCUCUGCCUGUCUGGACGAAAAUAGGCUAUUUUUCAAGCCAUAUUUCUCACCCAAAUUGGUACCAAUCUAAACAUAACAAUUUGCAUAUAACCAAGUCAUAAAUAGGCAUCCAAAACCAACCAAAAUCAAGCUUAAAAUAUGUAAUAUUAUCACAUACAACCAAUAUGCUCUUAGGCACCUCAAAUGACAACUUAUAACUUGUAAAUCUAAGCAUUCAAUUUAUCCAAUUGUUUGACUAACUUAUAUAUAUAUUUGUAUCAAAACUUACCAUAUAGAUCAUAAAUCAAAACAUAGCAUUUAGUACUAUUUAUGUACUUGAUCUCUAGCAUCAAAUAGUCAUAUAAGUCACUUAUAACAAGUACACCAAAACACCAAUACAAACCAUUCAAAAUCUAACAUCAUUUUACAUAUGUGCUUUCCAUAACAAGCACUAAAUCACUCCAAAGUAAUAUACAUAUUAACCAUACCACACCAAACAUCAAACAUGAUAAGGCCAUUUAUACAUACAUAGCAAAAUAUUCUAAAACACAAGCCAAUUCAAAUGGCUGAAAACAUAACAAAACAUGUAGACUAUCAUUAGCCAAAAUAACCUAUACAUGCCAUUAUAACCAAAAGUACCGAAAAAGCUGAUAGAUAGUAUGAUAUAGCUCCGCCAAACUUUCAACCCGAACGAGCUUCCGAAUCACUAUAAAACACAAAAAAUAACAUAGAGUAAGCAUUUAAGCUUAGUAAGUUUGUAUAACAUAGAAUUUAACUUACUAUUUAACCACAAUUUAGGUAAAUAACUCAAAGCAUAUCACACUUCAAUUUGGCCAAAGCCUAACACAUAUUCAUCAACCAAGUUAGCCAUGUAAUUCAUAUAAAAAUUGAAAAUCAUGUAUGAGUUCAACAAUUAUUUAAAUUCCAUGUACAUGUAACAUCUAUACCAUGUAUCCGUAUAUCAUAUAUAAACCAUUUCCAUGUAAUUCAUGUAAAUACCUGUACUAGUUCGUAUCGAAAUCAUAUAAACUCGUAACAGAACUGUGCCCGUUAAACCAUUUAGAAUCUCGUUAGAUACGCAGGUAGUACACAUGAGGUGUACUGAACUGUAAUCCAUCAAUUCCUGUACAUGUAUGCUUACAUGAGGUAUAAACUGUAAGCUCUUUCGAUCUGAAUAAUGGUAAGCUCCUCCAGGUUGAAUAACGAUAAGCUCAUACGAGUUGAGUAUCGGUAAGCUUAUAAGAGCUGAAAUUGGUAACCCUAAUGACAUGUCAUUUGUAUCCUACGAAUUUCUAAGGUUCAAACAGGACUCGAUAAUCGUCGUACGUUGUUAGAUAUGCGAUCGAUAUUCAUAUAUGAUGAUCAUACAAUUAAAAUACAUUUAUUUCAAUUAAAGCAUAUAAUUACACAAUUUAAUUACACAAACUUACCUCGAUAAAUUUACAUAGAUUUGAAGACGACUAAUUCAAUUUUUUUCCUUUGCCUCGAUCUAACUCCAAACAAGGUCUAACCGGAUCUAUACGAAUGAAUUUAACUCAAUUCAAUAUUCUACUUAGUUCAACACAUAUUUUUGAUAAAAUUACCAUUUUGCUCUUAUACUUUUAAUUCUUUGCAAUUUAGUCCUUAGGCUUGAAAAAUUAAAUUCAUUCAAUUCUAUCCCUACCCAAGCCUUUAAACAUGCUUAUAGCAACCCAUAAAUUUAAAAAUUUCACACUUUUACUACAUAAUUUAUCACGUUUCUCAAUUUAAUCCCUAAUUGAUAAUUUCAUCAAAAAUUCCUUUACAAAAGUUGUUUAUCUAACAACAAACAUUAUUUUUCUACCAUUAAACUUCAAAACCCUAACAUACUCAUCAAUGGAAAAACUCAAAUACUUUAAUAUCUUAACAAAUUAGUCCUCGGGCUAGCUAGAAUAAGCUACAAUGAUCCUAGAAACAUAGAAAUCAUCAAAAACGAGAUGAAAAAUACUCACACGCAAGCAAAACAGGGAUGGCCGAAUGAAGCUUCAUCCAUGGCUUCUUUUUGUUUGAAAUUUCGGUUGAAGAAGAAAAAGUAAAGAUGAAAGCUUUAAUGUUUUGUUUAUUUUAUCAUUUAUUACCUAUUUACAAAAUUACCCUUAUCUAACCUUAAAAAUUACACUAAUGUCAAGCCAUGCACAUCCACUAUCACAUUUGAUGGUCUAAUUACCAUAUAAGGACUUCCAAUUUAAAGUUCUAUAACUAUUUAAUGCCUUUAGCUAUUAGAACUCAACUUUUGCACUUUACGCAAUUUAGUCUUUUUUAUCAAAUUGAACAUGUAAACGGCAAAAUUUCUUAACAAAAUUUUUAUAUGGUAAUACUAUCAUGUUUUAGAUCAUAAAAUAAUAUUAAAAUAAAUUUUUUGACUUAAGAUUUGUGGUCUCAAAAUCACUAUUCCGAUGUUACUAAAAACGGGCUGUUACAUUUGAUCUGUAAUUUGAGAAAUUUGUUUAAGCAUGAUGGUAUGUUUUGAUGUGUAUAGCAUGUAUGACAUAUGCAUCUGUUAUUUAUUUAGUGAUUGCAUGUGCAUUGGGGUGAGAUUAUGAUGCGAUAGAGGAAGUGUCAGUAAUUUAAGUGCAUAUUGAUAUUAGUAAGCCAUCGUUGCCGGGCAACUCGAGAUGGCAGGUCAUUGUUUUCAGGCAACUCGAGAUGACUUAACUGGUGGUAUAAUCACAUAUCUAUUUUUGUGGUUUGACCACAUUUAUCUAAUUUUGGCAAAUUACCGUACCAUAUUCGGCAGCAUGACUACACUAUUUUGAAAAGUGACAUACAUUCACUUAUAGGUGUAUGGGGUUGGAUGGGUAUUCGUUACCCUAAUUGGUCUGUAGGGAUGAACAGAGAUGGUGUGUAGUAGAUGAGGGUAGGAUAUGUAUUUACAUCUGUGUCUAUAUUUGUGUCUGUAUUUGCAUCUGUAUCUGCACCUGUAUCUGUAUUUGUAUUUGUAUAUGUAUAUGUAUAUGUAUUUACAUCUAUAACUGCAUCUGUAUCUAAAAUUUUCAUUUGUAUCUAUAUCUUUCUUCUUCUUCUUUUUGUGGGUUGAGUUACAUACUGAGCUCGUUAGCUCACCCAAUUUUUCUGACUUAUCAGGUAAUCAACAAACUUAGGACCGAACAGUGUAGGAGCUCAGAUUGAUUUUUUGGUUAAUAAUAUAAAUCGAUUUAUGAUUAAUUUAUUUAUGAUCUUUUGGAUUGUAAAUUUGUUUCUGGACUUUCUUUAUAGUUUCUGCUCAUUUUGUUGAAUUUUGGUAUUUUUAUCAUAAGACUACGAUAACGUAUGAAUUAUCAAAUUAGAAAUCAAUUUCCAAAAUUAAAACUCUAAAAUUUUUUUGCUGUAAUGUGAUUUGGUGGUUUUUCUGUAAAAUAAGUGUUUUUUCGAACAUGAGAUUUUCCAAAAAAUAUGUAAGAGUUUUGCCAAACUUAUAUUUUUGACACACACACUAAGUUAGAUAAAAUCAAAAUUUUUUUUUAGAGUUAAUGUAAUUCCUCAAGAUCUAGUAAUAACUUCUACGUCGAGUGUGGGGUGUUACAAAACCCAUUCCUUGAAGCUUCCUCCCCAAGACCUCCUCUUCCAUAUUGCUUGAACCAUCAAUACCUAAUUUAAACCAUGAUUAUAAUUUGCACAAAUUAAUAAAUAUUAUAUAAAAAAUAAAAAAUUAAUUAAAUAUAAUAAUUAUUAAUAUUAUUAAAUAUAAUUUUUUUGUUAGAAAAAAAUUUCUUUAACAUAUUGUUUUCUUAAAUUUCGUUUAGUUUAUAUUGUUUGAUGAACUCAAUUAAUUAAAUUACUUUAAAUAAAAAAAACUUAAUAUUUAUAUAAUUAAAAAAAUCAUAAUUAAUAUGAAUUUAUUUUAUAAUAUGGGAUAUAAUUAUAUUUAGUACAUAUUGUAUUACAAAAACAUAUAUACAUAUAAUAUAUCAAUUGUUAUAUAUACAUAAAAUAUGAAUAUAUAGUAAUUAUUAUACAAUUAUGAUAUUAUAAUGUACUUUCUUUUAUUAACAAUAUGUAACCUAAAUUUUAAACGUUAACUAAUUUAUGGUAAUUAUAAUAUAUAUAAUUAACAUUAUAUAGUUAAUGUAGAUUAUUAAUGAUAUGUAUUCAUAUAUACAACUAUGUUAUUAUAAUGUACAUUCUUUAUAUUAAUGAUAUAUGUAACCUUACACCCUAAACGAGUAACUAAUUUUAUGGUAGAUUAUAAUAUGUACAACUAUUUUUUUUAUCUCGUGUGAUGCUCGAAUUUAGUUGUAUGUAUCAAUUAAAUAUAUUGCAUGUAUUUGUGUAACGUUUUAAAAAUUUUAUGAUCGAGAAAGUAAAAAGAUAAUCACUUGGCUACAUAAUUUUAAUCUAAACUAGAUUUUAUUGAUUAUUUUAUAAAAUAAUCAAUAUUAUUAUGAGGUUAUUUUUGUCAUGUUAUUUGAUGGUAUUCAAACCCAAAACACCAUAAUAUUUAACAUUUUAAUUUUAUGAUUUCAACUGAAGUCUAAUUUGUUUUUUAUAUUAUUUUUAGAAAUAUAUAUAUUUGUUUUAUAUUAUUUUAUGAUAUUAGUUUUGGCCCAUUGGGCACCAUCACUGUCCUCCCCUAAAAAAAACCAACAUAUUUUUUUAUUGUGGGAUCAAAGCAAAUAUCAAAUCCUAACCCUAUGUAAUAACUAUGAAGAAAGAAAGAGAAGAAAAGGGAAAAAAAUUAGAAGAUCAAAGAAAACAAGUAAUGUGGUUUAUUUUAUUUUGAUAGAUAAAAUUAGUAAAGGAAACUAAAAAUUUCUUAUAAUCAUUUUCACCAAAUAUUUAAUAAAAUUUCUAAUAAUUAUUAUUACUAAAUGACUUAAAAAAUAUAAAUAAAAAUUUAUCUAAAAUGUUGUUAUAUCAAAAGCUUAGGACAUCAAAGCUAACAACUUUCAUCAGAUCAUAACAAUUAUAAAAUUUAUCUCAAUCACUCAACCUCAAUUUAUCUCCUUGGAAUGUAAUGUGCAUUACCAUUGACAUUUUCUAAAACAAGCAAAUAUGUUAUUUUAGCUCAUUUUCGUUAGGAAGAAAAUAAUGGUGAAAUGUUUGGGAAAAAUAGAAGGGAAAAUUAUACCAACUGUCACUUAAUUUUGAUGUAGCUGAAAAAAUAGACACUCUGGUUUCAAUUCAGUCACUCAACUUUUGAAAAAUAACAAAAUAGUCCUUUUAACUUUUUCCAUUACAAAUGUAACAAAAAAGUGACGUGGCAUUUAAUGGAAGGUUAGCUAUCAUUUAAACAGCCCCAUAGCCCUAGCAGGGCAGCAGAAAAAAAGAAAAGAAAAGAAAAAGGAGAAAAGAAGAAGAAGAAGAAAUGGACAUACCUUAGCUACGACCGUUUUGUUCCUCUAAGGUAGAGCCACUACUCAGUUUGUUGUUAUCUGUUGAAUCUUUGUUCCACCGUCUGAUCACUACCAUAUUUCGGCCACAGCUUUCCUUCGACCAACCAUGACUCUUAACCACUUGGAUCAUCGAACUGGCUUGAGUUCUCCAACCCGCAAAACCCAAAAUGGGUGAGGGUUUCUUCUCUUUUGAUUCUCUUCUUUGUUAGUUUUUUUUUUUACUUCCCUCUUUUGAUGCAAGCCAAUUUGGGAUUCUUGCUCUUUUUUUGCUGGUUUGAUUUUGGAUGCUUGCUAUUUGGUAUUUUUGUUUUUGCUGAUUUUUGUUGUUUUGUUGUCAAUUUUGAUUUGAAGCUUCAUAACAUCGCCACAAGCAUGAGCUCCAACAAAACCGAUGCUGAUGAAUGGAUUGUGACAAGAUCUCCUUGACGUUAGCCUAAUCAGCUGUUUUGAUGCCAGUCUCAACAUUUUUGCCGUCGAUUUUUAAUUUUCACUACUAUGGAAAAAAAUCAUGCUUCACGAUAGCUAAGAGCUUUUUUAGGUUCUGUCUGCCAAAAUUUUUUCCCCAAUUUAAAUAAAAUUAUUUUAAAAAAUAUUUAAUUGAAGUUCAGGUUAGGCCGGGUUGAAAACAAAAAUAAAUUCAUUGAUACACACAAGAAUGGAUCGUGGUUGUGGGAGUAUAAUAGAAAUAUGGGAUGUUGCUCGCUUCUUGAAGCUGAAUUGUGGCUCAUUUUGGACGUUUUGAAUCUUCUUUGGAUCCAAGGCUUUAGGCGUGUGGAGAUUGAGAGUGACAGUGCUGCUGCUGUCCGCAUCAUAUUGGAUGAGUCUGCUGCUAAGCAGAGUAGAUCGCACAAUUCGAGUUCUUUAGAAUCGGCAAAGGAAGGUCAAGAUACAUCACAUUGUCCGGGAAGCCAAUGCGUUUGGCCUAAGCAGGCUGCUGAAUCCACCACCUGCAGCACUGAGGAGCAUUCUUUGCAAGGACAGUACAGGGACUGUUGGGGAUAGGCUGAAAUCACUACCCUCCUUUAUAUAAACAUUCAACCCUUUAUUACUCAACACACGUAGAUCAAUGCCAUUAAAUCACCUUAAUAUUUAUUUCAAUUCCUUUUAUUCUCAACUCAUGUUUAGUUGUUCGUACAAAUGCCCCUGCUUUAAAAUUAACAAGCAAUCUUGGUUUUCCCCUAAUUUCUUAACAUCACCACCAAAAAGAUCAAGAAGUUGCUAAGAUCAAGAUCAACAAGCUACACAAGUCACAACAAAAUCAACAAUAUUGAAAAUAGACACUAAACCUCAUUCUAGUUUCCACAAUCUUUUAUCACUGUGCAAUGGUUAUGUACAACUGAUUCACAUUGCAAGUGAUGACCUUUACACAAUUUGUGAAACAUUUCAAAGCAAGAUUGAUUUAUUAGAGUAUAUGAUAAGAUCCAUAAUUAAGGUGGCAGUGAUUAUAUCUGCAGAAAAGCCCUUACCAACCAUUUCCGUAAGAAGUUGUGUUGCCUUUGAGGUAUAGCUGCUGCGAAGGAACCCCCGAAUCAUUACGUUAUAACAGCAGCUAUCAGGCAAACAGUCAUUAUCUCCCAUGCUCCCAAACAAGCUGUAUGCUUCAUCUGGCAAUCCCUCUUUACACAGUCCAUUAAUCAUUAUAUGAUAUGUGACAACAUUUGGUUUUAAACCAUUGUCUGAGAGUUGAUGAAAUAAUUCCUUGGCAAAUUCGAUAUGCCCAGCUUUGCACAACCCAUCAAUUAGGAUAUUAUACGGGACAAUAUCAAGUUCCAACCCACUGUUUCGCAUUGCUUGAAAAAGUUUCAAUGCCUCCUCAAUAUGGCCUGUUUUGCCUAAACCAUUCAGCAAAAUCAAACAAGUCACUAAAUCUGGAACUUGUCCAGAAGCAAGCAUCUUUCUAAAAAGUUCACAUGCAGUUGAAACUUUCCCUAACAGAAACAUACUUUGCAAGAGAGUAUUGUAUGUGAAAAUAUUCGGGAUUGGUCCCUUUUGAGAUAUUUCAUGAAAGAGUUCCAUUGCUUCAUCUAACCUCUUACCUUUGCAAUAUCCAUUGAUCAUGGUGCUGUAAGUAACUAUAUCAGGUGCACAACCCUUCUCAAUCAUCAAGUUGAAAACUCUUCUAGCUUUAUCCAUUUCAUUCUGCAAGCAAUGACCAUUAACUAAUGUACUAUACGUAACAACAUUAGGCUCGAUUUCUCGCUUUAUCAUUGCGUCAACAAAAUCCUCAGCUUCAGAUACCAUCCCUUCCUUGCAAUGCGCAUCAACCAAUAUAUUAUACGUGACAACAUCAGGCACAAUGCCUUGCUUUCUCAUUGUGUCAAUGAUCUCUACAGCUUUAAAAAUCAUUCCUUCCUUGCAAAGAGCAUCAAUCAAUAACGUAUAUGAGACAAUACCAAGUGAAAUAUUGUUAUCAACCAUUUCAUUCAAAAGCCUUGUUGCCUCCUCCUGCUGGCCCGAAUUACACAUACCAUGAAUUAAGCAAGUGUAAGUAAAGAUAUUUGGUCUAAUGCCUUUAACCUUCACUUCGGAGAAGAGAUCGAGAGCCUCCUGUAACAAACCGUUCUUACAAAGGCAGUCAAUGACAGUGCUAUAUGCUACAAUAUCGGGUUCAUAACCUCUGCUUUCCAUCAGCCUCAGAAACCUAAGAGCUCUACCAGUAUUACCGGUCUUACACAAUCCCUUAAGCAUUGUACUGUAAACAAUCAAAUUAGGUUGAUACCGUUUUUCAGUCAUUUCAUCGAGAAUACAAACGGCCUCAGAAAUCUUACUUUGAUUACAAAGCCCAUUAAUCAAAGUUGAAAAAGUUACAACACUAGGUUCAACACCUAACUUCAGCAUUUUCCCCAAAACAGAAAACCCAAAAUCAAUUCGACCUAAUUGACAAAAGCAAUUUGUCAAGAUGUUCAUAGAAUAAACAUCAUGGGAAACUCCCAAUAAUUCGAUCUGUCUAUACUUAGAAACAACAAUGGCAUAAUGUUUCAUCUUAACAAUGGCUCCUAAUAAUUUAGUGAAUUCCACAAUUGAAGGCUUUGGGUACUUUUCAAUCAUCUUAUUGAACAAACUCAAAGCAUGAUCAACAUUAUCGAAGCGGUGGUCUCUUUUUCCCUUUCCUCUAACAGGCAUGGACAUGGGUUUCAUACUUAGGCCUUCGAUGUAGGAAGCAAUGGUGUUAGAAGAAGAAGAAAAAGAAUGGAAAUUAGAAAGAUAGCUUCCAGCAUUAACAACCGAACGAAGAAUAAAAGAAGAAGGAAGCUUACCCAUAUCUUGAAAGUAGGCAAAAUGAAAGCAGAAAUGGCAGCGGCAGUAGCAGAAGAAGUAUAAAUUUUGGGUUGCGAAGUGGUGUUUAGGGGGAGGGUUGGGAGCGUAAUUUGGGUUUUUAAUUUUUUUAAUGUGAAUAAUAUUUAAUAAAAAAAUUAAACUUUAUUUUUAAAUGCAAUCUUCAAUUAUUAUUAAUACUUAUAAAUCUUCCUUUUAAAUUUAAUAAAAUUACUAUUUACUUUAUUAAAUUUAAAUUUAAAUUUUUAGACUAAGUUGAAAAAAUAUACAAAGAUUACAAUAUAAUUAAAACUUAAAUCUAUAAAAUACUCUAUUUUUAUAAAUUAUAUUUUGUCGACAUUUUUUUAAUGUCGAUGCAUCUUUUUGUGUGGCAUCUCCUUGCAGACAUGCAUCAGAGCCAAGCAUAAUUCGUUAUGCAAAAAUCGCCCUGCAGUUACAAAAAAAGACAGUCCGGGAUGUGGCUUUGCGGUGCAGAUGGAUGACGGUAAACGAUACUAUUCUCAAAAGUCAAUCUAAAUUCAUCACUUAACUGUUUGCCUGAGUUCUAGAAUAUAUGGACUCAUAGGUGUAGAACAUAAUUCUCGACUGGCUUAAAAUGCUGCUGCAACGAGGCAGGCUGUAAUCAUUGGAGUCAAUUUAUAUUCCAUAAUUCUACUCUGUGUUUUAUAUAGUGUAUAUGUGUUUGUGUACGCGCCUGCAUGCACAUGUGUCAUAAGAGAAUAAUCUGAUUUAUGCUUGAUGCAGAAAAAGGAAAAUAAUAAGAGAAGGAAGAAAGAACACAAUAUAUGCACAUGUGUGGUAAGAGAACAAUCUGACUUAUAUUCUGUUAUGAGCGUUAAUAAACUACCAAUUUUUAAAUAAAGAAAAGAAAGUGAGAAAAGUGAAGAGGAAAAUUUGAUGUUCUUCUAUAGAUACAUUUUUUGUCACAGAAUGCAAGUAACAGAAGAAACGGUCCAGUCUUCUAGCUAUGACUUCUCAUUGUUGUCCAAUUUUCAGAAGAUUGGACGAAAUUGAAAGGAGUGCAUGAUUUCUAUGUGGUUAAUACAAGUGUCUUGACUGAUUCAUUUAUUUGUUCAACCAGUCUGUGCUUCCGAUGUAUUUAGAUAAAAGCUUUCGUUACUCUACAGUGAAAGGGUCUGCAUCAUUAUUUUCAAAUAUUUAUGAUAUUAUUUAAACCCCCGAUUGAGUUACUGUCACGAGUCGAUCGAGCUCCAAUUCGGUUAUAGAAAUUAUUAAAAUGUUCUUCCUUAAUUAAAAUAAAUUGUAUUAUUUGAGGGUAUUUUAAUCUUUUUAUUUAAAAAUAAUAAUAAGUUUACAUGUGGUGGGAUUUUAAUAUUAUAUUUGUAUUUUAAUUGUAUUAUGCUUACUUUAUUGCUUCAAUGAAUUGUAUAUCUGCACUUAAAAUAAACCCUUGACUAGGGAAAUAUAAAAAAUUUGCAUGUGGCAGGAUUUAAACUCGUGUUAAUAUUCUAGCUUAAUAAUUGAGUAUUAUUAUAUAUUUAAUUUGAAUUAUUUAUAAACAUUACAAUAUAUGUAAAAACAAUUUAAAAUAUAAAUUUAUUAAUAUAUGUAAAAACAGCUUUUCAGGAAAAUAUUUUCAAGAAAUCUGCCAAACAAUAAAAAAUAUUUUACACAGAUUCAUACAAACACCAGAAAAGUAAAUUAUUUCCAGAAAAGUAAAUUAUUUUCUAGAAAUCAUUUUCCAGAAAAUAUUUUACUGGCAAAUAAACGGAGCCUUAGUUUUUGGUUGAGAUUCCAUUACAAUUGUUGUCUCAAGUUCAAAGAUGCUUCCACUAAAAUGGUGGCAACGAUGUAAACAUAGACUUCACGCAUCAAGGUUCUGGUCACCUUGAUGCUCGAGUGUGCCGAUGUAACUUGCUGAAGUCUAUUCUUGCUCCCAAUUAUCAACAAAGAAGCUUGAUUCAAGUAGGGGUGUUCAUUCGGUUAACCGACCCGAAAUAGCAUUAAUCGAAUUAAUUGACCCUUCAAAAUUUUUAACCGUUAACCGAACCGAAUUUUUUCAAAAAAUUAACCGACUCAAAAUUUUGCUGGUUAAUUCGGUCGGUUAACCGAAAAUUAUAUAUAUUUUAUUUUUGGAUAUUUUUGCAACAGUUGAGGAUAUUUUUAUUCAAGAACUUUCGAGAAUUAGGUACACAACUUGUUUUACUGAAUCAUUUAUUAUUUCAACCAAAUAAAAGUGUUGGCAUCAACAAAGAAGUGUAUCUCAUUUACAAGAAAGGUGUAGCAAUCCGGUUUUAGCUAAAUCGAAACAAUAGUUUCGGAACCACAAAUCUGAUGUCAGAAAAUUAUUUUAAUAUUAUUUUAUGUGUCUAAAGCAUGUUAUUUGAUAUUAGUGCAAAUUUAAUGAGCCAAUUUUAUCAUUUGGAUGUCUAAUUUGAUAAAAGGACUUAAUCGCGUAAAAUGCAAAAGUUACAUUCUACUUGUUAAAAGUGCUUAAUUGCUAUGGUAGAUUAAAUUAAAAGUCCUUAUGAUGAUAUUAAAUCAUUCAUAAUGUAAGUGGACACCUAUGUGCAUGGUUAGGUGAAUUAUAAUGGUUAAAAUUCAAGGUUAUUAUAGUAAUUGGAUAAAUAUAUGUUAGUAAAUUAAUGAAAGAAAAGUAUCAUCUUUCUUCCUCAUUGUUUUGACCGAAAAUAAGAAGAAGAAAGACUCCAUUGCUGCAUUUUGAAGGUUCGGCCAUUGUCUUACUUGCAUGUAAGUGUUUCCUUGCUUGGUUUUUUAUGAUUUAUAUGUUUUCGACAUCAUUAUAACUUAAUCUAGCUAGCCCAAGGACUAAUUUGAGAAAUUGUUAAAAGUAUAGGGUUUUUAAAUUGAUAAAUAAGCAUAUGUUUUGAUGUCUAAUGGUAGAAAAUGCAUGGUUGUUGUUAGAUAAAAACAUUUGUAAAGGGAUUUUUGUGAAAAAUGUCAAAAAGGGAUUAAAUUGUGAAAAAUGCAAACUGAGUGGUUGAAAUAUGUAAUAAAUGGAAGUUUUGGGCUGCUAGGGACCUAUAGAAAAUUCGGUCAAGCUUGGGUUUAAUGAAAAUUUGUGAAUUUUGUGUAUUUUUAAAAUAGGGACUAAAUUGAAUAAAUGUGAAAGUUUAGGGGCUAAUGUGUAAAACUGACCAAAUAUGUGUUUAAGGAUUCAAUUGAAUGAAUGAAUGUUUGAAUGAGUUAAUUUUUAAUACAUAUAGAUCAAGAAAGAAAGAAUUCGAAUUUAGAUCGGGGGAAAAGCAAUGUUAUCGAGUAAUCGAUCCGAUUCAUUAAUUUCGAAUACGAGGUAAGUUCGUAUGUGGUAAUUUCAUUAUAAAUGCAUGUUAAAUGCUUUGAUAUUGCAUAAACUGUGAUUAUGAGAUUACGGAUAUUGUUUGAAUUGUGAAUACGAUUCUACGGAUGUGUUCGACGAUGAAAUCGACAAGUGAAAUUUCCCAAUUGAACCUUAAGAAUAGUUUAGGAUGCUAGUGACAUGUUAUUAGGCUAUCGUAUUGGCUUCAAUCUAUGAUAUUGGCACUUCGGGUGCGAAUAAUACAUUGAUUUGGCUACGGGCCAUGGUAUAGGUAUUCAGAGAGGAGUUACCUUGAUUUGUCUACGAGGCAUAGUAUAGGUACUCCGGGAUAAGUUACCUUGAUUUGGCUAUGGGCCAUGGUAUAGGUACUUAUCGAUUGAGAUCGUUGAGUAUCCAACUUCUAUUCCAAAUAGUUCAAUGGGUAAAAGAAUGACGUGGUUGGGAAAGAGGUUAGUAUGAUGUGAUACAAGUAUGUACGGAACCUAUUCUAGUAUUACAUUGAGAAAGUUCAAUGAGAUGACAUUUAAUCAUGUUUUGAGACAUAAGAAAGGUUUGUGUUAAUGUGAUGUUGAUUUGGUAAUGUGUAAAUGGUUGAAUUACAUUUAUUUGAUGAAUUGAGUUACUCACUUACGAGCUUACUAAGCUAUGAAGCUUAUUUUGUGUUAUUUUUCUAUGUUGUAUAGUGAAUUGAAGCUGGCUCGGAUGUGGGAGUCGUCGGGAAAAUCAUCGCACUAUCAAACACCUAAGUUGGUACUUUUAAGUUGUGUAUAUAUGGUAUAUGGCAUGUAUAAGCUAGUUAUGGUAUGUUGGUUGUGAAUAUAGCCAUGAGAAUUGGCUUGUAAAUGUAUGUGUUUGUUUUGUAUGUGUAGCCAUGAGUGAUGGCUUGUUUUGGUAUGUUUGGUAUAAAUGUGGCUAUGUUUUCAUAAUUGCUCAAAUGGUUAUAUUUUGAGUUUGGUAAAUGAUCUAUAUUGAAUGAUUAAAGUUGAAUAGAUGAUAUAUGUUUGGAAUGGAUUGGUUUAGUUGGAUGAAUUAAACAUGUGAAUUAUGCUUAGUAAAGCAAGUUAAGUUGAUUAGUAUUUGAAUAGGUAAAUGGUAUUGAAUGAGUAUCAAAAUGGUUGAAAUAGAUUUGGUAUGGUUGUGUAUUGGUUGAUGACAAUUGGCUACAUAUUUUUGUUUCAAAAUGGUACCAAUUGAGUUUACUUAGGUGUGUGCAAAAAGGGUGGCAAAUUGGCUUGCAAAUGGCCUAUUUUUGUCCACACGGGCAGAGACACGGGCGUGUAUCUCAGCCGUGUGCCCCUAGUGUUGAAAUUAAUUUAAAGUUUAUAUGCUCCACACAGUCUCACACACUGGCCUAUGACUAGCCAUGUAGUGCAAGUCAGUAUACCCCUUAAAUGGCACACGGCUUAACACACGGGCAUGUGACUUGGCCGUGUUACAUAAGUUAGUAUACCCUGAAGGAUUGGCACGGCCUAGUGUCACGAACUUAAAUUUUUCCCACUCGAUUCGUGCGGCCUUAGGCAGUUUCUUUGCCCCAAAAAUGCCUAAGUCAGCCUAACUUGCAACGAUAAAGGAUUCAAUAGAAUUCCUGCCCCAAAAACGCCUAAGUCAGCCUAACUUGCAACGACAAAGGAUUCAAUAGAAUUCCCUCAAGGCUUCCGCGAAGAACAGUAGAAGAACGAAGUAAGAGCGAACGUUGAAAGAUGAACAAAAGCCUCAGAAAAGUAAGAACACUUGGGAGAAAAGUUUGAGUGAAUACUCUCAAGAUUUUUAUUGAUAACUGAAUAAAUUACAAUGAGCACAGAGGUCACUAUUUAUAGUUGAGCCUCCCUAAAAUCAAUGGUGUAGAUUAAAGUACAUCAAUGGCUAUAAUAAAAAACUGUAUACAAUUAGAACUCUACAUAAUCUUAUCUUCCAUAUUUAUCGGGCUCUGGAGAUGGGAUUUUAAUCUCUCCACGCAACGGACCAGUUUGAUUGGGCCAAAUGACCUCUCUCAAAUACAAUGGAUCGCACAAGUUUGUCAUGGUUGCGUGCUCCCAUACGCAACCCAUGACAUUCUCCCCCACUUGUUCUAGUGAUGCCCUCGUCGCAUCCUCUUUAUGAAACUGGUCAAUCUUUCCUUGAAACUACCACAAUGCCUCGGCAAGUUCCCAACUUGCUUCGCUAUCAGGAAGUCUCUUCUAUCGAACUAAGUAUUCAUGCCGUGGUCGGUAGUACUUUUGUCCAAUUAUCUGAUCUGCCUCAAUAUUUUUGACUUCACGAUCGUACGACACCUUUACCCCCAUCGGUGCUCGUUCGGACUUACCUCGAUUUGGAUCCUCUUAAUCCCCAUGAAAUGGCUUAAGCAUGCUUACAUAGAAUACUGGGUGGACUUUGAGUUUUGCUGGCAACUCCAGCUUGUAGGCCACCUUGCCUACUCUCUUCACAACUUUAAACGGCCCCUCAUACCUUCGCACAAGCCUCUUAUGCAAGCCAGUAUAUCGUAAAAUCAAGUGUAGUUUAGCAAGGACUGAGUCCCCCACUUGAAAUUGCAUAUCCCUUCGUUUCUGAUCGGCCCACUUCUUGUUGCGCUAACUUGCCUUGUGUAAACAAGCUCUAGCCAGGUCAUUUUUCUCUUGCCAAUCUUUUGCGAAUCGAUAGGCUUCCGGGUUUGGUCCUGUAUAAUGGGUCACAACAGCACUGGGUGUGAGUGGCUGUUGACCCGUCACUAUUUCAAAUGGACUUAGAUUUGUGCCCCCACUUCGCUACAAGUUGUAUGAAAAUUGGGUCACAUCCAACAACUUUGGCCAAUCCCUUUGUGUGGCACUCACGUAGUGUCGAAGAUAUGUGUCUAACAAUGCAUUUACUCGUUCAGUUUGCCCAUCGGUUUGUGGAUGCAUGCUCAUGGAGAAGUUCAAAUCUGAGCCCAUUAACUUGAACAAUUCUGUCUAGAACCGGCCCGUAAAUCACCCAUCUUGAUCACUGAUAAUAGACAGUGGCUCUCCAUAAUAUUUCACCACGUGUCUAAGGAAUAACUAAGCUGCUUCCUCAGUAGGGCUCUCCUUGGUUGUCAGAAUAAAUGUCGCAUACUUUGAAAACCUGUCCACCACGACAAGAAUGCUCGCAAACCCAUCAGACUUAGGCAAACCAAUAAUAAAAUACAUGGAUAAACUCUCCCAUAGCCUUUCCGGAAUUGGCAAGGGUUGAAGCAAGCGGCUGGAGUCUUUAGCUCAACCUUGUCUUGUUGGCACACUAGACAAGUUUUCACAUAGGUUUCCAUAUCAGCACCCAUGUGGGGCCAGUAAUAGCGAUCCUCUAAAAGGGCCAAAGUGCGAUGCAUCCCUAGAUGGCCCGCCCAUUUCGAGUCAUGACACUCCUUCAUGACUUCCUUACGUAGUUUCCCAUAGUGGGGCACAUAGAGGCGGUGUCCAUGAGUAUAUAACAGCUCCCCAUCAAGCCAAAAUCUUCUUGUUUUUCCCUCCUUGGCAAGCUCAAUCAAAUUUUUGGAUGUGAGAUCAUGGGACAAUCCCUCUCGAAUGCGUUCCAAUAAAGAACCAUCAGGUUGGCUAAUUGCUGCGAAUUCCAUAUUUCGACUGAGUGCAUCAGCCACAAUGUUGGCACUUCCUGGUUUGCACAACUUUUUCUAGGUUAGAAAAUAACUAUUGGCAAUAUUGUUGGUGAGGACCACGAACCUGGAACCCAAUAGAUAAUGUCUCCAAGUGUGUAAGUAAUGUACUACCGCAGUUAUCUCCUUCUCUUGGACCGUAUAUCUACGCUCCAUCUCAUUAAGCUUUCGACUCUCGAAAGUAAUUGGGUGCCCAUCUUACAUUAGUACUCCCUCAAUAGUAUAAUCUGAUGCAUCCGUGCGUACCUCGUAGGGCUUCGAAAAAUCUGGCAAGGCAAGUACGGGUUCCCUCAUCAUUUAUUGCUUCAAUUGAUUAAAGGCCUUCUGACAUUCCAGAUUCCAAUCCCAUACCUUCCCCUUUUUCAACAUAUCCGUCAAGGGUGUGGUAAUUUUAGAGUAGCUUUCGACAAAGCGUCGAUAGUAAUUUGCCAACCCAAGAAAAGAUCUCAACUCCGUUACCUUGGUUGGAGGCUCCCACUCAGAAAUGGCUCGAACCUUACUCUUAUCCAUUUGGAUCUUACCACCUCCUACAAUAUGGCCUAGGAAUGACACUUCUUGUUGGGAAAAUGAGCACUUCUCCUCCUUGACGAACAACUCAUUUUCCCUCAAAGUUUGGAACACCUCUCUCAAGUGUCCCAUGUGUUCCUCAAGCGACUUGUUAUACACCACCAUAUCAUCAAGGUAUAGAACCACAAAACAAUCAAGAAAAGGUUCAAGUACCCUAUUCAUUAGGGUGCAGAAUGUAGCUGGGGCAUUCGUAAGUCCGAAAGGCAUCACAAGGAACUCAUACGAACCGUACUGUGCCACACAAGCUGUCUAUGGCUCAUCCCCCUCGGCUAUCCGAACUUGAUGGUAUCCCGAUCUCAGAUCUAACUUGGUAAACCAUCUUGCGCUACCAAGCUGAUCGAACAAAUCUGCAAUAAGAGGAAUAGGGUACCUAUUGUUCACAGUGAUCUUGUUUAGAGCUCGAUAAUCGAUGCACAUUCUCAAGGACCCAUCAUGUUUCUUUUGAAAUAACACUGGCACACCGUAUGGGGAUUUAAAUGGUCUAAUGAAUCCCGCAUCCAAAAGUUCCUUCAAUUGUUUUCGCAACUCUUCUAAUUCUGGUGGAGACAUACGAUAGGGAGCCCUUGUUGGCGGCACCACAUUGGACACUAACUCAAUUUUAUGGUCCACCUCCCUCUUGGGUGGUAAACUUUUAGGCAACUGCGCAAGCAUUACAUCUCUAAAUGAUUGUAACAAUUGACCCACUUCUUUCGGGGUCUCACCUGCAGACUCAGCGGUCUCUUCAAUCUUCAAGGUGGCUAAGUAUGAGGUUUCAUUUUUACAUACUCCUUUAGCAAACUGAAUUGCUGACAGUGUUUUUCCCUCAAAGCUUCUUUUCCUUGUUACUUUCACCAUGCAUUGAUGUUGCGCGUCCGAAAUCACCAUGUAAUUGCUCGAAGGGGCAAUAAGAACAUUAACCUGAUUAAGGAAACUUAGUCCAACCACAAAAUCAUAAUCAUUAAGUGGUAUUACCUUAAUGGAUACCCUUCCAGACCAUUCGCCAAGCUGAAGAUCCACUCCCUUUGCAACCCCCUUGAUUGGAACAUUUUCUGAGUUCACUGUUUUCAUUCGACCCACUUCAUUAUCUAUCUUAAGGCCCAGUUUACAAGCAGCCUCCUCAGACAUGAACAAAUCAGAAGCUCCUGUGUCAACGAGCGCAUUCAAUUUUCUGCCAACCACAAUGACGUCUACAAACAUCAAACCAUGGCUCAUUCUAUCUUCGACACCCCCUAGUAUCGAACCAAGAUUGUUGUCCUCCACAUCAGACUCCCCCUUUGCUUCCAUAGUCGUGAGAGCGUCCUUCUUUGGGCAGUCCUUGAUCAUAUAUGGACCAUAACAGUGAAAGUAACUUAUAGGCCCACUCUUUCUCUUGUCCCAAGGCUUCUUACCAUUGCCGUUCCUAGUGGGCCUUUCUUUAUCUCCAUCACUAUUACCCUUUUGAUUAAAUCUAGGCUUGGAAGAAUUGGCAUCGUCUUUCUUCCUACCAAAUUCAGCAAGCAAUUCUGCUACAGACAUAGCCUUGGUGAGUUCUUGAACUCCUCAGCAUUGUAACUCUUGCUUCGCCCACGGUUUUAAUCCGUCCAUGAAGGAAAAGAAUGCCUCUUUCUCCCCCAUAUCUGAUAUUUGGAGCAUAAGUUCGCUAAACUCCUAUACAUACUCCAUCACAGUGCCUUGUUGUGCAAACCAACACAACUUUGCCCGAGCCUCAUCCUCGACAUACUCUGGGUAAAACUGUGCUUUGAACUCACAUUGAAACUCCUCCCAAGUUUCAAUUUCGAUCUUACCACGUCUCACAUUAGUGGACCUACGACGUCACCAUAACAAAGCAACGUCAGAUAAAUACAUCGCAACAAUAGUUACCUUAGUGACAUCCUCCGUGAUGCCUUUGGCACAGAAGUAUUGCUCCAUUCCCCACAGAAAGUUAUCCACAUCUCUUACAGACCUUGUUCCCUUAAACUCCUUGGGCUUGGGAACAUCAAUAUUGGGCUUGGGUGCGAUAGCAGCUAACCCACCAUUGCCUAAAGCAGCCUUGUAGAUUGUGAGUUCACCCUUGAGCUCCGCAAUCUCCCCUUUCAAGGCCGUCACCCCAAUAGCAUCAUCUCUACUAGUCAACUGUUCCACAUUAUCCAACACAUAUGCUUUGAGUUGCUUCUGCAUGGACUGCAAUCCAUCAUGUAGCCUAUCAUCGACAUUAUCAGUCCUCUCCUUGAUAUCCCCCACGGAAUUCUCGAGAGUGACGACACGAUCCUCUAAAGCUGACAAUAUGUCCCUCGAGCAGCUAGCUUUCCUAGCCCUCCUAUGGGUCUCCAUUCCCUCAAUGUUCCCAGUAACUUCUUUCGACAUCUUUCAACGGUGGCUUUGAACCUUGGCUCGGAUACCAACUAUCACAGACUUAGAUUUUUCCCACUCGAUCUGUGCGACCUUAGGCAGUUUCUUUGCCCCAAAAAUGCCUAAGUCAGCCUAACUUGCAACGAUAAAGGAUUCAAUAGAAUUCCUGCCCCAAAAAGGCCUAAGUCAGCCUAACUUGCAACGACAAAGGAUUCAAUAGAAUUCUCUCAAGGCUUCCGCAAAGAACAGUAGAAGAACGAAGUAAGAAUGAACGUUGAAAGAUGAACAAAAGCCACAAAAAAGUAAGAACAAUUGGGAGAAAAGUUUGAGUAAAUACUCACAAGAUUCUUAUUGAUAACUGAAUAAAUUACAAUGAGCACAGAGGUCUCUAUUUAUAGUUGAGCCUCCCUAAAAUCAACGGUGUAGAUUAAAGUACAUCACUGGUUAUAAUAAAAACCUGUAUACAAUUAGAACUCUAAGAUUACACAAUAAAGUUGUAUAAAAUUAGAAAUCUACAUAAUCUUAUCUUCCAUAUUUAUCGGACUCUGGAGAUGGGCUUUUAAUCUCUCCACGCAACGGACCAGUUUGAUUGGGCCAAAUGACCUCCCUCAAAUACGAUGGAUCGCAUAAGUUUGUCAUGGUUGCGUGCUCCCAUGCGCAACCCAUGACACUAGUACACGGCUUAGCACACGGGCGUGCGUGGCCACUUCGAAGGACACACGGGCUAGACACACGGGCUUGUGGUCGGCCGUGUGACCCAAGUCAGUAUGUAUGCCCUAUUUUUAUAUGGCCUGAUACACGGACAUGUCUGGAGCUGUGUGAGGCACACGGCCUGUUCAAAUGGGCGUGUGACCCUUGAAUGAUUGAAAAAUUUCUAAAUUUCCCAAGAAUUUUGUAUGUUAUCGGUUUAGUCUCGGACCACUUUUAAAGUAUGUUUAAGGCCUCGUAGGCCCUUAUAAGGGACAAUGUGUUCAUAUUGAAUGGUAGAAUACAAAUGUAUAAAUGUAUGAAUUUUGUUUAAUAAAUGAUGUGUAUUGAUCGGUAAUACCUCGUAACCCUAUUAUGACAGUGAAUACAGGUGAGGGGUGUUACACAAGGAGAGAUUUGUUGAGACUUAAAAAGAAUUGAAGAAACUGAUACUGGUUUAGUUCAUGGAACAAUUAUCAAUAUGAUGAGCUUAAUCAAUAUACCAUUAACAAGAGAGAAAGAAUAAAAUUACUAAAUAAAACUUACCUCAAAUCUCAAAAUGUUUAGCUAACAAUGGCUUCAAAUGAAAACUAUGCCCCUUCAGGUAUUAGCAAAGCGGCAGUAGGGAGGAUUUGGCAAUCAUAUAGAAGGUUCUAGGUUUUUUUUAGGUUAGAAUUAGAAGUUUAAAUUAGGGAUUUUGAAGUUUAAGUUUUUUUUUUGUCGUCUGUUACUUUAGACACUUUUACUUUUAGUUUUAGAAUUUUGUUUUUAUUUAUUAAAUUAUUUGUAAUUUUUAUGAUUGGGUUAGAUAAUUGGGUUGGCUUGGGUUAGGCUAGGUUGGGUACUUGAGUUUAUAUAUAUUAAAUUGAGUUUAUGUUGGAUUGAGUUUGGGUGAAUAGUUGGUCUAUUUAUAUAUUAUAAUUUUAUUUAUUAAUUUUUUAGAUUAAAUCGAAAAAAUUCGGUUAACCGACUGGUUUCGAACCGAAUUAAUGGUUAAUUGAAAACUUAAAAAAUUAUUAACCGACACCGAUCGAAUUAAUUCGAUUUUAUCCGAAUUUUGCACACCCCUAGAUUCAAGUAAUGGUGGUUUGUUUUUCUCUUAAUAUAGUGACAAGUGUUGCUAGCCUUUCUAGACUCCUCUAUGACCUUGAUGGCUUCCAUAUUGUAUGAGACAUUUAAUUCAUAUAUUUGUAUUUUUUACUAAAUAUAAAUAGUAAGAAAAAUGAGAAAAUAAUUUCAAAACAUUAAAUAGGUCAACUAACAUCUAAUACGGCUUUGAAUGUCAUACAUUUCCACGAGCAUUCAGUUUCAACUUUGAAAAUAUAAAGCAAUAAAUGGUUGCCUGUUUAUGACUAAUGAGGUAGUUGAAUCGCAUGCAUGCACUUACUAUAUCAUAUAUAUGCACACACAUACAGAGAUGUGUAUGGAUUUUUAUUUUUAUUUUACUUUUUAUAUGUUAUAUUAAAGAGUAAAUUGAUUCUUUCAAUUCAAAUUUUCAUUUACUUUUAUACAAAAUUUACAUUUUGAGUAAUUGAAUUGUGACUUUAGGGUUGCAUGAUAGCAUAGUAAUUUACUUGAGAUAUCAAAACAUGUUAAUGUAAGUUAUAUGACAUUUUAAAAUAGGGAGAAUAGCAUGAAAUCUCGAUUUGGUAUGUGUAUGAGGAUGUCAGAGUGUCCAACACAAGUACUGAAAUUUUCCUACAAAUUUUCAAGUCCAUAUCGCGAUACCGAUAUUGGGUCGAUGUUGCAACUUGGGAAUCAUGAGGUUGUGACAUAGUGAUCAGAGAGUUUUGGGCAUAUUUUGAAACUUUUGCAAAUAAGUUCUGAUUUUUACACAAUAAAAUUGGGAGCCUUAAACAACACGAAAUGCUUUGAAAAUUUACAUGACUUGGUUUUGUAUAUUGAAUUUUAAUAUGGUAACUUCAAUUUCUUAAAAUGGUUUUACUGAAUAUUUUGAAUAAAAUAAAAUAAAAUUAAAAAUGAAAUAGAAAGAGAGGAAAAUUUUUUGGGAAAAGAAAAAUAAAAAUAAAAAUUUAAUAAAAUAUCACUAAUUUCCCCCAACUCCCCACUAACCCAUUAAUCAACCUAAUCCCACCCAAUCCGACACUUCAAUCCGCAUCCAACUACCUCAGAAUUUCAACUCCACCAAACCUCUAUUAGACAACCGCAACAAAAAUUAUCAUUCACACUCAUACAAAGAUUUGAGCACGAGGCCUUAGGGCAAGUUAACAUCUUACCACUCAAACCGAUAAGCUCAUUCUAAUAUGACCUGGCUAGCAAUAGAAUAUAAGUCAAACCGCCGAGAAAUAGGCUAUGAUCACAAAUAGCAAAAAUUUUCAAAAAUAGGACUUGAACCCAAGAUAUCAAACACACAAUCAAAAAAUUUAGCCACUGAAACAAAUACAUAUUUAUGAUAAGAUUUAUAAAAAUAAAAUUAAAAAAUCAAGGCAACAUGAAAUGUUGCAUUAAUGUAAAUCAUAAGACUGCUAUUUGCUCUAAUUUAGAUACAUAUGAUUUAUAAAUAUUAUAUUUUAAGAUCAUAGUAGAGAACAAUAGUGCCGACAAUAAUGGAAGACAGCAAAGGAAAAAAGUAAUAAUAAGAAAAGAUGGAAUUUACUUUACCUAUGUAGAACUUAAAAACGAAAGUUGUCCCGAACACCAUAAAAAUUAACUCAUAAUAUUGUUUGUUUUCUUUGAUUAUUGUUCCCAUAACUGCUACUGUUACUCGGUGAUAAAAAUGAAUUUAUGAGAAAUUUAAAAAGGUUUCAAUACGUGUAUCGAUGCUACUAUUUUAAAGUUUUAUUCACCCCCACUUACUUAUUGCUGUGCAAAAGAGUUAUUCAUAAAUUGACCUUGAAGAUACAAUGAAAUCUAAUGAUUGUCAACGUUUUGCACUGAUAAAAACAAUUCACUGAACAUUGAAUGGAGCAUAGCAAGAAUACCAAUUUCUAUAAAAAACUUCUACAAUAAUUUUUCAUAAAACAAUCUAGGAAUAUUAGAAGAUGGAGAAUAGAAUUCGAUACCAAAAUAAAAAGAGAACAAAACCAAAAAAAAAAGAGUUAGAUCAUUACAUAAUUCCUCAAUAUUUCUCGAAACCGAAUCAUUACUAUUAUCAAGUUGAGUUUCAUGGUCUUAAACGACAUCUAGAGUUGAUAUUAUAGAGGCUUAUAAAAUUGACCCUAAUGCCAUUUUUUUUUAUUUAGAAGAAUACAAAAUCUACAACAAUUAUUUUUUCAAACUCAAUUCAAAAUUUCAUUACCUAUAAAUUAUUUUUCAAAACCCAAAUUAUAAAAAUAAAUUAUAUUUGGAAUUUUAUCUUUUCUUACAAUGUCAAGAAACAUAGAUCAAAGUUAUGUCAAGAACUAGAAAGGUAAAAAACAGAGAUCAAAUAAGUUUGCUUAAUGUUUUUCUUUUCUAUGUUUUUUUUAAAGAAUAUGUAUUGAAUAUUUUGAUAUAGAUAAUAAAGAGAAAUUUAGGAGGGUUUAAAAUUAAUUACCCCUAAUUUUCUCUCACUUUAUUUAUUUUUAAAUUUUUAUCUAUUUUUAGUUAAUUUUUAAUUUUAUAAAAUUUUAAAAAUAAUUUUAAUUUUUUACCAAUUUAUAUAUUAUCAAGAUCAGAUUGACAGAGAGUAUAUAAGUUGGGGACUAAUGUAACCAACUCAUUUUCUCAACUGUACACCAAACAACUCAAGUCCACACUUUUUGAGUUGAAAUUGAAUUAACUUUAAAAGAUAAUUGUAACUAUCUCAUAUUCUGGAGAGAUAAUGAAUACCGUAUUGUAAGGUUUUAGCGUAGGUUCAUUUCUCAUGUUUCUUGAUUGAAAUGAUAACUAGUCUAAAGCUAAAUGGAGAUUAGUUGAACAUGAAAUUAAUCAUCCUUGAUUUGAUUAUGAGAGUGAAUUUUAAUGAAAAAUAAUAGGUGAAGAAAAGAGAGAACUAAAAGGGAAAUUGCACCAAAAUAUAAAAAGAGAAAAACAAUGGCAGAUUGCUUCCAAUGCAGUAGACACAAGAAUGUGCUAAAUUGUCUUUUUAAAUUCAAAGUGUGUAUUCAUGCCACAAUUAAAAACUUUUAUAUACCAAUCUCAAAGAACCAAUUUCACAUGAUUUUACUCCUAGAAUCAUGCUUAACAAGCAACCACUAAAUCAACACUUUCUAAAUAUAGAAUUUGUCAAAGUAAAAAAUUUAAUAUUUUUUAUCAGCCCAAAAAUAAUUUUGCAACUUUCAAAUCAACCCCCAACUUGUUUUUUUCUAAUUUAGCUCGAUUUGUUUGUUUUUGAACUUCGGCACUCCAAUUGUGUCUAUGAUAAAAUUCAGGCAAUAAAUCACAAGUUUAGUAGAAUUCUAUUAAAAAGUUGACCAAAAUUGGGUAUAUUAAAUAUAUAAAAUUAACUUGCUAUCAGAUUUGGAACUAAUUAAUAAUAACAUAUGAAAUAUGUACUAUAUUAAAAUAAAAAUUAGAAUAAAUUGUGAGUAAAAUGAAAUCUAAACAAAAAAAUACAUCAGAUUAAAAAUGCUAAAUAAAUACAAUUGUUUAUCAUUGUUUUGUCUUCAAUUCUGAGUUGGUGUCGUGUUCAUUUGUGACACUAAAUCAACAACAUUUUUUAUAUACACAAAUAAAUAAAAAUUUAGAACAUAGAUAUCAUUAUUAAAGUUUCAAGUGAAAAGUAAAAAUUGCUUUAGGUUUUAUGUGCAUGGUGACAUUAGUUCAAAUCUCAUUAUGGAUAAUUUUUUAUUGAUUUAUAAAAGUAUGAAAAGACGAAAUCAUUCUCGUAAUCAUGUAUUUUACUUUGCAAAUAAAAUGGUUUUUUGAUAACUUUCUUAUUGAGUUGUGACUUGAUUGAUGGUGACACCAACAUAAAAGGCUUAAUACAUAAUAUUUAUAAAAAAUAUUUUAAACUAAAAAAUUUAAAAGAAUUUAGGGUAAAUUAAACCAUUAGUGAUUCAAUUAUGGGUAAGUUUUUAUUUUUAUCACUUAACUAAAAAAAAUUACAAUUUCAUCACUAAUGUUUUUGAAUUUCUUUUUUUGUCACCCAACUAUUAAGUGGAAUUUGUUUCAAUUGGUAUAAUAAUAAUUAUAGCUCUCAAUUUUUAUAAUUUCUAUCAAUUUGACCUUGAUUUUGUUUAAAGAUUAUAAAAAAACUCAAAAUUAUUUAUAAAAUAGAAAAAUGUGUAUAAAAAUUGUAGAAAAAUAAAAUCUUGAAUAACUAAAUUGUAUGAAAAAUAAAGAAAAUUAUCAUUCAAUGGAACCCAUUAACAAUUUAAAAACAAACUAAACCAAAACAAGUUAAAUCAUUACAUGCUUUCUUAAUGUUUCUCGAAACUAAAAUAGUAAUAUUAUCAAGUUGAGUAUCAUGCCUUUGAAGAACAUCUAGAACUCAUAUUACACAGGCUUUUAAAAUUUAACCAGAUGCCAUUUUUUAGUAGAAAGAAUACAAAAUAUACCAAAAUAUUAUCUUUUUCAAACUCAAUUCAAAAUUUCAUUACAUUUCAAAAACUAAAUUGUAAAAAUAAAUUUUAUAUAAAAUUUUAUCUUUUCUUAUAAUGUAAAAGCUAUGUAUCUUUUGAAGAAUGGAUAUUAGAUAUUUCGAUAUAGAUGAUAAAUAAUUAUAAUGUCAAGAAAUAGAAGAGGUAAAAAAACAGAAAGCAAAUGAUCUUGCUUAAUGUGUUUUUUUUUUCUAUAUUUCUUUUGAAGAGUGGAUAUUAGAUAUUUCGAUAGAGAUAAUAAAAAGAAAUAUUAGAGGGUUUAAACAUAAUUAUUUAUUUUUGAAAUAUUUAUCUACUGUUAUUUAAUUUUUAAUUUUAUAAUAUUUUAAAAUUUUAAAACAAUUUUAAAUUUGGGUAUAAUGAUAAUUUGAAUUUCGACUAUUUCUAAAAAUGGUAAACACCCAAUCAAAACCACAAUUUGGAUUUAAAAAUGUAACUUAUGAAGGAAUUUAUAUGAAAAACUAAAUAUUUAUUUUAACUUGAAUAGAUUUAUUCACAUUAUUUACGUCUUACAAACAUCGUAUGUAAGAAAAACUAUAUUUCUUUUAUAGGAUGCCGACUAGGAUAUUUAAUUUCAAGUUGUAACGUAUAAUUAGGCAUUCUUAUACUAUACUUGCCUAUUAUUACGAUGCUGCUACUGAUGAUGUUGCUGCUACAAUUGGGCACCAAGAUGACUGCAAAACUUGUUAGUAAUGUCCAGAAUGAAUGGAAAGGACCAUGGCAGAUUAGUGAAUUAUUACAGAUUUAAAGAAGAAUCAAAUUUUAAAUCAGCCGAUAGAAGGAGAAUAUUGAAUAUUUCCAAAAGUUUUGGCCCAUUGGGCACCAUUAUUGUCCUCCCCUAAAAAAACGAAGAUAUUUUUUUUUUGUUAGAUCAAAACCAAUAUCAAAUCCUAACCCUAUGUAAUAACUAUGAAGAAAGAAAGAGAAGAAAAGGGGAAAAAAUUAGAAGAUUAAAGAAAAGAAGUAAUGUGGUUUAUUUUAUUUUGAUAGAUAAAAUUUGUAAAGGAAACUAAAAAUUUCUAAUAAUCCUUUUAUUCUCAACUCAUGUUUAGUUGUUCGUACAAAUGCCCCUGCUUUAAAAUUCACAAACAAUAUUGGUUUUCCCCUAAUUUCUUAACAUCACCAACAAAAAGAUCAAGAUCAACAAGCUACACAAGUCAGAACAAAAUCAACAAUCUUGAAAAUAGACCCUAAACCUCAUUCUAGUUUCCGCAAUCUUUUAUCAGUGCGCAAUGGUUACGUACAACUGAUUCACAUUGCAAGUGAUGAUCUUUACACAAUUUGUGAAACAUUUCAGAGCAAGAUUGAUUUAUUAGAGUAUAUGAUAAGAUCCAUAAAUAAGGUGGCAGUGAAUAUAUCAGCAGAAAAGCCCUUAGCAACCAUUUCCGUAAGAAGUUGUGUUGCCUUUGAGGUAUAGCUGUUGCGAAGGAACCCCCGAAUCAUUACAUUAUAACAGCAGCUAUCAGGCAAACGGUCAUUACCUCCCAUGCUCCCUAACAACCUGUAUGCUUCAUCUGGCAAUCCCUCUUUACACAGUCCAUUAAUCAUUAUACAAUAUGUGUAAACAUCAGGUUUUAAACCAUUGUCUGAGAGUUGAUGAAAUAAUUCCUUGGCAACUUCGAUAUGCCCAGCUUUGCACAACCCAUCAAUUAGGAUAGUAUACAGGACAAUAUCAAGUUCCAACCCACUGUUUCGCAUUGCUUGAAAAAGUUUCAAUGCCUCUUCGAUAUGACCUGUUUUGCAUAAACCAUCCAGCAAAAUCGAACAAGUCACUAAAUCUGGAACUUGUCCAGAAGCAACCAUCUUUCUAAACAGUUCACAUGCAGUUGAAACUCUCCCUAACUGAAACAUACUUUGCAAGAGAGUGCUAUAUGUGACAGUAUCCGGGAUUGGUCCCUUUAGAGAUAUUUCAUGAAAGAGUUCCAUUGCUUUGCCUAACCUUUUACCUUUGCAAUAUCCAUUGAUCAUGGUGUUGUAAGUAACUAUAUUAGGUGCACAACCCUUCUCAAUCAUCAAGUUGAAAACUCUUCUAGCUUUAUCCAUUUCAUUCUGCAAGCAAUGACCACUAACUAAUGCAUUAUAGGUAACAACAUCAGGCUCAAUGCCUCGCUUUAUCAUUGCGUCAACAAAAUCCUCAGCUUCAGAGACCAUCCCUUCCUUGCAAUGCGCAUCAACCAAUGUACUAUACGUGACAACAUUAGGCUCAAUGCCUUGUUUUCUCAUCAUGUCAACGGUCUCUACAGCUUUAGAAAUCGUUCCUUCCUUGCAAAGAGCAUCAACCAAUGUAGUAUACGUGACAAUAUUAAGUGAAAUAUUGUUAUCCACCAUUUCAUUCAAGAGCCUUGUUGCCUCCUCCUGCUGGCCCGAAUUACACAUACCAUGAAUUAAGCAGUUAUAAGUAAUGAUAUCUGGUCUAAUGCCUUUAACCUUCACUUCGGAGAAGAGAUCGAGAGCCCCCUGUAACAAACCGUUCUUAGAAAGGCAGUCAAUGACAGUGUUAUAUGCUACAAUAUCGGGUUCAUAACCACUGCUUUCCAUCAGCCUUAGAAACCUAACAGCUGUAUCAGUAUUGCCGGUCCUACACAACCCCUUAAGUACUAUACUGUAAGCAAUCAAAUUAGGUUGAUACCCUUUUUCAGUCAUUUCAUCGAACAUACAAACGGCCUCAGACAUCUUACUUUGAUUACAAAGCCCAUUUAUCAAAGUUGAAAAAGUUACAGCACCAGGGUCAACACCUAACUUCAGCAUUUUCCCCAAAACAGAAAGCCCAAAAACCUAAUUGACAAAAGCAAUUUGUCAAGAUGUUCAUAGAAUAAACAUCAUGGGAAACUCCCAAUAAUUCGAUCUGUCUAUACUUAGAAACAACAAUGGCAUAAUGUUUCAUCUUAACAAUGGCUCCUAAUAAUUUAGUGAAUUCCACAAUUGAAGGCUUUGGGUACUUUUCAAUCAUCUUAUUGAACAAACUCAAAGCAUGAUCAACAUUAUCGAAGCGGUGGUCUCUUUUUCCCUUUCCUCUAACAGGCAUGGACAUGCGUUUCUUACUUAGGCAUUCGAUGUGGGUAGCAAUGGUGUUAGAAGAAGAAGAAAAAGAGUGGAAAUUAGAAAGAAGGCUUCCAGCAUUAACAACGGAACGAAGAAUAAAAGAAGAAGGAAGCUUACCCAUAUCUUGAAAGCAGAAAUGGCAGCGGCAGUAGCAGAAGAAGUGUAAAUUUUGGGUUGCGAAGUGGUGUUGAGGGAAAGGGUUGGGAGCGUAAUUUGGGUUUUUAAUUUUUUUAAUGUGAAUAAUAUUUAAUAAAAAAAUUAAACUUUAUUUUGAAAUGCAAUCUUCAAUUAUUAAACUUAUAAAUCUUCCUUUUAAAUUUAAUAAAAUUACUAUUUACUUUUAAAUGGAAUGAACUUCAAAAGAUUAUUAGACUAACUUUAAUAAAAUUUAUUAAAUUUAAAUUUAAAUUUUUAGAUUAAGUUGGAAAAAUAUACAAAGAUUACAAUACAAUUAAAACUUAAAUUUAUAAAAUACUCUAUUUUUAUAAAUUAUAUUUUGUUGACAUUUUUUUAAUGUUGAUGCAUCUUUUUGUGUGGCAUCUCCUUGCAAGCAUAAUUCGUUAUGCAAAAAUCGCCUUGCAGUUACAAAAUAAGACAGUCCGAGAUGUGGCAUUGCAGUGUAGAUGGAUGACGGUAAGCGUUACUGUUCUCAAAAGUCGAUCUAAAUUCAUCACUUGAAUGUUUGCUUGAGUUCUAGAAUAUAUAGACUCAUAGAUGUAGAACAUAUUUCUCGAGUGGCUUAAAAUGCUGUUGCAACGAGGCAGGUUGUAAUCAUUAGAGUCAAUUUAUAUUUUGCUGGCUUGAUUCCAUAAUUCUACUCUGUGUUUUAUAGAGUGUAUAUGUGUUUGUGUGCGCGCCUACAUGCACAUGUGUGAUAAGAGAACAAUCUGAUUUAUGCUUGAUGCAGAAAAAGAAAAAUAGCAAGAGAAGGAAGAACAUAAUAUAGCCAGGAAAAGUAAAGACAAAAAGGUAAGAUUUAUGAGUUUCUUUCUUCUGUGUGCUAAACUGUAAUUAUUUUUGUUUUCUUUACUCCUAUGAGCAUGCUCAGUUGUGUAACUCUUAGAACUCACGAUAUAAGAUAUCCUUUAAAGGUAAAAUAUUCUCCCUAUGAUACUGACACACAGAGAGCAUAUUUUUAUUUAAUUUCCUAUUUCCUCUUUCACACGGGCACAUCUGGAGAGAUGUGAAUGACUGCUUCCAUUCACAAUGGAAACCUCUCUUGUAUAUGAAAGGUAGUGGAGCAGAGCUCAUUGAGCAUAGGGAGGUUAUUGAGUUGAACAUAGUAUUUUAUAUUGAAUUAAAUAAUAUUGAAUUGUAUGUGAAUUGAAUGGAAAUUUCUAGUGAUAUGAUUUGAAUUAAAAAAAUUAAUGUGGUAUUGAAAUGCAUAUUGGAUUGAGAAAUUGAUUUGAAUUGUGAACAUGAGAAAUUGUGAAUUGAAUGAAAUUGAAAUGAAGUAUGAAUAUGUAUGAGAAUUUGAUAGUAUACUGAUUGGAAAGUGAAAAAUGUAUUGAAUUAAAUUGUGAUUAAAUUGGAAUGAUUUGAAUUGAAAGUAUGAGAAAGUGAUUGAAUUGAAAUGUGAUUCGAAAACCCUAUCAAUUAGUCGGGUUGAGUCGGAUAUAGUUGGUAUGCCAUAGGAUUGGAAGAGUUCAGGGAUUCUUCGACCUUGAGUCGAUAAGACACUGGGUGUCACUAUAUUUCUUCGAAUAGUUAUGAUGAGGUACUGGAUACCAACUUUCUUCCGCUCUAUCGAUGAGACACUGGGUGCCACUUUAUUGCUUCGAACUAUCCGAUGAGGCACUGGGUGCCAUACUGGAGUGUUUGGUUGGAUCCGUGUAUCCGUCAAAGUCCGACUCUUGUUAAUAGGGGUAUAUAAUUGAAAUGAGAAAAUUUGAAUAAGUGUGAUUGAUUGAGCUAUGGAAAGAAAUGAGAAAGUGAAAUUGUGAAUUGAUAUGUGAAUUGAAAAUCGAGAUAUGAGAUUUGAAGAUAUGAACCCGAAGUUUAUGAUGUGAUUAAGAGUAAAUUUUUGUUAUAUGAUAUUAGUGAGUAUAAAUUGCAAUAGAAUUGAUAUUGAAUAUAGUGAUAAAUUUAAUGAAUUGUAUAUGAAUUGAAAUGAACUAUUGGAGUGAGAUGUGAAAAAUCCAAUGGAAUUGAGGUAGUGAAAUAAGGUAUGAAUAUAAUUAAAUACAAGAUUUGAAAUAUUGCUUAUUGUUAUUAAUUAUCAAGUUGAUUUAACGUAUAAGAAAAUUAAUGAAUAAUUGUAGACUUAAAUUAAAUGUAUAUAAUUUAUCGAUUAAUAUUAUAAAUUUGAAUUAUGGUAAUACCACUGAGUAUACUCAUACUCAGCGUACGGUUGUUUCCGUGCGUAGGUUAGUAGAAAGCUAGUGUUCGAUCCAGCAUCCAGAGCAAUCCCGACCUCAGAUAAAUUUUAGUGAUGUACUUUUCUUUUGAUAAUGUGGCAUGUAUCUAGAUGAUGUAUUGAUUAAAGUAUGCUAUGUAUGUUAUUAAUUUGUGAAUUAGUUAUAAGUUAUCCGAUAUGUCCGGUAAUGCUCUGUAACUCUGUUCCGGCGACGGUUUAGGGUUAAGGGGUGUUAUAGUGCUCGGAUUGAUUUUCUGGUUAAUAAUAUAAAUUAGUUUAUGAUUAAUUUAUUUAUGAUCUUUUGGAUUGUAAAUUUGUUUCUGGACUUUCUUUAUGGUUUUUGCUAAUUUUUUUUGAAUUUUGGUAUUUUUAUCAUAAGACUAUGAUAACGUAUAUAUUAUCAAAUUAGAAAUCAAUUUCUAAAAUUAAGACUCUGAAAAUUUCUGCUGUAAUGUGAUUUGGUGGUUUUUCUGUAAAAUAAGUGUUUUGUCGAACAUGAGAUUUUCCAAAAAUAUGUAAGAGUUUUGCCAAACUUAUAUUUUUGACACACACUGAGUUAGAUAAAAUCAUAAUUUUUUUUAAGAGUUAAUGUAAUUCCUCAAGAUCUAGUCAUAUCUUCUACAUCGAGUGUGGGGUGUUACAAAACUCAUUCCUUGAAGCUUCCUCCCCAAGACCUCCUCUUACAUAUUGCUUGGACCAUCAAUACCUAAUUUAAACCAAGAUUAUAAUUUACACAAAUUAAUAAAUAUUGUAUAAAAAAUAAAAAAAUUAAAUUAAAUAUAAUAAUUAUUUAUAUUAUUAAAUAUAAUAUUUUUUGUUAGAAAAAAAAAUUCUUUAACAUAUUGUUUUCUUAAAUCUCGUUUAGUUUAUCUUGUUUGAUGAACUCAAUUAAUUAAAUUACUUUAAAUAAAAAAACUUAAUAUUUAUAUAAUUAAAAAAAUAUCAUAAUUAAUAUGAAUUUAUUUUAUAAUAUGGGGUAUAAUUAUAUUUAGUACAUAUUGUAUUACAAAAACAUAUAUACAUACAUGUUUAACUGCAUAUAAUAUAUCAAUUGUUAUAUAUACGUAAAAUAUGAAUAUAUAGUAAUUAUUAUACAAUUAUGAUAUUAUAAUGUACUUUCUUUUAUUAACAAUAUGCAACCUAAACCUUAAACGUAUUAUAAUAUAUACAAUUAACAUUAUAUAGUUAAGGUAGAUUAUUAAUGAUAUGUAUUCAUAUAUACAACUAUGUUAUUAUAAUGUACAUUCUUUAUAUUAGUGAUAUAUGUAAGCUUACACCCUAAACGAGUAACUAAUUUUAUGGUAGAUUAUAAUAUAUACAACUAUUUUUUAUCUCGUGCAAUGCUCGAAUUUAGUUGUAUGUAUCAAUUAAAUAUAUUACAUGUAUUUUUGUAAUGUUUUAAAAAUUUUAUGAUCGAGAAAGUAAAAAGAUACUCACUUGUCUAUAUAAAUUUAAUCUAAACUAGAUUUUAUUGAUUAUUUUAUAAAAAAAUCAAUAUUAUUAUGAGGUUAUUUUUUUCAUUUUAAAUUAGUAAAAUCUAGAAAAAUUCAUUUGAUGGUAUUUAAACCCAAAACACCAUGAUAUUUAACAUUUUAAUUUUAUGAUUUCAUCGGAAGUCUAAUUUGUUUUUUAUAUUAUUUUUAAUAAUAUAUAUAUUUGUCAAAUAAUUUCUUUCAACCACAUCCUAAGGAUGCCAUAAUCUAAGAUCAUAUUUAUUGACUAUAUUAUGUUUGUAUUGUAUUUUUAUACUUGUGUUCUAAAUUAUAAUAUUCAAAUUAAAAGUAAUAAAUAGCAAAAUCUAACAUAAACCACUAGCGGUGCAUUUGAUUUGUCGAAUCUUCGAUUAUGUUUUGCAAUAAAAUUACGAAAAUAUAAGAUUACGGAUGGAAUGCAAAAUACCUUAUUUGGUUCAUUUGCUUGGAAUGAAAGAUUCGUGUAUUCGACUGAUGAAAUUUAGGAUUACCUAAAAGCAAAUUUUAUUAUAUUUUCAUUGUUAAUAUUUUUUUUUACAAAUUCACUUCCUUUAACUUUUUUUAGUCCCGAUUUUUUCAAAAAGUUAUAAUAACUUAAUAAAUUCACCAUUUUAUCAUAUGAAUUCAAAUGAACUGCCUAAUUAUGAUAACUUAUUUAUAUGAUUUAUGAAUUGAACCAGCAAAAAUGUUGGGUUUUGAAAUCAACCUCUUUCACUUUCUCAUGUUAAAAACAUGAUACAAAGGAACAAUUCAUGACAUUGACUUCAAUUAGGGUUAAAUCGAAGUUCUCACAAAUUAGGAGAAAGAAAUACAAAAACUGGCAUAGGAUUGAAAAUACUUUGCAACCUAUAUUUGAUGAGGCCAUUAAGGUGGUGAAGCAGAAGGUUGGAAUUAAAAUAGUUAAUUCAAUCAUAUAGGUCGAAAUAUAAUUUUACCAUUGUAAUAAUUUUUUAAGAUACGAUACGAUACUAUACUAUAAAUUUAUUUUAUUUUUUAAAAUGUCACCUUGCUUUAGAGAACUCCAUUCAAAGAGUUAACACAUGAGGUUAAAAAGUCUAAAUUCAUAUAAAUUUCAUUAAAAAAAUCUAAUAAUGGAUUUUGAGACUAAAUUUUAGGAGGUUUAAUUAUAAUUUUUUUUUUAAAAUAAGAGUGUAACAAUAAAAUUUUAAAAGAACUUAGGGUUUGAUUACAAUUUUUAAAAAUAUGUGAGAUUAAUGAAAUUUUUUUUUUAAAAAAGGAGAGUUUAAUUAAAACUUUCAAAAAAAAUUUAAGGGAAUAUUGAAUAUUUCAAAAAGUUUUGGCCUAUUGGGCACCAUUACUGUCCUCCCCUAUGUAAUAACUAUGAAGAAAGAAAGAGAAGAAAAGGGGAAAAAAUUAGAAGAUUAAAGAAAAGAAGUAAUGUGGUUUAUUUUAUUUUGAUAGAUAAAAUUAGUAAAGGAAACUAAAAUUUUCUAAUAAUCAUUUUCACCAAAUAUUUAAUAAAAUUUAUAAUAAUUAUUUUUACUAAAUGGCUUAAAAAAUAUAAAUAAAAAUUUAUCUAAAAUGUUGUUAUAUCAAAAGCUUAGGACAUCAAAGCUAACAACUUUCAUCAGAUCAGAACAAUUAUAAAAUUUAUCUCAAUCACUCAACCUCAAUUUAUCUCCUUUUAUUCUCAACUCAUGUUUAGUUGUUCGUACAAAUGCCCCUGCUUUAAAAUUCACAAGCAAUAUUGGUUUUCCCCUAAUUUCUUAACAUCACCACCAAAAAGAUCAAGAAGUUGCUAAGAUCAAGAUCAACAAGCUACACAAGUCACAACAAAAUCAACAAUAUUGAAAAUAGACACUAAACCUCAUUCUAGUUUCCACAAUCUUUUAUCCCUGUGCAAUGGUUAUGUACAACUGAUUCACAUUGCAAGUGAUGAUCUUUACACAAUUUGUGAAACAUUUCAGAGCAAGAUUGAUUUAUUAGAGUAUAUGAUAAUAUCCAUAAAUAAGGUGGCAGUGAAUAUAUCUGCAGAAAAGCCCUUAGCAACCAUUUCCGUAAGAAGUUGUGUUGCCUUUGAGGUAUAGCUGUUGCAAAGGAACCCCCGAAUCAUUACAUUAUAACAGCAGCUAUCAGGCAAACAGUCAUUAUCUCCCAUGCUCCCAAACAACCUGUAUGCUUCAUCUGGCAAUCCCUCUUUACACAGUCCAUUAAUCAUUAUACAAUACGAGUAAACAUCCGGUUUUAAACCAUUGUCUGAGAGUUGAUGAAAUAAUUCCUUGGCAACUUCGAUAUGCCCAGCUUUACAAAACCCAUCAAUUAGGAUAGUAUACGGGACAAUAUCAAGCUCCAACUCACUGUUUUGCAUUGCUUGAAAAAGUUUCAAUGCCUCUUCGAUAUGACCUGUUUUGCAUAAACCAUCCAGCAAAAUCAAACAGGUCGCCAUAUCUGGAACUUGUCCAGAAGCAAGCAUCUUUCUAAAAAGUUCACAUGCAGUUGAAAUUUUCCCUAACUGAAACAUACUCUGCAUAAGAGUGUUGUAUGUGACAGUAUCCGGGAUUGGUCCCUUUCGAGAUAUUUCAUGAAAGAGUUCCAUUGCUUUGUCUAACCUUUUACCUUUGCAAUAUCCAUUGAUCAUGGUGUUGUACGUAACUAUAUUAGGUGCACAACCCUUCUCAAUCAUCAAGUUGAAAACUCUUCUAGCUUUAUCCAUUUCAUUCUGCAAGCAAUGGCCAUUAACUAAUGUAUUAUACGUGACAACAUUAGGCUCAAUGCCUCGCUUUAUCAUUUCGUCAACAAUACCCUCAGCUUCAGAGACCAUCCCUUCCUUGCAAUGCGCAUCAACCAAUAUACUAUACGUGACAACAUCAGGCUCAAUGCCUUGCUUUCUCAUCGUGUCAACGAUCUCUACAGCUUUAGAAAUCGUUCCUUCCUUGCAAAGAGCAUCAAUCAAUAACGUAUAUGUGACAAUAUCAAGUGAAAUAUUGUUAUCAACCAUUUCAUUCAAAUGCCUUGUUGCCUCCUCCUGCUGGCCCAAAUUACACAUACCAUGAAUUAAGCAAGUGUAAGUAAUGAUAUCUGGUCUAAUGCCCUUAACCUUCAUUUCAGAUAAGAGAUUGAGAGCCUCCUGUAACAAACCGUUCUUACAAAGGCAGUCAAUGACAGUGCUAUAUGCUACAUUAUCGGGUUCAUAACCUCUGCUUUCCAUCAGCCUUAGAAACCUAACAGCUCUACCAGUAUUACCGGUUUUACACAACCCCUUAAGCAUUGUACUGUAAACAAUCGAAGUAGGUUGAUACCCCUUUUCAGUCAUUUCAUCGAACAUACAAACGGCCUCAGAAAUCUUACUUUGAUUACAAAGCCCAUUAAUCAAAGUUGAAAAAAUUACAACAUCAGGCUCAACACCUAACUUCAGCAUUUUCCCCAAAACAGAAAACCCAAAAUCAAUUCGACCUAAUUGACAAAAGCAAUUAAUCAAGAUGCUCAUAGAAUAAACAUCAUGGGAAACUCCCAAUAAUUCGAUCUGUCUAUACUUAGAAACAACAAUGGCAUAAUGUUUCAUUCUAACAAUGGCUGCAAAUAAUUUAGUGAAUUCCACAAUUGAAGGCUUUGGGUACUUUUCAAUCAUCUUAUUGAACAAAAUCAAAGCAUGAUCAACAUUAUCGAAGUGGUGGUCUCUUUUUCCCUUUCCUCUAACAGGCAUGGACAUGGGUUUCUUACUUAGGCAUUCGAUGUGGGUAGCAAUGGUGUUAGAAGAAGAAGAAAAAGAGUGCAAAUUAGAAAGAUGGCUUCCAGCAUUAACAACCGAACGAAGAAUAAAAGGAGGAAGCUUACCCAUAUCUUGAAAGUAAGCAAAAUGAAAGCAGAAAUGGCAGCGGCAGUAGCAGAAGAAGUGUAAAUUUUGCGUUGCGAAGUGGUGUUUAGGGAAAGGGUUGGGAGCGUAAUUUGGGGUUUUUUUUAUUUUUUUAAUGUGAAUAAUAUUUAAUAAAAAAAUUAAACUUUAUUUUUAAAUGCAACCUUCAAUUAUUAUUAAUAUUAUUAUAUACUUAUAAAUCUUCCUUUUAAAUUUAAUAAAAAUUUACUAAAUUUUAAUUUUAAUUUUUAGACUAAGUUGAAAAAAUAUACAAAGAUUACAAUACAAUUUAAACUUAAAUCUAUAAAAUGUUCUAUUUUUAUAAAUUAUAUUUUGUCGACAUUUUUUUAAUGUCGAUGCAUCUUUUUGUGUGGCAUCUCUUUGCAGAUAUGCGUCAGAGGCAAGCAUAAUUCGUUAUGCAAAAAUCGCCCUGCAGUUACAAAAUAAGACAGUCGGGGAUGUGGCUUUGCAGUGCAGAUGGAUGACGGUAAGCGUUACUGUUCUCAAAAGUCAAUCUAAAUUCAUCACUUAACUGUUUGCCUGAGUUCUAGAAUAUAUAGACUCAUAAACAUAUUUCUCGAGUGGCUUAAAAUGCUGCUGCAACGAGGCAGGUUGUAAUCAUUGGAGUCAAUUUAUAUUCCAUAAUUCUACUCUGUGUUUUAUAUAGUGUAUAUGUGUUUGUGUACGCGUCUGUAUGCAUAUGUGUGAUAAGAGAACAAUCUGAUUUAUGCUUAAUGCAGAAAAAGGAAAGUAACAAGAUAAGGAAGGAAGAACAUAAUAUAUGCACAUGUGUGAUAAGAGAACAAUCUGAUUUAUGUUCUGUUAUGAGCUUUAAUAAACUACCAAUUUCUAAUAAAGAAAAGAAACAGAGAAAAGUGAAGAGGAAAAUUUGAUGUUCUUCUAUAGAUACAUUUUUUUGUCACAGAAUGCAAGUAACAGAAGAAAGGGUCUAGUCUUCUAGCUCAGUCUUCUAGCUAUGACUUCUCAUUGUUGUCCAACUUUCAGAAGAUUGGACGAAAUUGAAAGGAGUGCAUGAUUUCUCUGUGGUUAAUACAAAUGUCUUGACUGAUUCAUUUAUUUGUUCAACCAACGUGUGCUUCCGAUGUAUUUAGAUAAAAGCUUUCGUUAUUCUACAAUGAAAGGGCAUGCAUCAUUAUUUUUAAAUAUUUAUGAUAUUAUUUAAACCCCCGAUUGAGUUGCUGUCACGAGUCUAUCGAGCUCCAAUUCGGUUAGAGAAAUUAUUAAAAUGUUCUUCCUUAAUUAAAAUAAAUUGUAUUAUUUGAGGGUAUUUUAAUCUUUUUAUUUAAAAAUAAUAAUAAGUUUACAUGUGGUGGGAUUUUAAUAUUAUAUUUGUAUUUUAAUUGUAUUAUGCUUACUUUAUUGCUUUAAUGAAUUGUAUAUCUGCACUUAAAAUAAACCCUUGACUAGGGAAAUAUAAAAAAUUUGCAUGUGGCAGGAUUUAAACUCAUGUUAAUAUUCUAGCUUAAUAAUUGAGUACUAUUAUAUAUUUAAUUUGAUUUAUUUAUAAACAUUACAAUAUAUGUAAAAAUAAUUUAAAAUAUAAAUUUAUUAAUAUAUGUAAAAACAGCUUUUCCGGAAAAUAUUUUCAGGAAAUUUGCCAAACAACAAAAAAUAUUUUACACAGAUUCAUCCAAACACUAGAAAAGCAAAUCAUUUCCAGAAAAGUAAAUCAAUUUCUAGAAAUCAUUUUCCAGAAAAUAUUUUACUGGCAAAUAAAUGGAGCCUUAGUUUAUCGAGUUUUGUAAGAACUCAAUCUUGGUUGAGAUUCCAUUACAAUUGUUGUUUCAAGUUCAAAGAUGCUUCCACUACCAUGGUGGCAACGAUCUAAACAUAGACUUCACGCAUCAAGGUUCUGGUCACCUUGAUGCCCGAGUGUGCCAAUGUAACUUGCUGAAGUCUAUUCUUGCUCCCAAUUAUCGACAAAGAAGCCUGAUUCAAGUAGGGGUGUUCAUUCGGUUAACCGACCCGAAAUAGCAUUAACCGAAUUAAAUGACCCUUCAAAAUUUUUAACUAUUAACCGAACCGAAUUUUUUUCAAAAAAUUAACCAACCCGAAAUUUUGUUGGUUAAUUCGGUCGGUUAACCGAAAAUUAUAUAUUUUUUAUUUUUGGAUAUUUUUGCAACAGUUGAGGAUAUUUUUAUUCAAGAACUUCAGAGAAUUAGGUACACAACUUGUUUUACUGAAUGAUUUAUUAUUUCAACCAACCAAAAGUGUUGGCAUCAACAAAGAAGUGUAUCCCAUUUACAAGCAAGGGGUAACAGCCCGGUUUUAGCUAAAUCGAAACAGUGAUUUCGGAACCACAAAUCUGAUGUUAAAAAAUUAUUUUAAUAUUAUUUUAUUUGUUUAAAGCAUGAUAUUUGAUAUGAGUGAAAAUUUCAUGAGCUAAUUUUAUCGUUUGGACGUCUAAUUUGAUAAAAGGACUUAAUCGCUUAAAAUGCAAAAGUUACAUUCUACUUGUUAAAAGUGCUUAAUUGCUAUGGUAGAUUAAAUUAAAAGUCCUUCUGAUGAUAUUAAAUCAUUCAUAAUGUAAGUGGACAUUAUGUGCAUGGUUAGGUGAAUUAUAAUGGUUAAAAUUCAAGGUUAUUACAGUAAUUGGAUAAAUAUAUGUUAGUAAAUUAAUUAAAGAAAAGUAUCAUCUUUCUUCCUCAUUGUUUUGACCGAAAAUUAGAAGAAGAAAGACUCCAUUGUUGCAUUUUGAAGGUUCGACCAUUGUCUUACUUGCAUGUAAGUGUUUCCUUGCUCGGUUUUUAAAGAUUUAUAUGUUUUCGGCAUCAUUGUAACUUAAUCUAGCUAACCCAAGGACUAAUUUGAGAAAUUUUUAAAAUUAUAGGGUUUUUCCAUUGAUAAAUAAGCAUAUGUUAUGAUGUCUAAUGGUAGAAAAUGCAUGGUUGUUGUUAGAUAAACAACAUUUGUAAAGUGAUUUUUGUGAAAAAUGUCAAAAAGGGAUUAAAUUGUGAAAAAUGAAAAUUGAGUGGUUUAAAUGUGUAAUAAAUGAAAGUUUUUGGCUUUUGGGGACCUAUAGGAAAUUCGGCCAAGCUUGGGUUUAAUGAAAAUUUGUGAAUUUUGUGUAUUUGUGAAAUAGGGACUAAAUUGAAUAAAUGUGAACGUUUAGGGGCUAAUAUGUAAAAAUGACAAAAUAUGUGUUUAAGGAUUCAAUUGAAUGAAUGAUUGUUUAAAUGAGUUAAUUUUGAAUACAUAUAGAUCAAGAAAGAAAGAAUUCAAAUUUAGAUCGGGGGAAAAAGUAAGGUUAUCUAGUAAUCGAUCUGAUUCGUUAAUUCCGAAUACGAGGUAAGUUCGUAUGUGGUAAUUUCAUUAUAAAUGCAUGUUAAAUGCUUUGAUAUUGCAUAAAUUGUGAUUAUGAGAUUACGUAUAUUGUUUGAAUUGUGAAUACGAUUCUACGGAUGUGUUCGAUGAUGAAAUUGACAAGUGAAACUUCCCAGUUGAACCUUAGGAAUAGUUUAGGAUGCUAGUGACAUGUCAUUAGGCUAUCAUAUUGGCUUCUGGCCAUGAUAUCGGCACUUCGGGUGUGAAUAAUACCUUGAUUAGGCUACGGGCCAUGGUAUAGGUAUUCAGAGAGGAGUUACCUUGAUUUGUCUACGGGGCCAUGGUAUAAGUACUCUAGGAUAAGUUACCUUGAUUUGGCUAUAGGCCAUGGUAUAGGUACUUAUCGAUUGAGAUCCUUGAGUAUCCAAAUUCUAUUCCAAAUGGUUCAAUGGGUAAAAGAAUGACGUGGUUGAGAAAGAGGUUAGUACGUGGUGAUACAGGUACGUACGGAACCUAUUCCAGUAUUAUAUUGAGAAAGUUCAAUGAGAUGGCAUUUAAUCAUGUUUUGAGACAUGAGAAAGGUUUGUGUUAAUGUGAUGUUGAUUUGGUAAUGUGUAAAUGGUUGAAUUACAUUUAUUUGAUGAACUGAGUUACUCACUUAUGAGCUUACUAAGCUAUGAAGCUUACUUUGUGUUAUUUUUCUAUGUUGUAUAGUAAAUUGAAGCUAGCUCGGAUCCGAGAGUCGUCAAAAACAUCAUCGCACUAUCAAACACCUAAGUUGGUACUUUUGAGUUGUGUAUAUAUGGUAUAUGGCAUGUAUAGGCUAGUUAUUAUACGUUGGUUGUGAAUAUAGCCAUAAGAAUUGGCUUGUAAAUGUAUAUGUUUGUUUUGUAUGUAUAGCCAUGAGUGAUGGCUUAUUUUGGUAUGAUUGGUAUAAAUGUGGCUAUGUUUUCAUAAUUGCUCAGGUUAUAUUUUGAGUUUGGUAAAUGAUCUAUAUUGAAUGAUUGAAGUUGAAUGGAUGAUAUAUGUUUGGAAUGGAUUGGUUUAGUUGGAUGAAUUAUACAUGUGAAUUAUGCUUAGUAAAGCAAGUUAAGUUGAUUAGUAUUUGAAUAGGUAAAUGGUAUUGAAUUGGGUAUCGAAAUGGUUGAAAUUGUAAUACACCCUACCCGUAUUCAUCGCCGAAAUGGGGUAUGAGGCAUUACCAGAUUUUACCGAAUAAAUUUUUCGCAAAAUCCCAAAGUUUUUUUUUUUGAACUCAAUAUAACCCAUUUACAAGUAUCUAAUCUUCCCUGCAAUUUUAAACCGAGACCAAUCCAACACAACCAAUCCAUUUCAACAUAUUUUCAAGAUAAAUUUAACGUAUUCAUAAGAUAACCUCAUCACAUACCAAAACCAAAAUUUGUUAGCCAUACAAAUGGCUAACCAUACAUUCGUUUCACAUUAAAAUUUACUUUACUAGCUUAUACAUGCCAUUGAUUUCCAAAAUAAAGUUUCUUUAUAUACCGAGAUCUUGAGGUUGAUAGUGUGAUGAGUCUCCGACCAAAUACGGCUUCCGAGCUCUUAACACUACAAAAUAGGGAAAAAUGAAACAGGGUAAGCACUUUGUGCUUAGUAAGCUCAUGUAAUAAGAAUUAUACUUACCUAAUAUUUUCAAUACAAUGCAAUAAACAUUCAUACAUCCAUUCAAUACAUUAUUCCCCUAACAUGCACAAACUCAACAUUUAAGUUAGUUCAAUAAUUUCCAUGUAUCAAUAAUAUAUAUAUCACGAUUGAUGAGCUCAUCAAUACCAUGAUUUCCAUUCCCUUGUUAUUUUUCCAUAUUUAUCCCGUUGAAUUUCUCGAAAUUUCGAUCGAUUUUCAGGGGUACACCUAAGUGUACAAAUCCGGGUCCGUCAAUUCAUAUUCAUGUGUGCACAUUUCCAUUUUAGAGAGCACACUCCCGCGAACCUCAACCUUACAGCAGGAUUACCAGUCUAGGCUAAAUCCCCUGUAAUAUAAACUCGUAGAGUAUUGUCGGGAUUACCAGUCCAGGCUAAAUCCCCUGCAAUGACAAUUACUCUAAUGAGCUUGGAUCUGAAUUACCAGUCCGGGCUAAAUUCAGACCCUAAUUCGGAUUACCCGUCCGGGCUAGAUCCUUUUUACCGUCAAUUCCUUUUCAGAGAUCCAUCGAAUUUUCCUUUCAUUCAACCAGGAUUUAUUUUCUCUUUUCAUCAAGAAUAUCAAUCCAAUUAUCAUACAAUAAACAUCCAAUUCAUAUUCACAUUAGAGCUGUCCAUGGGCCGGGCCGGGCCCGAAAAAAAUUUUCGGCCCGACUCUUAGGCCUGGGCCCGACCCAGCCCGAAAUAUGGGCCUGAAAUUUUGCCCAGGCCCGGCCCAGAAAAAAAGAGUAAGCCUGAGCCCGGCCCGGCCCAGCCUGGCCCGAUUUUUAAUAAACACAAAAAAUAUAUAUUUUAAAAAUAAAAAAAUAAAAAUAAAAAUAUUUUUAAAGUAUUUUAAAAUUAAAAAAUAAAAAUAAAAAUAUAUAUUUAUUAUAUUCGGGCCGGGCCCGGGCCAAAAAAGUUGAGCCCGAGCCCGGCCCAUUUUUUAAACGGGCCUCAUUUUUUUGCCCAAGCCCAUAUUUUGGGCCUAUAUUUUUACCCGAACCCUCCCAUAUUUUGGGCGGGCCGUCGGGCCGGGCCGGGCCGCCCGGCCCAUGGACAGGUCUAAUUCACAUCAAGAAAAAUAUAUUUCAAGCAUUUAAGAAUAUAAUUCAAGUUACAUGAACUUACCUCGAUACUUGUUCGUAAACAAAAAUCUACUAAUCCCGAACUUUUUCUUUUCUUUGAUCUAGCUUUGUAUUUGAAUUUUCUGGAUCUAAAUAAAUAAAUUUAAUCAUUAAUCUAAUACAUUUCAUGUUCAUAUGUAAUAUUCUCUAUAAUCCCAUUACUAUUUAUAGUGCAUUCAAAGCUGUCUCAUUGAGUCAUAGUCACUAAAUUAUUUAUAUCUUGAGCUACGGAACUCCAAAUUAAGAUCCGCUAAUUUUCCCCAAAACUAGACUCACAUAUAUUCUUACCAUAAAAUUUUUAGAAUUUUUUGUUUAACCAAUAAGUACAGUUUAUUCUUUAAAGUUUCCCCUGUUUCACUAUUCGACAGUUCUGACCCCUCUUCACUAAAAAUUAAUUAUCUCAUCGUACAGAAUUCGGAUGAUCUUCUCGUUUGUUUAUUUUGAAAAUAGACUCAUUAAAUAUUUUAAACAUAUAAAUUUAAGCCCCUAAUUAUUUUUAUCCAAUUUUUUUAUUAUUUUCCGAAGUCAGAACAGGGGAACCCGAAUUCAUUCUGACAUUGUCUCACAAAAUCUAUUAUAUCUCAUGAUUUACAAUUCCAUUGCUUACACCGUUUCUUUUAUAAGAAAUUAGACUCAAUAAGCUUUAAUUUAAUAUUUUAUUAAUCCUCUAAUUCGAUCUGUAAAAUUUAUGGUGAUUUUUCAAAGUUAACCUACUGCUGCUGUCCAAACUGUUUUAGUGCAUGAUGUUAAUUACCAUUUUCCCCCAAGCUUUCAAUAAAUGAUAAUUUCAUCCCUACUCAAUUAACCUCUCAAUUGAGCUGAUUUUUAUCAAUUAACUCUUUAUCCCAUCACUUUAAACUACUUUAUAACCUUUGGAAAUAAGAAUUUUAGUACUAGACUUUGAUUCCAAACUUUUUCACAAUUAGGUCCUACAAAUCAAUUUCUAUUGAAAUUACCUAAUAAAAUCAUCUCAUAAACAAAUUAAACCUUCAAUUUCAUGCGAUUUUAUCAUAAAAUUACAGCACUCAACCAUGGUGACUUUCAAUUUUAUUCAUGAAAUCAAAAACUAAUGCAUUUAGUAAUAGGACCUAGUUGUAAAAGUAUUAGAAGCAUAAAAAUUACAAGAAAAAGGUAAGGAUUAACUCACUUGGUACAAAAAUUAUGAAAAAACAGCUUGAAUAAACCCUUAGGACGUUUUUGGCUGAUGAGAAUGCAGAAAAAUAAAGAGAAUUCUAGAUAUCCCAAUUUAGUCCCAUUUUUAUGUUAGUAAAAUUUGUUAUUUUCCCAUUUUAUCCUUAUUUCACCAAUUCUCCUGAUUUUUCUCAGCUUGUGCCGCCCAAAAUUUAUCCUCUUGGGCUUAUUUACAAUUUAUGUCCCUCCUCAUUUAACAAUUGAGCUAUUUAAUCCUUCUAGUAACUUUUACAUCUUUUUCUAUUUAGUCCUUUUCACUUAAUUGACUACCCAAACAUUAAAAUUUUCUAACGAAAUUUUAAUACCAUAUUACUAACAUUUCAUAAAUAUUUGUAAAAAUAUUUUUGACUCGGUUUUACGAGAUCGAGGUCUUGAUACCUUGUUUUUACCUAAUUUCUUCAAUAAUUUCUUUUUCUAACUAACCACUAAAUCGGUAAAAUUUUUCUAUCGAUAUUUUCAUAUGAUUUUCCUAUCAUAUCAAUAUUCAUGCAAAAAUAUUAAAAUAUAUUUAUCUUUAAAUCGGAUUUGUGGCUACGAAACCACUAUUCCGAUAACCUUGAAUUUAGGCCAUUACAGAAAUAGAUUUGGUAUGAUUGUGUAUUGGUUGAUGAUUAUUGGCUACAUAUUUUUGUUUCAAAAUGGUACCAAUUGAGUUUACUUAGGUGUGUGCAAAAAGGGUGGUAAAUUGGCUUUGCAAAUGGCCUAUUUUUGUCCACACGGGCAGAGACACGGGCGUGUGUCUCAGCCGUGUGUCCCUUGGUGUUGAAAUUAAUUUGAAUUUUGUAUGCUCCACACGAUCUCACAAACAGGUGUGUGACUAGCCGUGUGGUACAAGUCAGUAUACCCCUUAAAUGGUACACGGCUUAACACACGGGUGUUUGACUUGGCUGUGUUGCAGUAUACCCUACAGGAUUAGCACGGCCUAGUACACGGCUUGGCACACGGGCGUGUGUUGCCACUUCGAAGGACAUACGGGCUAGACACAUGGGCGCGUGGUCGGCCGUGUGACCCAAGUCAAUAUGUAUACCCUGUUUUCACACGGCCUGGGACACGGGCGUGUCUAGAGCCGCGUGAGGCACAUGGCCUGUUCACACAGGUGAGUGACCCUUGAAUGAUUGAAAAUUUUCUAAAUUUUCCAAGAAUUUUGUAUGUUAUCGGUUUAGUCUCGAACCACUUUUAAAACAUGUUUAAGGCCUCGUAGGCCCUUAUAAGGGACAAUGUGUUUGUAUUGAAUGGUAUUUGAAUAUGAAUGUAUAAAUGUAUGAAUUAUGUUUAAUAAAUGGCGUGUAUUGAUCGGUAAUACCUCGUAACCCUAUUUUGACAGUGAAUACGAGUGAGGGGUGUUACACAAGGAGAGAUUUGUUGAGACUUAAAAAGAAUUGAAGAAACUAAUACUGGUCUAGUUCAAGGAACAAAUUUCAACAUGAUGAACUUAAUCAAAAUACCAUUAACAGAAGAGAAAGAAUAAAAUUACUAAAGAAAAACUUACCUGAAAUCUCAAAAUGUUUAGCUAACAAUGGCUUCAAAUGAAAACAAUACCCCUUCAGGUAUUGGCGAAGUGGCAGUAGGGAGGAUUUGGCAAACAUACAGAGGGUUCUAGGUUUUUUUUAGGUUAGAAUUAGAAGUUUAAAUUAGAGAUUUUGAAGUUUAAGUUUUUUUUUGUCGUCUAUUACUUUAGACACUUUUACUUUUACUUUUAGUUUUAGAAUUUUGUUUUUAUUUAUUAAAUUAUUUGUAAUUUUUAUGAUUGGGUUGGGUUGGGUACUUGGGUUUAUAUAUAUUAAAUUGGGUUUAUGUUGGAUUGGGUUUGGGUGAAUAGUGAGCCUAUUUAUAUAUUAUAAUUUUAUUUAUUAAUUUUUUAGGUUAAAUCGAAAAAUUCGGUUAACCGAUCAGUUUUGAACCGAAUAAUGGUUAAUCGAAAACUUAAAAAAUUAUUAACCGACACCGAUCGAAUUAAUUCGAUUUUAUCCGAAUUUUGCACACCCCUAGAUUCAAGUAAUGGUGGCUUGUUUUUCUCUUAAUAUAGUGACAAGUGUUACUAGCCUUUGAGGACUCCUCUAUGACCUUAAUGGCUUUCAUAUUGUAUGAGACAUUUAAUUCAUAUAUUUGUAUUUUUUACUAAAUAUAAAUAGUAAGAAAAAUGAGAAAGUAAUUUCAAAACAUUAAAUAGGUCAACUAACAUCUAAUACGGCUUUGAAUGUCAUACAUUUCCACGAGCAUUCAGUUUCAACUUUGAAAAUAUAAAGCAAUAAAUGGUUGCCUGUUUAUGACAAAUGAGGUAGUUGAAUCGCAUGCAUGCACUUACUAUAUCAUAUAUAUGCACACACACAGAGAGAUGUGUAUGGAUUUUUUAUUUUUAUUUUUUAUAUGUCAUAUUAAAGAGUAAAUUGAUUCUUUCAAUUUAAAUAUUUAUUUAUUUUUAUUAUUAAAAACUGAUAUGGUUGACGAUAUAAUCAAAUAGUUACAACUGACGUACCACGUGUACCUCAUUUCUACAUACAUGUACCAAUUAAAUAAUCACCUCAAUUUAUUCGAUUAGAUCUUCUAUUUAAAAUUAUUUUUAUCUUAUUUUCUUAAUUAUAUAACUCGAAUAAGACAUAUUAAAUAAUAUAAAACUUGAAUAAUAAAAUCAGAACAUUUUUAAACUUAAAAUGAUCUAACUCCAAAUAUCAUACUAAAUCUAAACCCAAAACUUAAAUUAGAGGACUAGCUUUUGUGAACCAAGUGGAACAAAAGAGGUAACCAACAACUAUCCCCCACUUGCAUCUCAAACUGGUAGAACAAAAGAUGGAACUGGUUGGCAGCUCUUUGUCUGCUGCAAAAACUGUUGGGAAUUCAGACCAAUGACAAUGUACUUCUUUUAAACACCUUCACAUUUUCUCUGCCCCCUUUUUUUGUUCUUUUUUGAACUUCAUUUUCAAUCAUAAUCACACCAAAAGUCUUACAUUUCCACUUUAGCCUACUUUGCAUGUUCCCUUUUUUAUAAUAAACUGAAGUACUUAAAGACAACAAAAAGACACGAAAAAAAAACACAAAGAAAUAUAGAAGAAAAUGCAUGGAAGUUCAACACAUGUGGGUCAUUUAUUUCUUUAUCUUCACAGUUCCUCACCAACCUUGCCUACCAGUGAUACCUAAAAGCAAUUUGAUUAAAGAAGUUUUUCACUUUGGUUUAUAAAUGUGUAAAGCUUUGCCGAUUUCAAUUACUUAAUUAUUUUUACUGACUCAAUCAUACACCAAUUCCCUUUUUAUUUGAGAGGAUUGAAUACGUUUCCAAGAGACAUGUCAAAUCGAGGGUAUCUCAAUUCAAUUAAAUGGGAUAACAGUUUCUCAUUCUUAAUCUAUAAAAUAAUAAUUUCAAUCAAAUCACACAUUACAAUAUACUAGAUCUUCUAAUUCUUUAAGAUGUUUGUCUAAAAGAUUGGUGAUAUGACUAGGAAGACGUUUGAAAUACCAUACAUUAGUUGCUGGACAUGCCAGGCUUAUGUAUUCCAUUUGAUAUCUUCGUAUUUGAGAAUCAAUAAAUUCAACUCCGCGUUGUUCACAAAAUUCAAGGCCCUCUUUUUGAUUUCCAAUUACUCGAUAAUUUUCACAAGCACAAAUUUCGCUUUUUUUAGGUCCAAAAAAUCAUUCGGGUCUCAAUUCAGUUAGGAAAAUUAAUUUAAUAUCUUUUUGUAUUUAAAAUAAAUUAAAUUAUUUGAGGGUAUUUUGAUUUUUUUUAUGUAAAAAACUAAUAAAAAUAUGCAUAUGAUGAGAUUUGAACACAUGCCAAUUGAGUUAGCAAAACCUUAAAUUUACCUUUGAACCAAAUUUUUUAUUUUGAUAUUUUUAUACAUAUUUUAACCUAAUGUAUUCAUGUGUUUAAAUUUUAUUUUAGUUACAAUUUAAUCCAAUUUUUUAUUUUAAUAUCGUAUAUAUUUCAUAUGUUAUUAUUAAUUAGUUUCAAAUAAUAUAUUUUAUUAUUUAUUGUAUGUUAUUUUUAAACACAAAUCUAAUUCUAAAUAUGUGAUUUCUACACACAUACGCGUGUGAUAAAUUUGACCAUUAACUUACACUUACAUGACUAAUAGUAGCAACGAGAAGUGGAUAUGUGGCAUGACUCAUGAAUGAAUAUACUGACAUGGCAUGCCAGAUCAUUUAUAUUUAAAAAACUAAAAAAAUCUUUAAAAAUUAUUUUAAAAUUUAUUAAAAUGCAUGUCUAAAAUGUACAUGGACAAAUUUAAAUGUCCCAAUUCAUUUUAAUGUAGACAUUUAUUUGUCUAGAUUCAUUCUAGAUACAUUAAAAAAUAUAAAAAUUAUUAAUAAUUAGAAAGAAAUUCUGAAAAAAAAAUAAUUAAAAAAAUUAUCAAAUAGAUAUAUAUAUUUUUGAGAAUUUGUGUAGUCAAACAAUGUUGCUGUUAACUAUUUCACCCAACCACCUAACACCGUUAGUCAAAAAAGCAUUUCCCCAAUCAGAACUUAACAAUCACCGGCCAGCUGUUAUUUUUAAUAUUUAAUUUUGUUUUAUAAAAAAGAGGGAAAAAUAAAAAUAUUGGUUAAUUAAAAAUAUUAGUAUUAUUAUUAAUUAAAAAUAAUAUUAAAAAAAUAAAAGAACAUUUCCCUCCCGCCCUCUCUCCCCCCCACCGUCACUCCGACCCUCUUCCUCUCCAUUUUAAACGUCGGCUAUUGACUUAUUGAUCCUUCGCAGGACUUUCGAGGUGUCGAUCGUAUAAUUUUUACUAUAAAUUCUCAUAAAACUUCAUUUAUAUUUAACUACUUUCUCUCUUUUACCAGCCAUAAAGUUGGUUUGCAGUAAGUUUAGUUAUAUUGAUGAUUAAAGAACAAUAAAAAUUAUACUGUUCGUAUUACCCAAAGAAUUCGGUAAAUGGAGAGGGAGAGGAAGAGGGGAGCGGUGGUGUGGGAGGGAGCCGAUAGGGGUGGGGGCGGAUAAUCUUUUAUUUUUUAAAUAUUAUUUUUAAUUAAUAUUAACAAUAUUUACUUGUUAAUUUCUACUUAUCUUAAUAUUAUUUAAAUAUAAUGACUUUUUAAAUUUAUAAACAUUUAUUUUAAUAUUUUUAGUUUAUUUUGUAUGUUAUAUUUUUUUAAAUUUUUUAUAUAAAAAAUAAUACAGAUGGGCCGGACCUAAAUUUUAACAUUUUCGUCUGAAGCGGGCUUGGAAAAAAAUUUAGGCUCAUUAUAUGAGCCCAAACUUAUCAAUCGAGCUUAAAAUUUUGUUAGGCAUGUAUAACUCUACUUGUGAGUAAAAAAAAGGUUAAAAUAGAUAAAUACAUCGUAUUAACAAUAUUAAAUGAACUCCAAUUUGGUGAGAGAAUAUUUUAUGUUAAAAGUUUUUUUUUUUAAGUUUACUUAAGAAUUAUUAUUGGUGUAGUGGUAAAAAAUUAUUUAUAAAUCCAUUAAACAUAAAUUUAAUCCCUAGAUAUAUUAAUUUUAAUCUAUUCAUUUAAAAAUUAUAUAAAAUAAAUCUGGACAAAUAAUUGUUCACAUUUAAAUAUAUUUAAACAUACAUGUGCAUUUUAAAUAUAUAAUUUUAGUAAAUUUUAAAUAAUUUUUUAAAAUUUUAAUAUAUAUUAACGUGUCAUGCAAAUCAACAUAUUUAUCCACUUGACAUGUCACUAGCCAGCUCUUUAACUGUCACGCCGAUCACUGACGGUUUUUAUUAAUAAAAGGGUCUAAUUAUUUUUUUAUAAUUUAAUUUAAUUUUCUUUUUUAAUUUUUUAUUUUUAAUGGCUUUCACUUUAAAUUAGGCAACAUGAAUAUAUAUAUUAAGAAUAUAACAUAAUCCAAUUUAAUAGAUUUUGUUUUGAGGAUAUUAUGAAUUAAAUCAAUAGGGUAGAGAGGGUAAAUCCCUAUAUUCCAAUAUAAAUUUUAAAUGUGAAACAAAAAUAGAGAAAGUGUAAAGAAUAGAGGGAUGGAGAGCAUAAUUAAACCAAAGAAAACUGCCCCAAUUUUCAGUAAAUUGGACUCAAAUGGAUAAAUUAUUAAAUGCAGCCAAAAGUGUUCAUGGUGAAAGGUCAACAACACUGCCUCACUUUUUUCUUAAAAUAUUGAUUAAUUCAAUUAUCAAAGAAAGAAAUCAACAUUCUUACAACUACUUUAAGGGCUGCUAUCAAAGAAAAACUUUAAUGGCUGUACAAAUUUUAGGGACUUAAAAGUAAAAAAAAAAUAUUUAAUUAGACUCAUACAGGUACUUAUCUGAUACCCUUUUAGCAGAAAUGUUAGGACAAUCAAAAUAUGGUAUGCAAAGGAAAAGAAAUAUCAUCACAAACCACAAGAAAUAAAGGGAAAUUGAUAUAAUCCAAGAAAAUUGGUUUACCAUAGAUCAAAUCAUACAACUGAAGAAAGAUGUUUUACCUUUGUGUUUUUUCUUCUUCAAUUUUAGCCAAUACCCAUCAUCACAGAUCACUCAAAAAUUACAAAAAGCAAUUCAUUAAGAAGAACCUGAAACUCUUGGUGAUGUGAGUGGAAACAAUGGCAAAAGCUGAGGCUCGGUGUCUCUAGGUGUAGACAUAGGUGAUGGGUGCAAAUAAAAGCCUUUCUCAGCUAUAGCUUUCUCUUCUUCUGAUGAAUUCCCUAAAGAAGGUGAAGACUUGUUGAAAGUGUCUUCAUUUAAUGGUGUAACCGGGCUAAGUGUUAGCUUUGGGAAGUCAAGCAAGCUUGGGGACAGCAUCUCUGCACUCCUAGAAGGCACAAAGGUGUUGAUCAUCAUGAGGCUGUUCUUGAGGUUACUGUUUCUCCUCUCAUAAAGUUUGAAACUUUGUUUUCUGGGAGAGUUUGUUUUCAUGGGAGGUAUAGGGAAAGAUGAUUUUGAAAGCAAUGGUGGUGGUGGAUCCUGUUUUUGCUGGGGUGGUGAUGGGGCUUUUGGGGAAGCUUGUUUAGCAGUUUCUGAGGAACCAGUGAGCAUUUGGACAACUUGUUUGAAAGUUGUUGUGUCAGCUUGGACAAAGGUUGUUGGGUAAGGAUUGGUUUCAGAUCUGGUCGGGUGUGGCGUUAACGGUGGGGUGUGAAUUUGGGCAGCCCCAUUGUUGUUGUUGUGUGGGGAGUUUAAAGGAGAUGAUGGGAAGUUGAAGUGUUCUUGAAAUGACCUUGUUGAACUUGAAUUCUCCAUGAAUGGAUGAUCUCUUUAGCAGUUUCCUCAAACCCUCAAAAGAGAAAACAGAAAGGGGGAGUAGUGUGGUAUGGAAGAGAAAGAAGAGAUGAGGAGUGAAAUACAAGGAUUGAGUCAUAAAGUAAUAAAAGGUUGCUUCUUGGUUUUGUUUUCUUGUGUUGUGGCAUCAAGUAAGGAUUAGAGUUAGUCGUUGGGUAAAUAACUGCCGCACACAUACUAAUGAUUUGAUCUCAACCCACUCAACUUAACUGUCCAUCAUCAAUAAAUCAAAUAAUUAAUCUAAAAUUGUUAUUAUAGUUGGAUUGAAUUGAUAAUUAAAAUAUAUUUAGAAUUAAGUCAAUUGAGUCUUAGCUCGAUUGGUAUGAGCAUUGUUACUAAUAUAGUAGGACUCGGAUUCGAGUGUGCUGAAGCGCAUUAUCUUCCUAUUUAUGGGUUGCAUGCUAUAUGUAGUUCUAAGUAUUAUAUUAAAAAGAACAGAUAUGAACCUAUAAUAAAAUUAUUAAAAAUACAUAUUUAGAAUUAAAUUAAAGUAAUUUAAAAGAAAAACUAAUAUCUAAUCAACUGGAAGUGAUAUAUGAAAUUAUUUAAAUAAAUACUCAUAUUUAUAUUUUUAAAAUAUUCAUAUUUUAAACUAUAAAAUAUUUAUUAAUAAUAUUUAUAGAUUGUAAUAUACUUUUUAUUAAAAUAUUAAUAUAGCUUUUUCAAUAAAUUAUUAAGAAAAUUACUUAACAUUUAAAAAUACUAUUAAUGUUAAAAGUUAUUAUUAAAAUAUAAAUUUACUAUUAAAUAGUUAUAUUAAAAAUUUAUUAAAUGAUUAAAAAUAAAUAUGCAUAUUCAACUAUAUUAAAAAUUAUAAUAUUUUAGAUUAAUAGUUGAUGUUUUAAAUAAUUUUUAAAAAUUAGAAAUAAGAUUUUAUUAUUAAUAUAAUAAUAUAAACAAGAGGCAAAUCUAGAGGGCUGACAAAUCUCGCCCCUAAAAUAGAAAAAUGUUAUUUAGGCCCUUUAAAAUUUUUUAAAAUUUAAAUUAGUUGCACUUUGACCCCUUAAAAUUAUAAAAAUUUGAUUUAAUUAAUUAAAAAUUAUAAAGAUAUAGACUAUAAAAAAUUAAAAUUUCAUUCGAACCCCCUAAAAAAUAUUCGGGCUUUGCCCCUGAAUAUAAAUUGAGUUACUUAUAAAGAAUUGUUUUUGAAAAAUGACUUAUUCUUUAAAAAAAAGAAGUCAUUUUUAUUUUUUAUUCACUAGUAAGUUCAUCAAAAUGAUUUUUACAAGAAAGACACAAAAAACACAGAAAAUAUUUUCAAUAAAACAAAGACACCCUUAAUAGAUAGAGUGUGAUUCUUCCAUUAGAUUUUGAUGUUGCUUGAAAAUGUGAAAGGUCAUGAAUUCAUCGUCCAUACUUUUCGAACAGAGUGUUUCCAACGUGAAAAAUAGCAGGAAAAUACCUGAUAGUACAUGAUUUCAUGGUGAAUGACAAUGAAUAAAACAAAUAAGAACGGCUAGUGAGGCAAUUUCUUUGUUGUUGUUCUAAAGCAUUACACUUUAUUGUGAGGCAUUAUGUAGAUUAAACAAUGUAUGUGAAGUUGUCUCUUCUCUCUCCACUUUGAAUGCAUCGAAAGAAAAGGGAUGAAGGUCAAAUUAAUCAAUUUUAAAUCAUUUAUAAUCUAUAUAUUUAUAAAAGAAAUUUUAAAAUUUCAGCAAAUAUGACUAAUUAAAUGAAACAUAUUAUAUAUCAAUUUUAAAAUUAAUUAUUCAAGUAGGUUGAGUUAGCUAGAAUGACAUUGAUAUUUUUGCUACCGUAGGAGGACGUGGGUUCAAGUGUGCUAAAGCGUAUUAUCCUUCUAUUUAGGAAGGGAUUAUUGGUAGUUCUAGGCAUUAUAACAAAACGAAUAGAUAUUAAAUCUUACACAUUUACUUUUAUUAAUUAUAAAAAAAAUGACUUUAACAUUAUUAAUUAGGGAUAAAUAUCAAAUUUAUCCAUGAAUGUUGAUUCAAUGUGCAAUUUGAUAUAUGAACUUUGAUUUGUAACAAUUAUACACGUGAAACUUGAAACGAGGUUCAUGCAUAUACAUGAAACUUUGGUUUUGAUUCAAUUGUACACGUUUAAAGAAAUGAAUUCGUACAUUUAUUUUCAUAUUAGAUUAAUAUAAUAGUUUGUGCAUACGAUAUAUCAAUGUAAAAUUGUGCUAAUUUGAUAAUGUUGUUAGUGAUUUGUUAAAAUUGAAUCAAAUCAAAAUUUCAUAUAUAAAAUCGCACAAAGUCAAAGUUCAUAUAUGACUUUACACAUAAUCAAAGUUCAUGUAUAGAUUUGAUAUUUAUCCUUGUUAAUUGUUAACAUAUUUAUAAAUUAUAUUUAUUUAAUUAAAAAAACUUGGAAUUUUAUCAUUUUUAUUUGAUCUAAUUACGUUCAAUGAUUUUAUAGAAUUAUAAAUUUAUUAAUUAAUAAUAAAUUAUAUUAUUUUUUUAAGUAGAACUUUUAAAAGAUAAGACCAAAUUAAUUUCAUAUUAACAUACUAUCAUAUUAAUUAAAUUUAAUUAAUGUUAUUUUUAUUACUAUCUCAUAAUAAUACCAACAAAUUUCUAAUAUCAAUUUAGUAAUAUAAUUAAUAAGCAUCAAUUCAAAAGUUUCUCCAAAUUUAUAUAUAUAUUAUAGAUCAGAGUCGAAAUUUUUAUAUAUAUCAUAGACAAAAUAUUAUUAUAGUUGCAAAGAAGAAGAAGACUAGUCUUUCUUUCUCUCUUCUUCUUUUUCUUCGCAAUUGGCUUUGCAACUAUAAUAAUAUUUUUCUGAGGAUCCACAACCGCUCGCAGUUAAAAGCUGUCAAAGGGAUCAUGGACGCCCCAUAACACUAACAUUGCAGUUGGAAUCCAUCGUUCUGUGAGUACACAAUAAGACCGUUACAGUUGGAAUCUGCUGAGGCUAUGAGUAUACAGCGAACAUUUGUUUAACUGUGGAGUCACGACCGCUCGCAGAUAAUAGCUGUCAGAGGGAUCGUGUAGCACAGUGAAAUUACAGUUGGAAUCUGUCGUUCUGUGGGUACACAGUCAAUCAUUCGUAUAUGCAAUCAAUAUGAGUUACAUUCUUCGUCCUUUCAUAUCGUCCCCCAACAUACAUAUGCAAUGCAAUCGUUCUUUAAUGCAUUCAUCCAUUCCAUCAUUAAUACUUUCAACAUCCUAUUUCAUUGCAUAAUAAUGAUAUUCACGAUUUUAUCCAUCAAUCAAUAGUUCAAUAAUUUAGGCAUAUGAGACGUUCAUUCGGCAUUUAUAACAUAAAAUCAUUCAUGGAUAAAGUAAUCAAUCAAAAGCAAUUAAAAUCAUAAAUUCAUUCAUCCAUAUAUUUAAUCAUUCUAAUCCUAGUCCAGGACCUAAUUGCAUAAUCUAGUUCUCUAGAUUCCGUUAAAAACCUAUUUAGGGACUGAUUCGUAUAAAAUAAUUAAAGAUAUGAAAAAAAUGGAAUUUUUAAGUUGCAAGGGCCACACGGCCGUGUGUGAUGCGAAGGAGUGAAGGACUAGGAGACACACAGCCGUGUGUUCAGGCCGUAUGUGAAGCCCUCAAGCUGUGUGCAAUGGAUUCACACGGUCGUGCGUUCGACCGUCUGCGGAGCCCUAGGCCAUGUGUGAUACGAAGGGAAUGAGGUGUAAGAGCCACACGGUCGUGUAUCUAGGCCGUGUGCGAGUCUCCAUGCCAUAUGCGAAAUGUGAAUGCAAAGGAAAUAAAUGGGGCAUGGCUGUGUAAGGAACUGUGUAUCCCACACGGACGAGCCACAUGCCCGUGUGGUAGACUAUAUGUACUUGGGCAGUUUCGAAUUUUGACUCGAUUUUUCAUAAAAAGACACACACUUAACUUUUUGAGACCUUAAGGGACUAUCCCACGUUCAAGUUUGAUCCAAUCACCUACAAGGGUCUUUUCAAUCGACAAAAUUCAAGAAUCAAAAACAAAUUUUCAAUAUUUGCGAAGGUUUUUGGUAAAACUAUUAAAAAAUUUAUAAUCGAAUUGAAGGAUUUAUUAAAACGUGAUAUCUUCCAGAUUUGAAAGAUCCUAAUUGACAGGGGAGGAGAUACUUAUUGAUCUUGAUAUAGAUUCAACAAUCUAAUGACUUGGAUUUCAACAAUUUGGAGAAGAAUAGUUUUUGAGGACUUCAUCAAAUUUUCCAAAAAUUUUAAGAGUAUUUUUCAGCAAAGUUUAAGGGCUUAGAAGAGUUUUGAAGUAGAGAAUUUUGAGAGAAAGCUAAGGUAUAAAUAGAGAGAGUUAGGGUUUCAAUUUGAUAGAAUAACAAAUAGGGAAUUUUAGUUAAAUUAGAAAAAGACUUAAAAAGUUGAGUUGAGGAAGAGUUUGAGGGCUUAUGGGCAAAUAGCCUAUUGGUCUAAAAAUCAUCAAAAGUAAGAGAGAGUGGCGUGGUUGGAACCUAAAUUUGUGAAGGGAAAAUUGGGAAAGCCUCAACCACUGAGCUAGUGCCCACAUUCAUGUUUAAAACACAGACAAAUACAUUCAUAAACCAUGUUACUUAGGUUCUAUAUGUGUAGAAAAAUUAAAGAGAUAAAAUCACAUUUAUAAAACUUGAACCUAAGUUCUCAAGACUUCCUCAUAGGCUUCUAACCAAUAAUGCUAUGUUUUAAAUCUUAAUAAUUCUAAGAAUUCUAACCCUUAAUUUUUAGGAUGUUACAGUAAAAAUUACAAUUUAAUUUUAACCCCUAAAAAAAUUUUCUGGCUUCACCCUUGAUUCGAUCAUCAUACUACCAUAAAAAACCUUUAGCAAAUAACCAAAAAAUGUAUCCAAUCAACAAAAGACCACCACUAAAUGAAAUAGCUACACCAUCUCCCCCUCAAACUCAACAACUCAUUCUCUCUCUCUCUCUCUCUCUCUUUGUAAGAUGCUUGAUUUCUUCACAAGUGUUAUAAUAGUCGAGCACAUUAUACUUCAAUUCUUUCUGCAAUUGCAAGUGGAGAUCCAUUAGCACAUAGCUCAUUAGAGUCUAAGUCUGCAUAUUCCUUAUCAAGACUUAGCAUUGACAUUGUGUUUUCCCUUCAACCAUUUAUUAAAAAACUUAAUCUUUGAAUCCUUAAUGAGCACAUUCUUUUGGCUUAACAGGAUUUGGAAGGUUAGUGAAGGGAAUGGAAGCAUAUGCCUCUUGUUCUUAAUCUCUACAUGCUUCACUAUUUCAUUAAAAAUAGGUUGCCCCAAAUAAAAAGGAAUAGAAUAGACUACCUUGUGAAGCAAUUUUUUCAUUCUUUUAUUACUUUUAUAGGAUAUCCUUAAUCUCUUUGGAAUAAAUCUAUUCUCAUAACCUUAUGGUAAUCAUUAUAUUUUCUUUCAUGAAAAGCUAAUUACUACCAAAUAAUAAUCAAAUCAUUUAUCACUAAAACAAAUGACUCGUGAUCAUGUUAACUUUAAUCUAUAAUGUAAUGCAAUUUAUCAUAAAUUGGGGUAUACUUCUCAUCCAUGUUUCUAAUAGUUGUUGGCCAUAGAAUGAUUAAACUUGAAAUAAUGCCCUUGAACAUAAACUUGCAUGUAUUUGUCUAUUAUUAGGUUCAAUGGUUGACUUCUUAGAAUAAAAUUCUAACACCACAACAUUGACAUAAGGCUUCACACAAGCUACUGAAUACAAUAAUCUCUGGUUCUCUAGUAAAACAUCAAUUUUAUGCUCUUAAAAAUCAAUCGUAUUGAGGUAUCUAUCAUUAAUGAAGCUUUUCUUUGCCAACAACUUCCUUUUGUCACAGUUAGUGUUUAUAAGCUUAGAAUUCUUCGGAACAAGAGUGAAGCCCACAUCCUUGAGCAUCUCUGCAACACCUAUCUUCUUGAGUCUCUUGUUUCUUUACUUCAAAGUCAAGGGCACAUUAGGCCUUUUGGUUAUAUUCUUGGUAGCUUGAGACAUGAGAGUAGAUAGAGGCAAAUUUUUAGGAUUUGUUCCCAUAAGGUAGUUCUUUCGUCAUAAUUACUUGCAUGUUUUAAACAAUACCAAAUUAAUAAAAUUUUUCACAUGAAUCAAUUUCAGUAAUAUUUGUAUAUAUUAUGUACUCAAAUAAUUUUAUACAUAAAAAGAAAAAUUAUUAAACGAAUAUUGGUUAAUUGAUUAUCUAAUGUUUACCUAAAUUAAGUGGCAUAACAAAUAACUUUUGUAAUGCAAAAGACAACUUAUAUUGGUAGAUAAUAUAAAUAAUCCGUAGUCCAUAGGUUCAUGAUUGAGCAAAUGACUUAUGUUAGGACUAUUAUGUCCUUCAUAAGUCCAAAUGAGGAGAUAACUUGUCUUGACUAUUGGAUCUAGAUUUACUCCCAAGAUAGAGACAUAGAUAUAAUUUUCUAGACUAGCAAUGCAUUGGAUUGUACCCAAGAUGAAUUAAUCCUAGAUCAUUUUAUCGAUUAACUCAAUUGUGAUGUUCGAAGUGUAACAUACCUAAAUCCUAAGUAAGUGAAACAUAUGCAUAACUUAUAUACUUUAAUGUUUUAGAAACCUAUGCAUCUCAAAGUAGUAAGUUGAAAGUUGGUAGUUGGGUAUAUAACAUAUGCAUGACAUUGCUUCACUUACAAAAGUAUAAUCCUAACUCAUUAAAUAAUAAAUUAUAUCCUCUCAUUAAAAUUGUAUGAUUUAUGAAAAUGGAACAUAUUCAUAGGUCAUUUGUCAGGAACAAAUGAUUUAAUUAUUACUAGCUUGAGUAAUAAGCAUUUUCAAUAUAGUAGAUACAAUGGUGACCAUAAUAUAAAAGUGAUCCAACUAGGCGAAAAAUUUAACUUUAAGGGAUCAUAGAUAUCCUAUGAGGGUAACACACAUAGGACAAGAUCAUUGACUAAAGCUUAAUAAUAUAAGUAACUUUCAUAAUGGUAUAUAAUUGAGAGUUUAGUCAUGGUACUUUUAAUGAUUUGAUUCCAUAAUUAAAUAUAUGCAUAAUUAAUAGAAGAAGAGUUAAAGUUAAUUACAAUUUAUUUUAGCCCUAAUUAUAUAUAUAUAUAUAUAUCAAAUCGGUCCCUCUACUAGCUUAUUACAACAUUGUACAGAUUGCAUAUGAAAACAUUGAACACAUAGAUAAAUCAAUUUUGGAGAAAUAAAUUGCAUGUAUUACUGUUUAUAAUAAUUGAACUUCUUGGAAGGCAAUAAAUGACCUAGGAUUAAUUUAAUUUAAUUUAAUUGAUUAUCAUUUAAUUGGAUGAAUAAAAUAGUUGAGUCUAAAAUAAAAUAGAUAAUUAAAUAAGUUUGCACAUAAAUUCUAAUAGGGUAAAAUCAUUAAGAUUUUAACAGAAUUAGAAUUGAAUUGUAUAAACUAUUUAAUUAUAUUAUUUAAUUUUAAUUAAUUAUAUUUUUAUUAGCGUAAACUACAUAAUUAGUCACUUGUGUAUAGUUUAAAUUAUAUUUUGGUCAUUAAACUUUAAAAAGUUACAAUAUGGUCUCUAAUAUUAUCAGUUUGUUAUAUUUAGGUCACAGUCAUUAAUGUAAUAUAAAGUUGACUUUAGACAAAAAAAUUAUGUCAAAUUGCAUGACUAGUCCCUAUACCUUUUCGUUUUAAGUAGUUUAAUUCUUUUUCUUUUAACUUUCCUUUCUCUUUCGUUUUAUUUUCUUUAUUUUGGCCUCAUCGUCAAGCAGAGUUUCAUUGAGAAUAGAGGCAGUGCGCUGGUAGGGUAUUAAUAGGUUCCUAGUUGAUCAAGAUGAUAAAUCGAACAUCAAUAUCAAAAUUGAAAAUAUUUAAAUAUUUUUUGUAAUAUUAUUAGCUUUUAUUUUGAAGUUAAAUUUUAUUUUUUUAAUUAUUUUUAGGUAGUUGAAUUUCUUCAAUUUGCUUUUAAUUUAUUAUAUAUAUUUAGAAUAAUAUGAUAGAUAUUCUCAAUUUUUUAUGGAAAUAGAUAUUCUAAGAUUAAUUACUUUUAAUUGGUUAUUUUUUUAUUAAUAAUUGUUUAAAUUGGACUAAAUUGUAAUUUUUGAAUUAAGUUUAACAAGUAAUAAUUAAUUUGAUAAUUUCAAUCAUUAAUAAAAUUUAAUAAAAAGAUAUUAACAGAUAAUAUUUAUUUUAAUUUAAAAAAUCUAUUAUUAUUAAUCAUAUAAGCUCUUUUUUAUAGAAUGCCUAAAACUACCCAUAACCUCUUCCCAAUUCAUAAAUAAAAGAAUAAUACGUUUCAGCACUAGAGGUGCUCAUGGGCCGGGCCGGGCCGGGUUCGGGCCGGGCCCAUUAAAAAUUUCGGCCCAUGUUCUAGGCCCGGGCCCGGCCCGGCCCGAAAUAUGGGCCUAAGAUUUUUCCCAGGCUCGACCCAGGAAAAAAUCUUAAGCCCGGGCCCGGCCUAUUUUUAUUUUAAAAUUUUUAAAAAUUUAAAAAGUAUUUUAAAAGUAUUUUAAAAUUUAAAAAAAAUUAAAAAAGUAUUUUAAAAAUAUUUUAAAAUUAAAAAAUUUAAAAAAGUAUUUUAAAAGUAUUUUAAAAUUUAAAAAAAUUAAAAAAGUAUGUAAAAAAUAUUUUAAAAUUUUAAAAAAGUAAAUAUAUUGCCCGGGCCGAAAAAGUGGUGCCCGAGGCCCGGUCUGUUUUCUAAAUGGGCCUCGUUUUUUGCCCAAGCCCAUAUUUCGGGACUAUAUUUUUACCCAAACCCUCCCAUAUUUCGGGCUGGCCGUCGGGCCGGGCCGGGCCGCCCGACCCAUGAGCACCUCUAUUCAGCACACUCGAACUCACAUUUUCCUGUAUUGACAACAAUGUCUAUGCCAAUUGAGUCUUUAUUAUUUUAAUAUUAUACAAUUACAUUAAUUAAAUUUUAAAGUUAUUUUAUUUUAAAAAUAUUUUAUAUAUUUGUAAUUAUAUUUAAACAUGAUUAGUUAUAUAAAAUAAAAUAUUUCAUAUAGUGGAGGGGCCAAAGUUCCAUUACAAAUUGCUAUUGUUGAAAAGGGAUCAAAUUCCCCUGUUCUUUCAAACCAAAAUGAUUAUAUAGUAUAAGAUUGUAGAGUGUGCUUAACAUUCUCCAAUUACUUCAACCAUCCCAUUAAUUUCUUCAAAAUUGCAUUAAACCACCCAAAAUUAAUCAAUAUGCUUACAAAGUUCAUUUUACCAUAUCAAGCAAAUUCCUCAUUCCACCUAAGUUCACUAUAUUCAGUGUGUUAAUUCCUUUUUCCAAAAAAAAGGAAUAAUAUCUUUUUGGCCCUCCAACUUUACAAAAAAGUUAUUUUAGCCCUUUAUUUAAUUUGUUAACUUUGUUGAUGUGGUAUACACGUGGAUUGUCAUGUUACCAAUUAAUAUUUUUUAUAUAUUAAUAAUUUUUAGUUUUUUAAAAUAAUUUUUUUGAAUUUUUAAAUUAAAAAAAUAAUUAAUUACUAACAUGGUAUCCACUUAGAAAUUCACAUGUAUGCGACUUUAGCAAAGUUAACAAACGUUAACUUUUCCAUCCAUUUUGGGGUGAAUUAACAAACAACACAAAUUUAAAAACUAAAAAAGACAAAAAGAAAAAUUAAAUGAAGGGCUAAAAUAAUUUUUUUUUUAUAAAAUUAGAGGAUGAAAUAAAUUAUUAUGCCUUUAAAAAAAAAUCUAAAAUAUACUCUCCUAUUCAAUUUUAUAUAUCCACUUGAUUGUAUAUUUGAUAAUUUAUAAUGCCACAAAAUCGAGUUACUUUUUCCAUUGUAGUAUAUUGAUUCGAUUUUGCAUUAGACUAUAUUUAAAAAGAUUAUGAUUUUCAAAAGAAUGACAUCUCUUUUCCAAUUUCAUUCGAUAGCUUUUAUACUUGCACAAUCUAUUAAGAUCUCCAAAUAUAAAAUUCCACUUUUUUUCACACACUACUAGUAGGAUUUUUAUUAACAUCUAGAAUUUUUUAAUAAUUUCUAAUUUUUUUAUUUUUUAUUAUGAUUUAUAAUAUUCAGUUUCUACGCCAUCAAUUUUCAUACCAGUUGCCAUGUUACCUUCUAUAUCAACACUUAACAGCCCGUUAGGGGCUUUGACAAAAAAAUUAAUUCAGUGAGCUCAAUUGAGUAUAAAUCAUAAUUCUUUUUUUUCUUUUUAAAUAUGUACAAAUCGUGAUUAAAUGAUUCAAAGAGAAGUUUAAUUGAUUUUUUAAUUAUUUCGAAGGACUUAUUUGACAUUUUAGCUUAAAAUUACAAAUCAUAAUUAAAUAAUUUUAACUAUAUUUAAUAUAAAAAAUAUUUUUACAUCAUAUAAUUAAUACAAAGUAACAUUACUCAAAAUAAAAACUAGCAUAUUUAGAUUGAUUAUUUUUAUCAUUCAAAUAUAGUGCUAAUAAAAAAAAUUUGUAAUAUAUGAUAAAUCAAAAUCUUCACUAUACAGGUUUUUUUUUUUUUUUUACCUUUUCUUUUCUUUUCUUAAUAGUCAAUCAACUCCACUAUUAUAAUAUAUUAGAUUAGGUUAUAUAAAUAUAUUAUUUCUAAAAUUUUGUAUAUGAAAUAUAAAGUUAUUUAUUGUCGGGUGUGCCUCGUAUUUUCGACUGAAUAGAUGGCAACGUCACGACGAGAAGUUUUCAGAUGUUGCGACGACGGACAACGUCAUGACAACGCAAAUGGGGAUGUUGUGACGAGGCAACGUAUACCCCACAUAAAUCAAGUUUCUUCUCUCAAUUAAAUUAUGAUUAUUCCAGAGAUAUUUUAGUAUGAUUAAACCUCUAAUUAGCCUAUUUAAAGGGGCCUUGUAUCCCUAGUUUGAGAGGUCAAUUAAGAGACAAUUAAAGAUAUAGUAGACGGCUUUUCUUUUUGGGGGUGACAAUAUGUAGUCGCAGAUGAGUUUUGGUGAAAGUUUUCGUGGUAACUAUGGAGAGAAUUUUGUUCCUGAGUUAGGGUUUUGUUUUCGAGGUUUGGGUUUGUACGUUUAGUAUAUUUAGGUUUAUUUUCUCCAUAUUUUACUCUCAUUUGUCUACUCAUUUAGUGAAAAGCCGAAGCCUCCUUUGCCCAUGAUUUUUACCCUCUUUGGAGGAGUUUUCCACAUAAAAUUUGUGUUCGAUUUUCUCUACCUUCUCUAUUUCGUUGCUUAUACGGGCAGAUCCCCAACACUUAUUAUUUAAAUUAUUAGAAAUUACUAUUUAAAGCUAAAGUAAUAUAAUUUCUUUUCUUUUUAUUUUUUGGUUAACGAAAACAUAAUAAUUUAAAUAUAAAGUAAUUCUUCAAUCUUUAAUAUGAUAAAAUCUUUUAAUAGAAUCAAAAUUUUUAUUUUUAAGUAUGAUAAAUUUUCUUAUCAAGUAAAUUUAUUUAAUUAAAUAUUUUAAUAAAAAUAAUAAAUAUUUAAAAUGAUAAAUUCUGUAAUAUACUGAAUAACAAAGAUUAUAUGCUCCAAACUCGUGUUUAUAUAAUAUAUAGGAGAGGGGUUCACUUACAUGAUGUAAAACUAAUUAAUUUCACACUAUUUUAGAUCGAAAUAAAUAAACGGUUGAGAUUAAAUUAAAACUUCUUUAUUUUAGGUUAAAACAUUUUAUGAAACCUUUUCCCUUUUGACUUCCCUAUUUAAUCUCCACCGUAAACUAAUUUAUAUUUUUUAUGCUAAUCAUUCCCUUUUCCCGAGAUAUUUGGCUUUUUGUUCUUUCAUUGAGAUCCAUUCAAUAUUUUGUUCAUCUUUUAAGAAACAAUUGCAAUCUAAUUUCAUUUUUCAUCAUAAUUUCUUUCAAUCUUUCAUGAAAGUUUUUUUUUUUUUUUUUUGCCAUUUGGAGAAACAAUUCCAAGCCAUGUAAUUGGUGCCAACAACGAUCUCCAACUUACAUGUCAUAUAAGUUAUUUUGUUCAAUCAUGAUUUCACAGUGGAACUAAAGAAGCAAAGUUAUCAUAUAAGUUGUUUUUGUACCGAUGGAAUGUUUUCCAGCUUCUUAUUCAGUACACAGUGUGAACUUUCUAUUAUUCAAACAUCGCCAAUCAUAGCUGUAUUAUAAGAUUUAAAUAAAAAAAAAUCAUGGUUAAUUUCAUGAAUGAAGUUCAGUAAAAUCUAUAUAUAUGCAUGCCAUGGGAUGAGUAAUGGAUGAGAAGUUAAGUUGACAUCCUAAUAUAUAAACAUGAAAAAGAUUUUUUUUUUUUAAAAAAGCAGAAGGUUUCUGUUAGGUUGAAAAAUUGUCAUGAAUGAGUUCUCGUGAUUCAAGAAAACAAUGGAAGUCUCAAUCAAAGAAAAUGCAAAGUAUAUGUUCAAGUUCAUCAGAUUUAACUUGGUGUUGUGAUCAUCACACUAAUUCGAUUAGUACUCAAAUCUAAUCAUAUCUAAUUUCACAAAUAAUUGACUAAAUUCUUUUAACAACAGGGUGAUUUGGGUAAUGGGGUAUAGUUUAGGUGCCAUUUUGAGUAACAAAAAAAAAAAAAGACGAAGAUUGGAACAAAUUCAGAUAAGUUUAAGCAAAGUAACAAGUUAAAAGAAUUUCAUAGAGACUAUUCUGAGAGUUCAAAAUGCCAAAAAUCUUCGCUAUUGUGAAGGACUCUCAUUUAUAGUGUCUCAAGAAUGGGAGCUACAAAGUUGAAAAUUGAUGGGAGUAAUGAAAUUAAUUUUCAAUUACAAUGACAUUAAUGAUUAAAAGGGAAUGGUGAAGGGCAUUGUUGGUGAUUGUAAUGGUGAGCAGUAAAGAAGAGCUCACUAUGUUUUCAAAAGAAGGGAGAAGCACUCAAUGUUACAAGAAAAGGUUAAGAGCAAACCCCUGAACUACCAUAUUCUGGGGUUACUUUAACUUCUACUUUGGUGAAGGAUACCAUGCGAAACAUCUUUCGUGGAAUAUCUUUUGAAAUGCAAUACAAUGGUUGUUCUUGAAUGAGAAUUAUUUAACUUGUUCAAAACAUGAGUUGCUCUCAAAAUAGUUGUUCUCAAUGUAGAAGUUGUCCCAAAUAAGAGUUCAUUUGUGGUGAUGCUUUUUUUGAAGAGCUUGUUUUGAAUAAUUACUUUUUUGGAAGAACAAAAUUUUUCAAAUUAGAAGUUGUUUCAAACAAUGAUUGUUCUAAACAUAGUUAUUUUUGAAACAUCAUUAUUCUAAAUAAGAGUUGUUCUCAAAUGACAACUACCUUGGAUGACAAUUGUUCUAAAUUGAAGCCUUGUUCUUAACAUAGUUAUUUCAAAUGUAACUAUUCUCAAACAACGGUUGUUCUGAACAACUAUUUUGAAUAAUUAUUUUUUUUUUAUUCUGCUGGAAAGAUAAUAAAUGAAACAACGUUGUCACUUAUUCCAAGCUUAGUAACACAAUUUCCUAAUAUAGUAGCCAAAAUCAAGUUCCAUUUUGUGAUUUAAACCUAUAAAAUAAAACUAAAUGAAUAGUAAACACCUUAAACAUUAUCGUUUGAAAUUGUUAUAAAUUUUUUUUUAUUGUUUUAUUGCACNNNNNNNNNNNNNNNNNNNNNNNNNNNNNNNNNNNNNNNNNNNNNNNNNNNNNNNNNNNNNNNNNNNNNNNNNNNNNNNNNNNNNNNNNNNNNNNNNNNNNNNNNNNNNNNNNNNNNNNNNNNNNNNNNNNNNNNNNNNNNNNNNNNNNNNNNNNNNNNNNNNNNNNNNNNNNNNNNNNNNNNNNNNNNNNNNNNNNNNNNNNNNNNNNNNNNNNNNNNNNNNNNNNNNNNNNNNNNNNNNNNNNNNNNNNNNNNNNNNNNNNNNNNNNNNNNNNNNNNNNNNNNNNNNNNNNNNNNNNNNNNNNNNNNNNNNNNNNNNNNNNNNNNNNNNNNNNNNNNNNNNNNNNNNNNNNNNNNNNNNNNNNNNNNNNNNNNNNNNNNNNNNNNNNNNNNNNNNNNNNNNNNNNNNNNNNNNNNNNNNNNNNNNNNNNNNNNNNNNNNNNNNNNNNNNNNNNNNNNNNNNNNNNNNNNNNNNNNNNNNNNNNNNNNNNNNNNNNNNNGUGCAAAUGAUUGCAAAUAUGGGAAACAACAGCACCCAAAUUCCCUUAAAUGAUUAUAUGUAGGCUCACGACUAUGAAGAACUUAGUAGGGAGACUGCCAUUUUAGGACUGGGUGGGUAGACGAUUUAUGAGAUGAACAACACUACAAAAGGCAUAAUCCGAGUAAUCCAUGGGCAAAUUGGCUUGAGCUAAGAGAGUAAGACCAGUUUCAACAACGUGUCUAUGUUUUGCUUAGCAACUCCGUUUACACUACCACAUGGUCGUGUCUUACGCAUAGCCGCACCAUCGUUAGACACACGGUUAUGUCUCACACACGACCAACCAUACGACCAAGCACACACCCGUGUGGCGUUGACAAAAUGCAAUUUUGACUUUCACCAAAGCUUGAUUUCGUGUAUAGGGUACAUACCUGGUACCGUUUUGAUGCAAAACCACUCCCAAGAUCACCAGCACCUAAAAAUAGAUUACAUAACACCAUUUUAGCAAUCAAAUUACGAAUCAACACACAACCCAAAACAACGCAUGCACUUACCAUUGUCACGAACAGAUACUAUCACGAUUGAAACUGUUGGAGCAAAAUUCACAGGUUCACUGUCUACUCCUACGCAAUACGCACACAGAAAUCAACUUUCCCAUUUCACACCGUUACGAAAAUUCAACUAAAAAGAAGAGGAAACUAAUCGAUUACACUUACCCAUACGAACGGAAAAAAAAACAACGAUUAAUGGAUUCCCCAAGAAAGUCAAUGGAUUGUUUGAUCAGGAAUAAAAAGUAAAGACGAAGCAAAAAUAAAGUAUAAAGCAAAGAGGAGAAGGGAAACUAGCGUUAAAGUUUGAAAGAGAGAAAAAAGAAUUAAUUUCAUCUAAUUUGAAACACUCCCAGUCCAACACACUCCCACAACCACUAACCACCAAAUCCCCUAAAAAUCGUCCAUUACCCUCAUCCACUAUCAGAAUUUCAACUCCAUCCAAUUUCACCACACAAUCGAUACACAUAGAAGCAAAAAUUACAUCCAUCGCUUGCACAAGGAUUCAAACACAAGAUCUCUAACACACUGACUCCUUUACCACUCAAACCAGCAGAUCAUUCUAAUAUGGAUUAACAAAUAAUUUUAUAUAAGCCCACUCAACAAGGGAAGGGCUUAGAUCUAAAAUAGCAAAGUUUUGCCAAAAUGAGAACUGAACUCAAGACUUCUCACACUCCCAGAACACUUAACCACUAAAACAAAUACUCAUUUGCGUCAAAUAUUUAUGGAAACAGGAAUACAUUAAUCAGGGCGUUACAUAUUUUGUAAGUCUUGUAAGUAAUACAUGAUAUCACAUAUACUAACAAGUGGUGCUUAUUUGGCUAUUAUGCUAUAUUUGUUGACGAAAGGAAGAACAGUUAGUGAAUAUUUUUCAUAUGGGGAGGAGUAGAGUUGUUUAUGAGUUGGGUUUGGUCCUAACAGAAUUUUAGGUUUGAUUGUUAGGUUUGGUCCGUAAAAUGGGUCUAAAUUUUGUUUAAGUUCAAUAUGAAUAAAAUUAAAAUUUGAAUCCGGCCUAGGCCGUGUUAAUUUUUUAUAUAAUACAUCAAAUAUACUAAAAAUAUUAAAAUAAAUGUUUCUCAACAAAUGAAAAUAAAUUAAAAAAAUCUUUAUACUUAAAACAAUAUUAGGAUAAGUGUAACUUAACAAGCAAAUGUCUCUAAAAUAGCAGGAAAAUUAACAAUAAAACAAUUGUUAUAAUAUCCAAAUAUUAAUAAUAAAUAGUAGUAACAUAAUAGUGAAUGAUAGUAAAACAACGGAAAAAAGUGGGAAAACAACAACGAUUAUUGAAAAUUCUGGUUGGGCCAAAGUAAAAAAAAAAUCAUAGUUGAGACUUAUUCUUUUUGCUCAAAUCUAUUUUUAAGCUUAUAUUUUUGUUCAAAAUUAUUUAUUUUUCGGGUCGGCAGAUCCAACCCAUGAACAACUCCAGAGUUAUUAUGAUUAUAUGAAUUGGAUUAAAUUAUGAUUUUAUUUGACUAAAAACCCUCCUAAAACUUCCUAAAACUUCCAUAAUAAAUUGUUAUUCUUAUGGAAAGAAGAACCAAUGAACCUAUAAAAGCACAUGCUGGAUGGAACAAAACACAACAAAGUAAUGAAUUUAUGGCAGAAAAUAUAACAUGGUAAAGAGAACAAGGAAACAUGUGAAAUGAUCUGUAAGCUGAAAAUGGAAUUACUCCCACUUUAAAUAAUAAGUCAACCAAUUUUUAUCCCCUUUUCUUGAGGGGGGGAGGGGGGGGGGGGCGGUUGUGAUUUGGUUUCUAAAUAAUUAUGAUUAAAGUAAUAAAAUUUGGCAAAAUUAACUUUCCAAUCUCUCUUAAUUUUAGAUUUGAGCAAAUCAGUCCUUUUAAAAAAAUUUGAAAUAAUUUAAUUUUUUGUCAAUUUCAGAGUGAGCAGCUCAAGACAAUUAAUUCCAGUGUUAAUGUUUUUCAUAAAUUUUACAUAAUUUUGAUUUGUAUAAUAAUAAAUUAGCUCUCAGUGUUUAUAUAUCCUGUAUAAAUGUUACAGAUUAAAUUUGUUAAAUUAAGACCAAAUUAACAAAAUGUAUAAUCGAAAUUGAGAGAUAUGAAAAAGAUAUUUUUACUUUAAAGUGUCUAUUAAUAUUAUACUAUUUAAUUUCAAUUUAAUAUAAUAUAAAUAUAAUACAUAUUUGCAAAUUUUAAAAUUUAAGGAAAGGGUAUUAAAUUAUGCAAUGGGGAUAUAAUACAAAAAAAAUUAAAGUUAAAAUAUGUUAUAGGUUUUACGUAAUCUUCAUAAAUUUAGAAUUUAAUCUAUAUAUUUUUAUUUUUAGGAAUUCAGUCCCUCUAUUUUAAGAUUUUAAAUUUAAAAUCCAAUUGUUGGACACUAACAAAUUUUUUUUUUGUUAAAUUUGUGGGUAUGACAUUUUGAAAUAAUAAUAAUAACUCACUUGGUAGCAAUGUAACUAAAAUAAUGGCAUUAUAAUGAACUUGAAUUUAAUAAAAUAAUUUUAACAGUUUAGGCCUAAAUUUCGAAAUCUAUAAAGUAGAGAAAUUGAAUUCUUAAAAAUAAAAGUAUAGAGACUAAUUUCAAAUUUGUGAAGAGUAUAAAGGCUUGUGGCAUAUUUUAACCAAAUAAAGUUAUAUAAUAAAAUAGGCUAAAAGGGUCUUAAAAGCCCAUGAACUUUUCCAAAAAAAAAUCAAUUAAGCCCCUGCACUUUUUUGCACCCAAUUAAGCCAUUGAACAUUAAAAUUAACAACCAAAGAUGUUGUUUUUCUAGGUAUUUUCACUACGUUGCAAGCCAAGAUUGUGUCUAAUAGCGAAAAUUGAUUUUUUUUAUAUUUAAUAUCAUUAACAAAUAAUAGAAAAUUAUAAAAAUACAUUAAAGUUAAUAAUUUCUAUGUUUUAAAAAUUCAUAAUUGUUACAAUUUUUUUUAUAUUUUUCAUAAUUUAUCUAAUUUUUUAUUUUUAAAUAUUUUUAAUUUUUUGUAAGUUUAAUUAUUUUUAUAUUUUUUUUGCACUUUGAUAUUUUUAUAUAUUUUUAAAACUUUUACUAAUUUUAAAUAUAUAAUACCAAUUUUAUCAUGUGGUACAAUCCUAACGUGCUAUGUGACAAAAACACGUAAAGAAAAUUAUUGUCGUUACUCUAUAGUGGUUGAUUGUUAGCUUUAACGAUCGGAGAGCCUAAAUAAUAGUAAUUUUAACAUUCAAGAAUGAAAAAAGAAAUAUAAGAUAGGUUGAAGGAAUUUGAAGAGUGUUUAGCAAAUCAAAGAUUUUUAGAGUGUGAUUAAAAAAGAGAGGCGUGAAAUGAGGUACUCCGGGGUGAAAGCGUGUGGGUUUGGACGUCGUAUUUGAUGCCGGAAAACAGGAUCGGCUUCACGUGUUCUUACAACAUUUCAUGCCUCCAACCUUUGACUCUCUUCACGAUUCUAUUUCCACCUACAAUAGCUAGCUGUCUGCUUUGCUAGAUUUCUGCUUUCAUUAAAAAACCCCAUUUCUCCUUGACUUGACUUCAAACCUUUUUAUUAUUAUACUUCCACUUCCCUUCUAUUCUACUAUUUUUAUUUUUAUAUUAUUUAAUUAAUUAAAGCUAUUUUCAUUUAUAUUUAAUUAUAAAUGUAUAUUGUAUUAAUAAAACUAAAAAUACCACACACUGAUUUUUUUAUAUUACAUUUUAAAAAAAAAGUUUUUAAGCAGGGUCCAAGCCAACAAAUUUAUAGCGAAGAACUGAAUUUAAAUAGUGAUUUUCUAGAGGGACCAAAACAUAAAUUUUAUUAUUUUAUUAGUUAUAAGAUGCUAAAAUCUAAUUUUCCUAAUUAAGGACAGUUAAGGCCCCUAUCGGCCCGCUGCCGCUCCUGCUUCUAAUAAUAAUAAUAAUAAUAAUAAUAAUAAUUUGAUUUUGGCUUUUUAUAUGACAAUAUGAUCCCAAAGUCUAUUGACCCUAAUUUUUAUCUCAAUUGAACCAAUCAAGGAGACACAUUUGACGGUAGACUUCUUUAUUAAUAUAUAUAUAUAUAUACAUUCCCUACUUGAUGUGGGUAUAUCGAUGUCAUGUGAACACUUAAAUUCAAUCAUUCCUCAAUUAUUUCAUAUAAUUUUCGAAAUAAAGGUGUUUGUGAGAAUAAUAAGAGUAUAAUGGGAAAUUUAGUAAUUUUUAAAUUAAUUUUUGACGUGAUAUAGAAGAUAAAUAGUGUUAUUUUAAACAUUACGUAUAUGUGAACGGUCACACAAGUUGUCACGCUAAUAUUGCUAAAAAACGUAAGGGAGAAUAUUUGGUGUACUGUUGGUGAAUAAUAACAUGACACCUCAUCAUUAAAUAAAACAAAAAAAAAAUAGUGAAGUACUUAUAAAUGAAUACUGAUAACUUUACUUAAACAUAAUUAAUUAUAAAUAAAUACUAAAAUCUUGAAACUUAAACUCUAGACUCUAGACCCUUAAUAUGAUAGUUGUUAAUAUUUAUUUAUAAUAGUUACGAUUAAUGUUUAAUGUUCACCGCCCUAGAUGUGGUCUGGGCUCAAGUCACGCUAGUCAUGUUAAUGGUUCAGACUUUCUCCUAUUAUUGUAAUUCACAAAAAAGAAAAUUAUGUUUAAAAAAUUAUUGGUAUUUAUUUACAAGUCGUCCAUAUUUUUGUUUAAUUAAUGAUGUUGUGUCACAUUAUUAUUCACUAAUGGUGCAUGAAGCUUACGCACUAACCGUGCAUUAAAUAUUAUCCCAAAAAAUAAUAUUUUAAUCAAUAUUUUUUUUUGAAAAAAAAGUGAUUUAAUUCUUUUUAAAAGGUUAAUAAUCAAAUUUAACUCAAAAAAAAAUCAAAUUAACAAGAGAUGUAAAAAUUGAGAGUCGAAUUUAUCAUUAUGCAAUAAUAUAAAAUAUAAAAACUUUGUUUUUACUGAUACUUAAAUAUUUUCACCAUUAACUUAAAAAGAUAUCCAAAAUAUUAAAUAUAAAAAAUAAUUUAAUAAGUAAACAGUAAUCUAAAUCAUGUUAAGUCAAAACUAAAAAUCCUAUCUUAUACAAAAUGGUUUUAUUAAAAGCGAUAGCCAUGAACUCCGAAAUGAUUAAUAUUCAUGACAUAAUAUAGAAAAAAAAUAAAAUGAUAUUAUUUUUUGGUGUUUGUAAUUUUGUUAAGAAACCCUAAAAUUGGAUGCUUAAUUUGAUGUUUUUAAAGAUAAUAUAUUAUAUUUAGGUUAGUAUUUGGUAUAUUGGUGUAUUUUUUUUUUAAUUUUACAAGUAGAUUUUUAAAAUUACUAGGUGUCCCAUUUAUUUUAUAUACUUAUUUAAUUUUUUAAUAUUUUAUAGGAUACUUAUUACUAUUGUAAGUCUAUUUAUGAAGUCUAUAAACUUCACUAAUAAUAUAUAAAAUAUUUUCCUUAUAUUUAAUAAUUUAUUUUGAUACAAGCAUUUAAAAUUUAUGAUAAAAGAAAUUAAGUGCAGUUAUUAUUAGGCUAUUUAAAAAAUUAGGACGGCUUAGAUGCAGAUCUUACUGUCAAUUCAAAACUACAUUAAUUAAGCUUAAUCUUUUUCCUGAUUUCAUUGGUCAAACAUUUAAUGGCAUAUUAACAAGAAUCUAAUUCACUUAUACCUACUUAACCCAUUAAACAGACCCUUUUAGCCCUAUCUAUAUUUAUAUAUACAAUUUGGUGAUUUCUAUCUAUAUUUAUAUAUACAAUUUGGUGAUUUUUACAGUUCGUGGUUGUCGAAACUAAAUUCCCUUAUUAAGAGUGUAAUAUAACUUACCAUUAAAUAUAAUACAUAUAUAUGUAUUCAAAUAACUCAACCUUUUUAUUGUAUAUGUGAGUGUGACUUUUAUAUUUGAAUAACAUGGCUUUCCUUCCCCCUUAAAUCAUGGAGAAAUCUAGUAUAAAUAUGCAGCUUAAAACACCCACCCUUAGCUUACACUCUUUUGUGCAAACAUUUCCCUUCCAUUUGAAAAAUAAUGGCUUCUAACACUCUCAAGCUCAUUGCCAUGCUCUCCCUUACUAUUUCAGUCCUCUUAUCUUUGUAUCCUCACUCAACCUUCUCAUUCGAAAUGGAGGAUUUCGACGAUGAGGAGGAAUACGUGCCUGAUGAACCUGUCAUCAUCCCCAACCUUCGAUCGAGAAGCCGGUUCUUGAAAACCUCACCCAAGAAAGAUAAGAUUAGGAAAGGUGCACAUUGCGAGCCCGACCCUUAUCACAACAUAUGCAAUGGCCUUUCGGUGAACAACGGGACCGGCAUAUUGUAUUGCUGCAAGACGCAUUGUCGUAAUGUGCUCCGUGAUUGGAACAACUGCGGUGAAUGCGGCCACCGGUGCAAGUUCGGGGAACGUUGCUGCGGUGGGGGUUUGUACGGAUGUUGUUUACAAUGUUAACCAUUGUGGCAAGUGUGACAAGCAGUGUUCGCCGGGAGUUCAGUGUGACUUUGGGUAUUGUGGUUAUGCUUAGAUUUAAGUAUUUAUAAUGAUUUUUAUCAAAAUAUAUUGGCAAAUUUACUUGGGGCUGUUUUGGUUAUGAAUAACACUUCGUUAUCGAUAUAUUUUUGUAUAAUGAGGGGAAGGAUAUAUGUAGAUUAUACACAUAUAUAUUUAUGUAAAAACGAGUUUUAUACGGUGGAUCUUGAGCUUGUUGUAAUUGAUUUUAGCCAUUGUUUUUAUAUACAUUAUUCGAAUUUUAUAUACGAUAGUUUCAUUUUUGAGAAGUUUUCAAACAAUUUUAAGUACUUAAAAUUUUCUGUAAGGUUGCUAUUGAGUCUUAAUUCGACUGGUAUAGAUAUUAUUGUUAAUAUGAGAAAAUUUGUGUUCGAAUGUGCUAAAAUGAAAGUUCAAGUAAUAAGUCUCUAUAUUAUGUAUUGUUAGAGGAUUUAGUUUUGGUUAAAUUCUGUUAUUAGUCUUUGUACUUUAUGAAAGUUAUGAAUUUAGUCAUUGUAUUUUAAUUUGAUUAAGUUUAGUCACUCUACUUUUUGAAUUAGUCAAAUUUAGUCCCUAUACUUUUCAAAAUUUGAAAUUUUAAUCAUGACCCAAACAAUAGCAAUUAAAUCUGUUUGGUUAAAUUCAAUUACUAGUCUUGUAAUAUGCGUUCAAUUGUAGAUUUAGCCCAUAUUCUCCAAUUGGAUCAUUCUAAGUCUCUAUAUUUCUCGAAUUUUGAAAGUUUAGUGUUGAUACAAAUGACAAUCGUUAAUUCAUUAACAUGAUUUUAGUGACUAAUAUGUGGAAUAAUAAGCUGACAUGACAUUACACAUAUGAUAAUAUAUUUACCACAUCAGGUUUUGUAAAUAACAAAACAUAACUUAAUGAAUUUAAUAUGUAUUGUUUGGUGAAGACUAAAAUUUUAAAAUUUAAAAAGUAUAGAGACUAAAUUGACAAAAAAUAUAGCUAUUAAACCCAUAAGUUUUUUUUGUAAAAUAUAAGGACUAAUAGAAAAUUUUAAAAAGUAUAGGCAGAACGAAUUUGUAAUUCUAUUGGCAGAUAAACUAACCAUGUAACAUCAUUAGUGGCUGUAGCCAGACUUCGAUAUUCAACUUCUGUUGUCGACCGAGAAACAACUUGUUACCUUUUAGAACACCACAAAACAGGCGUAUCACCAAAAUACACACAAUAUCCUGUUGUAGACCAGCGAUCAUCAAAAUCCAAUCCCUAGUUAGCAUUAGUAUAACCGAUGAGAGAAAGUUUGUUGGAUGGACGAAAAAUUAACCCAUGAUCAAUAGUCCCACGUAAAUAUCGUAAGAUUCUUUUUAAAGCCACCAAAUGAACUAAAGUAGGUGCAUGCAUAAAUUGGCACACAUGAUCUACAACAUAAGCAAUAUUAGGUCGGGUCAGAACCAUAUAUUGAAGUGCACCGACAAGGCUUUGAUAUUCUGUAGGAUCAACAAGACAAUCGCAUUCAUCCUUAGAGAACGCAGACGAACUGACCAUUGGUGUGUGGACACUUUUUGCAUUAGUCAGGGAACUUCUGUCAAGUAGAUCCCAGAUGUGCUUGCACUGGCAUAAAUGAAAACUUCCAGUGGAGGAUCGAGUGACUUCAAUGCCUAAGAAGUAAUGAAUGUCUCUCAUAUCCUUUAAGGAAAACUCAUUAUGUAACUACUUAACAAAUCUAUCUGUACUAUCAGCCAUACUCCCCGUAAUAAUAAUAUCAUCCACAUAAACUAGAACAUAGAUGAUGGACUCGGUCGUUACUCGAACAAAUAGAGACGUAUUAGAUUUGGACACGAUAAACCCGAUAGAAACAAGAAAUCUUUUCAAUUUAUCAAACCACACACGUGGAGCUUGACGCAACUCGUAUAAUGCCUUCGUCAGACGACAUACCAAGUGCUUACCAGUUGGACCAGACUGAACAUAACCUAGAGGUUGUUGCAUGAACACUUCGUCAGUGAUAUCACCAUUUAAAAAGGCAUUGUUGACAUCAACCUGAUGAAGUUGCCAACCAUGAGAGAUAGUAAUCGAGAGUAUGGUUCUAAUAGUAGCAGGUUUGAUCAUGGAUUGAAAGUUUUUUUGAAAUCACACCCGAAAACAUGGAAACACCCCUUUGCUACCAACCAAGCCUUACGUAGAGCAAUAGUCCUAUCAGGAUUUUUUUUUACUUUGAAGAGCCACUUACACCAUAUCACCUUUCGUCUAUGAGGUAGAGAAACAAGUUCCCAAGUGGAGUUAGCUAUGAAAGCAUCAAAUUCGGCUUGGACUACUUAUUGCUACUCUGGAUCAGCAAGUGCUUCUUCAACCGUGCGAGGUUCAUAGUCAACAACUUCAACAGACAGAGCCUUAGGUUUAAAAAUCCCAUCUUUAGACCUAGUAAUCAUAGUAUAAGUAUUUCUCAGCAGAACAGUCAGUGGAGUCGAGGAACUAUGCUGGGAGUAGACAGACCACCUACAUCUGUUGAGGUUGAAAGCUAGAACUCCUCAUGAGCAGACCCUAACUCAGUCGAUGAACCACCUGAUGUAGACUGUAUGAAACUAUAGUGAGGAGGAGAAGAUGUCAUACCCGUGGGACUCUCGAAUGUUGUAACAGGGCGGGAGGCAGUAGACUGAAUAAGAGGAACAUAUGUUGAGACACAUGAACUAGGUUUAACACGGUCCAUGUUAGAUGAAAAAAAAGAACCGUUGUUCAUUAAAAUCAACAUGACGAGAAACAAUUAUUUUACCAUCUGGUGUAAGACAAUGAUAACCUUUAUGUUGGGAACUAUACCCUAAAAAUGUAUAUGGCUGAGAACGAAAAUCUACUUGUGACGUGCAAAUGAUUGCAAAUAUGGGAAACAACAGCACCCAAAUUCCCUUAAAUGAUUAUAUGUAGGCUCACGACUAUGAAGAACUUAGUAGGGAGACUGCCAUUUUAGGACUGGGGUGGGUAGACGAUUUAUGAGAUGAACAACACUACAAAAGGCAUAAUCCGAGUAAUCCAUGGGCAAAUUGGCUUGAGCUAAGAGAGUAAGACCAGUUUCAACAACGUGUCUAUGUUUUGCUUAGCAACUCCGUUUACACUACCACAUGGUCGUGUCUUACGCAUAGCCGCACCAUCGUUAGACACACGGUUAUGUCUCACACACGACCAACCAUACGACCAAGCACACACCCGUGUGGCGUUGACAAAAUGCAAUUUUGACUUUCACCAAAGCUUGAUUUCGUGUAUAGGGUACAUACCUGGUACCGUUUUGAUGCAAAACCACUCCCAAGAUCACCAGCACCUAAAAAUAGAUUACAUAACACCAUUUUAGCAAUCAAAUUACGAAUCAACAACACAACCCAAAACAACGCAUGCACUUACCAUUGUCACGAACAGAUACUAUCACGAUUGAAACUGUUGGAGCAAAAUUCACAGGUUCACUGUCUACUCCUACGCAAUACGCACACAGAAAAUCAACUUUCCCAUUUCACACCGUUACGAAAAUUCAACUAAAAAGAAGAGGAAACUAAUCGAUUACACUUACCCAUACGAACGGAAAAAAAACAACGAUUAAUGGAUUCCCCAAGAAAAGGUCAAUGGAUUGUUUGAUCAGGAAUAAAAAGUAAAGACGAAGCAAAAAUAAAGUAUAAAGCAAAGAGGAGAAGGGAAACUAGCGUUAGAAAGUUUGAAAGAGAGAGAAAAAGAAUUAAUUUCAUCUAAUUUGAAACACUCCCAGUCCAACACAACUCCCACAACCCACUAACCACCAAAUCCCCUAAAAAUCGUCCAUUACCCUCAUCCACUAUCAGAAUUUCAACUCCAUCCAAAUUUCACCACACAAUCGAUACACAUAGAAGCAAAAAUUACAUCCAUCGCUUGCACAAGGAUUCAAACACAAGAUCUCUAACACACUGACUCCUUUACCACUCAAACCAGCAAGAUCAUUCUAAUAUGGAUUAACAAAUAAUUUUAUAUAAGCCCACUCAACAAGGGAAGGGCUUAGAUCUAAAAUAGCAAAGUUUUGCCAAAAAUGAGAACUGAACUCAAGACUUCUCACACUCCCAGAACACUUAACCACUAAAACAAAUACUCAUUUGCGUCAAAUAUUUAUGGAAACAGGAAUACAUUAAUCAGGGCGUUACAUAUUUUGUAAGUCUUGUAAGUAAUACAUGAUAUCACAUAUACUAACAAGUGGUGCUUAUUUGGCUAUUAUGCUAUAUUUGUUGACGAAAGGAAGAACAGUUAGUGAAUAUUUUUCAUAUGGGGAGGAGUAGAGUUGUUUAUGAGUUGGGUUUGGUCCUAACAGAAUUUUAGGUUUGAUUGUUAGGUUUGGUCCGUAAAAUGGGUCUAAAUUUUUGUUUAAGUUCAAUAUGAAUAAAAAUGUUAAAAUUUGAAUCCGGCCUAGGCCGUGUUAAUUUUUUAUAUAAUACAUCAAAUAUACUAAAAAUAUUAAAAUAAAUGUUUCUCAACAAAAUGAAAAUAAAUUAAAAAAAAUCUUUAUACUUAAACAAUAUUAGGAUAAGUGUAACUUAACAAGCAAAUGUCUCUAAAAUAGCAGGAAAAUUAACAAUAAAACAAUUGUUAUAUAAUAUCCAAAUAUUAAUAAUAAAAUAGUAGUAACAUAAUAGUGAAUGAUAGUAAAACAACGGAAAAAAGUGGGAAAACAACAACGAUUAUUGAAAAUUCUGGUUGGGCCAAAGUAAAAAAAAAAUCAUAGUUGAGACUUAUUCUUUUUGCUCAAAUCUAUUUUUAAGCUUAUAUUUUUGUUCAAAAUUAUUUAUUUUUCGGGUCGGCAGAUCCAACCCAUGAACAACUCCAGAGUUAUUAUGAUUAUAUGAAUUGGAUUAAAUUAUGAUUUUAUUUGACUAAAAACCCUCCUAAAACUUCCAUAAAUAAAUUGUUAUUCUUAUGGAAAGAAGAAACAAUGAACCUAUAAAAGCACAUGCUGGAUGGAACAAAACACAACAAAGUAAUGAAUUUAUGGCAGAAAAUAUAACAUGGUAAAGAGAACAAGGAAACAUGUGAAAUGAUCUGUAAGCUGAAAAUGGAAUUACUCCCACUUUAAAUAAUAAGUCAACCAAUUUUUUAUCCCCUUUUCUUGAGGGGGGGAGGGGGGGGGCGGUUGUGAUUUGGUUUCUAAAUUAAUUAUGAUUAAAGUAAUAAAAUUUGGCAAAAUUAACUUUCCAAUCUCUCUUAAUUUUUAGAUUUGAGCAAAUCAGUCCUUUUAAAAAAAUUUGAAAUAAUUUAAUUUUUUGUCAAUUUCAGAGUGAGCAGCUCAAGACAAUUAAUUCCAGUGUUAAUGUUUUUCAUAAAUUUUACAUAAUUUUGAUUUGUAUAAUAAUAAAAUUAGCUCUCAGUGUUUAUAUAUCCUGUAUAAAUGUUACAGAUUAAAUUUGUUAAAUUAAGACCAAAUUAACAAAAUGUAUAAUCGAAAUUGAGAGAUAUGAAAAAGAUAUUUUUACUUUAAAGUGUCUAUUAAUAUUAUACUAUUUUAAUUUCAAUUUAAUAUAAUAUAAAUAUAAUACAUAUUUGCAAAUUUUAAAAUUUAAGGAAAGGGUAUUAAAUUAUGCAAUGGGGAUAUAAUACAAAAAAAAAUUAAAGUUAAAAUAUGUUAUAGGUUUACGUAAUCUUCAUAAAUUUAGAAUUUAAUCUAUAUAUUUUUAUUUUUAGGAAUUCAGUCCCUCUAUUUUUAAGAUUUUAAAUUUAAAAUCCAAUUGUUGACACUAACAAAUUUUUUUUUGUUAAAUUUGUGGGUAUGACAUUUUGAAAUAAUAAUAAUAACUCACUUGGUAGCAAUGUAACUAAAAUAAUGGCAUUAUAAUGAACUUGAAUUUAAUAAAAUAAUUUUAACAGUUUAGGCCUAAAUUUCGAAAUCUAUAAAGUAGAGAAAUUGAAUUCUUAAAAAUAAAAGUAUAGAGACUAAAUUUCAAAUUUGUGAAGAGUAUAAAGGCUUGUGGCAUAUUUUAACCAAAUAAAGUUAUAUAAUAAAAUAGGCUAAAAGGGUCUUAAAAGCCCAUGAACUUUUCCAAAAAAAAAUCAAUUAAGCCCCUGCACUUUUUUGCACCCAAUUAAGCCAUUGAACAUUAAAAUUAACAACCAAAGAUGUUGUUUUUCUAGGUAUUUUCACUACGUUGCAAGCCAAGAUUGUGUCUAAUAGCGAAAAUUGAUUUUUUUUAUAUUUAAUAUCAUUAACAAAUAAUAGAAAAUUAUAAAAAUACAUUAAAGUUAAUAAUUUCUAUGUUUUAAAAAUUCAUAAUUGUUACAAUUUUUUUUAUAUUUUUCAUAAUUUAUCUAAUUUUUUAUUUUUAAAUAUUUUUAAUUUUUUGUAAGUUUAAUUAUUUUUAUAUUUUUUUUGCACUUUGAUAUUUUUAUAUAUUUUUAAAACUUUUACUAAUUUUAAAUAUAUAAUACCAAUUUUAUCAUGUGGUACAAUCCUAACGUGCUAUGUGACAAAAACACGUAAAGAAAAUUAUUGUCGUUACUCUAUAGUGGUUGAUUGUUAGCUUUAACGAUCGGAGAGCCUAAAUAAUAGUAAUUUUAACAUUCAAGAAUGAAAAAAGAAAUAUAAGAUAGGUUGAAGGAAUUUGAAGAGUGUUUAGCAAAUCAAAGAUUUUUAGAGUGUGAUUAAAAAAGAGAGGCGUGAAAUGAGGUACUCCGGGGUGAAAGCGUGUGGGUUUGGACGUCGUAUUUGAUGCCGGAAAACAGGAUCGGCUUCACGUGUUCUUACAACAUUUCAUGCCUCCAACCUUUGACUCUCUUCACGAUUCUAUUUCCACCUACAAUAGCUAGCUGUCUGCUUUGCUAGAUUUCUGCUUUCAUUAAAAAACCCCAUUUCUCCUUGACUUGACUUCAAACCUUUUUAUUAUUAUACUUCCACUUCCCUUCUAUUCUACUAUUUUUAUUUUUAUAUUAUUUAAUUAAUUAAAGCUAUUUUCAUUUAUAUUUAAUUAUAAAUGUAUAUUGUAUUAAUAAAACUAAAAAUACCACACACUGAUUUUUUUAUAUUACAUUUUAAAAAAAAAGUUUUUAAGCAGGGUCCAAGCCAACAAAUUUAUAGCGAAGAACUGAAUUUAAAUAGUGAUUUUCUAGAGGGACCAAAACAUAAAUUUUAUUAUUUUAUUAGUUAUAAGAUGCUAAAAUCUAAUUUUCCUAAAUUAAGGACAGUUAAGGCCCCUAUCGGCCCGCUGCCGCUCCUGCUUCUAAUAAUAAUAAUAAUAAUAAUAAUAAUAAUUUGAUUUUGGCUUUUUAUAUGACAAUAUGAUCCCAAAGUCUAUUGACCCUAAUUUUUAUCUCAAUUGAACCAAUCAAGGAGACACAUUUGACGGUAGACUUCUUUAAUUAAUAUAUAUAUAUAUAUACAUUCCCUACUUGAUGUGGGUAUAUCGAUGUCAUGUGAACACUUAAAUUCAAUCAUUCCUCAAUUAUUUCAUAUAAUUUUCGAAAUAAAGGUGUUUGUGAGAAUAAUAAGAGUAUAAUGGGAAAUUUAGUAAUUUUUAAAUUAAUUUUUGACGUGAUAUAGAAGAUAAAUAGUGUUAUUUUAACAUUACGUAUAUGUGAACGGUCACACAAGUUGUCACGCUAAUAUUGCUAAAAAAACGUAAGGGAGAAUAUUUGGUGUACUGUUGGUGAAUAAUAACAUGACACCUCAUCAUUAAAUAAAACAAAAAAAAAAUAGUGAAGUACUUAUAAAUGAAUACUGAUAACUUUACUUAAACAUAAUUAAUUAUAAAUAAAUACUAAAAUCUUGAAACUUAAACUCUAGACUCUAGACCCUUAAUAUGAUAGUUGUUAAUAUUUAUUUAUAAUAGUUACGAUUAAUGUUUAAUGUUCACCGCCCUAGAUGUGGUCUGGGCUCAAGUCACGCUAGUCAUGUUAAUGGUUCAGACUUUCUCCUAUUAUUGUAAUUCACAAAAAAAGAAAAUUAUGUUUAAAAAAUUAUUGGUAUUUAUUUACAAGUCGUCCAUAUUUUUGUUUAAUUAAUGAUGUUGUGUCACAUUAUUAUUCACUAAUGGUGCAUGAAGCUUACGCACUAACCGUGCAUUAAAUAUUAUCCCAAAAAAUAAUAUUUUAAUCAAUAUUUUUUUUUGAAAAAAAAGUGAUUUAAUUCUUUUUAAAAGGUUAAUAAUCAAAUUUAACUCAAAAAAAAAUCAAAUUAACAAGAGAUGUAAAAAUUGAGAGUCGAAUUUAUCAUUAUGCCAAUAAUAUAAAAUAUAAAAACUUUGUUUUUACUGAUACUUAAAUAUUUUCACCAUUAACUUAAAAAGAUAUCCAAAAUAUUAAAUAUAAAAAAUAAUUUAAUAAGUAAACAGUAAUCUAAAUCAUGUUAAGUCAAAACUAAAAAUCCUAUCUUAUACAAAAUGGUUUUAUUAAAAGCGAUAGCCAUGAACUCCGAAAUGAUUAAUAUUCAUGACAUAAUAUAGAAAAAAAAUAAAAUGAUAUUAUUUUUUGGUGUUUGUAAUUUUGUUAAGAAACCCUAAAAUUGGAUGCUUAAUUUGAUGUUUUUAAAGAUAAUAUAUUAUAUUUAGGUUAGUAUUUGGUAUAUUGGUGUAUUUUUUUUUUAAUUUUACAAGUAGAUUUUUAAAAUUACUAGGUGUCCCAUUUAUUUUAUAUACUUAUUUAAUUUUUUUAAUAUUUUAUAGGAUACUUAUUACUAUUGUAAGUCUAUUUAUGAAGUCUAUAAACUUCACUAAUAAUAUAUAAAAUAUUUUCCUUAUAUUUAAUAAUUUAUUUUGAUACAAGCAUUUAAAAUUUAUGAUAAAAGAAAUUAAGUGCAGUUAUUAUUAGGCUAUUUAAAAAAUUAGGACGGCUUAGAUGCAGAUCUUACUGUCAAUUCAAAACUACAUUAAUUAAGCUUAAUCUUUUUUCCUGAUUUCAUUGGUCAAACAUUUAAUGGCAUAUUAACAAGAAUCUAAUUCACUUAUACCUACUUAACCCAUUAAACAGACCCUUUUAGCCCUAUCUAUAUUUAUAUAUACAAUUUGGUGAUUUCUAUCUAUAUUUAUAUAUACAAUUUGGUGAUUUUUACAGUUCGUGGUUGUCGAAACUAAAUUCCCUUAUUAAGAGUGUAAUAUAACUUACCAUUAAAUAUAAUACAUAUAUAUGUAUUCAAAUAACUCAACCUUUUUAUUGUAUAUGUGAGUGUGACUUUUAUAUUUGAAUAACAUGGCUUCCUUCCCCUUAAAUCAUGGAGAAAUCUAGUAUAAAUAUGCAGCUUAAAACACCCACCCUUAGCUUACACUCUUUUGUGCAAACAUUUCCCUUCCAUUUGAAAAAUAAUGGCUUCUAACACUCUCAAGCUCAUUGCCAUGCUCUCCCUUACUAUUUCAGUCCUCUUAUCUUUGUAUCCUCACUCAACCUUCUCAUUCGAAAUGGAGGAUUUCGACGAUGAGGAGGAAUACGUGCCUGAUGAACCUGUCAUCAUCCCCAACCUUCGAUCGAGAAGCCGGUUCUUGAAAACCUCACCCAAGAAAGAUAAGAUUAGGAAAGGUGCACAUUGCGAGCCCGACCCUUAUCACAACAUAUGCAAUGGCCUUUCGGUGAACAACGGGACCGGCAUAUUGUAUUGCUGCAAGACGCAUUGUCGUAAUGUGCUCCGUGAUUGGAACAACUGCGGUGAAUGCGGCCACCGGUGCAAGUUCGGGGAACGUUGCUGCGGUGGGGUUUGUACGGAUGUUGUUUACAAUGUUAACCAUUGUGGCAAGUGUGACAAGCAGUGUUCGCCGGGAGUUUAGUGUGACUUUGGGUAUUGUGGUUAUGCUUAGAUUUAAGUAUUUAUAAUGAUUUUUAUCAAAAUAUAUUGGCAAAUUUACUUGGGGCUGUUUUGGUUAUGAAUAACACUUCGUUAUCGAUAUAUUUUUGUAUAAUGAGGGGAAGGAUAUAUGUAGAUUAUACACAUAUAUAUUUAUGUAAAAAACGAGUUUUAUACGGUGGAUCUUGAGCUUGUUGUAAUUGAUUUUAGCCAUUGUUUUUAUAUACAUUAUUCGAAUUUUAUAUACGAUAGUUUCAUUUUUGAGAAGUUUUCAAACAAUUUUAAGUACUUAAAAUUUUCUGUAAGGUUGCUAUUGAGUCUUAAAUCGACUGGUAUAGAUAUUAUUGUUAAUAUGAGAAAAUUUGUGUUCGAAUGUGCUAAAAUGAAAGUUCAAGUAAUAAGUCUCUAUAUUAUGUAUUGUUAGAGGAUUUAGUUUUGGUUAAAUUCUGUUAUUAGUCUUUGUACUUUAUGAAAGUUAUGAAUUUAGUCAUUGUAUUUUAAUUUGAUUAAGUUUAGUCACUCUACUUUUUGAAUUAGUCAAAUUUAGUCCCUAUACUUUUCAAAAUUUGAAAUUUUAAUCAUGACCCAAACAAUAGCAAUUAAAUCUGUUUGGUUAAAUUCAAUUACUAGUCUUGUAAUAUGCGUUCAAUUGUAGAUUUAGCCCAUAUUCUCCAAUUGGAUCAUUCUAAGUCUCUAUAUUUCUCGAAUUUUGAAAGUUUAGUGUUGAUACAAAUGACAAUCGUUAAUUCAUUAACAUGAUUUUAGUGACUAAUAUGUGGAAUAAUAAGCUGACAUGACAUUACACAUAUGAUAAUAUAUUUACCACAUCAGGUUUUGUAAAUAACAAAACAUAACUUAAUGAAUUUAAUAUGUAUUGUUUGGUGAAGACUAAAAUUUUAAAAUUUAAAAAGUAUAGAGACUAAAUUGACAAAAAAUAUAGCUAUUAAACCCAUAAGUUUUUUUGUAAAAUAUAAGGACUAAUAGAAAAAUUUAUCCUUUAGUUUUUUACUAUAACUUGACCAUGUCUAAUUUCUUUAUUUUUUGCGGAUUGAGGCAUGGCCAUGGUUGCCAAUGUAGGAGGACGUGGGUUCGAGUGCGCUAAAACGCAUUAUCCCCUAUUUAUAGGAUGGGGAGGGGCUAUAGGUAGUUCUAGGUAUUAUGCAAAAAAAAAAAAAACACCCCAAAUACGAUCAGAACUUAUAAUGAGAUAUUGUUCAAAAAAAAAUUCUUUAUUUUUCAAGAUAUGUAUUUUUACUAUUGAGAUAUCUUUUUUAUUGACUUAUUUUUCUAAAACAUAUAAUAAGUUGACAUAUACAAUAAAGCUUUUUCUUGUAUAUUUUAAAAAUUAUUUUGUGCCGAUUGAGUUUUAGUUCGGUUGACAUUAAUAUUGUUGUUAUUGUAGGAAGAUAUAGAUUCGAUCAUUCGAAUGCACUCAAAUUCGUUUUUUCCUUUUUAUUUAUGGGGUGAAAGUCACAUCACCUCAUGUUUUAAAAAAUAAAACAUAAAAUUAAUAAAAAAAUUUAAUCUCAAAAUUAAAAAUAAACAUUUUAAAAAGUAAAACAAGUAGAAAUAUCCAAUAACGUAAUUGACAAAAUUAUAAAAAAAAAUCUUAAGAUUUAUAAAUAUCACUACGAGUCAUUUGUAAGGCUUAUAGUAUGCCUUAAUCGAGAAUAGAGGGAAUCUUUUCUCAUUUAGGGUCUUUUUAGAUGGAUGGUGCGUUUAUUUACGGUUAGUGUAAAAAUAAUAGUGGUGAUGAGAUUAAACACUAUAGCAUAAGACAAAAUAAAAAACUAAACGUACCGCACUGAAAAUCAACGUCCAUCUAAAGUAACCCUUGAAACUAAAUCUAAUUCUAACGAAGUUAUAGCAUUAUUUGGUUUUGCUGGAUAUAGUCUCUCUAUUAUAAUUUAAUUAUUUUUUAUUUUUUUAAAAUGUAUAUCUUUAAUAUUAACGUUAAUUUUGUUAAAUAAUUUAACAUGAUUAUUUUUUAAAAUAUAUGAUGAUGUAAUAUAUACUGUUUAGCAUUUUUUUGCACAAUUGAUUUUUUUUUUUGCGUUUUUCAAAAACAAAAAAGAGAGAAAAAUUAAUGUGUAUAUGCAACAUCACCACAUUCUUUUAAAAUACCAUAUAAUUGUUUGACAAAAUUAUUGAAAAAAAUUGGUUUUAAGACUCAAAUUACACAUUUUGAACUAGCAAUUACAAUUUACAAAAUUAUACUAGAAAUUGGGGGAAGCGAGAAAUUUUUUUAGCGGUCCUGCCGGAUUAUGUUAUAUAUUUUUAUCACAUCUAAAAUAUAAUGAUACUAUUGUAUUUUUGGGAUGUAUUAGAGACUAUGGUUUGGAAGUUUAAAUAUGGAUAUAAUUAAGAAAUUAAUUUCUUAAUCUUUCUUUAAAAUAUAAGUGUUUCGUUAUUUCUUCAUUAAACGAGUGAUACACUUUAUUUAAAUCCUCUCUUGUCAAGAUGUUUAAUGGGUAUAACUUUCGAUCUUUUGGGCAAAUUGAGCAUUGCAAAAUUCUCUCCGUAACUUUUUUUUUUACACAACAGGUACCGUAGCUCUUAUCUUUCUCAUGAUCCCCUUAUUAUGUCUAUCACCAUCGCCUACCACAACACUUGUUUUCUAAGGUCUGCUCCAAUCUUUCUAUCCAUUAUCUCUCCACGACUUCUCAUUUUGCUAGGUUGUAACGUUACUUUAUCUUACCAAAAGAACCUUUUAUAAGGCAAAACUAUAAUUUACCUUAUAUUGACUUGUAAAUUUAUAGAUUUUGGGGUCUAAAAUAUAAUUUUCUAAUUUAACUUAGAAAAGCUAAAUUUACAAAAAAAAUAAAAUUACAAAGCCUUCUUUUAUAGAAUUUAACAGAAGAAAAGAAAAAAAGUCACAUCACUUUUCUAAAUAUUUGGACUGAAUUUGAAUGUUGAAGUCACCAUUAUUAGGAAGGUUUUAUUUAAAUACCAAUUCAGUCCAACCAUAACUAUACUCAAAUCAUAAAAUGAAUGAACAUACUCGUGAUUAUAUAAAAAAGACAUGAUCCACACUAAUCUUCCUCAAACAAUGAAAAAUAAUAAACAAAAACAAUGCCCAUUAGUUCACACUUUAGAUUCUAAGUGAAAUAUGAAGGGUGUAAAUGAGAUAUCAAUAUUCACAAACCACUUAAAUUCAGUUUGAAAAAAACUUGAAUUCAACUCGAUUAUUAUUUAGUUGAGCUCAAGCUUGAGAAAUUCAUGUUAUAAGAGCAAAUAGAAAUUAAGUUAUUGUCAUGAUUUGUAUAGAGUAGUGAUUAAAGCUCUUAUUACACAUUUAUUUUUAACAUAGGUUCAAAUUGUGUUACCCCAUUCUACCUAAAAUUGUAUAAAAAAUAGCUUGGAAAUCUAAUUUUUUCUAAUGUAUAUUUUAAAUUAAUAUUAUAAGAAUUAAUCUUCAACCCGAAUUAAGGUAUAAACAAUUGAGGUUGACGUUGAAAAUGAGGAAAAAUUUCUCAUUAUUCACAGCAAAAAUGGACCUAAUUUAAUUUCUUUUAGUAUCCGACACUUAAACUUAGUAUCCUAAUAACAUAACUUGCAAUUUUUAUCAAAGACUUUUGUAUUUGAAGAACAUGGCUUCCUUUCCCUAAAAUUAUGGGGUAAUCUAUUAUAAAUAAUUGAACACCCUCUCCACUUUCCCUUAGCCUAUACACUUUUGUGCAAAAAUUCCCUUCCAUUUGAAAAACAAUGGCUUCUGACACUCUCAACCUCACUGCCAUCCUCUCCCUUACUAUUUCAGUCCUCUUAUCUUUGCAUAGUAUAUUUAUAUAAAUAUUUUUUUGAGAAAAGAAUGGUUAAUUUGAUGAAUUUGGGGCUAAGGGAUAAAAUUGUAAAAAUUGUAAAAGUUUGAGGUAAUUAUGUAAUUUUGGAAAAUAAAAGGGUAUUAAUUGUAAAAUGAAUUAGGAUUGAAAUAUAUGCUCAUAAAUAAAUAAUUUUACAUUUUAGAUCAAGAUUUCGUAGAUACUCGUGGAAAAGAAAAAAUUAUGGAAUAGCCCCUGCACUUUUGCAACUUCUACAAUUUGGUCAAGGUAAGUUCGUACGGUUAAAUGUAACAUUUUUAUAAAUUUUUAAUGUAUAUUAUGUAUAUUAUGUGGUUGGAAAUGAAUUAUUGUUGGAUUUAUACUAUUGAUUUAAAAACUUGAUUUGAAUUGAACGCGAGAUUUGAGUACAUUUGUGUUUUGGUGUUUGACUCGGAGAUGAUAUCGGAAGGAGAUUUCGGUAUUUUACCCAAGUAAAUCGGUUGGAUAAGCUCUUACGAGCUUCUGUUAAGCUCUUACGAGCUUCUACUGGAAUACUCGGGAGGAUAAACUUUUAUGAACUUCUAUUGAUGAUGUACUCUUACCCAUAAGUUGUUCUUCAAAUGGAAAAUCUCGGUAUGGUAAUUUAGUUAUGAAUUUGAAAGAUAUGUUGUUUAUUUCAUAUUAAUCUGAAUAUAGAUGGAUUUAUUGAUUGAAGUUGUGAACGACAGGUAGUUCUUUUGGAUGGUUAUUAUUGUUUGAAUUAUUAUAGUUAAUUCGAUAAGAUUUAUCGUUUAACUCAUCGAACUUACUAAGCUUCAUUAAGCUUAUUUGUGUUGUUUAAUGUCAUUGUAGAUAAUCGGCUGGUUGGACAAUCAGAUCAGCACUCAAGUCACACUAUCCAGCUUAAUUCAGUAGCUUUUGAAACAUUUAUAUCAGAUUAUAUUACAUGUAAUAGGUUGUGAUGUUACUAAUGUUUUGGAUAUGUAAAUAGUUAAGUAUGAGAUUGGUUGUACAAAUUGCUUUGGUUGAUCUUCUUUCAGUAUUUUUGAUCCUUAUUUAUAUGUGUAUAUGGUCAUUUGACACUUGUUGGAAUGGUUAAAAAAGUAUGUGAUGAAUUGGUUGUUAAGUAGCCAAGUUAUGACAUGCUUGAGUUGGUGUUGAUAGCUGAUGUCUUGAAUGAAUUAAUAGGUUGAAUUAAUGCUAUGUUUUAAUAUAAAUUAUACAUAUAUUUGUGGUACCAAUGAGGGUACAUUGGUUAAGCAUUGAAUUAUGUUGAUUUUGGUAUGUUUUCGGCUUGAAUAAAGUCAAAUUGAAUGGGUAUUUUGAUAGGUAAAUGGUUUGCUUAGGUUCCAAGUAGGCUUGAAAUGGUAAACUUGUUGAAAAAGGUACAUUUUAGGCUUACACGGCCAUACAACACGGCUGUGUGUGACACACGACCAUGCAACUUGGCCGUGUGUCUGUUGUAGCUUCUAAAGGGUUGCAAGUCAAUAUGUUUACACGGCUUAGCAUACGGGAGUGUGGCUUGGCCAUGUGACCCAAGUCAGUAUACUCACAUGGCUUGGCACAUAGGUGUGUGGUUUGGCCAUGUGACCUAAGUCAGUAUACUCACACGGGUUGGGACACGACCUUGUGUCCUUAUUUCGAAUGCCCACACGAGCUAAGACACGGGCGUGUCUCUUGGUCGUGUGACCCUUACAGUUCAAAAUUUUUAAAUUUUUUCUUAAAUUUCCAAAUGUUUUCGAUUUAGUUCGGAACUAUUUUCAAUGUAUUUUUAGGACCUUGAAGGCUCGAUUAAGGGACAUUAUAAAUGUAUUUGAAUAUAAUUGGAUUAUGUUUGCAUUUAUGUAUGAAUUAAAUAAUUUAUUAUUUUGUUAGUCUGGUAAUACUCUGUAACUCUGUUUCGGCGACAGAUAUAGGUUAAAGGUGUUAUGAUGUGUGACAAUAAAAAAGAGAAGAAACACAAGACCAACACCAAUGAUUUUUUAAUAGUUUGUACAAACAUAUUUUUAGAGAGACAUACCUAGAGAUAAAUUUCUACUAAAACACAAUACAAUAAAUGAAACCCAACCAAUCACACAAUUGCACUUCUAAUGUGAAUUCACUCCCUUACUCAGCUUUUCCUACUGAGAAUUGUAAAAACUCAGUCCCAUAUAAUAAAAGGUUUGCACAAAUAAAAUGUUCAUAACAAUGAACUAUAUUAAGCUCACUCAACCUAUACAAAACACUAAAGAAUAAAGUUUUCUAUUUAUAAGUAGUGUGUAGCUUCAAUAAGUUGAUCACUUUAAUUUCCUUAAAAUAUGGAUGAUAAGCUAUAAAAGUAACAUAUUUUAAUCUUAUUCUUAAUGCAUUUUUGGAUGAUUAAUUAUGCAAAUUAGUUAAUUUAAUGCCCUAAUCAUUUAAAAUUUAUGUUUUUAUACUUAGAAGAGCAUUUGGGAGUGAAAGGAGCGAAAAAUAAGCCAAAAGCAGACAAAUAGAGUUGUUUUCAUGAGUCACAUGGCCUGGGCCUUUCCACACCAGCUGGACACACCUAUGUGCCAGCCCAUGCCAGCCCGUGUUGAUUUCGCACCCUGCUUCCCAAAUACAUGGAAAAACACAAUUUUUAAGCUUUCUGAGCAUUCUAAAGCCUAUAAAUAGCAAUUAGAAGAAGAGAGAAGGGAGCCAUCAAAGAUGAUCGAAGAAAACACUCAAAGAAUACCAUCAAAGCCAACUCAAAAGUGAAUCUCCAUCAAGAUUGAAGAUCUCUUUUUAAUUUCUUUCAAAAUUUUUAUGAGUUUCUUUAUAUCUUGUGGUUAUUCUGACUUUAAGAUAUUUUCAUUUAGGAUUAUGAACUAAUUUAUUAGAUACCUAGGGAAGAUGAAACCUAUGAUGAAUCUUAUUAUUUGAUUUUUAAUUUACGCGAUAAAUACUUGAUUCUUAUUCUCAAUUAUGUAUACUUAUUUCUUGUUUUAGUAUUUCUGGGAUAUUAAUUCAUGUUUAAUGUGCUUAAUUUAUUGGAGCAAAAGUCAUUGUUUAAGAGUAAAUCCAGCAUAAUUGAGUGGAGUUGCAUGCAAUCUUAGAAAUAGCAUAUUAUUUGGAAAGCUUAUAUGGUAAAUUUUGUAACACCUAAGUGUGAGAUGUUAGUCUGCCUUUGUGGUGAGAUCUGGAUAUGUCUUUGAGGCAUUUUCUAAAAGAGUUCUCGAUAGUUUACCUAAUGGGCGAUCUCCCCAUAGUAACCCGCUAGGAUAGAGAGCUUGGCAUAUCUGUGAUUAUAGGUGGUGUAAGUGCUUACCAAACUUGGAAGUUCUUACAUAAUGUAUGAGGUCAUCUGGGAUUCUAUUGGAUGAUCUAAAACAUUACAUUUAUCGAAAUUAGUUUGUUGUCUGGAUCGACUUAAAGAUACGAUGUGACUGGAAUUCUAUUAGCUGCUAGAGCCAAUAUAAGAAUCCACCAAGAGUAGUAAUCACAUGUAUAUCAUUCUGAGAAAUAUAUCCAACUUCUAUCUUCAAAUGGGGUUGUGAAAUAGGAUACGCAUUACGGUGUGUAGUUUGUGAUCAACUCAUUAGGCAAAAUGUGUAUAAGGUGGUUGAGGGGAGAGAUGGAUGUAUAGUUAUCCACCAAAAAUCAGAAAAGUAUCCAUCAAAGUCUGAAAGGAAGUCCAGAAUCUUCAAGUAGAGGAAUUCAACAACAAUGUUAAAGGUAAUAUUAGUUGAGACUCACUAAGUUCUGAUGAACUUACAGGCGUCUAUUUGUAAUGGAUGUUCUUGGAAUUGGGCCAACACACUGAAAGGGACCAAGUCAAGAUUCAGACAAUAUGAUCAUUUGUAGAGCAAUAUUAUGCAUACAGAGGGGCACUCUUAGGAAUAUGAUGAACAAUAUAUUACGCCACAAUUAAGUUUGUUUUACAAAAAGAAAUUAAGUUGUAAUGUCUUAUAUUGCUUUUGAGAAUAUGUUGUAAUUGAUAAAAUUUUUCUUCAAAAUCCUUUGACUUAGAAAAGAAAAUAAAUAAAUAAGAAGUAUAUGCUCAAUAUGGUUUUUGCUUGUAAAAUUUUGUUAAGUAUUUAAGUAUAGUGACAUUCUAUAUCCGGGUUCGGUGAAUCGGAUCGGGUACAGGGUGUUACAACUUCAACACAAGAUUAUAAUUAAACUAAUAUAAAUCUAAUAAUUAACUAAGAAGAGAUAAAACAAUCAUUAAGAAAAUAAAAUAAGUAAAUAAGUAAAAACAAAUAAAAUAAAAUAACUAAUUUAAUAAUUGAACUUGUAGAAAAGCCCUAGUGAUAACUAAAUGCAAUAGUUUACUUAAAAACUCACAUAAAUCUAAGUUAAAUGUAUACAAUUACAUCUAUAUGAUGAGUACUCAUCAAUAAAAGAUUUGAAUGAUUGAGAACUAAGCCUUGUUGCCAAGGAUUGAACCGUUUGUAUUUAAGGCGAAAUUGUUUGUUACUAGGUGCACAUAGUUUAUAUGAAAUUACCUUCCAAGACUUCAAUAAUAUCAAAGAAUUGCACACCUCUUUAGAUGUUUUUAAAAUCAUAGAAUUUGGCUCAAAUUUCUCUUCACUAUAAUAGAGCAUUAAGGUUAAUGUACACACAAAUUUCAGGUCGAAAUAAGACCUAAAAAAUUGAGAGCAACCUUUUUGAGAAUUAUUUAGAAUUUCUUCUUCCUUUAUUUAUUUACAGAUUUCUUGGGAUUUUGUAGAUAGCUUCUAGUCAUUAAAAUCUUCUCUUCAGUCAACUUAUGCACUUCGUAAAGUUGUGCUUAAUAAUUUAUUUGAAAAAUUCUUCCUAUACAAAUGCUGUCUCAAGAUUUAAUCAUAUUUAUAAUAUUUUUAAAUGUGAAAUUUCGAUUUGCUUUUGAAUCACAGUUUCAUGUGCACAUUGAACUUGAUUAUAUUGAAAGUUUUUGACGUCACCUUUGUUCAAUAUGAAUUGCCAUGAUGACAGGAACAUUGUAUUGAAAAACCCCCAACUAAUUUAGCAAGCUCAUGGUUUUGUACUUCAACUUGAAUUAAGCCCAUCCCACUCAAUUUGACUUUCUUUGGAUAUUAGCUUUAUUUGUUAAUUAAUUAAGAAUUAAGCUUCAUUCACUUAAAGUCUGAGUAGGAGUUAUAGCCCCAUGAGAUUUGUCAACCCAACCAUUAUACAAAUUUAGCAUACUUGGGUCAUUGAAAUGCACCAAUUCAAAGCAGCGUACUUCUAGAUAAAAUAUAUUCUUAGGGCAAGAAUUUAUUAAUGGUCCCUAGCCAUACACCCAGUAUCCAUGCAUUAUAAAUUGCUAUCUUCCAAAUGUUACCAUGGCCUCACAUGCAAUCUUUGACACUUUGACAUGCAUUAUUUUGCAUGCGUUUCAUGCGAUUUCGCUUUUUGUUUAACAUCCAAAUAACUUAUGCAUCAAAAAGUUAGAUAUAAUUAAGAUAUUCGAUAUUUCAAAAUUAGAACAUCAAGAUAUUUCAUAUAUCUGUUGUGGAACAUCAAAAGUUAAGCAUCAAGACAUCCCAUAUGUUGGUUUGGAGCAUCGAGAUAUCUCUUUGUAUAGAAGCUCCAUAUAUAUACUAUUUGUUUAUGGUUGAUUUAGUUUUUCUAUUAUAAUUUGAUUGCUUUUAAGCUUUAUUUUUCGAAAUGUGUAUAUUCAAUAUUUUGACCAAUAUUUUCUUUAGCUCCAGAGGAGAAUGUAGGAGGGAUGGUAGGGGCCCGGCCCCCUUAAAAUAAAAAAUUAUUAUUUUAGCUCUUUAAAAAAUUUUAAAAUUUCAAAAUAAUAAAUGUAAACUUACAUUUUGACCUUCCCUAAAAUUAUUAAAAUUUAAUUUAAUCUUUUAAAAGUUAUAAAGAUAAUAGGCUAUUAAAAAAUAAAAUUUCUUUUCGAUCCCAAAUUUUUUUUUGGCUUCCUCAUGUUUAGUUCCAUUAAAAAAUUUAAUGUGACUUACCUUUUAAACCGCAUGAUGAUAUAACAUAUAUACCUUAUAUUUUUGUGCACAUUGGGACACUACAAAAUAGGGUGAAUUUGUAUAUAUGCCUCACUACAAGCAAGGGUGAAUUUGUAAAUUUUCAUUUAAACCUUUUGAGGUUUCUUAAAAUUUUAUUUUAGGGAAAAUUACAAGAAUAGUCACCCAACUAUUCAGUUCAUUCUAUUUUCAUCAUCUCACUAUUAAAUUUUUCGUUUUAGUUACUUAAUUUUUCAAAAUUAGAUAUUUUAGCUACUCUUUCGUUAUUUUAUUUUAGCUACUCUUUUGUUAGCCCUACAGUGUUUACAAGAUUUGCCAUUUUAAUCCUAAUUAUAAAAAUUUUUUAAAAAGUAAAAAAGUAGUAGAUAUAAAUUUUAAAUAUUUCAAAAACAAAAUAUAACAAUAUUUUAAAGAAAUUUGUACCCAAAACGAAUUUCAACAGUAUUUUCCACUUUGUUCUUUCUUUCAUUCAAUUGACAAAGUUGAAAAUAUCAAGUGUCAUGUCCUUAAAUGCUAUUUUUGUACCAAAGAGCAAGGUUGUCGAAGUUGGUGUCAUUAAUCCAAUCAUUUUUUUGGGUCUAUAAAUAUGUUAAUUUUGAGCUUCUUUCUAGGUUUUGAUUAGGCAUUUGAGCAAACAAUAUGACAAAAGAAAAAGGGACUAAAUUAAAAGAUAUUGAAUCAAAAAAAUAUCUUUAAUUUAUGGGUUUUUCAUGUGCUUGAUUAAUGAGAAAAUGAGCAUGGUUGAUGAGAAAAAAGAAAAUAUAAAUUUUAAAAAAGUAAAUAUAAAAAUAUUUUUGAGAUUGUUUAAAUAUAUUUUAUAAUUUUUAGAAGUGGGACUAAAAUGAAUUUUUUUAAACAUUCAGGGCUAGACUUGUUGAAAAUUUUAGAUUUAGGAUCAAAUUUGAAAUAAUUUGUAAAUAUUGGAGGGCUAAAUUUGUUAUUAGGCUAAUAAGAAAACCCACAUUAGACUUUCAUUAAACGACAAGAGUGACUAAAAUAUUUAAUUUAGAAAAGUUGAGUGACUAAAUAAAAAAUAAUAAUAGUUGGGUGACCAAAAUAGAACAAACUAAAUAGUUAGUAGACUAUUUUUGUACUUUACCCAUUAUUUUAACCUUAUAAUUAAUUUCUAAAAAUAUGAUAAUUUGUGUCUAGCUUCCCAUUAUAAGAAUUCAACCCCAACCCGAGUAUAAACAAGUACUAUUUUUAUUAAAGACUUUUGUAAUUGAAGAACAUGGCUUCCUUUCCCUAAAUUUUUGGGGUAAUCUAGUAUAAAUAUGCAGCUAAAAUUAAACACCCUCUCCACCUUUCCUUGGCUUAUACUCUUUUGUGCAAAUAUUCCCUUCCAUUUGAUAAACAAUGGCUUCUAACACUCUCAACCUCAUUGCCAUCCUCUCUCUUACUAUCUCCAUCCUCUUAUCUUUGUAUCCUCAACCAGCCUUCUCAUUCCAAAUGGAAGAUUUCGACGGCGAGGAAGAAUAUGUGCUCGAUCAUCCUGUCAUUAUCCCUAACCUUCGAUCGAGAAGCCGGUUCUUAAAGACCUCGCCGACAAAAGAUAAGAUCAGGAAAGGUGCCGAUUGUGAUCCUCACCCUUCUCUAAACAUAUGCAAGGGUAUUUCCGCAAACAACGGGACCAGUCUACUGUAUUGCUGUAAGACGCAUUGUCGUAACGUGCUUAGUGAUCGAAACAACUGCGGAAAAUGUGGCAACCGGUGCAAGUUCGGGCAACGUUGCUGCGGUGGAGUUUGUACUAAUGUUGCUAACAGCGUCAACCACUGUGGCAAGUGUGGCAAUCAGUGCUCGUCUGGAGUUCAGUGUGAUAAUGGAUUUUGUGGUUAUGCUUAGGUCUAAGUAUGAUAAUGGUUUUUAUCAAAAUAAAUUUGCCAAUCAAAAAUGCUUUGUCUAGGGGCCGUUUUGAUUAUGAAUAACACUUCGUUAUCUACAUGUAUUUUUUGUAUAAUGGGGGGAGAAUAUACACAUAUUUUAUGGUGCUGUAAUUGAUUUUAGUCAUGGUUUUUAUAUAUGUUAUACGAUAUUUUCUUUUAAAUUUAAAGUAGACAUAUCCUCUAUUUAUUUGUUAAUUUUAUUGUUGUGAUAAUUUAAAAUUAUAAAAAAUACUCACUUAACAUAAAUGACAUUAUAAUGGACAUAAAUUUAAUAAAAAAUUAAUUAGCAAUUCUUAAAAUUCACAUCAACGUCUUAAUCGAAAUAAAGUAUUUAGAUUACCUAAUGGCAUUAUAAGAGGUUUUUUCUUUGGACUAAAUUAUAGAGUAAAUAACUGAAUAUUAAAAUAUACUUUAAGUCUCUAAAUUUUUUGCAUAUUUAAAAUUCUUCUUCCAAAUGUUACCAUGGUCUCAUAUGCAUACUUGAUUAAACCAUUAAAAUCAAUUUUCUUUAUUUUAAAUUUUUAAUGAAUUUUUAAUAAUUUUUAAAUAUAUAUAAAGAAAAUAAUACUUUUUAUCUUUUUUUUUUAUUGUAUGACUAUUUUUAAUGGAUUAUCCUUUUUUUUAAAUAAACUUAACGAUUUGACUAACUAUUGAAUUAACAAAAGUAUCAGCAUGGAAAAAAAAUUUAAAUACUACUAUGAUUAGAAAAAUGUUUAGGCACCAAAAUUAGAAAAUUUAGGUACUAAUAUACUAGUUAAGACUCGUUUUAGAAAUAGACUUAUCAAUUUAGCUAAUGGUUUGACUAACGAAAAUAUCGAUUUGAAAAAAGAAUUUUAUUUAGAUAUCAAAAUGUAAAAAAGUGUAUAAUUUAAGUACCAAUUUAAGGUUAAACUUUGUUUUCAAUGCAAGUUCAAAUUUGGUGCAUUAUGAAAUUCGAAACUUAUCAACUUUUCCCCUCAUUGAGCGUCUUUUAUUAAGGUAGCCUAAUGCUUUAUUUGUUUGCAUGAGUGACUUGUUACAAUGUUUCAGACGAAUUCCCUACCUCGCGAGCCUCCGUUUAUUGCGUAACUCCAUAGCACAUGCAUCUUGUUUCAGUAUCGGAAAUUUCUCAUAUAUCAGAAGUGGAAUUUUAACAUAUGUCAUAUUUUACAUUUGGAUCACCGAGAUAACUUAUUUGUUUGUUGUGGAGAAUCAAAAAGAAGCAUCAAGACAUUUCAUAUAUAAGUUUGGAGCAUCAUAUCUAUUUAGGGGUGAGUAGAACUCGAUUUGAAUUGACAAGUUAAUUUCUCGUUCAAAUUUCGAGUUAAUUGAAUUUAGUUUUCAAUUUCCCUAAUCAACUCAAAUAAGUAAAUUGGGUUUUUGAGUUCAAGUUGAGUUGAAAUUUAUAAUUUGAUUAACUCAAAUAAUUAGUAUAAAAAAUUGUCGUAAUUGCCCAACAGGUUGUUGUCAAUUUCGUAUAACUGAAUUACUUUGGUUUUCUCUUCUUCUUCUUCUUCUUUUUUUUAAAAGAUUUUUCAAGUAUUACGGUCUCAAAUUUAUUUGCUAUAACAUGGAAUUUGGUCAUUUUGUCAAUAAGUUCUUAAUUUGGCCUUUUAAAAAGAACUUAAACAUAUUUGUCAAUUUGACUCGACUCGACUUAAAUUUCAUUUCAACUGACUUGAUUCGAAAAAAUUCAAAUAAGCUAGGAUGAUAAAUUAGAGAGAGAGAGAGAGAGAGAGAGAGAGAGAGAGAGAGAGAGAGAGAGAGAGAGAGAGAGAGAGAGAGAGAGAGAGAGAGAGGGAGAGAGAGAUGCAUGGGUGUUUGGAUCUAGUGCCCUUAGUGUAGUAGUUUCAUCUAUAUGUAUUUUUCGAACAAAUUGAUUUAAUAGAAUAUUCAUCAAUUUCAUUAAUAUACUCAAUAUAUAGUCCUCAAAGAUUUUUGUACGUAAAGAAAAAUUAAAAUAAAUACUGACUCAUUGAUUACCUAAUAUUUAAUUGAUACUAAGCAAUAUUACGUGGUCGGAUCAUAAUACAAAAAUAAACAUUAUUUUUAUUCUACUAGUUCAGCUAGGAUUUUUCCAUCUCUCUUUAUAAAUAAAUGGCACUGGUAGGGCUUUAAUCACACCAACACAACAAAAAAAAAAAAAAACAAGUUUAACAUAAGUUUUCAAUAUUGUUAUUCUGGCAUAGAGUAGAGGUAAUUUGUUAUUUAUCUGUCGUAAGUUGAUAUGUCAAAUUAGGCUCCUCAUUACACUUAACAAGCUUGCUUUCGAGCAAUUUAAAUGUCUUUAUCGUAUUUUUAGUUAGUUUUAGUUCUUUGCACCAAUAAGUAAAUUAGUUUGCAUUUUAUGCUAUUUUGAGAACCAAGAUGGCCAAUUGGCAUCUAGGGCAUCUAACAAGGUUGGUGAGUGAUGCAGAGAGUCCACGGUGACCCGAACAGAGCGAGGAAAUCACCGAGAAGGGGGUAUCAUGUAACACCCCUAACCCGUAUCUGUCGCCGAAUUAGGAUUAUGAGGCAUUACUGGACAAAACACAACUCAAUACAGACGUUCAAUAAAAUUCAAAAAUUUAACAUUUAUAUGCAAUUCGUUUGAAUACAAGUUUAAAUAAACUAUUUCCAAAUCAAAAUAUAAGCAUUGUAUAUAUAUAUAAAUUGAAAUAUAUUAAGCUUAGUCAAAUUUUAAGUAAGUAUAAUUAUAAAUUCUACUUUAACCUUUUUAAAACAAAACAUAACAUUUCAAUCCUGUUAAACCAUAAGAAAAUAAGCCAUUUUCGUAUGACUAUUAAUUAUAUAUACAGUACAUAAAAGUACGACUUCCAAAACAUUAUCUAGCCUAUACAUGCCAAAAGUUAAAAUUUAAACAUUUCAAUACCGAUACAAUAGAUAGAGUGAUGAUCUUUGUUGAUGAUCCCCGAGCCUGCAGCUUUGUUUUUAUUUAUAAAACAAAUGGACGUAAACUAACAAAGUAAGCUUUUAUCGCUUACUAAGUAUUUAGCAUAUCUAUAAUACAUAUAAAAGAAUCAUAUAAUUCCUUAAGUAAAUUUAUUGAGAUCACAAAUACCAAAUAUAAUUACUAUUCAAACAUUGCUAUCUUAAGUCAUUUUGUUGAUAUCUAAAAGAAUGUAUAUUUAAUUAAUACAUAUAAACGAACAUAUGUAUAUUCAUUAUAUGCAUAUAACCAAGUUAUAAACAUACUCACUAACUGCAUAUACUAAUUGCUAGUGUACUUGUUGAUUGCACUUCAUCAAAUGCAUUUAUAUAUAUAAUUAUUCAAAUACAUAUGCCAAAAGCAUAUAUUUAUACUUAUCAAUUACAUGUGCCGAAUGCACAUAUAUACUUAUAAUCCACAUAUGCCGAAUGCAUACAUAUAUAUAUAUCCAACAAUUUCAUAACAACCAAUAUACGUACUUACUCAUUAAACACAAAGAUCCGAACGUUUAUAUACUCACCAAAUACACAGAAACAAAUGUUCAUAUAUUUAUCCAUCACAUAUAACCAAAAUCAUAUAUAUACCCAAUGUAUAUAAUCACUUAAUUUAAACAGAUUCACUGGCACUUAGCCUGUUAGGCUUAAAGCCUGAUUCAGAUCACUGGCACUUAGCCUGCUAGGCUUAUAACCUAAUUCAGAUCACCGACACUUAGCCUGUUAGGUUUUAAAACCUGAUUCAGUACACCGGCUUUUUGCCUACUAGACUUAUAGUUCGAAAUGUUUCACCGGCAUCAAGCCUGCUAGACAUAAAGUCUGAAUUAUCUCACUGGCGAUAAACCUUCUAGACACUGAGCCUGAAAUCUCAUUUCACAUAAGUCGUAACUCAUAUUCAAACUAUAUAUGUAUAUAAAAUCCAUACAUAAAAAUUCAACCCAAAUUUUGUAACUUAUAUUCUUGAACCACAUGGAUAUAUAUAAAGUUCAAUCACCAAACCCAACAUUAAUAUCUCAAUGAUUCAACCGAACACAUUUAUAUAUGACUUCAUACUUUAGAUACUACUACUAAUAUCAUACUAUUUAACUUAUUACUAUGUACAUUUAACAUUCGAAUCUCACAUAUACCUAUAUAAAUUCAUACCCCAUUUCAAUACAAAAACUUAUACAUGUACAUAUAUACAUUCGAAUCUAACAUAUAUACAUAUAUAAUUUUAUACUUACAUUCGAAACAAGUACUUAUACUUGUAUACACAUGCAUUUUUGAAUUUAACAUAUACAUAUAUAAUGUCAUACUUAUACUUAAUAUAAGCAAUUAUACAUAUAUAUACAUGCUAAUUCAAUCCAAACAUAUACAAAUAUAUUAUACAUAUAUAUAUAUAUGUAACAUCCAUACUUUUAAUAAAAUCCAAGAAUUUAUACUCGUAUAUACAUACCUAUUCAAACCUCUUGUAAACAUAUAUAACAUUCAACAUUAACUAAAUUCAAAACUUAUUCAUGUAUAUACACAUAUAUCCGAACUUCAUAUAUAUAAAUAUAACAUACAUACUUUUAACUAAAUUCAAGAACUUAUUCAUGUAUAUACAUAUAUAUUCGAACUUUAUAUAUAUAAAUAUAACAUACAUGCUUUUAAAUAAAUUCAAGAAUUUAUUCAUGUAUACACAUAUAUAUCCGAACUUUAUAUAUAUAAAUAUAACAUACAUACUUUUAACUAAGUUCAAGAACUUAUACAUGUAUAUACAUAUAUUAUCCACUAGUAGUUCUAUAUUAUUUAACUUUAAACAAACUUUAGCUAACAUACAUGUAAUUUGCAUCAUUAAUAUCAACUUACCAAAGUAAAUUCUCGUAUUCGGCUAUCAAUAAUAAAAUUUAAAGUUUCGUACAAUUUGAAUAUAUUAAGUUUCAGCUUAUCAUAUGUAAAAUAAAUAUAAUAAGUAUAUAUUUAAUUUAGAUAACAUUUAAUUGUUAAUUGACUUACCUCGGAUAUCGACGGACACGUUCGACUAUUCGACUACUUUCGUUUUUCCCCAAUCAAAUUCCAUUUUCUUCGUUUCUUGAUCUAAACAUAUUCAAAUUUAUCCUUUUUAUUCAUCAAAUCAUUCAAUUAAAUCCAAAAAUACAUAAAUGGGAAAAUUACCAUUUUGCCCCUAACAUUUUACACUUUUUGCAAUUUAGAGCUUUUUGCACAAAACACAAAAUACACAAAAUUUAAUCACACCAUACUAGGGCCGAAUGUUCCAAGUGUUCAUAAAAGUCCACACUUUUUAUUUAUUUCACAUUUUAGUCCCUAAAAAAAUUAUUUUCACAAUUUAGCCCUAAUUACUCAAUUUCACCAAAAUUUCAAAGACAAAACAUAUUAAUCUUUCACAUAUUUUUCAUUUUUCAUCAUCAACUAUCAUAAAGCUCAAGCAUUCAUCAAUGGCACAUUUCAAAAUCAUCAACAAUUCACAAAAUUAAGACAUGGUUUUUGAAGUAUUCAAAGCAACGAUUUCAAAAAAGUAAAAAUCAUCAAAAACCAAACAAAAACUAACCUUGAAUUAAGCUUCAAAAGAUGGCUGAACCUAGCUUAGGUUUCUUUUUUUUUUUUGUUUUCUCUAGUUUCGGUCAAAAUAAGAUGAAAAUGUGGCUUUUAAUUUGUUUGUCUUUUAAUAUAUUAACUUUAUAAUAUAAUAUAUUAUUAUAACCUUCAUACAUAAUAUAAAAACUAUAAUUUAUAAGCAUAAUGCCGUCCACUAUCUUGAUUAAUGGCCUAAUUUCCUAUUAAGGACUUCACAUUAUAAAGACAUUAGCAAGUUAGCAUUUUACACAUUAAUUAGUCAAUUUCACUUUUUACGCGAUUAACUCCUUUUAUUAAAUUAAGUACACAAACAAUAAAAUUAAUUCACGAAACUUUCACACAUGCAAAUUAACACAUAAUAAACACAGAAAAUAGUAUUAAAAUAUUUUUUGAUUCAAAUUCGUGGUCCUGAAACCACUAUGUUCGAUUAGGGUUGAAAUCGGGCUAUAGCAUAUCGCGAUAUCAAAGCAUGAAAGUUGUGAUACCCUUAACAGUGUUGAAAACAAGGAAGAUUGAGUUGCCAAUUGUGGUAUCGUGAUACCCAAAACUUUCAAGGACCCCCAUUUCAAGACUGUUGUAGAUAUCGUGAUACCAGGCUCUAGGUCGUGAUAUCACUAUUGAAGGGAAACAAAAAUUGACCACAAGGGUAGUCAUUGUCCAACAUGUCCCUCAAUCAAAAUUAGUGUGACGCCCCAAAAUUAGUAUUUAUGGUUUGUUAGAUUUUAUUAUUAGUAAGUAUCUGUUUCGGUGAUCGAGGGCUUUAAUUAUGUGUUUAGGGUCUUGGGUUAAAAUCUCAAAAUUCAAUUUUUUUUAUAUCUAGGCCUAUCUUUGUUCGUUGGGCUUAAAUGUUGUUUUUAGUUGACUUAUAUUAGAAUAAGCCUGUUGGUUUGGGUAGUAAAGUGUUUGUUAGUUUACUUUGUGGUAUUGUGUUUACUUCUUUGUGUGAGCAAGUUGGUAGUAUUGUUUGGUAUUUUUGAUUGGGCUGAUCAUUUAACUGUUGUGGUCUAAUUGAACUCUAUCUGUAGGAAAAAAAAUUUGAUUUUUAUAAAAAUUCUGAAUUGGUUUUAAAUGGGUUUUGUUUUAAAAUAAAUAAAAUAGGUUGUUUUUAUCUUGCUACUUUUGAAAUAAAUUUCAUUUUGUUUUAUUUUUGAAAACAAAACCCACCUUCCCUGCUUCUAAUUUUCCCCUAAACCCACGCUGCCAAUCCAUAAUUUUGUUAUUUGAUUUUAUUCUUCUUCAUUUCUUUUGUUUCUUGCUUGAAUUUCCUUUAAUCUUUUGGGCUGUCUUUGUGUUUUUAUUCGUGGAUUCUACUCUAUUCUCCAUUGACGAUCUUGCUUCCUAUUUGUUCUUACUUUUGAGUUUCGUCAGGUAAAUUGUUGUGCUUUCUUUAGUAAGUUCGAAUUUUGGGAGUUCUGUUUCAAAUCUUGAUGUAGAAAUUUUGUUUUUAUGGGGAUAGUGAUUGUAGUUCGGUUAGAGGUUUGUUGAGACUUGAUUAAUUUAGUAGGGUUUUCAUUGUUAGGUGAUAAUUCUGAAACGCUUAGCCUUACUUCAGCAUCGUAAUUUUGUGAGGUUGUUGCUUGUUUAAUGGUAAGAGUAUGGAGGUGUUUUGGUGUAUUGGAAGAGUUCAAUUCUUGGUUAUUUCGUGUCUCAUUACUGUUAUUAGUCGUAUUAUAUGUCGUAUUUAGGUCUUAGGAGUUUUCUGGUUGCAUUCUCAUCGAAUUUUAACUAGAUAUGUAAUGAGAAAACCGAAAAUUAGUGAUCGAUGAAAGUCAAAAAGGCAUCCUGUCAAUGCCACACGAUUGUGUGGUAGGUCGUGUGUGACACACAACCAUGUGACAGGUCAUGUGUUGAGCAUGUAUGACACAUGGUUUGGGCCAUUUGGCCCAUGUGGAUCACACGGGCGUGUGUGAGGUUGUGUGGACCACACAAGCUGGCUAUUUGGGUCAUGUGGGACACACGGGUGAGUGGGGGACAAAAAUAUGAUAUUUUUAAAUAUAUAUAAAGAAAAUAAUACUUUUUAUCUUGAAAUGUGAAAUUUCGAUUUGCUUUUGAAUCACAAUUUCAUGUGCACAUUGCACUUGAUUAUAUUGAAAGUUUUUGACGUCAUCCUUUGUUCAAUAUGAAUUGCCAUGAUGACAGGAACAUUGUAUUGAAAACCCCCCAACUAAUUUAGCAAGCUCAUGGUUCUGUACUUCAACUUGAAUUAAGCCCAUCCCACUCAAUUUGACUUUCUUUGGAUAUUAGCUUUAUUUGUUAAUUAAUUAAGAAUUAAGCUUCAUUCACUUAAAGUCCGAGUAGGAGUUAUAGCCCCAUGAGAUUUGUCAACCCAACCAUUAUACAAAUUUAGCAUACUUGGGUCAUUGAAAUGCACCAAUUCAAAGCAGCGUACUUCUAGAUAAAAUAUAUUCUUAGGGCAAGAAUUUAUUAAUGGUCCCUAGCCAUACACCCAGUAUCCAUGCAUUAUAAAUUGCUAUCUUCCAAAUGUUACCAUGGCCUCACAUGCAAUCUUUGACACUUUGACAUGCAUUAUUUUGCAUGCGUUUCAUGCGAUUUCGCUUUUUGUUUAACAUCCAAAUAACUUAUGCAUCAAAAAGUUAGAUAUAAUUAAGAUAUUCGAUAUUUCAAAAUUAGAACAUCAAGAUAUUUCAUAUAUCUGUUGUGGAACAUCAAAAGUUAAGCAUCAAGACAUCCCAUAUGUUGGUUUGGAGCAUCGAGAUAUCUCUUUGUAUAGAAGCUCCAUAUAUAUACUAUUUGUUUAUGGUUGAUUUAGUUUUUCUAUUAUAAUUUGAUUGCUUUUAAGCUUUAUUUUUCGAAAUGUGUAUAUUCAAUAUUUUGACCAAUAUUUUCUUUAGCUCCAGAGGAGAAUGUAAGAGGGAUGGUAGGGGCCCGGCCCCUUAAAAUAAAAAAUUAUUAUUUUAGCUCUUUAGAAAAUUUCAAAAUUUCAAAAUAGUAAAUCUAAACUUGCAUUUUAGCCAUCUCUAAAAUUAUUAAAAUUUAAUUUAAUCUUUUAAAAGUUAUAAAGAUAAUAAACUAUCAUUUCGACCCCAAUUUUUUUUUUUUUAACUUCCCUCAUGUUUAGUUCCAUUAAAAAAUUUAAUGUGACUUACCUUUUAAACCGCAUGAUGAUAUAACAUAUAUAUAUAUACCUUAUACUUUUUGCACAUUGGGACACUACAAAAUAAGGGGGGGGGGGGAGAGAGAGAGAGAGGGGGUAAAACAUUUAUCAAGCUAAACGGAAAUAUCAAUAUGUAUAUAUGCCUCCCUACAAGCAAGGGUGAAUUUGUAAAUUUUCAUUUAAAUCUUUUGAGGUUUUUUAAAAUUUUAUUUUAGGGUAAAUUACGAGAAUAGUUAGCCUACUAUUCAGUUAUUCAGUUCAUUCUAUUUUCGUUAUCUCACUAUUAAAUUUUUCGUUUUAGUCACUUAACUUUUCAAAAUUAAAUAUUUUAGCUAUUCUUCCGUCAGAUGCUUAAUGAAAGUCUAACAUGGGUUCUAUUUUAUUGGCCUAAUAAAAAAUUUAGCCCUACAGUGUUUACAAGAUUUGUUAUUUUAAUUCUAAUUAUAAAAAUUUUAAAAAAGUAAAAAAGUAGAUAUAAAUUUUAAAUAUUUCAAAAACAAAAUAUAAUAAUAUUUUAAAGAAAUUUGUACCCAAAACGAAUUUCAACAAUAUUUUCCACUUUGUUCUUUCUUUGAUUCAAUUGACGAAGUUGAAAAAUAUCAAGUGUCAUGUCUUUAAAUGCUAUUUUUGUAGCAAAGAGUAAGAUUGUCGAAGUUAGUGUCAUUAAUCCAAUCAUUUUUUUUGGGUUUAUAAAUUUGUUAAUUUUGAGCUUCUUUCUAGGUUUUGAUUAGGCAUUUGAACAAACAAUAUGACAAAAGAAAAAGGGACUAAAUUAAAAGAGAUUGAAUCAAAAAAAUAUCUUUAAUUUAUGGGUUUUUCAUGUGUUUGAUUGAUGAGAAAAUGAGCAUGGUUGAUGAGAAAAAGUAAAUAUAAAUUUUAAAAAUUAAAUAUAAAAAUAUUUUUAAGAUUGUUUAAAUAUAUUUAUAAUUUUUAGAAUUAGGACUAAAAUGAAUUUUUUUUAAACAUUCAUGGCUAGACUUGUUGAAAAUUUUAGAUUUAGGAUCAAAUUUGAAAUAAUUUGUAAAUACUGGAGGGCUAAAUUUGUUAUUAGGCUAAUAAGAAAACCCAUAUUAGACUUUCAUUAAACGAUAAGAGUGACUAAAAUAUUUAAUUUAGAAAAAUUGAGUGACUAAUUAAAUAAAAAAUUAAUAGUUGGGUGACCAAAAUAGAACAAACUAAAUAGUUAGUAGACUAUUUUUGUACUUUACCCAUUAUUUUAACCUUAUAAUUAAUUUCUAAAAAUAUGAUAAUUUGUGUCUAGCUUCCCAUUAUAAGAAUUCAACCCUAACCCGAGUAUAAACAAGUACUAUUUUUAUCAAAGACUUUUGUAAUUGAAGAACAUGGCUUCCUUUCCCUAAAUUUAUAGGGUAAUCUAGUAUAAAUAUGCAGCUUAAAUUAAACACCCUCUCCACCUUCCCUUAGCUUGUACUCUUUUGUGCAAAUAUUCCCUUCCAUUUGAGAAACAAUGGCUUCUAACACUCUCAACCUCAUUGCCAUCCUCUCGCUUACCAUCUCAAUCCUCUUAUCUUUGUAUCCUCAACCAGCCAUUUCAUUCCAAAUGGAAGAUUUCGACGGCGACGAAGAAUAUGUGCUCGAUCAUCCUGUCAUUAUCCCUAACCUUCGAUCGAGAAGCCGGUUCUUAAAGACCUCGCCGACGAAAGAUAAGAUCAGGAAAGGUGCCGAUUGUGAUCCUCACCCUUCUCUAAACAUAUGCAAGGGUAUUUCCGCAAACAACGGGACCAGUCUACUGUAUUGCUGUAAGACGCAUUGUCGUAACGUGCUUAGUGAUCGGAACAACUGCGGAAAAUGUGGCAACCGGUGCAAGUUCGGGCAACGUUGCUGCGGUGGAGUUUGUACUAAUGUUGCUAACAACGUCAACCACUGUGGCAAGUGUGGCAAUCAGUGCUCGUCUGGAGUUCAGUGUGAUAAUGGAUUUUGUGGUUAUGCUUAGGUCUAAGUAUUAUAAUGGUUUUUAUCAAAAUAUAUUUUCCAAUCGAAAAUGCUUUGUCUAGGGGCCGUUUUGAUUAUGAAUAACACUUCGUUAUCUACAUGUAUUUUUUGUAUAAUGGGGGGAGAAUAUACACAUAUUUUAUGGUGCUGUAAUUGAUUUUAGUAAUGGUUUUUAUCUAUGUUAUACGAUAUUUUCUUUUAAAUUUUAAGUAGACAUAUCCUCUAUUUAUUUGUUAAAUUUGCUGUUGUGAUAAUUUAAAAUUAUAAAAAAUACUCACUCGGUAUUCAUGUAAUAAAAUGACAUUGUAAUGGGCUUAAAUUUAAUAGAAAAUUUAACAGUGUUAGCAAUUCUUAAAAAUUCACAUCAACAUCUUAAUCGAAAUAAAGUAUUUAGACUACCUAAUGGCAUUAUAAGAGGUUUUUCCUUUGGACUAAAUUAUAGAAUAAAUAACUGAAUAUUAAAAUAUCCUUUAAGUCUCUACAUUUUUUGAAUAUUUAAAAUUUAGUCUUCAUAUACUUUUAUUUUUAAAAAUUCAAUCUCUCUAUUUUUCGAAUUUAAAAAUUUAGAUCCAAUUGUUAACACCAUCAAAUUCUUAUGCUCAAAUCGAUGGUAUGACAUUUUGAAAUAAAAAAGAAAAUAUAUUCACUUAGUAGUCAUGUAACAAAAAAAAAAGACAUUACAAUGGCUUGAAUUUAAUAUAAUUUUAAUAGUGUUGACAACUAUUAGAUGUUACAUGAACAUUUUAAUCAAAUUAAAGUAUUUGAGUUGAUCAAUGACAUAUUGUAAAAAUUGAGGUACCAAAUCAUGUCAAAAGUUGAAGUAUAAAGAUUAAAUCUUAAAUUUGAGUGUAUUAUAAAGAUCAAAAUUGAAAUUGAACCAUUAUUAUAAUCUUAAUUUUGAGUAUAGGAUAGGGGCUAAACUUGAAAAAUGACCAUUUUCCUAUAUAAUGCAGAGGCAGAGAGAGAGAGAGAGAGAGAGAGAGAGAGAGAGAGAGAGAGAGAGAGAGAGAGAGAGAGAGAGCAAAACUGGAAGCUGCAUGUCAGUCUUUAAGACUAUUAAGGUAUUCAAAUUAGAUAUAACUACAAAUUACAAAACGUUUUAAUCGAAAAGUUAACAAUAUUAACUAUUUGGAUUAAUUAACAAAAAUAUGAAAUAUUUGGGCUAAACUUGCAAGGCAUAUGCAUAUACAUAUACAUAUAUAAGUUUUUAUUUUUUAGUUUCUCAUUUCCGGUAAAUUUAUAAUAAUUUAUACCAAUUAAAUUAAAUUAAAAAUAAUUUUCUAUAAAAAUAUCAAUAGGACAUAUGGUAAAAUCUUGGUCUUGCUUUUGGAGUUAAAAUUUUUCACCCUAUGUUCCAAAUAAUUACCCUUUUUAAAUAAAAUGACGAACAAUAAUAUUAGGCAUAUAUUGUUUUAGGUCAGAUUAUGAUUAUAGUCUCUCUACUAUGUUUAAAUUUAAAAUUUAGUAUCUAUUCUUUAAAUUGAUAAAAUUUGGUUCCACUAGAGAAUAUCAUUAGUUAGUUGAAAAUUUGAAAUAAUUGAUUAGUUGAAAUUUUGAAAUAAUUGACACCUUUAAUUAUUCAGGUCAAAAUGUUGAGGACAAUUUAUUUUUCUUAAAUAUACCUAUUUCAACUUCAUGUAAAUAAUUGAACCAAAAAAAAAAACUCCAUGUAAAUAAAUAUAUAAAUGUAUUUCGUGCGCCUCCCAUUAGCAACACACAGUAUCCAUGAAAAUCGUCGUCUUAUUGGGCGUCCUUCAUGAACGAAAAUCAUGAGAAUGAACCAAAAAUGUUACCAUGCAUUAUAUAGUAUAAAUUGCUCUCUUCUUCUUCUUCUUCUUCCAAAUGGUACCAUGGUCUCAUAUGCAUUACAAUGCAUAAAGUCGAUUUUCUUUAUUUUAAUUUUUUUAUGAAUUUUUAAUAAUUUUUAAAUAUAUAUAUAUAAAGAAAAUAACAUUUUUUUAUCUUUUUUUUUAUUGUAUGACUAUUUUUAAUGGAUUAUCAUUUUUUAAAGAAACUUAACGAUUUGAGUAACUAUUGAAUUAACAAAGGCACAACAUGAAAAAAAAAAAGUUUAGAUACUACUUAUGAUUAAAAAAAUGUUUAGGCACCAAGAGUGGAAAAUGACAUAGUUUAGGUAUCAAUUUAUUAGUUAAGACUCUUUUUAGAAAUAGACUUAUCAAUUUGGCUAACGGUUUGACUAACAAAAAUACCGAUUUAAAAAAAAAAUUAUUUAGGUAUCAAAAUGUAAAAAGGGUAUAACUUAGGUAACAAUUCAAGGUUAAACUUUGUUUUCAAUGCAAGUUCAAAUUUGGUGCAUUAUGAAAUUCGAAACUUGUCAACUUUUUCCCCUCAUGGUGCGUCUUUUAUUAAGGUAGCCUAAUGCUUUAUUUGUUUGCAUGUGUGACUUGUGACAAUGUUUGAGACGAAUUCCCUACCUUGCGAGCCUCCGUUUAUUGCGUAACUCCAUAGCACAUGCAUCUUGUUUCAGUAUCGGAAAUAUCUCAUAUAUCAGAAGUGGAAUUUUAAUAUAUUUCAUAUUUUAGAUUUGGAUCAGCGAGAUAAUUUAUUUAUUUGUUGUGGAGAAUAAAAAAGAAGCAUCAAGACAUUUCAUAUAUAAGUUUGGAGCAUCAUAUCUAUUUAGGGGUGAGUAGAACUCGACUUGAAUUGACAAGUUGAUUUCUCUUUCAAAUUUCGAGUUAAUUGAAUUUAGUUUUCAAUUUUCCUAAUCAACUCAAAUAAGUAAAUUGGGUUUUUGAGUUCAAGUUAAGUUGAAAUUUAUAAUUUGAUUAACUCGAAUAAUUAGUAUAAAAAAUUGUUGUAAUUGCCCAAUAAGUUGUUUUCAAUUUCGUAUAGCUGGAUUACUUUGGUUUUUUCUCUUUUCUUUUUUCAUUUUAACAGUUUUCAAGUAUUAUGGUCUCAAAUUUAUUUGCUAUAACGUGGAAUUUGGUCAUUUUGUCAAUAAGUUCUUAAUUUGGCCUUUUAAAAAGAACUCAAACAUAUUUAGCCAAUUUGACUCGACUCGACUUGAAUUUCAUUUCAACUGACUUGGUUCGAAAAAAUUCAAAUUAGCUAGGAUGAUAAAUUAGAGAGAGAGAGAGAGAGAGAGAGAGAGAGAGAGAGAGAGAGAGAGAGAGAAAUGCAUGGGUGUUUGGAUCUAGUGCCCUUAGUAUAGUAUUUUCAACUAUAUAUAUUUUUCGAACAAAUUGAUUUAAUAGAAUAUUCAUCAAUUUCAUUAAUAUCUUCAAUAUCUUGUCCUCAAUGAUUUUUGUACGUAAAGCAAAAUUAAAAUAAAUACUAACUCAUUGAUUACCUAACAUUUAAUUGAUACUAAGCAAUAUUACGUGGUCGGAUCAUAAUGCAAAAAUAAACAUUAUUUUUAUUCUACUAGUUCAACCAGAAUUUUUCCAUCUCUCUCUAUAAAUAAAUGGCACUAGUAGGGCUUUAAUCAUACCAACAAAAUACACACACACACACACACACACACACACACACACACACACACACACACACACACAAGUUUAACAUAAGUUCUCAAUAUUGUUAUUCUGGCAUAGAGUAGUGGUAAUUUAUUUUUUAUUUGUCAUAAGUUGAUAUGUCAAAUUAGGCUCCACAUUUAACAAAUUGCUUUCGAGCAAUUUAGUGGUAUUUAUCGUAUUUUUAGUUAGUUUUAGUUCUUUGCACUAAUAAGUGAAUUAGUGUGCAUUUUAUGCUAUUUUGAGAACCGAGAUGGCAAAUUGGCAUAUAGGGCAUCUGGCAAGGUUGGUGAGUAAUGCGGAGAGUCCACGGUGACCCGAAUAGAGUGAGGAAAUCAUCAAGAAGGGGGUGUCGCGAUAUCAAAGCAUCAAAGUCAUGAUACCCCUAAUAGUGUUGAAAACAAGGAAGAUUGAGUCACCAAUUGUGGUAUUGCGAUAACCAAAACUUUCAAUGACCCCCAUUUCAAGACUAUUGUAGUUAUCGCGAUACCAGGCUCUAGGUAUCGUGAUAUCAGUAUCGAUACCAGGCUCUGGGUCGCGAUAUCACUAUCGAAGUGAGACAAAAAUUGACCACAAGGGUAGUCAUUGUCCAACAUGUCCUUCAACCAAAAUUAGUGUGACACCCCAAAAUUAGUAUUUAUAGUUUGGUAGAUUUUAUCAAUAGUAAGUAUUUGUUUCGGUGAUUAAGGGCUUUAAUUAUGUGUUUACGGUAUUGGGUUCAAAUCUCAAAAUUCAAUUAUUUUUAUUUCUAGGCCGAUCUUUGUUCGUUGGGCUUAAAAGUUAUUUUCAGUUGAUUCAUAUUAGAAAAAGCUUAUUGGCUUGGGUGGUAAAAUGUUUACAAGUUUAUUUUGUGGUUUUGUGUUCGAUUCUUUGUGUGUGCAAGUUAGUAGUAUUUUUUGCUAUUUUUGAUUGGGUUGAUCAUUUAAUUGUUGUGGUCUAAUUGAACUCUAUCUAUAGGAAAAAAAAUUUGAUUUGUUAAAAAAAAUUUGAAUUGGUUUUAAAUGGGUUUUGUUUUAAAAUAGAUAAAAUAGGUUGUUUUUAUCUUGUUACUUUUGAAAUCAAUUUCAUUUUUGUUUUAUUUUUUUUAUUUUUGAAAACAAAACCCACAUUCCCUACUUCUAAUUUUCCCCCAAACCCACGCCGCUAAUACUAAAUGUUGUUAUUUGAUUUUAUUCUUCUUCAUUUCUUUUGUUUCUUGCUUGAAUUUCCUUUAAUCUUUUGGGCUGUCUUUGUGUUCGAUUCAUGUAUUUUACUCUGUUCUCCUUUGACGAUCUUGCUUCCUAUUUGUUGUUACUUUUGAGUUUCGUCAGGUAAAUUGUUGUGCUUUCUUUAGUAAGUUCGGAUUUUGGGAGUCCUGUUUUAAAUCUUGAUGUAGAAAUUUUAUUUUUAUAGGGAUAGUGAUUGUAGUUCGAUGACAGGUUUGUUGAGACUUGAUUAAUUUAGUAGGGUUUUCAUUGUUAAGUGAUAAUUCUUAAACGCCCAGCCUUCCUUCAGCAUCGUAAUUUCGUGAGGUUGUUGCUUGUUUAACGGUAAGAGUAUGGAGGUGUUUUAGUGUAUUGGAAGAGUUCAAUUCUUGGUUAUUUCAUGUCUUAUUACUAUUAUUAGUCGUAUUAUAUGUCGUAUUUAGGUUUUAGGAGUUUUGUUGUUGCAUUCUCGUCGAAUUCGAACCAGAUGUGUAAUGAGAAACCCGAAAAUCAGUGAUUGAAAAAAGCCCAAAAGGCAUUCUGUCGAUGAAUACGACUGUGUGGUAGGUGAUAGGUCGUAUGCUGGAGCAUGAGUGACACACGGUCUGGGCCGUUUGGGCUGUGUGGAUCACACGGGCAUGUGUGAGGUCAUGUGGGCCACACAAGCUGGCUAUUUGGGUCAUGUGGGACACAAGGGCGAGUGUGGGCCAAAAAUAUGAAAUUUACCUUAGGGCUGUGUGCAAGAUUCGAUCGAAUAAGGCCUUUCGUAUGGUCGGUAUGUGAGUAAAUGCACUAAAAAACAUGAAAUCUGGACAUCCAAUUGUAUAGUAUCUACUAUUUGCAAGAGUAACUAAGAUGUCGAAUGAUAAAUAAACCCUGAAGUUUAUGUUAAGUAUAUGAUUUGUAUCUGAUAUGUUGUGCAUGUAAAACUAUGGCAUGUAUAAUUUCUGCUCUGGACUUGUAUGACAUUUAGUAUAUUCUGUAUCUGUAUCUGGGUUGGGUUGUAAAUACCACGUAGAGGAAGUGAUUCUGCAAAAAAAGCUAUAAAUCACCUAUUGGUCCGGCAGCUCAGCUGCAACUAUUUUGUAAAGUGUCAUAUUAACACUAAGUGGUGUGUAGGGAUGGAUGGGUGUUUUAUACUCAUAUGGUGUGUUGGGAUGUUCAAAGAUGGUGUGUAGCGGUUGGGGGUAGGAUUAUAUGUCAUAUCUGUUCUGUUCUAUUAUAAAUAUGUUUAUGAUAAAUCCGUCUAAUAUACAUCUAAUUGCUUUAAGUAUUCGAUAUACACUAAGUUUUAAAAACUCACUUUUUGUUUGACUGAUAUUUUCAGGUAAUCCUCAGGCUUAGGUGGAUCGGUGCAAGCGAGAGCUCAAUUAAUGUCAUAAUCUAUUUAAAUUGAUUUAUUUAAGUUGUGGUAUUUUGAUUUUGUAAAUUUUUGGACUUUGUGGACUUUUUGGAUUGUUUAGUUUAUUUUUUAAAACUUAUUCCUGUAUUUUUCUUGAUACUACUUAAAUGAUUUAGUCGACAAAAUUUGCAUUCCUACCAAAAUAAAGGGCUUUUAAACAACAAACUGUGUUUAUCAAAUAUCUGUCUUCCGUUGCGAAAUUUAUAAAUUUUAAAAAAAUAUAAAAAAACAACUUUUUUAGUAAAUAGAACAAUAAGAAAUGAUUUUGUAUAAAAUUGAGAUUUUGAAAGUUUAUGACAAUUUUCCAUUUACUCAAAAACCAAGUUUUAAAUCAUAUUAAGUAGCAACUCCAGAUUUGGCCAUAAAGUCUAGGGCGGGUUUGGAGUUUUACAAUUAGACGAUCAAGGGGAAAUUGGUCACUAUUUUUGGGUUUGUAAACUACUAGAAUAGGCCAAUAUUGGUUGAGAAAAAGGGCACACUUCAUAGUGGCUAGUUUUUACAUUUUUCUCUUUAUCUUUUAGGGUUUACUCUUCUUCUCCAUAACUAUUGAGUCUAGUUUUCAUUUUUCUCUAAUUUUACUUUGCAAUUUACUAGUUAGUUAAGUUAAUUAUUACUAUAGCUAAGAUUUAUUUAUUUGUUUAGCACGUUAAACUCUUUUGUAUCUGCACUUUAAUUCUUUAGUUUAAUACCAUUUAGCUUUGUUAUAUUUCAUCUGCUAAAAGUUUUUUUUUGUUUAACUUUCUUAUUGUCAUUUUUUUGUUCCUCAAACUUUUGCCAUUAUUUCUUAAUUAUUUGUUGUUAGUGUGUUUAAAUACGAGCAUGAGUAGCUAAAUCCUAAGUGGUUGGUUGAUGGAAAUAAUGGUUAGUUGAUUUUUGGGUUCAGGGACUGAAUCCUAAAAUUUGAACUAAAUUGAAUAGACUUCAAAAUUUAGUAUUGAUGACCCUAAGGGAAAAUUUAGAUAAGUGAGAUUGAGAGGAGAUCUUAUUAGGCAUCAAUGCAAUUGUCUCAGGUCAGUUUGGUGAGGUCAAGUGAUAAACCAGAAUAAUUUGUCUAACUUGGUACAAUUGAUACUGGGAGGUAAAAUUAAACCAAUUAAGAGUAUUAACGAUUUAGAUCCCUAGUUCAAAAGUUAACCAACAACAUGGAAAUCAACUAUGAUUUACAAUUGACACUUGCAUGUUCACCAUGUAGAAAAUUAAUUAGUUACAUAGUUUGCAUAAUUUACAAUUUAGUCAUUUUCUAUUUCUAGAUAACUAAUUAGUUUAAUUCACCACCAAUUAUGUUUUAUCAUAAUAUAAUGCUUAGUGAGUAGUUAGCAAGACUCAUUUAAUGCAUGUUUGUAGCUUAGGAAUUGCUUAAUUGCCGAUUCCUUUGGGUUCGAUCCUUGGAAUACUCCAAUGUUCCAUGAACAUUAAAAAUAUUACAACUGACCUAUCACACUUGCAGCUACCCUUUUAUAUUUAAUUUUCUUAAUGUUAAUUCCUCGCUUAGCUACAGUGUUAGCGUGCCGGAGAUUGAGGAGCGGUUAAGUAGUUGGCACCGUUACUAGAAAGACGGUGUUUGUUUAAGCAAUUUUUAGUAUUGUUGCAUGUUUCUGUUGAAAAAAAUUCAGUUUGAAAAUGGUUAAAUUCAGUUUGAAAAUGGUUUUCUUGCACAGCAAAAAUUAAAAUUUUAAAAACUGAACCGGUUUGUGAUAUAAUUAAAAAUUUUAAAACUGACUCGGUUUGUGAUAUUUAUAGUAAUAAACCCUAAUUGAAUUCAUACUUGUCUUUCCUUCUUAGUGGACGUUCGUUAUUCCCAACUUUCAACUAAAUGAUCUUCUCCGCUAUUCUCAUACCAUGAACUACUUUGAGUGUAAGCUCAAACCAAUUGAAUCAAAACACAGAACUAGAAAAAAUUUUCUUUCCUUUAUUUGGGAUGAAAACAAAAAUUCUCUCUUCUUUAAUAGAAACCGAUGGAAUUAUCUCUAUUGUUUGACAAAGUAACAAUCUCUCAAAGUCGUAUGUUAUGCUCUACUGGUGUCAUAUAUUUAUAAGAAGAGAAGGUAGAACCCUUGUUGAGUUGUAGUGAUUUAUUUCAAAUAGAAAAACAACCUACUUAGAGUAGGAGUGGGGUGGACAGCACACCCUAGUAUUCCUACUAAGAUUCCUGCCCCUUUCAUGUUAUAUGGGGUUUUGAGUCUCUCUCACAUUAGGUUCAAUUACGACUACUUCCUAGCCCUUUUGACCUAGUACUAUGUAAUGUGAUCCAACCCAAUUUGGUUUUUCUAUUUCCCAAAAUAACAUUUAAUAUUCUAUAUUAAACAAUUUUCUCAUCCAUAUUUUACCCCUAGUAAAAUUUUAAUGAUUUUACCCUGAUAAAAUUUUGGGAAAUAUGAUUAAUAUUUCACAACUCAACAUGUUCACUGUGGCUGAAUGGUUUAUUUUCAUUUUCAGGCUUCAAAACAGCUCAAAAAUAUAAACUCAUUUUUUCAAUCAUUUUUAAGUAACUCAUAUAGAAUUGCAAAUGGAUCAUUUCCAUUUCCAUUUUGGAAACCUAUAUUCAUUUCCAAAUGAUUCCAUUUCUCCAUUUCGAAAAAACCUGUAAUCAUUCUUGAAUAUUUCUUAUUUAUCUUUUUCUAUUCAUUUCAUUCAUUUCUAUUCAAACACGCAAUUCAUUUAUGAUUUCAAUGAGCUAGCAGUGGUGUAACACCCUAUAUCCAAUCCAAAUUACCUAAUAUGGAUGUCGGAUGUUACAAAACUUAAACAAUUAGCAAAACUUUUACAAUAGUCGUAAAACCAUUCUAAAACAUACUUCUCAUUCCUUAUUAUAUUGUUCCUAAAACAAAAAGAUUAAUAAAAGAUAAUGUUUAAUAAUUACAUCAUAUUUAAAAAAAUAUGAUGUUACAACUUAAAACUUUGUUAAAGACAAACUUCUUCAUGGCGUAGAGAAGUAAGCACCAUAUUCCUAUGGUGUCCUUUGUAAGCAUAAUAUCACAACUCAAAUUGCUUGGGCCCUUCUGCUAUACUAAUUCUUUAAUCAAAACUUGCAUCAUAAAUAGACGUUUUUAAGUUCAAAUGAACUUACUUAAUUUUAACCCAAGUUACCUUCGAGCGUUUAUUUUUGAAUUCCUCAACCUGAAGAUUUUAGAUUUCUUUUCAGUUUUUGGUAGAUACUUUUCUAAUAUUGGGCGCAUACAUAAAUGAUAAUUUCCACAUUUGAUCACCAUAUACACAAUUCAUUAUUAGGCAGAUUAUAGAUUUCACCACCUAAUGCGGAUCUCAUUUCCUUUUUGGAAAAUGAAUGCAUUCCCCAUAAGGAUAUUCAUACAGAAUCUACCUUUGGCAGAUUCUCACAUAGACAUAUGUUGAACACUUCACCUAGAAUGGUGUACUCAUAGAUAUAAUUCUUGGCAGAUACUUAUAUUGAUUGAUAUCUUAAGAUGAACUUUAUAUGGAUCCUACCUUUGGCGGAUUCUUAUAUUGAUUUUGAUGGUUAUCGUGAUACUAGUCAGAUCAUAACUUAAAUCAUCCCAGACCACAAACUUAUUCUAAUGGAUGAAAUAUUCUAAGUCAUCUCAUGGAAUCCAAGACAACCAUGUUAUAUAUUAUGUAAACGCCCAGGUUUUGCGGACAACUUAGACUUCAUAUAACCUCUAUACAUAUUGUGAAAACGCUAAGAUUUGGUGGAUACUAUAGUAUUUAGAUAACUUCCAUACAUAGUGUAGACAAACUUAGGUCUGACGAACACUUAGACCACCCAUAACUACGAAUACACCAAGUUCUCUAUAAUGACAAGCUACUAUGACAAAUUCACUUUUCAAAAACAUUGCUGGGAACUCUUUUUAGGAAAUGCCCUUAGGGCAUAUUCAAUUUUUGCCACAAGGCUAUCCAAAUAGGGAUAUCUUCAAACUUACCCAGAUCUCUAUCAUAGAGCCAACUAGUGGAGAAGUCUCAAAGCUUACUCAGAUCUCGCCAAAAAGACGAUUAUCCAGAUUUCACCUCCAGGGCAUUACAGAAUACGCCAUAAAGGCAUCAAAUAAUUCUUCUUACCCUAUUGGUUUUCCAAAAAUGGUCUUGACCAUGGUCUUUCCACAUAUCUUUACACUGGCCUAUUCUUGUGUUUACUAUCCAAGUGGACUUCGUGUUUCCAGUUUUAACAAACUACAUUCUCACCAUAAUGGCCUUCAUUUUUACUAUCUCGAUAAACAUCAUCAAAUACCACCACGGGGUCUAAUAUCGUAUCAUAUAUUUUCCCAACACUUCACCAAACCUCUAUUCUCUAACUUCUUAGUAUGCAUUUCUCAUUUAACAUGGGACACACUUACUUAAAUUUCAUUCAUACUCCUAAUAGAUUCAUGCUUUCCAAUACCUAAUUUCACAUGCAUGCAUAUCACACAUCAUCUUGUUCAUUUAGCACAUCAUAUACCUCAUUUGCAAACAUGCAGAGGCUUUAGAUACUUCACAUACACAUACACUCGUUAGUUAUCCAAGAAGACAUCAAAAUAUGAAUAACCAUUGUAAAUUGACCGUUCUAGUAAAAGCAUUUCCACCAAUAUCACAAUCAUUGGAUGCAAUAAUUUUAGGUGGAAACGAUUGCAAACCAUGACUGUGUAUAUUAAAUGCAUCCCACAACAUACCUUCCAUGUCAGCUUCUCUAACAGGCUGAUGGUAAGCAUUAUGAGGAUAAGCCGGAUUAAUCGUUGAAGAGGUUCUACGAGGUGUACACUCUCCAUGAAAAAUCCAUUUUUUAUACCCCCGAAUAAAGCCAUCAAUAAUUAGAUGUUUGUAGACAACUUUAGGAAAAUGCCAAUUGAUGUUGCCAAACUUCUUACAUGGCCAAAGAAUCAUAUUCUCGUGGCUUGUAUUUUGAAAUGCAAAAUUUAGAAAAGUUUGUACUCCAUUUCAAUAGUCGUUACUUACCAUUGAUAAAUCUAUUUCGUAGUUCUUGAAGUCUAAAGUUGAUAAUAAAUUAUGGUUAGUUAAGUGUUCUAAAUAGAUUCAAAUCAUGUCAUUGUACUAAAAUAGAUAAUAUAUAUGUCAAGAAUCAAGUGUCUAAUUAUUUAAAAUAUAUAUAUCAAUGACAACAUUUUACGUUUGGAUACGCCAAAUUUGCUAUAAAAAAUUUAUAAGAAUAAUUAAGAGUGGGGAAAAACAAUAGUGUUGCCCUAAUUUCUGUGAUUUUUAUAUAUUCUGAUCCAAAGUUUUAUGUAAGUUAUGAUAUAAUAUAUUUUUUAUAUUCUCUAAAUGUUAGAAACUACAUUUUUUUAUAUUCUUUAAAUGUUUAUGUAAAUUAAUCGAAAAUUAAUUAAUUAUUCAUAAAAUUAUUAUGAAAUAUAAUUGUUUAUUUAAUUAAUAAAAAUAAUUAAUUAUUCAUAAAAUUAUUAUGAAAUAUGAUUAUUUAUUUAAUGAAUCAAAAAUUAAUUAAUUAUUCAUAAAAUUAUUAUGAAAUAUGAUUAUUUAUUUAAUUAUUCAAAAAUUAAUUAAUUAUUCAUAAAAUUAUUAUGAAAUAUGAUAUGGUUAUUUAUUUAAUUAAUCGAAAAUUAAUUAAUUAUUCAUAAAAUUAUUAUGAAAUAUGAUAUGUUUAUUUAUUUAAUUAAUCAAAAAUUAAUUAAUUAUUCAUAAAAUUAUUAUGAAAUAUGGUUAUUUAUUUAAUUGGUCAAAAAUUAAUUAAUUAUUCAUAAAAUUAUUAUGAAAUAUGAUUAUUUAUUUAAUUAAUCGAACACUAAUUAUUCGUACAAUUAUUAUGAAAUAAGAUUAUUUAAUUAAUUAAUUGGAAAUUAAUUAAUUAUUUGUAAAAUUAUUAUGAAAUAUGAUUAUUUAUUUAACUAAUCAAAAAUUAAUUAUUCAUAAAAUUAUUAUGAAAUAUGAUGAUUUAUUUAAUUAAUAAAAAAUUAAUUAAUUAUUCGUAAAAUUAUUAUGAAAUAUGACCCAGCAUUUUGGGUCAACCCACGUGAUCUUAUCUUCUCUACAAGUAACCCACACAAUUAACUUGGUUCAUUAUAUAAUAAGGCAAUGGAUUAUCACUAUCAUUAGGAAUAUUUUGGUUUUAAAUAUAAAACGUGUAUCUAGUUAGUAGAGAAAAAAAUUAAAAUUUGGGAAUACUUGGAUUGAGAUGGGAAAAUUAAUAUAUACAUUUUGGUAAGUUAAAAAGGAAAAUGUGGGAGUGGUUAGUAACUAACCAAACCAAGUGAUGCCUAACUUUGGAUGGAAAUGUCCAACAGGAAACUUGGUCAAGGAUAAGCUAUUUAUGUACAUACAAUAUUGUCAACUAUACUAAUAUUUUACUAUUGGUAGCAGCAUGAAUUAAGAGGGUAGAACAAGCUGAAAGCAGAAAAAAUCAAAGAGACAGAGAGACGAAGGCAACAUAAUUGUUAGUAUAAAAUGAAAAGAAAGUAAGUAGUCGUAAAGAAACUAUCAGCAAAAAAAUAUAUAUAUACUGCAGCAAGAACUACCUACCUGUGUUUCAGCAAUCGACUUCCUUAGAAGUUCUUCCAAUAGAUAGUGCACCUAAAGAUCAAAGCACAUGGCAUUCAACUGUCAGAAUAAGAGUCGUAUAGAAAUUUCACUUUUAGCAAACUUAAAAAAGAACCAAUAGAAUUUAACCAAUUCGAAAGUUUAAAAAUUUAUCUACUACACAUAACUAAAAUUAACCAAUUCAAAAACAAUAAUAAAUAAGUGUUACACAUAUCAUAUGCAUGGUUUCUUUUAAAUAAGUGUUACACAUUCUAGUUGGCAACAUGUGCUAGCAGUGCCACCACACCCCUGAAAUCAACUAAACUAAGAACUCCCAAUAUCUUACUCUUGUUUCAGUAUAAACUAAGAAAAAACAUGAGAUUAGAACUAGAUGAAAAUGGCCAAAUUCAAAUGCAUUCAAUAAACUAAUUAAAAUUGUUGGAUUGUGCGGUAAGGAUUUAGAUUUCUUAAGCAUCAUUUCAAGUUUCAAUCUUGUAAAACAGUGUUGAAAGAAUUUUUUGAAAAGAAAUCUGACCUAAUUCAGUUUCACAUAUAAUAAAAAAAUUUUAAGAUAAAAAAAUUCCAAUUAGCUAUGAACGUAUAAUAACUAAAUUCACAAUUUACACAGAACUAAUAACAAAAUUUUAACCUACAAACAAUGAUUUCAUUCUCAAUUCACGGCUCUAAAAUAUGAACAAUUCUUAAAUGAAUACAACUGUAAAACAAUUGGCCUUGGUUACAACAUUUUGGUCUUUCCCAAACAUUUCAAGAACUUUGUCUAUAUAUGGUUUUCUAACAGUAAUUAAUUAACAUAAAGUUGUCAGGUUUUUUUCAUUUUUUUUUUGUAAACACAAAUCGAGCAGUAAUUAGAAGCCUAAUUAUGAAGCAAAAAAAUACACCUGCAAGCCCAAGCUAAAAGAAGAGAAAAGAAAGGCUGAAUAUGAGAGAAAACAUAUGAUUUUCAAACAAAACCAGAAGAAGAAAAACCUGAAGAGAAAGAAGAGCUACUCUCCAUUGGUGUUGAAGGGACCGUUUUAUGCAAAUCAGUUUCUAAUUACUGCCCCAUAGCAGGUAAUGCAGCUUUGAACAUUGUGUAUAUAGUACUAAGUUUGGUUCAAUUCUAUUUCACGCUUUUUACUAACAUAAACUUUCUUAUUUAAUAUAUUCAUGUUUUCAUAAACUAUUUCAUAAACAGAAUAACAAACUGGUAACUGUUGUUAUACGCAAAUUCAGCUAACGGUAGGUGAUCCUCUCAACUACCCCUGAAGUCAAUCACACAGCUCCUAAGCAUAUCUUCUAAAAAUAUUUGAAUAACUCGCUCAGAUUAUCCAUUAGGCUGAGGAUGGUAUACAGUAUUGAAAUCUAGUCUUGUACCUAAAGCCUUGUACAAUUUCUUCCAGAACCUGGAGGUGAAACAUGGAUCCUUCUUACAAUCUCAGACACGUAUAGUUUACCCAACUUCUGUAGCGAAUAAUCGAUUCUAAUUGCUACGCAUAACACUUACUGAAAAAGUUACAAAUUUAAUUUAAUUUAUUACAUUACAAUUUAUAUAUGUAUCAACAUAAAUAAACAUAUAACAUUAAUCUAUUGCUAAUUUAAUAAAAAUAAUCAAUUUUACAUUAAUCGAAAUUUCACUAUUGGUAGUAAUAAAAAUAAAUAAAAUAAGAAGCAUUCAUAUAUAAUAUAAAUUUUAUUAACAAUUAUUUAAUUAUACAUUAAAGUAUAUAUAAAAUAUUAUAAUAUUCAAUAAUAAAAAGCAGCCAGGUACAUAUUUUUGUUCAAAAAAAAAACAUCAAUGUUAACGGUAAUUAAAAUAAAUAUAAACAAUUAAUAUUUUUAAUAAAAAAGAUAAAAUAGUUGAUUUAAUAAUUGUUAGUUUUAUUUUAGAAGAAAUAUGCCAUAACUAAAGAGGCAAAAAGAAUGAAUAAAUUUAUAUUUUAUCAACAAUAAUUUAUUUUAUCAAUGUAAAUAUAAAAAAUCUCAAUAUUUAAUUUAAUAAAAAUGAGCAAUAAAGGAAUUUUAUUUAACAAGGACAUUGACUUUAAUGGUAAUAAAAAUAAUUAUUACUUUAUUCUAAUAAAGAAAACAAUGAAUAACAAAAAUUUAUGAACAAUAAUUUCUUUUGUCAAUUUAAAUAUAAAAAAUAACAAAGUAGGGUCUUUAUUUGUCAUCCGCUAAAUAACAAAUGCAACUAAUGAUGAAGUGCACAUUAAAGUUAAACCAACGAUUUGCCUUCGCUUUUUCUUCAUCCAAAUUGUUUUUUUGCUUUCAAAUCCUCAAAUCUGUGUUUGUGAUCAUUUCCACUAAUUGUUUUCAGUUCACAUUUUCUUGUAUUCUUGUAUUCUGAAAAGCAAACUUUCUUCUUACCUUGAUUUCCACUUCGAAAAAGAAACAGCGCAGAGAAUUGUUCAGUGAAGGGAAGUUUUGAGGAACUGCUCCUCAUUAUUGUUGGAUCUAAGUGCUACAGCAGCAAGCUUCAACAGAAUGCUUGUCGAGCAAGUCUCGUGACUUGCAGCAGAAACAAAGCAGAAAACUCAAAUAGAUUUUGAAGCAAAACUAAAAAUGGAGAGCAUAUGGAUGAAAACUUGUUGAAUUCAUUCAAAAAACUGAAUAUGGCUUAAAGCCAAUACAUAAACAAGCUUACAACUUGAAAAAACAGUAGGUUAACCUAAACUUCACCUACUACCACUAACAAACUUAGUAACUUGAGCUAAUUAACUUGUACAAAUCAAAAAAGCUGAUUAAUCAGCUCAAUCACCAUCAGUUUUACAUCAAAUAUAAACCUAACAUAGUUGAAAUACAACUAAGUUACAUUGCAUUAACUUAAAAAUACAAAAUAAGUGAAAACACAGCUUGCUGGCUUGAUGAACUUGCAGCUUCUGCAUGUAGUGCCCUCGACAGUCUUGGUUGCUGCAUGCUGACCAUUGCUUCAACACUCCUCCUUGGUUAGCAUGUUGCAAACUCCCAUAUUAGUUCUUAGGUGUUGAAACUUGGAAACACUGAGUGUCUUUGUCAAAAUGUCAGUAGUUUGCUCUUCAGAACUACAAUGAACUAAUUUGAUAACAUGAGCUUGCUCCAUUUCUCGAACUGCAUGAAGUUUGAUGUUGAAAUGCUUGGUCCUUCCAUGAAAGACAGGGUUCUUUGCAAUUGCAACAGCAGAUAGGUUGUCACACAUUAUCUCUGUUGCUUCCUUUUGCUCAUGGUUAAGAUCAGCUAAGAUUUUUCUAAGCCAUAUGGCUUGAUUAACUGCUGCAGCAGCAGCUAUAUAUUCAGCCUCUGCAGUAGAUUGUGCUACUACUGCCUGUUUCUUUGAACUCCAGCAAAUCAUACCAGAGCCUAGGUUGAAUGCAUAACCUGUUGUGCUCUUCAUAUCAUCCAAAGAACCUGCCCAAUCACUAUCACAAUAGCCAACUAACUUUAAGUUCUCAGCCUUGGUAAAUUGCAUUCCAUAGGACAAAGUUCCCUUGAUGUAUCUUAGAACUCUUUUUGCAGCUCUAAAGUGACUUUCAUUUGAGCAAUGCAUGAACCUUGAGAGUAGACUCACAGCAUACAUUAUAUCAGGUCUGGUAGCAGUCAAAUACAACAAACAUCCAACUAAACUUCGAUAGGUUGUUUCACAGACCUUUUCAUGCUUAUCUUGGCUCGACAGUUUUUCUCCAACAGCAAUUGGUGUGCUGGUUGCUUUGCAAUUCUCCAUUGAGAAUUUGUUGAGAACCUUCAUAGCAAAGGUCUUUUGACUAAGCCAAAUUCCAUUUUCAGCUUGAGUUACUUCCAUGCCUAAGAAGUAAGACAUCAAUCCCAAGUCAGACAUCUCAAAGUGCUGUUGCAUUUUAGCUUUAAAGCUGCUUAGCAUCUCUCGAUCUCCUCCUGUCACCAGUAAGUCAUCGACAUAUAUUGACACAAUGAGCUGAAUUUCAGUAUUAGUCAAUUUAACAUAGAGAGUUGGCUCACUUAGACUUCUCUCGAAUCCCAAACUGGUCAGAUAUCCAUCAAUUCUGCUAUACCAGGCCCUUGGAGCCUGUUUCAAGCCAUACAAGGCUUUGUUGAGUUUGUACACCAUUUCUUCCUUGCCAGACACCUUGAAACCUUGAGGUUGCUCCACAUAAAUCUCCUCUUCAAGGAAUCUAUUCAGAAAUGCUGAUUUUACAUCAAGUUGGUGUAUCAGCCACUGUUUUUGUGCUGCUAAGGCAACUAGCAGUCUGAUGGUGUCUAGCCUGGCCACUGGUGCAAAGGUUUCCAGGUAGUCUGAUCCAUACCUUUGACUGAAGCCUUUCACAACCAAUCUAGCCUUUAACUUUUUUAGGCUACCAUCAGCAUUAUUCUUGACUCGAUAAACCCAUUUGACACCAAUAAUCUUCCUGUUUGUUGGUCUAUCAACCAGACUCCAGGUCUGAUUCUUUUCAAUCAUCCUGAUUUCUUUAAUCAUUGCUUGCUUCCAGUCCUCCUGGCUUUCUGCUUCUUCAAAGCAACUUGGUUCAACAGUAGCCACUUGUGCUCUUUCAUAAACAUCAGCCAGUGAUCGAGUGCCUCUGAUUGGAACAUCAUCUACAUCCAUUUCAGGUGUGUUUUCAUCAUUUUCAACUUGGUCCAAUGCCAGAUCUUCAGCCACUGCCUCUGGUUCAGCCUUCUCCCAAUUCCAGUGUCCUUUUUCAUUGAAAACAACAUCCCUGCUAACCAAUAUCUUGUUUGUAGCAGGUUCUAGGAUUUUGUAGCCCUUUUUAACCAAGCUAUAGACGAUCAGGAUCCCUGAUUGAGCUCUUUUAUCUAGCUUGCUUCUCUUCUCAGCUGGAACUUGAGUGUAGCACAGACAACCAAAGGUUCUGAGAUGAGCCAGUGAUGGCUUAAACCCAAACCAGGCUUCAAAUGGAGUCUUCUUAGCCAGAGCCUUGGUUUGGAGCCUGUUUUGGAGAUAAACUGCUGUGUUAACAGCUUCAGCCCACAGAGUUUUGGGCAAAUUCUUCUCAAACAGAAGACAUCUUGCCAUGUUCAUCAAGCUUCUAUUUUUCCUUUCACUGACCCCAUUCUGUUGGGGUGUAUACACAUUAGUCAACUGGUGUUUGAUACCUGCUUCUUCACAGUAGGCUUGUAACUGAGCUGAGGUGUACUCAGUUCCAUUAUCUGACCUCAUUGCUCUAAGUUUGCAACCAGACUCAGUUUCAACAGCAGCUUUAUACUUCAGGAACACAGAUGGAACUUCUGAUUUCUGUUUUAGAAAAUAAAUCCAGCAGUAUCUUGUAAAGUCAUCAAUAAAUAGAAUAAAGUACCUGCUUCCUUUGAGAGACUCAGUCUUCAUUGGUCCACACACAUCUGUAUGCACAAUCUGGAGCUUCUCUGAUGCUCUCCAUGUUAUGCUUGUUGGAAAUGGCAAUCUUGCCAAUUUUCCUUGCUGACAUAUCUCACAAAACUCAUCAUUCUUCACUGAAUUGAUGAAAUUUUCUGCCAGACCUUCAUUGACCAUGCGGGCUAUGGAUUUGUAGUUUGUAUGUCCAAGCCUCUGAUGCCAGAGUCUAGAGUCAUCAGUGGAGGCUAUGCAGGCUGAAUGUAAGUCAUUUGGCCAGUCUACUUCAAAACAUUUAUCAGUCAUGGUGACUGUUAUGAGGUUUAAUCCACUUGGAUAAAAAAUUUGACAUUCUUUCUCCUUGAACACAACUGAGUAGCCUUUCUCAAGUAGUUGAGUUAUACUGAGAAGGUUCCUAUCGAUUUCAGGUACCAAAAGUACAUUUGAAAUGAUUUUUCCACCUGUAGAGGUAUGAAUCAGCACAUCUCCUCUUCCUUCAGCAUUAAUCAACUGACCAUUUCCAAUUUUUACCUUGGUUUUACAGGUUCUGUCCAGGGUUUUGAAGAUAGUUGCAUCUGGUGACAUGUGGUUUGUGCACCCACUGUCUAGAAGCCAGCCCUUUGAACCCUUCUUCUGAUUUGCUGCACAUGACACAGCAAAAACAUGUUCUUCUUGAUCACUGCUUUCUUCAGCUACUCGAGCUUCUACCUUUUGUUGCUGAAAUUGAUUCUGUCUUGGUUUGCUUCUAUUCUUGAAAACUUUUUCAACAUGGCCUUUUUUCUUGCAGUGUUGGCAUACUGCAUCUGGUCUAAACCAGCAUCUAUCUUCUGGAUGACCAGCUCUUUUACAAUGUCUGCAGAGUUGGUCACUGCUCCUAGCAGCAUCAGGCUUAGGCCUGUUUUUCCAAAACUUUUUGCCUUUGUGAGUUUUGAUGCUCGAGGCUUCUUUGGCUUGAAAAGCCCCUUCCUGGUGCUCUUCUUGUCUACUGGCUCUUCUUUGCUCUUGUGCAUACAAGGCAUUGAUUAGCUCAGUUAAGGAGAUAGUUGUCAAGUCCCUUGAGUCUUCGAGGGAUGAAAUUUUAGCUUCAUACCUCUCUGGUAGAGUGGACAUGACUUUCUCAACUAUUCUAACUUCACUGAAUUGCUCUCCUAGGAGCCUUAUGCUGUUUACAACAGCCAUAAUCCGAUCUGAGUACUGCUUAACUGUUUCUUCCUCUUUCAUUUUGAGAUUUUCGAAAUCUCUUCUCAAGUUGAGCAGCUGUUGUUGCCUUGUUCUCUCAGUCCCCUGAAAUUCUUCUUUCAGCUUGUCCCAAGCCUCCUUUGGUGUUUCACAGGCCAUGAUCCUCAUAAAGAUCACAUCUGUCACACAAUUCUGUAUGCAUGACAUGGCCUUGUGCCUUUUUGUUCUUUCAUCAGUGUGUUGCCUUAUUUGAGCAACUGUUGGAUUAGCUCGAAGAGGUGCUGGCUCAGCAUCUGAGUUAACAACUUCCCAUAGGUCGAAUGCCUGCAGGUAAGUCCUUAUCUUAACUACCCAAAUGUUGAAGCCCUCUCCAUUGAAGACAUGUGGUGAAGCUGGUGAAAAACCUGAUGAUGCCAUGGUUUUGAUACUGAACUACAACAGGUCCUCUAAGAAUAUGGCUCUAGAUACCAAUUGUUGGAUCUAAGUGCUACAUUAGCAAGCUUCAACAGAAUGCUUGUCGAGCAAGUCUCGUGACUUGCAGCAGAAACAAAGCAGAAAACUCAAAUAGAUUUUGAAGCAAAACUAAAAAUGGAGAGCAUAUGGAUGAAAACUUGUUGAAUUCAUUCAAAAAACUGAAUAUGGCUUAAAGCCAAUACAUAAACAAGCUUACAACUUGACAAAACAGUAGGUUAACCUAAACUUCACCUACUACCACUAACAAACUUAGUAACUUGAGCUAAUUAACUUGUACAAAUCAACAAAGCUGAUUAAUCAGCUCAAUCACCAUCAGUUUUACAUCAAAUAUAAACCUAACAUAGUUGAAAUACAACUAAGUUACAUUGCAUUAACUUAAAAAUACAAAAUAAGUGAAAACACAGCUUGCUGGCUUGAUGAACUUGCAGCUUCUGCAUGUAGUGCCCUCGACAGUCUUGGUUGCUGCAUGCUGACCAUUGCUUCAACAAUUAUAUUAUGGGUUCAUGAAACUUCAUCUUCCUUCCUCUAUUUUUUCAUAUUUUUCUUGAAUGCCAUUUAGUUUGUGUUGGUGUUUGCAUUUGAGUGGAUCUCCGUUUUAUUUAUUGGCCUUCUUAUUUUUCUAUUACGUACACUAAAUAAACUCCUUUUAUCUUUUACAGCUACAAUCUGUACUAGUUAUUUCUCAGAAGCUCUAUUUACUUUCUGGUAUUUACAGAGAGAAAGAGAGAGGUAAGUUCAAGAGUAAUUUCUAGCUUCUUCAAUAAUAAUAUCUUUGCUUUAUAAGAAUAAUUACAACUUCUUAAUUGGUAGCUUUCAUUAGAUUUUUUACUACUCAAAAUUCACUAGAAAUACUGAUUUUAUUUGUCUUUAUGUUAAUCUUCUUACUAAUAACCAUAGUUUUUGUUCAACCUCGUCAGACUAUCAAGAAAAAUGACCGAAUAUGUUGGCCCUACUGCUGUCAAAAUUUUGACAAACCAGGCAAAGGAAUGCGCAUCACCUUAUCUCCGUUACGUUUUCUGCUAUGGAGAGAUUGUUGAAGAUUUCACCAAUCAACGAAACGCACUUAAAUUGAGGAAACAUAUGGUGAAAACUCGUGUCGAUGAGGCUAAAAGGCAACUUGAGCACAUCCAUGAGGAUGUUGAGGACUGGCUUAGAAGGGCUGAGAGAGAACUGGAAGAAACCCAGAACUUGAAGCAUGAAAUAGAUCGCGUCAAGUGUUUCAAAUGGUGUCCUAAAUGGGGCUGGCGAUGUUGCUUAAGUAAGAAACUGGCAGAGAACACUUCUAUUAUCUCUAAAUUUUUAGAGACUUCUAACUCUGCACAGGUAAGCUAUCAUGGUUCUCUUCAAGGAAUAGAGUUCACCACACCCACGGAUUCCGUGGGCCCUGCAUCUUCAAAAUCAACUUUAAUCGGGAUCAUGGAGGCUAUAAAUUAUAACGGUGUCAACAUGAUUGGACUGUACGGAAUGGUAGGAGUCGGGAAAACAACUUUAGCCAAAGAAGUUGGGAAGCAUGCUCGAGAACAAAAGCUCUUUGAUAAAAUUGUGAUGUUUACUGUGUCUCAAAAUCCAAAAAUCAAUAAAAUUCAAUAUAAAGUUGCAGAUUUUUUUGGUUUAAAAUUUGAAACAAGUAGCCAAGAAGGAAAAGCAGAAGCGCUUUUCAGGAGUAUGCAAGGCGUGAACAAAAUCCUCGUAAUUAUUGACGACCUCUGGGAAGAAUUCAAAUUGGAAAGCAUCGGAAUUCCUUUCGGUGAUGGACACAAGGGUUGUAAAAUUCUUCUGAACAAACGUCACAACAAGUCUGCAUUAAAAUGAACUGUCACAAGGUGAUUCAACUUGGCAUCUUAUCCGAAGAUGAAGCAUGGGUUUUGUUUCGAGAAAGAUCUAGUUUAGAUGAUUACUGUUCCUCCUUGAAUGAUGUAGCCAAAGAGGUUGCUGGUGAAUGUAAGGGAUUGCCUCAUGUACUUGAUACCGUGGCAAGAGCUUUAAAAGAUGAGAGUUUGGAUGCGAGGAGAGCCUUAAAGCAGAGAUUCAAGGACUCAAAGGCAUUUGGUUAAUGAAGAAGUUCUCGAAGAUUUCUUCAAGGGUCUUAAGCUUAGCUACGCUUAUUUGAAGGAAGGCAAUAACCAAAUAACGGAAAAUGACAUCCAAAUGUGUUUCUUACUGUGUUCCCUUUUUCCUGAAUAGGAAGAAAUCCGUAUUGACAUCCAAAUUGGAGUAGGAUUGUUCACUAAUGUUCACUCGAUUGAAGAUAAAAGUAAAGAAAUUGGUAUGGCACUAAAAAAAACUCCAAAAAUCUAGCUUGUUAUUGGAAACUUAUGAUGCAAAAACGAUAAGUGGUUCGAGAUUUUGCUCAUCGGCUAACAUCAACAGGAGAAAAUAGGUUUAUGGUAAAAGAUGAGGUGAAAGAAUGGCCUCAUCUGGAUGAAAGUUUUGGAUGUUAUACUGCAAUCGCUUUAUGGAAUUGUAGUAGUAACAUAAAAAAAAUUCCUCAUAAACUGGAAUUAUCUUUAACAGUUUGGUAACCGAUAUUUAACUUUUUUUUCAAAAGUAUAUGAUUUAAUCAUUCCACAUACAAAAUAAUUUACUUACAUGAGUUUUUUUUCUAAACCUCGUAAUUUGUGUUACAUAACUUGACAAAUUAUUCGUUGUUAAGGAUAAUAAAACGGUUAAAGAAGUAGUUAGUGAAGGUUGGAAGGUUAGCUAGUUUGUUAAAGAAAAGAAGUUUUCUGUGAGUAUAAAAACGAUGGUCUGGCUUUGUAUUGAGGCAAGUAAUAGUCUAAGUUCAUUUUUGUACCAGAGUUCAUUUUAAGCAAAUGAUUGUUUGAAGAGAAAUUCUCAAAGUUACCUAGUUUUCUUCAUGGUAUCAGUCGCUAGGUGUUCUUGAUCAUGGCAACAACAAACUCUGUUGCGUCAGACUCUGCUGAAGUACAUGGAUCUGUGUUUACUGCUGAACGUGUGGUGAAUUCGCUUCCUCGACAUGACGUUGUGAAACUUGAUGAAGGAACAUUUCUUCAAUGGAAGCAACAGGUGAGAUUCAUUGUUAAUGGCUAUGAUCUAUUUGGUUUUCUUGAUGGCUCUAUUGCUGUGCCGUCGAGGUUUGUGCAAGCACCGGAUGGUGCACUUGUGGUAAAUCCCGUGGCUUCCGUGUAUCAGCAACAGGACAAUCUUCUCACGUCCUGGCUUCUUUCCACCAUAAGUUCCUUCAUUCUCUCAUCCUUUAUGGAUGUUCAGUCGGCGAAGGAUGUGUGGACCAUGGCGUUGGAAAUGUUUGCGGCCGAUUCUGAUCAACGGCAGUCGCGAUUGCGUCAUGAGCUUCACUCUCUCAAGAAAGGAAGCAUGUCGAUCCGUGAUUAUGUUGCGAAGUUAAAACGUGUGUGUGCUCUGUUGGAAUCCUCUGGAUCUUCCAUUUCAAUGGCAGAAAGGACGGCGAUGCUUCUUGCAGGGCUUCCGUCUGAGUUUGAAGGUGGCGUCUUGUCGGCUUCGUUGUCUCCGACUCCGUUGUCGUUUCCACGACUGGUUGAGGCGUUACUAGAGUGUGAAACUCGACAUGCUCAGACCAGUCAAGAGGUGGUGUAUGCUGCAAAUCUGGUGGAGGAUGUGUCUACGGAUGAUUCGUCGCGAGGAGGGCGAUCGGGGGCGCGUGGUCGUGGAAGGACGUUUCAGCCGUGACUUCAGUGCCAGAUCUGCUCUCGGUUUGGACACGUGGCUCAAAAAUGCUAUUAUAGGUACCAUCGUGAUGAGUCAUCUCCGGUGCCACCUCCGCAGCAAAACCAGAUGCUGAAUCUUUACUCCGGCGAUGGUGGCUGGCCGUCUCACCCAAACACUAGACCUAAGGUUUCUAAUUUUGGUCAACAACAUUAUGGGACUAAUCAAGUUAAUUGUGCUACAGGUCAAAAUUGUUUUGGGCCUGGUCAAAAUUCAUAUGAUUUUGGUCAAAAUUGGUGUGCUGAAGGGGGCUUCAAUACGCAGCGUGGACGCCAGCAGGUUGGGCCAAAUGGGUGGCUUAAGCCGAGUGAUGAACGGCGAGAUUUCAGGCGUCCAACUCCUGGGCCGCAAGCUGGUAGGCCAAAUGAUGGUGUACAUGGAGGGUUUGGCAUGCCGUCUUAUGUUGGGUCGAAUAUUGGGCAGAAUGUUGGGCCAAAUGUUCCUCCUCCGAUGCCCACAAAUCCGUUUGUGAAUAAUGUUCAGCUCUAUCCAGCUAAUCUGAUCGGUACCACGAUAGUUCCAUGGCGAACCAAGCCGCGUGCGUGAGUAUUUUCCGCCUCAAACCCCUGUUUUGGACUUCCUAGGUUGGGAGAUAUACAUGCGUCAGACUAUUCUGAUCCGUCGAUCUCUAGUUCUCAUGCUAAAUCCGAUCGACAUAGAGUGAGUGGGGAUGAGUCUGGCUCACUGAUUCCUGGACCAGUUGGGACGUCGUAUUGGUAUUCUGAUUCAGGAGCCAACAAUCAUGUUUGUCGAGACCCGUCCGAUUUGCAUCAUGCCAAUCCUUAUUCAGGUACGUCUUUUAUUUUAAUGGGUGAUGGUACACCCGCAAUGAUAUCAUCCGUUGGUCAAAGUGUUUUGCCGACUCGGUCUAGGUUGCUUCAGCUAUCUAAUGUUUUAUAUGUCCCAACUAUUCGGAAAAAUUUGUUAUCAGUAUCACAAUUUGCAACUGAUAAUGGGGUGUUUUUUGAGUUUCACUCUACUUAUUGUGUGAUUAAGGAUAACGUGACACAGGAGGUUUUACUGACGGGGCAUAUUCAUAAUGGGCUAUACCGGUUCUCAUUACCAGAUGGUGUUCCUAGUAUGUCUGCUGCUUAGGUAGAAUGUUCGACUUCGACUGCAGACAGUGAGUUGUUUUCGUUAUGGCAUAAGCGUCUUGGACACCCGUCAUCUAUUGUUGUUAAAAAUGUUUUACAUAAGUGUCAUGUUCCUUUGAAUAAAGUCUCUAUUAGUGAUGUUUGUACUGCUUGUAAAAAGGGUAAACUUCAUAAGUUGCCAUUUUCGGCCUCCAAUACUGAGUAUACUGAUCCCUUUUCGUUGGUUGUAUCUGAUGUAUGGGAACCUACUUCGGUUGCUUCUAAUAACAAUUGGUACUAUGUGUCGUUCAUUGACAUGAGUUCUCGAUUUACUUGGGUAUAUCUAAUUCGGCAAAAGUCACAAGUUAUGACCUGUUUUAUUCAGUUUCAGAAACUUGUUUACAAUCAGUUUGGCAAGACCAUCAAGCAGUUCCAGAGUGACUGGGGUGGUGAGUGUCGUGCAUUGGCUUCGGUUUUAGCGUCCCAAGGUAUUGUUCAUCGUGUGUCGUGUCCGCACACUUCUGAACAGAAUGGUGUUGCCGAGCGUAAACAUCGACACAUUGUGGACAUGGGGCUUACACUUUUAGCUCAAGCAGGGCUUUCGAUGGAGUUCUGGCCAUAUGCGUUUACGUGUGCCGUUCAUCUAAUAAAUCGUCUUCCCACACCAGCGCUGGAUGGUAAGACACCGUAUCGUGUGCUCUAUUGGCAAGACCCUACUUAUGAUCAUUUACGUAUUUUUGGAUGUUGUUGCUAUCCAUUUUUGCGCCCGUUUCAGCUUCAUAAAUUAAAAUUUCGGUCUCAACCGUGUACGUUCUUGGGCUACAGCCCUUGUCACAAAGGAUAUCAGUGUCUAUUGCCGGAUGGUCUUAUUAUUGUCUCGCGACAUGUAGAGUUUGAUGAGUCUCGGUUCCUCUCUCCAACGAGUGUAUCUCGUUCACGGGAGGUGAGUACUAUACCUACCUACUUUCCUAUUCUUGAGACUAAUCUGUUAUUGGGAAUGAAUUCUAUUUCUGGAAAUGUUUGUCCACCUAGUGUAUCUGGGUCUCUGAGUCCUCAGAAUGGAGUGGAUGUUAGUCCAACAAAUACUAAUUGUCAUAAUACUCCCUCGUUGAAUGAGGUGUUGACUGAAGGUGAUAAUGAUCAUCAUGAUUUCUUGAAUUCUGAAACUCAGUCUUUCACGCCUGUUGUUCGAGUUCCGUCCGACCCUACAGGGCCAGAUGUGUCGGUGCCUAAUGUGAAUGUUCAUCCUAUGACCACUCGUUUGAAGGCUGGUAUUUUUAAACCUAAGGCUCUUGCGGUUGAGGUUGUCGAACCAUCAACGAUUGAAGAAGCUGUCACUAGCCCUGAGUGGCAAGCUGCUGCUCAAGCUGAGUAUGACGCUUUAAUUCGGAAUGGUACCUGGGUACUUGUUCCUAUGCCAUCGGGUCGCAAAGUUAUUGGUUGCAAAUGGUUGUUUAAAGUAAAGAAAAACCCAGAUGGCAAAGUUGAACGAUACAAGGCACGUCUGGUGGCAAAAGAAUGUUCUCAAGUUCCAAAGUGUGAUUUUCAGGAAACAUUUAGUCCAGUUGUAAAACCUGCUACUAUAAGGGUUAUCUUGUCCAUUGCGGUUACUAAAGGAUGGUUACUUCGACAAGUUCAUGUUAACAAUGCCUUUUUAAAUGGUGAUGUUGAUAGUGAGGUGUUUAUGCAGCAACCCCCGGGAUAUGUUAAACUUGGUUCUGAUGGGCGACCUUUGGUUUGUCGUCUAAAGAAUGCGUUAUAUGGUUUGCGUCAAGCUCCACGAGCUUGGUUUGAGAAGUUGAGAAAUUUUCUUCUAACAGUUGGGUUUGUUGGCUCUAAGUUGGAUGCUUCUCUAUUUGUUCGAGUUCGAUCGGAUUCCACUCUAUAUGUUCUUGUUUAUGUUGAUGACAUUAUCAUUACUGGUAAUUUGGCGUCGUCUAUUGACUGGUUUGUACAGAUGUUGAAUGAUGAAUUUUCGUUAAAGGACAUGGGUGAUUUACACUAUUUUUUAGGAAUUGAGGUUACUAGGUCGUUGUGUGGAAGUCUUCAUCUUUGUCAAAGGAAGUAUAUCCGGGAUAUGUUGAAGCGUAGUGGUUUGGCGAGUGCUAAAGGUGUUCAUACGCCCAUGAUUAGCUCGUCGCACAUUUCUAAGAAUGAUGGUGAUCUUUUAUCUGAUCCAACUGAGUACAGAAGUCUGGCAGGAGCGUUACAAUAUGUGGUUAUUACUAGGCCCGAUAUUGCUUAUGCGGUUAAUCGGGUAUGUCAGUUUAUGCAUCAUCCUACCACAGUUCAUUUGGCAGCUCUUAAAAGAAUAUUACGAUAUUUGUCUGCUACUAUUGAUUUUGGAAUUGUUUUUCGACGGUCUGAUUCUCUCUAUUUAGUUGGGUUUUCUGAUGCAAACUGGGGGUUGGAUUUCGAUGAUCGGCGGUCUACUUCAGGGUACUGUGUUUUUUUUGGUCUAACCCUGUUUCAUGGUCAUCAAAGAAAUAACAGGUGGUAUCGCGUUCUACGGCUGAGGCUGAAUAUAGAAGUCUUGCUGCUAUUACAAGUGAUGUUCUGUGGUUACUUUCGUUGUUACGAGAGUUGCAUAUUGGGUCUGUUUCUCCACCAAAUAUAUGGUGUGAUAGUUCUAGUGCUGUUGCUGUUGCUGCUAGCCCUGUGUUACACUCCAAGUUCAAGUAUGUGGAGUUAGAUUUAUUUUUUGUUCGUGAGAAGGUUGCCGAUGGUUUAGUUUUUGUAGGGGAAGUUCCUGCGUCUGAUCAAGUUGCUGAUGUGUUAACCAAAUCAUUGUCGCUUUCUUAUUUUGCUCGAUUUAGAAAUUUUCUUCGGGUUUUGUCAAUUGAGAAGAUGGAUGCAUGUUAAGGAUAAUAAAACGGUUAAAGAAGUAGUUAGUGAAGGUUGGAAGGUUAGCUACUUUGUUAAAGAAAGGAAGUUUUCUGUGAGUAUAAAAACGAUGGUCUGGCUUUGUAUUGAGGCAAGUAAUAGUUAAGUUCAUUUUUGUAACAGAGUUCAUUUUAAGCAAAUGAUUGUUUGAAGAGAAAUUCUCAAAGUUACCUAGUUUUCUUCAUUCGUCAAAAAAAUACACCUGCAAGCCAAAGCUAAAAGAGGAGAAAAGAAAGGCUGAAUAUGAGAGAAAACAUAUGUUUUUCAAACAAAACCAGAAGAAGAAAAACCUGAAGAGAAAGAAGAGCUACUCUCCAUUAGUGUUGAAGGGACCGUUUUAUGCAAAUCAGUUUCUAAUUACUACCCCAUAGCAGGUAAUGCAGCUUUUAGCAUUGUGUAUAUAGUACUAACUUUGGUUCAAUUCUAUUUCAUGCUUUUUACUAACAGAAACUUUCUUAUUUAAUAUAUUCCUGUUUUCAUAAACUAUUUCAUAAACAGAAUAACAGAUUAGUAACUGUUGUUAUACGCCAAUUCAGCUAGCAGUAGGUGAUCCUUCCAACUACCCCUAAAGUCAAUCACACAGCUCCUAAGCAUAUCUUCUAAAAUCUGAAUAAUUCGCUCAGAUUGUCCAUCAGGCUGAGGAUGGUAUGCAAUAUUGAAAUCUAGUCUUGUACCUAAAGCCUCGUACAACUUCUUCUAGAACCUGGAGGUGAAACAUGGAUCCUUCUUACAAUCUUAGACACGUACAAUUUAGCUAACUUCUGUAGUGAAUAAUCGAUUCUAAUUGCUACACAUAACACUUAUUGAAAAAGUUACAAAUUUAAUUUAAUUUAUUACAUUACAAUUUAUAUAUGUAUCAACAUAAAUAAACAUAUAACAUUAAUCUAUUUCUAAUUUAAUAAAAAUAAUCAAUUUUACAUUAAUCAAAAUUUCACGAUUGGUAGUAAUAAAAAUAAAUAGAAUAAGAAGCAUUCAUAUAUAAUAUAAAUUUUAUUAACAAUUAUUUAAUUAUACAAUAAAGUAUAUAUAAAAUAUUAUAAUAUUCAAUAAUAAAAAGCAGCCAGGUACAUAUUUUAGUUCAAUAAAAACAUCAAUGUUAACGGUAAUUAAAAUAAAUAAAAACAAUUAAUAUUUUUAAUAAAAAAGAUAAAAUAUUUGAUUUAAUAAUUGUUAGUGAUAUUUUAGAAGAUAUAUGCCAUAACUAAAGAGGCAAGAAGAAUGAAUAAGUUUAUAUUUUAUCAUCAAUAAUUUAUUUUAUCAAUGCAAAUAUAAAAAAUCUCAAUAUUUAAUUUAAUAAAAAUGAGCAAUAAACGAAUUUUACGUUAACAAGGACAUUGGCUAUUUGACUUUAAUGGUAAUAAAAAUAAUAUAAAUUUAUGAACAAUAAUUUCUUUUGUCAAUUUAAAUAUAAAAAAUAACAAAGUAGGGUCUUUAUUUGUCAUCCACUAAAUAACAAAUGCAACUAAUGAUGAAGUGCACAUUAAAGUUAAACCAACGAUUUGCCUUUGCUUUUUCUUCAUCCAAAUUGUUUUUUUGCUUUCAAAUCCUCAAAUCUGUGUUUGUGAUCAUUUCCACUAAUUGUUUUCAGUUCACAUUUUCUUGUAUUCUUGUAUUCUGAAAAGCAAACUUUCUUCUUACCUUGAUUUCCACUUCGCAAAAGAAACAGCGCAGAGAAUUGUUCAGUGAAGGUAAGUUUUGAGGAACUACUCCUCAUUAUAUUAUGGGUUCAUGAAACUUCAUCUUCCUUGCUCUAUAUAAGAAGUAGACUGCUAAUGGAGUACUAACAGGCUUGACACUCUGCAUAUUGAACUUGCAAAGAACUUUCUCAAUGUAUCCUUUUUGACUUAGGUACAAUUUACAUGUUUUUCUGUCUUUGCGAAUCUCCAUCCCAAAUAUCUUCUUUGCUGCUCCCAAAUAUUUCAUGUCAAAUUCUUUACUAAGCUGGGCUUUUACCUUUCUUAUCUCUCAUUUAUCUUUGGCUGCUAUCAACAUGUCAUCAGCAUAUGGUGAAAACUCGUGUCGAUGAGGCUAAAAGGCAACUUGAGAACAUCUAUGAGGACGUUGAGGACUGGCUUAGAAAGGCUGAGAAAGAACUGGAAGAAACCCAGAGCUUGUGUUAAACUUUGGCCUACAAUGCAACAUGGAACCAGCAGCAAGCUCACAACAAGACCAGAAACAGCAAAGCAGCUUACAGUGCAGCAUUGGAGCUGAACCGAAUGCAACAGUAGCUUGGUCCAUUUUGUUUCAAUGUAAUUUUGUUUAGUUUACUUUUGACUUAUGCAAGUAAGUUGGUAGGAUUGAUCUUUGAUGUAAUGGCUGAUAUAUCAGUUCAUUUUGUGUGUAAUUUAAGUUAUCAAUUAGUUAUGUAUUAGUGGGGGCAGUUAAGCCAUUAGGUAGCUGUCAAGUUAAACUUGUCACUUAUGUAUUUUUCAAUUUUUAAAUGAAAAUUAGUAUGGUUCUUCAGUUACAUUUUUUGCUGCUGUUCUUUCUUUCUUUUGCUUUGAUUUCAUUGAUUUUGUUUUGUUGUUUUGCUUUUGUUUAAUGCCAAUGUUCCAACAAAUGGUAAUUAGAGCCUGUCAUCUUUGAGGGCCUCUGUUGCUGGUUGUGUUUUUAGUAAAAACAAAGCUUGGAGAAAAGAGAAAUCGAAGUCUUUGAACUUGUUUCAGCAGGAUGAGUUUCACACCACCUCUACCACCUGUGUUCAUUGGAGAGAACUACCACAUUUGGGUAGUUAAGAUGAAAACAUACCUUCAGGCGCAUGAUCUGGGGAAUGUGAUUGAAAAUGACAUCAAACCACCUCCAUUGAGGGCCAAUCCCACCAUUGCUUAGAUGAUGCGACAUAGUGAAGAGUGCUCCAAAAAGAAUAAAGCAAUGUCCUGCUUGCAGAAUAGGGUAUCAGAUGUAAUCUUCACCAGGAUAAUGGCCUGUGACUCACCUAAACAAGCAUGGGAGAAGCUAAAUGAGGAGUUCAUGGGGUCAGACAAAACAAGGCAGCAGUAAGUGAUCAAUCUCAGGAGAGACUUUGAGAAUUUGAAGAUGAAAGAGUUUGAUACCAUUAAGCAGUACUCAGACAGAAUCAUGGCCACUGUCAAUAGCAUAAGGCUAAUUGGAGAGGACUUCAGUAAGGGCAGAGUUGUUGAAAAAGUCAUCACCACUCUCCCUGAAAAAUUCGAGUAAAAAAUUUCAUCACUUGAGGACUCGAGAGAUUUGUCCGCUUUUUCACUGUCUGAACUAAUAAACUCUUUGUAUGCACUUAAGCAAAGGAGAACAAAUAGGCAGGAAGAACAUCCUGAAGGUUUUUUCUAAGCAAAAGCCAAUGAAGGCUUAGGUUCAAAUCAGAAAAUGAAGAAGCCUUGGUCCAACAAAAAGGAGAAACCAAGAAGAGGUGAAGGCAAGAGAGUGUUUCCACCAUGCAUUCACUGCAAGAAGACCACACAUUCAGAAAGAUACUGUUGGUAUAGGCCUGACAUUCAAUGCAGAAGCUGUAAUCAGUUUGGUCAUGUUGAGAAAGUGUGCAAAAGUAAAGGAAAGGAAGCUGCUCAGCAACAAGCUCGAGCUGUUGAGGGCCUACAAGCUUAGGAGGAGCAUGUUUUUACAACCUCUUGUUUUGCUAGCACAAACAAAGUCAGAAGUGAUUGGUUAGUGGACAGUAGCUACUUACACCACAUGGCAGCUGAUGAGAAGCUGUUUAAAGACCUUGGCAAAACUUUUGCUUCAAAAAUUAGGAUUGGAGAUGGGAACCUAAUCGAAGCCAAAGGAAAAGGCAAUGUGAUGAUCAGCACUUGUUCAGGUAACAAAGUCUCUGAUGUGCUUUUUGUGCCUAACAUAGACCAGAACCUGCUUAGUGUUGGUCAGUUAGUGGAAAAAGGAUACACUUUGGUUUUUAGAAAUGGUUCUUACAUUGUUGAAGACUCACUUGGUCAUGAGUUAGUUACAGUAGCUAUGAUUGAUAGAUGCUUCAUGCUUGAUGUGAGUCAAAUUGAGAGAAAGGCUUACACCAGUCUUGCUGAUAGCACUGGUCUUUGGCAUAGGAGACUAGGACAUGCCAACUUCAGAUCACUUGAUCGGUUGCACAGGCUGAACUUGGUUGAUGACAUGUCUAAGGUUGAAGUCAGUGAUACUGUUUGUGAAGUUUGUCAGCUUGGUAAGCAAGCUAGAUUGCCUUUUCCAUCAAACAAUGCAUGGAGAGCUCGAGAGAAGCUUGAAAUGGUACAUUCUAAUGUUUGUGGACCAAUGAAGACCCCUUCACUGAAUGGAAGUAAGUACUUUGUGCUGUUUAUAGAUGAUCUAACCAGAUUUUGUUGGGUUUACUUCUUUAAACAGAAGUCAGAAGUGUUUGAAGCUUUUGGAAAAUUCAAAGCUUUAGUUGAGAAUCAAGCAGGCUACAGGAUUAAGGCUUUGAGGACAAAUAAUGGCACUGAAUACUUGUCUGAAAGAUUUUAGAAGCUAUAUGAGUAGGUUGGGAUCCAUCAUCAGUUAAAUACAAUGUAUACUCCUCAAAAAAAUGGGGUAUGCGAGAGGAAGAACAGGACAGUGAUGAACAUGGCCAGGUGUUUGCUAUUUCAAAGUAAACUUCCAAGUACAUUUUGGGCUGAGGGUGUCAAUACCUCAGUGUAUUUGCUCAACAAGUUGCCAACUCGAGCUGUCAAGGACAAGACAUCUUUUGAAGCAUAGCAUAGACUCAAGCUAGUGGUAUCACACUUAAAAGUGUUUGGUUGUGUCUGUUAUGCCCACAUUCUAGUAGAAAAGAGGACUAAGCUCAAAAAUAGGGCUGUUCCAGGGAUCUUUGUUGGCUAUAGCAGUACUAAGAAGGGCUAUAGGGUGUUUGAUCCCUCAACAAAAAAAAAUUUGGUAAGCAGAGAUGUAAGAUUUGAUGAAGAAAAGGUUUGGAGCUGGAAUGAUGUUGAAACAGGCUUAAGUGAAGAGGAUCAGCUAGACAUUGUUGUUGAACCUGCAGAAGAAUAAUCAAAUGAUGAGGCUGUUGAUGAUACUCCUAUGAGAGGCACCAGAACUAUUGAUGACAUCUACCAAAGAAGCAAUAUGGUAAUAGUUGAACCAUCUGACUUUGAGGAAGCUAUCAAGGACAAGCCCUGGACGAAAGCCAUGGAAGUAGAAUUGGAGAUGAUUCACAAAAAAUAACACUUGGGAAUUGGUGAGCAAACCUGAUCACAAGAAGGUCAUUAGUGUCAAAUGGGUGUUUAGAGACAAGUGCAAUGCUGAUGGCUCAUUGAACAAGCACAAAGCAAGACUUGUGGUGAAAGGCUAUAGUCAGCAAUAUGGGAUCGAUUUCAUGGAGACAUUUGCUCUAGUAGCAAGGCUGGACAGAAUCAAACUUUUGUUUGCUUUGGCUGCUCAAAAACAAUGGAAGAUUCACCAAUUGGAUGUCAAGUCAGCAUUUCUGAAUGACUUUCUCAAGGAGGAAAUUUUCAUUGAGCAACUUGAUGGAUUUAAAAUUGUAGGAGAAGAAGAUAAGGUUUACAGACUAAGAAAGGCUCUUUAUGGCUUGAAGCAGGCACCAAGGGCCUGGUAUGACAAGGUUGACACUUACCUGUCUAGGCUUGGGUUCGAGAAAAGUGUUAGUGAAGCUACACUUUAUGUGAAGAGGUCAAAAGGUAAGACUUUGCUGAUUGUUUCUCUUUAUGUGGAUGAUUUACUUGUGACUGGAAGUAAAGAUGAAUUGAUUGUUAAAUUUAAAGCUCAAAUGCAAAAGGUGUUUGAAAUGACUGUCUUGGGGAUCAUGACUUACUUCCUUGGUAUGGAAGUGCAUCAGUUUGAUAAAGGCAUAUUCAUCAGCCAACAUGCUUUUGCCUUGAAAAUUCUCAAUAAAUUCUGUAUGCAGAACUGCAAAACAGUCAGCACACCUGUGGCUCAAGGGGAGAAGCUGACCAGUAGUGGAGAUCAGGAAAGGGUUGAUGAGAAGUAAUAUCGAAGUCUGGUAGGCUGUCUGCUCUAUUUAACAGCAACCAGACCUGAUAUCAUGUUUGGUGUUAGUCUUUUAUCAAGGUUUAUGCAUUGCUGUGAUGUGGUUCAUUUCAAAGCAGCAAAAAGGAUCCUUAGAUAUGUUAAAGGAACCUUAGAUUAUGGAGUUAAGUUUGAGAAAGCAAGGGAGCUCAAGCUAGCAGGGUAUUCAGAUAGUGAUUGGGCUGGUUCUGUUGAUGGCAUGAAGAGUACCUGUGGUUACUUUUUUACACUUGGAUCAAGUGUAUUUUGCUAGAGUUCAAAGAAGCAACAAACUGUUACUCAGUCCAUAGCUAAAGCAGAGUACAUUUCAACUACAGCAGCUGUUAAUCAAGCCAUUUGGCUUAGGAAGCUCCUACAUGAUCUCAAUGAAGAUCAAGCUGAGCCAACUGAGAUCAGGGUAGACAAUCAAUUUUUUGUUACCAUAGCUAAGAAUCCGGUCUUUCAUGGUAAGACCAAACACUUUAAGAUCAAAUUUUAUUUUGUUCGAGAGGCUGAACAAUCGAAGGAAGUCAGCCUUGUUCAUUGUAGCUCAAAAGGUCAAUUGGCUGAUUUACUGACCAAGCCAUUGGGAGCUACUAGAUUUGAAAUUUUGAGAAGGGAAAUUGGUGUUUGUUGCAUACAGUCCAACGAGGAGUGUUAAACUUUGGCCUGCAAUGCAACAUGGAACUAACAACAAGCUCACAACAAGACCAGCAACAACAAAGCAGUUUGAAGUGCAGCAUUGGAGCUGAACCGAAUGCAACAAUAGCUUGGUCCAUUUUGUUUCAAUGUAAUUUUGUUAGUUUACUUGUGACUUAUGCAAGUAAGUUGGUAGGAUUGAUCUUUGAUGUAAUGGCUGAUAUGUUAGCUCAUUUUGUGUGUAAUUUAAGUUAUUAAUUAGUCAUGUAUUAGUGGGGGCAGUUAAGCUAGUAGGUAACUGUACUGUCAAGUUAAACUUGUAACUUAUGUAUUUUUCAAUUUUUGAAUGAAAAUUAGUGUGGUUCUUCAGUUACAUUUUUUGCUGCUGUUCUUUCUUUCUUUUGCUUCUAUUUCAUUACUUUUGUUUUGCUGUUUUGCUUUUGUUUAAUGCCAACGUUCCAACAACUUGAAACAUGAAAUAGAUCGCGUCAAGUGUUUCAAAUGGUGAAACUGGCAAAGAACACUUCUAUUAUCUCUAAACUUUUAGAUACUUCUAACUUUGCACAGGUGAGCUAUCAUUCUUCUCUUCAAGGAAUAAAGUUUAUCACACCCACGGAUUGCGUGGGCCCUGCAUCUUCAAAAUCAGCUUUAAUCGGGAUCAUGGAGGCUAUAAAUGAUAACGGUGUCAACAUGAUUGGACUGUACGAAAUGCUAGGAGUCGGGAAAACAACUUUAGCCAAAGAAGUUGGGAAGCAUGCUCGAGAACAAAAGCUCUAUGAUAAAAUUGUGAUGUUUACUGUGUCCCAAAAUCCAAACAUCAACAAAAUUCAAGAUAAAGUUGCAGAUUUUUUUGGUUUAAAAUUUGAAACAAGUAGCCAAGAAGGAAAAGCAGAAGCGCUUUUCAGGAGCAUGCAAGGCGUGAACAAAAUCCUCGUAAUUGUCGACGACCUCUGGGAAGAAUUCAAAUUGGAGAGUAUCAGAAUUCCAUUCGGUGAUGGACACAAGGGUUGUAAAAUUCUUCUGACUACAUGUCAUCAACAAGUCUGCAUUUAAAUAAACUGUCAGAAGGUGAUUCAACUUGGCAUCUUAUCCGAAGACGAAGCAUGGGUUUUGUUUCGAGAAAGAUCUGGUUUAGAUGAUUAUUGUUCCUCCUUGAAUGAUGUAGCCAAAGAGGUUGAUGGUGAAUGUAAGGGAUUGCCUCCUGUACUUGAUACCGUGGCAAGAGCUUUAAAAGAUGAGAGUUUAGAUGCGUGGAGAGCCUUAAAGCAGAGAUUCAAGGACUCAAGGCAUUUGGUUAAUGAAGAAGUUCUCGGAGAUGUCUUCAAGGGUCUUAAGCUUAGCUACGCUUAUUUGAAGGAAGGCAAUAACCAAAUAACGGAAAAUGACAUCCAAAGUGUUUCUUACUGUGUUCCCUUUUUCCUGAAUAUGAAGAAAUCCGUAUUGACAUCCAAAUUGGAGUAGGAUUGUUCCCUAAUGUUUACUCGAUUGAAGAUAAAAGUAAAGAAAUUGGUAUGGCACUAAAAAUACUCCAAAAAUCUAGCUUAUUAUUGGAAACUUAUGACGCAAAAACGAUAAGAAUGCAUGGUGUGGUUCGAGAUUUUGCUCAUCGGCUAACAUCAACAGGAGAAAAUAGGUUUAUGGUAAAAGAUGAGGUGAAAGAAUGGCCUCAUUUGGAUGAAAGUUUUGGAUGUUAUACUGCAAUCGCUUUAUGGAAUUGUAGUAGUAACAUAAAAAAUAUUCCCGAUAACUUUGUUUUUAGCAGGGGAGUGGGAUGAUUUACUAGUGGUUUCCGAAACAUUUUUUGGAGAAAUGAAAGCACUCCAAGUUCUACUACUCAGAAAUGUCAGUUUCUCACCGACGGGAUUCCAUUCCUUACCAAAUCUUAAAACUUUGUGUUGUAUUAAUUGCGAGCUGAAAAACUUCUCAUCAUCAAUGACAAAUAUGAGAAGCCUUGAGAUCCUUGCAUUGUUUGGCACUAAGAUUGAUGAGAUAAGUAAAGAAUUAGUGAAAUUGUCUACACUGAAAUUAUUAUAUGUUGAAGUUGAAAAGGAAGAAAAAAUCAAUUUCCCCCCAAUUUCCUAUCAAGGUAAUAGUGCAUCAAAUUUAAUUUUCUUUUUUAUCAUAUUCGUAUUUUGUUUGACACCAUUUAUUUUCCUAUCAUUUUCUUUCAUAGGUAAUUUUUAUUUUGGAAUACUAGUUUUAUCACAUGUUCCUUCACCUGGAGAUAUCACAAUAUAUAGUUCAAUAGUCAACGUAAUAAAUAUUAAAAAAACAACUUAAUAAAUUAAUUAAGGCAUAAUGAAAAUUUAGUCGUUAACGUUUACAUCAUUUAUUAAUUUAACCCUUAUUUUUUUAGCUAAAUUUGGUUGUGCACCUUUUAAAAAUAGUCGAAUUUAAACAUUAACCUUUUAAAAAAUUAUUGAAUUUUUUUAUAACGGAAAUACUAACUAAAAUGUAAAGUUUCUAUACAUGAAAGCCUGCAUGGUAAUCCAUGUUUACUUAUGCUAUUCAAAAAAAAAAAGUAUGCAUUUGCUAUAGUUUUUGAAUUUUUGUAUAAAUUUUAAAUUAUUUCUUUAGUUGACAUAUAAGAUAUAUAAUGUAAUGUUUGCAUGAAAAAUACAUGUAAUAACAUGUGGAUUGUCAUAUCAAUAAAUUUUUUAUUAAUAAUAUUAAAUAAAUAUAAAAUAUUCAAUAAAAAAUUAAUAAAAAUUAAACCUUCAAUUCAAUGUAACUAUAAAAAUUUAAUAUACAAAUUUAAUCAAAGUUUAAUUUAAAUAUAAAAAAUUGUCAAUAUUUAAUUUAAUAAAAGAAAUCAAUUAAUGAAUUUCAGUUUAAUAAGAACUUAAUAAUCUUGUUUAAAUGAAACUUUUCAUUUUUCAAUUUCAAUCAUUGCACCCAAAUUUUUAUUAUAAGAAAAGACAUUUAUAUUUUUUUUCCCAAACUUCUUUAUUUUUUUUUCAUUUAGAGAUAAAUUAUAUGAUAUUUGCACCCAAUAUUUAACUUUUUUUCGAAGGUAUCUGAUUUAAUCAUUCCACAUAAAAAAUAAAAAUGUUUUCUUUUAAAUACAAAAUAAUAUACUUACAUGAGUUUUUUUUUCUAAACCUCGUAAUUUGUGUUACAUAUAUAACUUGACAAUUAAUGUUGCUUCUUUUUAUGAAUAUAAUAAGUUGACUUCAUUGCAAGAAGUAGAUGUGAUCAGCAAAAGCAAUAUCAACUUAUUGAAGCCAAAUUCAUUGUCUCGUUUAACUGCACCAUCACUGGCGCUUUCUACUAAUCAAUUUUCUCAAGAAUAUUGGGUGUUCCCUAAACUACAAAGGUACAAUAUAGCUGUAAGUGACAAUUUUAACUAUCGGAGGUUGUUUAGAACAUUGACAAUUGGAAACUUCUCAUCCUCAUUGACUGCAUUUAACACUUUAUUUUGCAAUAUGGAGAAAAAGUUGAACUUGAACAAUGUUAGUGGACAAAAGAACAUUGUGUCAAGUAAAAUGGGAGUAAAUGAGUUGACUUCUCUGCAGCUUAAUUAUUGUAAGGAUAUGGAAUUCUUGAUUGAUAUGACAAGAGAUCAGGAGUCAAUUGUUGCAUUCUUUAAUUUGGUGGAAUUAAAUAUAGAAAGAAUGGUUUCUUUGAAAGGGCUGUGCUAUGGUCUUCCUCCGACUAGGUUCUUGCAAAAUCUUAAGCAAGUAAGCAUCAAACAUUGUGAGGAGUUACAAGAGAUACUUCAAAUGGAUAAGCUUUCUGAAAAGGUGAAAUGUCAGACACCAUUGUGCUCAAAUUUAACAAUAUUGGAACUAUAUUGAUCACUGCCAAAUAAAUUGGAAAGCGUAUGGAAAUUAGAGCCAUCACAUCAUGCAAUUGCAAGCCUCACAAGACUAAAGGUUUUAAGAAUUGUGCAUUGCAAUAAACCGAAAACAAUCUUCUCACCUUGCUUGGCUCUAAGUAUGCUGCAUCUACAAGAACUCAAUAUAAGGCACUGCGAUGGAUUAGAGCAAGUCAUUGACUUCGGCAAAGAAGAAGAGAUUAUUGAGGUAGGAAUACCGAUUCUCUCCAAUUUUGUAAAUCUUCUUUAUUGUUUUAACUUUUUGAUAGCAUUCUUUUAUGGAUGAGACAAAUUGCAAGAAAACCAAAAACCAAUUUGAAGUGAAGUGCUUUGUUCAGUAUUUAUUGAGUUUAGAUUAGUUUUGAUUUUUAUAUUAUUUAUGUGUAUCCAAUUUGUUGAAAGUGUAGUGAGCACUAAAGAAAUUAACUUUUAUUACUCAAAACAAAUACACCAAUGCAAAAUAAAACUAUAUUUUCCUCUCAAUUAGUACCUACAACUAAUUAUACACUCACAAUUCACUCUUUGCUUAUUUCCACUUCCAUGCACACAAAGUCACACACCUUUGUUUUGUUUCAUACUCUUUCCUUUUCUUCUCAUCCACACACUCGCUUAUACAUAUCACAAAUACAUGAAACCUGUUUAUAGGCUUAUAAACCACAUCCUGAAUUGUUGUGUCUCUUAUUUUUAUUUAGAUUUUAUUUAUUUAUGGAAAAGCCUUCAAUUUAAUUACAUGUCACUUUUCUUCUACCCUUAAAUUUCUAACUUAUAAAGUUAGUUUCAUAUUGUUGAAAAAUAUGAAACUAACAUUUUUUGUGCAAGAGUAGCACCAAAUUGAUAUGAAAAUGAUUUUCAUAUCUAUUAUAUUGAUAAUUUAUUAAAUGACUUUAAUGGGUUAUGAUUGAGUUCAUGGUUGAUAUCUAGCCUAUUAUAGAAUAUCAUAUCACUAAGGAGAUUAGUUUUUAGAUAUUAGAUUGAUUCAAAAUUAACCAAGACAAUCACUUGGAUUGUAAAGUUUAAUGAUGUUCAUGUUGGUUCCACUCAAUUAUACACCAUAGUAGAACAUGUCCUGAAUAAGUUAUGUUAUUACCAAAAGUUGUAUAAAUGUAGAAUAUCCAGAAAAUAGAAAAUACAGGAGUUACCAGGUUCGGAAGAUAGGGAAUAAUGAGCUUCUUUUUUAUACAUGUUCUUUGACUUCAACAUAAGUAAGUGUGGCUUGCAAAUAAUGCACCAGCCAAGUGUUAAAAUUGCUUGUUGCUUUUAAUGUAAUUCACCACAAGGAUUGUUCACAGUUUGGUUAAAAUCGAUUUAACCGAUCGAAUCAAUCUAAUUCGGUUAAUUGGUCGUUGGCCGAAUUUAGUUCGGUUGAAGGUUGGUUAAUGAUUUUUUGAAAUUUCGGUUAUCGGUUAGUUCAACUCGAAAUCGAGUAAUUGAUUGGAUUAACCGAUAUAUAUUAUAUAUAAUAUAUGUAGUGUUUGGUUGUUAGCUUUCAAGAUUUAUCUAGUGUUUUUAAUAUCUUAUUUGAAGUUUUCACCUCCAUUUAAAGUAUAUUAACAGGGUAUUUUUUAUAUCUUUUAUACAUAUUUGAACCAAAAGACAAAAACAUAUAUGAUAAAGAUUGAGACGGAUGAAAGCGUAAGGGAAUCAUAAAGUUUGUCAAAGUCGUAAAUUUGACUUAGGGCUGUAGACAUUCGGAAAGAAACUUGGAUUUUGACACAAACCUGAAACGAAAUUGAAUCCAAGUAAAAAAAAUUAAAAUAAAUAACUAAAAUAAAAUAAUAAAUCAAAUAUUAGAAUAACAAGAAUGCGAAUAAAGAAGAUAAAUGGAAAGAUAGAACGUGGUGUGUAUAAGUCCUAAGUAGCCUAGGAAACAUAAAGAAUCCACAACCCCCUUUAAACGGCUCUAAUUUUCCCUCUAAGAUAGAAAUCUUGACAAGAAAAAGUUUGCAAGUGAUCCCCACAAGCUAAAAACAAUGUUAAAACUCUUCUGAAAUAAACUCAAGAGAGAAAUCCUUAAAAAGAAAAAACCCAGAGAGAAUUUAUUAACUCAAAGAGAAAUAGAAUAAUAAUGAAUUAAUGUAUCAAUUAUGUACAAUGCAAAGGCCUAUACAUAGGCUAGCUAAAUAAAUCUAAAUAAAACUCUUAAGUAUACUAGAACUCUAAUUUAAUCUAAACAAUAAGUAAUUUUAAACUAAACUUUCUUAUUAACAUAGAACUCCUAAAUAACUUAAAAUACUUAAUAAUUAUAAAAAAUUUGGAAUAAAUUAAUAAUAAAAUAAUAAGAGCUGAUAAAUAAAAUAUUGGGCUCAUAUAUAAUAAAAAUUAAGCCUAAAACUCGAACCCAAUAUGAAACGUCUAGGCUUGUGAGAUCAAUUGGGGUUCUUGAAGUGAAAUGCCUAAGCUUUUUAGCAUUUUCCACAUGGGAGAGUGUAGGCCCACAAAUAGAAUUAGUCCCUUCUAAUUCAUCAUUAUUCUAGAAUUCAUUGUCUUAAAACUUCAACUCUUCUUCUCGAAUUAUUUUCGUGAUAAAGUAUUGAACAAAUAAGUUGAGUUUUGACUUUAUCUACUUGGAUUUAAAUCUCGUAAUUGGGCAUUGAGGGAAACUAAGCACAUCUAUAUUAUGGCAUUUGAAUUGGGCUAAGUUUCUCAUAUCGUUCCCCUUUCCACAAAAGGAUUCGUCCUUGAAGCUACAAUAUCAAAAGGAGAAAGGUCAGUGACAUUAAAAGUGGCACUAACAUCAUACUCACCAAGAAGGUCGAUUUGAUAUGUAUUAUCAUUAAUGUCCUUGAAUACUUGAAAAGGUCCAUCAACAUAUGGGUCCAAUUUUGUUUUGCGUUUAGUUGGAAAUUGCUCUUUUCUCAUGUGGAUCCAAACCCAGUCACCGGGUUCAAAGAUAAUUUGCUUGCGCCCCUUGUUAGCUUUGUUGGCAUUUGCUUCAUUUGUUUUGGCGAUUCAUUGUCUUGCUUUCGCAUGCAUGGAUUUCACCAAUUUAGCUUUCUUCUCACCAUCUAAACUAGAAAUGUUUUCUAUAGGAAAUGGUACAAAAUCAAGUACAUUCAGUGGAUUAAAACUAUAAACAAGUUCAAAUGGGGAAUAGGCAAUUGUAGAGUGAAUAGAUCAGUUAUAUGCAAACUCAACAAAUGGAAAACAUUCUUCCCAAUUUUUAAGGUUCUUACCCAUAGCAGCUCGUAGUAAAGCACCUAAAACUUGAUUGACUACCUUUGUUUGUCCAUAGUUUUGGGGUUGACAUGUAGUAGAAUAUAAUAAUUUAGUACCAAGCUUACCCCCACAAUACUUUUCAAAAGUGGCUUAGGAACUUUAUGUCUCUUUCAGAUACAAUGGUACAAGGUAUUCCAUGUAGGCACACCACCUCCCAAAAGAAUAAGUUAGCUACAUGUGGAGCGUCAUCCGUUUUGUGACAAGGAAUAUAGUGAGCCAUCUUUGAAAACUUGUCAACAACAACAAAGAUACUUUCUCGACCCUUUUUAGUUCGUAUCAAACCAAGAAUGAAAUCCAUAAAUAAGUCUACCCAUGGAAAAAAAAGAAUCGGCAAAGGAGUAUAAAGUCCAUGAGGCAUUACCUUAGAUUUUGCUUGUUUACAAGUAAUACAAUUAGAACAUACCUUUUCAACGUCCUUUUUCGUGUGCAGCCAAUAAAAAUGUUCAUGUAAAAUAUCUAGUGUCUUGACGACACCAAAGUGUCCCAUUAGGCCUCCACUAUGUGCCUCACAAAUUAAUAAUGCUCUCAUGGAACAUUGUAGAACACAUACCCUGUUUAGGUGAAAAAGAAACCAAUCUACAAGAUAAAACUUGUUAAAGGCACCAUUCCAAUAAUUAGAAAAAAAAACAUUUGCAAAAUCAAUAUCAUUUAAGUAUAAAUCUUUUAUAUGUUCAAACCCUAAGACUUUAGCAUUUAAUGUAGUUAUCAAAUAAUAUCUACGACAUAAGGCAUCAUCAACUAUAUUUUCUCUACUUGUUUUAUACUUAAUUGUAAAUGGAAAUGUCUCUAUGAAUUCUACCCAUCGAGCGUGUCUUUUGCUCAACUUACCUUGUCCCUUUAACCAUUUUAGGUAUUUAUGAUCUGUAUGGAUAACGAACUCAUUUGGCAGUAAGUAAUGUUGCCAAACUUGUAGAGCUCAAACUAAUGUUAGCAACUCUUUAUCAUAAGUUGAGUAGUUUAAUUGCUCCCCAAUCAGUUUUUCACUGAAAUAUGCAAUUGGCCUUUUUCCUUGCAUCAACACUGCACCAAUUCCAAUACCUGAAUCAUCACAUUCAAGUUCAAAAAUAUUAGAAAAAUCAGGUAAUUUAAGAACCAGAGUAGAACAUAACUUCUUUCAAGUUUGGAAAGCCUUUUCCUGCGCUUUUCCCCAUUUAAAACCCACAGACUUUUUAAUAAUCUCAGUUAAUGGAGCAGCAAUUGUGGAGAAAUCCUUCACAAAACGUCUAUAAAAACUUGCUAAACCAUGGAAAGAUCUCACAUCGAUAAUUGAUUUAGGAGUGGGCCACUCCCUAAUUGCCUUUACUUUGUCCUCACCUACAUGAAUACCUUGAACACUUACUAUAAAACCUAAAAAGAUUAGUUUAUCACAAUAAAAAGUGCAUUUAUUAAAGUUGGUAAAUAAAUUUUCAGUUCGUAGAAUAUCCAAAAUAGAUUUAACAUGAAAAACAUGAUCAUCUAAAGAAAAGAAGUUGAGUAAAUUAGAAUAUCAUCAAAAUAUAUUACCACAAAUUUACCCAAAUAAGGUUUCAAAACAUGGUUCAUCAAGCGCAUGAAAGUACUAGGUGCAUUAGUCAAACCGAAAGGCAUGACAAGCCAUUCAUAUAAACCAAACUUAUUUUUAAAUGUUGUUUUUCAUUCAUCCCCCUCUUUCAUUCGAAUUUGAUGGUAGCCACUUUUUAAAUCAAUUUUUGUAAAGAUACAAGCACCAUAAGUUUCACCAAACAUAUCAUCAAGCUUUGGAAUACGAUGUCUAUACUUAAUAGUAAUUUGGUUAAUUGGUUGACAAGCACCAUAAAGAAAUCGAUUACCUUGAAUAAGGUGGUGAAGUCUUUGUUUAAUAUACCUAUAAUAGUGAGGUGGGAUAAAAUGUUUUUGCAUGAUUUGUGUCAACUGUUCCCACGAAUCAACUUCUCGUUCAUGAUUCCUUUAAGAGUUCAACACAAGUUGAGUGGUGGAAUGUGAUCUCCAUUUUAUCCUCCCAAUCACAAUAUGCAUCUGGAUCAUACUUUCCUUGGAAUGGUGGAAUGUUGAACUUUGGUUUAGCGAUAGAAGAUUGGCCUCGAUUAGAACGAAUACCAGUACUAGAAUGAAUACAAAGUUGUUUAUUGUCCCUAUCAUCGUCACUAUCACGAGCACAAGAUUGUCAAUUUGAAGAAGUCUCCAAAUGAGCAACAACUUGAAUUAGCAGUUGAAUUUGAUUGGAAAGCUGAUUAAUGUUCUCUUGUAGUUUUGUUCGACACUUAGUCAAAUUGGCCUCAAAUGUAUCACGUACCUCGUUCAAUUGUUGAUGUUGAAAUGUUACUAUCCUCAUAAUUUUCUCUAAUGUAACAUCUCGUUCUUUGUCAUCAGAUGGUAUCUCAUCAUGGUUUUUACGGGUAUGAGUGCCAUGAGUCAUAGUGAAAGCCUAGAAAAGCACAACACUUCAAAAGAAAAAAUUAAGCAAACCUCACUUAUAUGCACUCCAAAAAAAAUUCUCAAUGACGUUAGAAUUAAUCUUGUGAGUCUUUUAAAAAGUGUUUAUAUCAAUCAAUCAGAAUGUAUUAGAAUCAAACUAUCAAAGCAAAGCUAAUAGCACUAUGAGUCCAAAAUUGGCUUAGAUAUCAAAGAAUUAUGUUGCACGGUGGAAAGAAUAUGCAACAUGCUUUAACUUACUUACACAAGAAACAAGAAAGUGUAAGAAUGCAUAAAGGAACAAAUAAAAAUAAAAACAAAUGAAAACUUAAAGCUAAGAGUCAAUGAAAAUUUCUAAAACUCGAAAACCUAAAAAAUUGCGAAGCAACUUGACAAACUUCGUUUGGGGUGUUCAUAUUUCCAAAAACCACAAAAUUUAAAAUAGAGCCUCCUCAAAUAAAGUAGAUAUGAUCUGAAAAGUUUUAGCACAAAAUUCAACCCACAAAAUAUUUUUUUAUUUUUUAUAUUUUUUGAUCACUUUUUUGUGGGAAAUGUUUUUUUGUAUACUCUAAAAUAGUGCCAAGAAAUAGUAUGUAAACUUUUAAAUUGCUUGAAAAUCGUUUAUCCACUGAAAAAUACUUUUUUCCAAAAACAGUCGGGGUAAAAAAAUUAUUUUGAGGUUGUUCCUAGAAAUCAGUUUAUAUAUAUAAAAAAAAAGAACACCUAAAAUGCCCAAAUUUGAUACCAAAUGAUAAAGAAUGAAAUGGAUGAACGCAGAAGUAGAUCGUAAAGUUUGUCAAAGUCGCGAAUUUGACUUAGGGCUCUAGACGUUCGGAAAGAAACUUGGAUUUUAACACAAACUUGAAAUGAAAUUGAAUCCAAGUCAAAUAAAAAAAUUAAAAUAAAUAACUAAAAUAAAAUAAUAAAUCAAAGUUUAGAAUAAUAAGGUGGCGAAUAAAGAAUAUAAAUGGAAAGAUAGAACGUGGCAUGUAGAAGUCAUAAGAAGCUUUGAAAAUACGAAGAAUCCACAACCCCCUUCAAGCGGCUCUAAUUUCCCCUCCAAGAUAGAAAUAUUGGCAAGAAAAAGUUUGCAAAUAAUCCCUACAGUCUAAAAAGAUUGUUAAAAUUUUUUUAAAAGAAACUCAAGAGAAAUUCUUGAAAAGAAAAAACCCAGAGAUAAUUUAUUAACUCAAAGAGAAAUAGAAUAGUAAUGAAUUGUAUCAAUUGUGUACAAUGCAAAGGCCUAUAUAUAGGCUAGCUAAAAAAAUCUAAAUAAAACUCUUAAGUAUACUAGAACUCUAAUUUAACCUAAACAAGUAGUUUUAAACUAAACUUUCUUGUUAACAUAAAAUUCCUAAAGAACUUAAAAUACUUGAUUAAAAUAAUAAAAUAAUAAGAGCUGAUAAAUAAAAUAUUAGACUCAUAUAUAAUAAUAAUUAAGCCUAAAACUCGAACCCAAUAUGAAACGUCUAGACUUGUGAGACCAAUUGAGGUUCCUGAAGUGAAAUGGUUAAGCUUGUUAGCAUUUUCCACAUGGGCUUAUCAUCAUAGAUUAAGAGUUUAGGCCCACGGACAGAAUUAGUUAAUUCUAAUUCAUCAUUACUCCAGAAUCCAUCGUCUUGAAACUUCAACUCUUUUUUUUGAAUUAUUUUCGUAAUAAAGUCUUGAACAAAUAAGUUGAGUUUUAAUUUUAUCUUUUUGGAUUUGGAUCUCGUAAUUGGACAUUGAGAGAAACUAAGCUCAUCUCUAUUAUGUCCUUUGAAUUGGGCUGAGUUGCUCGUAUCAAUAUAAAUUUCGGUAAUUCAGUUAAUGUAUUUGAAAAAAAUUCGAUUCAAUUAACGUUAAAAUUUUUUACAUUUUGAAUAAUUCGAUUUGGUUAAUCAUUUUACCAUUCCUAUUCACCACUAUUCUAUGGCACAUGCAUAUGCAAAAUAUAGUUUGCUCAUUACAUGCAAAUGCAAAGAUUGAUCGAUGAACAACGUGCCAUAAUUUAAAACAAAUUUAAAAAUCUUUAACAGAUUUUAAUAAUGUAUUUUUAAAAAUAAUUAUUUAAAAUGUUAAAUAAAUUUAUAAUUUAUAACUAAAAUAUUUUAAUUUUUUUUGUCUGAUCAGGAUUAAACAACUAUAAUUUUUAUUCUUAAUUAUAAAUUUCUUCCAAAAAUAAUUAUAAAAAUUAAAAUUAGUGUUAAAGUGUCGUUAGUUUUUUAGCAAUAGAUUUAAAAUAUUUUAAAACAAAAACUAAGAAUUAAAAAUAAUUUGAAUAAAAUUGAUGGGACAUUCCAUUUCCCACAUUCAAGUCUUUACAUAUGUUUCAACCCACGUAAGUAUUUCCAUAAAAUAUUUUAUUCCUUAGCAAUUUAAGAAAAAAAACCCAAUGUUGUAACCAAAACCAAAAUAUUCAUAGUUUAGUAACUAAUAGUUAAUAAUGUAUGGUAAAAUAAAUUAAUUACAAAAAUAAUAUGGAAAAUAAAUUAAUUACAAAAAUAAGACAUUUGCUAUGAUGUUUUGCUGGUCGUCUGACAUAUUGAAAACACCAUACUAAAAUGUGAUAACAAAAAAUAUUCAAAGACUUGAUAUGUAAAUUACUCAUUUUGAUUGGCUGUUGAAAAUAAAAUCUAAAGAUGUUGUGUGAUAGUGUAGUGGCACAAAAUCUUAAAUAGAGUUAAUUUCUUUAUAAACUCUCAUUGUUUAUUAUUUUGUUUUUAUCUCCCUUCAACACCAAAAUUACAAAGUUUUCCUACCUAUUAAUCGAGUUCAAAUUAUGUCUAGCAUAACCGUUAACACUGUUGAUAGUAAUUUUCUUUGGCUCAUAUAUAUAUAUAUAAUAAUAAAAUUUUUUUAAAAUUUUUAUAAUUAUAAUUUUAUACGCUAUCGUAAAUUAAAUUGAUAAUAAGAAUAAUUAAAAUGCCAUCUGUAAUGGCAGACGGCAAAGAAAAAGGCUAAAAGAAAUAAAAAAAAGGAUUUCUUUCUGCCUUUGUGGAACCUACCACUGACUUCAUAAUUUGCUUGUUCUUAUCUUCACUUUCUUUUUCUUCACUGCUUUUAAUUUAUUUCGAUAUCCAAGGUCUAUCACAAAUUUUGAAGCAUCCAGUCAAGGUAAUUUUCUUUCAUUUGCUUAAUUCAUCACAUGCUUUUCUUUGCUUUUGAUUAUCUGCUACUGUUAUAGCAGCUAGCUUUGUAAGAUUGUCAAGGAACUCAACUUCACUGCUUCCUUUUCAGUUCUAAUCUCUCAACACUUUUCAGCCACUAAGUCAGGUAAUAAGAUCAGAAGCAAUGAUUUCCUCUACUAAUUAUCAACAGUUUUAGAUUUUAAGAGUGGAUGACCAGCAGACAUAAUCUACUAUAGAUAGAAAUUAAUACAAAACAGCUACCCAGAAGCAAUAUAAUGUUGAAAUCUCAAACUGUCAACAUUUUAACUCUUAAUAUUCUGUAAUGAACUCUUGCACACUUGAAUCUGGUGACCAGAAUUUCAUCAUGUUUCUGUCUGCCACCCAUCCAUGGCUCCAUCUAAUAAACGCCAUUGCUUGAAACUUGCAUUCAUGUUUUCUUUUUCAUGCUUACACUGACAUAUCAAUACUUCAGAAAAUAUCCAAUUCAUUCACAGAUUUUCAUUCUCUGCUACUGUUAUAUAUGAUUGUAUUGCAGGGACAUAGCAAUGGAGUACGUAGAGCCUGUUGCCGGCAUUGCAAAUUGUCUCGGAACUCCUGUUUGUAAAUAUUUGCAAUAUCACAGAAAGCUGAACGAUUAUGUGAGAAACUUCAAGAGGAUCAGAGAUGAAUUGAAUUGCAAAAUGGAAGAUAUAGAGCUGCAAUUGAAAGCAGAGCUUCUUCGUCCUCUGGGGAAGAUACCGAAGAAGGGAGUUGAAAAUUGGUUGAAAGCUGUGAAAGAGAUGAUUAGGGAAGCACAAGUUGUUGAAAACAAAGUCAGUAACGGAAGAUAUCUCUGUCGGGCUUGCAACGGGAAGCUGGUUGAUGAAAAGACUCGAGAAAUGAAGGAAUUUCUUGAUAACGCUCCUAAUGCCUCUGAAGGUCUUGCCAUGGAUGGUCCAAGUGCUGGGUUGCCACUGCCAACAUCAGAACUAGUUGGAGAGGAAGCUGUCAGAAAUGAGAUUUGGGCAUGUUUGAUGCAGGAGGAGGUGAUCAAGAUUGGGGUUUGGGGGAUGGGCGGUGUGGGUAAAACAACUAUCAUGAAGCAUAUCCACAAUGAUCUUUUGAAACAACAAAGAUUCGAAAGGGUAAUCUGGGUUACCAUAUCAAAGGAGUUCAAUGUAAUGAAGGUACAAGAUAAUAUUGCAAGUGCGUUGAAGGCGAAGGAAUAUUUAGACGAAGAAGAGGACAAGCUCAUACGAGCAGCAAUCUUGUCAGAAAUGCUGAAGAACGCAGGAAAGCAUGUUCUAAUCCUAGAUGAUGUGUGGGAUAAAGUCUCUCUAGAGGAAGUUGGGAUCCCCGAGCCUAGUGGCAGCAAUGGCUGCAAGUUGGUCUUGACAACCCGUUUGGAGCAUGUCUGUAAGUAUAUGGGUUGUAAGGUGAUAAAAGUGAAGCCCCUGUUAGAAGAAGAGGCAUUGAUACUAUUCUUGAAUAAAGUUGGACCUAACAUAGUUCAAAGUCCAACUAUAAUGCCUACUUUGAAGCUUGUUGUCAAGGAAUGUGCAGGUCUACCUCUUACGAUUGUCGUGGUAGCUGGUACCAUGAAAGGAGAAGAUAACCCUCUUAUUUGGAAAAAUGCACUCGGGGAAUUGAAAGAGAGAAUAGGGAAAGUGGAAGGAGUGGAAGCUGAGGUAAUCGAGCGCUUGAAAUUUAGCUUUGAUCACUUAAAGGACAAGCAAGUGAAACAUUGUGUUUUGUAUUGCGCAUUAUAUCCUGAAGAUUUUGAAUUUUCGAAGGAUGAGCUAAUUGAGUGCUGGAUUGAAGAGGGGUUCAUAGAUGAUAUGGGUACAAGACAAGAAAUGAAAGACAAGGGCCAUGUUAUUUUGAAGAAGUUAGGAGAUAACUGCUUGUUGGAAAAUAUUACUAAUGUAUUUGGUCAACCUCACAUAAAGAUGCAUGAUGCAGUGAGAGACAUGGCACUGUCGAUCAUAAGUAUGAAUCCUCGAUAUAUAGUACAAGCAGGCUUGCAAUGGAGUCCAGGUAUUGAGAAAGUGUCGCUUAUGUAUAACUCCAUAACGGAAUUUCCCGCAGAUGUGCUGCCCACAAAAUGUCAACUGCUCACAACCUUGUUAUUGCGGGGGAACCCUGUAAUGAAGAUCCCAUAUUCUUUAUUCAUGAACAUGCCUUGUCUUAGUGUUCUCAAUUUGUCCUUUACAAAGAUCUUGAGUUUACCAAAUUCCAUCUCUGAACUUAAGAACCUCACAACAUUGUUGCUUCGUGGCUGUCAAGAAUUAAGAGAUCUGCCAUGUCUUUCAAUGCUUCAAGAAUUGAAGAAGUUGGAUCUUUCUGGGACUAAAAUUGAGGAAGUCCCUAAAGGAAUGGAUAUGCUGAUAAAGCUAAGAUAUCUUCAUCUUGAAGUGUUCACUCUGAAAGAGAUACCCGCUGGACUUUUACCAAAACUGGUUCACCUUCAGCACUUGGGUUUUCAUGAGGUCAAUUUAAAAACAAGUCUAAAAGCAGAGGAGAUGGAACCAUUGAAGAAGUUGGAGUUCUUUACUGGACUUUUCGAAGACAUUUAUGAAAUCAAUAAGUUCAUCUCCUCAAUGCAACAAAGUAAGAAAAAUCUCAUCAAGUACUCUUUACAGACGGGCUUAGCUAUUUUCCCUCAUAGAAGAGAUAAAAGAGUAACAAUUGGAAGAGUCCAUAAUUGGGAAGGUGAGUUAAUUAUCCACCCAAUUGAAAUUCAAGAGUUGAAUAUUGUAAAGUGCGACUAUUUGAGAAACUUAGUCGAUGAUAAUUCUUCCUUCAAAAAUGCGAUUGACUUGAGGAUUUAUGAUUGUAAAGGGAUAGAGUGUGUUGUUUCCUUGUCCUCUUUUGCCUCUUCUUCCGCUCAUCCAUUUCAGAGCCUCGAGGUGUUAGAACUUUCUGCUCUGCCAAAGUUGAAUGCCCUUAUUAUGAUAGAUGCAGGAAUUGGUUCAGCAACAACAUCAACAUUGGCUCCGUCUACCACCUUUUCCCAUCUUAAGAAAAUUACGAUAUACAGCUGCUCAAGUAUGAAGACGUUGCUUCCACAUUGGUUGCUUCCAAACCUCCAAAACCUGGAAAAAAUAUCAGUGUCACAUUGUGAUGAGGUAGUAGAAAUAUUGGGAGUAGCAACAUCAGAAGUUGAAGAAAAAGGGAGUGAUGCAUUAAUCAAAUUCCAUCUUCCCAAAUUGAAAGAAUUGAGACUACGUAAGUUACCAAAUUUGAAGAUCAUUUGCAGCAAAAGUGGAGUGAUGGUUUGUGAUUCUCUCCAACUUAUCCAUAUUAUUAGAUGUGAUAAACUGAAGAGAAUUCCUCCAUUUGUUCCCCUUGUUGGCAAUGGGCAGCCAUUUGCAUAUGCUCCACCUUCUCUUACCAUCAGGUCAAGCACAGAUGGUGGGAAUCGUUGGAGUGGGAUGACCAUCCAAACUUUAAAAAUGUUCUCCAACCCCUUUGAAGGAUGAAAGGUAUGAACCAUUUAUGGUCUAGUUUAUUUUUUUAGUUUGAUAAAUCUAAUUUCUCCAUAUUAAUAAAAUUGGAAGUAUAAUUGUGAUGAUGUUGAAGAGAAAGAUAAAAGGGUUGGUAGGAAAGUAGUGGGGGAGGAUAGUGCAAAAGAGAGGAGAAAAGGAAUGAUGGAAGGAAGAGGUUAAGAGCAUAAAUAAGAAAUCAAACUGCCUCCACUUUUUAAACAUUUUCCCUCUCUUACCAUUGCUUGAAACUUGCAUUCAUGUUUUCCUUUUCAUGCUUACACCGAGAUAUCAAUACUUCAUAAAAUAUCCAAUUCAUUCACAGGUUUUCAUUCUCUGCUACUAUUAUAUAUGAUUGCAUUGCAGGGACAUAGCAAUGGAGUACGUAGAGAUCAACAGUUAUAGAUUUUAAGAUCUGAAGCAAUGAUUUCCUCUUCUGAUUAUCAACAGUUACAAUUGAGCACCAAGAUCACUGUAAUACUUGUUAGUGUUGUCCAGAAUGAAUGGAAAGGACAUUUCCAUGGAUAUUAGACCUCAUAUCUAUCUUUCAAAUUUUGAGAGCAAAUUAAAGGUUUUAUUAUCAAGUAUAAAAGUCAGUAUGAAAUACCCAAAAUGCCAACUAAUAAUGGCAGACAGCGAAGCUAAAAGCUAAAAGAAAAGAUGGGAUUUCUUACUAAUAAUUCUGCCUUUGUGGAACCCACCACAAAAGUGAAUGCCUCAUAAUUUUGCCUAUUUUUUUCUUCACUCGCUUCCUUUUUUGGCUUUUGUACCCACAACAUUCUUUCUUCUACACUGUUUUUAUCAAACAUGUAAUUUGUUUCGCUCUUAAAUAUUCUCUUAAGUAUAAAAAUAUAAAUUUAAAGGAUGGAGCAUCAAAUUCACUAAUUUUCAUAAUUAAUUAUCUAAAAACAUGUUAAGAAUAAGAUUAAAAUAUGUUAAUUUUGUAGCUUAUCAUACCCCUAAACCACAACUAAAAAGUUUAAUCUGAUAUGGUGGCAUCCACCAUUAAUAAUUGACUCCCAAUUUUGGUUCUUUUUGUCUUGUUUUCUCUUUGCACUCGUAGUUUUAGAUCAUCAGAGUCUUCAUGGUGGACCCUAGAGCUUAAAGCAGGCUAAAGAUGGUGGAAUCUAAGGUAGUGUGAAACAAACCUGGUCUUGACCUAUAACACUAAAAUUGCUUUAGCUUAAAUGAAAAUGAAAAUAUUUUGUAUGCAUCAUAUCUCUAGUUUAAAUCUUAUUAUCGAUAAUUUUUUAUUGAUUUAUGAAAAGAUGAAAAUACCUUUGUAAUUAUAUAUCUUAUUUUAUAAAUAAAAUGUUUUUUUAGCAAUUUUCUUACUGUGUUCCGACUAAUUGAUGGUUGACACUAUGUUACAAUUUAAGGUAAAUUACACCAUUAGUCAUUCAACCAUGAGUAAGUUUUCGUUUUGAUCAUUUAACUAGAAAAAGUUACAAUUUAGUCACUAAUAUUUUUGAAAUUGUUUUUUAUCACCUAACUAUUAAGUGGCACUUGUUUUAAUUGAUAUGAUAAUAAUUUUAGUCCUCUUUUUUUUAUAUUUUCUAUCAAUUUGACUCUGAUUUUGUACAAAAUUAUAAAAAAAAACUUAAAAUUUUAAAAAUAGAAAAAUGUUUAUAAAAAUUCUAGAAAAAUAAAAUCUUAAAUAUUUUGUUGAAUAACUAAAUUGUAUGAGAAAUAAAGCAAAUUACCAUUCAAUAAAAUCCGAUAACAAAUUAAAAACAGAACAAAACCAAAAAAAAGCUUUCUCAAUGUUUCUCGAAACCAAAUUAGUAAUAUUAUCAAGUUGAGUUUCAUGCCCUUGAAGAACAUCUGGAACUGACAUUACCAAGGCUUAUGAAAUUGACCCUAAUGCCAUUUUUUUAGUCAAAAGAAUACAAGAUAUAAAACAAAAUUUCCUUUUUCAAACUUAAUUCUAUUUUUCAUUACAUUUAAAUUAUUUUUCAAAACUCAAACUAUAAAAAUAAAUUAUAUUUAGAAAAAAAAUUUAUAACGUAAAAGCUAUGUUAAGAAACAGAGAACAAAUAAUUUUGCUUAAUGUUUUUUUUUACCUUUUUUACUAAGGAAUGUGUAUUGGAUAUUUCGAUACAGAUAAUAUAGAGAAAUUUUGUACAGCUUAAAAACAAUUAUCUCUCGUUUUCUCUCACUUUAUUUAUUUUUGAAAUUUUUAUCUACUUUUAUUUAAUAUUUUAUUUUAUAAUGUUCUAAAAUUUUAAAAAUAAUUUUAAUUUUUUUACCAUUUUAUAUAUUAUCAAGAUCAAACUGACUAAAAGUAUAAAAUUUGAGGAUUAAAAUUGUUAUUAUAUCAAUUAAAAAAGUGUCACUUAACAUUUGAGUGACAAAAAAAAUAAUUUCAAAAACAUUAGUGAUGAAAUUGUAACUUUUUUAAUUAAGUGACCAAAAAAAAAAUACCCAUAGUUUAGUGACUAAUAGUGUAGGCUUUUUUUGGUAAAAUGAAAAUUUGACCAUGAUUUUGUAUUAAAAAAACUCAAAAUUAUUUAUAAGAUAGAAAAAUUUGACCAUGAUUUUUUACCCAAAUCAUAUAAAAUAUAAUUAAUUAUGAAAAUGGUAUAGAAAAUAGCUUAAUUACAAAAAUAAGACAUUUGGUACAAUGUUCUGCAGGUGUGGCCUAACAUAUUGGUAGUACUAGAUUAAAAUGUGAUGACUUAAAAUAUUCAAGGACUUGAUAUGCAAAUUUCUCAUUUUAGUUGGCUGUUGAAAAUAAGCUAUAAGAGUUUUUUUUUUUUUUGAAACAAAAGCUAUAAGAGUGUUGUGUGACAGUGUAGCGGCAUAAAAUCUUAAAUAGAGUUAAUUUCUUUGUAAACCGUUAUUAUUUAUUAUUUUAUUUUUAUUCUCCUUCAACACCAAAAUUAGAAAGGCUUCUUACCAAUUAAUCCAGGUCAAAUUAUGUCUGGCAUAAUAGUUAUCACAAUUAAUAGUUAUUUUCUUUGGUUCAUAUUAUAAUUUAUAUAUAGUAAAUAUUUUAAAAAGUUUUUAGAAUUAUAAUUUUAUAUGGUGCCCGUAAAUUAAAUUGAUUAUAAGAUUAUCUGUAAUGGCAGACAGCAAAGAAAAAAGCUAAAAGAAAAAGCAAUAAAAAUAGGAUUUCUUGCUAAAAAUUCUGCCUUUGUGGAUCCUAGCAGAGACUUCAUAAUUUCCCUGUUUUCAUCUUCACUUUCUUCUUAUUUCUUCUUCACUGUUUUUAAUUUGUUUCGAUGUCCAAGGUCUAUCACAAAUUUUGAAGCAUCCAGUCAACGUAAUUUUCUUUCAUUUGCUUAAUUCAUGACAUGCUUUUCUUUGCUUUUGAUUAUCUGCUACUGUUAUAGCAGCUAGCUUUGUAAGAUUGUCAAGGAAGUCAACUUCACUGCUUCAUUUUCAGUUCUAAUCUCUCAAAACUUUUCAGCCACUAAGUCAGGUAAUAGGAUCCGAAGCAAUGAUUUCCUCUACUGAUUAUCAACAGUUUAAGAUUUUAAGACAAGAUGAUCAGCAGACAUAAUCUACUCUAGAUUGAAAUUAAUACAGAAAGAGCUACCCAGAAGCAAUAUAAUGUUGAAAUCUCAUACUGUUAACAUUUUAACUCUUCAUAUUCGGUAAUGAACUGGUGCACACUUGAUUCUAGCAUUUUAUACACAUCGAGGGCUUAAUUCUGGUGACCAGAAUUUCAUCAUGUUUCUGUCUGCCACCCAUCCAUAGCUCCAUCUAAUAGACGCCAUUGCUUGAAACUUGCAUUCAUGUUUUCCUUUUCAUGCUUACACUGACAUCUCAAUACUUCAUAAAAUAUCCAAUUCAUUCACAGAUUUUCAUUCUCUGCUACUGUUAUAUAUGAUUGCAUUGCAAGGACAUAGCAAUGGAAUACGUAGAGCCUGUUGUCUGCACUGCAACUUGUCUCGGAACUCCUGUUUGUAAAUAUUUGUAAUAUCACAGAAAGCUGAACGAUUAUGUGAGAAACUUCAAGAGGAUCAGAGAUGAAUUGAAUUGCAAAAUGGAAGAUACAGAGCUGCAAUUGAAAGCAGAGCUUCUUUCUCCUGGGGGGAAGAUACCAAAGCAGGGAGUUGAAAAUUGAAUGAAAGAUGCGAAAGAGGUGAUUGCGGAAGCACAGGAUGUGGAAAAUAAAGUCAGAAACGGGAGAUAUCUCUGUCGUGCUUGCAACGGUAAGCUGGUUGAUGAAAAGACUCGAGAAAUGAAGGGAUUUCUUGAUAAAGCUCCUAAUGCCUCUGAAGGUCUUGCCAUUGAUGGUCCAAGUGCUGGGUUGCCGCUGCCAACAUCAGAACUAGUUGGAGAGGAAGCUGUCAGAAAUGAGAUUUGGGCAUGUUUGAUGCAGGAGGAGGUGAGCAAGAUUGGGGUUUGGGGGAUGGGCGGUGUAGGUAAAACCACUAUCAUGAAGCACAUCCACAAUGAUCUUUUAAAGCAACAAAGAUUUGAAAGGGUAAUCUGGGUUACCAUAUCAAAGGAGUUCAAUGAAAUGAAGGUACAAGAUGAUAUUGCAGCUGCUUUGAAGUUGAAGGAAGAUUGGCCCAGAGAAGGAGACAAACUCAGACGAGCUACAAUCUUGUCAGAAAUGCUGAAGAAAGUAGGAAAGCAUGUUCUAAUCCUAGAUGAUGUGUGGGAUGAAGUCUCUCUAGAAGAAGUUGGGAUCCCUGAGCCGAGUGACAGCAAUGGCUGCAAGUUGGUGUUGACAACCCGUUCGGAGCAUGUCUUUAAGUAUAUGGGUUGCACGGUGGUAAAAGUGAAGCCCCUUUCAGCACAACAGGCAUUGACACUAUUCUUGAGUAAAGUUGGCCCUAACAUAGUGCAAAAUCAAACUUUAAUGCCAAUUUUAAGGCACGUUGUCGAAGAAUGUGCGGGUCUACCUCUUACAAUUGUCGUCAUAGCUGGUACAUUGAGAGGAGAAGAUGAUCCUCUUAUUUGGAAAAACACACUCAGGGAAUUGAAAGAGAGAAUAGGGAAAGUGAAAGAAGGGGAAGAUAAAGUGAUCGAGAGUUUGAAAGUUAGCUUCAAUCACUUAAAAGACGAGAAAAUGAAGCAUUGUUUCUUACAUUGCGCAUUAUAUCCCGAAGAUUUUGGAAUUGAAAAGCAUGGGCUAAUUGAUAGCUGGAUUGAAGAGGGAUUCAUAGAUGACAUGAGUACAAGACAAGAAACGAAAGAUAAGGGUCAUGUUAUUUUGAAGAAAUUAGAAGAUAAUUGCUUGUUGGAAAAUGUCUCGAGUGUAACAGUGAAAAUGCAUGAUGCAGUGAGAGACAUGGCAUUGUCGAUAACAAGAAUGAAUCCUCGAUAUAUGAUACAAGCAGGGUCGCAAUUAGAAGAGUUACCAGAAAAGGAGCAAUGGAGUCCGGAUAUUGAGAAAGUGUCACUUAUGUAUAACUCCAUAUCAGAAAUUUCCAUAGAUGUGCAGCCCACAAAAUGUCAACUGAUCACAACCUUGUUAUUGCAGGAGAACCCUAUAAAGAAGAUCUCAAGUUCUUUCUUCACAAACAUGCCUUGUCUUAGUGUUCUCAAUUUGUCCUUUACGAAGAUAAAAAGUUUACCAAAUUCCAUCUCUGAACUAAAGAACCUCACAACAUUGUUGCUUUGUGGUUGUGAAGAAUUAAGAGAUCUGCCAUGUCUUUCGAUGCUUCAAGAAUUGAAGAAGUUGGAUCUUUCUGCGACUAAAAUUGAGGAAGUCCCUGAAGGAAUGGAUAUGCUGAUAAAGCUAAGAUAUCUUGAUCUUAGAGUGCGCACUCUGAAAGAGAUACCCGCUGGACUUUUACCAAAAUUCGUUCACCUUCAGCACUUGGGUUUUCAUGAGAACAAUGAAAAAACAAGUCUAAAAGCAGAGGAGAUGGAACCAUUGAAGAAGUUGGAGUGCUUAACUGGACAUUUCGAAGACAUCAGUGAAUUCAAUAAGUUCAUCUCCUCAAUGCAACAAAGUAAGAAAAAUCUCAUCAAGUACUUUUUACAGGUGGGCUCAUAUAAUGUGUGUAUUGGAAGGGAGAAAACAGUAACAAUUGGAGGAGUCCAGAAUUGGGAAGGUGAGUUAAUUAUGCACCCAAUUGAAAUUCGAGAUUUGACUAUUAUAAGGUGCGACUAUAUCAGAAACUUAGUCGAUGAUAAUUCUUCCUUCAAAAAUGCGAUUGACUUGAGGGUUUGUAGGAUUCGAGGGUGUGAAGGGAUAGAGUGUGUUGUUUCCCUGUGCUCUUUGGCCUCUUCUUUCGCUCAUCCAUUUCAGAGCCUCGAGGUGUUGCAUCUUCAAUCUCUGCCAAAGUUGAGUGCCCUUAUUAUGAAUGAUGCAGGAAUUGGUUCAGCAACAACAUCAAAAUUGGCUCCGUCUGCCACCUUCUCCCAUCUCAAGGAAAUUAUGAUAGUGAACUGCUCAAGUAUGAAGACGCUGCUUCCACAUUGGUUGCUUCCAAACCUCCAAAACCUGGAAGAAAUAGAUGUGGAUGCUUGUAGUCAGCUAGUAGAAAUAUUGGGAGCAGCAACAUCAGAAGUUGAAGAAAAAGGGAGUGAUGCAUUAAUCAAAUUCCAUCUUCCCAAACUGAGAGUGCUGUCAUUCUGGGAAUUACCAAAUUUGAAGAGCAUAUGCAGCAAAAGUGGAGUGAUGGUUUGUGAUUCUCUCCAACUUAUCCAAGUUGCUGGAGACUGUUAUAAACUGAAGAGAAUUCCUCCAUUUGUUCCUCUUGUUGGCAAUGGGCAGCCAUUUGCAUAUGUUCCGCCUUCUCUUACCAUCUUCUCAAGCACAGCAUGGUGGGAAUCGUUGGAGUGGGAUGACCAUCCAAACUUAAAAAAUGUUCUUCGCUUCAACCCCCGUGGAGGAUAAGAGGUAUGAACCAUUUAUGGUUUAGUUUAUUUUUUUAUUUUGAUAAAUCUAAGUUCUCCAUAUUAAUAAAAUUUGAAGUAUAUUUGUGAAGAUGUUGAAGAGAAAGAUAAAAGGGUUGGUGGGAAAGAAGUAGGGGGGAGGAUAGUGCAAAAGAGAGGAGAAAAGGAAUGAUGGAAGGAAGAGGUUAAGAGCAUGGAGACUGAGAGGCAAAGGUAAAUAAGAAAUCAAACUGCCUCCACUUUUUAAGCAUUUUCCCUCUCUUGCCAUUCCUUCUAUUCUCUUAUAUAUUCUUCUCUAGUAUAUAAUAUAUAUACUUCCCAAAAUAACCUUCUAAAUAUUUAUUAUUAAAAUAUUUAUAUUAAUCAAAAUGAUUUAAGGUGAGACAAAACUAUGAUCAUAGUUUUAUUUCCAAUAAAAGUUAGGAAAGUAUUGUAAAAAGACAUAAUAUUUUUUAAUUUCCAUGUAAAAUUUCUGAAAACAUUAAGAUUUAAAAAAUAAUAAUAUAGUUAGAAAUUAAUACCAAGAGAGCUACCCAGAAGCAAUAUAAUGUUGAAAUCCCAAACUGUUGAACAAUUUACCUCUUAAUAUUCUGUUGCACACUUGAAUCCAGCAUUUUCUAUACAUUGAGAGGUUAAUUCUGGAUAUACAAAUUUCAUCAUGUUUCUGUCUGCCACCCAUCCAUGGCUCCAUCUAAUAAACGCCAUUGCUUGAAACUUGCAUUCAUGCUUACACUGACAUAUCAAAAAGCCAAUACAUUCACAGAUUUUCAUUCUUUGCUACUGCUAUAUAUGAUUGCAUUGCAGGGACAUAGCAAUGGAGUACGUAGAGCCUGUUGUCGACAUUGCAAAUUGUCUCGGAACUCCUGUUUGUAAAUAUUUGCAAUAUCACAGAAAGCUGAACGCUAAUGUGAUUAACUUCAAGAGGAUCAGAGAUGAAUUGAAUUGUAAAAUGGAAGAUGUAGAGCUGCAAUUGAAAGCAGAGCUUCUUCGUCCUCUGGGGAAGAUACCGAAGAAGGGAGUUGAAAAUUGGUUGAAAGAUGUGAAAAAGAUGAUUAGGGAAGCACAAGUUGAAAACAAAGUCAGUAACGGGAGAUAUCUCUGUCGUGCUUGCAACGGGAAGCUGGUUGAUGAAAAGACUAGAGAAAUGAAGGAAUUUCUUGAUAACGCUCCUAAUGCCUCUGAAGGUCUUGCCAUGGAUGGUCCAAGUGCUGGGUUGCCACUGCCAACAUCAGAACUAGUUGGAGAAGAAGCUGUCAGAAAUGAGAUUUGGGCAUGUUUGAUGCAGGAGGAGGUGAGCAAGAUUGGGGUUUGCGGGAUGGGCAUAAAAAAUUAUUAAAAUAGAUCAUUGCUAAUUCUCUCUUUACUUAAUCGGUAAGUUUCUCUCUUCAAAUCCUUUUAUUUCUUUAUUGAAUCCAUCGCAUAUCAUUUGCAAAUUAACCGAUUUCUCUACAGUUUGUUUGUUCAAUUUUUCUUUUUCCAGUUUUUUUUCUUGAUUUAGAUGGAAGAUUCUUUUGUUGCAUUUGAAGAGUUUCUAAAAAUUUUAGGGUUAUCCUAAAUCUAACUUUCUCGACACCACGUGCACGUAUAAAUUCCUUUCGUGGAGAUUAUUUAUCAUGUUUGUGUGUUUCGUCUUUUGAGGUUGAGCUGUUUUUAUUUUCAAAAAUAAAUAUUUAUUUCCUUUUGCAUUUAUUUCUAAGAUCACCAUAAAUUGUUUAGGGUUGUGUAUUUUGGGGACUUUGGGUGGUUUAAUUUGGGGAUUUUGGGUAAGGGUUUUGAUUUUGGGAAUUUUUGUUUAGGGGUUUUUAAUUUUGGAGAUUUUAGGGAUUUCUUACACCGCCCUCCUCAUCACCUUCAAAGCCAAGAAAUCUACAUCUAGGUUCAUGCGAAAAGUCGCCAGAACUCAUGUUUAAAACCUCGGGUCACUUCUGCCAUGCGGAUUGCAUCGAACUGAUCGACGACUCUACCAAAUAGCUCCAAAAAUCUAUACGUAAAUUUUUUUCAUAUCAGAUGCUCCAACUUUGUGCUUAUGAGUGAUCUUCAAACCUAGGUUAAUGCUGCUCUGACAAAUGAAGAUACUUGCAUGGAUGGAUUCUUAAGCAGGGCUAUGAAUGGGUAUGCAAAGAUGAUGGUGAGGAACGAAUUAUUAAUAUCACAUAUUUGACGAGCAAUGUUUUGGCUCUCAUCAAUAACUAUGCUUCAUCUCAGAUCCUUCAUUGAUUUUCUUGAGAAAAUUUUGAUGGCAAGGAAAGCAUUCAUGGAUUUAUGUUCAAUAUGGGAUUUUAUGGUUUUCGAAUAGGACUUAAGUUUUUAAGGUACUGUAGAUUGUGUUCUCAAUUCUAUGUUUGUGGUUAUUGAUUUUUGCAGUUGUAUCUGUUUGAAUAUGAAAUUUGUGUUUGUGUAUGUUUAGGGUUUUUUUAUUGUUCUUUUAAUAAUUUUAAAACCAUUUACUGACGUGGUAUAUAAGAGAAAUAAUAUUAUGGUAGUAUCUAAAUUUAUUUGGACCGUCAUGUCAGAGGUUAAUGUUUGACCGUUAAACAACUAACAGCCACAUCAGCCUCUAGGUUAAAAACAAACCAAUUUGUUAAAAAUUUAAAUUUUGCACUAUAAAAUUAAUUUUUAAAAUUAACUAUUCAAUUUGUAAUUGAUUUUAUUAAAUUAAAAUAUUCACUAAUGUUUAAAAAUAUUCUCCAUGUUAAUUAAAAAAAAUAUUUAAGAAUUCAGUUAAAUGGUAAUCAAUUUAUAUUAAAAUAUCAGCUUUAUUGGUUGUAUUAUUUCAUUAAUGUUCUUAUAAUAUUAUUUCAUUUUUAUUUAUAGACACCAACUUCAAAAUCAGAAGAGGAUCAAUUUACGAGAAGAUAUGAUUCAUACUGUAAACGAUAAAUAAGAUAUUAUAAAUUGAUAUGAUUAAAAUUUAAAUAAUAUACAAAGAGUAGUAAAAUAAAUUUAAAACAUUUGAUAUGACCUAAAUGAACUAUAAUAAAAGGAUUAUAUAUUUUGAAAUGGUGAUCUGAGAGACAACUAAUCAAUCCUACUAUUUUGUCUUUUAUAAAUAAUUUGUGAUCGAAGAUCCAUCAAAGAUGACUCACAUAUGUUUCCCAAAGAUAUGAUAUAUAUAUAUAUAUUCCUAUCAAGCAAGUUGACAGCUAAAGGGUGCAAUUUUGACUUUGCUAAAUUCUCUAGCAUCAAAGAGGCAAGAUAUGUUGCAAACAAAACAUAAACCAAUAUCAACCCCUACUUUUGUAUGAUAGAGAAAAUAUGAUGUACAAGUUUACAGUCAUGGAAUGUAUUAGGUGCAUUGAAGAUAAUUCAGUGUUAGAAUCAAAGAUAUUUAGGAAAAAAUGUUUGAUUGUCAUUACAAGAAUAUCUUUAAAGUUAAUAGUUUGAGAGAUAAUUUUAAGUAGGAAAUGGAAGGCAUUGCUAUAAAGAGAAUCUCAAGAAAGUAAUUUCGUUUUGAGUUUCAAGUGAAAGGAAUGAAAGAAAGGUUGCUUAAAUAAAUAUGGGAUUGGAUAUUGAGCUCUUUUGAAUAGUUGGAGCGAAAGACACAUGGACCAUAUGAAAUUCAAGUCUACCAAAGUAAUGCUAAUCAGAUUCCUCUUUGGAAAUGAUCAACUUUUCAAAACAUUGUCAAUCUACCUUGAAAGGUGGCAUCGGUGAAAGAAUCAAUCAUGAAAUAUUAAAAUUAUACUAAAAUGACUAUAAAGAUUUAUUUCCCCCAUAAAUAAACAUAUUGUUAUUCUUCCUUAAAAAUUAACAUGAUUUUAUCUUAAUAGACAUGUAUAUAUAUUUAUGUGUCAAAAUAGCCUUCUAAAAUAUUUAUUUUAGAAAAUAAUUUAUAUAAGACAUAUAACAAUUAAUUAUAAACUUAUUUUGAUAUGAUGUCAAAAUUAAAUAUUAUAAUGGUCCUUUACCACAUUCAACACUAAAUAAACUUUAAAUUUUAUAAUAAAAAGCAUACAUAGGCUUCAAAUUUUAAGUUUAAAAUAUGGGAUAAUAGUUGACUAUAGACCCAUCCAUGGGCCCUUGAUCGGAGUCGGUUCUAUAUAGAUAAAGUUUUUUUAUAAUUCGGGUCAGCCCAACCCAAAUUUAAUUUAAAUAAUAAAAAAUUUAUUUUUAAAAUUUAAAUUUAUUUAUAAAAAUAUGCUCUCUUUUUUUAACAUUGAAACGAGCUUUUUAGGUAGAUCGAGUUAGGUCGAAAAUGGGUUUGGACUUGAAAAUUUUAGAUUAUUUUUAAGAGAAUAAUAAUAUCAAGGAGUCUAAUAAUUAAAAAUUUUAUAUUAAAUUUUUAUUGUUUGAAAUCUUCUAAUAACAUAAAAAAAAUUUAAACCAAAGUUUUUAAAAGAAUUUAGGGUAAACUACACCAUUAGUUACUCAAAAAAGGGUCAAUUUUCAUUUUGGUCACUUAACUAAAAUAAGAUACAAUUUGGUCACUAAUGUUUCUAGAAAAAAGUUUUGGUCACCCGACUAUUAAGUGGCGCUUACUUUAGCUAGUAUGAUAACAAUUUUUGUCACAUCCCAAAAAUCAAGUUAGUAGAAAUUGGGUUUGUGAAACCAAGAGUGGUGACGUCCUAUUUUUGAGUUAAGUUUGUGAAAAUUAUGUUAAGUAAAUUGAUUUGGUUUAGUGGUUAAGUGCUUUGGACGUGUCUAAAGUCUUGUGUUCAAAUCUUUUCCCUUAAAUUUUCAUUAUUUUUGUCCUAACUUCCAUCUCUGAACAUCUAGCUUAUAUAUUAUUUUUGCUCAAUUGAUGAUAAGAAUGAGUUUGUUAGUUUAGUGGUAAGGCUUUAGUUUACUUAGAGGUCUUGUGUUUGAAUCUUAUGUGUGUAAAGUGGAAUUAUUUUUGUUUUUAAUAAGAAAUUUUUUUUAUAAGGAUAACUAAUCAAAUUGAGUGGGGAAGUUUUUCAUUUUCCUACGAACUUUCCCCAAAAUUCGCCUCAUUCUGUCAUCCACUUCUUGCCACAUUGUUCACGUUUUCUUUUCCCUUUUCUUUUUCCAUCUGCUGAUUUCUAUUUUCUUUUUGCUUUAGUAGUUUUGUUGCCUUCCUUUCUCAUCUUUGCUCUACUAUUUUCUUUUGUGUUAUUAUAUUGGUAUGUUGUUCAAUCUCUGUUAUUCCUUCGGGUAAGUGUUGGCUAUUUGUUUUUAUAUAAAUGUGGUGUUGGGUUAAUCUUUCAAGUGAUUGAUGGUUUCAAGUUUGAUCUUCGUAAUGUGUUGUUAGGAGAAGAUCGACAAACUCGUGAAUUGUCUCCAGCGGUUUAAGUGCGGGAAAGGGCUGUUGUUUUUGCAAGGGUAAAUGAUUAAAGUUUUCAACUGGAGGCUGAUUCGGUUUCUUAGGCUAAGUGUUUAGCAUUUGUGAUCGAAUUAGUGACUUGGAUUUAGCAUAUUACUAAUAAUUCUUACAUUCUAAAAUGCCAGUUUAGGUACUGGAAUCCUUGUAGUGGUGUUAACAUCGAAAAUUGACUAGGUGUGUAACGGAAAAAUCAAAAAAUAGCGAACGACACGAUGUCAAAAAACCCACUAUCGACGUCACACAGCCAUUUGCCAGGUUAUGUGGGUCAUAUGGGCUGGGUUAUUUGGGCCAUGUGUGUCAGGCUGUGUGCCAGGCCGUGCAGGCUACACGAGUUGGGUCAGUUAGGCCGUGUGGGACCAUUUUUUGUAAAAUUCCAUCAGGGUCGUUUUUGAAGUGCAAUUUGAAAUUAUUCACUUCUUAGGUUCCGAAAUGUGUUAUGUAUGCAUUCUGGAUACGAAAUUUGAUAUUUUGUUUCUGUUAAUGUGAUUUUUGAAAGCAUAUUAUUCAAUAUUGGCAUUGUACGUGUAAUCUGUAAUUUGAGAAUCUAUUUAAGCAUGAUUCAUUUAUGUGCAUCUCAGUAUGUAAAAUGUUUUGACAUGUGCAUUGGGGUGGGAUGAUGAUGUGAUGGAGGAGGUGUUUGGCAGUUUAACUGCAUACUAAUAUUUAUAAGCCAUCGUUGUCGAGCAACUCGAGAUAACUUAAUUUGUGGUUUAACAUAACUUAAUUUGUGGUUUAACCUCAUAUCUAAUAUGGUGGAUUGACCACACUUAUUGAUUUUGGCAAAAUACCGCAUUAUUUAUGGCAGCUUGACUACGCUAUUCUAAAAAGUGAUAUACGCUCACUUAUUGGUGUGACGGAUGGAUUGGCUCUUAUAGUCCUAUUUGGUGUGUAUUGGUGGGAUAGAGAUGGUGUGUAGUGGAUAGGUGUAGGAUCUAUUUAUGUGUCUGUAUUUGCAUUUGUAUUUGUAUCUGUAUCUGCUUUUAUAUAUGAGAUUGCAUCUGUAUCUAAAAUUGAAAUUAUAUAUGUAAUUGAAUUGUAUAUAUUUCUGUAAUUGUUACUGAAUUUGAGUCUAUUCUGCCUAUUUGGGUUGAGUUACACACUAAGCCUAUAAGCUCACCCAAGUUCUUUGACUUCUCAGGUAAUUAGCAUACUUAGGACCAAAAGACGUGCAGAAGCUCAGAUUGGGUUCUCAGUUAUUUAAGUAUGAUGGUUCAUGUUUUUAAAUUAUUUUGGACUUUCUAGAUUUUUUGGGGGGCUGUAAAUCUGUUUCUGUAUUUCGCUUUACGUUUUGGUUUGCUUAGUUGAAUUUAGUAAUUAUUACUUAAAACUACAAAGUUUUGUUGCAAUACCCAAAUUUUAGCCCGGGCUCACAUAUGGAAACAUAAUCUUCGAGGAUAUGCAAUCUUAGAUAUGAUAUGUAAUCUUAGAAGAUAUGAUUUUGUAAUCUUAGAGAUUUAAUUUGUAGAUACCCUUUAAUCUUCGCCGUUGAUGUAAUUGAUCUGUACCGUUGGAUUUGGGGAGGCUCAACUAUAAAUAGAGACCUCUCCCUUCAUUGCAAAAAAAAAAAGGGAGGAAGAAAAAAUCAAUAAAAAGGGAGAACGAUUGACAGUUUUUUAAAGGUGGCUUUUUUUCCGAUUAUCUUUUUACUUAUUUACGAUUUUAAAAAAGGGAGAAUGUGAUAUUACUGCGAAUUUUAUUUAUUUAUUUUUAUUAUUUAGCCCUAAUAAAGUGACGCGUUUCAAAGGAUGGAGAUAUUUUCCCAUUCGAGCCCUAUGAGUUAUUCGCACCUUUUAAUUGGGCCCUUCAUUUUUUUUCUUCUUUAAUUCUGUUGAUUUUCAAUUUAAUCCUUAAUCUUUCAUUUUAGGUUUUUAGUCUAUUUUAUUAAUUUUGUUAUUAUUAUUUUUAUUAUUAUAUUAUAUAUUAUUAUUAUACCUACAUAUAUGUGCGCAUAUGCAUGUUAAUAUAUAUACAUAUAUAUUUUAAACGUUUUAAUAUAUAUACAUAUUAUAUACAUACUUUAUUAUUAUUUUAUUUUCAUAGUUUUUUAUACAUAUAUACACACACAUUUAUAUUUCAUAAUAUUUAUACGUUUGCCCAUAUUCUAUGAUUUUUAUGUACACAUAUAUUUAUACUCCAUUCAAAGCUUAUUAUAAAUAUUUUCAGCGUUUUUAUAUUAUACUUAUAUAUUUCAUUUUUUUUGUAAAUGCAUGAAUAUAUUUUAUAUGUAUAUAUUUAUAUUUUCCUUGUUUUCAUAAAUGCAUUAUGUAUUAUAUAUAUAUAUAAGUUUUAUAACCUAAAAUUUUAUGAGUAAAUUAUCUUUAUGUCUUUUAUUCUUCAUAAUUUCAAAUGUAUAUAUAUUUUGUCCCUUUUUCUCUUUAUAUUUUGUUGUUUAUUUUCUUGAUUUGCUUAUUGAUUUAUGUUUUCAUUUAUAUUCAUUUGAUACUUUACAUGUCGUUGUUUAUGUACAUUAAUUUUGUUUAUUUCUAUGCCAUUGUUGUAUUUAUUAUUACAUUUUAUAUUUAAUGUAGCAUCACAUCAUUUUUUUUUCGAUUUUAAAAUUUUCAAAAUUGAGAUAACACUCGUAUUUAGGAUUUUCAAGGAAAUUGAGCCCUAACGUAUUGGGUUCCCAUUUUCUUCGUUAAAUAGAACGAUUGAGGGUUGCUCAUUAGUAAAAAAUAUAUAAAAUAAAAGGCUUGUUGUUGGGGAGUUAAAUAUGUUGUAUCCUAACGUAUUGGAUGUGACGUAUUGAUUUCUCGAGACAAAGAUUUUUUGAAAAAAUAAUAAUAAAGGAAAUAUUUCAAGUUUGGGAUUUUGAGGAAUUGUGCCCUAAUGUAUUGGGCCGCGAUUUCUUAAAUCUUAAACAAAUGAAUAUUCUUUUAAAUUUUUAUUACACGAGUUUUAGACUAAUUCAUUUUUGAGGAAAUUAGAAUGUUGUGCCCUAACACAUUGGGUGUGACAUUUUCUUUCUCUGAAAUGAUAAGGGUCUUAAUAAGUAACGUUUUUAAGUUUUUGCUAAGGAUUAUAUUUUUCAAAUUUUCGACAUUAAGACACUAAUUAAUUAACUAGGUACCAAUUUUGGGCGUUACAAGGGUGCUAAUCCUUCCUCGUACGUAACCGACUCCCGGAUCUGUUUUUCUAAAACUCGUAGACCAAAGCCGUUUUUUUAGGUGAUCCAAUCACACCUCAAUAAAAGAUUGGUGGCGACUCCCAAUUUUCAUUUUUUUAAGUCAACAACCUAAAUUUUUUGUUUUUCCAAAAAAAUGGUUUCGACAUUUGUGUUUUACAAAUUAAGUCACGAUUUUCAAAUUUUAAUACUUUGAAAUUUCUGCUGCAAAAUAAAGUAAUCAUUUAAGUGUUUUUCUAUAAUAAAAUAAAUAGUUUUAAUGAGUGUUUUCUUAAAAACUAGAAAGUGAUUUGCCAAAAUUAAUAUUGCCAAAACACACUAUUUCAAAUUCAAUUUCUAGGUUUUUAAAUAAGCUAAUGUAAUUCCUCCAAAUUUGGUAAUAACGUCUAGGCCGGUUUUGGGAUGUUACAAUUUUAAUUCUUAAUUUUUAUAUUUUUACCAAAUUGACCCUAAUUUUAUAUAAAAAUUAUAAAAAAACUCAAAAUCAUUUAUAAAAUAGAAAAAUGUAUGUAAAAUUCUAGAAAAAUAAAAUCUUGAAUAUGUUGUUGAAGAACUAAAUUGUAUGAGAAAUAAAGAAAAGUAUCAUUCAAUAGAAUCCAAUAACAAACUAGGCACAUAACAAAAUAAAAAAGUUAGAUCAUUACAUACUUCCUCAACGUUUCUCGAAACCAAAUUAGUAAUAUUAUCUAGUUGAGUUUCAUGCUCUUGAAUAACAUUUAGAACCGGUAUUACGGAGGCUUAUGAAAUCGACUCGGAUGUCAUUUUUUUUAGUCAAAAGAUUACAAAAUAUACCACAAAAUUUUUUUUCAAACUCAAUUCAAAAUUUAAUUAUAAUUAAAAUAUUUUUCAUAACCCAAAUUGUAAAAACAAAUUAUGUUUCUUCUUCCAUGGUCGAGUUGGGCUUGGAAAAGGUUUUUAUGUCUUGAGCCGUUACAACUUGAAUUCAAUUUAAAUAAUAAAAGUUAUUUUUAAAAUUUAAAUUUAAUUAAAAAUAUAAAAUUUUUUUUAAUAUUUUAUUAUUUUCUGAACUCUAAAUGGACUUUUGGAGUGACCAAGCUAGGCUAAAAAUGGGUUAGGCUUGAAAAAUUUUUAGAUUAUUUAUAAGAGUAUAUCAAGGUGUCUAACAAUUACAAUUUUUUUUGAAAGGUCUUAAUAACACUAGAAAUCUUAUCACACACGUAUACAUGUGAAAAUCACGUAUUUAUAACACAGACUGUGUUUAAAAAUAACAAACAAUGAAUACUGAAAAGUAUAAUUUGGAACUAAUUAAUAAUAACACGUUAAAUAUGUAUGAUAUUAAAAUAAAAAUUAGAUUAAAUUGAGAGUAAAACAAAAUCUAAACACAAAAACACAUCAUAUUAAGAAUACUAAAUGAAUACAAAUGUUUAUCAUUGUUUUGUCUUCAAUCCCCAGUUGGUGAUGCUAAAUCAAUAACAUUAUUUACAUACACAAAUAUAUAAAAAUUUAGAACACAAAUGUUUAUCUGUUAUAAAAACAUGUAUGACAUGUACAUUUCUGACAUUUGUUAAUUAUGCAUGUGCAUUAGGAUGAGAUUUGUGUUUACGGAGGAACUGUGGGAGUUUAAUUCAUUUGCCAUAUUUGGUGGCUCAGCCACGCAUAUUUCUGCAUUUAGCGAUGAAUCACCUAAUGAUCUGGCAGUUAGGCUGCGAAUACUUUGAAAAGUUUUAUACUGACACUAAGCGGUGUGUAGGGUUUGAUGGGUAUUUAAUACCCUAUAUAGUGUGUAGGGAUGGUCGGAGAUGGUGUGUAACGGAUCGGAGUAGGAUUGUAAUCUACACCUGAUAUUUUUUUAUUCUGUUUCUGUAUAUGAUAUAUGUCUAAUUGACUUCCGAAAGCAUGUUUGAAAAUUAUAUAUGAUAUUUUAACUCUUAUAAGUUACAUAUUGAGCUUCUAAGCUCACUCUUAGUUUCUCUUAUUCUUAGGUAAUCCUUAGAUUUAGUCGGUGCGACUGGAGCUCGGUUAAUUAUCUUCUUGGUAUAUUUGUUAUUUUAAUUUGGUUUAUUCUAUUUUGGUUUUGAAUUGUUUUUGGACUGUUUUUAAGUUUAGGUUUAUUUUCGUUUUAUUUAUUUAUUUAAACGUUUUUGGUUGGUUUAAAUUUGAUCUACAAAAUUUUAAAUUACAUAGCAACAAACCGUGUUUUGAAAAUUGGACUCAACUAAGAAUUUUCGCUGCAAACGUAAGUGUUUUACGAAUAAAUAAUCGACAAAUUUAUCGAAAUGGUUAAGAAGGAUAUUUUCCCCAAAUAAACUAGGAUUUUACUUAAUAAGAGCUAGCAUUGUUUUAUAAGUCGAACGGAUUCUGGAUUUUCAAAUAAAUUGUAGUAACAUCUCUAGAUUUGGCCAUAACGUCUAGGUCAGAUUUAGGGUGUUACAGAGCCUAUAAGCUCACCCAAUGUUUCUAAGUUCUCAAUUAUCAACAUAUUUAGGACCAGAUGACGUGCAGGAGAUCAGAUUGAGUUCUCAAUUAUUUAAGUAUGAUGGUUCAUGUUUUAAAAUUAUUCUGGACAUUCUGAUUUUUUUGGGGGUUGUAAAUCUUUUUUCAGAUUUUGCUUUGCUUAGUUGGAUUUAGUAAUUAUUACUUUAAACUACAAGAUUUUGUGUUUUAAAAAUUAAGUCAUGGUUUUCAAAUUUUAGUACUCUAAAAUUUUCACUGCAAAAUAAAGUAAUCACUUAAGUGUUUUUCUAUAACAAAAUAAAUAAUUUUAAUGAUUAUUUUCUUAAAAAUUGAAAAGUGAUUCGCCAGAAUUAAUAUUGUCAAAACACACAAUUUCAAAUUUAUUUUCUGGGUUUUUAGACAAGUUAAUGUAAUUCCUCCAGAUUCAACCAUAAAGUAUAAACCAAGUUUGUGGCGUUACAAUUUUUGUCCUCAAUUUAUAUAUAUAUUUAUCAAUUUGACCCUGAUUUUAUAUAAAAAAUUUAAAAUCAUUUAUAAAAUAGAAAAAUGUAUAUAAAAUUCUAGAAAAAUAAAAUAUUGAAUUUGUUGAUGAAGAGCUAAAUGUAUGAGAAAUAAAGAAAAUAUCAUUCAAUAGAAUCCAAUAACAAUAAAGAAACAAAACGAAAUAAAAAAGUUCAGUUUCAUGCUCUUGAAGAACAUCUAGGAUUGAUAUUACAAAGACUUAUAAAAUUGACCCGGAUGUCUUCUUCUUCUUUUUUUGUCAAAAGAUUACAAAAUAUACCACAAUUUUUUUUUCAAACUCAGUUCAAAUUUUGAUUACAUUUAAAUUAUUUUUCAAAACUCAAAUUGUAAAAACAAAAUUUGUUUCUUCUUCCAUGGUUGAGUUGGGCUUGGACAAGGUUUUUAUGUCACGAGUUGUUCCAACUCGAAUUCAAUUUAAAUAAUAAAAAAUAUUUUUAAAUUUUAAAUUUAAUUAAGAAUAUAAAAAUAUUUUAUUAUUUUUUGAACUCUCAAAUGGACUUUUUUAGGUUGACUGAGCUGGGCGAAAAAUGGGUUAGGCUUGAAAAAAUUUUAGAUUAUUUUUAAGAGUAUAUCAAGGAGUCUAAUUAUUACAAUUUUUUUAAAAGGUUUUAAUAACACUAGAAAUCUUAUCACACGCAUAUGCGUGUGAAAAUCACGUAUUUAGAACGCAUAUUUGCUUUUAAAAAGAACAUACAAUAAAUAAUGAAAAGUAUGAUUCGAAACAAAUUAAUAAUAACAAAUGAAAUAUGUAUGAUAUUAAAAUAAAGAUUAGAUUAAAUUGAGAGUGACACAAAAUUUAAACACAAAAACACAUGAAUAUUAAAUGAAAACAAAUGUUUAUCAUUGUUUUGUCUUCAAUACUGAGUUGGUGUCAUGCUCAUUGGUGACGCUAAAUCAAUGACAUUAUUUACAUAUACAAAUAUAUAAAAAUUUAUAAUACAAAUAUACUUAUUAAAGUUUCAAAUGAAAACCUUAAAUUGUUUUAGUUAUAAUGUAAAUGAAAAAGCUUUAUAUGCACGGUGUCUCCUAGUUCAAAUAUCAUUAUGGGUAAUUUUUUUAUUGAUUUAUAAAGAAAAUAUAAAAUGAUGAAAACACUCUCAUAAACAUAUAUCUUACUUUGCAAAUAAAAUAGUAUUUUUGGUAAUUUUCUUAUUGAGUUGGGACUUGAUUGAUGUGUGACACCAACUCAGUAAAAUGCUUAAUACAUAGUAUAGAUAAAACAAUUCUAAACUAAAUUUUUUAAAAGAAUUUAGGGUAAAAUUCAACUAUGGUUAAGUUUUCAUUUUGGUCACUUAACUAAAAUAUGUUACAAUUUGAUCACUAAUGUUUUCGAAAUUAUUUUCUUUUUGCUCACCCGGCUGUUAAGUGGCACUUGUUUCACUUGAUAUAAUAAUAAUUCUAGUCAUCAAUUUUUAUAUUUUCUGUCAAGUUGACUCUGAUUGUGUAUAAAAAAUUAUUAAAAGAAACUCAAAAUAUUUAUAAAAUAGAAAAUGUAGAUAAGAUUUCUAGAAAAAUAAAAUCUUGAAGUUGUUGAAUAACUAGUAUGAAAAAUAAAGAAAAUUAACAAAUUAAAAACAAAACAAAACAAAGUUACGUUUUGCACCUUAUACUUGUUCAUAAUAGCUAAUAUUCACAUAAUUUUCAAUUCAGUCCAUUUUAGUGAUGAAUUCACUAAAUUCUAGUUACAGCUAAACAUAUAGAUGAAAUCAAGUACAAUUUACACAUUAUAUAAAACCAGAUAGUAAGUUUCUUAUUUAAAACUGUUGAACAUUUUACCUCUUUAAUGUUAAAACUCAUUUCUAAUACAACUCAUUGACUUGUAUAUUUAAUUUCAAGUUGUAUAUUCAAUACUGACAACUUCAGCAAUGCAAAUCAUUUAGUAAUGGGGUGCCAAUAACUAUACCUAACACAACUCGUUUACUUGUAUAUUUAAUUUCAGGUUGUAACUUAUAAUUAUGCAUUCUAUUAUUAUUAUUAUUAUUUAUUGCCAUCUUCAAUGAUUUUGUUUUGAUGUCCAAGGUCUACCAUAACAUCCUGUCAAGGUAAUUUUCUUUCAUUUGCUUAAUCCAUCACAUGCUUUUCUUUGCUUGAUUCAUGACUUUGCAAUGAUUGUUUCUGAUUAUCUGCUACUCUUAUCAGCUAGCUUUGUAAGACAGCCAAGGAAGAAGUGAACUUCACUGCUUCAUUUUCAGUUCUAUUCUCUCAACACUUUUCAGCCACUAAGUCAGGUAAAAAGAUCUGAAGCUAUGAUUUCCUCUACUGAUUAUCAACAGUUUUAGAUUUUAAGAUAAGAUGAUCAGCAGACAUAAUCUACUCUAGAUUGAAAUUAAUACAGAAAGAGCUACCCAGAAGCAAUAUAAUGUUGAAAUCUCAAACGGUUAACAUUUUAGCUCUUAAUAUUCUGUAAUGAACUGUUGCACACUUGAAUCUAGCAUUUUGUAUACAUCGAGAGCUUAAUUCUGGUGACCAGAAUUUCAUCAUGUUUCUGUCUGCCACCCAUCCAUAGCUCCAUCUACUUAACGCCAUUGCUUGAAACUUGCAUUCAUGUUUUCCUUUUCAUGCUUACACUCACAUAUCAAUACUUCAUAAAAUAUCCAAUUCAUUCACAGAUUUUCAUUCUCUGCUACUGUUUUAUAUGAUUGCAUUGCAGGGACAUAGUAAUGGAGUAUGUAGAGCCUGUUGUCGGCAUUGCAAAUUGUCUCGGAACUCCUGUUUGUAAAUAUUUGCAAUAUCACAGAAAGCUGAACGAUUAUGUGAGAAACUUCAAGAGGAUCAGAGAUGAAUUGAAUGGCAAAAUGCAAGAUAUAGAGCUGCAAUUGAAAGCAGAGCUUCUUCGUCCUUAUUGGUGCUAUAACUGAAACUAACAGAUUCAGUGCAGACUUGUUAAGCAAGUCUCGAGACUUGCUGAGCAAACAAGAGAAUUCGAGCAAGAGAAAGGAAAAAAGGCUAAGAAAAAUGAAGAGAAAAAUUGAUGAACAAACUGAACUUCAUUCAUAAAAUGCAUAAUGGCACAAUGCCAAUACAUAAAACAGGCACUAAGCUUGUCAAAGACAGUAAGUAAUUACCUAAACAUCACCUACCUCCACUAAUGACAUGGAAACUUGAAAUUUUGGCUUGUAAACUUACACAAAGUUGUGUUUACAACUCAUACAUAAGCUAAUUACAUCAGUCAACAAUCUAACUUAGUUAGAAAUGAACUAAGAUUACAUUUCAUUGACUAGGAAUUACAAAAUAAACAAAAUAAGCUUGCAUCAGCAGCUCCUGCAUGACUUGGUCUUCAUGGCCUGCAUGCUGUCGAGUUUGCUGCAUGCUGAACCAACUUCAUCACUCCUCCUUGGUUUGCAUGGAGCAAACACCUAGCUUCUUUCUUAGACAUUCGAACCUUGUGACACUAAGGGCUUUGGUUAAAAUGUCUGCAAGUUGAUCCUCUGAAUUACAGUGGAUCAGCUUUACUUCCUGAGCUUGCUCCAUUUCUCGAACAACAUGCAACUUGAUGCUGAAAUGUUUUGUUCUUCCAUGGAACACUGGAUUUUUAGCAAUUGCUACUGCAGAUUGGUUGUCACAGAAGAUCUCAGUAGCUUCCUCUUGAUGCACAUUCAAGUCAGCCAAUAUUUUCCUUAGCCAUAUGGCUUGGUUGACAGCACUUGCUGUUGCCACAUACUCUGCUUCAGCAGUAGAUUGAGCUACUAGACUUUGCUUCUUUGAGCUCCAGCAAAACAUGGCUGAACCAAGGUUAAAAGCAUACCCUGAGGUGCUUUUCAUGUCAUCUACCGAGCCAGCCCAGUCACUAUCAGUGUAGCCAACCAGCUUCAGAUUUCCUUCUUUGCUGUACUUCAAACCAUAGUUUAAAGUGCCUUUGACAUAUCUCAGCACUCUCUUUGCAGCUUGGAAAUGCUUCUCAUUGCAGCAAUGCAAGAACCUUGAGAGCAAUACAGCAUACAUGAUGUCUAGUCUAGUGGCAGUCAAGUAUAGCAAGCAACCAACUAGACUCCUGUAGGUUGUUUCACAAACUUUCUUAAAAUCACUUUGGCUCGAUAGUUUUUCUCCAACAGCAACAGGUGUUUUAGUUGCCUUGUUGUUUUGCAUGGAGAACUUGGUCAGAAUCUUUGUGGCAAAGCUUCUCUGGCUUAGAAAUAUCCCAUUCUAUACUUGAGACACCUCCAUUCCAAGAAAGUAUGACAUCUCCCCAAGAUCAGACAUUUCAAACACUUCUUACAUCUUGGUCUUGAAAUCAGCCAGCACUACUCGAUCUCCUCCUGUCACCAGAAGAUCAUCAACAUACAGGGACACAAUGAGUUGUAUUUGUGUCCCUUGUUUCUUGACAUACAGUGUUGGCUCACUCUUGCUUCGAUCGAAUCCCAGAUCAGUCAAGUAGCCAUCGAUUCUGCUAUUCCAAGCCCUUGGAGCCUGUUUUAAUCCAUAUAGGGCCUUCUUUAGUUUGUAGACCAUAUGCUCUCUGCCAGCUAUUUCAAACCCUUGUGGUUGUUCAACAUAGAUGUCUUCAUCUAAGAAACCAUUCAGAAAGGCUGAUUUCACAUCAAGUUGAUGGAUCUUCUAUUCGAGCUGUGCUGCUAAGGCAAUCAGCAGUCUGAUGGUGUCGAACCUGGCCACUGGUGCAAAGGUCUCCAGGUAGUCCAAGCCAUACCUCUGACUGAACCCCUUGACAACUAGCCUUGCUUUCAGCUUGUUCAAGGUACCAUCAGCAUUCUGCUUGGCUUUGUACACCCAUUUCACCCCAAUCACCUUCCUUUUGACUGGCCUUUCAACCAAUUCCCAGGUCUGGUUCUUCUCAAUCAUGCUGAUCUCCUCAGCCAUUGCCUGCUUCCACCCUUGCUGAGCCUCAACCUCUUCAAAGUUGCUUGGUUCAGCUAUGGCUACAUGAGCCCUUUCAUAAAUUUAAGCCAAUAGCCUUGUUCCUCUGACUGGUUCAUCAUCAAUAUCCAUUUCAGGGACAUUUUGGUCUGGCUCAGCUUGGUCUGCUGUAAGUUCUUUAGAAACUUCUUCAGGUUCAUGUCUUUCCCAGUUCCAACAUGACCUCUCAUCAAAUGCCACAUCCCUGCUUACUGACACUUUAUUUGUUGAAGGAUCUAAAAUCCUAUAGCCCUUCUUAACAGUGCUAUAGCCCACCAAAACACCAGGUCGAGCCCUUUCAGACAAUUUGUCCCUUUUAACAGCAGGUACAUGUGCAUAACAGAUGCAUCCAAAGACCUUCAGAUGAGCCAGUGAUGGCUUGAAGCUAAACCAGGCCUCGAAUGGGGUCUUUUGAUCCAAAGCCUUGGUUGGAAGUCUAUUUUGAAUGUAUGUUGCAGUGUUAACUGCUUCUGCCCAUAGUGCUUUAGGCAGAUUCUUCUGAAUCAUCAAGCACCUGGCCAUAUCCAUCAAACUCCUAUUCUUCCUUUCACUUACCCCAUUCUGCUGAGGUGUAUAUGUGUUGGUAAGUUGAUGUUUGAUGCCUGCCUUAUCACAGAAGGCUUGGAACUGAGCUGAGGUGUACUGAGUCCCAUUAUCAGACCUUAUGGUCUUCACCUUGCAGCUUGUUUCAGUCUCAGCAGCAGUUUUAAACUUCCAAAACACAGUGGCCACCUCUGAUUUCUGUUUUAAGAAGUAAAUCCAGCAAUAUCUCGAGAAAUCAUCAAUGAACAAUAUGAAAUACCUAUUUCCACUUAAUGACUUAGUCUUCAUAGGGCCACACACAUCAGUAUGCACCAGUUGGAGUUUUUCAGAGGCUCUUCAGGCUUGAUUCGAGGGAAAUGGGAGUCUGGCCUGCUUUCCUAGCUGACAUACUUCACAUACAUCAUCAUGGUCCACUGAGUUGAUGAAGUUUUCAGCCAGGUCUUCUCUGAUCAUUCGGGCCAUCGAUAUGAAGUUGGCAUGUCCCAGUCUUUGAUGCCACAGCUUGGAUUCAUCUGAAGUGGCUGUGUAGGCAAUGUCUGACUUCUUUGUCCAGUCAACCACAAAGCUCUUAUCAGCCAUGGGGACUGCCAUCAGUUUGGAUCCACUUGGAUCACUGAUUUGGCACUGGUGGUCUUUAAACAAAACUGAAUAACCUUUUUCCAGUAACUGAGCUAUGUUGAGCAGGUUUCUGUCAAUUUCAGGCACCAACAGCACAUUUGAAAUCACUUUGGUACCUGUAAGGGUGCAUAUCAGCACAUCACCCUUGCCUUCAGCUUGAAUAAAAUGACCAUUUCCUAUCUUGACUUUAGUUCUGCAGCUUCUGUCUAAAGACUUGAAGAUUGCAGCAUCAGGUGUCAUGUGGUUGGUGCAUCCACUGUCUAGGAGCCAACCAGAUGAGGACCUUUCCUGAGCAGCUGAGCAUGACACAGCAAAAACUUGCUCCCCUUGGUCACUGUCCUCCUUAGCUACUCGAGCCUCAGCUUUCAUCUGUUGAAACUGAUUGUGCCUUGAUUUGGCCUUGCUCUUAUAGACUCUCUCAACAUGACCCUUUUUCUUACAAUGCUGACACACAGCAUCUGGAUUGAACCAGCAUUUUUCUUCUAAAUGACCAGUCUUUCUGUAGUGCUUGCAAGUCUGACCUUCUCUCUUUGCAGCAUCAUUCUUUGGCUUGUCUCUCCAGGCCUUCUUGCCUUUGUAGGCAGCAUUUGUUCUUGCCUGAAAGGCACCUUCUUGGUGCUCCUCCAGUCUGCUUGCUCUCCUCUGCUCUUGAGCAUAUAGAGCAUUGAUCAACUCUGUCAGGGAGAUGGUGGACAGGUCCCUUGAGUCCUCGAGAGAUGAGAUUUUUGCCUCAUACCUCUCAGGCAAAGUUGCUAUAACCUUCUCCACUAUCCUAGCUUCAUUAAACUGCUCUCCAAGGAGCCUGAUGCUGUUAACCACAGCCAUAAUCCUGUCAGAAUAUUGCUUGACAGUUUCUUCUUCCUUCAUCUUCAAAUUCUCGAAAUCUCUCCUCAAGUUUAACAACUGUUGCUGCCUUGUCCUCUCUAUCCCUUGAAACUCUUCCUGCAACUUGUCCCAGGCCUGUUUUGGUGAUUCACAUGCCAUAAUCCUUGUGAAAAUCACAUCAGACACUGAGUUUUGGAUGCAAGACAUAGCCUUGUGCCUCUUGGUCCUUUCAUCAGCAUGCUGCUUGAUCUGAGCCACUGUUGGAUUAGCUCUAAGUGGCUCUGGUUCAACAUCAGAGUUGACCACCUCCCACAGAUCGAAAGCCUGCAGGUAGGUCUUCAUUUUGACCACCCAUAUGUGAUAGCCUUCUCCAUUGAAGACUUGAGGUGCAGCUGGUGAAAAGCUUGAUGAAGCCAUGGAUUUGUGUAACAGAUCCCUUAAGAAAUAGUCUCUAGAUACCAAUUGUUGGUGCUGUAACUGAAACUAACAGAUUCAGUGCAGACUUGUUAAGCAAGUCUCGAGACUUGCUGAGCAAACAAGAGAAUUCGAGCAAGAGAAAGGAAAAAAGGCUAAGAAAAAUGAAGAGAAAAAUUGAUGAACAAACUGAACUUCAUUCAUAAAAUGCAUAAUGGCACAAUGCCAAUACAUAAAACAGGCACUAAGAUUGUCAAAGACAGUAAGUAAUUACCUAAACAUCACCUACCUCCACUAAUGACAUGGAAACUUGAAAUUUUGGCUUGUAAACUUACACAAAGUUGUGUUUACAGCUCAUACAUAAGCUAAUUACAUCAGUCAACAAUCUAACUUAGUUAGAAAUGAACUAAGAUUACAUUUCAUUGACUAGGAAUUACAAAAUAAACAAAAUAAGCUUGCAUCAGCAGCUCCUGCAUGACUUGGUCUUCAUGGCCUGUAUGCUGUCGAGUUUGCUGCAUGCUGAACCAACUUCAUCAGUCCUCUGGGGAAGAUACCGAAGAAGGGAGUUGAAAUUUGGUUGAAAGCUGUGAAAGAGAUGAUUAGGGAAGCAGAAGUUGUUGAAAACAAAGUCAGUAACGGGAGAUAUCUCUGUCGUGCUUGUAACGGGAAGCUGGUUGAUGAAAAGACUCGAGAAAUGAAGGAAUUUCUUGAUAAAGCUCCUAAUGCCUCUGAAUGUCUUGCCAUAAAUGGUCCAGGUGCUGGGUUGCCGCUGCCAACAUCAGAACUAGUUGGAGAGGAAGCUGUCAGAAAUGAGAUUUGGGCAUGCUUGGUACAGGAGAAGGUGAGCAAGAUUGGGGUUUGGGGGAUGGGCGGUGUGGGUAAAACCACUAUCAUGAAGCACAUCCACAAUGAUCUUUUGAAAGAACAAAGAUUCGAAAGGGUAAUCUGGGUUACCAUAUCAAAGGAGUUCAAUGUCAUGAAGGUACAAGAUGAUAUUGCAGAUGCUUUGAAGUUGAAGGAAGAUUGGCCCAGAGAAGGAGACAAGCUCAGACGAGCAGCAAUCUUGUCUGAAAUGCUGAAGAACGCCGAAAAGCAUGUUCUAAUCCUAGAUGAUGUGUGGGAUAAAGUCUCUCUAGAAGAAGUUGGGAUCCCCGAGCCGAGUGGCAGAAAUGGCUGCAAGUUGGUGUUGACAACCCGUUCGGAGCAUGUCUGUAAGUAUAUGGGUUGUAAGGUGAUAAAAGUGAAGCCCCUUUCAGAAGAAGAGGCAUUGAUACUAUUCUUGAAUAAAGUUGGACCUAACAUAGUUCAAAGUCAAACUAUAAUGCCUACUCUGAAGCUUGUUGUCAAGGAAUUUGCGGGUCUACCUCUGACAAUUAUCGUCGUAGCUGGUACAUUGAAAGGAGAAGAGGACUCUCUUAAUUGGAAGAACGCACUCAGGGAAUUGAAAGAGAGAAUAGAAAAAGUGGAAGGAGUGGAAGCUAAGGUAAUCGAGCGCUUGAAAUUUAGCUUCGAUCACUUAAAGGACGAGAAAGUGAAAUAUUGUUUCUUACAUUGCGUAUUAUAUCCCGAAGAUUUUGGAAUUGAAAAGGAUGAAAUAAUUGAGUGCUGGAUUGAGGAGGGAUUCAUAGAUGAUAUGGGUACAAGACAAGAAAUGAAAGACAAGGGCCGUGUUAUUUUGAAGAAGUUAGAAGAGAAUUGCUUGCUGGAAAAUAUUACCAAUAAAAGUGGUCAACCUUGCAUAAAGAUGCAUGAUGCAGUGAGAGAGAUGGCAUUGUCGAUCACAAGAAUGAAUCCUCGACAUAUGAUACAAGUAGGUUUGCAAUUAGAAGAGUUACCAGAAAAGGAGCAACGGAGUUCGGAUAUUGAGAAAGUGUCACUUAUGUAUAACUCCAUAUCAGAAAUUUCCAUAGAUGUGCUGCCCACAAAAUGUCAACUGCUCACAACCUUGUUAUUGCAGGAGAACCCUAUAAAGAAGAUCUCAAUUUCUUUCUUCAUAAACAUGCCUUGUCUUAGUGUUCUCAAUUUGUCCUCUACGAAGAUCAAAAGUUUACCAAAUUCCAUCUCUGAACUAAAGAACCUCACAACAUUGUUGCUUUCUGGCUGUUAUGAAUUAAGAGCUCUGCCAUGUCUUUCGAUGCUUCAAGAAUUGAAGAAGUUGGAUCUAAGUUGGACUAGAAUUGAGGAAGUACCUGAUGGCAUGGAUAUGCUGAUAAAGCUAAGAUAUCUUGAUGUUCGAGUGUUCACUCUGAAAGAGAUAUCCGCUGGACUUUUACCAAAACUCGUUCACCUUCAGCACUUGGGUUUUCAUAAGGACAAUAAAAGAAUCAGUCUAAAAGCAGAGGAGAUGGAACCAUUGAAGAAGUUGGAGUGCUUAACCGGACAUUUCGAAGACAUCAGUGAAUUCAGUAAGUUCAUCUCCUCAAUGCAACAAAGUAGGAAAAAUCUCAUCAAGUACGAUUUACAGGUGGGCUCAUCUUUUAUGCGUGCUACAAGAGAUAAAGCAGUAACAAUUGGAGGAUUCCAUGAUUGGGAAGGUGAGUUAAUUAUGCACCCAAUUGAAAUUCAAGAGUUGAAUAUUUUAAAGUGCCACAAUUUGAGAAGCUUAGUCAAUGAUAAUUCUUCCUUCAAAAAUGCGAUUGGCUUGAGGGUUUGGUGGUGUGAAGGGAUAGAGUGUGUUGUUUCCCUGUCCUCUUUUGCCUCUUCUUCCGCUCAUCCAUUUCAGAGCCUCGAGAUGUUGGACCUUAGUGAGCUACCAAAGUUGAGUGCCCUUAUUAUGAAAGAUGAAGGAAUUGGUUCAGCAACAACAUCAACAUUGGCUCCAUCUGCCGCCUUUUCCCAUCUUAAGGAAAUUACGAUAGACAGCUGCUCAAGUAUGAAGAGGUUGCUUCCACAUUGGUUGCUUCCAAACCUCCAAAACCUGGAAGUAAUAUCAGUGUCACACUGUGAUAAGGUACCAGAAAUAUUGGGAGCACCAACAUCAGAAGUUGAAGAAAAAGGGAGUGAUGCAUUAAUCAAAUUCCAUCUUCCUAAAUUGAGAAAGUUGAAAUUGUGGAGAUUACCAAAUUUGAAGAGCAUUUGCAGCAAAAGUGGAGUGAUGGUUUGCGAUUCUCUCCAAGUUAUCCAAGUUGCUGGAGACUGUUAUAAACUGAAGAGAAUUCCUCCAUUUGUUCCCCUUGUUGGCAAUGGGCAGCCAUUUGCAUAUGCUCCACCUUCUCUUACCAUCUGGUCAUUGAAAAAAUGGUGGGAAAGGUUAGAGUGGGAUGACCAUCCAAACUUUAAAAAUGUUGUUCAACCCCUUUGGAAGCUUUUAAGGUAUGAACCAUUUAUAGCUUAGUUUAUUUUAUAAAUCUAAUUUCUCCAUUUUAAUACCAUUUCAUGUUAUAUUUUAUUUUUGUUUUAAGUUAAGAUGAUGUGGCCUCCAUUGGUGCGAAAGAAGUAGAAGACAGUAGCAGAGCGGAGGAUGGUGCAAAAAAGGUGGGAAUAAAAGGAAUGAUGGAGCAUUGAGGAAUUGAGCAGCCACCAUAAUAAUUGACUCCUUUUCCAUUUUAAUAUCAAAUUAUUUUAUUUGUAUUUUUAUAUAAAACAAUUAAAUUCAAAUAUUAUAUAAAAAAUCUUUAUAUUUGUUAAUUGAAUUGAUGUAAUUCGUUAAUUGGAUUUUAAUAUUAUUUUCAUAAAAUAACAAAUAUUAUUUUGAGAAUAUUUUUAUUUUUUACAUAAAAUUUUAAAAUAUAUAUGUACAUGUUGAAAUUUAAAUCUAAAACAUCACAUUCUUUAAUACCUCAAUUCUAUUAUUUAAAAUUAUAGUACUCUUUGCUUAUAUUGAUCUAUUGGCAUAAUCUUAAUUAGAUAUGUUUGUAUUGAUCGUAAAGUGAAAUUAUUUUUCUUAACAUUUAUAAAUGAUUAAUAUUAAAAUAUUUGAAAUUAAAAAUAAAUUACUAAAAAUAAAUUUUAAAAAAUUUUAGAUUUAAAAUGGAAUUAAAAUAUAAUAUCAAAUUAUUACUACCUUUAUAGUAUAAUUUAUUGGAUAAACUACACUGUAGGUUAUUCUAAAACAACAUUAUUUCUAUUUUGGUCACUUUAUUUUUUUAUCAAUUUAGUCACUCUAAUUAAAAUAAUUGUUCGAAUUAGACAUUGCCAUAACAUUUUUUUUUUUUACUUUUGACUAAAGCUAGAGACUUUUCUAUUAGCUCAAAACAUUUGUUUUUGUUUAUUUGCAGCAUAAGAACCACGUAUGCUUGUCACCACUCAUCCUUUGCUUUCCAUCUCUAUUGCUCCUCACUGCACCAUAAGAACCACGUUUCAUCACAAUGGUGUACAAAGAGUGUUGGUUGUGUUUUGACUAUCGUACAAAUUAGUGUAGAAAUACAACCGGCAAACUUCCGAGUGGAUACUAUUGGGAAACUAUAGGUGAAGUCGGAGCGAAAAACACAAGCUGUCAUGUAAGGACCUACGGCUAUCGUCGAAUCUUGCAUGGCGACUGGGGAUAUGACGGAUUUUUUAGUUCUGACGAGGAUCUUGGAUCCGAUAUCCAGAGUCCAUUUCCACUUAUCGUUAUUGUAUAGCUCAGAUUUUUUGCCAAGAAUCUUCUUGGUUAGAACAUAGUAAUAGCUAAGACAAGGUGAAAGAGAAGCAACAAGGAAGCUAAAAUGGUAACAAGCUUGGGAAAGGAUUGAGUAGAAACUGACUUCUUCAUGGACUCAGUAUGGGAUCCAGGAAGGGAAAAAAUCAAUCUUUAAGAACAAAUGAAAAAAACCAAAGGAAUCCGCUUUCAAAUAAAUUUACCUUUGAGGCUUUGUUAGUGUUUUAAAUUAAUUAUAGAGAAAUUCUUAAUUUUAGUAAAAAGUAAAAAAUGAAUGUCAUAUCAACAAUCAGUUAGUGGGUUAAUACGAUAGUGACCAAUUCAAAUAAUUAGUAUAAUAAAAAAAUUUGCUCUUUUUAACUUUUACAUAUUAUAUCAUCAAUUUGGCAUAAUUUUAAAAAAAUAACCUUCAAAAUUACAAAUGAUCUCUAUUUCAUCAUCAAAUUUUACCUACCUAAUUUAUCGUUAAAUAGUAGCAGAUAUAUUCUGUUUGGACGAUUUUUGGGUUGACAUAUUCUUUUCAGCUGAAUGCUAAUAAUAACAAUAAUAUGAUGAAACACUGGAGUAAUUUCUUAUGUGACGGCCUUCAUUUCACUCACUAGUUGCAUGUUUAUUGUUCAUGCACUGAUUAAACAAGAUUUGAAAAAGGCUAAAAGCAUGAGCAUGCAACACUGAAUUGUCAAAUACUCAAUAGUAUAAGAUUGAAAUGGUGUUUUUUUUGCAGGAACAAUAGGUGAUUUGCAGAAUCAUACACAAAACAGGCGAGAAAAAAAAUGGGGUAGCUGCUGCGCAAGGACAAGGCUAUCUCUUGAAACUUUCUUCAAUAUCUUCAACAGCAAAGCAACAACUUGCUUUCGUCCACUGCUUGAAAUCCCAAUUCCGUUUAGAAUCUCAAGCUCAAGCUUCAGUGCAGGCUGCCCCUUACUCUUUUAUGGAACGUGAAAAAGCCUAAUAAACCCAGUUGUGUAUCCAACUAAUGGGUUCCAACCCUCCUUUUCAGCCACUUCCACCUAGCACACUUGAUUUAUAAAUUUUGAAAUUUAAUUUUUUAAAAUUAUGCAUGUCAAAGUUGAUAGAUAAAUUUAUUGUUAUAUCGAUUUUUAACUGCCACAUCACCCUCCGAUUAAAGUUUUAAGGCACUUAACGAAAAUGGAUAAAAAAAAUAAUCUCAAUUAGUUGAGUGACCAAAUUAAAAAUAAAUUAAUAGUUAGUGAUCAAAAAGAAAAGGGACAAUAAUUAGAUGACCUGUGAUGUAGUUUACCCAUAUCUUUUUAAAAGCGUAUAUAUAUAUUUAUAACUGUCAUCAUUCGUAUAGAAAUGUCACAAAUAUUAAAUCAUUAAAUUGCAUGUUUCAAAAAAAAAUUAUUAAUUCAUUUUUUAAGAUUAGUAAUUAAUAGAAAUAGGAUCAAAAACAUUCAUACUAAACUUAACUAAACAAUCUUAUAAUUUGGUCACUCAUGUUUUCGAAAUUAUUUGUUUUCUUCACUCGACUGUUAAGUGGCACUUAUUUUAAUUGAUACAAUAAUAAUUUUAGUCUUUAAAUUUGACCUUGAUUUUAUACAAAAGUUAUAAAAAAAAUCUCAAAAUUAUGUAUAAAAUAGAAAUUUUCAUAUAAAAAUUCUAGAAAAAUAAAAUCUUGAAUAUGUUGUUACAUAACUAAAUUGUAUAAGAAAUAAAGAAAAUUAGCAUUUAAUAGAAUCUAAUAAUAAAUUAAAAAUAAAAAAAAAAGUUAGAUCAUUACAUGCUUCAUCAAUGUUUCUUGAAACUAAAUUAGUAAUAUUAUUAAGUUGAGUUUCAUGUCCUUAAAGAAUAUCUAGAAUUGAUAUUGCAGAGGCUUAUGAAAUUGACCUUGAUGCCAUUUUUUUUAACCAAAAGAUUUUAUGUUUCAAACUCAAUUCAAUUUUUCAUUACAUUUAAAUUAUUUUUUGAAACUGAAAUUGUAAAAAGAAAUCAUAUUCAGAAUUUUAUUUUUUCUUGUAAGGUAAAAUUAUGUCAAGAAACAGAGGAGGUAAAAAACAUAGAACAAAUAAAUCAGCUUAAUGUUUGUUUUCUAAGUUUGUUUUUAAAGAACGAGUAUUGGAUAUUUCAAUAUACAUAAUAUAGAGAAUUUCUGUAGGGUUUAAAAACAAUUAUCCCUCAUUUUCUCUCACUUUAUUUAUUUUUGAAAAUUUUAUCAACUUUAUUUAAUUUUUAAUUUUAUAAUGUACUAAAAUUUUAAAAAUAAUUUAUUUUUUACCAUUUUAUAUAUUAUCAAGAUUAAAUCGAGUAAAAAUAUAAAACUUAAAAAAAAAGACUAAAAUAACAAUUAUAUUAAUCAAAAGAAUACCACUUAACAAUGGAGUAUGUAAGAAAUUGUCCAAGAGUUAAAUCCAAAAUGUAAUAUCAACAACACAAGUUAUUUACUACAACACCAAUAACUAUAUAUAUUUUUUUAUAACUAAUACAAGUCAUUUACUAGUAUAUUAGACAUUCUUAUACCCUGCUUUCCCAUACAUUCCCAUGAUGAUGAUGAUGAUGAUGAUGAUGAUGAUGAUGUUACAAUUGAGCACCAAGAUGACUGCAAAACUUGUUAGUAUUGUCCAGGAUGAAUCGAAAGGACAUUUCCAUGGAUUUUAGACCUCAUAUCUAUCUUUCAAAUUUUGAGAGCAGAUUCAAGGUUUUAUCAAGUAGAAAUGUCAGUAUCAAAUACCCAAGAUGCCAACUUAUAAUGGCAGACAGCAAAGCAAAAAGCUAAAAGAAAAUAUGGGAUUUCUUACUAAAAAUCCUGCCUUUCUGGAACCCACCACAGAAGUGAAUGCCUCAUUAUUUUGCCCCUUUUUAUCUUCACUUUCUUCCUUGUUUUGCUAUUGUACCCACAACAUUCUUUCUUCUUCACUGUUUUUAUGAAGCAUCCAGUCAAGGUAAUUUUCUUUCAUUUGCUUAAUCCAUGACAUGCUUUUCAUUCCUUAGUUCAUGACUAUGCAAUGAUUGUUUUUUAUUAUCUGCUUCAGUUAUAGCAGUUUGCUUUGUAAGAUAGUCAAGGGAGUGAACUUCACUGCUUCAUUUUCAGUUCUAAUCUCUCAACACUUUUCAACCAGUAGGUCAGGCAAUUUAUGCUUCCCAUUCUUUGAUCCUUAAAUAUGCAAUUCAGCUCUUUUGAAAAUUUGUUUGCUUAUUAUCAACUCAUGACAUGAUUUCCUUUGCUUUUACAUAACAAGAAAGAUGAAUAUUUGUAAUAAGAUCUGAAGCUAUGAUUUCCUCUGCUGAAUAUCAACAGUUUUAGAUUUCAAGACUGGAUGAUCAGCAGACAUAAUCUACUAUAGUUAGAAAUUAAUACCAAAAGAGCUACCCAGAAGCAAUAUAAUGUUGAAAUCCCAAACUGUUGAACAUUUUACCUCUUAAUAUUCUGUUGCACACUUGAAUCUAACAUUUUCUAUACAUUGAGAGGUUAAUUCUGGAUAUACAAAUUUCAUCAUGUUUCUGUCUGCCACCAUCCAUAGCUCCAUCUAAUAAACGCCAUUGCUUGAAACUUGCAUUCAUGCUUACACUGACAUAUCAAAAAGCCAAUACAUUCACAGAUUUUCAUUAUCUGCUACUGUUAUAUAUGAUUGCGUUGCAGGGACAUAGCAAUGGAGUACGUAGAGCCCGUUGUCGGCAUUGCAAAUUGUCUUGGAACUCUUGCCUGUAAAUACUUGCAAUAUCACAGAAAGCUCAAUGAUUAUGUGAGAAACUUCAAGAGGAUGAGAGAUGAGUUGAAUUGCAAAAUGGAAGAUAUAGAGCUGCAAUUGAAAGCAGAGCUUCUUCGUCCUCUGGGGAAGAUACCGAAGAAGGGAGUUGAAAUUUGGUUGAAAGCUGUGAAAGAGAUGAUUAGGGAAGCAGAAGUUGUUGAAAACAAAGUCAGUAACGGGAGAUAUCUCUGUCGUGCUUGCAACGGGAAGCUGGUUGAUGAAAAGACUCGAGAAAUGAAGGAAUUUCUUGAUAAAGCUCCUAAUGCCUCUGAAUGUCUUGCCAUAAAUGGUCCAGGUGCUGGGUUGCCGCUGCCAACAUCAGAACUAGUUGGAGAGGAAGCUGUCAGAAAUGAGAUUUGGGCAUGCUUGGUACAGGAGAAGGUGAGCAAGAUUGGGGUUUGGGGGAUGGGCGGUGUGGGUAAAACCACUAUCAUGAAGCACAUCCACAAUGAUCUUUUGAAAGAACAAAGAUUCGAAAGGGUAAUCUGGGUUACCAUAUCAAAGGAGUUCAAUGUCAUGAAGGUACAAGAUGAUAUUGCAGAUGCUUUGAAGUUGAAGGAAGAUUGGCCCAGAGAAGGAGACAAGCUCAGACGAGCAGCAAUCUUGUCUGAAAUGCUGAAGAACGCCGAAAAGCAUGUUCUAAUCCUAGAUGAUGUGUGGGAUAAAGUCUCUCUAGAAGAAGUUGGGAUCCCCGAGCCGAGUGGCAGCAAUGGCUGCAAGUUGGUGUUGACAACCCGUUCGGAGCAUGUCUGUAAGUAUAUGGGUUGUAAGGUGAUAAAAGUGAAGCCCCUUUCAGAAGAAGAGGCAUUGAUACUAUUCUUGAAUAAAGUUGGACCUAACAUAGUUCAAAGUCAAACUAUAAUGCCUACUCUGAAGCUUGUUGUCAAGGAAUUUGCGGGUCUACCUCUGACAAUUAUCGUCGUAGCUGGUACAUUGAAAGGAGAAGAGGACCCUCUUAAUUGGAAGAACGCACUCAGGGAAUUGAAAGAGAGAAUAGAAAAAGUGGAAGGAGUGGAAGCUAAGGUAAUCGAGCGCUUGAAAUUUAGCUUCGAUCACUUAAAGGACGAGAAAGUGAAAUAUUGUUUCUUACAUUGCGCAUUAUAUCCCGAAGAUUUUGGAAUUGAAAAGGAUGAAAUAAUUGAGUGCUGGAUUGAGGAGGGAUUCAUAGAUGAUAUGGGUACAAGACAAGAAAUGAAAGACAAGGGCCGUGUUAUUUUGAAGAAGUUAGCAGAGAAUUGCUUGCUGGAAAAUAUUACCAAUAAAAGUGGUCAACCUUGCAUAAAGAUGCAUGAUGCAGUGAGAGAGAUGGCAUUGUCGAUCACAAGAAUGAAUCCUCGACAUAUGAUACAAGCAGGUUUGCAAUUAGAAGAGUUACCAGAAAAGGAGCAAUGGAGUCCGGAUAUUGAGAAAGUGUCACUUAUGUAUAACUCCAUAUCAGAAAUUUCCAUAGAUGUGCUGCCCACAAAAUGUCAACUUCUCACAACCUUGUUAUUGCAGCAUAACCCUAUAAAGAAGAUCUCAAUUUCUUUAUUCACAAACAUGCCUUGUCUUAGUGUUCUCAAUUUGUCCUCUACGAAGAUCAAAAGUUUACCAAAUUCCAUCUCUGAACUAAAGAACCUCACAACAUUGUUGAAAUUUAUAAUAUUUUAUUUUAUUGAUAAAUGAAUAAAUUUCUCUAAUUAAGUAAUUUAUUAUAUUCUUUCUCAAAUAGAUAAAUGAAAACAACAAGGAGAAACAAGUAUAAGGGAUUUUUUUUAUUGAAGUGAUAAAAAUAGGAAUGAUAGCGAGUCAGGUAUAUGCAUAUUUUUGAAUGAUUUCAAUUUAAAUUCACAAAUUUAUUUAAGUGUUUAAAUGUUAUUCAUGAAUUAUUUGAGUAUUACUAUUCAAAUUCAAAUUUAAAUUAAAUAAUAUUAUCCAUCAAAUAUUUCAAUCCUAAAAAAAACCUAAAUUUAAAUUUUUAAUUUUUUUGUGGAUAUUUUCAAAUCCACAAAAACCUGAAUUUGAAUAUGGUAAAAUUAUUUUAAUAUAUAUAAUCACAAUUGUAAGAAUUUAGUAACUACUAGAUUUAUAUAUCUGAAAUUACAUUUGUUAUCUGAAUAAGAAAUGCAGAUUUAAAUAAUGGAUAUUCAAGGUAUCUUAUACCCACAUACACUUCGAAUUCAUAUAGCAUAUAGCAAUUUUAAAAUCUGAAUCUAACUAUUAUUCCAACCUAAAAAAAAAAAGGUCUUAGAUCAUCAGAAUUCGUAAUCAGAAUUUUCAUCUUUAACUAAAAUAUUCUUUAUUCCAUUAAAUAUGUAAGUGUCCACCGAGCUUUGUUCUUUAUUGUAAUAUUUAUUGAUUUUUUUCUAUUUCUUCAAGGAUUAUUGUUUUAUCGUGCUUUUAAUGUGGUGUUUUAUUAAUUUUUUUAGAUUUUGUUAGUUAAUAAUUUUUAUUUAUGUUGAAAAAUAAUGAAAAAAUAGUUGAUAUAUAUUGUUCGGAACCAAGAUAACUUGGUUGAAGAAAUGAAAGUAGGAGUGAAAGUGCAUUAUGAAGAAGCAUACUAUCUUUUACAAAUUUAUUAUCUCUUUUACAAUUAUAUACACAAACCAAUCAUAUACCGAAACCAAAAACCCUAAACAAAUUUAUUAUUAUCUCUUUUACAAUUAUAUAAGAACAUAUUUAAAAUAUAAAUUAAAAAAACUAAUUAAUCUAAACCCAAUACCCUAGCCCGACCCCUAAACCCUAGCUAAACCCUAAAUCCCUAAAUCCCUAACUCCUAACUCCUAACUCCCAACAUCUAACCCCGGCCCUAACCCCUAAACAUUAAAUCUCAGCCCUUAAACCAUAAUCCCUAAAUCUCUCUAUAUAUAUACUCCUAAUCAAUUAUAAUAACCUUAAAAUAGUAAUCCCUAAACUGACCUAAAAUAUUAAAUUAAUAAUUAUAUACCCUAAACCUAAAACCCUAAAUCAACUAUAGUGAUACUUAAUUCAAUAUUUUAAAUUUAAAUUAAUACUAUCUCUUUUACGAUUAUAUAAGAAUUUUUUUAAUAUAUAAAUUAAAAAAUAAUUAGUAAUCAUGUAACCAAAAAACUUUAAAAUUAUUUUAAAUUAUUUUAAAUAAUAGUAUUUUAAUUUGUCCAUGUGUUUUAUUUCAAAUUAAUUCUACGUGUUCUUUUUUUUUCUGAAGAUUUUAAAUAUUCAAUUAGAAAUAAGUUGAAUUUUAUUUAAUUAAUAUAAAUAAUUAACCAAUUAAGGUAAAAUGUUUUUUACGGCGCUUUCACAAAAACGUCGCUAAAAAUACGAGCAUUAGCGGCGCUUUUUCAAAUUGACCCUUAUUUUAUAUAAAAAUUAUAAAAAAAAACUCAAAAUCAUUUAUAAAAUAGAAAAAUGUAUAUAAAAUUCUAGAAAAAUAAAAUAUUGAAUAUGUUGUUGAAGAACAAAAUUGUAUAAGAAAUAAAGAAAAAUAUCAUUCAAUAGAAUCCAAUAACAAACUUGGCACAUAACAAAAUAAAAAAGUUAGAUCAUUACAUACUUCCUCAACGUGUAUCGAAACCAAAUUAGUAGUAUUAUCUAGUUGAGUUUCAUGCUCUUGAAGAACAUUUAGAACCGGUAUUACAGAGGCUUAUGAAAUCGACCCGGAAGUCAUUUUUUUUAGUCAAAAGAUUACAAAAUAUACCACAAAAUUUUUUUCAAACUCAAUUCAAGAUUUAAUUAUAUUUAAAUUAUUUUCCAUAACCCAAAUUGUAAAAACAAAUUAUGUUUCUUCUUCCAUGGUCGAGUUGGGCUUGGACAAGGUUUUUAUGUCUUGAGCCGUUACAACUUGAAUUUAAUUUAAAUAAUAAAAUUUAUUUUUAAAAUUCAAAUUUAAUUAAAAAUAUAAAAAUGUUUUUUAAUAUUUUAUUAUUUUCUAAACUCGCAAAUAGACUUUUUGGAUUGACCAAGCUAGGCUAAAAAUGGGUUAGGCUUGAAAAAAUAUUAGAUUAUUUAUAAGAGUAUAUCAAGGAGUCUAAUAAUUACAUUUUUUUUUUGGAAGGUCUUAAUAACACUAGAAAUCUUAUCACACGCGUAUGCAUGUGGAAAUCACGUAUUUAUAACAUAGACUAUGUUUAAAAAUAACAUACAAUGAAUACUGAAAAGUAUAAUUUGGAACUAAUUAAUAAUAACACGUGAAAUAUGUAUGAUAUUAAAAUAAAAUUAGAUUAAAUUGAGAGUAAAACAAAAUCUAAACACAAAAACACAUCAUAUUAAGAAUACUAAAUAAAUACAAAUGUUUAUCAUUGUUUUGUCUUCAAUCCCGAGUUGGUGAUGCUAAAUCAAUAACAUUAUUUACAUACACAAAUAUAUAAAAACCUAGAACACAAAUGUUUAUCUGUUAUAAAGCAUGUAUGACAUGGACAUUUCGACAUUUGUUAAUUCUGCAUGUGCAUUAGGGUGAGAUUUGUGUUUAUGAAGUGUGGGAGUUUAAUUCAUUUGCCAUAUUUAGUGGCUCAACUACACGUAUUUCUGCAUUUAGCGAUGAAUCACCUAAUGAUCUGGCAGUUAGACUGCGAAUAUUUUGAAAAGUUUCAUAUUGUAACUAAGUGGUGUGUAGGGUUUGAUAGGUAUUUAAUACCCUAUAUGGUGUGUAGGAAUGGUCGAAGAUGGUGUGUAACGGAUCGGAUUAAGAUUGUAAUCUACACAUGAUAUGUUCUGAUUCUGUUUCUGUAUAUAUGAUAUAUGUCUAAUUGACUUCCGAAAGCAUGUUUGAAAAUUAUAUCCAAUAUUUUUACUCUUAUAAGUUACACAUUGAGUUUGUAAGCUCACUCUCAAUUUCUCUUAUUCUUAGGUAAUCCUUAGACUUAUGUGGGUCAGUGCAACUGGAGUUCGAUUAAUUAUCUACUUGUUAUAUUUGUUAUUUUAAUAUGGUUUAUUCUGUUUUGGUUUUGGACUGUUUUUAAGUUUAGGUUUAGUUUCGUUUUAUUUAUUUAUUUAAACAUUUUUGGUUGGUUUAAAUUUGAUCUACAAAAUGUUAAAUUAUAUAGCAACAAAUCGUGUUUUCAAAAUCGGAUUCAACUAAGAAUUUUCGCUGCAAACGUAAGUGUUUUAUGAGUAAAUAAUCAACAAAUUUAUCGAAAUGGUUAAGAAGGAUAUUUUCCUCAAAUAAACUCAAAUUUUACUUAAUAAGAGCUAGCAUUGUUUUAUAAGUCGACAGAUUCUGGGUUUUUAAAUAAAUUGUAGUAAUAUCUCCAGAUUUGGCCAUAACAUCUAGGCUAGGUUUGGGGUGUUACAGAGCCUAUAAGCUCACCCAAUGUUUCUAACUUCUCAAUUAAUCAACAUAUUUAGGACCAAACGACGUGCAAGAGAUCAGAUUGAGUUCUCAAUUAUUUAAAUAUGAUGGUUCAUGUUUUUAAAUUAUUCUGGACAUUCUGAUUUUUUUUGGGGGGGGGUUGUAAAUCUUUUUUUGGAUUUUGCUUUGCUUAGUUGGAUUUAGUAAUUAUUACUUAAAACUACAAGUUUUGUGUUUUACAAAUUAAGUCAUGGUUUUCAAAUUUUAGUACUCUAAAAUUUCCACUACAAAAUAAAGUAAUCACUUAAAUGUUUUUCUAUAACAAAAUAAAUAGUUUUAAUGAUUGUUUUCUUAAAAACUGAAAAGCGAUUUUCCAGAAUUAAUAUUGUCAAAGCACACAAUUUGAAAUUUAUUUUCUAGGUUUUUAAACAAGUUAAUGUAAUUCCUCCAGAUUCGACCAUAACGUAUAAACCAAGUUUGUGGUGUUACAAUUUUUGUCCUCAAUUUAUAUAUUUUUUUAUCAAUUUGACCCUGAUUUUAUAUAAAAAAAUUAAAAUCAUUUAUAAAAUAGAAAAUGUGUAUAAAAUUCUAGAAAAAUAAAAUCUUGAAUAUGUUGUUGAAGAACUAAAAUGUAUGAGAAAUAAAGAAAAGUAUCAUUCAAUAGAAUCCAAUAACAAAUUAGAAACAAAACGAAAUAAAAAAGUUAAGUUUCAUGCUCUUGAAGAGCAUUUAGGACUGAUAUUAUAGAGACUUAUAAAAUCGACUCGACUGUCAUUUUUUUGGUCAAAAGAUUACAAAAUAUACCACAAAAUUUUUUUUCAAACUCAGUUCAAAUUUUAAUUACAUUUAAAUUAUUUUUCAAAACCCAAAUUGUAAAAACAAAAUUUGUUUCUUUUUCCAUGUUGAGUUGAGCUUAGACAAGGUUUUUAUGUCACGAGCUGUUCCAACUCCAAUUCAAUUUAAAUAAUAAAAAAUAUUUUUAAAUUUUAAAUUUAAUUAAGAGUAUAAAAAUAUUUUUUAACAUUUUUUUUUGAGCUCUUAAAAGGUUGACUGAGCUCGGCUAAAAAUGGGUUUUGCUUGAAAAAAAUUUAGAUUAUUUUUAAGAGUAUAUCAAGGAGUCUAAUAAUUAAAAUUUUUUUAAAAGGUUUUAAUAACACUAGAAAUCUUAUCACACGCAUAUUUCUUACUUUGCAAAUAAAAUAGUAUUUUUGGUAAUUUUCUUAUUGAGUUGGGACCCGAUUGAUGAGUGACACCAACUCAGUAAAAUGUUUAAUACAUAGUAUAGGUAAAACAAUUCUAAACUAAAAUUUUUAAAAGAAUUUAGGGUAAAAUUCAACUAUGGUUAAGUUUUCAUUUUGGUCACUUAAUUAAAAAAUGUUACAAUUUGAUCACUAAUAUUUUCAAAAUUAUUUUCUUUUUGUCACCCAACUGUUAAGUGGCACUUGUUUUAGUUGGUAUAAUAAUAAUUUUAGUCAUCAGUUUUUAUAUUUUCUAUCAAUUUGACUCUGAUUGUGUAUAAAAAAUUAUUAAAAAACUCAAAAUAUUUAUAAAAUAGAAAAAUGUAGAUAAGAUUUCUAGAAAAAUAAAAUCUUGAAGUUGUUGAAUAACUAAACUGUAUGAAAAAUAAAGAAAAUUAUCAUUUAAUAAAAUCCAAUAAUAAAUUAAAAACAAAACAAAGUUACAUUUUGCACCUCAUGCUUGUUCAUAAUAGCUAAUAUUCACAUAGUUUUUCAAUUCAGCCCAUUUUAGGGAUGAAUUCACUAAAUUCCAGUUAUAGCUAAACAUAUAGAUGAAAUCAAGUACAAUUUACAGAUAAUAUAAAAAAAUAAUACAUUAAAGUGAAAAAAAUUAAUUUAAAGAAAAUAAAUGUAAUUAUUUUUAAAAAAAUUAACUUAGUAGAAAAACUUCUUAGUAAACAAACAUAUGAAAGGUUGAAAACUUUUGAAAAAAAAAUAUUGAAACAAAGGUUAAUGGUAAAGAAAAACUCAAAAAUAGAAUUAGGGCAAUUUUGACAAAAUAAACAAAAUUGGUGACCAAAUUUAUCAUUAAACCUAAUUAUUAUUAUUAGUUAAUGCCAAUUAUAAUGGGUGACGGCAAAGAAAAAAAGUAAAAAAAGAUGGAUUUCUUACUCAUAUCCACAACAUUCGUCUUUUUAUACAUGUAAUUAUUAAUUAUUUUCUGUUUCUUCUUCUUCUUCACAUACUUUCCCAUUAAUUCCUAUCACAAUUUUGCUUAUUUCUAUUUCCACCUUCUUCUUCACUCUUUUUAUUUUCUUUUCAUCUCCAAGGUCUAUCACUAAUUUUCAAGCAUCCAGUCAAGGUAAUUUUCUUUCAUUUGCUUUAUUCAUGACUAUACAAUGAUUGUUUUUUAUUAUCAGCUACUGUUAUAGCAGCUAGCUUUGUAAGAUAGUCAAGGUAAUAAGAUCUGCAGCAAUGGUUUCCUCUAGUGAUUAUCAACAGUUUUAGAUUUUAAGACAGGAUGAUCAGCAGACAUAAUCUACUAUAGAUACAAAUUAAUACGAAAAGAGCUAUGCUUUGUAAGAUAGUCAAGGUAAUAAGAUCUGAAGCAAUGAUUUCCUCUACUGAUUAUAGAUUUUAAGACAGGAUGAUCAGCAGACAUAGUCUACUAUAGAUACAAAUUAGCACGAAAAGAGCUACCCAGAAGCAAUAUAAUGUUGAAAUCUCAUGCUGUUGAACAUUUUACCUCCUAAUAUUCUGUAGUGAACUCUUGUACACUUGAAUUUAGCAUGUUAUAUAGUUUGAGGGGUUGAUUCUGGAUAUACAAUGGUGACCAGAAUUUCAUCAUGUUUCUGUCUGCCACCCAUCCAUAGCUCCAUCUAAUAGACGCCAUUGCUUGAAACUUGCAUUCAUGUUUUCCUUUUCCAGCUUACACCGACAUAUCAAUACUUCAUAAAAUAUCCAAUUCAUUCACAGAUUUUCAUUCUCUGCUACUGUUAUAUAUGAUUGCAUUACAGGGACAUAGCAAUGGAGUACGUAGAGCCUGUUGUCGGCAUUGCAAAUUGUCUCGGAACUCCUGUUUGUAAAUAUUUGCAAUAUCACAGAAAGCUGAACGAUUAUGUGAGAAACUUCAAGAGGAUCAGAGAUGAAUUGAAUUGCAAAAUGGAAGAUAUAGAGCUGCAAUUGAAAGCAGAGCUUCUUCGUCCUCUGGGGAAGAUACCGAAGAAAGGAGUUGAAAAUUGGUUCAAAGCUGUGAAAGAGAUGAUUAGGGAAGCACAAGUUGUUGAAAACAAAGUCAGUAACGGGAGAUAUCUCUGUCGUGCUUGCAACGGGAAGCUAGUUGAUGAAAAGACUCGAGAAAUGAAGGAAUUUCUUGAUAAUGCUCCUAAUGCCUCUGAAGGUCUUGCCAUGGAUGGUCCAAGUGCUGGGUUGCCGCUGCCAACAUUAGAACUAGUUGGAGAAGAAGCUGCCAGAAAUGAGAUUUGGGCAUGUUUGAUGCAGGAGGAGGUGAGCAAGAUUGGGGUUUGGGGGAUGGGCGGUGUGGGUAAAACCACUAUCAUGAAGCACAUCCACAAUGAUCUUUUGAAAGAACAAAGAUUCGAAAGGGUAAUCUGGGUUACCAUAUCAAAGGAGUUCAAUGUCAUGAAGGUACAAGAUGAUAUUGCAGAUGCUUUGAAGUUGAAGGAAGAUUGGCCCAGAAAAGGAGACAAGCUCAGACGAGCAGCAAUCUUGUCAGAAAUGCUGAAGAACGCAGGAAAGCAUGUUCUAAUCCUAGAUGAUGUGUGGGAUAAAGUCUCUCUAGAGGAAGUUGGGAUCCCUGAGCCGAGUGGCAGCAAUGGCUGCAAGUUGGUGUUGACAACCCGUUCAGAGCAUGUCUGUAAGUAUAUGGGUUGUAAGGUGAUAACAGUGAAGCCCCUUUCAGAAGAAGAGGCAUUUAUACUAUUCUUGAAUAAAGUUGGACCUAACAUAGUUCAAAGUCCAACUAUAAUGCCUACUUUGAAGCUUGUUGUCAAGGAAUGUGCGGGUCUACCUCUUACAAUUGUCGUGGUAGCCGGUACCAUGAAAGGAGAAGAUAACCCUCUUAUUUGGAAAAAUUCACUCAGGGAAUUAAAAGAGAGAAUAGGGAAAGUGGAAGGAGUGGAAGCUGAGGUAAUCGAGCGCUUGAAAUUUAGCUUCGAUCCCUUAAAGGACGAGAAAGUGAAAUAUUGUUUCUUACAUUGCGCAUUAUAUCAGAUUGUGGAAUUGAAAAGGAUGAACUAAUUGAGUGCUGGAUUGAGGAGGGAUUCAUAGAUGAUAUGGGUACAAGACAAGAAAUGAAGGACAAGGGUCAAGUUAUUUUGAAGAAGUUGGAAGAUAAUUGCUUGUUGGAAAAUUCCUCGAGUGAAGAAAUGACAAUUCAUGAUGCAGUGAGAGACAUGGCAUUGUCGAUCACAGGAAUGAAUCCUCGAUAUAUGAUACAAGCAGGUUUGCAAUUAGAAGAGUUACCAGAAAAGGAGCAAUGGAGUCCAGAUAUUGAGAAAGUGUCACUUAUGUACAACUCCAUAUCAGAAAUUUCCAUAGAUGUGCUGCCCACAAAAUGUCAACUGCUCACAACCUUGUUAUUGCAGCAUAACCCUAUAAGGAAGAUCCCAUAUUCUUUCUUCAUAAACAUGCCUUGUCUUUGUGUUCUCAAUUUGUCCUAUACGAUGAUCAAAAGUUUACCAAAUUCCAUCUCUGAACUAAAGAACCUCACAACAUUGUUGCUUUGUGGUUGUUCUAAAUUAAGAGAUCUACCAUGUGUUUCGAUGCUUCAAGAAUUGAAGAAGAUGGAUCUUUCUGGAACCAAAAUUGAGGAAGUCCCUGAAGGAAUGGAUAUGCUGAUAAAGCUAAGAUAUCUUGAUCUUGAAGUGCGCACUCUGAAAGAGAUAAGCGCUGGACUUUUACCAAAACUCGUUCACCUUCAGCACUUGAGUUUUGAUGUAGACAAUGAAAAAACAAGUCUAAAAGCAGAGGAGAUGGAACCAUGGAAGAAGUUGGAGUGCUUAACCAGACGUUUCGAAGACAUCAGUGAAUUCAAUAAGUUCAUCUCCUCAAUGCAACAAAGUAAGAAAAAUCUCAUCAAGUACAAUUUACAGUUGGGCUUAUCUAUUUUGCGUCGUACAAGAGGUAAGACAGUAACAAUUGGAGGAGUCCAGAAUUGGGAAGGUGAGUUAAUUUUGCACCCAAUUGAAAUUCAAGAUUUGACUAUUUUAAAGUGCGACUAUUUGAGAAGCUUAGUCAAUGAUAAUUCUUCCUUCAAAAAUGCGAUUGACUUGAGGGUUUGUAGGAUUUGGGGGUGUAGAGGGAUAGAGUGUGUUGUUUCCCUGUCCUCUUUUGCCUCUUCUUCCGCUCAUCCAUUUCAGAGCCUCGAGAUUUUGGGUCUUAUUAAUCUGCCAAAGUUGAGUGCCCUUAUUAUGGAAGAUGAAGGAAUUGGUUCAGCAACAACAUCAACAUUGGCUCCGUCUGCGCCCUUUUCCCAUCUCAAGGUAAUUUUUAUAACCAAAUGCUCAAGUAUGAAGACGUUGCUUCCACAUUGGUUGCUUCCAAACCUCCAAAACCUGGAACAAAUUUGGGUGUCAGAUUGUGAUGAGAUAGUAGAAAUAUUGGGAGCACCAACAUCAGAAGUUGAAGAAAAAGGGAGUGAUGCAUUAAUCAAAUUCCAUCUUCCCAAAUUGAGAAAGUUGGAAUUGGGGAGAUUACCAAAUUUGAAGAGCAUUUGCAGCAAAAGUGGAGUGAUGGUUUGUGAUUCUCUCCAACUUAUUCAUAUUACUAGAUGUGGUAAACUGAAGAGAAUUCCUCCAUUUGUUCCCCUUGUUGGCAAUGGGCAGCCAUUUGCAUAUGCUCCACCUUCUCUUACCAUCAGGUCAAGCACAGAAUGGUGGGAAUCGUUGGAGUGGGAUGAAGAUCCAAACUUUAAAAAUGUUCUUCAACCCCUUUGGAAGGAUGAAAGGUAUGAACCAUUUAUAGUUUAGAGAAAGAUGAAAGGGUCGGUGGGAAAGGAGGGGGGAGGAUAGUGCAAAAGAGAGGAGAAAAGGAAUGAAGGAAGGAAGAGGUUAAGAGGCUCCACAUUGUAAACAUAGUCCCUCUCUUACCAUUCCUUGUAUUCUCUUUUUCUUAUAAUGUAAAAGCUGAAGAGGUAAAAAACAAAUAAAUUUGCUUCAUAUUUUUUCUAUGUUUGUUUUGAAAGAAAGAGAAAUAUGGUAGGGUUUAUAAAUAAAAUAUAAUUUAAAUAUCAAUUGAUAAAUUAAGUGUAUUCAAAAUAAUGGUAUUUUAGAUAGCAAAGGUAUUGAAAAUUUAAAGUGAUAAAUUACCUUUUUAUCAUUAUAAAUAAAUACCAUAAUUUCUUUUUAAAUAAAAUAAAAAAUAUCAUUAUUUCUUCUUUCAACAAUCAUUCUAUUCUAAAAAUUAAUUUAUUUAUAAUUUUUUUAAUUAAAUAAACAAAAUAAAAAUUUACUCAUAAUUGAGUGAUUAAUGACAUCAUUUAUAGUAAAAAUUACUUUUUAAUUUUAUCAGUUUUAUUUAUACUUUUGUUUAAUGCAACAUACAUAUACAAAUUAUAUUCACUAUGGAUGAAUAAUUAUAUCACUUAUUCUCAUUGAAUAAAACAAAACAUAGCUAACAACCAUUGUUAAGUACCCGUUUCAGCUUUUAUUAAUUCUCAAUUCUUUUUUUUGAAGAUAACCGAAUCCAUAAUUUCAACAUUAGAAAUCUUGUAUUUCAAAUUAAAAAAUUUUCAAAAAGGCUAAAUUACAACUAUAUGCUGAAAAAAAAUUGAAAAUUUAUGUUGUUUUCUUCAAAAUUUAUCAAUUUAUAUUGUUUUUUAUAAAUAGAAAAGAAAAUGUGUCUUAUAGGACGUGUUUUCUCUGAUCUUCCAGAGAAAACAUGAGACGCGUUUUAUUCUCUUUCCUAAAAAGUGCUCUGUAGGAUGCAUUUUCAGAUAGUUUAAAAUUGUUUUUUUUCUUACAGUUUGAAACUAGAAAUUUAUAGGUUUAGCUUUUCCCGUGUUCAAGAUAAACAUUGUUAUAGUUUUAAUGUAUGUAUGAAUUUAUAGUAGUUUAAAAAUGUAAUUAAAUCAGUCAUAAUUUAGGGGAGGUUGAUGCAAUUAACUCAUUUCUAAUGGUGCUAAUAAUUAAGUCUGCUAUAGGACAAAGUGAAAAAGUGGAAAGCAGAGUUAAAAUAUGACCCAAAGACUCACCGUUUUCUAAGUCGUCUCUUAUCAUAAUUGCAUAAUAAAUGGAUAGCAGUACCAACAUUUCUAAACCAAGAAAACCCAAUUGUCUUAAGAGUUCAUAUUUGUGAAGGUUUCUUAACAUUUUAGUGCAACCUUGAUUUUUAUUUUUAUUUAUUUCCUUUCCCUUAAAAAGAAGAAAAGACCUUCAAGUUUUUUUUCUUUUUUCUUCUUCCGUUUUGCUUACUUUCUUUUGCUCCCAAAAACCAAAAAAUAUCCCUUCAAAUCCCAUUUGAUGGUUUUGAAGUAGCAACGAUCUUCUCAGCACCUAGUCUAGUUUGAUUUUGAAGUUCCCAAGUGAGGUCAAUGUAUUUAUUUAUCCUUAAUUUCUUUAUUUUUGGUUUUUUAUAUAUAAAUUUGUCAUAUAUUUCUUCAUCUAAUAUUAUGUUUUUAUGUUUUUCUUGAACUAAAUCAGAGAAAAAUAGACUGUUUGGAUUUGCUUUUUUUUUUUUUCACACUCAAAUUCUUGGAAUCAUUACUUCAUUUUGAAGGGGUAAGUGGGUAUGUUUCUUAUAUUUUCCAUCAUUACAUGCAUAAUAUUAAUUGGAUGAUGAAAAAAUUGAAAAUAUCGAUGAUUAAAUUUCAUUUAUAAUUGAGUCACUAUCGUUAAAAUUAUUUUUUAAUUUUUUUAUAAAUUUACUCUUUGUAUUAAUAAUUUGCACUUUAAAGAUAAAUUUCAUUUACAUAUUUUGUUAGUUAAAAACCAGUAAAUUGACUCUUUAUAUUUAUAGGUUUGCACUUUAAAGAUAAAGAGAUGCUUGCAAUUAAAAGAUCUAAUUCAAGAUCCACAAAUGUCAUACAUAAGCCUCCAAAGUUUAAGGGAAGUAGAAUUUAGAAAAUAUGAUAAUUUAAAGUAUCCCUUCCCAUUGUCUGUAGCUAAUACCCUUGAGUAAUUGCAUACUUUGAAGAUAAAGAGUUACUUGCAUCUAGAAAAUAUAAUCCUAGAUCCAUAAGUGUCGUGCAUACGAAGUUUUAGGCAAGUAGAAGUUUAAAAAAAAUGUGAAAAUUUAAAGUUUCUCUUACCACUAUUUGUUGCUAAUUGUAACACCUUUAACCCGUAUUUAUUGUUAGAAUAGGGUUUCGGAGCAUUAUCGAGUAAUCAUAAUCUAAAUUAUUCAUUUUCAAACAUUUCAAAAAUCAUAUUAUAAUUCAUCAUUAACAUGCAUAGAGUCCCCUAUUCAAGCCUUGGAGGGCAUAAAAUUACUUUAGAAUGGAUUUGAGACUAAAUUAGAAACAUUUAAAAACUUUAGAAGAAAGAAAAAUUUUAACUGCAGGGUUCACACAGCUGUGUGGCCAGGCUGUGUGACUCACACAGCCAAUUCACAUGCCCGUGUGUCUGGCCAUGUGGGCAUUCGAAGUAGGGACACACGAUCGUGCCGCAGCCCAUGUCCCUACCCGUGUAACUCACUGGCCAAGCCACACGCCCGUAUGUUAGGCUGUGUACCCUUCAAAAAUGGCCUCACACGCCCGUUGCUAGCCAUGUGUCUCACAUGGCCAAGUCACAUACCCCUGUGUCUGGCUGUGUUAACUUAAAUUGUAUCUUAAACAACAAGUUUACUAUUUCCUACUUGCUUGGGCAUUAAGUAACUCAAAAACCAUUCAUUUAACCUAUUCAAAGCACAAUCAAGCACACCUAAAACAUGCUAAAACAAUCAUCCUAGGUGCCUAACCAAUGUACCCUCAUUGGUACCACAUUUAUGUCAUCAAAAUAUAUCAUCAAUGCAUCAUUCAAAUCUAGUUUACAAACAUGCCAAAAUCCAUCACUUUGGCCUAGCUCAUAUCUACCUAAAACAUCAACUUUAAUUCACAUACACAUAACAAGUAUUGGUUUAAUUCAACAUACCAUAUUAAGGCUUCAAACACAAACAUAUAUUUACAUAUAUACCAAAACAACAUAGCACUUAUAACCUCAUUUACAAUUCAUCCACAAAAUAACUAUCAACUAGACAUCCUAGGUACAUGCCAACACAAAAGAUGAACAUCACCACGUUUGAGAUCGGGAUCGUUGUUGGAUGCCAUAUCAGCGAUCAAAAGAGAAGUACCUCACUUGCGUAUGAAAAACAAAAUCGUACGCUGAGUAAAACUCAGUAAUAUUUCUAUAAUCUGAACAAUUAAAGACAUAAAGAUACAUGAAUGCUCAAUUUGAAAUGCAUAAUCAUAUUUCUAACAAUCAAGCAAUUGUAAAUUAAUCAACAUCACAAUUUCAUGCAUAAUAUCACAUUAUAUCAUGAUUUGCUCACUUCACUAAUAUUUUUCCAUUAAUUGGUUUAACUUAUAACUCAAUUAACAACGACAUAUUUCAACUAUAUUCAAUCAAUGAGUACAUUACUCAUUUACCUCAUUUAUAAUCACAACUUUUUCACCUUUCAUUUAUCAAUUCACUUUUCCAUUUCCAAUUCACAUAUUUUGUCAUUUCAAUAUCGAUCAUAGAACUUGUUAUUUAAUUAUCCCUAUUAACCCGAAUUGAACUCGGAUGGUUACACGGAUCCAACCAACACACAAGUUUGACACCCAGUGCUUCAUCGGAUAAAUUUGAAGUAAUAGAUGCGCCUAACACUAUAUAAAUUGACACCCAGUGUCUUAUCGGUUAAACUGAAGUAAAUCGACACCCAGUGCCUCAUCGACUCGAAGUCGAAGAAAUUUUUAAACUCUUCCUAUCCUAUGGCAUGCUAUCUAUAUCCGACUUAGCCCGAUACAAUUAAUAAGGUUUCAUUUCACAUCUCAAAUACAACCAUUAUCCAAUAUCAAGUUUUCAUAUAAUCACAUUAUCACAUAUACAGAUGAAUUCAAUUCAAUCUAUAAUAAUUAAUACAUUCAUAAUGUAUAAACCACUUCAAUCCAUUUCAAUCAACUACAAUUUCAAUUCAAUAUCAAAGUGUCAAGAUACUUACCUUAACCACUUACCAUAUGUAUUAAAUCAAAAUAUAACAAUUAAUAGCUAGGUUCGGAUUAUAGAAAUACAUAUUGUGGAUUUCGAGCUAUUUGACGUCGAUUUUAACCUUCCUCUUUUUAGUCGAGGAUUCCAAUACGACGUUAGCUACAGAAUUAAAACAACUAAAAUUCAUCAAUACUACAAAAUUCAAUUUCAUAAUGAUUAUUUCAAUUUUUACUCAAUAUUUUCCUAAAUUCUAAUUUGUCCCUAAAUCGAGACUAAUUUUUAAUUUUUACAUUUAAUUCUAUAAUUUCAUACCAAUUUCACUUUAAAAUAAUUAAAUUUCCUAUUUUCAAUUAAAUCCCUAAAUUUCAAAAUUUUCACAAUUUAGUCCCUAUUACUCAAAAUUUACAAUUUGUUCUACAAUUUAGUCUUUUUCAAUUUCUAGCUUAAAAAUCUAUCAAAUUAAUCCCUACUACUAAAAAUAUUUAACAAUAACAACAUUUAAAAUCUUAAUCAAUACUAAAAUUACAACAUGGGUCGAGUAGCCCUAGGUACUGAGAUUCUAAAAACAUAAAAAUCACAAAAAGGGACUAAAUUAUAUCACUAUGGAUGAAUAAUUAUAUCACUCAUUAUUAUUGAAUAAAACAAAACAUAGCUAAUAACUAUUGUUAAGUAUCAGUUUCUGCUUUAAUUAGUUCUUAAUUCUUCUUUUUUUUUUGUUGAAGAUAACCGAAUCCAUAAUUUCAACAUUAGAAAUUUUGUAUUUAAAAAAAAUUCAAAAAAGGCUAAAUUGCAACUAUAUGCUGAAUUUUCUUCUUUUUUUUUUGAAAAUUUAUGUUGUUUUCUUGAAAAUUUAUCAAUUUAUAUUGUUUUUUACAAAUAGAAAGGAAAACGCAUCUGAUAGGACAUGUUUUCUUUGAUCUUCCAGAGAAAACAUGAGAUGCAUUUUAUUCUUUUUCCUAAAAACGCGCUCUAUAGGAUGCAUUUUCAGAUAGUUUAAAAUUAUUUUUUUCUUACGGUUUGAAAUUAGAAGUUUGUAAAUUUAGCUUUUCCCGUGUUCAAGAUAAAUAUUGUUAUAGUUUUAAGGUAUGUUUGAAUUUACAAUAAUGUCAUGGAGUUGGGUGACUUACGAAUUUCAUCUGGCACGUGAGCAUGAAGCCAUCAAUCGAGAAGCUGGAUUGCAUUGAAACUCAAGGUCCCAGUUGACAGUGUUUCUAUAGUCACCGAUUGAAAUGUAACUAGGUCUUCAAUUUUACAAAGGUUAUGUUAUCAAUGAAUAGAGCAUAAAUGGGCCCCAAUUGAUAGUGGUUAUGCGAGCACAACAACAAGUUUCUCAUCAUCAGGGGAGGAUGCUAUUUGCCACAAAAACAGAAGUAUGAGGAAGAAAAAUACAAUGGAGAAUCAAAAUUGGCAGAAAAUUCUAAACAAAAUAUUGAUAUUAAAAAGGCAAGGAUUCAGCCAAAUAAAUUGGAGAAGUGAUAGGCAAAAGGGCAACAUAAACAGAAAAUAAAACUUGUGUUUUAGGUAGCAAUAAUGAUGGAUUAUGAGAGAAAAUUGAAGAAUAAUGGAGAGAAAAAAUGAAGGGGAUUACAAUAGCUUGAGAAAAAUAAAUAAAAUAGGCUAAACAUAAAAUAAAAUGCAAUUUAUGCCUAGGUUAAAAAGGGCUUGGAAGGCAACAAGGUUUUAGGGAGCAGAAACAUUGAAAAAAUAAAAAUUUGCAAGGGAAGGGAAUUAACUCAAGUCUUAAGGUCAAUUUCACUAACUCUUUAUCACUAGGCCAAUUACUCAUUCUUUUCAUAAAUGCUCAAACAAAACCUUAAAAAUUAGGGCAAGACAACUCUCAGUUCACUAGCCUGAUUUCUUCUGACUCAAUUCCUUCCAACCCAAUUUUUGGGACAUGACAAAACUAUUAGUAAGUUUAUGUUUCGUUUUAGUCACUUAACUUCAAAAUGUUACAAAAUGGUCAAUAAACUAUUUAAUUCAUUUAAGUCAUUGGUUUGUUUUUUUUUUAAGUUUGACUAAUGAGCUCCAAGCGAUGAUUUGACAAUUGAUGUAGUGAAUCUAUACCCAUUGACGAGUGAAACAUAUCUUAGAUCCAAGUUAACCUACCAUUUAGUGUAGGAGAUUGGAGAAAAAAAGUUGUUUGAAUUUUGGUUCACAGAUUUGUGACGUUCAAAACUGUUUCAUGAAUAUAAAUUAUGUUGCAAAAGAGAAGAGAAAUGUGAGCUUUCAAUUAAUACAAAUGGUGCAAACAAAGGUCAUAUAGUAACAAUUUUAAAAGCCUGAUGACUUAAAUGAAAAUUUUUGUAUAAUUCAGUAAUCAUUUUAUAAUUUUUUGAAAUUAACUAAAACGUAAACUUAUUAAUAAUUUAAUAACCUCAAUUGCCAUUUACCCAUAAAACUAUUGAGACCAUUAAUGAUCAUUAUUCUAAAAAGUGAUGCAUUAAUUAUAUCUUUUAUCUUUUAUAUAUUGUUUCGAUUAAUACCUAAAUUAUUUGUACGAGAAAAAAAUCAAAAUGAAAUGCAACAUGUUCUGAACUUUUAUUAAAGCUCAUCAUUUUGUUGAAGAUACCCCAAUCCAUGAUUUCAACAUUGGAAUUUUUGAAAGUCCCUAGUAAUAGUAUGAAUUAUGAAAUUUCAAAAAAGCAUAUUCUUAUUUAUUGUUAAUUUCAAGGUAAUUUUAAUAGCUAUACUUACAUUUGUCUUUAGAAAAUAGAAAAUUCACUUUAAAUGUAUAAAAAUAAAUAAAGAAAACUCAUCUUCAUUUUUUAUAGCAAAUAAGAAAUAUGAAACAAAAACUAAAAAGGAAAUACAUAUUUUAUUGAAAGACGCUUUAAAUGAAACAAAUAUGAAAUACAUAGGAGUGUUCAAUUGCUUAAUCGAUUGGUUAACCAAAUCGAAUUAGUAUUAACUGAAUUAAUAUUUUCAAAAUUAUUGAAAUUCUCAUGUGAUGGUUUUGAAGUAGUGAGGAUGUUCUGAGGACUUAGUCUAGUUUGAUUUUGAAGUUCCCAAGUGAGGUAAAUGUAUUUAUGUAUGCUUAAUUUCUUUAUUUUUUAUUUUUUAUAUAUAAAUUAGUUAUAUAUUUCUUGAUCUAAUAUUAUCUUUUUAUGUUUUUGUUGAACUAAAUGAGAGCAAAAUAGAGUUUUUGGAUUUGUCUUGUUCACACUCAAAUUCUUGGAAUUGUUACUUCAUUUUGAAGUGGUGAGUAUGUUUCUUAUAUUUUCCAUCAUUAUAUGUAUAACAUUAGUUGGGUGAUAAAUAUAUUGAAUUUUUUAUGAUUAAAUUAUAAUUUUUUAAUUAAAUAAUCAAAAUGAAAAUUUACUCAUAAUUGAGUGAUUAAUGAUAUAAUUUAUCGUAAAAAUUACUUUUUAAUUUUAUCAAUUUUAUUUAUACUUUUAUUUAAUGAAUAUUUAAUGCACCGUGCAUAUACAAAUUAUAUACACUAUGGAUGAAUAAUUACAUCACAUAUUAUCAUUGAAUAAAACAAAACAUAGCUAAUAACCAUUAUUAAGUACGAGUUUCAGCUUUUAUUAGUUCUCAAUUUUAUUUUAUUUUUUGUUGAAGAUAACUGAAUCCAUAAUUUCAACAUUGGAAAUUUUGUAUUUCAAAAAAAAAAUUCAAAAAGGCUAAAUUACAACUAUAUGCUGAAUUUUUUUUUUUUGAAAAUUUAUGUUGUUUUCUUGAAAAUUUAUCAAUUUAUAUUGUUUUUUACAAAUAAAAAGGAAAACGCGUCUUAUAGAACGUGUUUUCGCUGAUCUUCCAGAGAAAACAUGAGACAUUUUAUUCUCUUUCCUAAAAACACGCUCUGUAGGAUGCAUUUUCAGAUAGUCUAAAAUUAUUUUUUUUUCUUGCGGUUUGAAAUUAGAAGUUUGUAGAUUUAACUUUUCUCGUGUUCAAGAUAAACAUUGCUAUAAUUUUAAGGUAUGUUUGAAUUUACGGUAGUGUCAUGGAGUUGGGUGACUUACGAAUUUCAUUUGACAUGUGAGCAUGGAGCUAUCAACCGAGAAGCUGGAUUGCAUUGCAACUCAAGGACUCAGUUGUCAGUGGUUCUAGUCUCCGAUUGAAGUGUAGCUAGGUCUUCAAUUUCACAAAAGUUAUGUUAUCAAUGAAUAGAGCAUAAAUAGGGGCCUAGUUGAUAGUGGUUAUGCAAGCACGACAAUGAGUUUCUCAUCAUCAGGGGAAGAUGCUAUUCGCCACAGAAACAGAGCAAUAAGAGUGUUCUGAAUAUUACUCUGAAAUGGUCCUAAAAAUUACAAGAAUCUCCUCUACAGUCUAGUUGUUCGAAAUGCCUCUAGGAAUGUAAAAACAAAAUCUUGAUAGGUUUUUUCUGUUUUUGUUUGUUUUUUAAUUCCUUCUUCAAAGGCACAAACAUCUUUACCUUCUAAACCAUCGAUAUCUUCAAAGAAUUCCAAUUCUUUAUCAUCCAUCAGGCUCUGUACUAGAGUUCUGAACUAGACGCACUUUUGGAUUUUAGGAAAUUUAUUGUAUGCAAUGAAAUGUAAUGUUAAUGAAUGGAAAAGAUGCAUGCAAAAAGGUGUUAAUUCUAGUUCAAUUCCAUUAGAACAACUUUACUAGAAAACAAGUUUCUUUGCAUAAAGCGGAUACAUAUACGGCCUCGCCUUCACACUUAAGACCUUAAUUUUCCUAAGAAAUAAAGUUAAUUCUUAGCCUUGAUCCGACUCCGAUUCAUAUUUCAGGCUUUGAACGACCGGGGUCUGCAAGUGGUCAGCCACUUCUCGUACUUGAACCAAAGCUUCGCUCAUGAUAUGGUCCAUAUCUCUGACCUGCCUCUCUCACAGGCUGUUACCUUUCUCUUGUUGCCUUUUCUUAGACCAUAUUUGCAGGGUCGUGUUGUCUUGGGUUUUAUCAAGAGACUCAUUUUCCAUGACGAGCUCUCUAUUUAGCAACUGAACUUGAAUCAACACCUUUUUUAUAUGAUGAAAAAUGCAAUGCAAUCAUAAACAAAACAAAACGAAACGGGUUAGUACAAAGCAAAAGUAAGCAAGAAAGAAACAAAUAGAGCACCUAUUUGGGAGACCACUAGGGUUUGGUGUAGUUCUACCUAGGAUAAGCUCUUAGGGCUCACUAUAUGCGGUUCGGUUCUAAAGUAAAGGUACCAGAACCAGAAGAUUCCUUGAUCCUCACCCAUUAUAGGCUCAUAUGGAUCGAGUUCAGUUCAGGGGAAUACAUUUCCCUAUGGCUACACAGAGAUGAAAAUCUCACAAAGACAUAGGUACAGAUGUAUCCCGAAAGUGACCCACUAUCCUGCACGGAGGUGAAAACCUCACGAAGGAAUAGUUUCUCACUCCUACUUAAAAGGGUAUAACCGAACGGUUAUGCAAAUGCAAUAUGCAAAAAUAUGUCGAGAGACUUGAACAAAUAAAGCAAAUAUAGCAAAAUGACGCAAACUAUAAAAAAUGAAAUGCAAUGAAAAAUCGUACAUUUAAACCAAGUUUUCAAUUUCAACAAAAAGACAAAAAGUAUCAACUCGUGGCUUGACUCUCUUAUUUUAGUCCCCAGUGGAGUCGCCAAGUUGUCGAAACCAUUUUUUUGAAAAGGGAUCGACUUAAAUUUUGAAAAAAAAAUGAAAAUGGAGUCGCCACCAAUCCUUUUUAUUUUGGUGUGAUUGGAUCACCUCAUAAUUAAAUCAUUUUAAUAAAAAUUUAAAUUUACUAAAACGAUAAUUUUUGGUCUUAUAAAAUCAUGAAACGGGUUCAGAAGUCGGCUACGCACGAGAAAGGAUUAGCACCCUCGACACGCCCAAAAUUGGUACCUUGUUGAUUAAUUAGUGUCUUAAUAUAAAAAAUGUGCAAAGAUUUUAAAAUACGAUCCUUGUAUUAAAAAAAACUUGUAUAAAUCAAAUUACAUGUUAAGACCCUCUCAUUUCGGAGAGAGAAAAUGUCACACCCAAUGAGUUAGGGCAUGAUAUUUCACAUCCUCAAAAAUGAGCUUGUCCUUAAAAAAACUCAUACAAUAAAAUUCAAAAGGAUAUUCAAUUGUUUAAGUCAGAUGAAGAAAUCGUAGUCCAAUACGUUAGGGCACAAUUUCUCAAAAUUCCAAACAUUGAAUAUUGCCUUUAUUAUCAAGAUUUUCCUUUUUUUACGAAUUUGGGUAAAAAUUAAUGUAAUAUUUAACGAGAUGUACGUUUAAUUUAUGCAAAUAUAGUGUGAAGGCGAACAAUUUUUCAUACAAUGUAUAGUACAAUAAUAAUGAUAUAACGUAAAAUAACUAUGUUAGUAGAAUAUUUAAAGGGUAAAUAAUAAAUCAUAGAACACAAUAAUAAUAAUGACGUAAUUAUAAUAUUAAUCACCAAAUAAUAAUAACAAUGACCAUAUUAAUUACUUAUUCUAAUAUUAAAAAUAUAAAAAAGAAUUAAACACUAAUAAAAAUGAUAAUAAUAAGGAUGAUAAUGAAAUGUACAAAUUGAAAGUAAUAAAUGUAAUAUAAAAGUAAGAACAAUAAAAGAAAAUGACAAAUAAUAAAUGAUAAACAAAAAGUGUGAAAACAAAAAAAUAAAAAAAAUAAUGGAAGUAUUGAGUAAAUAAAAACAAAUAAAGCAUUUGAUUUUUUAAAAAGGAUUAAACAAACAAAGAAAAAACAAUAAACAAAAUAGUUUAUAUAAAAAAUAAAAAUAAGAACAAAAAAAUGAAAUUAAAUGGACCUAGGACCAAACUGAAAUUAAAAUAAAAUAAAAUGACAAAAUUUACAAGAAAAAAACAAUCAGGCCCAAACGAAGCGCGCGCAAAGAUGCAGGGUCGGAAGGGAAAUAUUCCCAUGUAUUUUGAACGGCGCCGUUUCAGGGGACAGCAUCUGUGCAUGGUCCAGGGACCAAAUUAAAUCGGAGACAAAAUUUUGUGGCCAAAAUCAAAAGAAGAAAAGGACCGUAUUGAACACGCCGCCAAGGCGGGGAACCAAUCGCUCAAAUAGACCAUUAAAGUUAAAACGGGCGGAUCUACCUUGCGGGUCGAGUCGGUGCGCGGGUCAGGCUAAAAACGGCGUCGUUUUGGUGCCUGAGAGGCUUGCCCAAAACGGCGUCGUUUUGCUGGCCUAUAUAAGUAAGUUUUUUUGACAAAAAAAAUCAUUUAGCCCUUUGUUCAGAAAAAAAAAAUCUUUAAAACUCUCUCCCCCUCUCUGGUUUUCUCUGGGCACUGCCCAGAAUCCGGUGAAGAGGGCCGCCGUGGCUCUGCCGCGCCUCCGUUGUGUACGGUGGUCGGACGACCAGGUAAGUUUUCGUUUCCUUUUUCUUUUAUAUUAUAUAUUAUAUAUAUCUAGUUUUUUAAAACAAAGGGAAAUAAAAAACUUGAAUAUAAACAGUUUUAAAAAAAUGAAAAUAAAGAAAAUAAAAAAAUGACCUUUCGCACGUUUCUAGUUUUUUUUUAUCUGCUUUCGUUUUUGUUGUUUUUGUGCUUGAAUCUCCUUUUUUAUUUCAAGCAAAAUCCGAACCCUUUUACAAUGAUUUAUCGUGGCUUAUUAGUUAAAUUAUUUUCAAGCAACGGAUUGAUUUGACAUUAAGACAUUGAUUUCAUCGCUAUGUUGGGUGAAUAUCAUUGGCUCGUGUUAAAUAUGGGACGCCCUUCUAAAAAAUCAAGAAAUUCAAAAAUUCCCGUGUUAAAAUAAAAUGUUUAUCUUUUGUAAAUUAUCAAAUUACAUAUUUAAAAAUAUAUAAUAAUAUGUAAUUUAUCAAAAUUCUUGUGUUUCAAAUGAAACAAAUAUGAAAAACAUAGUUGUAGGAGUGUUCAAUUGCUUAAUCUAUCGAUUAACCAAAUCGAAUUAGUAUUAACUGAAUUAGUAUUUUUCGAAAUAAUCGAAAUUCUAAUUUUAUGGUUUUGAAGUAGCAAGGAUCUUCUCAGCACUUAGUCUAGUUUGAUUUUGAAGUUCCCAAGUGAGGUAAUGUAUUUAUGUAUGCCUACAACAAUUUAUAUUAGAAUUUUUCAUAGCUUUGUUAUUUAAUGUGAUUUAUAUUAGAAUUUGGAUUAUUGCUUUGUUAAGGACUACAACAAUUCGGUUUAUUGAUUUGUUAAGGCCUCAGAUGCUUCUGAAAUUGAUGCUCAUUUCCAUUUGGUUUAUACAUAGAUAUGAAAUAAAAAGAUUAAUUAGUGAAAUAGUUGAAGUCUGACCGUGCAGCACUCAACUUCAAAGUCGGCACCUCUUCUAUCUAUCUAUAUAUUUUUGGGCUCGAAUGAAAAAUGGGCAAAUAUUAUAAAUAUUUGAUCAAACUUCCAUAAUAAUUAAGUUUAGCUAAUUUCAAUUGUUUCUUAAUUUCUCCUAGUUUCAAUACAAUAUUGAUAGGUUUCAGGUGUCUUGAAACCUAAAACUGAAAAAAAAAGAUACAAUCGAAACUAGUUAUUAUGAAAGUAGCAGUAGCAACAUCAAUAAUUUAGAUCCCGAUAUUGAGGUAAUCUCAUAACACAAAUCCUUUGCUACUAAACCAAGAAAACCCAAUUGUCUUAAGAGUUCAUAUUUGUGAAGGUUUCUUAACAUUUUAGUGCAACCUUGAUUUUUAUUUUUAUUUAUUUCCUUUCCCUUAAAGAGAACAAAAGAUCUUCAACUUCUUUUCUUUUUUCUUCUUCAGUUUUGCUUACUUUCUUUUGCUCCCAAAAACCAAAAAAAAUAUCCCUUCAAAUCCCAUUUGAUGGUUUUGAAGUAGCAACGAUCUUCUCAGCACCUAGUCUAGUUUGAUUUUGAAGUUCCCAAGUGAGGUCAAUGUAUUUAUGUAUGCUUAAUUUCUUUAUUUUUGAUUUUUUUAUAUAUAAAUUCGUUAUAUAUUUCUUCAUCUAAUAUUAUAUUUUUAUGUUUUUCUUGAACUAAAUCAGAGCAAAAUAGACUGUUUGGAUUUGCUUUUUUUCACACUCAAUUUCUUGGAAUCAUUACUUCAUUUUGAAGGGGUAAGUGGGUAUGUUUAUUAUAUUUCCAUCAUUAUAUGCAUAAUAUUAAUUGGGUGAUAAAAAAAAUUGAAAAUAUCUAUGAUUAAAUUUCAUUUAUAAUAGAGUCACUAUCAUUAAAAUUAUUUUUUUAUUUUUAUUUAGUGAAUAUUUAAUUUACCGUCGAUGCACAAAUUUUAUACACUAUAGAUGAAUAAUUACAUCACAUAUUAUUAUCAAAUAAAACAAACAUAGCUAAUCACCAUUCUUAAGUACCCCUUUGAGCUUUUAGCCAAUUCAAUCUUGGAACUUUUGUAUGUUUUCUUUUAGAAAAUGGAAAUUUUGAAGGAAAUUUCGAAAAGCCUAUUCUUAUUUAUUAUUAGUUUUGUGGAAAAGAACUUGCUGUAUAAUAGAAACAUCGGAAAUACAUUUGUCUUUAGAUUUAGCAAAAAUGAAUAAUGGAAACACUUUUUCAUUUCUGAUAGCAAAUGAAAAUUAAGAAAAAAAACAUUCAAGAAAAUAGAUAUUUUAAAUGUAGUAAAAAUCAAACAAAUAACUCAAACAACCCUUCAAAUGUUUACAUAUUUCGUUAGUUAAAAACCAAGAAAUUGACUCUUUAUAUUUAUAAGUUUGCACUUUAAAGAUAAAGAGAUGCUUGCAAUUAAAAGAUCUAAUUCAAGAUCCACAAAUGUCAUACAUAAGCCUCCAAAGUUUAAGGGAAGUAGAAUUUAAAAAAUGUGAUAAUUUAAAGUAUCCCUUCCCAUUGUCUGUUGCAAAUACCCUUGAGUAAUUGCAUACUUUGAAGAUAAAGAGUUACCUGCAUCUAGAAAAUAUAAUCCAAGAUCCAUAAGUGUCGUGCAUAUGAAGUUUUGGGGAAGUAGAAGUUUAAAAAAUGUGAAAAUUUAAAGUAUCUCUUCUCACUAUCUGUUGCUAAUUGUAACAUCCCUAACCUAUAACUGUCGUUGGAAUAGGGUUUCAGAGCAUUAUCGAGUAACCGUAAUCUAAAUCAUUCAUUUUCAAACAUUUCAAAAAUCAUAUUAUAAUUCAUCAUUAACAUGCAUAGAGUCCCUUAUUCAAGACUUGGAGGGCAUAAAAUUACUUUAGAAUCGAUUUGGGACUAAAUCGGAAACAUUUGAAAACUUUAGGAGAAAGAAAAAUUUUAACUGCAGGGUUCACACAGCUGUGUUGCCGGGCCGUGUGACACACACAGCCAAGUCACACGCCUGUGUGUCUGGCCGUGUGGGCAUUCGAAGUAGGGACACACGGUCGUGUCCCAACCCAUGUCCCUGCCCGUGUAACUCACUGACUUGGGUCAUACGGCCAAGCCACACGCCUGUAUGCUAGGCUGUGUACCCUUCAAAAAUGGCCUCACACGCCGUUGCUAGCCAUGUGUCUCACAUGGACAAGUCACAUACCCGUGUGUCUGGCUAUGUUGACUUAAAUUGUAUCUUAAACAACAAGUUUACUAUUUCCUACUUGCUUGGGCAUUAAGUAACUCAAAAACCAUUCAUUUAACCUAUUCAAAACACGAUCAAAAACAUGCUAAAACAAUCAUCCUAGGUGCCUAACCAAUGUACCCUCAUUGGUACCACAUUUAUAUCAUCAAAAUAUAUCAUCAAUGCAUCAUUCAAAUCAAGUUUAUAAGCCAAAAUCCAUCACUUUGGCCUAGCUCAUAUCUACCUAAAACAUCAACUUUAAUUCACAUACACAUGACAAGUAUUGGUUUAAUUCAACAUACCAUAUUAAGGCUUCAAACACAAACAUAUAUUUACAUAUAUACCAAAAAACAUAGCACUUAUAACCUCAUUUACAAUUCAUCCACAAAAUAACUAUCAACUAGACAUCCUAGGUACAUGCCAACACAAAAGAUGAACAUCACGACGUUUGAGACCGGGAUCAUUGUUGGAUGCCAUAUCAAUGAUCAAAAGAGAAGUACCUAACCUGCGCACGAAAAACAAAACCGUAUGCUGAGUAAAACUCAGUGAUAUUUCUAUAAUCUGAACAAUUAAAGAUAUAAAGAUACAUGAAUGCUCAAUUUGAAAUGCAUAAUCAUAUUUCUAACUAUCAAGCAAUUGUAAAUUAAUCAACAUCACAAUUUCAUGCAUAAUACCACAUUAUAUCAUGAUUUGCUCACUUCAUUAAUAUUCUUCCAUUAAUUGGUUUAACAUAUAACUCAAUUAACAAUGACAUAUUUCAACUAUAUUCAAUCAAUGAAUACAUUACUCAUUUAUCUCAUUUAUAAUCACAACUUUUUCACCUUUCAUAUAUCAAUUCACUUUUCCAUUUCCAAUUCACAUAUUUUGUCAUUUCAAUAUCGAUCAUAGAACUUGUUAUUUAAUUAUUCCUACUAACACGAAUCGAGCUCGGACAGAUACACGGAUCCAACCAACACACAAGUGUGACACCAGUGCCUCAUCAGAUAAAUCUGAAGUAAUAGCUGCGCCCAGCACUAUAUAAAUUGACACCCAUUGUCUCAUCGGUUAAACCGAAGUAAAUCGGCACCCAGUGCCUCAUCGACUCGAAGUCGAAGAAAUCUUUAAACUCUUCCUAUCCUAUGGCAUGCUAUCUAUAUCCAACUCAGCCUGAUACAAUUAAUAAGGUUUCAUUUCACAUCUCAAAUACAACCAUUAUCCAAUAUCAAGUUUUCAUUUAAUCACAUUAUCACAUAUACAGAUGAAUUCAAUUCAAUCUAUAAUAAUCAAUACAUUCAUAAUGUAUAAACCACUUCAGUCCAUUUCAAUCAACUAUAAUUUCAAUUCAAUAUCAAAGUGUCAAAAUACUCACCUCAACCACUUACCAUAUGCAUUAAAUCAAAAUAUAGUAAUUAAUAGCUAGGUUCGAAUUAUAAAAAUACAUAUUGUGGAUUCCGAGCUAUUUGACGUCGAUUUUAUCCUUCCUCUUUUUAGUCGAGGGUUCCAAUACGACGUUAGCUACAGAAUUAAAACAACUAAAUUUCAUCAAUACUACAAAAUUUAAUUUCAUAAUGAUUAUUUCAAUUUUUACUCAAUAUUUUCCUAAAUUCUAAUUUAGUCCCUAAAUCGAGACUAAUUUUUUAUUUUUUACAUUUAAUUCUAUAUUUUCAUACAAAUUUCACUUUAAAAUAAUUAAAUUCCCUAUUUUCAAUUAAAUCCCUAAAUUUCAAAAUUUUCACAAUUUAGUCCCUAUUACUCAAAAUUUACAAUUUGUUCUACAAUUUAGUCUUUUUCAAUUUCUAGCUUAAAAAUCUAUCAAAUUAAUCCCUAAUACUAAAAAUAUUUAACAAUAACAACAUUUAAAAUCUUAAUCGAUACUAAAAUUACAACAUGGGUCGAGUAGCCCUAGGUACCGAGAUUCUAAAAACAUAAAAAUCACAAAAAAAGGGACUAAAUUAUAUCACUAUGGAUGAAUAAUUAUAUCACUUAUUAUCAUUGAAUAAAACAAAACAUAGCUAAUAAUUAUUGUUAAGUACCAGUUUCAACUUUUAUUAGUUCUUAAUUCUUCUUUCUUUUUUUUUUUGUUUAAGAUAACCGAAUCCAUAAUUUCAACAUUAGAAAUUUUGUAUUUAAAAAAAAUUCAAAAAGGCUAAAUUACAACUAUAUGCUGAUUUUUUUUUUUUGAAAAUUUAUGUUGUUUUCUUGAAACUUUAUCAAUUUAUAUUGUUUUUUUUCCAAAUAGAAAGGAAAACACAUAUUAUAGGACGUGUUUUCUCUUAUCUUCCAGAGAAAACAUGAGAUGCAUUUUAUUCUUUUUCCUAAAAAUGCGCUCUAUAGGAUGCAUUUUCAGAUAGUCUAAAAUUAUUUUUUUUUCUUACGGUUUGAAAUUAGAAGUUUGUAGAUUUAGCUUUUCCCAUGUUCAAGAUAAACAUUGUUAUAGUUUUAAGGUAUGUUUGAAUUUACGAUAAUGUCAUGGAGUUGGGUGACUUAAGAAUUUCACCUGGCAUGUGAGCAUGGAGCCAUCCGAGAAUCUGGAUUGCAUUGCAACUCAAGGUCCAAGUUGACAGUGGUUCUAUAGCCUCCGAUUGAAGUGUAACUAGGUCUUCAAUUUUACAAAGGUUAUGUUAUCAAUGAAUGGAGCAUAAAUGCGGCCCCAAUUGAUAGUGGUUAUGCGAGCACAACAACGAGUUUUGUCAUCAUCAGGGGAGGAUGCUAUUUGCCACAGAAACAAAAGUAUGAGGAAGAAAAAUGCAAUGGUGUUUUAGUAUAAUCAAGUAAUUCGGUAGAAAUGGAUAAAAUGCUACUACAUUUUUCUUUCCUUUUUACUUUUUUUCUGUGGUGUAUAGCUUCCUCCAUUGAUGAUGAAAAAAAUCCUUAUCGUGCCUGCAAAAGUACCACCAACUAGGGCCAAAUUUAUGUUCUGUCCCCUGGCAGUAUAACCUUUGUAAACUUGAAACCUUAGUUAUAUUUCAACCCGAGACCGUAUAAUCACCGUCAACUUGGAUCUCGAGUUGCAACGCGAUCUCGACUGCUCAGGUGAUGACUCAAUGCUCACAUGGUAGGUUAAGUUUGUUGGAAUAAAAAACCGAUAACUUUGAAAUUAAUAAACUAACCUCCUCUUUUGUUUGUUGGUCUAAAUUUAGUCAGAUGUCCUCGAGCUCGGUCAAUAUAUUGUUGUGUCUGGCGAGGUUAUUCCACCUAUACCAAAACCAUGUUAUUUCAACAUUACAAUGAAAAUUCUGAUACAGUAACAAUAUUAUGAAAUAAAUUUUAUCAUGUUACGAAUGAGAAUUUAUAAGGGGAAUUUCUAUCGCAUUCUGUAUUUUUCAUAAUCUUUACAAGUAGUAUACUCCACUAUAUAUAGAGAGAUUAGACUCUUCAUAUUCUAAUACAUAAAUAAGAAAAGGGGGUUAUAAGGAGAUGAAAGGUUAAAAAUUAAAGAAAAUGAAAGAUUAAAGGUCAAGGGAGAUGAAAAGUGAAAAGUGAAAGGUUGAACAUCCGCUUAAUAACAUUAAUAUAAAUAUUUUAAAUGUAGCAAAAAUCAUAAAAAUAAUUGAAACAUCGCUCCAAAAUCCAAAUGAACCAAAUCCACUCAAGCAAUUACUGAAACUUCAAGGAAAAUGUGAGAGCAUAGAUUAUUUAUUUUUAAUAAGUUAAUUGCACCAAAUAUUUUUAAAUUAUUACCCGCAUUCUAAAUUAAUUCAUUAAAUUUUAAAUCAUUUUAGUUACAUCUCUAAACUAAACAGAAUAUAUCAAUUUAAAUUUUUUUAAAUCAUUAAUUUAAUGAUAAAAAGACAUCUUCAGUCACUCUCAAUUUUAAAAUUGAGUAAAUUAGUCACUUUCAAAAAAAUUGGAACAAUUUAAUCUCUGUCAAUUUUGAAAGUGAGCAACUAAGAACAACUAAUCACAACGUUCAUGUCUUUCGUCAAUUGUGCAUAAUUUUGAUUGGUACAAUAACACAUUUAGCCCUUGAUGUUUACAUAUUUUGUUAGUUUGGUCUUGAUUCUAAAAAAAAUCAACAAAUUCAGUCUCAACAUUUACACAUUUACAAAAAUAUUACAGGCUAAAAUUGUUAUCAUAUCAAUCAAAUUUAUGUAAAAUUGAUGAAAAACAUUAAUAUUGUGAUUAAUUACUCACUUUUGAAAUUGGUAGGGAUUAAAUUGCUUCGAUUUUUUUAGAGGGACCAAUUUGCUGAAUAUUAAAUUUGAGAGGGACUAGAGAGGUCGUUUUACCUAGUUUAAUAAUUAAAUGAUAUGUUAAAUCUUAUGUGAUAUAAUUUAAAAUGAAUUUUUUUAAAAAAAAAUGAAGAUUGUAAAAAUAGUUGUUUUAAAAAUCUUGGUUUUGAAGUUUUUACAAAUUUUGUAACGUUCAUCAAUACUACAAAAUUCAUAUAUAAUCUUAUUGAAUUAAAUUUCACAUUUUGUACUAUUUAUUUUAUUGAAUUGUUUAAUCAUAUUAAAUCUUUAGUAAUUUCAGUUCAAAUUGAAUUAUUGAUGAUGCCAUAAAAUAUUCGUGUUAAAAUUUUCUAUUGGUAUCAAUUUCACAUUUUAUCUUUAAAAUAUCAUUUAUUAAAAAAUCACAUUUUUUACAUUUAAUAUAUUUUUUUAAUUUCAAAAUACAUGAUGACAAAAAUCAGAAGAUAAUUGAAGCAACUAAGCAAGCAAAUAAGUUAACUCAUAUAUAAAAUAUUAAUAAAUAAAUUAUGAGGGGAUGAAAAUUAGUAAUAAAUUUGAUUACAGUGAGUAACAGUGGCUAUAAGAAUUCAAAAUCAUUUUUUUUUAAUUUAACUAUAACUCAUUAAAACCCAAUUUGCGUCAUUAUGAUGGAUUAAAGGAAGUAGGGAAGCAACAAUAGAAAAAUAUUGAAAAGGAAAAAAAACUUCGAAGAUGAACUUGUUCCCAUGCAAUAGCCAGGAAUUCUUGGUGGUAUCGAGCCAGAACAACAUGUUCUUCUUGGAUACCCUAAUUCAGGGCCAAAGAAUAUCCUAUCGCUACCAUAUAAAUAUUCAUUUCAACUUGGGGAUAAAUAAAGUAUCUGUGUUUUUUUUUUUUGUUUUUUUUAUCUCUCAAAGAUUUUAUAAAAUGGACUUUCUAGAGACCCUCAAUGACCAAUCUGGCAUGAAUUGUUAAGGACCCAAUAAGGCCAACAUUGAUCCCUGAGACGUGUCAAUUGGGCAAAUGUGUCCAUAGUGACUAAGAUGGAUACUUCGUAUCUGAAAAUUAGCAGUUCGCCCAGUCAAUCCUCCAAGGCCCGAAUAACUCAAUUUUCUCUCAUGCACUAUUUGUGUCAAUGGAUUUGUUCGAUCCAAAACUUGAGACAAUAGGUGUAACCUGAAAAACAAUUCAUAAGUGGUUGUUAAUGGAAUCAAAGUUACCGAAGAGUUGGUAUCAAUUUAUUUCAGAAUGAAUGGAAAGGACAUUUCCAUGGUUUUAGACCUCAUAUCUAUCUUCCAAAUCUGGAGAGCAGAUUAAAGGUUUUAGUAUCAAGUAGAAAAGUAAGUAUGAAAUACCCAAAAUGCCAACUAAUAAUGGCAGACAGCAAAGCAAAAAGCUAAAAGAAAAGAUGGGAUUUCUUACUAAACAAUUCUGCCUUUGUGGAACCCACCACAGAAGUGAAUGCCUCAUUAUUUUGCCUGUUUUUGUCUUCACUUUCUUCUUCUUUUUGGCUAUUGUACCCGCAACAUUCAUUCUUCUUCACUGUUUCUAUCAAGCAUCCAGUCAAGGCAAUUUCCUUUGAUUUGCUUAAUCCAUGACGUGCUUUUCAUUGCUUAAUUCGUGACUAUGCAAUGAUUGUUUUUUAUUAUCUGCUUCAGUUAUAGUCAAGGGAGUCAGCUUCACUGCUUCAUUUUCAGUUCUAAUCUCUCAAGACUUUUCAGCCACUAAGUCAGGUAAUUUGUGCUUCCCAUUCUUUGAUCCUUAAAUAUGCAAUUCAGCUCAUUGGAAAAUUUGUUUCCUUAUUAUCAACUCAUGACAUGAUUUCCUUUGCUUUUACAUGACAAGAAAGAUGAAUAAUUGUAAUAAGAUCUGAAGCAAUGAUUUCCUCUACUGAUUAUCAACAGUUUUAGAUUUCAAGUCUGGAUGAUCAGCAGACGUAAUCUACUUUAGAUAGAAAUUAAUACCAAAAGAGCUACCCAGAAGCAAUAUGAUGUUGAAAUCUCAAACUGUUGAACAUUUUACCUCUUAAUAUUCUGUUGCACACUUGAAUCUAGCAUUUUCUAUACAUUGAGAGAUUAAUUCUGGAUAUACAAAUUUCAUCAUGUUUCCGUCUGCCACCCAUCCAUGGCUCCAUCUAAUAAACGCCAUUGCUUGAAACUUGCAUUCAUGCUUACACUGACAUAUCAAAAAGCCAAUACAUUCACAGAUUUUAAUUCUCUGCUACUGUUAUAUAUGAUUGCGUUGCAUGGACAUAGCAAUGGAGUACGUAGAGCCUGUUCUUGGCAUUAUUAUAUGUUUCCUAUAUGUUUCUUGAAACCAAAUUAAUAAUAUUAUCAAAUUGAGUUUCAUGCCCUUGAAGAACAUCUAGAAUUGAUAUUAUAAAGACUUAUGAAAUUGACCUUAAUGCCUUUUUUUAGUCAAAAGAAAAGAAAAUAAUUAUUUUUCAAAACCCAAAUUAUAUUCAGUUUUUUUUAUAACAUAAAAAUUAUGUCAAGAAAUAGAAGAAUUAAAAAGCAGAGAACAAAUAAUUUUCCUUUAUGUUUCUUCCAUAUUCUUUUAAAGAAUGAAUAUUGGAUAUCUUAAUGUAAAUAAUAUAGAGAAAGUUUGGAGGGUUUAAAAACAUUUACCCCUCAUUUUCCCUUACUUUAUUUAUUUUUUAAAAUUUUAUCUACUUUUAUUUAAUUUUUAAUUUUAUAAUUUUCUGAACUUUUGAAAAUAACUUCAACUUUUUACAUUUUACAUUAGUGACGAAAUUGCAACUACUUUUUUAUAGUUAAAUGACAAAAACGAAAAUUACCAAUAGUUUAGUGACUAGUGUAGCAUUUUUUUGGUACAAUUAAUGAUCAUUCGAAUUUCAACUAUUCCUAAAGAAAGUAAACACCUAACCAAUAAAUCACAACUUGAGAUAGCUUAUCCAGGAAUUUAUAUUCACAUUUUACAAACCUUCAUAUGUAAAAUAUUACUCAGAGUUGAAUCCAAAUUUUAAAACCAACAACAAGCCAUUUACUACAACACCAACAACUAUACUUUGUUUUUAUAGGGUGCCAAUAACAACACCUAUUACAACUCAUUUACUAGUAUAUUUAAUUUCAAGUUGUAACAUAUAACUAGGCAUUCUUAUACCCUGCUUUCCCAUACUUUCCCAUCAUCAUCAUCAUCAACAUCGUUGUUGUUACAAUUGAGCACCAAGAUCACUGCAAUUCUUGUUAGUAUUGUCCAGAAUUAAUGCAAAGGACAUUUCUAUGGAUUUUAGACCUCAUAUCUAUCUUCCAAAUUUUGAGAGCAGAUCAAAGGUUUUAUUAUUACAGAUUUAAAGAAGAAUCAGAUUGUAAAUCAUCGAUCAACUGUUGAGAAAAAUCAGUAUCAAAUACGGUAGCUGCACCGAAAAUGCCAACUAUAAUGGCAGAAGCUAAGGAAAAGUAAAAAAAAGAUGGGAUUCCUUACUUAAUAUUUCUGCCCUUGUACCCACAACAUUCUUUCUUCUAUCACAAAAUUUCAACCAUCCACUCUACCUACUUUCCUUUCAUUUGCUUAAUAGUUCUGCCUUUCUACCCACAACAUUCUUUCUUCUCCACUGUUUUUAAUUUCUUUUCAUCUCCAAGGUCUAUCACCAAAUUUCAAGCAUCCCGUCAAAGGUAAUUUUCUUUCAUUUGCUUCAUUCAUGACAUGCUUUUCCUUGCUUCAUUCAUGACUAUGCAAUGACAGUUUUUUAUUAUCUGCUAGCUUUGUAAGAUAGUCAAGGAAGUCAACUUCACUGCUUCAUUUUCAGUUCUAAUCUCUCAACACAUUUUCAGUUCUAAUCUAUCAACAGUUUUAGAUUUUAAGACAGGAUAGGAUGACCGGAAAACAUAAUCUAUCAUAGAUAGAAAUCUCAAACUGUUGAACAUUUUAGCUCUUAAUAUUCUGUAAUGAACUGUUGCACACUUGAAUCUAGCAUUUUAUAUACAUCGAGAGCUUAAUUCUGAUGACCAGAAUUUAAUCAUGUUUCUGUCUGCCACCCAUCCAUAGCUCCAUCUAAUAAACGCCAUUGCUUGAAACUUGCAUUCAUGUUUUCCUUUUCAUGCUUUCACUGACAUAUCAAUACUUCAUAAAAUAUCCAAUUCAUUCACGGAUUUUCAUUCUCUGCUACUGUUAUAUAUGAUUGCAUUGCAGGGACAUAGCAAUGGAGUACGUAGAACCUGUUGUCGACAUUGCAAAUUGUCUCGGAACUCCUGUUUGUAAAUAUUUGCAAUAUCACAGAAAGCUGAACGAUUAUGUGAGAAACUUCAAGAGGAUCAGAGAUGAAUUGAAUUGCAAAAUGGAAGAUAUAGAGCUGCAAUUGAAAGCAGAGCUUCUUCGUCCUCUGGGGAAGAUACCGAAGAAGGGAGUUGAAAAUUGGUUGAAAGCUGUGAAAGAGAUCAUUAGGGAAGCACAAGUUGUUGAAAACAAAGUCAGUAACGGGAUAUAUCUCUGCCGUGCUUGCAACGGGAGGCUGGUUGAUGAAAAGACUCGAGAAAUGAAGGAAUUUCUUGAUAAUGCUCCUAAUGCCUCUGAAGGUCUUGCCAUGGAUGGUCCAAGUGCUGGGUUGCCACUGGAAACAUCAGAACUAGUUGGAGAGGAAGCUGUCAGAAAAGAGAUUUGGGCAUGUUUGAUGCAGGAGGAGGUAAGCAAGAUUGGGGUUUGGGGGAUGGGCGGCGUGGGUAAAUCGACCAUCAUGAAGCACAUCCACAAUGAUCUUUUGAAAGAACAGCGAUUUGAAAAGGUGGUUUGGGUUACUAUAUCAAAGGACUUCAAUAUUGUGAAGUUACAAAAUGAUAUUGCAAGUGCAUUGAAUGGAAAGAUGCCCGAAGAAGCAAACAAGGUCAGACGAGCAGCAAUCUUGUCUGAAAUGCUGAAGAGAGCAGGAAAACAUGCUCUAAUCCUAGAUGAUGUGUGGAGUGAAGUCUCGUUGGAAGAAAUUGGGAUCCCUAAGCCAAGUAGCAGCAAUGGAUACAAGUUGGUGUUGACAACCCGUGUGGAGCAAGUUUGUAAGUCUAUGGGCUGUAAGGUGAUAAAAGUGAAGCCCCUUUCAGAAGAAGAGGCAUUGAUACUAUUCUUGAGUGAAGUUGGACCUAACAUAGUGCAGAAUCAAACUUUAAUGCCAACUUUGAAGCUUGUUGUCAAGGAAUGUGCAGGUCUGCCUCUUACAAUUGUCGUCAUAGCUGGUACAUUGAGAGGAGAAGAUGACCCUCUUAUUUGGAAAAACACACUCAGGGAAUUGAAAGAGAGAAUAUGGAAAGUGAAAGAAGGGGAAGAUAAAGUGAUCGAGAGUUUGAAAGUUAGCUUCAAUCACUUAAAAGACGAGAAAAUGAAGCAUUGUUUCUUACAUUGCGCAUUAUAUCCUGAAGAUUUUCAAAUUGGGAAGGAUGGGCUAAUUGAGUGCUGGAUUGAAGAGGGAUUCAUAGAUGAUAUGAGUACAAGACAAGAAAUGAAAGAUAAGGGCCAUGUUAUUUUGAAGAAAUUAGAAGAUAAUUGCUUGUUGGAAAAUGUUUCGAGUGAAAGAGUAAAAAUGCAUGAUGCAGUGAGAGACAUGGCAUUGUCGAUCACAAGAAUGAAUCCUCGAUGUAUGAUACAAGCAGGUUCGCAAUUAGAAGAGUUACCAGAAAAGGUGCAGUGGAGUCCGGAUAUUGAGAAAGUGUCACUUAUGUAUAACUCCAUAUCAGAAAUUUCCACAGAUGUGCUGCCCACAAAAUGUCAACUGCUCACAACCUUGUUAUUGCAGCAUAACCCUAUAAAGAAGAUCCCGUAUUCUUUCUUCAUAAACAUGCCCUGUCUUUGUGUCCUAAAUUUGUCCUAUACGGUGAUCGAGAGUUUACCAAAUUCCAUCUCUGAACUAAAGAACCUCACAACAUUGUUGCUUUCUGGCUGUUCUGGAUUAAGAGAUCUGCCUUGUCUUUCGAUGCUUCAAGAAUUGAAGAAGUUGGAUCUUUCUGGGACUAUAAUUGAGGAAGUCCCUGAAGGAAUGGAUAUGCUGAUAAAGCUAAGAUAUCUUGAUCUUAGAGUGCGCACUCUGAAAGAGAUACCCGCUGGACUUUUACCAAAACUAGUUCACCUUCAGCACUUGGGUUUUUAUGAGAACAAUGAAAAAACAAGUCUAAAAGCAGAGGAGAUGGAACCAUUGAAGAAGUUGGAGUGCUUUACCGGACGUUUCGAAAACAUCAAUGAAUUCAAUAAGUUCAUCUCCUCAAUGCAACAAAGUAAGAAAAAUCUCAUCAAUUACCAUUUACAGGUGGGCUCAUAUAAUAGUGUGGAUUGUGAAAGGGGUAAAAGAGUAUCAAUUGGAGGAGUCCAGAAUUGGGAAGGUGAGUUAAUUAUGCACCCAAUUGAAAUUCAAGAGUUGAAUAUUGUAAAGUGCGACUAUUUGAGAAGCUUAGUCGAUGACAAUUCUUCCUUCAAAAAUGCGAUUGACUUGAGGGUUUGUUGGAUUUGGGGGUGUGAAGGGAUAGAGUGUGUUGUUUCCCUGUCCUCUUUUGCCUCUUCUUCCGCUCAUCCAUUUCAGAGCCUCGAGGUGUUGGGUCUUUAUGAUCUGCCAAAGUUGAGUGCCCUUAUUAUGAAAGAUGAAGGAAUUGGUUCAGCAACAACAUCAACAUUGGCUCCGUCUGCCACCUUUUCCCAUCUCAAGGAAAUUACGAUAUUCAAAUGCUCAAGGAUGAAGACGUUGCCUCCACAUUGGUUGCUUCCAAACCUCCAAAACCUGGAAGAAAUAUCAGUGUCACACUGUGAUAAGGUAGUAGAAAUAUUGGGAGCAGCACCAUCAGAAGUUGAAGAAAAAGGGAGUGAUGCAUUAAUCAAAUUCCAUCUUCCCAAAUUGAGACAAUUGAGACUACGUACGUUACCAAAUUUGAAGAGCAUUUGCAGCAAAAGUGGAGUCAUGGUUUGUGAUUCUCUCCAACUUAUCCUGAUUAUUAAUUGUCAUAAACUGAAGAGAAUUCCUCCAUUUGUUCCCCUUGUUGGGAAUGGGCAGCCAUUUGCAUAUGCUCCACCUUCUCUUACCAUCAGGUCAAGCACAAAAUGGUGGGAAUCGUUGGAGUGGGAUGACCAUCCAAACUUUAAAAAUGUUCUCAAGCAUGAAAGGUAGGAACCAUUUAUAGUUAGUUUAUUUUUUUUAUUUUUAUAAAUCUAAUUUCUCCAUUUUAAUAAAAUUUCAGAUGAAUUUGGUGAUGUUGUUGAAGAGAAAGAUAAAAGGGUUGGUGGGAAAGAAGUAGGGGGGAGGAUUGUGCAAAAGAGUGGAGAAAAGGAAUGAUGGAAGAGCAUGGAGACUGAGAAGCAAAGGUAAAUAAGAGAUCAAACUGUCUCCACUUUGUAAACAUUGUCCCUCUCUUACCAUUCCUUCUGUUCUCUUUUUCGUAUAAUGUAAAAGUUAUGUCAAGUAACUGAAGAGGUAAAAAACAAAUAAAUUUGCUUAAUAUUUUUUCUAUGUUUGUUUUGAAAGAAUGAGUAUUGAAUAUGGAUAAUAUAGAGAAAUUUUGUAGGGUUUAAAAAAAAGUAUCAAGAUGAAAAAAAAUAUAUAAUUUAAAUGUCAAUUGAUAAAUUAAGUGUAUUCAAAAUAAUGGUAUUUUAGAUAGCAAAGGUAUUGAAAAUUUAAAGUGAUAAAUUACCUUUUUAUCAUUAUAAAUAAAUACCAUAAUUUCUUUUUAUGCUGAAAAAAAAUUUGAAAAUUUAUGUUGUUUUCUUGAAAAUUUAUCAAUUUAUAUUGUUUUUUUACAAAUAGAAAGGAAAACGCGUCUUAUAUGACAUGUUUUCUCUGAUCUUCCAGAGAAAACAUGAGACGCGUUUUAUUAUCUUUCCUAAAAAGCGCUCUGUAAGAGCAACUAAGGACAAUGAAUCACGACGUUCAUGUCUUUCGUCAAUUGUGCAUAAUUUUGAUUGGUACAAUAACACAUUUAGCCCUUGAUGUUUACAUAUUUUGUUAGUUUGGUCUUGAUUCUAAAAAAAAAUCAACAAAUUCAGUCUCAACAUUUACACAUUUACAAAAAUAUGACGGGCUAAUUUUGUUAUCAUAUCAAUCAAAUUUAUGUAAAGUUGAUGAAAAACAUUAAUAUUGUGAUUAAUUGCUCACUUUCAAAAUUGGUAGGGAUUAAAUUGCUUCGAUUUUUUUGGAGGGAGCAAUUUGCUGAAUAUCAAAAUUGAGAGGCACUAGAGAGGUCAUUUUACCUAGUUUAAUAAUUAAAUGACAUGUUAAAUCUUAUGUGACAUAAUUUAAAAUGAAAAUUAAAAAAAUGUAGAAAUAGUUGUUUUAAAAAUCUAGGUUUUGAAGUUUUUACAAAAUUUUUAUUGUUCAUUUUUUUUAAAAUUUCAGUUUUAUUUAAUUUUAGUUUCUUUAAAAUUUUUAUUUUAAAAUUAGCUAUAUAAAAUUUAACGUGUCAUUUAAUGAUUUUAAUAAUAAAAUGAUAUGAUUAAUAUAACAUCAAUAGUUUAGAAAUGUAAUUAGAUCAGUUUGAAGUUUGAAAAUAGAUUUAAAAUAAUGGUCAAAAUUUAGGGGUGGUUGAUGUAAUUAACUCAUUUCUAAUGGUGCUAAUAAUUAAGUCUGCUAUAGGACAAAGUGAAAAAGUGGAAAGCAGAGUUAAAAUAUAAUUGCAUAAUAUAUGGAUGGGGCCAUUACCAAACGAUGAAGCAAAAGAAAUGAAGGGCCAUCAUACUUUUAUUUAGAAAUUUUAUAAAUUUUAGUUGUUAAACAUGUCAAGUAAUUUGAUUUGGUGUGGUGGUUAAGUGCCUUGAAUGUUUGCUUUGGGUCUUGGGUUCAAUUUUUUUGUUAAAUUUUUCCUAUUUAUAUUAUGUUGAACUUGAGCCUUAGGUCUUAUCUCUUAUUUUCAAUGAUGAAUCUGGUAAGAGUUUAGCUUAUCACCAAUUUAAAUUUUAUAAAAUCUGGUAAGUGGGAUUUAGAUUAACUUAAAUCUUUUUAUUUAAUUUUACUAAAUCUCUAUUUUCACUCAUUGUUUCAACCGUCCACACUCUCACCCCACUUUGUAUGCUACUUUCUUUUGUUUCCCUAUUCUGCCGUUUUAUCUUCUUUUCUCUUCCUCCUUUCUCCUCUUUGAUUAUUCCUGAAUACUACCAUUUAUUUUGUGAGUUCUGUCACUUGGAUUGUAUUCUGUUUGCAGUGUAAGUUUUAUUUGGUUACUUUUGUUCUCUUCCCAUUAAUAGUUUAGUUUUAUUUCGUUUCUUGAACAAGUUGAGUUUGUGUUGGUAUUUUCUGUUCAUUAUCAUGAUUAGUAUUUUUGUGGUUCUCGAUUAGGCGAAAGGUGUGAGAAUCCUAACCCUCCAGCAAAGUAGUCACAAUUUUUUACGUUGUUUUGGAGAACUAAGUAUUCGAAUUCUAUUUUAGGGGCUGAAAUUUUGAUUCAACGAUGUUAUUUUGGAUAAGUAUUGUUAGUUAAUCCGUGUGGUUUGAUGAACGUUUAUAGGAUUCGUGAGUUCCAAUAGAGCGGUUGAUCAAAUCAGCAAUAGGUGUAUGAAAUUAACCUGAAAACUCAAUCGAAACUCGAGAAAAUUAAGGGCCACACAACUAUGUGGGUAUUUUGGCCAAUUUUAAGCCCCAAUUAGGGGCCGAUUAAAGGACUCAAAUAUUAUUGGGUCCAUAGCAAUCAUAUAAGCCCAAAAAAAAAUGUAAGUUUUAGUAUAUAUAUACAUGGCUAAGCUUAGGAGGUAUGUUAAGUAGGUUGUAUACAAAUCAUAUGCUAUGUUAUGUUCCUUAUAAAAAUAUGUGUAUGCAUGUCAUAUGACUUAUGAUAUAUGUAUUUAUGAUAUUAUAAUUAUGAUUAUGCCUAUGUUUUGGGAUGGGUUAUGAUAUGAUGGAGGAAGUAUUAUAUGAUAGUUUUUACUACAACUAUGGCCACUAGACCAUAAAAUGUCUAUCUGACAGCUUAGUUGCAUAUUUAUGAGUGGCAUACCGUCACAUAUUGGUGUGAUUGGAUGGAUGGACUCUUAUAGUCCUAAUUGGUGAUAUUGCAUGGACGGAGAUGGCAUGUAGCAGUUGGAGGUAUGAUAUCAUAUUAUAUGAGAUAUGAUAGGAUAAGAUAAGAUAUGAAACAUGUUAUAACAUGAUAUGAAAAUCGAUAUGAUAUAAGAUGUGCUCCGAUAUGCUAUAAGAUGUGCUCCGAUAUGCUAUGAUACAUUCUGAUUUUUAUAUAUACGACGAUGUGUGGGUCAAAUCACAUACUGGAUGUUAAGCUCACACCUUUGUUAAUUCUGUUUUAGGUGAUCUUCAAAGUUAGGAUUGGAUGAUGACUAUAGAGCUCGUAUUUCACUCUUUCGGUUUAAGUAUGCAUUGGACUCUCUUUUGUAACUUUUUGGGCUUUUGGAUAUUUUAAAUUUAUUUGGGACGCUAAAAAUUAUUUUGGCAUUUAUUUUUCAAAAGUUUUAACUUUUACCGAUACUUAAAUCAAGACAACUAAAAAUAAACCAUAGUUAUAAGGUAAAUUUGCUAUAAUGCUUUCUGCUGCAAGUUUUAAGGUCAAUUUGCUAUAAUGCUGUCCGCUGCAAGUUUUAUUGAAAUUUGCUAAGAUGUUUUAUCUCACAAACAAAGUAAGUAAAUUAAAUGCAUUUUGGUAAAAUUAACAAAUAUUGCUUACUUCAAUGUAUUCACGGGUUUUCAAAAAUGGUACAUCUUCAACGGGUUAAUUAAACUUGUUUUCUUUUGAGUUAAAUAGUUUUUGCCAAAAUGAAGUAAUAUUGUUUUCACACGCAAUGUAAUCUCCACAAUCUGAUUAUAACAUUUAGGUCAUGUUUGGAUGUUAGAAUUAGAGCUUUAAAAAAUAAUUACUUUUUCUUUUAGAAGUUAAUGUCAUUGUAGGGUUUGAUGGGUUAUCUUCAACUUUAACAGUUAAGCUUCCAAAGUCGAUGAUCCUAUUUAAAUAUAUAAAAAAAAUUUAUAUUUAAAAGAUGUUCUUAUAAGGAAAAAAAGAUGUUAUUUAUGAUUGUUGCAUGCAAUUAUAUUAUUUUAUGAUUCGGGUUAUAUAUGAUUGUUGUCAUGACAUAAAAGUGUUUAAUUAAUAUUUUUAAAGUUUUAAAAAAUAAUAAUAAAUAUUUUUUAAUAAUUUUAAAAUUUAAAAGAUAAGUUAUAUCUAUUUUUAAAACCAUAAAAAUUAUUUAAAAACUAAUGUAUCAUCCGUAACAAAUCAUACAUCAUUAACACAUAUUGGGGCAUGGGAAAGCUUUUAAAAAUUUGAACUCAAAUAGUGCUCUACAUGGUUCAUCAAGGCAUGGCAAGUAAGCGAUAGUUGAUUGCCUGUAUUUCUCUCAUAAUUUGUCACUGCAAAAUCUACUACAUUUCAAAUUAACUGAUGUCAAGUAGAAAACUAAAGCAGAAGAGGAUCAAGUAUUUCCCUCACUAUCUGUUUCAAUGCUAAAAUUCCACCUCUCCUCUCCAACACCUCAUUGGUAGCCUUACUCAUCAUAACCAACACAACCCUUUCUUUUAUCUCGCCACAUAAAAGAAAUUCAAAAUAAUUUUUAAAUUUUUAUAAAUUUGCAAAAAUUUAUAUUUUAAAAAUUUCUAAAAAUAUAUAUAAAUAAAGUUGAAAUUUUAAAAUUUUCUGAAAUAAUAAUUUUAGCACUUACAUAAGUUAAUUAAUGAUUCAAAUUUAUCAAUAUUUAUUUAAGUUUUUUAAUAUAUAUGGUUUUAAAUCUAGAUGAAAUAUUUUAAUUUGACAUGUUUAAUUUUUUAAGUUAACUUAAACAAUUUCACUCUAUUUGAAUUUCAUUUCAUUCGAUUUGAUUUGAAAAAAUUUCAUCUCAAGUUAAGGUGAUAAAAUAAAACCUAUAAACUCGAUUAACUCAAAAUGUUUUCACUCAAUUGUGAGGUGAUUGAUCAUUUUAUUAGUAAAAAGACAUAUAAUUAUUCAUCUAAUAUUAUAACUAUUCAAACAGUAUAAUUCUUUUUAAAAAAUUAAGUGAUAUAAUUAUUGACCAAUGACCAAAAGAUUUAUCUUUAGAUUAAUUACAUCCAUUCAUUUAUAGUUAUUAUUAAAUAAAUAAUUAAAAAACUCCUAUCUAAUUUCAACAAUUAAAAAAAACUUUAAAUUAAAAUUAAAUUAUUAAGAUUCUAAUAAUAUAAAAAACUAAAUUGAAAUUUUUAAAAGGAUAUAUUAAAUAAAUUAAUAAUUUAUAAUUAGAUAAGAAAUAAAUAUUUUUUAUAAAAAAAUAAAAUACUUUAAUUUAAAAGGACAUUUUGGUCAAUCACUUUAAUAGUUUUUGUAGUGAUUAAAAGUUUAAUUGAUACCCCUAAACCAUAACUAAAAAGGAUGGAACCUUUUGCCAGAUUGCUAUUAGUUGUAACAAUCUAAUCUGUUGGCAUCCACCAUUAAUGAUUGAAUAUUGUAGCAAAGACCAUAACAAUUGACUUCCAAUUUUGGUUCUUUUUGUCUUGUUCUUCGUAAUUUUCUUACUGAGUUGGGACUCAAUUGAUGGUUGACGCAAACUCAGUAAAAGGCUUUAACACAGUAUAGAUUAAAAAAAGAUUUAAACUAAAAUUUUUAAAACAAUUUAGGUUAAAUUUAGUUAUUCAAUUAUAGGUAAGUUUUAAUUUUGGUUACUUAACUAAAAAAAUUACAAUUUGAUCACUAAUGCUUUCAAAAUUUUUUUUUUGUCACCUAACUGUUAAGUCAUACUUGUUUUAGUUGGUAUAAUAAUAAUUUCAGUCCUUAAUUUUUUAUAUUUUCUGUCAAUUUGACUCAAUUUUUGUAUAAAAUUAUAAAAAAAACUCAAAAUUAUUUAUAAAAUAGAAAAAUGUAUAUAAAAAUUCUAGAAAAAUAAAAUAUUGAAUAUGUUGUUUCAUAACUAAAUUGUAUGAGAAAUAAAGAAAAUCAUAGUUCAAUAACAUCCAAUAACAAAUUAAAAUCAAAAUAAAAGGAAAAAAAGGUUAAAUUAUUAUAUGUUUCCUGAAUAUUUCUCGAAAAAUAAUUAGGGGUUAAAAUUUACAUGCUUAAAUUAUUAACGAGUCUAUUUUCAAUAGAAACAAAUGGGAACUUCAUCCAAAUUUGUACUAAGAGGUAAUUAAUUUUUAGCAAAGAAUGGUCGAAGUUGUCAGACAAUAGAAUAGGGGUAAGUUUGAAGAUUUUACUGUACUUAUUGGCUAAACCAAAAAUUCUGAAAACUUUAUGGUAGAAAGGUAUCUGAGCCUAUUUCAAAGACAUCAAGUGGAUUUUAAUUCGAAAUUCUGUAGCUCAAGAUAUAAAUAAUUUAGUAGCAGUGACUCAAAUAGACAGUUUUAAAGGAACACAUAAGUAAAUAGUGAAAAACAUAUAUAAAUAUUUAGCUAGCACGAGUUACAUUAAAAAUGGAUCACGCGGCCAAAGCCAAUUUGGGCUGAGUAGGCCACAUGGGCGUGUGAGCCCAUUUUUCUGAAAAGUUCUGUAAGGUUGCACGGGUCGCCCAAGUCAAUUGUGGAUCUACUGUAGGGUCGAUAAGCUCUAUUUAGACCCCUAUAUGUGUGAUUUGUCUGACUGAUUUCUAUACUGAGCAUGACUAUUAAUUGCAUAAUUGCAUGACAUAUUUUGUAUGUUGCAUUGCAUCGGGGUGGGUUGAUGAUAUUUGGAGGAAGUGUCUGAAAGGCUAUUAAGCCUGUUAUCUGGCAGCAUAGCUACAACCUUUUGAUUAUAUGCUGCAUUUCGGUACAGCAUGGUGUGUAGGGAUGUGUGGCUUGAUUUAAUCCCCACAUGGUGUGUAGGGUUGGACGGAGAUGGUGUGUAGAGGCUAGUGGGUAGGAUUCUAAUUUACUGUAUCUGCAUUCUGUAUCUGAUAUGAGUCAAGGCCCUAAUGUAUUUUUGAGACUGUAUCUGAACGGGCUAAGGUCCAAACUGAUUCUGUUGAUUAUCUAUAUGCAUGUUUUAUGUGAGGAUUACACACUGAGUUUGCGAAAACUCACCAGCGGAGGACUCGACAGUGGCCACACGUAAAUUUCGGACUGUUUUCCGUUAAUGCAUAGAAUUUAUUACUUAUUUGAGGUUUUUGAUGUAUCUUCUGGACUAUGGAUUGGUUGGCUUUAAAUUUUGGGAUUUUAUACUAUUUUUUAUGGGUUUUUUUUUAAAUUACAACUCCACAAAACACGGUUUUUUUCUAAAAAAACUAAGGAUUUUCGUAAAUAGAAACGAUUUUCCCUAAAUUAAUUGGUUACAAAAGUUUCCGCUAAGAGACAAAUUUUAAAGCAAAUCAACAAGUUUUUUUUUCUGAAUUAAAUAAAAGCUAACUUACUGUAACGAUUUUUAAACUCGACAAUCUUGUCUUCAAAUCCCUUUCCAUGUGACAUCGCCAGAUUCGGCCAUAACGUCUAGGCCGAGUUUGGGGUGUUACAAAAUUAAUCAUACUUGAUUGGAUUAUGAGAGUGAAUUUUAAUGAAAGAUAAUAUGUGAAGAAAGAAGAGAAAUAAAAGGGAAAUUGUACCAAAAUAUAAAAAUAGAAAAACAAUGGCAGAUUGCUUCAAAUGCAAUAUACGCAAGAAUGUGCUAAAUUGUCUUUUUAAAUCCAAAGUGUGUAUUCAUGCCACAAUUAAAAACCUUUAUAUACCGAUCCCAGAGAAUCAAUUUCACAUGAUUUUACUCCUAGAAUCAUGCUUAACAAGCAACAACUAAAUCAAAAUUUUCUAAAUAUAGAAUUUGUCAAAGUAAAAAAUCUAAUAUUUUUUAUCAACCCAAAAAUAAUUUUGCAACUUUCAAUUCAACCCCCCAACUUGUUUUUUUUUCAAUUUAGCUCGAUCUGUUUGUUUUUGAACUUCGGCACUCCAAUUGUGUCCAUGAUAAAAUUCAGGCAAUAAAUCAUAAGUUUAGUAGAAUUCUAUUAAAAAGUUUACCAAAAUUGGGUAUAUUAAAUAUAUAAAAUUAGGUUGCUAUCAGAUUUGGAACUAAUUAAUAAUAACAUAUGAAAUAUGUAUUAUAUUAAAAUAAAAAUUAGAAUAAAUUGUGAGUAAAACGAAAUCUAAACAAAAAAACACAUCAGAUUAAAAAUACUAAAUGAAUACAAUUGUUUAUCAUUGUUUUGUCUUCAAUCCUGAGUUGGUGUUGUGUUUAUUUGUGACACUAAAUCAAUAACAUUUUUUAAUAAAUAAAAAAUUAGAAUACAUAUAUACUUAUUAAAGUUUAAAGUGAAAAGUAAAAAGUAAAAAUUGCUUUAGUUCAAAAGUAAAUGAAAAAUAUUUAUAUGCAUGGUGUCCUUAGUUCAAAUCUUGUAAUGGAUAAUUUUUUAUUGAUUUAUAAAUAUAUGAAAAGACGAAAAUACCCUCAUAAUCAUAUAUCUUACUUUGCAAAUAAAAUCUUGAAUAUAUUGUUGAAUGGCUAAAUUGUAUGAGAAAUAAAAGCAAUUAUCAUUCAAUAGAAUCCACUAUCAAUUUAAAAACAAAACAAAACCAAAUUAGUAAUAUUAUCAAGUUGAGUUUCAUGUCUUUGAAGCACAUCUAGAACUGAUAUAACAGAAGCUUAUGAAAUUGAGCUUGAUGCCAUUUUUUAGUAUCAAGAAUACAAAAUAUACCACAAAAUUUUAUUACAUUUAAAUUAGUAAUAUUAUUCACGUCUUACAAACAUCAUAUGUAAGAACAACUAUAUUUUUUUGCAGGAAGCCGACUAGUAUAUUUAAUUUCAACUUGUAACAUGUAAUUAGGCAUUCUUAUACCAUACUUUCCCAUUAUUAUGCUGCUGCUGCUGCUGAUGUUGUUGUUACAAUUGAGCACCAAGAUGACUGCAAAACUUGUUAGUAAUGUCCAGAAUGAAUGGAGGACAUGGCAGAUUAGUGAAUUAUUACAGAUUUAAAGAAAAAUCAAAUUGUAAAUCAGCUGAUAGAUACAACUGCUGAGAAUCAAAUACCCAAAAUGCCAACUAUAAUGGCAGAAGCAAAGGAAAAUUAAAAAAAGAAGGGAUUCCUUACUUAAUACUUCUGCCUUUCUACCCACAACAUUCUUUCUUCUUUCACAAAAUUUCAACCAUCCACUCUACCUACUUUUCUUUCAUUUGCUUCUUUCAUUACAUGCUUUUCUUUGCUUAAUAGUUCUGCCUUUCUACCCACAACAUUCUUUUUUCUUCACUGUUUUUAUUUUGUUUUCAUCUCCAAGGUCUAUCACCAAAUUUCAAGCAUCCCGUCAAAGGUAAUUUUCUUUCAUUUGCGUCAUUCAUGACAUGCUUUUCUUUGCUUCAUUCAUGACUAUGCAAUGAUUGUUUUUUAUUAUCUGCUAGCUUUGUAAAAUAGUCAAGUCAACUUCACUGCUUCAUUUUCAGUUCCAAUCUCUCGACACAUUUCAGCCACUAAGUCAGGUAAAAAGGUAAUGAUUUCCUCUACUGAUUAUCAACAGUUUUAGAUUUUAAGACAGUAUAGGAUGACCGGCAAACAUAAUCUAGCAUAGAUAGGAAUCUCAAACUGUUGAACAUUUUAGCUCUUAAUAUUCCGUAAUGAACUGUUGCACACUUGAAUCUAGCAUUUUAUAUACAUUGAGAGGUUAACUCUGGUGACCAGAUUUUCAUCAUGUUUCUGUCUGCCACCUAUCCAUACCUCCAUCUAAUAAAGGCCAUUGCAUUUAUGCUUCCUUUUCAUGCUUACACUAACAUAUAAAAAAUUAUUCAAAAAUCCAAUACACUAACAUAUAUGAUUGCGUUGCAAGGGCAGAGCAAUGGAAUACGUAGAGCCUGUUGUUGGCAUUGCAAAUUGUCUUGGACCUUCUAUUUGUAAAUACUUGAAAUAUCAUAGAAAGCUGAAUGAUUAUGUGAGAAACUUCGAGAGGAUCAGAGAUGAAUUGCAUUGUAAAAUGGAAGACGUAGAGAUGCAAUUGAAAGCAGAGCUUCUUUCUCCUGGGGGAAGAUACCAAAGCAGGGAGUUGAAAAUUGGUUGAAAGAUGCAAAAGAGAUGAUUGCGGAAGCACAGGAUGUGGAAAAUAAAGUCAGAAAUGGGAGAUAUCUCUGUCGUGCUUGGAACGGAAAGCUGGUUGAUGAAAAGACUCGAGAAAUGAAGGAGUUUCUUGAUAAAGCUCUUAAUGCCUCUGAAGGUCUUGCCAUGGUUGGUCCAAGUACUGGGUUGCCACUGCCAACAUCAGAACUAGUUGGGGAGGAAGCUGCCAAAGAAGAGAUUUGGGCAUGUUUGAUGCAAAAGGAGUUAAAAAAGAUUGGGGUUUGGGGGAUGGGCGGUGUGGGUAAAACCACGAUCAUGAAGCACAUCCACAAUGAUCUUUUGAAAGAACAAAGAUUCAAAAGAGUAAUCUGGGUUACCAUAUCAAAGGAGUUCAAUGUAAUGAAGGUACAAGAUAAUAUUGCAAGUGCGUUAGAGGCAAAGGAAUAUUUAGACAAAGAAGAGGACAAGCUCAGACGAGCAGCAAUCUUGUCAGAAAUGCUGAAGAAAGAAGGAAAGCAUGUUCUAAUCCUAGAUGAUGUGUGGGAUGAAGUCUCUCUAGAAGAAGUUGGGAUCCCUGAGCCGAGUGACAGCAAUGGCUGCAAGUUGGUGUUGACAACCCGUUCGGAGCAUGUCUGUAAGUAUAUGGGUUGCACGGUGAUAAAAGUGAAGCCCCUUUCAGCACAACAGGCAUUGACAUUAUUCUUGAGUAAAGUUGGGCCUAAGAUAGUGCAAAAUCAAACUAUAAUGCCUACUCUAAAGCUUGUUGUCAAGGAAUGUGCGGGUCUACCUCUUACAAUUAUCGUCGUAGCUGGUACAUUGAAAGGAGAAGAGGACCCUCUUAUUUGGAAAAACGCACUCAGGGAAUUGAAAGAGAGAAUAGAAAAAGUGGAAGGAGUGGAAGCUAAAGUGAUAGAGCGUUUGAAAUUUAGCUUCGAUCACUUAAAGGAUGAGAAAGUGAAGUCUUGUUUCUUACAUUGCGCAUUAUAUCCCGAAGAUUUUCAAAUUGAAAAGGAUGAACUAAUUGAGUGCUGGAUUGACGAGGGAUUCAUAGAUGAUAUGGGUACAAGACAAGAAAUGAAUGACAAGGGUCAAGUUAUUUUGAAGAAGUUGGAAGAUAAUUGCUUGUUGGAAAAUGUCUCGCGUAAAAGAGUAAAAAUGCAUGAUACAGUGAGAGAGAUGGCAUUGUCGAUCACAAGAAUGAAUCCUCGAUAUAUGAUACAAGCAGGUUUGCAAUUAGAAGAGUUACCAGAAAAGGAGCAAUGGAGUCCGGAUAUUGAGAAAGUGUCACUUAUGUAUAACUCCAUAUCAGAAAUUUCCAUAGAUGUGCUGCCCACAAAAUGUCAACUGCUCACAACCUUGUUAUUGCAGCAUAACCCUAUAAAGAAGAUUCCAUAUUCUUUCUUCAUAAACAUGCCUUGUCUUUGUGUCCUAAAUUUGUCCUAUACAGAGAUCGAGAGUUUACCAAAUUCCAUCUCUGAACUAAAGAACCUCACAACAUUGUUGCUUUGUUGUUGUUAUGAAUUAAGAGAUCUACCAUGUCUUUCGAUGCUUCAAGAAUUGAAGAAGUUGGAUCUAAGUUGGACUAAAAUUGAGGAAGUCCCUGAAGGCAUGGAUAUGUUGAUAAAGCUAAGAUAUCUUGAUCUUAGAGUGCGCACUCUGAAAGAGAUACCCGCUGGACUUUUACCAAAACUCGUUCACCUUCAGCACUUGGGUUUUUAUGAGAACAAUGAAAAAACAAGUCUAAAAGCAGAGGAGUUGGAACCAUUGAAGAAGUUGGAGUACUUUACCGGACGUUUCGAAGACAUCAAUGAAUUCAAUAAGUUCAUUUCCUCAAUGCAACAAAGUAAGAAAAAUCUCAUCAAGUACCAUUUACAGGUGGGCUCAUCUUUUAUGCUUGCUACAAUAGAUAAAACAGUAACAAUUGGAGGAGUCCAGAAUUGGGAAGGUGAGUCAAUUAUGCACCCAAUUGAAAUUCAACAGUUGAAUAUUUCAAGUUGCAACUAUUUGAGAAACUUAGUCGAUGAUAAUUCUUCCUUCAAAAAUGUGAUUGGCUUGAGGGUUUGGGUUUGUGAAGGGAUAGAGUGUGUUGUUUCCCUGUCCUCUUUUGCCUCUUCUUCCACUCAUCCAUUUCAAAGCCUCGAGGUGUUAGAUCUUGGAGAUCUGCCAAAAUUGAGUGCCCUUAUUAUGAAAGAUACAGGAAUUCGUUCAGCAACAACAUCAACAUCGGCUCCGUCUGCCACAUUUUCUCAUCUUAAGGAAAUUAGGAUAUACAAAUGCUCAGGUAUGAAGACGUUGCUUCCACAUUGGUUGCUUCCAAACCUCCAAAACCUGGAACUAAUUUCUGUGGCAGAUUAUGAUGAGUUAGUAGAAAUAUUGGGAGCAGCAACAUCGGAAGUUGAAGAAAAAGGGAGUGAUGCAUUAAUCAAAUUCCAUCUUCCCAAAUUGAGACAGUUGACACUCUGGGAAUUACCAAAUUUGAAGAUCAUAUGCAGCAAAAGUGGAGUGAUGGUUUGUGAUUCUCUCCAACUUAUCCAUAUUACUAGAUGUGAUAAACUGAAGAGAAUUCCUCCAUUUGUUCCCCUUGUUGGCAAUGGGCAGCCAUUUGCAUAUGCUCCACCUUCUCGUACCAUCACGUCAAGGAAAGAAUGGUGGGAAUCGUUGGAGUGGGAUGACCAUCCAAACUUUAAAAAUGUUCUUCAACCCCUUUGGUGGUGAUGUUGAAGAGAAAGAUAAAAGGGUUUGUAGGAAAGGAGGAAGGAUAGUGCAAAAGAGAGGAGAAAAGGAAUGAUGGAAGGAAGAGGUUAAGAGACACCACAUUGUAAACAUUGUCCCUCUCUUACCAUUCCUUCUUUUCUCUUUUUCUUAUAAUGUACAAGCUGAAGAGGUAAGAAAACAAAUAAAUUUGCUUCAUAUUUUUUCUAUGUUUGUUUUGAAAGAAAGAGAAAUAUGGUAGGGUUUAAAAAUAAAAUAUAAUUUAAAUAUCAAUUGAUAAAUUAAGUCUAUUCAAAAUAAUGGUAUUUUAGGUAGCAAAGGUAUAGAAAAUUUAAAGUGAUAAAUUACCUUUUUUUUCAUUAUAAAUAAAUACCAUAAUUUCUUUUUAUGCUGAAAAUUUUUUUGAAAAUUUAUCAAUUUAUAUUGUUUUUUACAAAUAGAAAGGAAAACGCGUCUUAUAGGACAUGUUUUCUCCGAUCUUCCAGAGAAAACAUGAGACACGUUUUAUUCUCUUUCCUAAAAAGCGCUUUGUAGGAGCAACUAAGGACAAUUAAUCACGACGUUCAUGUGUUUCGUCAAUUGUGCAUAAUUUUGAUUGGUAAAAUAACACAUUUAGCCCUUGAUGUUUACAUAUUUUGUUAGUUUGGUCUUGAUUCUAAAAAAAAUUCAACAAAUUCAGUCUCAACAUUUACACAUAUACAAAAAUAUGACAAGCUAAAUUUGUUAUCAUAUCAAUCAAAUUUAUGUAAAAUUGAUGAAAAACAUUAAUAUUGUGAUUAAUUGCUCACUUUUGAAAUUGGUAGGGAUUAAAUUGCUUCGAUUUGUUUAGAGGGCCCAAGUUGCCGAAUAUCAAAAUUGAAAGGGACUAGAGAGGUAGUUUUACCUAGUUUAAUAAUUAAAUGACAUGUUAAAUCUUAUGUGACAUAAUUUAAAAUGAAAAUUAAAAAAAAAAGGAAGAUUGUAAAAAUAGUUGUUAUAAAAAUCAUGGUUUUGAAGUUUUUACAAAUUUUUUAUUGUUCAUUUUUUUUUAAUUUCAGUUUUAUUUAAUUUUAGUUUGUUUAAAAUUUUCAUUUUAAAAUUAGCUAUAUAAAAUUUAACGUGUCAUUUAAUGAUUUUAAUAGUAAAAUGACAUGAUUAAUAUAACAUCAAUAGUUUAGAAAUGUAAUUAGAUAAGUUUGAAGUUUGAAAAUAGAUUUAAAAUAAUGGUCAUAAUUUAGGGGUGGUUGAUUUAAUUAACUCAUUUCUAAUGGUACUAAUAAUUAAGUCUGCUAUAGGACAAAGUGAAAAAGUGGAAAGCAGAGUUAAAAUAUGACUCAAAGACUCACCUUUUUCUAAGUUUGCCAUUACCAAACGAUGAAGCAAAAGAAAUGAAGGGCCAUUACCAGAAUUUCAUCAUGUUUCUGUCUGCCACCAAUCCAUAGCUCCAUCUAAUAAACGCCAUAGCUCCAUCUAAUAAACGCCAUUGCUUGAAACUUGCAUUCAUGUUUCACUUGCAAUCAUUUUCGUGUCCACCUUCAACCAUCAGCCAUCACUCACCAUUGCUUAAGCUAUUUUGCAUUUUAGACCAUAAAUUACUGAGUUGAAAACUAUAGUGUCGUUCUGCAGCCUUUUUUGGUCCAGGCAGGGCAGGCUGGGCUCAAAAAUUUGGGUCGACCUUGAAUAAAACAUUUAAUCCCAUAUUUCAUAUUAGGCCAAGCUUGAGCAAAAAUAACAGUUAGCAAUACCUUGUCUAAGCCUGAGCCAAAUCCGGCCCAUGAGAUAAAGCAUUCAGAUUGAACUACCGGUAACAUUAUGAGUUUUUGGUCCAUCCUUCAUGGGGAUGCAAAGAACAAAAUUAACUAACUUUUGCCACUAUAGAAUGUUUGUUCAACUAAAUAAAAUAAAGAUUGCCCUAUAACUCUAGUUCCAUUCAAGUAAAAACUUCUUCAGGCAAGAUAAUAGUAACAUAAUGCUAAAAGAACCAGCACAACCACCCCAGCAGGAGCUGCCCAUAUCCAAUAGUUCAUCGACUUGGUUCUUUUGGUUCGAUUCCUGUACCUACUAGUAUUCUCCUUUAGUACUUUACCCUUCAUUGAAACGGUAGCAGGAACAGGUGCAUCAGUAUUAACAUCGACCUUCUCGGGUUCUGAAUCUUGUGCCACAGCUUCAAUCAGUUCUUCGAGAUUCACAGCAUUUGUCGAUCCUGCCACCUUCUUCUUAGCUCUCUUUUCACGCUCCUGAAAAAAAGAUCGAAAGAGUUUCAGUUUCAACCCACAAACUAAUAACUGAUAAAGCGAAACUAGAUAAGGAAGCAAAUGAUUUCCUUGAGCUUCUUUUCAGCUUCCAUUUAAGCUCUUCUAGCUGCUUUGGCUGCUGCUUUUUCAGCCAACUUCUUUUUUCUUUCCAUAGCUUACUUUGCUUUUGCUAUUUCCUCUUCUCUCUUCAAUUCUUUCAGUUUUGCUGCAUCGACUUCCUUGUUCUUUUGCAAUUUUUCGGAUACCAAAAUUUCCUCUGCUACAACACUAAUAUCUGACAAAGGAUUCGACUCCAUUGCUAUAGUCUCGACAUGUUUUGGGGCCUUUUUUGCUAGUUUCGUAUCUGUUUGGGGACUUGAUUUGGCCUCUUCCUUUGGUUAUCUUACACUAGGUCUCAGAAUUGUUUCGGUUUCAGAAUCCACUAGUUUCUCGGGUGCAACCAGUGGUUUCUCAUCAAGAUUCCUUAUUCGACCAUCCCGACUCAAUAGCCGACUGUCCAGGGAUGGCAAAAUUUUUUUCUCAUAAUCAUCCCUAAAGGCUUUAUUGCCAUUCCAGAGAGCCAUAACCUUCUCAACCUAAAAUUAUAAAGCAAAUGAGAUACAUUGGAAGUAACAUUAACAAGCAGUCUCAACAAACCUCCACAAUUGAUAACUCCUCAAGAGCCUUUAUAUCUUUCUGUGCAGCAAGUAAUUUGGCGUUGUGUACAAUGGUACGACUCUGGUAAAAGUGAGAAUUCUGAAAUUUUGAGAAAGAAAGUAAUUAAAAUGAUUCAUUAGUAACAUCAUGCACAGGAAUAUUGGAAGAAGACAUAAUAUGUAUCAUUUAAUAUCUUAAGUGAUACUAGUUAUCCAUGCAUAAAUGAAAAUGUUCCGACAUGGUCAAGUAUUAUACGAAACAGAUAUCUUAAGAGUUGAAGCAAAGAAAAGGCGAUACCCCCUGAUCACUUUGUUUCCUCAACUCCUAAAUGUUUUCAAAAGCUUUGUGCCUCUUCAGGGUCACAGCUUUCAGCUCAUUUUGUAAAGUGUUGAAUGUAGUUCCCAUGCAAGAUGCUUCCCAUGCAAAGGUGGCCAUGCAAGAAACAAAGGAGCAGCAAUCAGUCGAGCCACGGUGUGCAGCAACUGGAGCUGAAGCUGUCGAACCACUUGCUGUUUUUAGUUGCAUUUUGAUUAUUUUGUAAUCUAGUUCAUGUUGAACUAAGUAGGUGGAUGUUUUGAUGUAAUUAGGUGCUGAAUGACAAGUUUAGGUGACUUGUUAUGAGUGUUCAAACAAGUUUACCAAGUUACUAGGCAAAUUAGUGGUGUUAGGUAUAUUAUUAGGUGAUAACUUGUUUGUUUUGUUUUGUUAACUCUUAUAUGUAUUGGCAUUAUGCCUCUUUUAAUAGUUAAUGAAAAUUUAGCUCAUUUUUAUUCAAAUUUUAUCUCUUUCAUUCUCUAUUUUCUGUUGCAAAUUUUUCUUUCUUCUUCUGUUGUUUUUGCUGCAAGCCUCGAGGCUUGCUGUCCAAGCAAAGCUGAAAUCAGCUUGCUGCUGCCUCUUGCACCAACAAUUGGUAUCUAGAGCUCUUAUCUUAGUGGACCUGUUGCUUCAAACCAAGGAAUCUGAUGGCUUCUUCAGGAUUUUCACCAGCAGCCCCACUAGUCUUCAAUGGAGAAGGCUUCCACAUAUGGCUGGUAAAGAUGAAGACUUACCUGCAGGCCUUUGAUCUGUGGGAAGUUGUCAACACAGAUUCUGAGCCAGCACCACUGAGGGCCAAUCCCACAGUAGCUCAGAUCAGGCAACAUGCUGAUGAGAGGACCAAAAGGCAUAAAGCCAUGUCCUGCAUUCAGAACUGUGUGUCAGAUGUCAUCUUCACCAGAAUUAUGGCCUGUGAGACUCCAAAACAGGCCUGGGACAAGCUUAAGGAGGAGUUUCAAGGCACUGAGAGGACAAGGCAACAGCAGCUGUUGAAUUUGAGAAGGGAUUUCGAGAAUCUGAAGAUGAAGGAAGAAGAAACAGUGAAGCAGUAUGCAGAUAGAACCAUGGCAAUGGUUAACAGUAUAAGGCUCCUUGGUGAGCACUUUGAUGAGGCAGGAAUAGUGGAGAAAGUCCUCUCCACUUUGCCUGAGAGAUAUGAGGCCAAAAUAUCCUCUCUAUAGGACUCAAGAGAUCUGGCUAGCAUCUCUUUGACUGAACUGAUUAACACCUUCUAUGCUUAGGAACAAAGGAGAGCCAGUAGAGCUGAAGAUCACCAGGAAGGUGCAUUUCAAGCCAAGGCAAGAGAGGCCUCGAGCACCAAUGCUCAAAGAGGCAAAAAGCCUUGGAAAAGUAGGCCCAAGUCUAAUGCUGCAAGGAGCAAUGACCAGCCCUGCAGACAUUGCAAGAGGCCAGGCCAUCCAGAAGACAGAUGUUGGUUCAGGCCAAAUGCAGUAUGUCAACACUACAAGAAGAAAGGCCAUGUUGAAAGGGUUUGCAAAAAAAAAACCAAGCCGAGGCAGAGUCAAUAUCAACAACCAAAGGUUGAAGCUCGAGUAGCUGAGGACAGUAGUGACCAAGAAGAGCAGGUCUUUGCUGUUUCUUGCUUAGCUGCUGAGAAAAAAUGUUCAAAAGGCUGGUUAUUGGACAGUGGUUGCACUAACCACAUGUCACCAGAUGCUUCCUUGUUUAAAAUCUUGGAUAGAAGUUGCAAAACCAAUGUCAAGGUUGGAAAUGGUCAGUUCAUAAGGGAUGAAGGAAGAGGAGAGGUGCUGAUAUGUACUCCUACAGGCAAAAAGGUCAUUCCAAAUGUGCUUUUGGUACCUGAAAUUGACGGAAACCUUCUCAGCAUAACUCAACUGCUUGAGAAGGGCUAUUCCGUUGUGUUCAAGGAUAAAAAGUGUCAGAUUGCUGAUCUAAGUGGAUCAAGCCUUAUGACAGUCACAAUGACUGAUAAAUGCUUUGAAGUUCAUUGGCCAAAUGACUCAAAGUCAGCAUACACAGCCUCUGUUGAUGAUUCCAAGCUUUGGCAUCAAAGGCUCGGGCAUGCCAACUUUAAAUCAAUGGCUCGAAUGGCCAAAGAGGGCUUGGCAGAGAACUUCACCGCUCAGUGGAGCAUGAUGAUGUGUGUGAAGUGUGCCAAAUGGGAAAACAGGAAAGACUGCCAUUUCCCACAAAUUCAGCAUGGAGAGCCAUUGAAAAACUGCAGCUGGUGCACUCUGAUGUAUGUGGCCCAAUGAGGACUGAAUCACUCAGCAAAAACAGGUAUUUCAUCCUCUUCAUUUAUGAUUUUACAAGGUUUUGCUGGAUUUUUUUCUUGAAACACAAGUCUGAGGUAGCUCAAGUGUUUGUGAAGUUUAAAAUGGCCGUUGAGACAGAAACAGGUUGCAAGCUGAAAUCGAUAAGGUCAGACAAUGGCACUGAGUACACUUCAGCUCAGUUUCAAGCCAUUUGCAAUGAUGCUGGCAUCAAACACCAGCUUACAAAUGUCUACACACCUCAGCAGAAUGGGGUAUCUGAAAUAAAGAACAGAAGUCUGAUGGAUAUGGCCAGGUGUCUGUUGUUUGAGAAGAAACUGCCCAAGAUCAUGUGGGCUGAGGCAGUAAACACUGCUGUCUACCUUCAAAAUAGGCUUCCUACCAAAGCUCUUGCUUCCAAGACACCUUUCGAGGCUUGGUUUGGAUUCAAGCCUUCCUUAGCACACCUGAAUGUGUUUGAUUGCCUGUGUUAUGCACAAAUACCAGCAGCAAAGAGGGACAAGCUCUCUGAAAGGGCUCAACCCGGUGUUCUAGUGGGCUAUAGCUUAGUCAAGAAGGGCUACAGGGUUCUGGAUCCCUUGACAAGCAAAGUCCAGGUAAGCAGAGAUGUCAUCUUUAAUGAAAAGGCUUGCUGGAAUUGGGAAAAGAGUGAACCAGAAGCUAUUUUAGAAGACCUGGUGCCUAAUCAAGCUGAACUCGAGCAGCUUGGUCCUGAGAUGGAUGUUGAUGAUGUGCCUGUGAGAGGUACAAGGCCUCUAGAUGAGAUUUAUGAAAGGGCACAGGUUGCUAUAGCAGAACCUAGCAGUUUUGAAGAAGCUGAGGCAAAUGAAGGCUGGAAACAGGCCAUGGUUGAUGAAAUCAACAUGAUUCAAAAGAAGUAGACAUGGGAGCUAGUUGACAAGCCUGUUGGAAAAAAGACCAUUGGAGUAAAAUGGGUCUAUCGAGCAAAACAAAAUGCUGAUGGCAGUCUAAACAAGCUAAAAGCCAGGCUUGUUGUCAAAGGAUUUAGCCAAAGGUAUGGUAUGGACUACCUAGAGACUUUUGCACCAGUAGCCAGGCUUGACAUAGUCAGAAUGAUAGUUGCCUUAGCUGCUCAACAUCAGUGGACCAUUCAUCAGCUUAAUGUGAAGUCUGCAUUUCUCAAUGGUUUCCUGGAAGAAAAGAUCUACAUCGAGAAGCCUCAAGGGUUUGUGAUCACUGGCAAAGAACACAUGGUGUACAGGCUAAAAAAGGCCUUGCAUGGCCUGAAGCAGGCUCCUCGAGCCUGGUAUGCUCGAAUUGAUUCCUACUUGCUCAGUUUGGAGUUUGAGAGAAGUGCCAGUGAACCAACACUGUAUGUGAAGAAAAAUCAAGCUGAGACUCAGCUUAUCCUGUCACUCUAUGUUGAUGAUUUGUUGGUAACUGGAGGAGACAAGAACAUGUUGCAUGAUUUCAAGAGGAAAAUGAUGAAGAUGUUUGAGAUGUCUGAUCUAGGCAGAAUGAACUACUUCCUAGGAAUGGAAGUGAAGCAAACAGCAAAUGGAAUCUUCCUCAGCCAGAGUUCAUUUGCUAUGAAGGUCUUAAACAAGUUCUCGAUGAAGAACUGCAAGCCAACAAGCACACCAAUGGCUGUUGGAAUGAAGCUAUCGAAACAAGAAACUGGUGAACCAGUUUGUGAGACUAUGUACAAGAGUCUCAUUGGUAGUCUACUGUAUUUGACUGCAACAAGGCCCGAUAUCGUGUUUACAGUUAGUGUGCUAUCCAGAUACAUGAAUUGCUACAACAAUCAGCACUUUCAAGCAGCUAAAAGAGUACUGAGAUACAUCAAAGGCACCAUUGAUCAUGGUGUGUUGUUCAAAAGGGUUGAAAACAUGAAGUUAACAGGUUAUGUCGAUAGUGAUUGGGUUGGAUUGUGUGAUGACAUGAGAAGUACAUCCGGAUAUGCAUUCAGCCUUGCUGGAGCUUCAAGAAGUACAUCUGGCCUAAUGAAUCUUGAAUCUUUGAUCUCAUUGCAGCAUUAGCAAUAACUUUCUCGCGGGAUCCCUCCAGGUGUUUGAUUUCUUUAAGGAUUCGCUUCUCCUCACUCAACGAGAUGCUUUCAUGCUGAAUGCGAUAUUGCAAGCUAUGGAUCUGCAAUUCAUAAAUUCCAUUGAAGUGACUAAAGGAGAAAAAGAAAAGCAUUAACUGCGGCAGCAAACAAUGAAUAAAUCUAAAUGCAGUCAAAGUUUAUAGAAGUAUCAUACAAUAAAAUCGAGCUCUUCCUGAGAUGCACAUAAACUAAGUCGAUUAUUAACAUUUUUAUUAUUGCGAAGCUUGCCCAAAGCCUACUGCAGUGGUUCUAUUUCCUUUUUUUUCUCAUCUAAAAUCGUCUUAAAUUGCUCAAAAUCAACAUUCAGCGCUCCCACUUGCGAAAGCAUCUCUGAUCGUUCUGCCUGCAUUAGCAUAAAGAUAAUCACAAUUUAGCCAACUGACAGCGCCAUUAUUUUUUACUUCUUUCACAUUUUUUCUCAAAUUCUGAAGGAAACACAACAAUAACGAAUCAUUAUACCAAUAGCAUAUCUGUAAGUGUCAUUACUUUUCAAGGACAUAAAUUUCAAACAUUCAAAUAAAUACAAAUAGUAACAAUUUAGGGUCAAAAUGUAAAUUUUCAAUUUUUGUAUUUUUUUGAUUUGUUUAUUAUUAUUCUACUAUUAUUAAUAUAUCAUAAAAAUAAAAAAAAUAAAAACACUAAUGGGCUAAAACCCAAACAAGUCCAAAAUUAAACCCAAGUAUACAAUCACAACGGGCCCAAUCAUUUUGCCCAGCCCAAACCCGUAAUUUGGAAAAAAAAUUAAAACACGAAAUCUGAACCGGACAAAAUUUAGUGAUUACAAGUACCCCUCUUUGCUCAUCACUAUGAAACAGGAAUAGAGUAAAAACUUAAAAGCACUGAAUUUUGUUCUAUUAUCCAAUUGUUUUUUCAAAGGAACUUGACUCAUGAUGCAAUUUUGAAAGUAACGAUUACUUCGGAAAAAAAUCCACUUGACAACGAAUUGGAAAUUAAAAUACCUCGGCAAGUAAUAAAAACUGAAAUGGAUUUGGAUGGAACCAAAACUUUGAAAACAAAUAAAAGAGUGAAAUUUAAAAUACCUCGGCGUGCAACCCGGGGCUCAACUCACCUCUCGGAUUAUAAGUUGAUCUUUAAAAAACAACAAUUGAAAAUACGUUAGUGUGCGACCCUAGGCUCAACUCACUUCUCGGAUUAUGAGUUGAUUUUCAAAAAAUAGAAAUUAAAAAUACCUCAACGUGCGACCCGAGGCUCAACUCACCUAUCAGAUUAUGAGUUGAUUUUUGAAAAAUAGAAACUGAAAAAUACCUCAGCGUGCGACCCGAGGCUUAGCUCACCUCUCAGAUUAUGAGUUGAUUUUUGAAAAAUAGAAAUUGAAAAAUACCUCAACGUAUGACCUAAGGCUCAACUCACUUCUCGGAUUAUGAGUUGAUUUUUGAAAAAUAGAAAUUGAAAAUACAUCAGUGUAUGACCCGAGGCUCAACUAACUUAUCAAAUUAUGAGUUAAUUUUUGAAAAACAGAACUUGAAAAAUACCUCAACAUGCGACCUGAGGCUCGACUCACUUCUUGGAUUAUGAGUUUAUUUUUAAAAAAGAGAAAUUGAUAAAUACCUCAACGUGCGACCCAAGGCUCAACUCUCUUCUUGGAUUAUGAAUUGAUUUUUGACAAACAGAAAGGAAAUUAUUCUUGAAAGAGUCAGAGUUUCGAAAAAGAUUAUCAUGUGAAACUCAAAAGCCUUCUUUUUCAUUGAUUCAGUGUAGCUGCCACCAAAGUCUCUUGCUCUACUAGAAUGCCUGUAUAUGUCAUGUAUGAUGUUAUUAUGAUAUGCACGUGUUUGUCGUAAAUGUUUUUAUGCCUACAUGAUCAUGCCAUGCACCUGGACUGUUUGUCACGUGCCCUUUUUUGGUCAUGAUUUUCGUGAGGGUCCACAUUCAUUGCCUCAAUCCUUGACUUUUCUCUCAGAUUUUGUACUUCUCCUCAAGUUCUUGUCAUUAACCCACAUUUCUUCGUAUAUUGCCCUCUUGCCCCCUGUUAAACAUUGCUUUUGCUUCGAAGUCUUCGAUCUUUAAUACUAACACAUCGAGAUAUAUUUGAUGCAUAUGUAUCUAGAACAUUUAUAUCCUUCAACACCAUGCAGAACACUUCUUUCUCUAUAUUUAACAUUGAAAAAAAUAGAAGGCGGCAACCGAUAUUUCCCAUUCGAAAGUGCUUGGGGAUGAAGAAUUUGUCGAAUUCCCAUGUGGACUAAAUCAAGUCAACUCUGAAAAUUAUCUUUCGAUUUUCCAUUGACAUUCAAAAUUGUCCCGAUGAUGUUCUCGCAAACAUUUUUCUCAAUGUGCAUGACAUCAAGAUUGUAGCGUAAAAUGUGAUGCUCCUAAUAAGGCAACUCAAAAAAAUACUUCUUUUUUUCCACAAGUCUGUCUCAUUAGGAUCAUCCUCUUCAUCAGAUUCAUCAUUUGAUCUUCUAUUUCUUUGUGUGUUCGGCAGUUGGUUCAUCAGAUUUUAUUUUUUUACUUCUAUUUUUCCAGAAGUUUCGGUACUAAUUUACUUCUGUUGACUUCUGUUUUGUUUACUUUUGUUUUUUUACUUCUGUUUUUUCGGUACUAAUUUACUUCUGUCUUUUUUUUCCAGAAGUUUGCUUUGAAAUUGAGGAAAUUUAAUGUAUUUAUUCCUAUGUUUCCCUAAUUAGUUUUCUUAAAAAAAACAUCUCCAAUUGUUUAAAUUUUUGUAUGGUUAUGUUUUAGCUUUAUAGUUUAAUUAUUAUUUUUGAGUUUUAAAAAGGAGUUUUAAUUACCAUUUUAGCUUUAAAACCUCUAACUAUCGAUUUUAAUUAUCAUUUUUGCUUUAUAUGUUUCUAGCUCAAUUUGCACGUAACUUCUAGAAAUUUGAGUCAAAGAUCUCUUCACUUGAGGACUCGAGAGAUUUAUCAGCUAUCUCACUGUCUGACCUGAUAAACUCUUUGUUUGCACUUGAGCAAAGGAGAGCAAAUAGGCACGAAUAACAACCUGAAGGUGCUUUCCAAGCAAAAGCCAAUGUAGGCUCAAGUCCAAAUUUGAAAGGCAAGAAGCCCUGGCACAACAGAAGAGACAAACCAAGAAGAGAUGAAGGAAAAGGGGUGUUUCCACCAUGCACUCACUACAAGGAGCCAACACAUUCAGAGAGGUAUUGCUGGUAUAGGCCAGACAUUCAAUGCAAGAAAUAUAAACAGUUUGGCCAUGUGGAGAAAAUGUGCAAAGGCAAGGGAAAGGAGGAUGCUCAGCAACAAGCUCGACCUGCUGAGGACCUUCAAGCUUAGAAGGAGCAUGUGUUCACAGCAUCCUGUUUUGUCAGCACAACAAAGGCCAAAAGUGAUUGGUUAGUGGACAGUGGCUGCUCACACCACAUGGCAGCUGAUGAAAGGCUGUUUAAGGACCUAGACAGAAGCUUUACCUUGAAGAUCAGAAUUGGAGAUGGAAACUUGAUUGAAGCCAAAGGCAAGGGUAAUGUGUUAGUAAGCACUGGUUCAGGUAAUAAACUGAUUACUGAUGUGCUCUUUGUGCCUGAUAUAGAUCAGAUUUUUCUUAGUGUGGGCCAAUUAGUGGAAAAAAGUUAUACCUUAGUCUUUAGAAAUGGUUGUUACAUUGUUCAAGACUCACUUGGUCAGGAACUGGUUACUGUAGCUAUGAAUGAUAGAUGUUUUAUGUUGGAUGUAAGUCAAGUAGAGAGAAAGGCUUACACCAGCCUUGCUGGUAGCACUGAUCUCUAGCAUAGGAGAUUAGGCCAUGCUAAUUUCAGGUCUUUUGAUCUAUUGCAUAGGCUAAAUUUGGUUAAUGACAUGUCUAAAAUUGAAGUUAGUGGCACUGUUUGUGGGGUUUGCCAGCUUGGUAAGCAGGCUAGAUUGCCUUUUCCUACUGAUAAUGCUUGGAGAGCUCAGGAGAGGCUCGAAUUGGUGUAUUCUAAUGUCUGUGGUCCUAUGAAAACUCCUUCAAUAAGUGACAACAAGUAAUUUGUUCUGUUUAUAGAUGACUUAACAAGAUUUUGUUGGGUUUAUUUUUUGAGGCAGAAGUCAGAUGUGUUUAAGACAUUUUGCAAAUUUAAGCCACUUGUUGAGAACCAAUCUAGUUGCAGAAUUAGAGCCUUGAGGACUGACAAUGGCUUUGAAUAUCUUUCUGAUAGAUUUCAGAAGUUGUGUGAAAGUGCUGGGAUUCAUCAUCAACUCACUACUGUCUAUACUCCUCAACAAAAUGGAGUAUGUGAGAGGAAGAACAGAACUGCGCUUGAUAUGGCCAGAUGUAUGUUAUUUCAGAGCAAGCUUCCAAACCAAUUCUGGGUUGAGGCAGUCAACACCUCAGUAUAUCUGCUCAACAGGUUGCCAACUCGAGCAGUCAAAGACAAAGCUCCUUUGAAGGAUUGGCAUGGACUCAAACCAGUGGUAACACACUUGAAAGUAUUUGGUUAUGUGUGCUAUGUUCAUGUUCCAGUGGAAAAGAGAACCAAGCUUGAAAGUAGAGAUGUUCAGGAAUUUUUGUUGGCUAUAGUAGUAACAAGAAGGGCUACAGGGUGUUUGAUCCAUCAACAAAGAAGGUACUGUCAGCAAAGAUGUGAAGUUUGAUAAAGAGAGGGUAUGGAGCUAGAAUGGUGUUGAAGCAGGCUUGCUUGAGGAAAAUCAGUUGGACUUGGUUACUGAACCUACGGAAGAGGGAUCAAAUCUUGAUGCUGUUGAUGAUGCACUAGUAAAAGGCACCAGAACCUUAGCUGACAUUUACCAAAGGUGCAAUGUUGCAGUAGUAGAGCCUACUGGCUAUGAAGAGGCUGUCAAGGAUAAGAACUGGAAGAAGGCUAUGGAAGCAGAAUUGGAGAUGAUCAACAAGAAUUAGACUUGGGAAUUGGUGAACAGGCCAGACCACAAGAAAGUCAUAGGUGUUAAGUGGGUGUUUAGAUCCAAAUACAAUGCUGAUGGCUCAUUGAACAAGCACAAGGCCAGGCUUGUGGUGAAAGGCUACAGUUAGCAGUAUGGAGUUAAUAUCAUGGAGACAUUUGCUCUAGUAGCAAGAUUGGAUACAAUGAAGCUUCUAUUUGCUUUAACUACUUAGAAACAGUAGAAGGUUCACCAAUUGGAUGUAAAAUGAGCAUUUCUGAAUGGCUUUCUCAAUGAGGAGAUUUUCAUCGAGCAACCAGAUGGAUUUAAAGUUGCUAGAGAGGAAGACAAGGUGUACAGGCUGAGAAAGGCACUUUAUGGCCUAAAGCAGACACCAAGGGCCUGGUAUGAUAGGGUUGACACCUACCUGUCUAAGCUCGGGUUUGAGAAAAGUGUUAGUGAAGCUACACUUUAUGUGAAGAAGUCAGAAUAUGAGACAUUGCUGAUUGUUUCUCUUUAUGUGGAUGACUUGCUUGUAACAUGAAGCAAGAGUGAGCUCAUUGAUGAAUUCAAAGUCCAAAUGCAACAAGUAUUUGAAAUGACUGACUUGGGGAUCAUGACUUACUUCCUUGGUAUGGAAGUGCAUCAGUCUGAUCGAGGCAUUUUCAUCAGCUAGCAUACUUUUACCUUGAAGAUUCUUGCUAAGUUUUGCAUGCAAAACUGUAAAACAGUCAGCACACCUGUUGCUCAAGGUGAGAAACUGACUAGUAAUGGAGACAAGGAAAGGGUUGAUGAAAGACACUAUCGAAGCCUAGUUGGUUGUUUGCUAUAUCUAACAGCAGCUAGACCAGAUAUUAUGUUUGGUGUCAGUUUGUUAUCAAGAUUUAUGCACUGCUGUAAUGAGGCUCACUUGAAAGCAGCAAAGAGGGUUUUUAGAUACAUUAAAGGGGCUGCAAAUUAUGGUGUGAUAUUUGAAAGUGGAAUAGAGCUAAAACUUGAAGGAUAUUCAAACAGUGACUGGGCAGGUUCUCUUGAUGACAUGAAGAGUACCUCUGGCUACUUUUUCACACUUGGAUUGAGUGUGUUUUGUUGGAGUUCGAAGAAGCAACAGACUGUUGCUCAGUCCACAGCUGAAGCAGAGUACAUUGCAGCUGUAGCAACUGUUAACCAGGCCAUAUGGCUCAGGAAACUCCUUCAAGAUCUCAAUGAGAAUCAAGUUGAAGCAACUGAAAUUUGGGUGGACAAUCAAUCGGCAGUUGCUAUAGCUAAAAACCCUGUGUUUCAUGGAAAGACUAAGCACUUUAAGAUUAAACUUCAUUUUGUUCGAGAGGCUGAACAAACAAGAGAAGUCAGCCUUGUUCAUUGUAUCCCAGGGGCUCAAUUGGCAGACAUAUUGACUAAUCCAUUAGCAGCUACUCGAUUUGAAGCCUUGAGAAAUGGAAUUGGUAUGUGUUGCAUACAGUCCAAGGAGGAGUGUUGAAAGUUGGCCUGUAAUGCAACAUGGAACCAGUAGCUAACUAUCAUCGAGUUCAGCAACAGCAAAGCAACAUGAAGUGCAGUAUUUGAGUUUGACCGAAUACAACAGUAGCUUAGUUCAUUUUGUUUCAAUGUAAACUUGUUUAGUUACAAAUUUGUGUAAGAAAGUUAGUAGGAUUAGUCUUUGAUUAGUCCUUGAUGUAAUGGCUGAUUGGUCAGCUACUUUUGUGUAUGAUUUUAGCUAUAAUCUAGUCAUGUAUUAGUGGGGGCAGUUAAGCCAUUAGGUAACUGUCAAGUUGAUAUUUUUUGUAACUCCAAUAUAUUUCAAAAUUUGAAUAAAAAAUACUUGUUGUUCAGUUACAUUUUUCUGAGUGUUCAAGCUUGCUUACUGUUUUCUUUUCUUUUGCUUCGAUUUCCAUUGGUUUUUUCUUUGCAAAUUGGUUCUUUUGCUAUUGCCAAACUUCCAACAAGUGUGUUGUUUCCUUGUCCUCUUUUGCCUCUUCUUCCACUCAUCCAUUUCAGAGCCUCGAGAUGUUGGAUCUUAAACAUCUGCCAAAGUUGAGUGCCCUUAUUAUGAAAGAUGCAGGAAUUCGUUCAGCAACAACAUCAACAAUGGCUCCGUCUACCACCUUUUCCCAUCUUAAGAAAAUUUAUGUAGUAAGAUGCUCAAGUAUGAAGACGUUGCUUCCACAUUGGUUGCUUCCAAACAUCUAAAACUGGAAGAAAUUUGGGUGUUAGAAUGUGAUGAGAUAGUAGAAAUAUUGGGAGCAGCAACAUCAGAAGUUGAAGAAAAAGGGAGUGAUGCAUUAAUCAAAUUCCAUCUUCCCAAAUUGAGACUACUGACAUUCUGGGAAUUACCAAAUUUGAAGAGCAUAUGCAGCAAAAGUGGACUGAUGGUUUGUGAUUCUCUCCAAGUUAUCGAAGUUUUUAGAGAUUGUGAUAAACUGAAGAGAAUUCCUUCAUUUGUUCCCCUUGUUGGCAAUGGGCAACCAUAUGCGUAUGCUUCACCUUAUCUUACCAUCUUCUCAAGCACAUAAUGGUGGGAAUUGUUGGAGUGGGACGACCAUCCAAACUUUAAAAAUGUUCUUCGCUUCAACCCCGUGGAGGAUAAGAGGUAUGAACCAUUUAUGGUUUAGUUUAUUUUUUUAUUUUGAUAAAUCUAAUUUCUCCAUAUUAAUAAAAUUUGAAGUAUAUUUGUGAAGAUGUUGAAGAGAAAGAGAAAAGGGUUGGUGGGAAAGAAGUAGGGGGAGGAUAGUGAAAAAGAGAGGAGAAAACGAAUGAUGAAAGUAAAAGGUUAAGCAAAGGUAAAUAAGAAAUAAAACUACCUCCACUUUUUAAACAUUUCCCCCCUCUUACCAUUCCUUCUAUUCUCUUUUUCUUCUCUAAUAUGUACAUAUACUUACCAAAAUAACCUUCUAAAUAUUUAUUAUUAAAAUAUUUAUAUUAAUCAAAAUGAUUUUAGGUGACACAAAACUUAUUUCCAAUAAAAGUUAGGAAAGUAUUGUAAAAAGACAUAAUAUUUUUUAAUUUCCAUGUAAAAUUUUUAGAAACAUUAAGAUUUAAAAAAUAAUAAUUGCUUGUUUUUAAAAAAAUAAUAUUUAUUAAAAAAUAUAAUUGGAUUCAUUCAUAUGUAAACGUAAUGAUAAAGAUUAAAACAAUAAUGUACUUUCAUAAAAAUAUGAUAUUAGAAAUUAAAAGUGGAAAUUAAAUAAUAUAAAUUCCUUUUCUUAAGUAAUAUAAAAAUUGUAGGGAUUAACAUAGUUAAUAAUAUUAACAUAUUUCUAAAAUUAAAUAAUAUUUUAAUUUAUGAGGACUAAAUGUGAAAAUGAAAAAGGUGAAAUCCCUUUUAAAAUAAAUUAAAAACAUUAAGGGGAUUAUGUUGCAAAUAAGCCCUCCACGUUUCCCAUAUAUAAAAGACAUUUUCCUUUUUCUUUUAAUGUGUGAUGGAUAAGUUGGAAAAUAAAAAUAAAAAAAUACUUAGUUUCCUUCCUUUUUUUCUUGCUUCAUUUUGUUGUCCGACUUUUUUUCAAAGCUGAAGGUUUAAAUUUUUUUAGUCUUAAAUACUGAAAAUAUCAUAGGUUCUCAAUAAUUAUGAGUUUGUAACGCCAGAAAGUUUACAUUUUUAAAAUAUCAUAGGGACACAAACGUGUAUCCAGACCGUGUGUGGCUAUGUUAGUGCAGGGUUCACACAGGCCAAGGACACUGGCGUGUGUCCAGGUCAUGUAACACACUGUUUACAAAAUAAAGAUCACACGGGCGGAUGACACAGCCGUGUGUUAGGCCAUGCGGGACACACGGGCAAGCAAACAGGCAUGUGUCAAGCCGUGUAGGACUACACGGGUGUGCGGGCCAGUUUAUAGAAUUUUUUCAUUUCCUGAACUUCGUUUGAAAUGAAUACAAGCCUUCUGUAAGGCCGUAUGAACUGAAUUAAAUUGUAUAAAUUGAUAUUCUAUUAUCUGAAAUUGAGUACUAAUAAUCUGUGUGUGUAUUGUGUAUGACCAAUGUUAAUAGUAUCGAUCUACUGUAUUCAAGCAUGAAUUGUAUCUAAAUAUCCGCAUCUGUAUUAACUGUCAUGUGAAGUCUGCAUAUGCAUUAGGUGGAAAUUGAACAAGAAGGAAGUAUUAUGUUCUGACAUAACGAUUAAAUUAAUCACUGUCAUAUGUACUCUGAUCUGGGAGCUAGACUGCAAUUUCUGAAACGUGUCAGACCGACCCUAUAUGGUGUGUAGGGUUAGAUGGGUAAUAAGUAUCCUAUUUCAUGUGUUAGGNNNNNNNNNNNNNNNNNNNNNNNNNNNNNNNNNNNNNNNNNNNNNNNNNNNNNNNNNNNNNNNNNNNNNNNNNNNNNNNNNNNNNNNNNNNNNNNNNNNNNNNNNNNNNNNNNNNNNNNNNNNNNNNNNNNNNNNNNNNNNNNNNNNNNNNNNNNNNNNNNNNNNNNNNNNNNNNNNNNNNNNNNNNNNNNNNNNNNNNNNNNNNNNNNNNNNNNNNNNNNNNNNNNNNNNNNNNNNNNNNNNNNNNNNNNNNNNNNNNNNNNNNNNNNNNNNNNNNNNNNNNNNNNNNNNNNNNNNNNNNNNNNNNNNNNNNNNNNNNNNNNNNNNNNNNNNNNNNNNNNNNNNNNNNNNNNNNNNNNNNNNNNNNNNNNNNNNNNNNNNNNNNNNNNNNNNNNNNNNNNNNNNNNNNNNNNNNNNNNNNNNNNNNNNNNNNNNNNNNNNNNNNNNNNNNNNNNNNNNNNNNNNNNNNNNNNNNNNNNNNNNNNNNNNNNNNNNNNNNNGCUUGAAUCUUGCAUUCAUGUUUUCCUUUUCAUGCUUACACUGACAUAUCAAUACUUCAUAAAAUAUCCAAUUCAUUCACAGAUAUUCAUUAUCUGCUACUGUUAUAUAUGCUUGCAUUGCAGGGACAUAGCAAUGGAGUACGUAGAGCCUGUUCUCGGCAUUGCAAAUUGUCUCGGAACUCCUGUUUGUAAAUAUUUGCAAUAUCACAGAAAGCUGAACGAUUAUGUGAGAAACUUCAAGAGGACCAGAGAUGAAUUGAAUUGCAAAAUGGAAGAUAUAGAGCUGCAAUUGAAAGCAGAGCUUCUUCGUCCUCUGGGGAAGAUACCGAAGAAGGGAGUUGAAAAUUGGUUGAAAGCUGUGAAAGAGAUGAUUAGGGAAGCACAAGUUGUUGAAAACAAAGUCAGUAACGGGAGAUAUCUCUGUCGGGCUUGCAACGGGAAGCUGGUUGAUGAAAAGACUCGAGAAAUGAAGGAAUUUCUUGAUAACGCUCCUAAUGCCUCUGAAGGUCUUGCCAUGGAUGGUCCAAGUGCUGGGUUGCCACUGCCAACAUCAGAACUAGUUGGAGAGGAAGCUGUCAGAAAUGAGAUUUGGGCAUGUUUGAUGCAGGAGGAGGUGAGCAAGAUUGGGGUUUGGGGGAUGGGUGGUGUGGGUAAAACCACUAUCAUGAAGCACAUCCACAAUGAUCUUUUGAAACAGCAAAGAUUCGAAAGGGUAAUCUGGGUUACCAUAUCAAAGGAGUUCAAUGUAAUGAAGGUACAAGAUAAUAUUGCAAGUGCGUUGGAGUCGAAGGAAUAUUUAGACAAAGAAGAGGACAAGCUCAGACGAGCUGCAAUCUUGUCAGAAAUGCUGAAGAAGGCAGGAAAGCAUGUUCUAAUCCUAGAUGAUGUGUGGGAUAAAGUCUCUCUAGAGGAAGUUGGGAUCCCCGAGCCAAAUGGUAGCAAUGGCUGCAAGUUGGUGUUGACAACCCGUUCGGAGCAUGUCUGUAAGUACAUGGGUUGUAAGGUGAUAAAAGUGGAGCCCCUUUCAGAAGAAGAGGCAUUGAUACUAUUCUUGAGUGAAGUUGGACCUAACAUGGUGCAAAAUCAAACUUUAAUGCCAACUUUGAAGCUUGUUGUCAAGGAAUGCGCAGGUCUGCCUCUUACAAUUGUCGUUAUAGCUGGUACAUUGAGAGGAGAAGUUGACCCUCUUAUUUGGAAAAACACACUCAGGGAAUUGAAAGAGAGAAUAGGGAAAGUGAAAGAAGCGGAAGAUAAAGUGAUCGAGAGUUUGAAAGUUAGCUUCAAUCACUUAAAAGACGAGAAAAUGAAGCAUUGUUUCUUACAUUGCGCAUUAUAUCCUGAAGAUUAUAAAAUUUGGAAGUAUGAGCUAAUUGAGUGCUGGAUUGAAGAGGGAUUCAUAGAUGAUAUGAGUACAAGACAAGAAAUGAAAGAUAAGGGCCAUGUUAUUUUGAAGAAAUUAGAAGAUAAUUGCUUGUUGGAAAAUGUCUCGAGUGAAACAGUGAAAAUGCAUGAUGCAGUGAGAGACAUGGCAUUGUCGAUCACAAGAAUGAAUCCUCGAUAUAUGAUACAAGCAGGUUUGCAAUUAGAAGAGUUACCAGAAAAGGAGCAAUGGAGUCCGGAUAUUGAGAAAGUGUCACUUAUGUAUAACUCCAUAUCAGAAAUUUUCAUAGAUGUGCUACCCACAAAAUGCCAACUGCUCACAACCUUGUUAUUGCAGUUCAACCUUAUAAAGAAGAUCCCAUAUUCUUUCUUCACAAACAUGCCUUGUCUUCGUGUUCUCAAUUUGUCCUUCACAUGGAUCGAGAGUUUACCAAAUUCCAUCUCUGAACUAAAGAACCUCACAACAUUGUUGCUUUCUUGCUGUUCUGGAUUAAGAGAUCUGCCUUGUCUUUCGAUGCUUCAAGAAUUGAAGAAGUUGGAUCUUUUUGGGACUAAAAUUGAGGAAGUCCCUGAAGGAAUGGAUAUGCUGAUAAAGCUAAGAUAUCUUCGUCUUCAAGUGUUCAGUCUGAAAGAGAUACCCGCUGGACUUUUACCAAAACUCGUUCACCUUCAGCACUUGGGUUUUGAUGUGUACAAUGAAAAAACAAGUCUAAAAGCAGAGGAGAUGGAACCAUUGAAGAAGUUGGAGUGCUUUACCGGACGUUUCGAAAACAUCAAUGAAUUCAAUAAGUUCAUCUCCUCAAUGCAACAAAGUAAGAAAAAUCUCAUCAAGUACCAUUUACAGGUGGGCUCAACUUCUAGGCUUCUUACAGGAGAUAAAACAGUAACAAUUUUUGGAGUCCAGAAUUGGGAAGGUGAGUUAAUUAUGCACCCAAUUGAAAUUCAAGAGUUGAAUAUUAUAAGGUGCGACUAUUCGAGAAACUUAGUCGAUGAUAAUUCUUCCUUCAAAAAUGCGAUUGACUUGAGGGUUUGUAGGAUUUCGGAGUGUGAAGGGAUAGAGUGUGUUGUUUCCCUGUCCUCUUUUGCCUCUUCUUCCGCUCAUCCAUUUCAGAGCCUCGAGGUGUUGUAUCUUUGUGAUCUGCCAAAGUUAAGUGCCCUUAUUAUGAAAGGUGAAGGAAUUGGUUCAGCAACAACAUCAACAGUGGCUCCGUCUGCCACCUUUUCCCAUCUUAAGAAAAUUACGAUAUCCAAAUGCUCAAGUAUAAAGACGUUGCUUCCACAUUGGUUGCUUCCAAACCUCCAAAACCUGGAAGAAAUAUCAGUGUCAUUCUGUGAUGAGGUAGUUGAAAUAUUGGGAGCAGCAACAUCAGAAGUUGAAGAAAAAGGGAGUGAUGCAUUAAUCAAAUUCCAUCUUCCCAAAUUGAGAGAACUGAAAUUGUUGUAUUUACCAAAUUUGAAGAGCAUAUGCAGCAAAAGUGGAGUGAUGGUUUGCGAUUCUCUCCAACUUAUCCAAGUUCUAAACUGUUAUAAACUGAAGAGAAUUCCUCCAUUUGUUCCCCUUGUUGGCAAUGGGCAGCCAUUUGCAUAUGCUCCACCUUCUCUUACCAUCAGGUCAAGGAAAGAAUGGUGGGAAUGGUUGGAGUGGGAUGACCAUCCAAACUUUAAAAAUGUUCUUCGCUUCUACCCCGAGGAGGAUAGGUAUGAACCAUUUAUGGUUUUGUUUAUUUUUUUUUUAUUUUGAUAAACCUAAUUUCUCCAUUUUAAUACAAUUUCAGGUAUGCUUUUGAUGAUGUUAGAAAGAGAAAAGGGUUGGUGGGAAAGAAGGAUAGUGCAAAAGAGAGGAGAAAAGGAAUGAUGGAAGGAAGAGGUUAAGAGGCUCCACAUUGUAAACAUAUAAAUUUGCUUAAUAUUUUUUCUAUGUUUGUUUUGAAAGAAUGAGUAUUGAAUAUAGAUAAUAUAGAGAAAUUUUGUAGGGUUUAAAAAUAAUUAUCCCUAAUUUUCUCAUUUUUUUAUUUUUUAAAUUUUAGAAUGUUCUAAAAUUUUAAAAAUAUUUUUUAACCUUUUACCAUUUUAUAUAUUAUUAAAAUUAAAUUGACUGAAUAAUUAUAUCACUUAUUAUCAUUGAAUAAAACAAAACAUAGCUAAUAACCAUUGUUAAGUACCAGUUCAGCUUUUAUUAAUUCUCAAUUCUUUUUUUGUUGAAGAUAACCGAAUUCAUAAUUUCAACAUUAGAAAUCUUGUAUUUCAAAUUAAAAAAUUUUCAAAAAGGCUAAAUUACAACUAUAUGCUGAAAAAAAAUUGAAAAUUUAUGUUGUUUUCUUGAAAAUUUAUCAAUUUAUAUUAUUUUUUACAAAUAGAAAAGAAAAUGUGUCUUAUAGGAUGUGUUUUCUCUGAUCUUUCGGAGAAAACAUGAGACGCGUUUUAUUCUCUUUCCUAAAAAGUGCUCUGUAGGAUGCAUUUUCAGAUAGUCUAAAAUUGUUUUUUUUUUCUUACAGUUUGAAACUAGAAGUUUGUAGGUUUUGCUUUUCUCGUGUUCAAGAUAAAUAUUGUUAUAGUUUUAAGGUAUGUUUGAAUUUACGGUAGUGUCGUGGAGUUGGGUGACUUACGAAUUUCACCUAGCAUGUGAGCAUGGAGCCAUCCGAGAAUCUGGAUUGCAUUGCAACUCAAGGUCCCAGUUGACAGUGGUUCUAUAGUCUCCGAUUGAAGUGUAACUAGGUCUUUAAUUUUACAAAGGUUAGUUAUCAAUGAAUGGAGCAUAAAUGGGGUCCCAGUUGAUGGUGGUUAUGUGAGCACGACAACGAGUUUCUCAUCAUCAGGGGAGGAUGCUAUUUGCCACAGAAACAGAAGUAUGAGGAAAAAAAAUGCAAUGGCGUUUUAGUAUAAUCAAGUAAUUCGGUAGAAAUGGAUAAAAUGCUACUACAAUUUUCUUCCUUAUACUUUUGUUUAUGUGGUGUAUAGCUUCCUCCAUUGAUGAUGAAAAAAAAUCCUUAUUGUGCCUACAAAACCACCGCCAACUAGGGCCAAAUUUAUGUUUUGUCCCUUGGCAGUAUAACCUUUGUAAACUUGAAACCUUAAUUACAUUUCAACCCGAGACAGUAUAAUCACCAUCAAGUUGGAUCUCGAGUUGCAAUGCGAUCUCGACUGCUCAGGUGAUAACUCAAUGCUCACAUGGCAGGUGAAGUUUGUUGGAAUAAAAAACCGAAAACUUUGAAAUUAAUAAACUAACCUCCUCUUUUGUUUGUUGGUCUAAAGUUAGUCAAAUGUCCUCAAGCUCGGUCAAUAUAUUGUUGGCGGGGUUAUUCCACCUAUACCAAAAACAUAUUAUUUCAACAGUACAAUGAAAAUUUUGAUAUAGUAACACUACACCAAAACAGGCUUUUAGCGGCGCUAAAAAGCGCUGCUAAAAGUAUUUGCGGCGCUUUUACAAGCGCCGGAAAAAACGCCACUAAAGACUACGUUGCUAACUUUAGCGGCGUUUUUAGAAAAAAACGCCGCUAAAGACCACGACCUUUAGCGGUGCUUUUGCCACAAACGCCGCUAAAGAUCAUGACCUUUAGCGACACUUCUCGCAAAAAACGCCGCUAAAAACAUAACCUUUAAAAAAAUUAUUUUAAUCAAAUAAUAUCUUUAGCAGCGCUUUUCAUUCAAACACCGCUAAAGAACAAACCUUUAGCAACGCUUCUCACAAAAACGCCACUAAAAACAUAACCUUUAACAAAAUUAUUUUAAUCAAAUAUUAUAUUAUAUUAUAUUUUUUAAUUUUGAACUUUAAAUAUACUUUUUAAGGAUAAAUAAAAAAUAUUAUUUAAAUUAAAUUUUCUAUGAAAAUUUUAACUUUAAAACUAAAUAUAAAAAUGAAUGAAUUUAGUUUUAAAAUUUAAAAUAAUAAAUUAAUAACACAAUUAAAAUCCAAAAAUUAGAACUCAAGUUGUCGUAAAUAUUAAAGUAAAAAUAAAAAUUUAGAAUCAAAACUAAAAUAAAUAAUACAUUUGAAAAACAAACUGACUAGUUGAACCUCCUAUGACUAUUCACAUUGCAAGCUAAUAAAAAAUACAAUGCAUUAAAUUGUUGAACCUGCCCAGGUACUAACUGACAGCAGAAUAACACAUUAAAUUGUUGGAUUAAACAUGUAGAUUACAUACUAAUGUAGACCUAAAUAUUUUCCUGUUCCUUCUACCCUUAAAUCUAGAGAUAGCAAAAACCAGGGACCUAACACCAGCAAGUUCAAAUAUAUUGCUAAAAGAAACACAACUUUAGCUCCAUCCAAAUGUACUUUCAAUUCUCAUUUCAAAUUCUGCUUCAAUAUAUUGGAUGAGUUUCCCCACUGCAUGAUGUUAGGUGAUCAAACAGAGUACUUUAAAACUGCAAAAGUAAGAAGCAAGCAUCCUCACUUGAUAAUCUGAAGGGUUGUCUUCCUCACCACUUGGUCCUCUAAAAGGAAGCAGCUGAGCUUUAGGUUUCUCUAAAGAGAAAACAACAGGAAUUCCACCCUCAAUCCCAUGAUCUUUCCUUAAACGGUGUCUCACCUAGAAGCAAAAAUUUGAGAAAGAGUAAAGUGAAUGAUAUCAGGAAAUAAACCCCUAAACAAUGUCUUCUUAAUGCAAUAGAUAAACAAGAGUAAAAUUGGAUAUCCAAAAUAACAAAUACAAGCAUAAGAUAUUAAAGUUUUUCCAAACCAAAUAAAAUCUAAUUGGACAAGGCCCCAAAGUAAACACCAAUCAUAAGAUCAGCAACCACCAGAAAACUGCAGUAGCAAGUGUAGAUUCAAAAGCCACAGACGCAAAGAGCCCCCAUUUUAGAAUGAUUGACAACUCCAAAACAACUUCACCGUAUUCAGAAUCAAUAAUAUAAAAUGCCAGAAGCUCAAAUCACAAUAAAUAAUAAAAAUACAAAAACAUAAAUAUUUCAUAACCUAAAGCUACUGAUACUAAAAUAAAAUACGUAUCUAGAAGCAAAACCUAACCUUCGUACACACUAAGUAGCAAAGUUGAUCCUAAUCCUUCAGCUGAAUAACUUAUGUUGCUUGCUUACUCGUGCUUUAGAUGGGUGCAAUAUCAAACAAGCAUAUAGAAGGAUUAGCCAUGCACUAUCAUAAUAAUGAAAAAUAAAACAUAAAUUAGAGCAUAACAUGAACCACAUAAAGAAAUUAGGAGUUCUAUAUAUGGUGAAAAGCCAAUAUUUGACUGCAACGUUAUAUAGAAUUCUUAUAGCCAAUAGGUAAAACUGAAAGUUCAUAAGUCAUGAUGAUACCUUUGUGUCAAUGUUAUCAAUGCAGUCCAAAACAAAAUCAGGGUUUAACUAUUUGAUUAAAAAAAUUAAAAAUUAUUUUAUAAAUUAUUUUUUUAAUCAGGGUUUAAAUUUGACAAAUUUAAAGACUAAAUGUUAUUUUAUCUAUAGAUGAAUUGAAAAAUUGAAAUGCCAACUAAGCUUCUUAUAUAGCAGCUCUGUCAAGGUUCUGAACUCCAGCAGAAUUAAUCAAACAUAAUCAUUGACAAUAUAUAUAUAUAAUGUUAUAUAUAAAACCUUGUUUGCUCUAAAGAAAUUUGGAUGGAAAAGGGUUAAUUUCAUAUUCUUUAAAUUAUUUAAAAUAAAUGCCUGCAUGGAUGGAGUCAAGUACCUUCUGAGAGUUCAGGUUGUUCGAAUGGGGUACAAAGAGACUUAGCUGCUCCCAUCUCACCCCUUGUUCGAGCUUCCACAUCUUUCUCCACCUCCUAUAUAUACAAAACAUAAAACAUCAUUUAAGAAAAAUGAGCGACAUAUGCCUCGAGAGAUUAGAAUAUGAUCCAGCUCAUGUUGUUGCCUAACAAAAUACAGGUUUUACAAACUCAUCCCACGUUUUUACAACUUCAAUGCAGGCAUCUCUUUUUUGUUUUGCCACAUCGAAUAGGUUCUGUUGAAUCUUAUCCAACAUUCCUUUUACUUGCUCAACCAAAAAGACUCUAGAGAUAUCAGUCUUUUCUCCAUUGUCACAGCGAACUGCACGCACCUGUCCAAUAAAACACAUUCUGGUUUCAAUAAUAAGAAAAUAAUACAUAAAAGAAUAGAAGGAAAGCGGAAAUAAGAAAAAAAAGGGUUAAUUGCAUGACCUUAAAGAGCUAAGAAAAUAAGUAAUUUUGUUUUGGACUUAAAGAGCAUAAUUUUGAGUAUUAUUGAGGUUAUGAAUUCCGAGGACAUGUAAGAGAAGUGCACAAGGCUACUAAUACGAACAUGGACAGCAAAUAAUCAUCUUUUAUGUAAUAAUUAAACAAAUAAGCUAUCCGAUUUUUCUUUUGGUUUGAGUUGGUAAAACGUUAGGCAUGUUCGUAUUCAACAUAAGUUUUCUGACCUUUAAAUUUUUCAUUAUUGUUGCAAAUAGAAGCACAGUCACUGAAAUGAGAAUCUCGACAUGCUCCUUGUCUUUCUAGUUGCAGGCUUCUGUUAGCAGUAUAUUACUAUCAAAAUUUGCAAUUGCAUUUGAAGAACCUGCAAGAAUCUCAUAACAGCUAACCAGAACAGGGUCAAAAAAUCUCUUCUGUUCUUUUUUCUUUCUGUUUUUUAAGGCUGGAGUUGGUUGGAUCUCAGCUACCUUAAAUAAAUUUGUUUGACUUCGAGCACCCAUUAAAUACAUUAAAUCAGGCCCUUCCACUUAUAGCCAAUUGGUUUUAGGUUGGAUGCUUAACACAAGUCAUGUAAACUUGUUGUUACUUUUAAUUUGAGUUAAAUUUUAGAACUUUUCAUAUAGACUAGCAACUUCCCACUCAAUUUUCCACCUCUUUCUCGCAACCAGAAGAAGGAAACACUGAUAACAGAAAAAAUAAAUUAUCUCAAAUUCAAUUCGUGCAAUUAUCAUAUCAUUUUUAUUUUCUUUCUCAUUUUACAUUUUUUUUUCUUGGCAACCAAGCAGGAGUUAGACUACUAACAAACUAACUAAAAGCUUACUUUCUACAUCUAACUAUGAAAAAAAAAAAGUAAUCGAAAAUAUAAAUUUGAGAUAAUUUCAUCAAUCUGCAAUUUUCUUUCUCGGUUUCCAGUGCUUUCUCAGUAACCAAAAGGAAACCGUUAAAAUUACAACAAAGAGGAGAAAAAAAAAAGAAAGCUAUUCGAGUUGAAGUCAUGCAAUUUUUAAUUUCCUUCUCAGUUCUUCAUUUUUUCCUUCUCAAUUUCCAAGUUGAGUCCGCGAAAUUAUUACAUAAAUUUUGCAAUUUUCCUUCUCAAUUUCCAAACUUUACUAGAAACCAAAUAAAAACUAUAAAAAUUAAACGAUAAAAGAAAAUAUAACCUUGUGAAAGGGACCGACGCGCUGCUCACUGGCAUAAGACUUGAAGUUCCUCAUCACCAUCUCGUUAAUUACUAACCUCGGUCCUCGAGAUCCCACUUGGGCCUGCUCUGGCUCGCGAGUCGUGAACUCAUCCUUCGUUUCCAUCUCCAUACGGAAAUAAGCGGCUGCUAAGUCAACUCACUGCUAUUGAAUCGGUUUGAGACUUCGAGACGAGUUGAUGGAAUAAACAAUUAAAAGGAAGAUGAAAAAGUUUAAAAAGCAUUUGAGCAAAAUUUCAGAAGGGAUUUUUAGCGGGAAUUUGAAAUAAACAUCACGCGUCAGAAUAUUUGGGGCGCUUACAAAAAAAGUCACUAAUUGAAUAACUUUUGUGGCGUUUUCAACAAAAACGCCACUAAAAAUUAAAUUUUUGUAGUGAAACGGGCCGUUUUGAAAAUUUUAAAUAUAUAUUUGCGGCGUUUUUGGUUCAAACGCCGUUAUUGCUUACCUUUUGCGGCGUUUUUCUUAUAAACGCCGCUAAUAAUUAACUUUUUUUACAAUUUUAUAUUUAAUUAUUAUAUAAUUCAUAUCAAUUUUAAAUAAAUAGUUUUUGAAAAAUUAAGUAAUAUUUAAAAGAAUUAGAUAAAUUUUAAAUCUUUUAUAUAAUUUUUAUUUUUAUUUGUUAUAAUUUGAUCCUAUGCAAAAUAGAUAGUUACCCAUCUAUAUCAAUCUGUUACUUUUUAUUUAUUUAUUUAUCAAUGUUUUUUUUAAUCUAAUAUUUAAAUAUAUCAAAUGGUUUAGAUUAAAUAUUUUGAAAUAUAAAAGCAUUAAUUGAUUGUAUAAAAUUUCAUCAUUUAAGAAAUCUCAAGUAAACCAUAUAAUAAAUCUCUUAAAUAAUUUAAACUAUAAUCAUAAUUUUAAUAUAUUAAAAUUAAUAUUAUCUCCUUUACAAUUAUAUAAGAAAUUAUUUAAUAUAUAAAUUAAAAAAUACUAAUUACUCUAAACCCUAAACUCUUAACCCCUAUCCCCAAUCCCCUGAACAUUGAAUCAUAAAACAUAAACCUUAAACCCCUAACCCCUAAACAUUAAACCCCAAUGAUGUGAGCUUGCCUACGAACCAAAUGGAGAACGAACAAGAAGCCAUCAAGCUGCCCAUUGGUCCAAUAACGCGAGCUAGAGCUGACUUUGGACGAAUUUCUGAAUGAAAUAUCAUUUUAGUGAGGCAAUUCACUCUCUUUAUUCUUCAAAGCUCAAUUGACUUAUCUUUACGAGUGGCGUCAAUCUGACUUUGUUUCGAACUUAUCACCAUAAGGUGUGGCGUUCCAACUAUACCGAAGGUUCCUAUUUUGCUAAAUAGAGGGUCUCGAUUUUAUCUACCAUUUCUUUCCUUUUUCUUUGAAACCUUUAAGCCCGGGUCCUUAUUUGCUAAUAAGGGUUCGUUCUUGUUUCAUUGGAAAUCACUUAUCUCCAUUUUGCUUCCUAAACCAUUUAAAACCAAUAUAACUCAUCUUAUUGAAUUUGAACUAAAUCGACACUACCUAAAUUCGAUCGGGAACAUAAUACGACUCGUCACAUCAUCCGAAUCGAGCUCGUAUCACCCAACCCUUAAACCAUAAACCAUAACCCUUAACUCUUAACCCUCAACUCCUAACCCUUAACCCCUAAACCUUAAUCUAUAAAUCUUAAACCAUAAACCGUAACCCUUAAGCCUUAAACGCAUAAACUAUAAACCAUAAUCUAUAAACCUUAAAAUAGUAACUCCUAAACUUUAACCCUAAACCAUAUACCCUUAACCCUAAACCCUAAACAAUAAUAAUAAUUAAUUUAAUAUUUUAAAAUUAAUACUAUCUUUUUUAUGAUUAUAUAAGAAAUUAUAUAAUAUAUAAAUUAAAAAAAAUCAGUCAUAUACCUAAAAAACUUUAAAAUUAUUUUAAAUAAUAGUAUUUUAAUUUUUGAAUAUUCAAUUAAAAAUAAUUUGAAUUUUAAUUAAUAUAAAUAAACCAAUUAAAUAAUAAUAAAUAGAUAAAAUAUUUUUGCGGCGCUUUUCCAAAAGCGCCGCUAAAAACCCCGAGCAUUAGCGGCGCUUUUCCAAAAACGCCGCUAAAGCCCAUACUCUAGCGACGCUUUUUAAAAAACGCCACUAAAGCCCCUAAAACUAAAAAAAUGACGUCGUUGGGCUUAGGUUUUUUGCGGCACUUUUUCAAAAACGCCGCUAAAGCCCCAUGCAUUAGCGACGCUUUUUAUAAAACGCCACUAAAGCCCCAAAAACUCAGAAAACGACGUCGUUGUGCUUAGGUUUUUUGUGGCGCUUUUUGAAAAACGCCGCUAAUGCUCAUUUUUAGCAGCGUUUUCCAAAGUGCGCCACUAAUGCUCAAUCUUUAGUGGUGUUUUUUCAGAAGCGCCGCUAAUGCUUGAUUUUUAGCGGCGUUUUUUAUCCAAACGCCACUAAAAGUGCCGCUAAAAGCCUGUUUUGCUGUAGUGUAACAAUAUUAUGAAAUGAAUUUUAUCAUGUUAUGAAUGAGAAUUCAUAAGGGGAAUUUCUAUUGCAUUCUAUAUUUUUCAUAAUCUUUACAGGUAGUAUACUCUAUUAUAUAUAGAGAGAUUAGACUCUUCAUAUUCUAAUACACAAAUAAAAAAAGGGGUUAUAAGGAGAUGAAAGGUUAAAAAUUAAAGAAAAUGAAAGAUUACAGGUCAAAGGAGAUAAAAAGUGAACGGUGAAAGGUUAAACAUCCACUUGAUAGCAUUAAUAAUAAAUAUUCUAAAUGUAGUAAAAAUCAUAAAAAUAAUUAAAACACUGCUCCAAAUGAACCAAAUCCACUCAAGCAAUUACUGAAACUUCAAGGAAAAUGUGAGAGCAUAGAUUAAUUAUUUUUAAAUAAGUUAAUUGCACCAAAUAUUUUUAAAUUAUUGCCUGCAUUCUAAAUUAAUUCAUUAAAUUUUAAAUCAUUUUAGUUACAUUUCUAAACUAAAGAGAAUAUAUCAAUCAAGUUUUUUUGUUUUUAAAACCAUUAAUUUAAUAAUAAAAAGACAUCUUCAGUCACUCUCAAUUUUAAAAUUGAGUAAAUUAGUCACUUUCAAAAAUUUUGGAAUAAUUUAAUCUCUGUCAAUUUUGAAAGUGAGCAACAAAGGACAAUUAAUCACGACGUUCAUGUCUUUCGUCAAUUGUGCAUGAUUUUGAUUGGUAUAAUAACACAUUUAGCCCUUGAUGUUUACAUAUUUUGUUAGUUUGGUCUUGAUUCUAAAAAAAAAAACAAAUUCAGUCUCAAAAUUUACACAUUUACAAAAAUAUUACAGGCUAAAUUUAUUAUCAUAUCAAUUAAAUUUAUGUAAAAUUGACGAAAAACAUUAAUAUUAUGAUUAAUUGCUCACUUUUGAAAUUGGUAGGGAUUAAAUUGUUUCGAUUUUUUUAGAGGAACCAAUUUGCUCAAUAUCAAAAUUGAGAGGGACUAGAGAGGUUGUUUUACCUAGUUUAAUAAUUAAAUGACAUGUUAAAUCUUAUGUGGUAUAAUUUAAAUAAAAAUUAAAAAAAUUGUAGAAAUAUUUGUUUUAAAAAUCUAGGUUUUGAAGUUUUUACGAAAUUUUUAUUGUUCAUUUUUUUUUAAAUUUCAGUUUUAUUUAAUUUUAGUUUCUUUAAAAUUUUCAUUUUAAAAUUAGCUAUAUAAAAUUUAACGUGUCAUUUAAUGAUUUUAAUAAUAAAAUGACCUGAUUAAUAUAACAUCAAUAGUUUAAAAAUGUAAUUAGAUCAGUUUGAAGUUUGAAAAUAGAUUUAAAAUAAUGGUCAUAAUUUAGGGGUGGCAUUUUGCAGUUUAGACUUUAGACCAUAAAUUACUGAGAUGAAAACUGUAGCGUCGUUCUGCAGCCUUUUUUGGUCCAGGCAGGGCAGGCUGAGCUCAAAAAUUUGGGUAGACCUUGAAUAAAACAUAUAGACCCAUAUUUCAUAUUAGGCAGAGCUUGAGCAAAAAUAACAGUUAGCAAUACCUUGUCUAAGCGUGAGCCAAAUCCGGUCUAUGAGAUAAAGCAUUCAGAUUGAACUACCGGUAACAUUAUCAGUUUCUGGUCCAUCCUUAAUGGGGAUGCAAAGAACAAAAUUAACUAACUUUUGCCACUAUAGAAUGUUUGUUCAACUAAAUAAAAUAAAGAUUGUCCUAUAACUCUAGUUCCAUUCAAGUUAAAACUUCUUCAGGCAAGAUAAUAGUAACAUAAUGCUAAAAGAACCAGCACAACCACCACGUCAGGAGCUGCCCAUAUCCAAUAGUUCAUCGACUUCUUACGUUUCAGGAUGGCUUUUGGGAGGGACUCGGUUCUUUUGGUUUGAUUCCUGUACCUACUAGUAUUCUCCUUUGGUACUUUACCCUUCAUUGAAAUUGUAGCAGGAACAGGUGCAUCAGUAUUAACAUCGACCUUCUCGGGUUCUGAAUCUUGUGCCACAGCUUCAAUCAGUUCCUCGGGAUUCACAGCAUUUGUCGAUCCUGCCACCUUCUUCUUAGCUCUCUUUUCACGCUCCUGAAAAAAAGAUCGAAAGAGUUUCAGUUUCAACCCACAAACUAAUAACCGAUAAAGUGAAGCCAGAUAAGGAAGCAAAUGAUUUCCUUGAGCUUCUUUUGAGCUUCCAUUUGAGCUCUUCUAGCUGCUUUGGCUGCUGCUUUUUCAGCCAACUUCUUUUUUCUUUCCAUGGCUUGCUUUGCUUUCGCUAUUUCCUCUUCUCUCUUCAAUUCUUUCAGUUUUGCUGCAUCGACUUCCUUGUUCUUUUGCAAUUUUCCGGAUACCAAAAUUUCCUCUGCUACAACACUAAUAUCUGACAAAGGAUUCGACUCCAUUGCUAUAGUCUCGGCAUCUUUUGGGGCCUUUUUGGCUGGUUUAGUAUCUGUUUGGGGACCUGAUUUGGCCUCUUCCUUUGGUUUUCUUACACUAGGUCUCAGAAUUGUUUCGGUUUCAGAAUCCACUGGUUUCUCGGGUGCAACCAGUGGUUUCUCAUCAGGAUUCCUUAUCCGACCAUCCCGACUCAAUAGCCGACUGUCCAGAGAUGGCAGAGUUCUUUUCUCAUAAUCAUCCCUGAAGGCUUUAUUGCCUUCCAGAGAGCCAUAAACUUCUCAACCUAAAAGGAAUAUAAAAGAUAAGUGAGCGGCUAAUUAUAAAGCAAAUGAGAUACAUUGGAAGUAACAUUAACAAGCAGUCUCAACAAACCUCCACAAUUGAUAACUCCUCAAGAGCCUUUAUAUCUUUCUGUGCAGCGAGCAGUUUGGCGUUGUGUACAAUGGUACGGCUCUGGUAAAAGUGAGAAUUCUGAAAUUUUGAGAAAGAGUAAUUAAAACGAUUCAUUAGUAACAUCGUGCACAGGAAUAUUGGAAGUAGACAUAAUAUGUAUCAUUUAAUAUCUUAAGUGACACUAGUUAUUCAUGCAUAAAUGAAAAUGUUCCGACAUGGUCAAGUAUUACACGAAACAGAUAUCUUAAGAGUUGAAGCAAAGAAAAGGCGAUACCCCCUGAUCACUUUGUUUCCUCAGCUCCUGAAUGUUUUCAAAAGCUUUGUCCCUCUUCAGGGUCACAGCUUUCAGCUCAUUUUGUAAAGACACGAUUUUAGUCUCAGUUUCGUCCAAUUUAUCUUUAAUUUGCUUUUUUUUGGACCAGACUGCAUGCUGCUCCUUCCUUACUCCAUUCAAAUCGACACCCAUAAGCUACAAUAAACAAAUAUAGCUUUUUUUUUUUAGUGUAACACAAUGGUGCUCUAUAUUCACAUAUAAAAAGAGGAGCAAACUCCGAUGGAUAAAGGCAGAAAAUAGAAUUAUCUUACUUUAACUUGAUCUUGAAUGUCUUCUUUCUGGCCUAAUGAAUCUUGAAUCUUUGAUCUCAUUGCAGCAUUAGCAAUAACUUUCUCGCGGGUUCCCUCCAGGUGUUUGAUUUCUUUAAGGAUUCGCUUCUCCUCACUCAACGAGAUGCCUUCAUGCUGAAUGCGGUAUUGCAAGCUAUGGAUCUGCAAUUCAUAAAUUCCAUUGAAGUGACUAAAGGAGAAAAAGAAAAGCAUUAACUGCGGCAGAAAACAAUGAAUAAAUCUAAAUGCAGUCAAAGUUCAUAGAAGUAUCAUACAAUAAAAUCGAGCUCUUCCUCAGAUGCACAUAAACUAAGUCGAUUAUCAACAUCUUUAUUUUGCGAAGCUUGCCUAAAGCCUGCUGCAGUGGUUCUAUUUCCAUCUUUUUCUCAUCUAAAAUCGUCUUAAAUUGCUCAAAAUCAACAUUCAGCGCUCUCACUUGCGAAAGCAUAUCUGACCGUUCUGCCUGCAUUAGCAUAAAGAUAAUCACAAUUUAGCCAACUGACGGCGCCAUUAUUUUUUACUUCUUUCACAUUUUUUCUCAAAUUCUGAAGGCAAACACAACAAUAACGAAUCAUUAUACCAAUAGCAUAUCUGUAAGUGUCAUUACGUUUCAAGGACAUAAAUUUCAAACAUUCAAAUAAAUGCUUCCGGGUUUAAUUCCCCUACAUUCAUCAUAUUACAAUAAGCACACCGUAAUGACAUAAUGAUAGGGCUAAUAAUUAUCUUAAAAGUAUGACAAUUAAUGGCUACCAUGCUAUACAUCUAAUUGAAAUUAUUAACUUUUCACUCACCCUUUUUGCUUUUAAUUCGUCGGUAAGCUUAAACCGGCUUUAUUCCACUUUUGUAUCUCUUUAUCAGCCUGAUCAAGUUUGGCUUUUAUAGCCGGAUCUUCGUAGAAGCGAUACCUAAUAAAAUGAAAAGAGUGGAUCUGCUUAGGUGCAGGCCACUCGACGACCGCAUCCUUCGGAAAGUCGGGAUCGGAUGCACCAUUCUCUUCUCCUUAUCAGGUUCCUCACUAUGUGAAUCAACUUCAAUGGGGUUAUUAUAAACUGGAUCCUUAUCCAGUUUCCCAUUUUCAUGAAGAAAUGAUUUGUCUACUUCAGUCACUUUGUCAAUAGACAAUUGUGCCAGGUCUGAAUCAACAACCUCAACACCCAUUAGACACAAAAUUGAGCUACCUGAAAACAUCCAAAGACAAAGAUUAUGACACCAUAUAACAACAAAUAUAAAUAUAAAAUAUUAUUUCAUUCAUAAAAUAAAAAUUUUAAAACAGACACCUGAUAGACAUGUAUAAAACAAUAUAUAUUAAAUAAAUAAAUUUUAAAGAACAGUGUAGCCAAUACAAUUUGAAAUGGUGCAAUCUAAAGUCAUUCCUUUAGCUAGUUUUCUCAUUAAUCAGAUCAAAAGAGUGAACAAACAGUAGAAUUGCAAAAAUAUAUGUAUAUAUUCUAAAUAAAUGAUAAACUAUAAUGGAGAAAAACAAUAAUCAGAUAAAAUCUAGAUCAAAAACUAAAUUAUAAGUACAUUAGCUCAUGCUAUAACAAAAGAUCAAGCCUUUAUCCGUCAAGAAAAUUAACAUGCAAAAUCAUAUGACACUAAUGGAAAAGACCCAGAAAUUUACAAACAUGAGAUAAAUGAAAAACAAAAAAAAAACCCCAGAAAUAAAAACAUGAGAAAUAAUUAUGUAGUUUGCAAGGCAGAAAGUUUACAUUUUUAAAAAGAAAAAGUCAAAAUAAGAUGUUUUUGUUGUCGAGAGAGGCAUAGAUACAGAGGUUCUGAAUUAAAAAAAACUUUCAACUUUUUUAUUUUACAUUCGCGUGAUGCCUCAAAUUUUAUAAAGUUUAGGUGUUAAAAGUAAUUUGAUUUGGUGUAGUAGUUAAGUGCCUUGAAUGUUUGCUUUGGGUUUGGGGUUCAAUUUUUUUUGUUAAAUUUUUCCUAUUUAUUAUGGUAUUUGUUAAAUUUUUCCUCUUUAUUAUGGUAUUAUGUUCAACUUGAGCCUUAGGUCUUAUCUCUUAUUUUCAAUGAUGAAUCUACUCGUUCAAUGGUAAGACUUUAGCUUAUCACCAAUUUAAAUUUUAUAAAAUCUGGUAAGUGGGAUUUAGAUUAACUUAAAUCUUUUUAUUUAUUUAUUUUAAUUUAAUUUUACUAAAUCUCUAUUUUUACUCAUUGUUUCAACCAUUCACACUCUCACCCCACUUUGUACGCUACUUUCUUUUGUUUCCCUAUUCUGCGGUUUUAUCUUCUUUUCUCUUCCUUCUUUCUCCUCUUUGAUUAUUCCUGAAUACUACCGUUUAUUUUGUGAGUUCUGUCACUUGGAUCGUAUUCUGUUUGCAGUGUAAGUUUCAUUUGGUAACUUUUGUUCUCUUCCCAUUAAUAGUUUAGUUUUAUUUCGUUUCUUGAACAAAUUGAGCUUAUGUUGGUAUUUUCUGUUCAUUAUCAUGAUUAGUAUUUUUGUGGUUCUCGAUUAGGCAAAAGGUGUGAGAAUCCUAACCCUCUAGCAAUGUAAUCACAAUUUUCGACGUUGUUUUGGAGAACUAAGUAUUCGAAUUCUAUUUUAGGGGCUGAAAUUUUGAUUCAACGAUGUUAUUUUGGAUAAGUAUUGUUAGUUCAUCCAUGUGGUUUGAUGAACGUUUAUAGGAUUCGUGAGUUCCAAUUGAGCGGUUGAUCAAAUAAGCAAUAGGUGUAUGAAAUUAACCUGAAAACUCAAUCGAAACUCGAGAAAAUUAAGGACCACACGACUAUGUGGGUAUUUUGGCCAAUUUUAAGCCCCAAUUAGGGGCCGAUUAAAGGACUCAAAUAUUGGGUCCAUAGCCAUCAUAUAAGCCCAAAAAAAUGUAAGUUUUAGUACGUAUAUAUACAUGGCUAAGCUUAGGAGGUAUGUUAAGUAGGUUGUAUAUAAAUCAUAUGCUAUGUUAUGUUCCUUAUAAAAAUAUGUGUAUGCAUGUCAUACGACUUAUGAUAUAAGUAUUUAUGAUAUUAUAAUUAUGAUUAUGCCUAAGUUUUGGAAUGGCUUAUGAUAUGAUGGAGGAAGUGUUAUAUGAUAGUUUUUACCGCAACUAUGGCGGCUAGACUAUAAAAUUUCCGUUUGACAGCUCAGUUGCAUAUUUAUGAGUGACAUACCACCACAUAUUGGUGUGAUUGGAUGGAUGGACUCUUGUAGUCCUAAUUGGUGAUAUUGCUUGAACGAAGAUGGUAUGAAGCAAUUGGGGGUAUGAUGUCUUAUGAUAUGGGAUAUGAUAUAAUAAGAUAAGAUAUGAAACAUGCUAUAACAUGAUAUGAAAACCGAUAUGAUAUAAGAUAUGCUCCGAUAUGCUAUGAUACAUUCUGAUUUAUAUAUAUACUACAAUGUGUGGGUCAAAUCACACACUGGAUGUUAAGCUCACACGUUUGUUAUUUCUGUUUCAGGUGAUCUUCAGAGUAAGGAUUGGAUGAUGACUAUAGAGCUCGUAUUUCACACUUUCGGUUUAAGUAUGCAUUGGACUCUCUUUUGUUUAUAUGGACUUUUUGGACUUUUGGAUAUUUAAAAUUUAUUUGGGAUGCUAAAAAUUAUUUUGCAUUUAUUUUUCAAAAGUUUUAACUUUUAUCGAUACUUAAAUCAAGACAACUAAAAAUAAACCAUAGUUAUAAGGAAAAUUUGCUAUAAUGCUUUUUGCUGCAAGUUUUAAGGUCAAUUUGCUAUAAUGCUAUCCGCUAUAAUUAAGUUUUAUUGAAAUCUGCUAUGAUGUUUUAUCUCACAAACAAAGUAAGUAAAUUAAAUACAUUUUUGUAAAAUUAACAAAUAUGGUUUUCUUCAAUGUACUCACGGGUUUUAAAAAAUGGUACAUCUUCACCAGGUUAAUCAAACUUGUUUUCUUUUGAGUUAAAUAGUUUUUGCCAAAAUGAAGUAAUAUUGUUUUCACAUACAACGUAAUCUCCACAAUCUGACUGUAACAUCCAAGCAAUGUUUGGGGUGUUAGAAUUAGAGUUUUAAAAAAUAAUUACUUUUUCUUUUACAAGUUAAUGUCAUUGUAGGGUUUGAUUGGUUAUCUUCAACUUUAACAGUUAAGCUUCUAAAGUCGAUGAUCCUAUUUAAAUAUAUAAAAAUUCUUUAUAUUUAAAAGAUGUUCUUAUAAGAAAACAAAGAUGUCAUAUAUGAUUGUUGCAUGUAAUUAUAUUAUUUUAUGAUUUAGAUCAUAUAUGAUUGUUGUCAUGAUAUAUAAGCAUUUAAUUAAUAUUUUAAAGUUUUAAAAAAAUAAUAAAUAAUUUUAAAUAAUUUAAAAAUUUUAAAAAUAAGUUAUAUAUAUUUUUAAAACCUUAAAAAUUAUUUAAAAACUAAUGUAUCAUCCAUAAUAAAUCAUACAUCAUUAACACAUAUUGGGGCAUGCGAAAGCUUUUAAAAAAUUGAACUCAAAUAGUGGUCUACAUGGUUCAUCAAGGCAUGGCAAGUAAGUGAGUUGAAGCAAUUUGUGUCAUGAUUGCCUGUAUUUCUCUCAUAAUUUCUUUGUCACUCUGCCCCCGUGACACAUUGCAAAAUCUCCUACAUUUCAAAUAAACUGAUGUCAAGUAAAACAUUAAAGCAGAAGAGGAUCAACUAUUACCCUCACUAUCUAUUUCAAUGCUAAAAUUCCACCUCUCCUCUCCAACACCUCAUUGGUAGCCUUACUCAUCAUAACCAACACAACCCUUUCUUUUUCCAAUACAUUUCCAGAAUGUACACUUUUAUUAUAAGAAAAUAUCCAAAAACAUUUUACCAGAAAGCUGGGCUGUGGGGUUGGGAAUGAAGGAUUUCACGCCUUCAUCUUUGGGAAGCCCAUAUUUCUUCACUUUGGCAAAACUCUCUUCUGGGUCGAUUCUACAAAAUAUUUAUUAGCUCAUUUUGUGAAAGAGGUAAUUGUGAGAUGAUUGAUCAUUUUGUUUCUACAUUAUAAGUAAAAAUUGUAAUAUAUACCUGAACUUGAGUUGUCAUAUUCUAAUAUUUCUUUGCUCAAUAUUUACUUGAUUGUAUACAUUAGAUUUGCACCCGAAGCAAUAGUUUUAGAACACUUACAGUAAUAGUUUUAGUCUUUCAACUUCAUCAACUAAUCUUUUAUAGUUAUGUGUAUCGAUUGUGGUCAUAAACCAACUAAAAAUCUGAUUAAGGUAUAUGUACUUAUCAAUUAAUAGUAUAGUUACGAUGAAUAAAGAUAUCAUUCCCACGAUGGCUAAAAAUACUAGUAAUUAUUGUCUUUCUAUUAUUUAACCGACAAAUUGGAGUGAUUGAUUAAAACUAAAAUUAAAUUAACUAAUUAACUAAAGAACAUGACAAAGAACAAAUCAGAAAAAUAAACGAUUAACAACCAAAAAGCGAGACAAUACCCAGGAAAUAAUCCACCUAGACUUCAUCUGUCAUUAUCAAUCUAAAUCACGUAAUUUCUUCACUUACUAUCUUGAUCCGUAGAAAUCCCUAAAUUAUGGUAAUAUCACUCUUCAAGACUAAGAGUAACUGACUCUAGAUUGAUUAAUUGAAAUUUCUUUCUAAUUAAAAAUCCUAUUAUCGCAUUAACUCGAUUUAUGGAUUAUUCUAUUAGAUUUGACUCUAAUCCGGUAGAUUUAUGUAAUCCUAUUUUUAGGAUUGUAUGCAACUCCACUCAAUUACGCUAGAUCUACUCUUAAAUAUGGUCUAUUCCUCCUUUGGUUUAAGCACAUAAAACAUGAAUCAAUAGUCUAAAAAUAUUAAACUAUGAAUUAAACACACAUAAUUGAGAACAAGAUCUAAGUAUUUAUUCCAUAAAAAUAGAAAUCAAAUAAUAGAAUCCAUCCUAAGUUUUAUCUCCCUAGGUAUUUGGAAAAUUAGUACAUAUAGUAAAUAAAAACAUCCCAAAAAUAGUAUAACCAUAAGAAAUAAAGAAACUCAUAAUAAACUUCAAAAAAAUCAAAAGGAGAACUUCAAUAUUGAUGGAAAUCUACUUCAAAGUCGGCUUUAAUAGUAUUUUCUGAGUUGCUUUCUUCAAUAUAUGACAACUCACUGAUCCCCUCGCUCAUUUUUUACUCAUUUUGCUUCCAAAUGCUCUUCUAAGUAUAGAAACAUGAAUUUAAAGUAUUAGGAGCAUAAAAUUCACCGUUAACACAUUUUCUCUGUAUAUUUAGCAUAUAUUUGAACUUCGAGUUUCUGCUUUGCAGUUUAGGUUCAAAAAUAUGAACCCAUGUUUUCAAAGGUCUAAUUUUUCCAUGAACAGCCGGAAAUGAAAAGAAAAAAAAUAUUUUAAAAAAAUGAAAGAAAAGAAAAAUGAAAAUAUAGUUUAAUGAGACUUACAUAAAUGUCGGGAUUGAGAAAAUGAUUGUCUAAAAAGAAGCAGAAAUUUGGCCGUCAAGCAGAAAUUUGGCCGUCCAAGCCAUCUUAUUCAGUUCACCGAUACAAGUUUCUCCGCUUAGCCGCCGCUACUCUGAAAAUGACGAAGGACUAACUAGUUUAACAACAGUACCAGUACGACGUCAUAAGAAUGUAUUCUACAUGGCAUUCGUGUCAUCUAGCUAAGUCAAACUACAAAGCUACAGUUAGACUUCGAUUUUAGUUGGGUUUGGUUUCUUAGGUGGAGUUCUAUUUAAACUUGGGUUUUGUUUUCGGUUAAAUUACCCUAUUAGUUACUAAAUUAUAGGUUGCUUUUGUGUUGUUCACUUAACUAAAAAAAAAGUUAAAAUUUUGUUAUUGAAGUAUUCGAAUAUUUUCAUUUAAGUCACUAAAACAAGAUCUUUUUAAAUAAGAAAUAAAUAUUUUUUAUAGAGAAAUUUUAUAUAUAAAAAAUAAAAUACUUUAAUUUAAAAGUACAUUUUGUUUAAUCACUUUAAUAGCUUUUGGAGUGAUGAAAAGUCUAAUUUCACUUUCCACCUAAAAUGAUUUUUUUGGUAAUUUUCUUACUGAGCUGGGACUCAAUUGAUAGUUGACGUCAACUCAGUAAAAAGCUUUAACACAGUAUAGAUAAAAAAAAGUUUUAAAUUAAAAUUUUUAAAAGAAUUUAGAGUAAACUACACCAGUCAUUCAACUAUAGGUAAGUUUUCGUUUUAAUCACUUAAAAAAAAUUACAAUUUGAUUACUAAUGCUUUCAUAAUUGUUUUUCUUUUUUGUCAUCCAAUUGUUAAGUCAUACUUGUUUUAGUUAGUAUAAUAAUAAUUUUAGUCCUCAAUUUUUAUAUUUUUUGUCAAUUUGACUCUGAUUUUGUUUAUAAUUACAAAAAAAAACUCACAAUUAUUUAUAAAAUAGAAAAAUGUAUAGAAAAAUUCUAGAAAAAUAAAAUCUUGAAUAUAUUGUUUCAUAACUAAAUUGUAUGAGAAAUAAAGAAAAUUGUCAUUCAAUAACAUCAGAUAAUAAAUUAAAAUAAAAAAAAAGCUAGAUUAUUAUAUGUUUCCUAAAUAUUUCUCAAAACUAAAUUAGUAGUAUUAUCAAACACAUUAAGAAUGAGAUUAAAAUAUGUUAAUUUUGUAGCUUAUCAUACCCCUAAACCACAACUAAAAAGUUUAAUCUGAUAUGGUGGCAUCCACCAUUAAUAAUUGACUCCCAAUUUUGGUUCUUUUUGUCUUGUUUCUCUUUGCACUCGUAGUUUUAGAUCAUCAGAGUCUUCAUGGUGGACCCUAAAGCUUAAAGGAGGCUAAAGAUGGUGGAAUCCAAGGUAGUGUGAAAUAACAUGGUCUUGACCUAUAACACUAAAAUUGCUCUAGCUUAAAUGAAAAUGAAAAUAUUUUGCAUGCAUGAUAUCUUUAGUUUAAAUCUUAUUAUCGAUAAAGUUUUAUUGAUUUAUGAAAAGAUGAAUAUACCUUUGUAAUUAUAUAUCUUACUUUACAAAUAAAAUGUUUUUUUUUAGCAAUUUUCUUAAUGUGUUCGGACUAAUUGAUGGUUGACACUAUGUCAGUAAAAGGCCUAAUACAUAAUAUAGAUUAAAAAAAUUUAAACUAAAAUUUUUAAAACAAUUUAAGGUAAAUUACACCAUUAGUCAUUCAACCAUGAGUAAGUUUUCGCUUUGAUCAUUUAACUAAAAAAAAUUACAAUUUAGUCAUUAAUAUUUUUGACAUUAUUUUUUUAAUCACUUGAGUGUUAAGUGGCACUUGUUUUAAUUGGUAUAAUAAUAAUUUUAGUAUCUUUUUUUUUAUAUUUUCUAUCAAUUUGACUCUUAUUUUGUAUAAAAUUAUAAAAAAAAACUCAAAAUUUUAAAAAUAGAAAAUGUUUAUAAAAAUUCUAGAAAAAUAAAAUCUUGAAUAUGUUGUUGAGUAACUAAAUUGUAUGAGAAAUAAAGCAAAUUAUCAUUCAAUAAAAUUCGAUAACAAAUUAAAAACAGAACAAAACCAAAAAAAGCUUCCUCAAUGUUUCUCGAAACCAAGUUAAUAAUAUUAUCAAGUUAAGUUUCAUGCCCUUGAAGAACAUCUAAAACUGAUAUUACCAAGGCUUAUGAAAUUGACCCUAAUGCCAUUUUUUAGUCAAAAGAAUACAAGAUAUAUAACAAACUUUCCUUUUUCAAACUUAAUUCAAUUUUUCAUUACAUUCAAAUUAUUUUUCAAAACUCAAAUUAUAAAAAUAAAUUAUAUUUAGAAAAAAAAUUUAUAACGUAAAAGUUAUGUCAAGAAACAGAGAAUAAAUAAUUUUGCUUAAUGUUUUUUCUACCUUUUUUACUAAGGAUUGUGUAUUGGAUAUUUCGAUACAGAUAAUAUAGAGAAAUUUUGUACGGCUUAAAAACAAUUAUCUCUCAUUUUCUCUCACUUUAUUUAUUUUUGAAAUUUUUAUCUACUUUUAUUUAAUUUUUUAUUUUAUAAUGUUCUAAAAUUUUAAAAAUAAUUUUAAUUUUUUACCAUUUUAUACAUUAUCAAGAUCAAAUUGACUGAAAGUAUAAAAUUUGAGGAUUAAAAUUGUUAUUAUAUCAAUUAAAAAAGUGUCACUUAACAUUUGAGAGAUAAAAAAAAUUUCAAAAACAUUAGUGAUGAAAUUGUAACUUUUUUAAUUAAGUGACCAAAACAAAAAUGCCCAUAGUUUAGUGACUAAUACUGUAGCCUUUUUUUGGUAAAAUGAAAAUUUGACCCUGAUUUUGUAUUAAAAAAAACUCAAAAUUAUUUAUAAGAUAGAAAAAUAUAGAUUAUUUAACAUAGGGAUUUUUUACCCAAAUCAUAUAAAAAAUAAUUACUUAUGAAAAUGGUAUGGAAUAUAGCUUAAUUACAAAAAUAAGGCAUUUGGUACAAUGUUCUGCUAGUGUCGCCUGGCAUAUUAGUAGUACUAGAUUAAAAUGUGAUGACCUAAUAUAUUCAAGGACUUGAUAUGUAAAUAUCUCAUUUUGGUUGGCUGUUGAAAAUAAGCUAUAAGAGUGUUGUGUGACAGUGUAGCGGCACAAAAUCUUAAAUAGGGUUAAUUUCUUUGUAAACCGUCAUUAUUUAUUAUUUUGUUUUUAUUCUUCUUCAACACCAAAAUCAGAAAGGCUUCUUACCAAUUAAUUCAGGUCAAAUUAUGUCUGGCAUAACAGUUAUCACUAUUGAUAGUAAUUUUCUUUGGCUCAUAUAUAUCUAAUAAAGUGUAAAUUUAACUAAUAAUUAUAAUUUAUAUAUAGUAAAUAUUUUUUUAAAAAUUUUAUAAUUAUAAUUUUAUAUGGUGCCCGUAAAUAAAAUUGAUAAAAAGAAUAUCUGUAAUGGCAGACAGCAAAGAAAAAGCUAAAAGAAACUUCAUAAUUUGCCUGUUUUUAUCUUCAGUUUCUUCUUAUCUCUUCUUCACUGCUUUUAAUUUGUUUCGAUGUCCAAGGUCUAUCACAAAUUUUGAAGCAUCCAGUCAACGUAAUUUUCUUUCAUUUCCUUAAUUCAUGACAUGCUUUUCUUUGCUUUUGAUUAUCUGCUACUGUUAUAGCAGCUAGCUUUGUAAGAUUGUCAAGGACGUGAACUUCACUGCUUCAUUUUCAGUUCUAAUCUCUCAACACUUUUCAGCCACUAAGUCAGGUAAUAGGAUCUGAGGCAAUGAUUUCCUCUACUGAUUAUCAACAGUUUUAGAUUUUAAGACAAGAUGAUCAGCACACAUAAUCUACUCUAGAUUGAAAUUAAUACAGAAAGAGCUACCCAGAAGCAAUAUAAUGUUGAAAUCUCAAACUGUUAACAUUUUAACUCUUCAUAUUCUGUAAUGAACUGGUGCACACUUGAAUCUAGCAUUUUAUAUACAUCGAGAGCUUAAUUCUAGUGACCAGAAUUUCAUCAUGUUUCUGUCUGCCACCCAUCCAUAGCUCCAUCUAAUAAACGCCAUUGCUUGAAACUUGCAUUCAUGCUUACACUGACAAUACUUCAUGAUAUAUCCAAUUCAUUCGCAGAUUUUCAUUCUCUGCUACUGUUAUAUAUGAUUGCAUUGCAGGGACAUAGCAAUGGAAUACGUAGAGCCUGUUGCCGGCAUUGCAACUUGUCUCGGAACUCCUGUUUGUAAAUAUUUGCAAUAUCACAGAAAGCUGAACGAUUAUGUGAGAAGCUUCAAGAGGAUCAGAGAUGAAUUGAAUUGCAAAAUGGAAGAUAUAGAGCUGCAAUUGAAAGCAGAGCUUCUUUCUCCUGGGAGGAAGAUACCAAAGCAGGGAGUUGAAAAUUGGUUGAAAGAUGCGAAUGAGAUGAUUGCGGAAGCACAGGAUGUGGAAAAUAAAGUCAGAAACGGGAGAUAUCUCUGUCGUGCUUGCAACGGGAAGCUGGUUGAUGAGAAGACUGGAGAAAUGAAGGGAUUUCUUGAUAAAGCUCCUAAUGCCUCUGAAGGUCUUGCCAUAGAUGGUCCAAGUGCUGGGUUGCCGCUGCCAACAUCAGAACUAGUUGGAGAGGAAGCUGUCAGAAAUGAGAUUUGGGCAUGUUUGAUGCAGGAGAAGGUGAGCAAGAUUGGGGUUUGGGGGAUGGGCGGUGUAGGUAAAACCACUAUCAUGAAGCACAUCCACAAUGAUCUUUUAAAGCAACAAAGAUUCGAAAGGGUAAUCUGGGUUACCAUAUCAAAGGAGUUCAAUGUAAUGAAGGUACAAGAUGAUAUUGCAGCUGCUUUGAAGUUGAAGGAAGAUUGGCCUAGAGAAGGAGACAAGCUCAGACGAGCUGCAAUCUUGUCAGAAAUUCUGAAGAAAGUAGGAAAGCAUGUUCUAAUCCUAGAUGAUGUGUGGGAUGAAGUCUCUCUAGAAGAAGUUGGGAUCCCUGAGCCGAGUGACAGCAAUGGCUGCAAGUUGGUGUUGACAACCCGUUCGGAGCAUGUCUUUAAGUAUAUGGGCUGCACGGUGAUAAAAGUGAAGCCCGUUUCAGCACAACAGGCAUUGACACUAUUCUUGAGUAAAGUUGGCCCGAACAUAGUGCAAAAUCAAACUUUAAUGCCAAUUUUGAGGCUCGUUGUUGAAGAAUGUGCGGGUCUACCUCUUACAAUUGUCGUCAUAGCUGGUACAUUGAGAGGAGAAGAUGACCCUCUUAUUUGGAAAAAUACACUAAGGGAAUUGAAAGAGAGAAUAGGGAAAGUGCAAGAAGGGGAAGAUAAAGUGAUCGAGAGUUUGAAAGUUAGCUUCAAUCACUUAAAAGACGAGAAAAUGAAGCAUUGUUUCUUACAUUGUGCAUUAUAUCCCGAAGAUUUUGGAAUUGAAAAGCAUGGGCUAAUUGAUAGCUGGAUUGAAGAGGGAUUCAUAGAUGACAUGAGUACAAGACAAGAAACGAAAGAUAAGGGCCAUGUUAUUUUGAAGAAAUUAGAAGAUAAUUGCUUGUUGGAAAAGGUCUCGAGUGUAACAGUGAAAAUGCAUGAUGCAGUGAGAGACAUGGCAUUGUCGAUCACAAGAAUGAAUCCUCGAUAUAUGAUACAAGCAGGUUCGCAAUUAGAAGAGUUACCAGAAAAGGAGCAAUGGAGUCCGGAUAUUGAGAAAGUGUCACUUAUGUAUAACUCCAUAUCAGAAAUUUCCAUAGAUGUGCUGCCCACAAAAUGUCAACUGCUCACAACCUUGUUAUUGCAGGAGAACCCUAUAAAGAAGAUCUCAAGUUCUUUCUUCACAAACAUGCCUUGUCUUAGUGUUCUCAAUUUGUCCUCUACGAAGAUCAAAAGUUUACCAAAUUCCAUCUCUGAACUAAAGAACCUCACAACAUUGUUGCUUUGUGGUUGUGAAGAAUUAAGAGAUCUGCCAUGUCUUUCGAUGCUUCAAGAAUUGAAAAAGUUGGAUCUUUCUGGGACUAAAAUUGAGGAAGUCCCUGAAGGAAUGGAUAUGCUGAUAAAGCUAAGAUAUCUUGAUCUUAGAGUGCGCACUCUGAAAGAGAUACCCGCGGGACUUUUACCAAAACUCGUUCACCUUCAGCACUUGGGUUUUCAUGAGAACAAUGAAAAAACAAGUCUAAAAGCAGAGGAGAUGGAACCAUUGAAGAAGUUGGAGUACUUAACCGGACAUUUCGAAGACAUCAGUGAAUUCAAUAAGUUCAUCUCCUCAAUGCAACAAAGUAAGAAAAAUAUCAUCAAGUACUUUUUACAGGUGGGCUCAUAUAAUGUGUGUAUUGGAAGGGAGAAAAAAGUAACAAUUGGAGGAGUCCAGAAUUGGGAAGGUGAGUUAAUUAUGCACCCAAUUGAAAUUCGAGAUUUGACUAUUAUAAGGUGCGACUAUUUCAGAAACUUAGUCGAUGAUGAUUCUUCCUUCAAAAAUGCGAUUGACUUGAGGGUUUGUAGGAUUUGGGGGUGUGAAGGGAUAGAGUGUGUUGUUUCCCUGUCCUCUUUUGCCUCUUCUUCCGCUCAUCUAUUUCAGAGCCUCGAGGUGUUGUAUCUUCGUGAUCUGCCAAAGCUGAGUGCCUUUAUUAUGAAUGAUGCAGGAAUUGGUUCAGCAACAACAUCAACAUUGGCUCCGUCUGCCACCUUUUCCCAUCUCAAGGAAAUUAUGAUAGUGAACUGCUCAAGUAUGAAGACGCUGCUUCCACAUUGGUUGCUUCCAAACCUCCAAAACCUGGAAGAAAUAGAUGUGGAUGCUUGUAGUCAGCUAGUAGAAAUAUUGGGAGCAGCAACAUCAGAAGUCGAAGAAAAAGGGAGUGAUGCAUUAAUCAAAUUCCAUCUUCCUAAACUGAGAGUGCUGUCAUUCUGGGAAUUACCAAAUUUGAAGAGCAUAUGCAGCAAAAGUGGAGUGAUGGUUUGUGAUUCUCUCCAACUUAUCCAAGUUGCUGGAGACUGUUAUAAACUGAAGAGAAUUCCUCCAUUUGUUCCUCUUGUUGGCAAUGGGCAGCCAUUUGCAUAUGCUCCACCUUCUCUUACCAUCUUCUCAAGCACAGCAUGGUGGGAAUCGUUGGAGUGGGAUGACCAUCCAAACUUUAAAAAUGUUCUUCGCUUCAACCCCCGUUGAGGAUAAGAGGUAUGAACCAUUUAUGGUUUAGUUUAUUUUUUUUAUUUUGAUAAAUCUAAUUUCUCCAUAUUAAUUAAAUUUGAAGUAUAUUUGUGAAGAUGUUGAAGAGAAAGAUAAAAGGGUUGGUGGGAAAGAAGUAGGGGGAGGAUAGUGCAAAAGAGAGGAGAAAAGGAAUGAUGGAAGAACAUGGAGACUGAGGGGCAAAGGUAAAUAAGAAAUCAAACUGUCUCCCCUUUUUAAACAUUUUCCCUCUCUUGCCAUUCCUUCUAUUCUCUUAUAUAUUCUUCUCUAGUAUAUAUAUAUAUAUAUACACUUCCCAAAAUAACCUUCUAAAUAUUUAUUAUUAAAAUAUUUAUAUUAAUCAAAAUGAUUUAAGGUGAGACAAAACUAUGAUCAUAGUUUUAUUUCCAAUAAAAGUUAGGAAAGUAUUGUAAAAAGACAUAAUAUUUUUUAAUUUCCAUGUAAAAUUUCUGGAAACAUUAAGAUUUAAAAAAUAAUAAUAUAGUUAGAAAUUAAUACCAAGAGAGCUACCCAGAAGCAAUAUAAUGUUGAAAUCCCAAACUGUUGAACAUUUUACCUCUUAAUAUUCUGUUGCACACUUGAAUCCAGCAUUUUGUAUACAUUGAGAGGUUAAUUCUGGAUAUACAAAUUUCAUCAUGUUUCUGUCUGCCACCCAUCCAUGGCUCCAUCUAAUAAACGCCAUUGCUUCAAACUUGCACUCAUGCUUACACUGACAUAUCAAAAAGCCAAUACAUUCACAGAUUUUCAUUCUCUGCUACUGUUAUAUUUGCAUGGACAUAGCAAUGGAGUACGUAGAGCCUGUUCUUGGCAUUGCAAAUUGUCUCGGAACUCCGGCUUAUAAAUACUUGCUGUAUCACAGAAAGCUCAAUGAUUGUGUGAGAAACUUCAAGAGGAUGAGAGAUGAGUUGAAUUGCAAAACGGAAUAUAUAGAGUUGCAAUUGAAAGCAGAGCUUCUUCGUCCUCUGGGGAAGAUACCGAAGAAGGGAGUUGAAAAUUGGUUGAAAGCUGUGAAAGAGAUGAUUAGGGAAGCACAAGUUGUUGAAAACAAAGUCAGUAACGGGAGAUAUCUCUGUCGUACUUGCAACGGGAAGCUGGUUGAUGAAACGACUCGAGAAAUGAAGGAAUUUCUUGAUAACGCUCCUAAUGCCUCUGAAGGUCUUGCAAUGGAUGGUCCAAGUGCUGGGUUGCUACUGCCAACAUCAGAACUAGUUGGAGAAGAAGCUGUCAGAAAUGAGAUUUGGGCAUGUUUGAUGCAGGAGGAGGUGAGCAAGAGUGGGGUUUGGGGAUGGGCAUAAAAAAGUAUUAAAAUAGAUCAUUGCUAAUUCUCUGUUUUCUUAAUCGGUAAGUUUCUCUCUUCAAAUCCUUUUAUUUCUUUAUUGAAUCCAUGGCAUAUCAUUUGCAAACCGAUUUCUGUACAGUUUGUUUGUUCAAUUUUCACUUUCCAGUUUUUUUCUUGAUUUAGAUGGAAGAUUCUUUUGCUGCAUUUGAAGAGUUUCUAAAAAUUUUAGUGUUUUCCUAAAUCUAACUUUCUCGACACCAGGUGCACGUAUAAAUUCCUUUCGUGGAGAUUAUUUAUCAUGUUUGUGUGUUUCGUCUUUUGAGGUUGAGCUGUUUUUAUUUUCAAAAAUAAAUAUUUAUUUUCUUUUGCAUUUAUUUCUAAGAUCACCAUAAAUUGUUUAGGGUUGUCGAUUUUGGGGAUUUUAUGGAUAAAUUUUUUUUCAUAUCAGAUGCUCCAACUUUGUGCUUAUGAGUGAUCUUCAAACCUAGGUUAAUGCUGCUCUGACGAAUGAAGAUACUUGCAUGGAUGGAUUCUUAAGCAGGGCUAUGAAUGGGUAUGCAAAGAUGAUGGUGAGGAAACGAAUUAUUAAGAUUACACAAUUGACGAGCAAUGUUUUGGCUCUCAUCAAUAACUACGCUUCAUCUCAGAUCCUUCAUUGAUUUUCUUGAGAAAAUUUUGAUGGCAAGGAAAGCAUUGUGUUUCAUGGAUUUAUGUUCAAUAUGGGAUUUUAUGGUUUUCGAACAAGACUUAAGUUUUUAAGGUACUGUAGAUUGUGUUCUCAAUUCUAUGUUUGUGGUUAUUGAUUUUUGCAAUUGUAUCGGUUUGAAUAUGAAAUUUGUGUUCGUGUAUAUUUAGGGGUUUUUUUAUUGUUCUUUUAGUAAUUUUAAAGCCAUUUACUGAUGUGGUAUAUAAGAGAAAAUAAUGUUCUGUUAGUAUCUAAAUUCAUUUGGACCGUCAUGUCAGAGGUUAAUGUUGACCGUUAAAUAGCUAACGGCCACAUCAGCCUCUAUGUUAAAAACAAACCAAUUUGUUAGAAAUUUAAAUUUUACACUAUAAAAUUAAUUUUUAAAAUUAACUAUUCAAUUUGUAAUUGAUUUUAUUAAAUUAAAAUAUUCACUAAUUUUUAAAAAUAUUCUCCAUGUUAAUUAAAAAAUAUUUAAGAAUUCAGUUAAAUGAUAAUCAAUUUAUAUUAAAAUUAACUAUUCAAUUGGUUGUAUUAUUUCAUUAAUGUUCUUAUAAUAUUAUUUCAUUUUUAUUUAUAGACACCAACUUCAAAAUCAGAAGAGAAUUAAUUUACGAGAAGAUAUGAUUUAUACUGUAAACGAUAAAUAAGAUAUUAUCAAUUGAUAUGAUAAAAAUUUAAAUAAUAUAAAAAGAGUAGCAAAAUAAAUUGAAAACAUUUGAUAUGGUCUAAAUGAACUAUAAUAAAAGGAUUAUAUAUUUUGAAAUGGUGAUUUGAGAGACAACUAAUCAAUCCUACUAUCUUGUCUUUUUUAAAUAAUUUGGGAUCAAAGAUCCAUCAAAGAUGACUCACAUAUGUUUCCCAAAGAUACGAUAAAUAUAUAUAUAUAUUCCUAUCAAGCAAGUUGACAGCUAAAGGGUGCAAUUUUGACGUUGCUAAAUUCUCUAGCAUCAAAGAGGCAAGAUAUGUUGCAAACAAGACAUAAAUUACCAAUAUCAACCCCUACUUUUGUAUGAUAGAGAAAAUAUGAUGUACAAGUUUACAGUCAUGGAAUGUAUUAGGUGCAUUGAAGAUAAUUCGGUGUUAGAAUCAAAGAUAUUUAUCGGUAUUUUUGUUAAUUGUAAAAUUGUGCAUAAACUGGAAAAAAUGUUUGAUUGCCAUUACAAGAAUUUCUUUAAAGUUAAUAGUUUGAAAGAUAAUUUUAAGUAGGAGUUGGAAGGCAUUGCUAUAAAGAGAAUCUAAAGAAAGUAAUUUCAUUUUGAGUUUCAAGUGAAAGGAAUGAAAGAAAGGUUGCUUAAAUAAAUACGGAAUUGGAUAUUGAGCUGUUUUGAAUAGUUGGAGCGAAGGACACAUGGACCAUAUGAAAUUCUAGUCUACCAAAGUAAUGCUAAUCAGAUUCCUCUUUGGAAAUGACCAACUUUUCAAAACAUUGUCAAUCUACCUUGAAAGGUGGCAUCGGUGAAAGAAUCAAUCAUGAAAUAUUAAAAUUAUACUAAAAUGACUAUAAAGAUUUAUUUCCCCCAUAAAUAAACAUAUUCUUAUUCUUCCUUAAAAAUUAACAUGAUUUUAUCUUAAUAUACAUGUAUAUAUAUUUAUGUGUCAAAAUAGCCUUCUAAAAUAUUUAUUUUAGAAAAUAAUUUAUAUAAUACAUAUAAAAUUAAUUAUAAACUUAUUUUGAUAUGAUGUCGAAAUUAAAUAUUAUAAUGGUCCUUUACCACAUUCAACACUAACUUUUAUUUUAUUAUUUUUUUAAAAAUAAACUUUAAAUUUUAUAAUAAACAGCAUACAUAGGCUUCAAAUUUUAAGUUUAAAAUAUGGGAUAAUAGUUUACUAUAGACCCAUCCAUGGGCCCUUGACCAGAGUCGGGUGUAUAUAGAUAAAGGUUUUUAUAAUUUGGGUCGGUCCAACUCAAAUUUAAUUUAAAUAAAAAAAUUAUUUUUAAAAUUUAAAUUUAAUUAUAAAAAUAUGCUUCUUUUUUUUUUUUUGAACAUUGAAACGAACUGUUUAGGUAGAUCGAGUUGGGUUGAAAAUGGGUUUGGACUUGAAAAUUUUAGAUUUUUUUAAGAGAAUAAUAAUAUCAAGGAGUCUAGUAAUUAAAAAUUUUAUAUUAAAUUUUUACUGUUUGAAAUCUUCUAAUAACAUAAAAAAAAAUUUAAACCAAAGUUUUUAAAAGAAUUUAGGGUAAACUACACCAUUAGUCACUCAAAAAAGGGUCAAUUUUCAUUUUGAUCACUUAACUAAAAUAAGAUACAAUUUAGUCACUAAUGUUUCUAGAAAAAAAUUUUGGUCACCCGACUAUUAAGUGGCGCUUACUUUAGCUGGUAUGAUAACAAUUUUUGUCACAUCCCAAAAACCAAGUUCGUAGAAAUUGGGUUUGUCAAACCAAGAGUGGUGACGUCCUAUUUUUGAGUUAAGAUUGUGAAAAUUAUGUUAAGUAAAUUGAUUUGGUUCAGUGGUUAAGUGCUUUGGAUGUGUUUAAGGUCUUGUGUUCAAAUCUUUUCCCUUAAAUUUUCAUUAUUUUUGUCCUAACUUUCAUCUCUGAACAUCUAGCUUAUAUAUUAUUUUUGCUCAAUUGAUAAUUAGAAUGAGUUUACUAGUUUAGUGGUAAGGCUUUAGUUUACUUAGAGGUCUUGUGUUUGAAUCUUAUGUGUGUAAAGUGAAAUUAUUUUUGUUUUUAAACUCUAAGAAUUUUUUUUAUAAGGAUAGCUAAUCAAAUUGAGUGUGGAAGUUUUCCAUUUUCCUACAAACUUUCCCCAAAAUUCGCCUCAUUCUGUCGUCCACUUCUUGCCACAUUGUUCACGUUUUCUUUUCCCUUUUCUUCUUCCAUCUACUGAUUUCUAUUUUCUUUUUGCUUUAGUAGUUUUGGAGCCUUCCUUUCUCAUCUUUGCUCUACUAUUUUCUUUUGUGUUAUUAUAUUGGUACGUUGUUGAAUCUCUGUAAUUCCUUCGGGUAAGUGUUGGUUAUUUGUUUUAUAUAAAUGUGGUGUUGGUUUAAUCUUUCAAGUGAUUGAUGGAUUCAAGUUUGAUCUUUGUAAUGUGUUGUUAGGAGAAGAUCGACAGACUCGUGAAUUGUCUCCAGCGGUUUAAGUGCGGGAAAGGGCUGUUGUUCUUGCAAGGGUAAGUGAUUAAAGUUUUCAACUUGAGGUUGAUUCGGUUGUUUAGGCUAAGUGUUUAGCAUUUGUGAUCGAAUUAGUAACUUGGAUUUAGCAUAUUACUAAUAAUUCUUACAUUCUAAAAUGUCGAUUUAGGUAUUGGAAUCCUCGUAUUGGUGUUAACAUCGAAAAUUGAGCAGGUGUGUAACGGAAAAAUCAAAAAAUAGCGAACGGCAAGAUGUCAAAAAACCCACUAUCGACGUCACACAGCCAUGUGCCAAGUUAUGUGGGUCAUACGGGCUGGGUUAUUUGGGCCAUGUGUGUCAGGCUGUGUGCCAGGCCGUGUGGGGCCAUUUUUCGUAAAAUUCUGUCAGGGUCAUUUUUGAAGUGCAAUUUAAAAUUAGUCACUUCUUAGGUUCUGAAAUGUGUUAUGUAUGCAUUCUGGAUACGAAAUUUGAUAUUUUGUUUCUGUUAAUGUGGUUUUUGAAAGCAUAUUAUUCAAUAUUGACAUUGUACGUGUAACAUUUGAGAGUAUGUCUAUGGUAUAAUUUAUGCUUCUGAUCUGUAAUUUGAGAAUCUAUUUAAGCAUGAUUCAUUUAUGUGCAUCUAAGUAUGUAAAAUGUUUUGAUAUGUGCAUUGGGGUGGUAUGAUGAUGUGAUGGAGGAGGUAUUUGGCAGUUUAACUGCAUACUAAUAUUUAUAAGCCAUCGUUGUCGAGCAACUCGAGAUAACUUAAUUUGUGGUUUAAUAUAACUUAAUUUGUGGUUUAACCUCAUAUCUAAUAUGGUGGAUUGAACUCAUUUAUUGAUUUUGGCAGAAUAUCGCAUUAUUUAUGGCAGCUUGACUAUGACUACGCUAUUCUAAAAAGUGAUAUACGCUCACUUAUUGGUGUGACGGAUGGAUGGGCUCUUAUAGUCCUAUUUGGUGUGUAUUGGUGGGAUGGAGAUGGUGUUUAGUGGAUAGGUGUAGGAUCUAUUUCUGUGUCUGUAUUUGCAUCUGUAUUUGUAUCGGCAUCUGAUUUUAUAUAUGAGAUUGCAUCUAUAUCUGAAAUUGAAAUUAUAUAUGUAAUUGAAUUGUCUCUAUUUAUGUAACUGUUACUGUAUUUGAGUCUAUUCUGCCUGUUUGGGUUGAGUUACACACUAAGCCUAUAAGCUCACCCAAGUUCUUUGGCUUUUCAGAUAAUCGGCAUACUAAGGACCAAACGACGUGCAGAAGCUCAUAUUGGGUUCUCAGUUAUUUAAGUAUGAUGGUUCAUGUUUUUAAAUUAUUUUGGACUUUCUAGAUUUUUUGGGGGGUUGUAAAUCUGUUUCUGUAUUUUGCUUUUACGUUUGGGUUUGCUUAGUUGAAUUUAGUAAUUAUUACUUAAAACUACAAAGUUUUGUGUUUUGCAAAUUAAGUCACGAUUUUCGAAAUUUAAUACUUUGAAAUUUCUGCUGCAAAAUAAAGUAAUCAUUUAAGUGUUUUUCUAUAAUAAAAUAAAUAGUUUUAACGAAUGUUUUCUUAAAAACUAGAAAGUGAUUUGCCAGAAUUAAUAUUGCCAAAACACACGAUUUCAAAUUCAAUUUCUAGGUUUUUAAAUAAGUUAAUGUAAUUCCUCCAAAUUUGGUCAUAACGUCUAGGUCGGGUUUGGGAUGUUACAAUUUUAGUCCUUAAUUUUUAUAUUUUUACCAAAUUGACCCUAAUUUUAUAUAAAAAUUAUAAAAAAACUCAAAAUCAUUUAUAAAAUAGAAAAAUGUACGUAAAAUUUUAGAAAAAGAAAAUCUUGAAUAUGUUGCUGAAGAACUAAAUUGUAUGAGAAAUAAAGAAAAGUAUCAUUCAAUAGAAUCCAAUAACAAACUAGGCACAUAAUACAAUAAAAAAGUUAGACCAUUACAUACUUCCUCAACGUUUCUCGAAACCAAAUUAGUAAUAUUAUCUAGUUGAGUUUCAUGCUCUUGAAGAACAUUUAGAACCGGCAUUACAAAGAUUUAUGAAAUCGACCCGGAUGUCAUUUUUUUUAGUCAAAAGAUUACAAAAUAUACCACAAAAUUUUUUUCAAAUUCAAUUCAAAAUUUAAUUAUAUUUAAAAUAUUUUUCAUAACCCAAUUUGUAAAAACAAAUUAUGUUUCUUCUUCCAUGGUCGAGUUGGGCUUGGAAAAGGUUUUUAUGUCUUGACCCGUUACAACUUGAAUUCAAUUUAAAUAAUAAAAGAUAUUUUUAAAAUUUAAAUUUAAUUAAAAAUAUAAAAAUGUUUUUAAUAUUUUAUUAUUUUCUGAACUCUCAAAUGGACUUUUGGAGUGACCAAGCUAGGCUAAAAAUGGGUUAGGCUUGAAAAAAUUUUAGAUUAUUUAUAAGAGUAUAUCAAGGUGUCUAACAAUUACAAUUUUUUUUUGAAAGGUCUUAAUAACACUAGAAAUCUUAUCACACACAUAUGCAUGUGAAAAUCACGUAUUUAUAACACAGACUGUGUUUAAAAAUAACAUACAAUGAAUACUGAAAAGUAUAAUUUGGAACUAAUUAAUAAUAACACGUGAAAUAUGUAUGAUAUUAAAAUAAAAAUUAGAUUAAAUUGAGAGUAAAACAAAAUCUAAACACAAAAAUACAUCAUAUUAAGAAUACUAAAUGAAUACAAAUGUUUAUCAUUGUUUUGUCUUCAAUCCCGAGUUGGUGAUGCUAAAUCAAUAACAUUAUUUACAUACACAAAUAUAUAAAAACUUAGAACACAAAUGUUAUGACAUGUACAUUUCUGACAUUUGUUAAUUCUGCAUGUGCAUUAGGAUGAGAUUUGUGUUUACGGAGGAAGUGUGGGAGUUUAAUUCAUUUGCCUUAUUUGGUGGCUUAGCCACACAUAUUUCUGCAUUUGGCGAUGAAUCACCUAAUGAUCUGGCAGUUAGGCUGCGAAUACUUUGAAAAGUUUUAUAUCGACACUAAGUGGUGUGUAGGGUUUGAUGGUUAUUUAAUACCCUAUAUGGUGUGUAGGGAUGGUCGGAGAUGGUGCGUAACGGAUCGGAGUAGGAUUGUAAUCUACACCUGAUAUGUUCUGAUUCUGUUUCUGUAUAUGAUAUAUGUCUAAUUGACUUCCAAAAGCAUGUUUGAAAAUUAAAUCUAAUAUUUUAACUCUUAUAAGUUACACAUUGAGCUUGUAAGCUCACUCUCAGUUUCUCUUAUUCUUAGGCAAUCCUUAGAUUUAGGUGGGUAGGUGUGACUGGAGCUCGGUUAAUUAUCUUCUUGGUAUAUUUGUUAUUUUAAUUUGGUUUAUUCUAUGUUGGUUUUGAAUUGUUUUUGGACUGUUUUUAAGUUUAGGUUUAUUUUCAUUUUAUUUAUUUAUUUAAACGUUUUUGGUUGGUUUAAAUUUGAUCUACAAAAUGUUAAAUUACAUAGCAACAAACCGUGUUUUCAAAAUCGAACUCAACUAAAAAUUUUCGCUGCAAACGUAAGUGUUUUACGAGUAAAUAAUCGACAAAUUUAUCGAAAUGGCUAAGAAGGAUAUUUUCCCCAAAUAAACUCGGAUUUUACUUAAUAAGAGCUAGCAUUGUUUUAUAAGUCGAACGGAUUUUGGAUUUUCAAAUAAAUUGUAGUAACAUCUCCAGAUUUGGCCAUAACGUCUAGGCCGGGUUUGGGGUGUUAUAGAGCCUAUAAGCUCACCCAAUGUUUCUAACUUCUCAAUUAAUCAACAUAUUUAGGACCAGAUGACGUGCAGGAGAUCAGAUUGAGUUCUCAAUUAUUUAAGUAUGAUGGUUCAUGUUUUUAAAUUAUUCUGGACAUUCUAAUUUUUUUGGGGGUUGUAAAUCUUUUUCUGGAUUUUGCUUUGCUUAGUUGGAUUUAGUAAUUAUUACUUAAAACUACAAGAUUUUGUGUUUUACAAAUUAAGUCAUGGUUUUCAAAUUUUAGUACUCUAAAAUUUUCACUGCAAAAUAAAGUAAUCACUUAAGUGUUUUUCUAUAACAAAAUAAAUAGUUUUAAUGAUUAUUUUCUUAAAAAUUGAAAAGCGAUUUGCCAGAAUUAAUAUUGUCAAAACACACAAUUUCAAAUUUAUUUUUUGGGUUUUUAGACAAGUUAAUGUAAUUCCUCUAGAUUCGACCAUAAAGUAUAAACCAAGUUUGUGGCGUUACAAUUUUUGUCCUCAAUAUAUAUAUAUAUAUAUUGAUCAAUUUGACCCUGAUUUUAUAUAAAAAAAUUAAAAUCAUUUAUAAAAUAGAAAAAUGUAUAUAAAAUUCUAGAAAAAUAAAAUCUUGAAUAUGUUGUUGAAGAACUAAAAUGUAUGAGAAAUAAAGAAAAUAUCAUUCAAUAGAAUCCAAUAACAAUAAAGAAACAAAACGAAAUAAAAAAGUUCAGUUUCAUGCUCUUGAAGAACAUCUAGGAUUGAUAUUACAAAGACUUAUAAAAUCAACCCGGAUGUCUUUUUUUUCCUUGUCAAAAGAUUACAAAAUAUACCACAAUUUUUUUUCAAACUCAUUUCAAGUUUUAAUUAUAUUUAAAUUAUUUUUCAGAACCUAAAUUGUAAAAACAAAAUGUGUUUCUUCUUCCAUGGUUGAGUUGGGCUUAGACAAGGUUUUUAUGUCACGAGCUAUUUCAACUAGAAUUCAAUUUAAAUAAUAAAAAAUAUUUUUAAAUUUUAAAUUUAAUUAAGAAUAUAAAAAUGUUUUUUAAUAUUUUAUUAUUUUUUGAACUCUCAAAUAAACAUUUCUGGGUUGACUGAGCUGGGCUAAAAAUGGAUUAGGCUUGAAAAAAUUUUAGAUUAUUUUUAAGAGUAUAUCAAGAAGUCUAAUAAUUACAAUUUUUUAAAAAGGUUUUAAUAACACUAGAAAUCUUAUCACACGCAUAUGAGUGUGAAAAUCACGUAUUUAGAACACAUAUUUGUUGGUAAAAAGAACAUACAAUAAAUAAUGAAGAGUAUGAUUCGGAACUAAUUAAUAAUAACACAUGAAAUAUGUAUGAUAUUAAAAUAAAAAUUAGAUUAAAUUGAGAGUGAAACAAAAUUUAAACACAAAAACACAUGAAUAUUAAAUGAAUACAAAUGUUUAUCAUUGUUUUGUCUUCAAUACUGAGUUGGUGUCAUGUUCAUUUGUGACGCUAAAUCAAUGACAUGAUUUACAUAUACAAAUAUAUAAAAAUUUAGAACACAAAUAUAGUUAUUAAAGUUUCAAAUGAAAACAUUAUAACUAAUGUAAAUGAAAAAGCUUUAUAUGCAUGGUGUCCCCUAGUUCAAAUAUCAUUAUGGGUAAAUUUUUAUUGAUUUAUAAAAAAAUAUAAAAUGAUGAAAACACCCUCAUAAACAUAUAUCUUACUUUGUAAAUAAAAUAGUAUUUUUGGUAAAAUUUUUAAAAGAAUUUAGGGUAAAAUUCAACUAUGAUUAAGUUUUUAUUUUGGUCACUUAACUAAAAUAUGUUACAAUUUGAUCACUAAUGUUUUAGAAAUUAUUUUUUUUUUGACACCCAACUAUUAAGUGGCACUUGUUUUAGUUGGUAUAAUAAUAAUUCUAGUCAUCAGUUCUUAUAUUUUUUUGUCAAUUUGACUCUGAUUGUGUAUAAAAAAUUAUUAAAAAAGCUCAAAAUAUUUAUAGAAUAGAAAAAUGUAGAUAAGAUUUCUAGAAAAAUAAAAUCUUGAAGUUGUUGAAUAACUAAAUUGUAUGAAAAAUAAAGAAAAUUAUGAUUUAAUAAAAUACAAUAACAAAUUGAAAACAAAACAAAGUUACAUUUUGCACCUUAUACUUGUUCAUAAUAGCUAAUAUUCACAUAAUUUUUCAAUUCACAGCUAAACAUAUAGAUGAAAUAUUCAAGUACAAUUUACACAUAAUAUAAAACCAGAGAGUAAGUUUCAAAUUUAAUGUCACACCCUGAUACAACUCAUUGACUUGUAUAUUUAAUUUCAAGAUGUAUAUUCAAUACUGACAACUUCAACAAUGCAAAUCCUUUAGUAAUGGGGUGCCAAUAACUAUACCUAACGCAGCUCCUUUACUUGUCUAUUUAAUUUCAGGUUAUGCAUUCUGAUACCCUGCCAACUAUUAUUUUUAUUAAAUAUUAUUUAUUGCCAUCUUCAAUGAUUUUGUUUUGAUCUCCAAGGUCUACCACAACAUUUCAAGCAUCCUGUCAAGGUAAUUAAUUUUCUUUCAUUUGCUUAACUCAUCACAUGCUUUUCUUUGCUCGAUUCAUGACUUUGCAACGAUUCUUUCUGAUUAUCUGCUACUCUUAUCAGCUAGCUUUGUAAGACAGCCAAGGAAGAAGUGAACUUCACUGCUUCAUUUUCAGUUCUAUUCACUCAACACUUUUCAGCCACUAAGUCAGGUAAUAAGAUCUGAAGCUAUGGUUUCCUCUACUGAUUAUCAACAGUUUUAGAUUUUAAGAUAAGAUGAUCAGCAGACAUAAUCUACUCUAGAUUGAAAUUAAUACAGAAAGAGCUACCCAGAAGCAAUAUAAUGUUGAAAUCUCAAACUGUCAACAUCUUAACUCUUAAUAUUCUGUAAUGAACUGUUGCACACUUGAAUCUAGCAUUUUAUAUACAUCGAGAGCUUAAUUCUGGUGACCAGAAUUUCAUCAUGUUUCUGUCUGCCACCCAUCCAUAGCUCCAUCUAAUUAACGCCAUUGCUUGAAACUUGCAUUCAUGUUUUCCUUUUCAUGCUUACACUGACAUAUCAAUACUUCAUAAAAUAUCCAAUUCAUUCACAGAUUUUCAUUCUCUGCUACUGUUAUAUUUGAUUGCAUUGCAGGGACAUAGCAAUGGAGUACGUAGAGCCUGUUGUCGGCAUUGCAAAUUGUCUCGGAACUCCUGUUUGUAAAUAUUUGCAAUAUCACAGAAAGCUGAACGAUUAUGUGAGAAACUUCAACAGGAUCAGAGAAGAAUUGAAUUGCAAAAUGGAAGAAAUAGAGCUGCAAUUGAAAGCAGAGCUUCUUCGUCCUCUGGGGAAGAUACCGAAGAAUGGAGUUGAAAUUUGGUUGAAAGCUGUGACAGAGAUGAUUGCGGAAGCACAGGAUGUUGAAAACAAAGCCAGUAACGGGAGAUAUCUCUGUCGUGCUUGCAACGGGAAGCUGGUUGAUGAAAAGACUCGAGAAAUGAAGGAAUUUCUUGAUAAAGCUCCUAAUGCCUCUGAAGGUCGUGCCAUGGAUGGUCCAAGUGCUGGGUUGCCACUGCCAACAUCAGAACUAGUUGGGGAGGAAGCUGCAAGAAAAGAGAUUUGGGCAUGUUUGAUGCAAGAGGAGGUAAAAGAGAUUGGGGUUUGGGGGAUGGGCGGUGUGGGUAAAACCACUAUCAUGAAGCACAUCCACAAUGAUCUUUUGAAAGAACAAAGAUUCGAAAGGGUAAUCUGGGUUACCAUAUCAAAGGAGUUCAAUGUCAUGAAGGUACAAGAUGAUAUUGCAGCUGCUUUGAAGUUGAACGAAGAUUGGCCUAGAGAAGGAGACAAGCUAAGACGAGCAGCAAUCUUGUCAGAAAUGCUGAAGAACGCAGGAAAGCAUGUUCUAAUCCUAGAUGAUAUGUGGGAUGAAUUCUCUCGAGAAGAAGUUGGGAUCCCCGAGCCGAGUGACAGCAAUGGCUGCAAGUUGGUGUUGACAACCCGUUCGGAGCAUGUCUGUAAGUUUAUGGGUUGUAAGGUGAUAAAAGUGAAGCCCCUUUCAGGACAACAGGCAUUGACACUAUUCUUGAGUAAAGUUGGUGUUGAAGUAAUGGUCAGCAUGCAGCAACCAAGACUGUCAAAGGCACUACAUGCAGAAGCUGCUGGUUCACCUAGUCAGCAAGCUGUUUAUGUUUCAUUUUGUAAUUUUAAGUUAGAGUAAUGUAACUUAGUUGCUUUAUAACUAUGUUAGGUUUAUGUUUAAUGUAAUUUUGAUGUUGACUGAGCUGAUAAAUCAGCUUUGUUUGUUUAUUCAAGCUAAUUAGCACAAGUUACUAUGUGUAUUAGUGGUAGUAGGUGAAGUUUAGGUCAACCUACUGUUUUGUCAAGAUUGUAAACUUGUUUUAUGUAUUGGCUUUGUGCCAUUUUUGGUUUGAUGAAUGAAUUCAAGAAGUUAUCAUCCAUAUGCUCUCCAUUUUUAGUUUUGCUUAAAAAUCCAUUUGAGUUUUCUGCUUUGUUUCUCCUACAAGUCACGAGACUUGCCAUACAAGCAUUCUGCUGAAGCUUGCUGCUGCUGCCUCUUGCUCCAACAAUUGGUAUCUAGAGCCACAUUCUUAGAGGACCUGUUGUAGUUCAGUAUCAAAACGAUGGCAUCAUCAGGUUUUUCACCAGCUUCACCACCUGUCUUCAAUGGAGAGGGCUUCAACAUUUGGGCAGUUAAGAUGAGGACUUACCUGCAGGCAUUCGACCUAUGGGAAGUUGUUAACUCAGAUACUGAGCCAGCACCUCUUCGAGCUAAUCCAACAGUUGCUCAAAUAAGGCAACACACUGAUGAAAGGACAAAAAGGCACAAGGCCAUGUCAUGCAUACAGAAUUGUGUGACAGAUGUGAUCUUUAUGAGGAUCAUGGCCUGUGAGACACCAAAGGAGGCUUGGGACAAGCUGAAAGAAGAAUUUCAGGGGACUGAGAAAACAAGGCAACAACAGCUGCUCAAUUUGAGAAGAGAUUUCGAAAAUCUCAAAAUGAAAGAGGAAGAAACAGUUAAGCAGUACUCAGACCAGAUUAUGGCUGUUGUAAACAGCAUAAGGCUCCUAGGAGAGCAAUUCAGUGAAGCUAGAAUGGUUGAGAAAGUCAUGUCCACUCUACCAGAGAGGUAUGAAGCUAAAAUUUCAUCCCUCGAAGACUCAAGGGACUUGACAACUAUCUCCUUAACUGAGCUAAUCAAUGCCUUGUAUGCACAAGAGCAAAGAAGAGCUAGCAGACAAGAGGAGCACCAGGAAGGGGCUUUUCAAGCCAAAGAAGCCUCGAGCAUCAAAACUCAUAAAGGCAAAAAGUUCUGGAAAAACAGGCCUAAGCCUGAUGCUGCUAGGAGCAGUGACCAACUCUGCAGACAUUGUAAAAGAGCUGGUCAUCCAGAAGAUAGAUGCUGGUUUAGACCAGAUGCAGUAUGCCAACACUGCAAGAAAAAAGGCCAUGUUGAAAAAGUUUGCAAGAAUAGAAGCAAACCAAGACAGAAUCAAUUUCAGCAACAAAAGGUGGAAGCUCGAGUAGCUGAAGAAAGCAGUGAUCAAGAAGAACAUGUUUUUGCUGUGUCAUGUGCAGGAAAUCAGAAGAAGGGUUCAAAGGGCUGGCUUCUAGACAGUGGGUGCACAAACCACAUGUCACCAGAUGCAACUAUCUUCAAAACCCUGGACAGAACCUGCAAAACCAAAGUAAAAAUUGGAAAUGGUCAGUUAAUCAAUGCUGAAGGAAGAGGAGAUGUGCUGAUUCAUACUUCUACAGGUGGCAAAAUCAUUUCAAAUGUACUUUUGGUACCUGAAAUCGAUAGGAACCUUCUCAGUAUAACUCAACUACUUGAGAAAGGUUACUCAGUUGUUUUCAAGGAGAAAGAAUGUCAAAUUUUUGAUCCAAGUGGAUCAAAUCUUAUAACAGUCACCAUGACUGAUAAAUGUUUUGAAGUAGACUGGCCAAAUGACUCACAUUCAGCCUGCAUAGCCUCCACUGAUGACUCGAGACUCUGGCAUCAGAGGCUUGGAAUGCAAACUACAAAUCCAUAGCCCGCAUGGUCAAUGAAGGUCUGGCAGAAAAUUUCAUUGAUUCAGUGAAGAAUGAUGAGCUUUGUGAGAUAUGUCAGCAAGGAAAAUUGGCAAGAUUGCCAUUUCCAACAAGCACAACAUGGAGAGCAUCAGAGAAGCUCCAGCUUGUGCAUACAGAUGUGUGUGGACCAAUGAAGACUGAGUCUCUCAAAGGAAGCAGGUACUUUAUUUUAUUUAUUGAUGACUUAACAAGAUACUGCUGGAUUUAUUUUCUAAAACAGAAAUCAGAAGUACCAUCUAUGUUCCUGAAGUAUAAGGCUGCUGUUGAAACUGAGUCUGGUUGCAAACUUAGAGCAAUGAGGUCAGAUAAUGGAACUGAGUACACCUCAGCUCAGUUCCAAGUCUACUGUGAAGAAGCAGGUAUCAAACACCAGUUGACUAAUGUGUAUACACCCCAACAGAAUGGGGUCAGUGAAAGGAAAAACAGAAGCUUGAUGAACAUGGCAAGAUGUCUUCUGUUUGAGAAGAAUUUGCCCAAAAGUCUGUGGGCUGAAGCUGUUAACACAUCAGUUUAUCUCCAAAACAGGCUCCCAACCAAGGCUCUGGCUGAGAAGACUCCAUUUGAAGCCUGGUUUGGGUUUAAGCCAUCACUGGCUCAUCUCAGAACCUUUGGUUGUCUGUGCUAUACUCAAGUUCCAGCUGAGAAGAGAAGCAAGCUAGAUAAAAGAGCUCAAGCAGGGAUCCUGAUCGGCUACAGCUUGGUUAAGAAGGGCUACAGAAUUCUAGAACCUGCUACAAACAAGAUAUUGGUUAGCAGGGAUGUUGUUUUCAAUGAAAAAGGACACUGGAAUUGGGAGAAGGCUGAACCAGAGGCAGUGGCUGAAGAUUUGGCAGUGGACCAAGUUGAAAAUGAUGAAAACACACCUGAAAUGGAUGUAGAUGAUGUUCCAAUCAGAGGCACUCGAUCACUGGCUGAUGUUUAUGAAAGAGCACAAGUGGCUACUGUUGAACCAAGUUGCUUUGAAGAAGCAGAAAACCAGGAGGACUGGAAGCAAGCCAUGAUUGAAGAAAUCAGAAUGAUUGAAAAGAAUCAGACCUGGAGUCUGGUUGAUAAACCAACAAACAGGAAAAUUAUUGGUGUCAAAUGGGUUUAUCGAGUAAAAAACAAUGCUGAUGGUAGCCUAAACAAGUUAAAGGCUAGAUUGGUUGUGAAAGGCUUCAGUCAAAGUUAUGGAUCAGACUACCUGGAAACCUUUGCACCAGUGGCCAGGCUAGACACUAUUAGACUGCUAGUUGCCUUAGCAGCACAAAAACAGUGGCUGAUACACCAACUUGAUGUAAAAUCAGCAUUUCUGAAUGGAUUCCUUGAAGAGGAGAUUUAUGUGGAGCAACCUCAAGGUUUCAAGGUGUCUGGCAAAGAAGAUAUGGUGUACAAGCUCAACAAAGCCUUGUAUGGCUUGAAACAGGCUCCAAGGGCCUGGUAUAGCAGAAUAGAUGGCUAUCUGACCAGUCAAGGAUUUGAAAGAAGUCUUAGCGAGCCAACUCUGUAUGUUAAAUCAACUAGUGCUGAAACUCAGCUCAUUGUCUCAAUAUAUGUCGAUGACCUACUGGUGACAGGAGGAGAUCAUGAGAUGCUAAGCAGUUUUAAAGUCAAAAUGCAACAGCACUUUGAAAUGUCAGACUUGGGAUUGAUGUCUUACUUCUUAGGCAUGGAAGUAACUCAAGCUAAGAAUGGGAUUUGGCUAAGUCAAAAGACCUUUGCUAUGAAGGUUCUCAACAAAUUCUCAAUGGAGAAUUGCAAAGCAACCAGCACACCAGUUGCUGUUGGAGAAAAACUCUCGAGCCAAGACAAGCAUGAAAAGGUUUGUGAAACAACCUAUCGAAGUCUAGUUGGAUGUUUGUUGUAUUUGACUGCUACUAGACCUGACAUAAUGUAUGCUGUGAGUCUACUCUCGAGGUUUAUGCAUUCUUCAAAUGAAAGUCAUUUUAGAGCUGCAAAAAGGGUUCUAAGAUACAUCAAAAGAACUUUGUCCUAUGGAAUGCAGUUUACCAAGGCUGAGAACUUGAGGCUAGUUGGAUAUUGUGACAGUGACUGGGCUGGUUCUUUGGAUGAUAUGAAGAGCACUACAGGUUAUGCAUUCAACAUAGGCUCUGCUAUGAUAUGCUGGAGCUCAAAGAAGCAAGGAGUAGUGGCUCAGUCGACUGCAGAAGCAGAAUAUGUGGCUGCUGCUGCAGCAGUCAAUCAAGCCAUAUGGCUUAGAAAAAUUUUGAAAGAUAUAAUCAUGAGCAAAAGGAAGCAACUGAGAUAAUGUGUGACAACCAAUCAGCAGUUGCUAUUGCAAAGAAUCCUGUUUUUCAUGGAAGGACCAAGCACUUCAACAUCAAACUUCAUGCAGUUCGGGAAAUGGAACAAGCUCAUGUUGUUAAGCUGAUACAUUGCAGUUCUGAAGAGCAAAUUGCUGAUAUUUUAACAAAAGCACUAAGUGUUUCCAAGUUUCAACACCUGAGAGCUAAUAUGGGAGUUUGCAACAUGCUAACCAAGGAGGAGUGUUGAAGUAAUGGUCAGCAUGCAGCAACCAAGACUGUCAAAGGCACUACAUGCAGAAGCUGCUGGUUCACCUAGUCAGCAAGCUGUUUAUGUUUCAUUUUGUAAUUUUAAGUUAGAGUAAUGUAACUUAGUUGCUUUAUAACUAUGUUAGGUUUAUGUUUGAUGUAAUUUUGAUGUUGACUGAGCUGAUAAAUCAGCUUUGUUUGUUUAUUCAAGCUAAUUAGCACAAGUUACUAUGUGUAUUAGUGGUAGUAGGUGAAGUUUAGGUCAACCUACUGUUUUGUCAAGAUUGUAAACUUGUUUUAUGUAUUGGCUUUGUGCCAUUUUUGGUUUGAUGAAUGAAUUCAAGAAGUUAUCAUCCAUAUGCUCUCCAUUUUUAGUUUUGCUUAAAAAUCCAUUUGAGUUUUCUGCUUUGUUUCUCCUACAAGUCACGAGACUUGCCAUACAAGCAUUCUGCUGAAGCUUGCUGCUGCUGCCUCUUGCUCCAACAGUUGGCCCGAACAUAGUGCAAAAUCAAACUUUAAUGCCAAUUUUGAGGCCCGUUGUUGAAGAAUGUGCGGGUCUACCUCUUACAAUUGUUGUCGUAGCUGGUACAUUGAAAGGAGAAGAGGACCCUCUUAUUUGGAAAAAUGCACUCAGGGAAUUGAAAGAGAGAAUAGGGAAAGUGAAAGAAGCGGAAGAUAAAGUGAUCGAGAGUUUGAAAGUUAGCUUCAAUCACUUAAAAGACGAGAAAAUGAAGCAUUGUUUCUUACAUUGCGCAUUAUAUCCUGAAGAUUUUCAAAUUUGGAAGUAUGGGCUAAUUGAGUGCUGGAUUGAAGAGGGAUUCAUAGAUGAUAUGGGUACAAGACAAGAAAUGAAAGAAAAGGGCCAUGUUAUUUUGAAGAAGUUAGAAGAGAAUUGCUUGUUGGAAAAUACUACCAAUGUAAAUGGUCAACCUUGCGUAAAGAUGCAUGAUGCAGUGAGAGAGAUGGCAUUGUCGAUCACAAGAAUGAAUCCUCGAUGUAUGAUACAAGCAGGUUUGCAAUUAGAAGAGUUACCAGAAAAGGAGCAAUGGAGUCCGGAUAUUGAGAAAGUGUCACUGAUGUAUAACUCCAUAUCAGAAAUUUCCAUAGAUGUGCUGCCCACAAAAUGUCAACUUCUCACAACCUUGUUAUUGCAGGAGAACCCUAUAAAGAAGAUCUCAAAUUCUUUCUUCAUAAACAUGCCUUGUCUUAGUGUUCUCAAUUUGUCCUCUACGAAGAUCAAAAGUUUACCAAAUUCCAUCUCUGAACUAAAGAACCUCACAACAUUGUUGCUUUCUGGCUGUUAUGAAUUAAGAGCUCUGCCAUGUCUUUCGAUGCUUCAAGAAUUGAAGAAGUUGGAUCUAAGUUGGACUAGAAUUGAGGAAGUACCAGAAGGCAUGGAUAUGCUGAUAAAGCUAAGAUAUCUUGAUGUUCAAGUGUUCACUCUGAAAGAGAUACCCGCUGGACUUUUACCAAAACUCGUUCACCUUCAGCACUUGGGUUUUCAUAAGGACAAUAAAAGAACCAGUCUAAAAGCAGAGGAGAUGGAACCAUUGAAGAAGUUGGAGAACUUAACCGGACAUUUCGAAGACGUCAGUGAAUUCAGUAAGUUCAUCUCCUCAAUGCAACAAAGUAAGAAAAAUCUCAUCAAGUACGAUUUACAGGUGGGCUCAUCUUUUAUGCGUGCUACAAGAGAUAAAACAGUAACAAUUGGAGGAUUCCAUGAUUGGGAAGGUGAGUUAAUUAUGCACCCAAUUGAAAUUCAACAGUUGAAUAUUUUAAAGUGCCACAAUUUAAGAAGCUUAGUCAAUGAUAAUUCUUCCUUCAAAAAUGCGAUUGGCUUGAGGGUUUGGUGGUGUGAAGGGAUAGAGUGUGUUGUUUCCCUGUCCUCUUUUGCCUCUUCUUCCGCUCAUCCAUUUCAGAGCCUCGAGAUGUUGGAUCUUAGUGAGCUACCAAAGUUGAGUGCCCUUAUUAUGAAAGAUGAAGGAAUUGGUCCAGCAACAACAUCAACAUUGGCUCCGUCUGCCGCCUUUUCCCAUCUUAAGGAAAUUACGAUAGACAGCUGCUCAAGUAUGAAGACGUUGCUUCCACAUUGGUUGCUUCCAAACCUCCAAAACCUGGAAGUAAUAUCAGUGUCACACUGUGAUAAGGUAGCAGAAAUAUUGGGAGCACCAACAUCAGAAGUUGAAGAAAAAGGGAGUGAUGCAUUAAUCAAAUUCCAUCUUCCUAAAUUGAGAAAGUUGAAAUUGUGGAGAUUACCAAAUUUGACGAGCAUAUGCAGCAAAAGUGGAGUGAUGGUUUGCGAUUCUCUCCAAGUUAUCCAAGUUGCUGGAGACUGUUAUAAACUGAAGAGAAUUCCUCCAUUUGUUCCCCUUGUUGGCAAUGGGCAGCCAUUUGCAUAUGCUCCACCUUCUCUUACCAUCAGGUCAUGGAAAGAAUGGUGGGAAUGGUUGGAGUGGGAUGACCAUCCAAACUUUAAAAAUGUUCUUCAACCCCUUUGGAAGGAUGGAAGGUAUGAACCAUUUAUAGCUUAGUUUAUUUUAUUUAAUUUAUAAAUCUAAUUUCUGAAUUUUAAAACCAUUUCAUGUUAUAUUUUAUUUUUGUUAUAAGAUGAUGCUGCCUCCAUUGCCGCCAAAGAAGUAGAAGAGAGUAGCAGCGCGGAGGAUGGUGCAAAAAAGGCGGGAAUAAAAGGAAUGAUGGAGCAUUGAGGAAUUGAGCAGCCACCAUAAUAAUUGACUCCUUUUCCAUUUUAAUAACAAAUUAUUUUAUUUGUAUUUUUAUAUAAAACAAUUAAAUUCAAAUAUUAUAUAAAAAAUCUUUAUAUGUUCUUAAUUGAAUUGAUGUAAUUCGUUAAUUGAAUUUUAAUAUUAUUUUCAUAAAAUAACAAAUAUUAUUUUGAGAAUAUUUUUAUUUUUUACAUAAAAUUUUAAAAUAUAUAUGUACAUGUUGAAAUUUAAAUCUAAAACAUCACAUUCUUUAAUACCUCAAUUCUAUUAUUUAAAAUUAUAGUACUCUUUACUUAUAUUGAUCUAUUGGCAUAAUCUUAAUUAGAUAUGUUUGUAUUGAUCGUAAAGUGAAAUUAUUUUUCUUAACAUUUAUAAUUGAUUAAUAUUAAAAUAUUUGAAAUUAAAAAUAAAUUACUAAAAUUAAUUUUAAAAAAAAUUAGAUUUAAAAUGGAAUUAAAAUAUAAUAUCAAAUUAUUACUACCUUUAUAGUAUAAUUUAUUGGAUAAACUACACCGUAGGUUAUUCUAAAACAAUAUUAUUUCUAUUUUGGUCACUUUAUUUUUUUAUCAAUUUAGUCACUUUAAUUAAAAUAAUUGCUUGAAUUAGACAUUGACAUGACAUUUUUUUUUACUUUUGACUAAAGCUAGGGAUUUUUCUAUUAGCCCAAAACAUUUGUUUUUGUUUAUUUGCAACCACAUAUCCUUGUCGCCACUCAUCCCCUGCUUUCCAUCUCUAUUGCUCCUCACUGCACCAUAAGAACUACGUUUCAUCACAAUGGUGUACAAAGAGUGUUGGUUGUGUUUUGACUAUCGUACAAAUUAGUGUAGAAAUACAAACGGCAAACUUCCAAGUGGAUACUAUUGGGAAACUAUAGGUGAAGUUGGAGUGAAAGACACAAGCCGUCAUGUAAGGACCUACGGCUAUCGUCGAAUCUUGCAUGGCGACUGGGGAUAUGACAGAUUUUUUAGUUCUGACGAGGAACUUGGAUCCGAUAUCCAGAGUCCAUUUCCACUUAUCGUUAUUGUAUAGCUCAGAUUUUUCGCCAAGAAUCUUCUUGGUUAGAACAUAGUCAAUAGCUAAGACAAGGUGAAAGAGAAGCAACAAGGAAGCUAAAAUGGUAACAAGCUUGGGAAAGGAUUGAGUAGAAACUGACUUCUUCAUGGACUCAGUAUGGGAUCCAGGAAGGGAAAAACUCAAUCUUUAAGAACAAAUGAAAAAAACCAAAGGAAUCCGCUUUCAAAUAAAUUUACCUUUGAGGCUUUGUUAGUGUUUUGGAUUAAUUAUAGAGAGGUUCCUAAUUUUAGUAAAAAGUAAAAAAAUGAAUGUCAUGUCAACAAUCAGUUAGUGGGUUAAUGCGAUAGUGACCAAUUCAAAUAAUUAGUAUAAUAAAAAAAUUUGCUCUUUAACUUUUAAAUAUUAUAUCAGUUUGGCAUAAUUUUAAAAAAAUAAUCUUCAAAAUUACAAAUGAUCUCUAUUUCAUCAUCAAAUUUUACCUACCUUUUCUGCUUCCCCACGGUCACUACUAUGGUUGCCUCCAUAUCCUCCUCCACCCUUCUUCAAACAAAAAAAAAAAAAAAAACUUCUCUUUUUUCUUAUUUGAACCUAAUUUAUCGUUAAAUAGUAGUAGAUAUAUUCUGUUUGUAUGAUUUCUGGGUUGACAUAUUCUUUUCAGCUGAAUGCUAAUAAUAACAAUAAUAUGAUGAAACAGUGGAGUAAUUUCUGAUGUGACGGCCUUCAUUUCGCUCACUAGUUGCAUGUUUAUUGUUCAUGCACUGAUUAAACAAGAUUUGAAAAGGCUAAAAGCAUGAGCAUGCAACACUGAAUUGUCAAAUACUCAAUAGUAUAAGAUUGAAAUGGUGUUAUUUUGCAGGAAGAAUGGGUGAUUGCAGAAUAAUACACAAAACAGGCGAGAAGAAAAAUGGGGUAGCUGCUGCGCAAGGACAAGGUUAUCUCUUGGAACUUUCUUCAAUAUCUUCAACAGCAAAGCAACAACUAAUUGCUUUCGUCCACUGCUUGAAAUCCCAAUUCCAUUGUUAGAAUCUCAAGCUCAAACUUCAGAGCAGGCUGCCCCUAACUCUUUUACAGAAAAUGACCUGAAAAAGCCUAAUAAACCCAGUUGUUUAUCCAACUAAUAAUGGGUUCCAACCCUCCUUUUCAGCCACUUCCACCUAGCACACUUGAUUUAUAAAUUUUGAAAUUUAGUUUUUUAAAAUUAUGAUCAAAUUGAUAUAUUAUAUCAAAGUUGAGAGAUAAAUUUAUUGUUAUAUCAAUUUUUUAACUGCCACAUCACCCUCCGAUUAGAGUUUUAAGGCACUUAACGAAAAUGGAUAAAAAAAACAAUCUUAAUUAGUUGAGUGACCAAAUUAAAAAUAAAUUAAUAGUUGGUGACCAAAAAGAAAAGGUACAAUAAUUAGAUGACCUGUGAUGUAGUUUACCCAUAUCUUUUUAAAAGCGUAUAAAUAUUUAUAAAUGUCAUCAUUCGUAUAGAAAUGUCACAAAUAUUAAAUCAUUAAAUUGCAUGUUUCAAAACAAAAUUAUUAAUUCAUUUUUUAAGAUUAGUAAUUAAUAGAAAUAGGAUCAAAAACAUCCAUACUAAACUUAACUAAACAGACUUACAAUUCGGUCACUCAUGUUUUCAGAAUUGUUUGUUUUCUUCACUCGACUGUUAAGUGACGCUUGUUUUAAUUGAUAUAAUAAUAAUAAUUAUAAUAAUAAUAAUGAUAAUUUUAGUUCUCAAUUUUUAUAUUUUUUAUCAAUUUGACCUUAAUUUUAUACAAAAAUUAUAAAAAAACCUCCAAAUUAUGUAUAAAAUAUAAAUUUUUAUAUAAAAAUUCUAGAAAAAUAAAAUCUUGAAUAUGUUGUUACAUAACUAAAUUGUAUAAGAAAUAAAGAAAAUCAGCAUUUAAUAGAAUCUAAUAAUAAAUUAAAAAUAAAAUAAAAAGUUAGAUCAUUACAUGCUUCAUCAAUGUUUCUCGAAAUCAAAUUAGUAAUAUUAUUAAGUUGAGUUUCAUGUCCUUAAAGAACAUCUAGAAUUGAUAUUGCAGAGGCUUAUGAAAUUGACCUUGAUGUCAUUUUUUUUUUUAGCCAAAAGCUAUUAUGUUUCAAACUCAAUUCAAUUUUUCGUUACAUUUAAAUUAUUUUUUGAAACUCAAAUUGUAAAACGAAAUCAUAUUCAAAAGUUUAUCUUCUCUUGUAAGGUAAAAAUUAUAUCAAGAAAUAGAAAAAGUAAAAAACAGAGAACAAAUAAAUCAGCUUAAUAUUUGUUUUCUAUGUUUGUUUUUAAAGAACGAGUAUUGGAUAUUUCGAUAUACAUAAUAUAGAGAAUUUCUGUAGGGUUUAAAAACAAUUAUCCCUCAUUUUCUCACACUUUAUUUAAUUUUGAAAAUUUUAGCUACUUUUAUUUAAUUUUUAAUUUUAUAAUGUUCUAAAAUUUUAAAAAUAAUUUAUUUUUUUACCAUUUUAUAUAUUAUCAAGAUUAAAAUGAUUGAAAAUAUAAAAGUUAAGAACUAAAAUUGUUAUUAUACUAAUUUAAAAAGUACCACUCAACCAUAUAAGUGACAAAAAUUUUUUUUUUUAAAAGCAACUUAAAUUCAAUGAUAUAACUUAUCGAGAAAUUUAUAUAUACUUAAAUAUUUAUAUAAAAAAUUAAAUAGAUUUAUUCACAUCUUACUAAUGUCCAUAUGUAAGAAAUUGUCCAAAAUUGAAUACUGACAACUUCAAGAACGCAAAUAAUUUAGUAAUGGGGUGCGAAUAACUAUACCUAAUGCAACUCCUUUACUUGUAUAUUUAAUUUCAAGUUGUAACUUAUAACUAUGCAUUCUUAUACCCUGCCGUCCCAACUAUUAUUUUUAUUAAAUAUUAUUCAUUGCCAACUUCAAUGAUUUUGUUUUGAUGUCCAACGUCUAUCACCAUAUUUCAAGCUCAUUUUCUUUCAUUUGCUUAAUCCAUCACAUGCUUUUCUUUGCUUGAUUCAUGACUUUGCAAUGAUUCUUUCUGAUUAUCUGCUACUCUUAGCAGCUAACUUUGUAAGACAGUCAAGGAAGAAGUGAACUUCACUGCUUCAUCUUCAGUUCUAUUCUCUCAACACCUUUCAGCCACUAAGUCAGGUAAUAAGAUCUGAAGCUAUGGUUUCCUCUACUGUUUAUCAACAGUUUUAGAUUUUAAGACAAGAUGAUCAGCAGACAUAAUCUACUCUAGAUUGAAAUUAAUACAGAAAGAGCUACCCAGAAGCAAUAUAAUGUUGAAAUCCCAUACUGUUAACAUUUUCACUCUUAAUAUUCUGUAAUGAACUGUUGCACACUUGAAUCUAGCAUUUUAUAUACAUCGACAGCUUAAUUCUAUCAGUCACCCAUCUAUAGCUCCAUCUAAUAAACGCCAUUGCUUGAAACUUGCAUUCAUGCUUACACUGACAUAACAAAAAGCCAAUACAUUCACAGAUUUUCAUUAUCUGCUACUGUUAUAUAUGAUUGCGUUGCAGGGACAUAGCAAUGGAGUACGUAGAGCCCGUUCUUGGCAUUUCAAAUUGUCUUGGAACUCCUGCUUGUAAAUACUUGCAAUAUCACAGAAAGCUCAACGAUUAUGUGAGAAACUUCAAGAGGAUGAGAGAUGAGUUGAAUUGCAAAAUGGAAGAUAUACAGCUGCAAUUGAAAGCAGAGCUUCUUCGUCCGCUGGGCAAGAUACCGAAGAAGGGAGUUGAAAAUUGGUUGAAAGCUGUGAAAGAGAUGAUUAGGGAAGCACAAGUUGUUGAAAACAAAGUCAGUAACGGGAGAUAUCUCUGUCGUGCUUGCAACGGGAAGCUAGUUGACGAAAAGACUCGAGAGAUGAAGGAAUUUCUUGAUAACGCUCCUAAUGCCUCUGAAGGUCUUGCCAUGGAUGGUCCAAGUGCUGGGUUGCCACUGCCAACAUCAGAACUAGUUGGAGAAGAAGCUGUCAGAAAUGAGAUUUGGGCAUGUUUGAUGCAGGAGGAGGUGAGCAAGAUUGGGGUUUGGGGAUAGGCGGUGUGGGUAAAACCACUAUCGUGAAGCACAUCCACAAUGAUCUUUUGAAACAACAAAGAUUCGAAAGGGUAAUCUGGGUUACCAUAUCAAAGGAGUUCAACGUAAUGAAGGUACAAGAUAAUAUUGCAAGUGCGUUGGAGUCAAAGGAGUAUUUAGACAAAGAAGAGGACAAGCUCAGACGAGCUGCAAUCUUGUCAGAAAUGCUGAAGAACGCAGGAAAGCAUGUUCUAAUCCUAGAUGAUGUGUGGGAUAAAGUCUCUCUAGAGGAAGUUGGGAUUCCUGAGCCGAGUGGCAGCAGUGGCUGCAAGUUGGUGUUGACAGCCCGUUCGGAGCAUGUCUGUAAGUAUAUGGGUUGUAAGGUGAUAAAAGUGAAGCCCCUUUCAGAAGAAGAGGCAUUGAUACUAUUCUUGAAUAAAGUUGGACCUAACAUAGUUCAAAGUCCAACUAUAAUGCCUACUUUGAAGCUUGUUGUCAAGGAAUGUGCGGGUCUACCUCUUACAAUUGUCGUGGUAGCUGGUACCAUGAAAGGAGAAGAUAACCCUCGUAUUUGGAAAAAUGCACUCGGGGAAUUGAAAGAGAGAAUAGGGAAAGUGGAAGGAGUGGAAGCUGAGGUAAUCGAGCGCUUGAAAUUUAGCUUUGAUCACUUAAAAGACGAGAAAGUGAAAUAUUGUUUCUUACAUUGCGCAUUAUAUCCCGAAGAUUUUGGAAUUGAAAAGGAUGAACUAAUUGAGUGCUGGAUUGAGGAGGGAUUUAUAGAUUAUAUGGGUACAAGACAAGAAAUGAAAGACAAGGGCCAUGUUAUUUUGAAGAAGUUAGAAGAUAAUUGCUUGUUGGAAAAUGAUACCUCUCAAUUUGGUUUACAUGUUAUAAAGAUGCAUGAUGCAGUGAGAGACAUGGCAUUGUCGAUCACAAGAAUGAAUCCUCGAUAUAUGAUACAAGCAGGUUUGCUAUUAGAAGAGUUACCAGAAAAGGAGCAAUGGAGUCCGGAUAUUGAGAAAGUGUCACUUAUGUAUAACUCCAUAUCAGAAAUUUCCAUAGAUGUGCUGCCCACAAAAUGUCAACAGCUCACAACCUUGUUAUUGCAGCAUAACCCUAUAAAGAAGAUCUCAAUUUCUUUCUUCACAAACAUGCCUUGUCUUAGUGUUCUUAAUUUGUCCUUUACGAUGAUAAAAAGUUUACCAAAUUCCAUCUAUGAACUAAAGAACCUCACAACAUUGUUGCUUCAUGGCUGUUAUGGAUUAAGAGAUCUGCUGUGUCUUUCGAUGCUUCAAGAAUUGAAGAAGUUGGAUCUUUCUGAGACUGGAAUUGAGGAAGUCCUGAAGGGAUGGAUAUGCUGAUAAAGCUAAGAUAUCUUGAUGUUCGAGUGUUCACUCUGAAAGAGAUACCCGCUGGACUUUUACCAAAACUCGUUCACCUUCAGCACUUGGGUUUUCAUAAGAGCAAUAAAAGAACAUGUCUAAAAGCAGAGGAGAUGGAACCAUUGAAGAAGUUGGAGUGCUUAACUGGACAUUUCGAAGACAUCAGUGAAUUGAAUAAGUUCAUCUCCUCAAUGCAACAAAGUAAGAAAAAUCUUAUCGAGUACUAUUUAGUGGUGGGCCCAUAUAAUAUGGGUCGUGGAAGGGAGAAAACAGUAACAAUUGGAGGAGUCCAGAACUGGGAAGGCGAGUUAAUUAUGCACCCAAUUGAAAUUCAAGAGUUGAAUAUUGUAAGGUGCGACUAUUUGAGAAACUUAGUCGAUGAUAAUUCUUCCUUCAAAAAUGCGAUUUACUUGAGCAUUUUUUAUUGUAAAGGGAUAGAGUGUGUUGUUUCCUUGUCCUCUUUUGCCUCUUCUUCUGCUCAUCCAUUUCAGAGCCUCGAGAAGUUGGAUCUUCUACAUCUUCCAAAGUUGAGUGCCUUUAUUAUGAAAGAUGCAGGAAUUGGUUCAGCAACAACAUCAACAUUGGCUCCGUCUGCCACCUUUUCCCAUCUUAAGGAAAUUAGGAUAGUGAACUGCUCAAGUAUGAAGACGUUGCUUCCACAUUGGUUGCUUCCAAACCUCCAAAACCUGGAAGAAAUAUUAGUGGAUAUUUGUGAUGAGUUAGUAGAAAUAUUGGGAGCAGCAACAUCAGAAGUUGAAGAAAAAGGGAGUGAUGCAUUAAUCAAAUUCCAUCUUCCCAAAUUGAGAAAGUUGUCAUUCAGGGAAUUACUAAAUUUGGAGAGCAUUUGCAGCAAAAGUGGAGUGAUGGUUUGCGAUUCUCUCCAACUUAUCCAAGUUGAUGAAGAGUGUGAUAAACUGAAGAGAAUUCCUCCAUUUGUUCCCCUUGUUGGCAAUAGGCAGCCAUUUGCAUAUGCUCCACCUUCUCUUACUAUCAGUUCAAGCACAGAGUGGUGGGAAUCGUUGGAGUGGGAUGACCAUCCAAACUUUAAAAAUGUUCUUCGCUUCAACCCCCUUGUGGAGGAUAAGAGGUAUGAACCAUUUAUGGUUUAGUUUAUUUUUUGAUUUUGAUAAAUCUAAUUUCUCCAUAUUAAUGAAAUUUGAUUUAUAUUAGUGAUGAUGUUGAAGAGAAAGAUAAAAGGGUUGGUGGGAAAGAAGGAUAGUGCAAAAGAGAGGAGAAAAGGAAUGAUGGAAGGAAGAGGUUAAGAGGCAAAGGUAAAUAAAAGAUCAAACAGCCUCCACUUUUUAAACAAUUUCCCUCUCUUACCAUUCCUUCUAUUCUCUUAUUCUUCUCUAAAUAUUUAUUAUUAAAAUAUUUAUAUUAAUCAAAAUGAUUUAAGGUGAGACAAAACUACGAUCAUAGUUUUAUUUCCAAUAAAAGUUAGGAAAGUAUUGUAAAAAGACAUAAUAUUUUUUUAUUUCCAUGUAAAAUUUCUGGAAACAUUAAGAUUUAAAAAAUAAUAAGUGCUUGUUUUUUUUAAAACUUAGUAUUUAUAAAAAAAAUAUAAUUGGAUUCAUUCAUAUGUAAACGUAACAUAUUUCUAAAAUUAAAUAAUAUUUUAAAUUAUGAGGACUAAAUGAGAAAAUUAAAAAGGUGAAAUCCCUUUUAAAAUAAAUUAAAAACAUUAAGGGGAUUAUGUUGCAAAUAACCCCUCCACAUUUCCCAUAUAUAAAAGAAAAUUUCCUUUUCUUUUAAUUUGAUUUGGUGUGGUGGUUAAGUGGCAUGAAUGUUUGCUUCAGGUCUUGGGUUCAAUUUUUUUUUUAAUUUUUCCUAUUUAUUUUGGUAUUAUGUUCAAUUUGAGCCUUAGGGCCUAUCUCUUAUUUUCAAUGAUGAGUCUACUGAUUCAGUGGUAAGACUUUAGUUUAUCAUCAAUUUAAAUUCUAUAAAAUCUGGUAAGUGGGAUUUGGAUUAACUUAAUUUUUUUUAUUUUUUUAUUUUAAUUUAAUUUUACAAAAUAUCUAUUUUCACUCAUUGUUUCAACCGUCCACACUAUCACCCCACUUUGUAUGCUACUUCCUUUUGUUUCCCUAUCUUCCUUCUUUCUCCUCUUUGAUUAUUCCUGAAUACUGCCGUUUAUUUUGUGAGUUCUGUCACUUGGAUCGUAUUCUAUUUGCAGUGUAAGUUUCAUUUGGUUACUUUUGUUGUCUUUCCAUUAAUAGUCUAGUUUUGUUUCGUUUCUUGAACAAGUUGAGUUUGUGUUGGUAUUUUCUAUUCGUUAUCAUGAUUAGUAUUUUUGUGGUUCUCGAUUAGGCGAAAUGUGUGAGAAUCCUAACCCUCCAGCAAAGUAGACACAAUUUUCAACGUUGUUUCGGAGAACUAAGUAUUUGAAUUCUAUUUUAGGGGUUGAAAUUUUGAUUCAAUGAUGUUAUUAUGGAUAAUUAUUGUUAGUUAAUCCGUAUGGUUUGAUGAACGUUUAUAGGAUUCGUGAGUUCCAAUUGAGCUGUUGAUCAAAUCAGCAAUAGGUGUGUGAAUUUAACUCGAAAACUCAAUGAAAGCUCGAGAAAAUUGCGAAACAAGGGUUGUUUUCGAAACUGUCCAACGCCACAUGGCCAUGUGGUAGGACGUGUGGAGCACACAGUCGUGUGAAUUUACACAGCUUGUGUCCGUAGGCUAUGUGAACGACACGAGCUAGCUUUUUGAGCUGUGUGAGCCACAUGACUAUGUGGGCAUUUUGGUCAAUUUUCAGCCCCAAUUAGGGGGCGGAUUAAAGGAUUCAAAUAUUGGGUCCAUGGGCAUCAUAUAAGCCCAAAAAAAUGUAAGUUUUAGCACGUAUAUAUACAUGGCUAAGCUUUGGAGGUAUGUUAAGUAGGUGGUAUAUAAAUCAUAUGCUAUGUUAUGUUCCUUAUAAAAAUAUGUGUAUGCAUGUCAUACGACUUAUGAUAAAUGUUUUUAUGAUAUUAUAAUUAUGAUUAUGCCUAUGUUUUGGGCUAGGUUAUGAUAUGAUGGAGGAAGUGUUAUAUGAUAGAUUUUAUCGCAACUAUGGCAGCUAGACUAUAAAAUUUCUAUCUAACAGCUCAGUUGCAUAUUUAUGAGUGACAUACCACCACAUAUUGGUAUGAUUGGAUGGAUGGACUCUUGUAGUCCUAAUUGGUGAUAUUGCUUGGACGGAGAUGGUAUGUAGCAAUUGGGGGUAUGAUAUGAUAUGAUAUGGGAUAUGAUAAAAUAAGACAAGAUAUGAAACAUGCUAUAACAUGAUAUAAAAACCGAUAUGAUAUAAGAUAUGCUUCGAUUUGCUAUGAUACAUUCUGAUAUAUAUAUAUAUAUACUACAAUGUGUAGGUCAAAUCACGCACUGGAUGUUAAGCUCACACGUCUGCUUAUUUUGUUUCAGGUGAUCUUCAGACCUAGGAUUAGAAUAUGACUCUAGAGCUCGUAUUUUACUCUUUCGGUUUAAGUAUGCAUUGGACUCUCUUUUGUUUAUAUGGACUUUUUGGACUUUUGGAUAUUUUAAAUUUAUUUGGAAUGCUAAAAAUUAUUUUGCAUUUAUUUUUCAAAUGUUUUAACUUUUACCGAUACUUAAAUCAAGACAACUAAAAAUAAACCAUAGUUAUAAGGUAAAUUUGCUAUAAUGCUUUCUGCUGCAUGUUUUAAGGUCAAUUUGCUAUAAUGCUGUCCGUUGCAAGUUUUAUUGAAAUUGGCUAAGAUGUUUUAUCUCACAAACAAAAUAAGUAAAUUAAAUACAUUUUGGUAAAAUUAACAAAUAUGGAUUUCUUCAAUGUACUCACGGGUUUUCAAAAAUGGUACAUCUUCAACGGGUUAAUCAAACUUGUUUUCUUUUGAGUUAAAUAGUUUUUGCCAAAAUGAAGUAAUAUUGUUUUCACGCACAAUGUAAUCUCCUCAAUCUGACUAUAACAUCUAGGCCAUGUUUGGGAUGUUAGAAUUAGAGUUUUAGAAAAUAAUUACUUUUUCUUUUACAAGUUAAUGUCAUUGUAGGGUUUGAUGGGUUAUCUUCAACUUUAACAGUUAAGCUUCCAAAGUCGAUGAUCGUAUUUAAAUAUGUAAAAAAAUCUUUAUAUUUAAAAGAUAUUCUUAUAAGAAAACAAACAUGUUAUAUAUGAUUGUUGCAUGCAAUUAUAUUAUUUUAUGAUUCGGUUUAUAUAUGAUUGUUGUCAUGACAUUUAAGCAUUUAAUUAAUAUUUUAAAGUUUUCAAAAAUAAUAAAUAUAUUUUUAAUAAUUUUAAUUUUUAAAAAAUAAGUUAUAUAUAUUUUUUAAACCUUAAAAUAUUUUUAAAAAACUAAUGUAUCAUCCAUAACAAAUCAUACAUAAUUAACACAUAUUGGGGCAUGGGAAAGCUUUUAAAAAAUUGAACUCAAAUAGUCCUCUACAUGGUUCAUCAAGGCAUGGCAAGUAAGUGAUCGUUUAUUGAAAGAAAUCCGUUUAUAGCAAUUGGGCCUGGGAAGCAAACAGGAGAAGUCCACUAGCAACAAACAAACCAAAGUAAAUCAAAAACAAAACAAAUUGGAAAAACAAAACAGCAAAAAGGGAAAAUUAAAACAGAAAUCGACAAACACCGUCUUCUCCAUCCAACAAGUCCCCAGGCACUGUGUGACUCCACCAAACCCCAAUGAAAUAAACGGUAAAGAUCUUCCAAAUCCGACAACAACCGGAAAAGAAAGCAGUUGAGAAUUGCCAUCUUGUAUAAGUAUUUCUCAACUCCAUCACUGAAAUAGAAAAAAAAAGGUUAUGGAGGUUGCCCACACCGACGAUCAGAGUCGGCCACUUCCAGAGCUUUCAAAGGCGCAUCUUCCAUCCAGAAUGAAUCCCCUUCUACUCGCAUACCCUCAACAGCCGAUGCAUGCGCUGCUCCACUCCCUUCUCUCGCAAUGAACUGGAAUCGACAGCAUUGGAACUUUCUGGCCAGGUUCUUCGCAUCCCAGGUAAAUGGUCUAGUCUCCGAGUAAUCCUCGCUUAAUUUUUGAAUAUUAUUUACCACCAGUCUCGAAUCACUCUCAAGAAUCACCUUUGAAAAACCCUUAUCCAGGGCGAAAUGGAGCCCAUGCAAGUAAGUGAUAGUUGAAGCAACUUGUUUCAUGAUUGCCUGUAUUUCUCUCAUAAUUUUGUUGUCACUCUGUACCCGUGGCACACUGCAAAAUCUCCUACAUUUCAAAUAAACUGAUGUCUAGUAAAACAUUAAAGCAGAAGAGGAUGAACUAUAUAUUACCCUCAGUAUUUGUUUCAAUGCUAAAAUUCCACCUCUCCUCUCCAACACCUCAUUGGUAGCCUUACUCAUCAUAACUAACACCACCCAUUCUUUUUCCAAUACAUUUCCAGAAUGUGAGGAAUGCCCUACACUUUUGUUUCUACAUUAUUAGGAAAAAUUGUAAUAUAUACCUGAACUUGAGUUGUCAUAUUCUAAUAUUUCUUUGCUCAAUAUUUACUUGAUUGUAUACAUUAGAUUUGCACCCGAAGCAAUAGUUUUAGAACACUUACAGUAAUAGUUUUAGUCUUUCAACUUCAUCAACUAAUCUUUCAAAGUUAUGUGUAUCGAUUGCGGUCGUAAACCAACUAAAAAUCUGAUUAAGGUAAAUGUACUUAUCAAUUAUUAGUAUAGUUACGAUGAGCAAAGAUAUCGUUCCCACGAGAGCUAAAAGUGUUAGUAAUUAUUGUCUUUCUAUUAUUUAACCAAGAAAUUGGAGUGAUUGAUUAAAAAUAAAAUUAACUAAAUUAAUUAACUAAAGAACACGACAAAGAACAAAUCAUAAAAAUAAACGAUUAAAAACCAAAAAGCGAGACAAUAUCCAGGAAAGAAUCUACCUAGACUUCAUAUGUCAUUAUCAAUCUAAAUCACGCAAUUUCUUCACUUACUACCUUGAUCUGUAGAAAUCCCUAAAUUAUGCUAAUAUCUCUCUUCAAGACUAAGAGCAACUGACUUUAGAUUGAUUAAUUAAAAUUUCUUUCUAAUUAAAAACCCUAUUAUCGCAUUAACUCGAUUUAUGGAUCAUUCUAUUAGAUUUGACUCUAAUCCGGUAGAUUUAUAUCGUCCUAUUUUUAGAAUUGCAUGCAACUCCACUAAAUUACGCUAGAUCUACUCUUAAACAGGUCUAUUCCUCCUUUAAUUUAAGCACAUAAAACAUGAAUCAAUAGUCUAAAAAUAUUAAACUAUGAAUUAAGUACACAUAAUUGAGAGCAAGAUUUAAGUAUUUAUUGCAUAAAAAUAGAAAUCAAAUAAUACAAUCCAUCCUAAAAACAGUAUAAUCACAAGAAAUAAAAAAACUCAUAAUAAACUUCAAAGAAAUCAAAAGGAGAACUUCAAUCUUGAUGGAAAUCUACUUCAAAGUCGGCUUUAAUAGUAUUUUUCGAGUUAUUUUCUUCAAUAUUAUAUGACAACUCACUCCCCUCCUCUUAUCUUUGUCAUAUAUAUCUUAGAAAACCUAAACAUUAUGAUUUUCUGCGUGUUUAGAGUGCAAUUUGCGAUUUGCACAUGGACUGGCAUAUGGUCGUGUGACAGCCCGUGUGGCUUACUCAGCCGUGUGUCCAGACCGUGUGCAAUGGCCCAACCCAUGUGGCUCCUGAAACUUGCUCCAAUUUUUCGAUUUUCGCUUAUUUUUCGCUCAUUUUGCUCUCAAAUGCUCUCCUAAGAAUAGAAAUAUGAAUUUAAAGUAUUAGGAGCAUAAAAUUCACCAUUAACACAUUUUCUUUGUACAUUUAGCAUAUAUUCAAACAUCGAGGCUCUGCUUUGCAGUUUAGGUUCAAAAAUAUGAACCCAUGUUUUCAAAGGUCUAAUUUUUCCAUGAACUGCCAAAAAUGAAAAAAAAAAAACAAAUGUUUAAAAAAAAAUGAAAGAAAAGAAAAUGAAAAUAUAGUUUAAUGAGACUUACAUAAAUGUUGGGAUUGAGAAAAUGAUUGUCUAAAGGGAAGCAGAAAUUUGGCCAUCCAAGCCAUCUUAUUCAGUUCAUCGAUGCAAGUUUCUCUGCUUAGCCACCGCUGCUCUCAAAAUGACGACGGACUAAUUAGUUUAACAACAAUACCAGUACGACGUCGUAAGGACGUAUCCUACGUGGCAGUCGUGUCAUCUAGCUAAGUCAAACUACGAAGCUACAGUUGGACUUUGAUUUCAGUUGGGUUUGGUUUCUUAGGUGGAGUUCUAUUUAAACUUGGGUUUUGUUUUCGGUUAAAUUACCCUAUUAGUUACUAAAUUAUAAGUUGCUUUUGUUUUGUUCACUUAACUAAAAAAAAGUUAAAAUUUUGUUACUGAAAUAUUCGAAUAUUUUCAUUUAAGCCACUAAAACAAGAUCUUUUUAAAUAAGAAAUAAAUAUUUUUUAUAGAGAAAUUUUAUAUAUAAAAAAUAAAAUACUUUAAUUUAAAAGGACAUUUUGUUUAAUCCUUUAAUAGCUUUUGGAGUGAUGAAAAGUCUAAUUUCACUUUGCACCUAAAAUGAUUUUUUUGGUAAUUUUCUUACCGAGUUGGGACUCAAUUGAUGGUUGACGCCAACUCAGUAAAAGGCUUUAACAUGGUAUAGAUAAAAAAAAGUUUUUAAUUAAAAUUUUUAAAAGAAUUUAGGGUAAACUAUACCAGUCAUUCAACUAUAGGCAAGUUUUCGUUUUAAUCACUUAACUAAAAAUAUUACUAUUUUGAUCACUAAUGCUUUCAAAAUUGUUUUUCUUUUCUGUCACCCAAUUGUUAAGUCAUACUUGUUUUAGUUGGUAUAAUAAUAGUUUUAGUUCUCAAUUUUUAUAUUUUCUGUUAAUUUGAUUCUGAUUUUGUAUAAAAUUAUAAAAAAAACUCACAAUUAUUUAUAAAAUAGAAAAAUGCAUAUAAAAAUUCUAGAAAAAUAAAAUCUUGAAUAUGUUGUUUCAUAACUAAAUCGUAUGAGAAAGAAAAAAAAUCAUCAUUCAAUAACAUCUGAUAACAAAUUAAAAUCAAAUCAAAACAAAAAAAAAAGGUAGAUUAUUAUAUGUUUCCUAAAUAUUUCUCGAAACCAAAUUAGUAGUAUUAUCAAGUUGAGUUUCAUGCCCUUGAAGAACAUCUAAAACUAAUAUUACAAAUACUUAUGAACUUGACCUUGAUGCCAUAUUUUUAGUUAAAAGAAUACAAAAUAUACCAUGAUUUUUCUUUUUCAAACUGAUCAAUUCAAAAUUUCAUUACAUUUUAAUUUUUUUUUCAAAACCCAAAUUGCAAAAUGAAAAUAUAUUCAGAAUUUUAUCUUUUCUUAUAAUGUAAAAAGCUAUGUCAAGUAAUUGAUGAGGUAAAAAAGCAUAGAACAAAUAAAUUUGCUUCAUAGUUUUUUCUAUGUUCGUUUUUUAAAGAAUGAGUAUUAAAUAUUUCAAUAUAGAUAAUAUAGAGAAAUUUUGUAGGGUUUAAAAAUAAUUAUCCCUAAUUUUCUCACUUUAUUUAUUUUUCAAAUUUUUAUUUUACUUUUUUUACUUUUAUAAUUUUCUAAAAUUUUAAAAAUAAUUUCAACUUUUAUCAUUUUAUAUAUUAUCAAAAUCAAAUUCACUGAAAGUAUAAAAAUUAAGGACUAAAAUUGUUAUUAAAUCAAUUAAAAAGUUCUACUUAACAGUUGAGUGACAAAAAAAUAAUAAUUUCAAAAACAUUAGCGGUGAAAUUGUAACUUUUUUUAAUUGAGUGACUGAAACAAAAAUUAGCAAUAGUUUAGUGACUAAUAGUGUAACUUUUUUUUUGGUAUAAUAAUAAUUUGAAUUUUGGCUAUUCCUAAAAAGGGUGAACAUCUGAUCAUAUUUAUUCACAUAUUACAAACAUCCAUAUGUAAGCAAUUCUCCCGAAUUAAAAUCAAAUUUUAAUAUCAACAACUUCAACAACUCAUAAAUAGGAAGAUAAUGUGUUUCAGUACACUUAAAACCACAUCUUUCUAUAUUGACAACAAUUACUAUGACAAUGAAGCUAAGACUCAAUUCACAAUAACUAUAUAUUUUUGUUAUACCUAAUUAAAGUCAUUUAUAUCAGUAUAUUAGACAUUCUUAUACCCUAGUUUCCCAUACUUUCCCAUUAUUAUCGUGAUGAUGAUGAUGAUGAUGAUGAUGUUACAAUUGAGCACCAAGGUCACUGUAAUACUUGUUAGUAUUGUCCAGAAUAAAUGGAAAGGACAUUUCCAUGGAAAUUAGACCUCAUAUCUAUCUUUCAAAUUUUGAGAGCAGAUUAAAGGUUUUAUUAUCAAGUAGAAAUGUCAGUAUGAAAAACCCCAAAUGCCAACUAAUAAUGGCAGACACCAAAGCUAAAAGCUAAAAGCUAAAAGCUUGGAACCCACCACUAAAGUGUAUGCCUCAUUAUUUUGCCUGUUUUUAUCUUCACUUUCUUCCUUUUUUGGCUUUUGUACCCACAACGUUCUUUCUUCUUCACUGUUUUUAUCAAGCAUCCAGUUAGGGUAAUUUCUUUCGCUCCCAAAUAUUUUUUUAAGUAUAAAAAAUUUAAAUUUAAAAAAUUACGAGCAUCAAAUUCACUAAUUUUCAUAACUGAUCAUCUAAAAACAUAUUAAGAAUAAGAUUAAAAUAUACUAUUUUUGUAACUUAUCGUACCCCUAAACCACAACUAAAAAGUUUAAUCUGAUAGUGGACCCUAGAGCUUAAAGGAGGCUAAAGAUGGUGGAAUCCAAGGUAGUGUGAAACAACAUGGUCUUGACCAUAACACUAAAAUUGCUUUAGCUUAAAUGAAAAUCAAAAUAUUUGUAUGUAUGAUAUCUCCAGUUUAAAUCUUAUUAUCGAUAAAUUUUUAUUGAUUUAUAAAAAGAUGAAAAAUAGCUUUGUAAUUAUAUAUCUUACUUUACAAAUAAAAUGUUUUUUGUUAGCAAUUUUCUUACUGCGUUUGGACUAACUGGUGGUUGACACUAUGUCAGUAAAAUGCCUAAUACAUAAUAUAGAUUAAAAAAAAGUUUUAGACUAAAAAUUUUAAAACAAUUUAAGGUAAAUUACACCAUUAGUCAUUCAACCAUGAGUAAGUUUUCGUUUUGAUCAUUUAACUAAAAAAAAAGUUACAAUUUAGUCACUAAUAUUUUUGAUAUUGUUUUUUUAUCACCUGAUUGUUAAGUGGCACUUGUUUUAAUUGGUAUAAUAAUAAUUUUACUCCUCUUUUUUAUAUUUUCUAUCAAUUUGACUAUGAUUUUGUAAAAAAUUAUAAAAAAUCAAAAUUUUAAAAAUAGAAAAAUGUUUAUAAAAAUUCUAGAAAAAUAAAAUCUUGAAUAUGUUGUUUCAUAACUAAAUUGUAUGAGAAAUAAAGCAAAUUACCAUUCAAUAAAAUCCAAUAACAAAUUAAAAACAAAACAACACUAAAAAAAGCUUCCUCUCAAUGUUUCUCGAAACCAAAUUAGUAAUAUUAUCAAGUUGAGUUUCAUGCCCUUGAAGAACAUCUAGAACUCGUAUUACCAAGGCUUAUGAAUGACCCUAAUGCCAUUUUUUUAGUCAAAAGAAUACAAAAUAUACAACAAAAUUUCCUUUUUCAAACUUAAUUCAAAUUUUCAAUUACAUUUAAAUUAUUUUUCAAAACUCAAAUUAUAAAAAUAAAUUAUAUUUAAAAAAAAUUUAUAACGUAAAAGCUAUGUCAAGAAACAGAGAACAAAUAAUUUUGCUUAAUGUUUUUUCUAUGUUUUUUACUAAAGAAUGGGUAUUGGAUAUUUCGAUACAGAUAAUAUAGAGAAAUUUUGUACGGCUUAAAAACAAUUAUCUCUCAUUUUCUCUCACUUUAUUUAUUUUUAAAAUUUUUAUCUACUUUUAUUUUUGAAAUUUUAAAAAUAAGUCAUUUACCAUGAUAACUACAAAAGUGAAGUUCAUAUAAGACAAAUGAAAGCACGAUUCAUCAAUAUACCAAGUAAAAAAAAGUUAAGUCAAGACUUAGAUUCAGUUCAAUGAUACCAUCCACAGUAUGACACUUAAAGGUAUCCAUCCACAAUAAAGGCACCCUUCCACCCAGGGGUGAAACUAGAAAACUUUUUUAGGGGAUGAAAUUAAAUUGUAAUUUAAAAAAAAUAUAUAAUUUUAUCAUUUUAGUAGCCUAUAUCUUUAUAAUUUUUAAAAUAUUAAAUAAAAUUUUUAUAUUUUUAAGGAGAGCAAAGUGCAAUUUUACCUUUACUUAUUUAAAAAUUUUAAGGGGCUAAGUAAAAAAUUUUCCAUUUUAAGGGGGGUCGGGGCCCCUGCCACCACCCAGGUUCGCCCUUGCUUUCACCAGGGGUUCAUUUUCAUUCCACUAAAUGUUCAUUGAUCGAAUGGUGGCUCGCCUUAUUACAUUAGUGUAACGCCCCAAAAUUUUAAUUUUGGGUAUUGUAAAUGUGUGACACAAAAUAUCUAUUUGCUUUAGUGGCUAUGUGUUUUGGGUGUGUUUGGGAGGUCCCAAGUUCAAGCCAGGACUUGGGCAAAUUUUGGUAUUUUUAUGAAUAAGUCUUAUCUUUGGUCAGUAGGCUUUUAAGUAAAAGUUGGCAAAUAAUUAACAAAAUGGGCUGUUAGUCUAGUGGAUAAGUGGAGUGAUGGUGUAAAGGAGGUCUUGUGUUUGAAUCUUGACAUGGGUAUUAUUUUUGCUCGUGAGUCCAGGAGAGUUUGAGAUGGACUAAAAAUCUGAGUAGUGGAUUUAGUGGGGAGUUUGAUGGAGAGAAAUAAAGGAUUGGGGUGGUUAUCAAAUAUUCUGUUCAUCUUAUUUUCUUUCCUUUUUUUUACUUUCCCCAAAAUCCCUCCACCCUUUUGUCGUUUUUCUCUUCAUUGCUGCUGAGUUUUUGCUCUCUUUCACCCUUUAUCUUCUUGAUAUUUCUUUUCCCACUCUACCUUGUGUCACUCCACGUUUUUCUGCGAUCGUUCGGUAAGUUUUAAAUAAGUGAUUUGUCUUCGUUUGUUAACUUUCUUCUAAAGUGUUUUGUUUAUGCCAAUUAAAGGAGGAUUCAAGGGCUCGUAAUCACCAAUCGGAGUCUUAGUUUGAGUGGGAAUUACUGUUCAUCGGUUGAAGGUAAGGUUUAGUCGCUUAUGGGUUAAAACCUCGAUACGAGUUCGAUUUGGGAUCACGUUAUGUGAGAUUAAAUUAGUGUUAUUUGUUCAAUUAUAGGCUUUGGAGUGCUCGGGGACUGUUUUAGCAUAAAAAAUUAGGUGUGUACUUGAAACACGGAAAAUGGGAUUCGGUGAAAAGCCAAAAUUGCUUGCUGUUUGAACAGCUGCAGUAGGCUAACUUUGAGAAAUCACCAUAAAUUGUAGAAAUCGAAUUAGAGGAUGAAAAAAGUGGAAUUAAAUCUUAUUGAGUCUAGUUUCUCAUAGAAGAAAUGGUGUAUGUAAUGGAAUUGUAAAUCGUGAGAUAUAAUAAGUCUUGUGAGACAAGGUCAGAAUGAAUUAGGGUUUCCCUGUUCUAACUUUGAAAAAUCAUAAAAAAUUGGAAAAAAAUAAUUAGGGGUUAAAAUUUACAUGUUUAAAUUACUAAUGAGUCUAUUUUCAAUAGAAACAAAAGUAAUAUUAUCCAAAUUUUGUACUAAGAGAUAAUUAAUUUUUAGCAAAGAAAGGUUGAAGCUGUCAAACAGCAAAACAGGGGUAAGAUUGAAGAUUUUACUGUACUUAUUGGCUGAACCAAAAAUUUUGAAAAUUUUAUGGUAAAAAGGUAUUUGAGUCUAGUUUCAAAGACAUCAAGUGGACCUUAAUUUGGAAUUCUGUAGCUCAAGAUAUAAAUAAUUUAGUAACAGUGACUCAAGUAGACAGCUUUGAAGGAACAUAUAAGUAAAUAGUGAAAACAUAUAUGAAUAUUUAGCUAGCACGUGUUACAUUAAAAAUGGAUCACGCGGCCAUGGCCAAUUUGGGCCGAAUGGGCCACACGAGCGUUUGGGCCCACACGGGUUGGCCACAUAGGCUUGUGAGCCCAAUUUUCUGAAAAUUUCUGUAAGGUUGCACGGGUCGCCCAAGUCGACUGUGGACCUAUUGUAGGGUCGGUAUGCUUUACUUAGACCCCUUUCUGUCUAAUUUCUAUAUCGAGCAUGACUUAUGAUAUCUGAAUGUAUGUACUAUUAAUUGCAUAAUGGCAUGACAUAUUUUACAUGAUUGCAUUGCAUCAGGGUGGGUUGAUGAUAUUUAGAGGAAGUGUCUGAAAGGUUAUUAAGCCUGUUAUCUGACAGCUCAGCUACAAUCUUCUGAUUAUGUGCCGCAUUUCGGUACAGCAUGGUGUGUAGGGAUGGGUGGGUUGAUUUAAUCCCCACAUGGUGUGUAGGGUUGGACGGAGAUGGUGUGUAGAGGCUGGUGGGUAAGAUUAUAAUUUACUGUAUCUGCAUUCUGUAUUUGAUAUGGGCCAAGGCCCUAAUGUAUUUCUGAGACUGUAUCUGAACGGACUAAGGCCGAAACUGAUUCUGUGAUGGGCCCAGGCCCCAGACUGUAUUUAACUGAAUGUUGUUGAAUAUCUGUAUGCAUGUUUUCUGUGUGGAUUACAUACUGAGUUUGCGAAAACUCACCCUUUUUCUAUUUAAUCUCUACAGGUAAUCCCCAAACUUGACGGGUCGCUACAACAGAGGACUCAAAGGUGGCCACACAUAAAUUUUAAACUGUUUUCCGUCAAUGUCUAGAGUUUAUUACUUAUUUUGGGUUUUUGAUGUAACUUUUGGACUAUGGACUGGUUGGCUUUAAAUUUGGGACUUUAUACUAUUUUUUUGGAUUUUUUUUAAACUGCAACUCAACAAAACACGGUUUUUCUAAAAAUUAAGGUUUUCGUAAAUAGAAAUGAUUUCCCUAAAUUAAUUGGUUACACAAGCUUCCGCUAAGAGACAAGUUUUAAAGCAAAUCAACUAAUACUUAUUUUUUCUAAAUUAAAUAAAAGCUAACUAACUAUAACGAUUUUAACUCGACAAUCUUGUCUUCAAAUCCCAUUCCAUGUGACCUCAUUAGAUCCGGCCAUAACGUCUAGGCCGGGUUUGGGGUGUUACAUUUAGCAUAAUCCUGAAUAGUUUCUAUUGCCUUUAAUGUGAACUUAAUUUCAAACGAUUGAUUUACCUUCAAGGUUAACCUAAUUUUAAAUACUCAAACGAUUGCAAUGCUUACAAUGCCAGCAAAAUUCUAAAUAUUUAUGAAUUACAACAAUUUUUGUAAUAAAAAAAUACAAGCAAAUUUUCCUAAAUCUAAUUUACCUGGUUUAAAACUCAAAGUUCCAGAUUUGAACAUGUAAGAUCUAAUAUUACAUCAGACCUUCGAAAAACAAAGACUGGUUUAAAUUAAAAAAAAAACUCUAGAUAAUGAUUUUUUUAAUUAAGAUGAGAGGAAGGAAUUAUCGGACAACAUAACAACACAAGUCAUUAACUUACUAGAACACUAUUAGUUAAUUAACAAUUUAGCUAUAGCUAGUUGGCUAUUAGGAUUUGUUAAAUUAGUGUCAUUAUACAUCUUUUAAAUUAAUGUUAUCUUACAUCUAUUAAAUAUUUAACUUUUUCCACUUUCCUCUUACUCUGAUUUUAACAUUUCAUUACCACUCUCCAAUAUUUAUACCUCUUCUUGCACUGGCAGCUGCAGGUUUUAAAGAUGCCAUAAAUAAGGAUUUCAUAGCUCAAGAACUUGACAAUGACAGGGAAGAUGACUAAGAAGAAGAAGGGGUUGCUAUGGGAAGAUAGGGUUCACUGAUGGGUUGUCACAGUCUUUUUCUCAAGUAAAGAAAUCCAAGCUCAGUUUAUCGGAUGCAUUUAACCGUAAUCAAAAGGGAGUCAUUGCAAACAUAAUCAGCUUAUGGUACCAAUCUUAAGAACCAAGACAUCGAGUUACUAUACUAUGAUGAAGGAUUUCAUAACAACGUCAGAGGGAAUCUAAGGGAUAACAUCUGAAGGAAAUUCAUAUUGUUAAACACAAAAUUUGAAAUUCAUGGCAGAUUAGGUAUCUGAUCAACUAAACAGCUAAAGAAAUUAAAAGCUUGGUAGAUUAUUAUGUUCCAAUGCUACAAAUUCAACUUUGGUUUCCUUACUUCAUUAGACAGUUUCAUUAUAGUUUGCCUAUGUGUAGAAAGCUUAGGAUACGACACAAAAUAUGCAUAACAUUCUAUCCAACAUCAGAAAGAUACAAAAAAAAAGUUCGUUAUCAAAUGAAACCAGGUGAAGUUGCCACACUUACAGAUCACUAAAAUUUUACAACAAUGAUGGAAAUGUCAUCCUUGUUGUUCCUCUCAACAGCUUCCUUAGUUAUGUGCUUUGUAGUAGAUCGAGCAUCCUUAAUGCCUUUGAUAGCAUCGACAGCUUCUUGGUAACGGACCAUUAAAUCUCAGGUUCAACAUGUAGGUUCAAUAAAAGAAAAAUGUGAUUAGAUAGGGCUUACCUUCCAUAAACCAUCACUAGCCAAUAUUAUAAGGACAGUAUCAUCGUCGGUUGUUUUAAUGCUCACAUCUGGCUCUGAAGUAAGAUGUUUCUUUAAACUCUUGUCAUUAAAUGCUCUCGCCACCCCAACUGACCAUCAACACGCACAACAUCCCCUGAAACAAAAACAAUAUCAGGAAAAGAUGGUGUAACCUUAAGUGUCAUCCUUAAAAGAUCAGGCACCCAUUACCUGGAAUCCAAUUUUUUUUACCCAUAUCAUGGUUUCAAACAGGUCAAUAGAAAAUUUUGUAAAACCUUAAAAAUAAUAACCUGUACCACACUAAGGUAUCUCUUGUUCUUAGUGCAAACCAAUUUUAGUUGAAAGAUUUUUAUUCAUAGGCAUGAUUAUACCUCGUAUUUAAACUAAGUUUAGGAAAAAAUAAAAUUGAAAGUGUAAAAAUAGAAUGUCGAUAAUGACAAUAUAUCGCAAAGAAAAGAAAAAGGAAAAAUAAAGAAUACACAGAUUUUUACGUGGAAACCCUUUCGAAAAAAACCACGGGCAGAGGAAAAGAAAAUUCACUAUGUCGAAUUCAAAUGAUUACAAGAGGAGUAGACUAGGUCUAUUUAUAGGCCUAUAAAAUCACAUUCUAAUAGAAGUGUAGUAAGAUUGAAACACCUUAUUCUAAUCAAUAUCAAAUAGAUGUAGUUUAAUAAGGUUUAAAAAACCUUAUUCUAAAACAAAAUAAAAGAAGUGUAGUUCUAUAUAGAUUUUACUUUUAUUUUAUUUUAUCACUGUAUUUUAUUUAUAAAAGGAUUCGGGUCACUCAAUUUUAAGAAUCUCCACCUUGACACGAAUUCUCAAUGAACAAGUUCUUCAUUACGAACUCUCAACGAACAAGUUCUCCACCUCUUCCAUAAAACCCCUUAAGGGUUUAACUUCAAUAAUGAACACAAACCAAGUCUAAGUAAUGCUCAAACUUGGUUAUAGGAAGUGACUUAGUCAUCAUAUCUGUAGGAUUUUCAUGAGUACUAAUUUUGCUCACAACAAUAUCACCACGAGCAAUAAUAUCACGAAUAAAAUGAUACCGAACAUCAAUGUGUUUUGUUCUCUCAUGAAACAUUUGAUCUUUUGUAAGAAAGAUGGCACUCUGACUAUCACAAAAUAUUGUAUUGAUUUGAAAGCCUUCAUUGAGUUCACUAAAUAGUCCCUUCAAUCAAAUGGCUUUUUUACAAGCCUCAGUAAUCGCCAUGUACUCAGCUUCAGUGGUAGAUAAAGCAACUGUAGUUUGCAAAGUGGCUUUCCAACUGAUUGCACAACUUCUCAUUGUAAAGACAUAACCUGUGAGAGAACUUCUUCUAUCAAGGUCUCUAGUAAAAUCAGCAUCAAAAUAUCCAAUGACUCAAUCUCUAGUUCUUCCAAACUGUAAGCAAACAUCAAUAGUACCUCGUAAGUAUCUUAAAAUCCACUGAACUACUUUCCAAUGUUCUUUACUGGGAUUCACCAUGUAUCUACUAACUGCACUAACUGUAUAUGAUAAAUCUAAACGUGAACAAACCAUAGCAUACAUGAGAGAUCCCACUGCACUAGAGUAUGAAACACGUGAUAUGUACUCAAUCUCAUCAUUUGAUUGUGGAGAUAAAGCCGAUGAAAGUCUGAAAUGGGCUGCUAAAGGAAUACUAAUAGGCUUAGCACUCUGCAUAUUGAACUUGCAAAGAACUUUCUCAAUGUACCAGUUCUGACUUAGGUACAAUUUACUUGCUUUUCAAUCUUUGAGAAUCUCCAUACCAAGUAUAUUCUUUGUUGGUCUCAAAUCUUUCACCUCAAAUUCUUUACUUAGUUGGGCUUUGACAUUUCUUAUCUCUCAUUUAUCUUUUACUGUUAUCAACAUGUCAUCAACAUAAAGGAGCAGAUACACAAAAGAACCACCACUGUUUUUCUUAAAAUAAACACAAUUGUCAAAGCUACUUCUUUUGAAAUCAUGAGAAGUCAUAAAGGAAUCAAACCUCUUGUACCACUGUCUUGGUAACUAUUUCAAGCUGUAAAGGGACUUUUUCAGCAAGCAAACAUAGUCCUCUUUUCUGAAACUGUAAAACCCUCUGGUUGUUGCAUGUAAAUAUCUUCUUCAAGUUCUCCAUGCAAAAAGGCAGUUCUUACAUCUAACUGUUCAAGCUCCAAAUCAUGCAUGGCCACAAUACCAAGCAAAGCUCGAAUCAAACUAUGCUUCACAACUGGGGAGAACACAUCUGUGAAGUCUAUUCUUGGAAUUUGACUGUAACGUUUGUAACAAGCCUUGGUUUAUAUCUGAGUUCUUCAACUCCUAGACUCCCUUCUUUCUUUUUAAACACCCAUUUACAACGAACAAUCUUUUUACCUUUAGGAAGUUUCACAAGAUCUCAUGUUUUGUUUUUAUUGAGUGAUUCCAUCUCCUCUUGCAUAGAAAACAUCCACUUUUCUGAGUCUUCACAGCUAGCUGCCUUAGAAUAAUUAGAUGGCUCUUGGUUUGCAUCUAUAUCUUCAGCCACAUUUAAAGCAUAAGCAACUAGAUCAGCCUCGACAUACUUCUUUGGAGGUUUAAUUUCUCUUCUAGUUUUGUUUUUGGCGAUAGAGUAUUGUGGUGAAGAAGCAAUUCUAUUCUGAAUUUUUGCACUGGCUUGAGGAGUCGACUCUUUUGUUGAUUCUAGAUUAAUCUGAUGCUCUACCUGCUUUUGAUUUCCUUUAUUAGAAGAGUUUUUAAGAGAUAAGUUAGGUAGCAUAGCAGUUUCAUCAAAAAUAACAUCUCUGCUAAUCACAACUUUUCUAUUUUCAGGAACACCAGCUUUAUAACCAAGAAAAACACAUUUAAUGGAUCUCGGUUUCAAUUUGACUCUGAUUUUGUAUAAAAUUAUUAAAAAAAACUAAAAAUUUUAAAAAUAGAAAAAUGUUUAUCAAAAUUCUACAAAAAUAAAAUCUUGAAUAUGUUGUUGAAUAACGAAAUUGUAUGAGAAAUAAAGCAAAUUACCAUUGAAUAAAAUCCGAUAACAAAUUAAAAACAGAACAAAACCAAAAAAAACUUCCUCAAUGUUUCUCGAAACCAAAUUAGUAAUAUUAUGAAAUUGAGUUUCGUGCCCUUGAUGAACAUCUAGAACUGAUAUUACCAAGGCUUAUGAAAUUGACCCUAAUGCCAUUUUUUUAGUCAAAAGAAUACAAGAAAUAUAACAAAAUUUCCUUUUUCAAACUUAAUUCAAUUUUUCAUUACAUUUAAAUUAUUUUUCAAAACUCAAAUUAUAAAAAUAAAUUAUAUUUAGAAAAAAUAUUUAUAGCGUAAAAGCUAUGUCAAGAAACAGAGAACAAAUAAUUUUGCUUAAUGUUUUUUCUACGUUUUUUUACUAAAGAAUGUGUAUUGGAUAUUUCGAUACAGAUAAUAUAGAGACAUUUGUAAUGCUUAAAAACAAUUUUCUCUCAUUUUCUCUCACUUUAUUUAUUUUUAAAAUUUUUAUCUAUUUUUAUUUAACUUUUUAUUUUAUAAUGUUCUAAAAUUUUAAAAAUAAUUUCAAUUUUUACCAUUUUAUAUAUUAUCAAGAUCAAAUUGACUGAAGUAUAAAAUUUGAGGAUUAAAAUUGUUAUUAUGUCAACUUAAAAAAGUGUCACUUAACAUUUGAGUGACAAAAAAAAACAAUUUCAAAAACAUUAGUGAUGAAAUUGUAACUUUUUUAAUUGAGUGACCAAAACAAAAAUACCCAUAGUUUAGAGUGGGGGUGAGCAAAAUUCGAUUCGACUCGAAAAAAUCAAAAAAAAAUUUGAAUUUCGAGUUAAACGAAUCGAGUUAUUCGAAUCAACUUGAAUUUUUUUUCAAAUUUCGAGUUAGCAUCGAGUUGCGGUUUCGAAUUCGAAAUACUCGAAUAACUCGAAUAAUUCGAAUAUCAAAACUCUAAUAUUUUAAUUUUUACCAAAUCCCAAAUCUUUUUUACUUUUCCCCCAAAACUUUUACUCCUUCCCACUUUCCCCCCAAAACUCUUCCAUUUACUUUUUCUCAAAAUUUUUCUCCCAAAAACCCUCAAAACCUUUUAUUUUCCCCCAAAAGUUUUACUCCCUCCCACUUUUCCCCUAAAACUUUUAUUCCCUUCCCAUCACACCUCCCACCUCUCAUCUACCCCACACCGUCCCCCCUCCAAUUUUUUUUAAUAUUUUCCCUCCAAAAUUUUAGUCCCCCCUAUUUACUUUCCCUCAAACUUUUAUUCCCCAAAACUUUUUAUUUUCCCCCUAAAUUUUUACUUCUCACCCUUUACUCUCAAAUAAAAAAUCAAAAUUAUCCAAAAAAAAAUCACUAAACAUAAAUAGUAAUAAUUUUAUUUAUAUCUACUAUUUAUAUUAUUAAAUUAAAUUUCACAUUUUAUAUUAUUUGUAUUAUUGAAUUGUUUUGUCAUAUUGAAUAUUUAUAUUAAAAUUGAAUUAUUAAUUAUGCCAUAAAAUAUUCGUGUUAAAAUUUUAUAUUGGUAUCAAUUUCACAUUUUAUUUUUAAAAUAACUUUUAUUAAAAAUAAUAUUUUUACAUUUAAUAUAUUUUUUAAUUCCAAAAUAUAUAGUGACAAGAAUCUGAAGAUAAUUGAAACAACAAAGCAAGCAAAGAAGCUAACCAGUAUAUAAAAAAUUAAUAAAUAAAUUAUGAGGUGAUAAAAGUUAAUAAAAAAUUUGAUUAAGGUGGACAAAUUUUAUUACGAUGGGUGACAGUGGUUACAAGGACCCAAAAUUAUUUUUUAAAAUUUAACUCGAACAAAUAUAUUUGAUUCGAUUCGAUUCGAUUCGAUUUGAUUUGAAUUCCAUCUCACUCGACUCGAUUUGAGAAAAUUUCAAAUCAAAUUAGGAUGAUAAAAUAUGAUUCGUCAACUCGAUUAACUUGAAAUUUUUUUAUUCAAUUCGAUUCGAUUCGAUCAAACGCUCACCCCUAGUUUAGUGACUAAUAGUAUAGCCUUUUUUUGGUAAAAUGAAAAUUUGACCCUGAUUUUGUAUAAUAAAAAACUCAAAAUUAUUUAUACAAUGGAAAAUUGUAUAUUAUUCAACAUAGGGAUUUUUUACCCAAAUCAUAUAAAAAAUAAUUAAUUAUAAAAAUAAGGCAUUUGGUACAAUGUUCUAUAACAAAAUAAAUAGUUUUAAUGAUUGUUUUCUUAAAAACUGAAAAGCGAUUUGCCAGAAUUAAUAUUGUCAAAACACACAAUUUCAAAUUUAUUUUUUGGGUUUUUAAACAAGUUAAUGUAAUUUCUCCAUAUUCGACCAUAACGUAUGAACUAGGUUUGUGGCAUUACAAUUUUUGUCCUCAAUUUAUAUAUAUAUAUAUUUAUCAAUAUGACCCUGAUUUUAUAUAAAGAAUUAAAAUCAUUUAUAAAAUAGAAAAAUGUAUAUAAAAUUCUAGAAAAAUAAAAUCUUGAAUAUGUUGUUGAAGAACUAAAAUAUGUGAGAAAUAAAGAAAAGUAUAAUUCAAUAGAAUCCAAAAAUAAAUUAGAAACAAAACGAAAUAAAAAAGUUCAGUUUCAUGCUCUUGAAGAACAUCUAGGAUUGAUAUUAGAGAGACUUAUAAAAUCUACCCGACUGUCAUUUAUUUUGUCAAAAGAUUACAAAAUAUGCCACAAUUUUUUUUUUCAAACUCAAUUCAAACUUUAAUUACAUUUAAAUUAUUUUUCAAAACCCAAAUUGUAAAAACAAAAUGUGUUUCUUCUUCCAUGGUUGAGUUGGGCUUGGACAAGAUUUUUAUGUCUUGAGCUGUUCCAACUUGAAUUCAAUUUAAAUAAUAAAAAAUAUUUUUAAAUUUAAAAUUUAAUUAAGAAUAUAAAAAUAUUUUUAAUAUUUUAUUAUUUUUUGAACUCUCAAAUGGACUUUUUAGGGUUGACUGAGCUUGGCUAAAAAUGGGUUAGGCUUGAAAAAAUUUUAGAUUAUUUUUAGGAGUAUAUCAAGGAGUCUAAUAAUUACAAUUUUUUAAAAGGUUUUAAUAACACUAGAAAUCUUAUCAUACGCAUAAGCAUGUGAAAAUCACAUAUUUAGGACACAUAUUUGUGUUUAAAAAGAACGUACAAUAAAUAAUGAAGAGUAUGAUUCGGAACUAAUUAAUAAUAACACAUGAAAUAUGUAUGAUAUUAAAAUAAAAAUUACAUUAAAUUGAGAGUGAAAUAAAAUUUAAACCAAAAACACAUGAAUAUUAAAUGAAAACAAAUGUUUAUCAUUGUUUUGUCUUCAAUACUGAGUUGGUGUCAUGUUCAUUUGUGACGCUAAAUCAAUGACAUUAUUUACAUAUACAAAUAUAUAAAAAUUUAGAACACAAAUAUACUUAUUAAAGUUUCAAAUGAAAACCUUAAAUUGUUUUAGUUAUAAUGUAAAUGAAAAAGCUUUAUAUGCAUGGUGUCCCCUUGUUCAAAUAUCAUUAAUAUGGGUAAAUUUUUAUUGAUUUAUAAAAAAAUAUAAAAGGAUGAAAACACCAUCAUAAACAUAUAUAUUACUUUGCAAAUAAAAUAGUUUUUUUUUGUAAUUUUCUUAUUGAGUUAGGACCCGAUUGAUGAGUGACACCAACUCAAUAAAAUAUUUAAUACAUAGUAUAGAUAAAACAAUUUUAAUCUAAAAUGUUUAAAAGAAUUUAGGGUAAAAUUCAACAAUGGGUAAGUUUUCAUUUUGGUCACUUAACUAAAAAAUGUUACAAUUUGAUCACUAAUAUUUUCGAAAUUAUUUUCUUUUUGUCACCCGACUGUUAAGUGGCACUUGUUUCAAUUGGUAUAAUAAUAAUUCUAGUCAUUAGUUUUUAUAUUUUCUGUCAAUUUGACUCUGAUUGUGUAUAAAAUAUUAUUAAAAUUAUUAGAUUUAAUUUCAAGUUGUAACAUAUGAUUAUGCAUUCUUAUACCCUGAUGUCCCAUACUUUCCGAUUAAUUAUUAGAUUUAAUAAUAAAUUUAGCCUUUAACGUUUGAUUAUUUUGUUAAAAUGGCCCUAAUUGUGUUUUUGAUUUUUAUUUUUUUUGCUAUCAACCUUUGUUCUUUUUUUUAAUCUUCUUUUUUUAAUAUAUUUAAUGAAAGUACUUUAAAAAAGUUGACCGCGAAAAUGUGAAAUUUCAUAUGUCAAAUAUUUUUAAUGAGAUAUAAUUUAUUAGUUAAAUAACCCUAUAAGAUAAUUACAUGUAGAAAAUAUUAAAAUAAAUAAUACAUUAAAUUGAAAAAAAUAAUUUAAAGAAAAUAAAUGUAAUUAUUUAAAAAAAACUAACUCAGUAGAAAAACUUCUCAGUAAACAAACAUACGAAAGAUUCAAAACUUUUGAAAGAAAAGAAAUAUUGAAACAAAGGUUGAUGGUAAAGAAAAGCUCAAAAGUAGAAUUAGUGAUCAAAUUUAUCAUUAAAUCUAAUUAUUAUUAUUAUUAUUAUUAUUAUUAUUUAAUGCCAAUUAUAAUGGGUGACAGCAAAGAAAAAAGUAAAAAAAGAUGGAUUUCUUACUCAUAUCCACAACAUUCGUCUUUUUAUACAUGUAAUUAUGCUUUCCCAUUAAUUAUUAAUUAUUUUCUCUUUCUUCUGCUUCUUCACAUAUUGCUAUCACAAUUUUGCUUAUUUCUGUUUUCACCUUCUUCUUCACUCUUUUUAAUUUCUUUUGAUCUCCAAGGUCUAUCACUAAUUUUCAAGCAUCCAGUCAAGGUAAUUUUCUGUCAUUUGCUUCAUUCAUGACUAUACAAUGAUUGUUUUUAUUAUCAGCUACUGUUAUAGCAGCUAGCUUUGUAAGAUAGUCAAGGUAAUAAGAUCUGAAGCAAUGAUUCCUCUACUGAUUAUCAAUUUUAAGACGUACAGGAUGAUCAGCAGACAUAGUCUACUAUAGAUACAAAUUAAUACGAAAAGAGCUACCCAGAAGCAAUAUAAUGUUGAAAUCUCAUGCUGUUGGAACAUUUUACCUCUUAAUAUUCUGUAAUGCUCUUGCACACUUGAAUCUAGCAUGUUAUAUAGUUUGAGAGGUUGAUUCUGGAUAUACAAUGGUGACCAGAAUUUCAUCAUGUUUCUGCCUGCUACCCAUCCAUAGCUCCAUCUAAUAGACGCCAUUGCUUGAAACUUGCAUUCAUGCUUACACUCACAUAUCACAACUUCAUAAAAAAUCCAAUACAUUCACAGAUUUUCAAUGAUUUUGUUUUGAUGUCCAAGGUCUAUCACAAAAUUUCAAGCAUCCUGUCAAGGUAAUUUUCUUUCAUUUGCUUAAUCCAUCACAUGCUUUUCUUUGCUUGAUUCAUGACUUUGCAAUGAUUGUUUCUGAUUAUCUGCUACUCUUAGCAGCUAGCUUUGUAAGACAGUCAAGGAAGAAGUCAACUUCACUGCUUCAUUUUCAGUUUUAUUCUCUCAACACUUUUCAGCCACUAAGUUAGGUAAUAAGAUCUGAAGCUAUGAUUUCCUCUACUGAUUAUCAACAGUUUUAGAUUUUAAGACAAGAUGAUCAGCAAACGUAAUCUACUCUAGAUUGAAAUUAAUACAGAAAGAGUACCCAGAAGCAACAUAAUGUUGAAAUCUCAUACUGUUAACAUUUUAACUCUUAAUAUUCUGUAAUGAACUGUUGCACACUUGAAUCUAGCAUUUUAUAUACAUUGAGAGCUUAAUUCUGGUGACCAUAAUUUCAUCAUGUUUCUGUCAGCCACCCAUCCAUAGCUCCAUCUAAUAAACGCCAUUGCUUGAAACUUGCAUUCAUGUUUUCCUUUUCAUGCUUACACUGACAUAUCAAUACUUCAUAAAAUAUCCAAUUCAUUCACAGAUUUUCAUUCUCUGCUACUGUUUUUUUAUGAUUGCAUUGCAGGGACAUAGCAAUGGAGUACGUAGAGCCUGUUGUCGGCAUUGCAAAUUGUCUCGGAACUCCUGUUUGUAAAUAUUUGCAAUAUCACAGAAAGCUGAACGAUUAUGUGAGAAACUUCAAGAGGAUCAGAGAUGAAUUGAAUUGCAAAAUGGAAGAUAUAGAGCUGCAAUUGAAAGCAGAGCUUCUUCGUCCUCUGGGGAAGAUACCCAAGCAGGGAGUUGAAAAUUGGUUGAAAGCUGUGAAAGAGAUGAUUAGGGAAGCACAAGUUGUUGAAAACAAAGUCAGUAACGGGAGAUAUCUCUGUCGUGCUUGCAACGGGAAGCUGGUUGAUGAAAAGACUCGAGAAAUGAAGGAAUUUCUUGAUAAAGCUCCUAAUGCCUCUGAAGCUCUUGCCAUGGAUGGUCCAAGUGCGGGGUUGCCACUGCCAACAUCAGAACUAGUUGGAGAGGAAGCUGUCAGAAAUGAGAUUUGGGCAUGUUUGAUGCAGGAGGAGCUGAGCAGGAUUGGGGUUUGGGGGAUGGGCGGUGUGGGUAAAACCACUAUUAUGAAGCACAUCCACAAUGAUCUUUUGAAAGAACAAAGAUUCGAAAGGGUAAUCUGGGUUACCAUUUCAAAGGAGUUCAAUGUAAUGAAGGUACAAGAUAAUAUUGCAAGUGCGUUGGAGUCGAAGGAAUAUCUAGACAAAGAAGAGGACAAGCUCAGACGAGCUGCAAUCUUGUCAGAAAUGCUGAAGAACGCAGGAAAGCAUGUUCUAAUCCUAGAUGAUGUGUGGCAUAAAGUCUCUCUAGAGGAAGUUGGGAUCCCUGAGCCUAGUGGCAGCAAUGGCUGCAAGUUGGUGUUGACAACCCGUUCGGAGCAUGUCUGUAAGUAUAUGGGUUGUAAGGUGAUAAAAGUGAAGCCCCUUUCAGAAGAAGAGGCAUUGAUACUAUUCUUGAAUAAAGUUGGACCUAACAUAGUUCAAAGUCCAACUAUAAUGCCUAUUUUGAAGCUUGUUGUCAAGGAAUGUGCGGGUCUACCUCUUACAAUUGUCGUGGUAGCUGGUACCAUGAAAGGAGAAGAUACCCCUCUUAUUUGGAAAAAUGCACUCGGGGAAUUAAAAGAGAGAAUAGGAAAAGUUGAAGGAGUGGAAGCUGAGGUAAUCGAGCGCUUGAAAUUUAGCUUCGAUCACUUAAAGGACGAGAAAGUGAAAUAUUCUUUCUUAAAUUGUGCAUUAUAUCCCGAAGAUUUUGGAAUUGAAAAGGAUGAACUAAUUGAGUGCUGGAUUGAGGAGGGAUUCAUAGAUGAUAUGGGUACAAGACAAGAAAUGAAAGACAAGGGCCAUGUUAUUUUGAAGAAGUUAGAAGAGAAUUGCUUGUUGGAAAAUAAUACCAAUGUACGUGUUCAACCUUGCAUAAAGAUGCAUGAUGCAGUGAGAGACAUGGCAUUGUUGUUGGAGCAAGAGGCAGCAGCAGCAAGCUUCAGCAGAAUGCUUGUUUUGCAAGUCUCGUGACUUGUAGGAGAAACAAAGCAGAAAACUCAAAUGGAUUUUAAGCAAAACUAAAAAAUGGAGAGCAUAUGGAUGAAAACUUGUUGAAUUCAUUCAUUGAAAAUUAAAAUGGCCCAAAGCCAAUACAUAAACAAGUUUACAAUCUUGACAAAACGGUAGGUUGACCUAAACUUCACCUACUACCACUAAUACACAUAGUAACUUGUGCUAAUUAGCUUGAACAAAUAAACAAAGCUGAUUUAUCAGCUCAAUCAACAUCAAAAUUACAUCAAGCAUAAACCUAACAUAGUUAUAAAGCAACUAAGUUACAUUACUCUAACUUAAAAUUACAAAAUGAAACAUAAACAGCUUGCUGACUAGGUGAACCAGCAGCUUCUGCAUGUAGUGCCUUUGACAGUCUUGGUUGCUGCAUGCUGAUCAUAACUUCAAUACUCCUCCUUGGUUAGCAUGUUGCAAACUCCCAUAUUAGUUCUCAGGCGUUGAAACUUGGAAACACUUAGUGCUUUUGUUAAAAUAUCAGCAAUUUGCUCUUCAGAACUGCAAUGUAUCAGCUUAACAACAUGAGCUUGUUCCAUUUCUCGAACUGCAUGAAGUUUGAUGUUGAAGUGCUUGGUCCUUCCAUGAAAAACAGGAUUCUUUGCAAUAGCAACUGCUGAUUGGUUGUCACACAUUAUCUCAGUUGCUUCCUUUUGCUCAUGAUUGAUAUCUUUCAAAAUUUUUCUAAGCCAUAUGGCUUGAUUGACUGCUGCAGCAGCAGCCACAUAUUCUGCUUCUGCAGUCGACUGAGCCACUACUCCCUGCUUCUUUGAGCUCCAGCAAAUCAUAGCAGAGCCUAUGUUGAAUGCAUAACCUGUAGUGCUCUUCAUGUCAUCCAAGGAACCAGCCCAAUCACUGUCACAAUAUCCAACUAGCUUCAAGUUCUCAGCCUUGGUAAACUGCAUUCCAUAGGACAAAGUUCCUUUGAUGUAUCUUAGAACCCUUUUUGCAGCUCUAAAAUGACUUUCAUUUGAACAAUGCAUAAACCUCGAGAGUAGACUCACAGCAUACAUUAUGUCAGGUCUAGUAGCAGUCAAAUACAACAAACAUCCAACUAGACUUCGAUAGGUUGUUUCACAAACCUUUUCAUGCUUGUCUUGGCUCGAGAGUUUUUCUCCAACAGCAACUGGUGUGCUGGUUGCUUUGCAAUUCUCCAUUGAGAAUUUGUUGAGAACCUUCAUAGCAAAGGUCUUUUGACUUAGCCAAAUCCCAUUCUUAGCUUGGGUUACUUCCAUGCCUAAGAAGUAAGACAUCAAUCCCAAGUCUGACAUUUCAAAGUGCUGUUGCAUUUUGACUUUAAAGCUGCUUAGCAUCUCAUGAUCUCCUCCUGUCACCAAUAGGUCAUCGACAUAUAUUGAGACAAUGAGCUGAGUUUCAGCACUAGUUGAUUUUACAUACAGAGUUGGCUCGCUAAGACUUCUUUCAAAUCCUUGACUGGUCAGAUAGCCAUCUAUUCUGCUAUACCAGGCCCUUGGAGCCUGUUUCAAGCCAUACAAGGCUUUGUUGAGCUUGUACACCAUUUCUUCCUUGCCAGACACCUUGAAACCUUGAGGUUGCUCCACAUAAAUCUCCUCUUCAAGGAAUCCAUUCAGAAAUGCUGAUUUUACAUCAAGUUGGUGUAUCAGCCACUGUUUUUGUGCUGCUAAGGCAACUAGCAGUCUGAUAGUGUCUAGCCUGGCCACUGGUGCAAAGGUUUCCAGGUAGUCUGAUCCAUACCUUUGACUGAAACCUUUCACAACCAAUCUAGCCUUUAACUUGUUUAGGCUACCAUCAGCAUUGUUCUUUACUCGAUAAACCCAUUUGACACCAAUAAUCUUCCUGUUUGUUGGUUUAUCAACCAGACUCCAGGUCUGAUUCUUUUCAAUCAUUCUGAUUUCUUCAAUCAUUGCUUGCUUCCAGUCCUCCUGGUUUUCUGCUUCUUCAAAGCAACUUGGUUCAAUAGUAGCCACUUGUGCUCUUUCAUAAACAUCAACCAGUGAUCGAGUGCCUCUGAUUGGAACAUCAUCUACAUCCAUUUCAGGUGUGUUUUCAUCAUUUUCAACUUGAUCCACUGCGAGAUCUUCAGCCACUGCCUCUGGUUCAGCCUUCUCCCAAUUCCAGUGUCCUUUUUCAUUGAAAACAACAUCCCUGCUAACCAAUAUCUUGUUUGUAGCAGGUUCUAGGAUUCUGUAGCCCUUCUUAACCAAGCUAUAGCCGAUCAGGAUGCCUGCUUGAGCUCUUUUAUCUAGCUUGCUUCUCUUCUCAGCUGGAACUUGUGUGUAGCACAGACAACCAAAGGUUCUGAGAUGAGCCAGUGAUGGCUUAAACCCAAACCAGGCUUCAAAUGGAGUCUUUUCAGCCAGAGCCUUGGUUGGGAGCCUGUUUUGGAGAUAGACUGCUGUGUUAACAGCUUCAGCCCACAGAGUUUUGGGCAAAUUCUUCUCAAACAGAAGACAUCUUGCCAUGUUCAUCAAGCUUCUGUUUUUCCUUUCACUGACCCCAUUCUGUUGGGGUGUAUACACAUUAGUCAACUGGUGUUUGAUACCUGCUUCUUCACAGUAGGCUUGGAACUGAGCUGAGGUGUACUCAGUUCCAUUAUCUGACCUCAUUGCUCUAAGUUUGCAACCAGACUCAGUUUCAACAGCAGCUUUAUACUUCAGGAACACAGAUGAAACUUCUGACUUCUGUUUUAAAAAAUAAAUCCAGCAGUAUCUUGUUAAGUCAUCAAUAAAUAAAAUAAAGUACCUGCUUCCUUUGAGAGACUCAGUCUUCAUUGGUCCACACACAUCUGUAUGCACAAGCUGAAGCUUCUCUGAUGCUCUCCAUGUUGUGCUUGCUGGAAAUGGCAAUCUUGCCAAUUUUCCUUGCUGACAUAUCUCACAAAGCUCAUCAUUCUUCACUGAAUCGAUGAAAUUUUCUGCCAGUCCUUCAUUGACCAUGCGGGCUAUGGAUUUGUAGUUUGCAUGUCCAAGCCUCUGGUGCCAGAGUCUCGAGUCAUCAGUGGAGGCUAUGCAGGCUGAAUGUGAGUCAUUUGGCCAGUCUACUUCAAAACAUUUAUCAGUCAUGGUGACUGUUAUGAGGUUUGAUCCACUUGGAUAAAAAAUUUGACAUUCUUUCUCCUUGAAAACAACUGAGUAACCUUUCUCAAGUAGUUGACUUAUACUGAGAAGGUUCCUAUCGAUUUCAGGUACCAAAAGUACAUUUGAAAUGAUUUUGCCACCUGUAGAGGUAUGAAUCAGCACAUCUCCUCUUCCUUCAGCAUUGAUUAACUGACCAUUUCCAAUUUUUACUUUGGUUUUGCAGGUUCUGUCCAGGGUUUUGAAGAUAGUUACAUCUGGUGACAUGUGGUUUGUGCACCCACUGUCUAGAAGCCAGCCCUUUGAACCCUUUUUGUGAUUUGCUGCACAUGACACAGCAAAAACAUGUUCUUCUUGAUCACUACUUUCUUCAGCUACUCGAGCUUCUACUUUUUGUUGCUGAAAUUGAUUCUGUCUUGGUUUGCUUCUAUUCUUGCAAACUUUUUCAGCAUGGCCCUUUUUCUUGCAGUGUUGGCAUACUGCAUCUGGUCUAAACCAGCAUCUAUCUUCUGGAUGACCAGCUCUUUUACAAUGUCUGCAGAGUUGGUCACUGCUCCUAGCAGCAUCAGGCUUAGGCCUGUUUUUCCAGAACUUUUUGCCUUUAUGAGUUUUGAUGCUCGAGGCUUCUUUGGCUUGAAAAGCCCCUUCCUGGUGCUCCUCUUGUCUGCUGGCUCUUCUUUGCUCUUGUGCAUACAAGGCAUUGAUUAGCUCAGUUAAGGAGAUAGUUGUCAAGUCCCUUGAGUCUUCGAGGGAUGAAAUUUUAGCUUCAUACCUCUCUGGUAGAGUGGACAUGACUUUCUCAACCAUUCUAGCUUCACUGAAUUGCUCUCCUAGGAGCCUUAUGCUGUUUACAACAGCCAUAAUCCGAUCUGAGUACUGCUUAACUGUUUCUUCCUCUUUCAUUUUGAGAUUUUCGAAAUCUCUUCUCAAGUUGAGCAGCUGUUGUUGCCUUGUUUUCUCAGUCCCCUGAAAUUCUUCUUUCAGCUUGUCCCAAGCCUCCUUUGGUGUUUCACAGGCCAUGAUCCUCAUAAAGAUCACAUCUGUCACACAAUUCUGUAUGCAUGACAUGGCCUUGUGCCUUUUUGUUCUUUCAUCAGUGUGUUGCCUUAUUUGAGCAACUGUUGGAUUUGCUCGAAGAGGUGCUGGCUCAGCAUCUGAGUUGACAACUUCCCAUAGGUCGAAUGCCUGCAGGUAAGUCCUCAUCUUAACUGCCCAAAUGUUGAAGCCCUCUCCAUUGAAGACAGGUGGUGAAGCUGGUGAAAAACCUGAUGAUGCCAUCGUUUUGAUGUUGAACUACAACAGGUCCUCUAAGAAUACGGCUCUAGAUACCAAUUGUUGGAGCAAGAGGCAGCAGCAGCAAGCUUCAGCAGAAUGCUUGUUUUGCAAGUCUCGUGACUUGUAGGAGAAACAAAGCAGAAAACUCAAAUGGAUUUUAAGCAAAACUAAAAAAUGGAGAGCAUAUGGAUGAAAACUUGUUGAAUUCAUUCAUUGAAAAUUAAAAUGGCCCAAAGCCAAUACAUAAACAAGUUUACAAUCUUGACAAAACGGUAGGUUGACCUAAACUUCACCUACUACCACUAAUACACAUAGUAACUUGUGCUAAUUAGCUUGAACAAAUAAACAAAGCUGAUUUAUCAGCUCAAUCAACAUCAAAAUUACAUCAAGCAUAAACCUAACAUAGUUAUAAAGCAACUAAGUUACAUUACUCUAACUUAAAAUUACAAAAUGAAACAUAAACAGCUUGCUGACUAGGUGAACCAGCAGCUUCUGCAUGUAGUGCCUUUGACAGUCUUGGUUGCUGCAUGCUGAUCAUAACUUCAAUAAUUGUCGAUCACAAGAAUGAAUCCUCGAUAUAUGAUACAAUCAGGUUUGCAAUUAAAAGAGUUACCAGAAAAGGAGCAAUGGAGUCCGAAUAUUGAGAAAGUGUCUCUUAUGUAUAACUCCAUAUCAGAAAUUUCCAUAGAUGUGCUGCCCCCAAAAUGUCAACUGCUCACAACCUUGUUAUUGCAGCAUAACCCCAUAAAGAAGAUCCCAUAUUAUUUCUUCACAAACAUGCCUUGUCUUAGUGUUCUCAAUUUGUCUUUUACAAAGAUUGAGAGUUUACCAAAUUCCAUCUCUGAACUAAAGAACCUCACAACAUUGUUGCUUCGUGGUUGUUCUGAAUUAAGAGAUCUACCAUGUCUUUCGAUGCUUCAAGAAUUGAAGAAGUUGGAUAUAAGUCGUACAAGAAUUGGGAAAGUACCUGAAGGCAUGGAUAUGCUGAUAAAGCUAAGACAUCUUGAUCUUAGUGUGUGGAAUGUGAAAGAGAUACCCGCUGGACUUUUACCAAAACUCGUUCACCUUCAGCACUUGAGUUUUGAUGUGUACAAUGAAAAAACAAGUCUAAAAGCAAAGGAGAUGGAACCAUUGAAGAAGUUGGAGUGCUUUACGGGACGUUUCGAAGACAUCAGUGAAUUCAAUAAGUUCAUCUCCUCAAUGCAACAAAGUAAGAAAAAUCUCAUCAAGUACUAUUUACAGGUGGGCUCAUAUUUUGUGGGUGCUACAAGAGAUAAAAAAGUAACAAUUGGAGGAGUCCAAAAUUGGGAAGAUGAGUUAAUUAUGCACCCAAUUAAAAUUCAAGAGUUGAAUAUUUUACAUUGCGACUAUUCGAUAAACUUAGUCGAUGAUAAUUCUUCCUUCAAAAAUGCGAUUGACUUGAGGGUUUGUAGGAUUUAUAAUUGUAAAGGGAUAGAGUGUGUUGUUUCCCUGUCCUCUUUUGCCUCUUCUUCCGCUCAUCCAUUUCAGAGCCUCGAGGUGUUGCAUCUUCGAUCUCUGCCAAAGUUGAGUGCCCUUAUUAUGAAAGAUGCAGGAAUUGGUUCAGCAACAACGUCAACGUUGGCUCCGUCUACCACCUUUUCCCAUCUUAAGGAAAUUGAUGUACGGGGAUGCUCAAGUAUGAAGACGUUGCUUCCACAUUGGUUGCUUCCAAACCUCCAAAACCUGGAAAAAAUAUAUGUGCGUGCUUGUAGUCAGCUAGUAGAAAUAUUGGGAGCAGAAACAUCAGAAGUUGAAGAAAAAGGGAGUGAUGCAUUAAUCAAAUUCCAUCUUCCCAAAUUGAUAGUGUUGGAAUUGAGCGAAUUACCAAAUUUGAAGAGCAUAUGCAGCAAAAGUGGAGUGAUGGUUUGUGAUUCUCUCCAAUUUAUGAAAGUUGAUGGAGAUUGUGAUAAACUGAGGAGAAUUCCUCCUUUUGUUCCCCUUGUUGGCAAUGGGCAGCCAUAUGCAUAUGCUCCACCUUCUCUUACCAUCUUCUCAAGCACAGAAUGGUGGGAAUCGUUGGAGUGGGAUGACCAUCCAAACUAUAAAAAUGUUCUUCGCUUCAACCCUACAUUGAGGAUAAGAGGUAUGAACCAUUUAUGGUUUUGUUUAUUUUUUUUAUUUUGAUAAAUCUAAUUUCUCCAUUUUAAUAAAAUUUCAGAUAAAUCUGGUAAUGUUGUUGAAGAGAAAGAUGAAAGGGUUGGUGGGAAAGAAGUAGGGGGGGGAGGAUAGUGCAAAAGAGAGGAGAAAAGGAAUGAUGGAAGGAAUGAUAGAGGCAAAGGUAAAUAAGAAAUCAAACUGCCUCCACUUUUUAUACAUUUUCCCUCUCUUACCAUUCCUUCUAUUCUCUUACCACUUUUUAUAUAUAUAUGUAUAUAUAUGUACUUCCCAAAAUAACCUUCUAAAUAUUUAUGAUUAAAAUAUUUAUAUUAAUCAAAAUGAUUUAAGGUGAGACAAAUCUUAUUUCCAAUAAAAGUUCGGAAAGUAAUGUAAAAAUACAUAAUAUUUUUUAAUUUCCAUGUAAAAUUUCUGGAAACAUUAAGAUUUAAAAAAUAAUAAUUGCUUGUUUUUUUAAAACAUAAUAUUUAUUAAAAAAUAUAAUUGGAUUCAUUCAUAUGUAAACGCAAGCAUAAAGAUUAAAACAAUAAUGUAAUUUCAUAAAAGUAUGAUAUUAGAAAUUAAAAGUGGAAAUUAAAUAAGAUGAAUUCCUUUUCUUGAGUAAUAUAAAAAUUGUAGGGAUAGUUAAUAAUAUUAACAUAUUUCUAAUAUUAAAUAAUAUUUUAAAUUAUGAGGACUAAAUGAGAAAAUUAAAAAGGUGAAAUCCCUUUUAAAAUAAAUUAAAAACAUUAAGGGUAUUAUGUUGCAAAUAACCCCUCCACGUUCCCAUAUAUAAAAGACAUUUUCCUUUUUCUUUUAAUUUGUGAUAAGUUGGAAAAUAAAAAAACAAAAAAAAAAAAAACUUAGUUUCCUUUUUUAUUCUUGUUUCAUUUUGUUGUCCGACUUUUUUUUUGAAGCUGAAGAUUUAAAGUUUUUUAGUAUUAAAUACCAAAAUAUCAUAGGUUCUCAAUAAUUAUGUAGUUUGUAAUGCCAGAAAGUUUACAUUUUUUAAAUAUCAUAGGGACACUAGCGUGUGUCCAGACUGUGUGUGACUAUGUUAGUGCAGGGUUCACACAGGCCAAGGACACGAACGUGUGUCCAGGUCGUGUAACUCACUAUUUACAAAAUAAGGAUCUCACGAACGGAUGACACAGCCGUGUGUUAGGCCAUGUGAGACACACGGGCAAGCAAACAGGAAUGUGUCAGGCUGUGUGGGGCUACACGGGUGUGUGGGCCAGUUUACGAAAUUUUUUCAUUUCCUGAACUUCGUUUGAAAUGAAUACAAGCCUUCUGUGAGGCUGUAUGAACUGAAUUAAAUUGUAUAAAUUGAUAUUCUAUGAUCUGAAAUUGAGUACUAAUAAUGUGCGUGUGUAUUGUAUAUGACCAAUGUUAAUAGUAUCGAUCUCCUGUAUUCAAGCAUGAAUUGUAUCUAAAUAUUCACAUUUGUAUUAACUGUCAUGUGAAGUCUGCAUAUGCAUUGGGUGGAAAUUGAGCAAGAAGGAUGUAUUCUGUUCUAACAUAAUGAUUAAAUCACUACCAUAUGUACUCUGAUCUAAUAGCUAGACUGCAAUUUCUGAAACGUGUUAGAUCGACCCUAUAUGGUGUGUAGGAUUGGAUGGGUUAUAAGUAUCCUAUUUCAUGUGUUAGGUUGGUUGGAGAUGGUGUGUAACGGCUGGGAUUAAGAAAAUUGCAUAUGUUCUGUUCUGUUCUGUAUCUGAUUAUAGUUUGAUUUGAUAUCUGUCUGUAUUGUUCUGAUCCGUAAAUUAAUGAGCUAUUUCCUAAGUCUAAAUCGGUAUUUGCACUUGGACAUCUACUGGUUUAAUCCACACUCUAUUGAAUAUGUAUAUAGUUGGUUUCUUUAUGAGAUAUUAAAUCAUUUUUUUGUUGAAUGAAUUAUAGGUAAAUCACAAGCUUAGAGAAGUCGGUGGAUGGGGAGCUCAGUUUCAUUGUUUUAAACUGUUUAGUAGUACUAGUAUUGUUAGUUGUUAUUCAUAUUUUCAAUUUACUUGGACGAUAAACCUCAAAUUUCUUACCUUGUUAGUUCUUUAAAUCUUAUAUGACUCUGAAGGAUUUUAAAGUUAAGUUAUGAAGUUGCUUUAUUAUUAUAGUUCGUUGUAACCCUCCAGGCUUGGUCUUGUCGUCUAGACCGGGUAUGGAGUGUUACAUUCCUUUAUAAUAUUUAGCAAUGCCAACAAUGUUAAAAUUGUAUUGGUAAAAAAAGUAAAUUUAAUUUUAUAAAUAGAUUUUCACAUAAACAUUAAACAUUUUUACUCUACAAAAAAAAUUAAUAUAAAAUAUUUAAAUAAAUACCCAUGAUGAAUACAUGCAUUGUACAAGUUAUAUAUCAACAUUUAACAUUUUAUCCAAAAAGUUAAUGAUACUAACUGUAUAGACUAUAUAUCUAAUAAUAUUACAAAAAUAUAGAGACUAAAUUAUGUUAGAAAUUAAAGUAUAAAGAUUAAAUCAUAAAUUUAGAUAUAAUAGAGGGAUCAAAACUUAAAAUCAUGAAAAAUUCCUUAACAAAAUCUUUCCAUUUAACAACCAAACAUCAUAAACCACCAUUAAACUUCAAAAAUCUACCAUCUUCAUCAAUGACUUCUUCCAAAUCAUUAACAAUUUAACAAAAAAAAAUCCUUGGAUUAGAUAGAUAGAGUUAAAAUGAUCCCAAAAACAUUAAAUUCAUGAAAAACAGAUUAAAAUAUUCUUACAUGCAUUAACCUUAAUGACUGAAAAUGCAAGCUACAAAUAGACUAUUCUUUUCUCUAUUUUCGGCAAGAACACCUAAAAAAGAUGAUAAUUUUCAUUAAUUUUUCUUUUAUGUUUUCUAUUCUUUAUUUUCAUAAGUACUUACUUAUCCUUGUAAUAUAACUAAACAAUGAACUAAACUUAGUCUAUAUUUGUCCACUAAAGUUCUAUAUGGUUUAAUUACCACAUAGAUCCAUCCACUCAAAUAAUACUAACCAUUUAAUACAGUUAACUAUGGGAACUAACUUUUUAAGUUUUUACAAUUUAAUCCUUUUUAAUUAAUUAACUAUCUAAACAAUAACCUUCUUAACUAAAAUUUAAUAGACACUAAUGACCUUGUAAAUACUAAAUUAACCUGAAAAAUGAGAAAACAAUUUAAUCCUUUUUAAAUUAAUUAACUAUUGGCCGGACCCUCGGGCUUUCAGAGAAAACAAAAAGUGGUUUUUUUUUUUUUGAGAAGUGAGAGAAAAUGAAAUUUUUUAAAAAAUUUUGGUUUAUAUAAGGCCUUACAAACGACGAUGAUAUAUAAGCUUGUGAAAGUUAAAGUGAACAGAUGAUGAUAUUUAUAAGUAAAUAUACACUUUGAUGAUGCUUGUUUAUGUGUAUGGUGCCAAAGAUUUGUUGCUUGAAUAGAAAUGAAGGCAUGUCUUUUACCUGUUAAGUUAAUUUUGGUUAUAUGAUGGGCCCUAUAAUGUGGAUAGUUGGGUGGAUAGUAAAAACAAACUGAAAUUAUUCAAAGUUUAAGUGGGAAACCAAAACAGAGUUUAACUGAGAGAAGAAAAAAAAACAAACUUGAUGAACACGUCACCACGUCGUGACGUAGCAUUCUUGUCAUCGUGACAGGGAGAUGUUACGUUGUUGAGAUGAAGGCUUUCUUCUUAUCAUGACAUUGGUUGUUUGUCGCGGCGUUGAGCUUUAUCUUGUUGGGACAUCACUUACUAUUUUGUUUGAAAUGUGAGGCAAACGCCAUAAAGUGUAUAGUGAUAUAGAGCCAUGGUUGUUUGAACCAAGAAUCAGUCAAGGUACUAGUUCGAAGUGAGGCAUCAGACCACUUCACCCGCGAAUCGGUGCAAACCUAUUGAACAAGAUUAAAGAAAACUAGUUUUUUUUUUUAUGAGUUUUUAAUGAUUUAUUUAAUUGAACAAUACAGACUAAUAGUUUACCGGUUCAACUACUUCUAAAAACCUUAGAAUAUAUUUUAAUCUUUAAAUUUUUACUCAAACACUAAUAAUAAAUUUUAAUCUUUAAAUUUAUUUUAUAAUUUAACAUAAAUAGAAAAUAACUCAACCGUACUAGCAUUAAAGAAAAAGGAAAUCCAUAGUGGUACGAGUCACGCAAAGGAAGGAACUGCCAACAUCCUUGAAGCUCUAUAAUUAUCAAAAUUGAAAAACAAAAUGCCAACAUCCUUUAAGCUUUUGCACUAGAAUCGAAAUUAAAAAAGAAAAAGGAACUGCCAACUUUCGUUAAGAACAAGUAGUUGAAACUCUUCGUUGACACCUGAAUAACCAAGGUUCAUCCCUUAUCGUACUCUCCUAUCAUAACGCGACAACAAACUUUGCAUUGUUUCUACUCAAAAGGGUGACAUCAAAAUAUAUUUUGUUGAAUUUGAAAAGGAAAAUUUAAGAACAGUGAAGUACAUCCAACUAUGAAAGACUAACGUUGAGAUUGACCUGGUGCUAAUUUGCACUCAGCAGAGCUCUUGCAUGUCCUUUAGAUAUCUGUAGCUGCUCUGUUAUGCCAAAAUGAGCCAUAAGAAGCCAAACAUGGGUUAGAAGCUCUCCACCCCUUCUCAGUUGAUUAGCAUGCUGAGUUCCCCCACAAUGACUUGCAGCAUAAGUUAGCAUCUCUAACCAAAUUUCUUUAAUCAUCUCCCAUUUUACCUUUUUGUCUGAUAUGCCUUCAAGUGUUGAUGCCAGCUUGCAAGCGUCAAACAACACAGAUUUGCUUUUAUCCCCUUUUACUUUGCUCGGGUCUACAUCGGUCUUCACAUGAAGCAACAUACUGCAAGCAUCCUUCACACUCAUUAAUUGGUAUGCACUUGAAGAGAGCAGCCGUCCUUUAAAGAACCUCCAAGCUUGAAGCAACUUUCUGCAAUACUUGGUUAUUUUAUUCACUCGCUUAGCACUAGAAGAUUCCCGUCUUUCCUUGAAAAACCUCCUGGCCUCGGCUUCAGUGUCUCGAAACCUUAUAAGCCCUAUUCCUGAUGGCAACAUAAGAGGAUAAAAGACAAGGAGGUAUAUCAGGUACUUUGAGAUUAACAGGCUUGCUUCCCGACAUUGUCCAUUUUCAGUAUCACUUUGAAGACCUGAGUUGUAACAAAUCUCUGUAGCAAUGUGCCAGAUAAGAAUACUCUGGUCGAACUCAACAUCAAUACUCCACUCAAGCUUAGCUGGCAAUUUAUCCUCAUGUUUUUGAAGUAUGCUCUCUCCCCUUUGGCGGCAGAAGUCUCUAAGAUUAGUACCUUUUUUUCCCUUUUGCGCUUCAAAUUUCGCUUUGACAUGGCUAAAGAGGGUGUCUCUCAAGGAUCCCUCGAAUUUUACACUACUUCUAGGCGGCCACAUUUGCUGCACCUUUUCAAGUAUUUUAAACCCAGGUCUUUCUUCCAGGAAAUGGCUGAGUAGGCUGUACUGUGAUAUGCGACCAGACCACCUCUUUUGAUCAUACAGGGAAGUCAAACAUCUAGUGGCUCUAAUAAUGAAAGUUCUGUUAUUCUUAACCAACCAAUGGCUCGUCUGGUCUGAGCAAAGUAAUAAAAAUGCUGCAUACAUCUCCAGAAGAAUAGCUACAACAAGCAAAAGAAAAGUGAUGCAUACAUCAGCCUCUUCAUACUUGUUCAGGUUAUCAGUAGAGAACAUCCCCAACACAAGACAGGUGAGAAGGACAGUAGUAAAGCGGCAAACCAAACCGGAACGAGUAUAAUUUACCAUAGCUUUGGUGUAUAGUAAAUCAUACAUGAAUCCUAGUUCAAUGGCCACCACAUCGAAAGCAUCCUCCGGACUCAUGUCCUUGAAUAAAUUUUGGCUUUUCUCCUUGUCUUUAAAGCUUAGGAUGAGAUCUGCAAACAGACGCUUGAAUAUCUGAAACAUCACAGUGGCUUUAAUGAUUUUGUCUUGGUCAGUGCUCCUUUUUUCAGGGGCUGUAAUAUCCAUUUCUUGCUCAUCUUCCUUCACCUCUUCAAUAGUCACCAAGAACCCCUCAAAUUUCCUCAGACUGUAUUCAUCCAUCAACUUGGGGUAAUUAGGACCAGGAUCUGGAGAAGUUAGCAUCGAGUCUCGUAAUUCGCCAGGGCUUGCUCUCCAUAGAGUCCAUGUCCUCUCAGCAUACUUAAUUGAUCCAGCCACAAUCAUUGGAAUGGUUAGCUUGGAGAGAAGGGAACCUGUCCAUGCCAUGAAUAAGAUGUAUAUUGUCACAAUUGUCUGCACAAUUAGUCCAAAAAGGUGCCUUAACCAUAGCUGAUUGUCUUCCAGGGAGUAAGCUGUAAUGGCAUCUGGGCCACCCAAGUGCAGUAGGAGAAAGGGUGCCCACGUUGCUUUAAGCUCAGUGCUCAAGUCAAGAGCUCCUCCCUUAUCAUAUAUUUCACCCAGGUCAUUUGUUAGUAUGCCGAGGGCGAUAGAUGCUAGAGAAUCAGCCAGCAAAUAGGAACACCAAACAGCAGCUCUAAUCCUUCUUUUUGAAGUGCAUUUUCUGCGCUUGCCAAAUAAAAUGAGCAAAAUUUGGACCAGAAGGCUGGUUAAAACCAUUGCUCGGAGCUCCCAUUCCUUCCACAACUUCAUUAAUGAGGGAGAAAAGACCUCCACCAUCUUUCGGCUUUUCUUCACCAAAAUUAAGCUACCAACUACUGCAUAUGCACGAACAAACAAGAAUUAUUCAUAAACUUAACGCAGCUAACUAGUGAUGAUUUUCAAAAAUAAAUAUUCCAUUUUUUUCCAGAAACAUAUUUUGUUCAUUUCUUCCCAUUAUGAAUAUAUAUGCAGAAUCUAAGAAAGAAAAAUUGGUUCCUUACUUGUGGGAAUCAUUGUGAUUGUUAAUGCUUCCUGAUGAGUCUACUCGCAUCACCUAACUGGGUUUUGCUCUGCGAAACGGUUUAGCUAACAUUGAUGGGAAAAGCAGCUUCUUUACUCUAAGCGUCAAUGCGUUAUGCUUAAAUCAAAUAUUCUUAGAGUAUCCUUACAAAUUAGUUUAGAUGUGCCAACGGUAUUUUUACUUUUUUCACAUUUAAAAUUUAAAAUUUAAUCUUUAUAAUUUUCAGACUUUUUACUUAAAAAAUUCUAGUUUCUCUAUUUAAUUUUACCAUUAUCGACUUUAUAAAAAAAGUAAAAUGAAUUUUUAGUCCUUAAUAUUUACAAUUUUUUAUCAAUUUGAUUCUUACCUUUAAAAGUAAAUAAGAAAUUUUUGAAUUUACUUUUUCCAUAUUUUAUUUAAAAAUUUUAAAAUAUAUUUUAAAAAUCUAAAAUUAUGAAAGAAAUAAAAACUAUUUAAAAUUCAAAAAAUAAUCAUUUAAUAUAAAUUUUAUUAAUAAUAUAAUAAAUAAAUUAAAUCACAAAAUAUUAAUGCUAAAAUUAAAAAAUGACACUUUUGGACUAAUGUAAUUUAGAUAUUAAAUAUGAUAUAUAUGAGAUAUUGGUAUUUAUUUUAUUAAUAAAAUAUAAAGAAGCAAAUUACAUAAAAAGAUAAUCAUGUAUGAUCACAUUUUGUUAUAUAAAUCAUAUAUAAUCAUUAAAUAUGAAGCAAUAAAUGCUUUUUAAUUUUUUUAAAUUUUAUUUAUAAUAAUUAUGUUUCUCUAAUAUUCUUUAAAUUAACUUAAUGUUAUGGAUUGAUUUACCCAUCUGUAAUUCAACAGUUUUUUAAAUAUUAUAAUAUACAAAUUAAAUUUUAUAAUUACAAAUGCUUUAUACAAUAAAUCCAAAUGUUUUAAUUUAGAAAUAUAAUUCUAAAAAAUGUUGAAAAUAGCAAUUUUUAAAUAAAUAAUGUAUUUAUUAUUAAAAAAAUAUUUUUAAUAUUAUAGUAUUUAUUUAAUUUAAUAAAAAUAAAUAUUUUUAAAUAUCAAAAACUUAAUAAUUGAAAUUUAUUACGCAAGUGCAUGUAUCAAUCAAGUAAUAAAGUGAUAAAAAUAGGGACAAAACCAGGAAAUUACAUUAGGAGGGCCGAAAUUAAAUUUUAAUUUUAAUAGCCUAUAUCUUUAUAAUUUUUAAAAGAUUAAAUCAAAUUUUUAUUAUUUUAGGGGGACCAAAGUGCGAUUUUACCUUUACCAAUUUAAAAUUUUAAAAUUUCUAAAGGGCCUAAAUGAAUAUUUUUCCAUUUUAGGGGCUAGGUGUAACACCCUAAACCCGGCCUAGAUGGAAAGACCAAGUCUAGAAUGUCAAAUGAACUUACCAGAAAAUAGAUACACUUAAAGUCGGUUUAACUAAUACGUAAAUAAGUCUUAAAAUCAUUAACCACUCAACAUAACACAAUCUUAAAACUCAAAGUCGGAAAACAAUAACAAUUUAAAACACACACACACACAUAUUGAUACAGAUGCAGUUAUCCUACCCCCAUCCGCUACGCACUAUCUCCGAUCAUCCCAACACACCAAUAGGUAUAUAAUACCCCUCCAGCCAUACAUACCUUAUAGUGUCGGCACGACACAUUGUAAUGUUUACAGUCUCACUGCUAGAUCAGAUAUAAUUCUAGGUGGUUUGACCACCAAAUUAGUAUGGAACACUUCCUUCAAUCCAUAAUUCCCACCCCAUGCAAAUGCAGAGAACAAAUGACCAAUAUUUAUGUAUUGUUAUGCAGAUACAAAUCAUACAGUUUCAAUAUAUCAAAGGGUUGAAAUUCUUACGAAUUGUCUCAUACGGUUAUGUAAAACCAAUUUAUAAUCAUAAUAAAGUAGAUCAUAAAGUCCAGUUUAGUUCAUACACAUCCUAUAGACGACUUACACUCGCCUCGCACAACAAUUAUAGCAUUAACAAAAAUUUGGCGAUUCUAGCUCACAUGCCCAUGUGGAUGCCCGUAUGACUCCACACGGCCUGGCACACGACGAUUCUGAGAUUGGUAUUAACAGAGAAGUGCAAAAAUAAUAAUAUUUCUAAACGCAGGAUCAAAGACUCAAACACCAGACCAUAAUGUAUACAGAUUCUUUAUCAUCAAACCAACAGGUUCAUUCUUGAGAUGUCAAUGCAUGAAAUUUAACUUAUGUGACACAUGUAAGUCAAAAGUUCAAUUAUAAUACGCAAAACUUCAAAAAAAAAAAUGUGACUUGAACCUCCAAUCUCAAACACAUAAACAAAGUACUUAAACACAGAUACAGAGACUUAAUUAUUGAUACUACCUAAUAGGAAAACCCACAUUUUUAGGGCGUUACACUGGGGCCCUACCAACCCCCUCUAGAUACGCCACUGGAUAAGAAGAUAUCGAUCCCACAAGUACCAAAUUCUAAGAUGUUAAGUAACAAAUAUUUAGUUUUAUCUAAUUCAAAUUAAUAAAAUAAAAUUUGAUUAGUAGAAAAAUUAAACUAAACAAAUUAUGGACUUGAAACUCUAACUUCUCCUAAUCUAGAUUCAAUCUAUGUAAGUCCUAACCCAUAAUUCAAUGAUAUUAAUUAGACUCUUCCUGUAUCUAGUUAAGUUAAUCUCCUUUCCCAUUAACUGUAUUCCCAUACUAGGCAAGUUAAGUGAAAUCACUAAGAACAAACUUAUUAGAUUGAUUAGGGAAUCAUGUAUAUUUAUAUCUUAAUCACAGAUUAACUCAAUUAAUCUUGAUUUAAUUAGCCUAAAUCUUAACCUUAAUUUUCUCUUCCAUGACAAAUCAAGAUUAUUGAAUUAAUGUAACUUGGUGAUUAGACAAGUAGAUUAAAUAAGCAUAGGACUGAAUAAAUAAUUAAUAAGGAUCGAGCAAUUAAAGAGAAAAUUUAAUUAAUUAACUAAGAAAUAAGAUUCAUUAUCUUUCUAAAAAAAAUUAAAGUUUAAUUCAUAAUAAGUUGAAAAAACAACACAAAAAAUUUAGAACAAACUUGCAUCAAUAAAUUCAGAUAAUUUAUAAAAUGCAUAUAUCAAAUCCAUUGCCAUUUCCUUAAUUCAAUUAGAGAAUAUCAAGAUUUAUUACAUUGUUUGUAAAUUAAAUCAGUAAUAUAAAGUUGAGACUUACCUAAAUCAAAUCGAAAUUCAAUGAUAAAUUAAAUUAAAGAUAAAAGAUUAAACAUAUAAAGUAUGGAACCACCUAAUCAUAAAUUUUGGAAAUAAAGGUGAUCUUAAAAAAUUAUUCCUAAAAAAAAUUCAAUUCCUGCACAUGAAACAUGACUUGACUGGAUUCAACUUUAUUUCCUUUUCAUUAUUUAUUAUAUUUAAUAUUAAUAAAAAUUAAAUAUUUUUUUUUUCUUUUUUACUUUUGGCCUUUUUCUUUUCUCUCUUGCAUGUGGUGACCAGUUUAAUGGGUUAAAAGUUAUCUAAAAAUUUUAUUACAAUUUUCUCAAAAAUCCAAUGCCACACGAUGAAUCUUUUUGUAGACGCCACUUGUGAUUGUCUUUUUGGUUUUAGUUUUUAAAAUUAAAAGUAAUAGAUAUUUUAGAUGCCAAUGAUGAUGAGGUGAGAUAUUACUUAUGACAAUAUAGCAUAUUUGAUGAUUAAUUAUUUAUUUUAAUUACGAUCAAGAAAAAAAUAUUUUAAGUGUUAAAUUGAAAAAAAAUUAAAAGUUAAAAUUAUAUUUAAAUUUUAAUUGAAUAUUAAUUUUGAUUUAAUGCAGUUAUAAAUAUGAAUUUUGAUUUAAUUUUGAUACAUGUGUUAAUUUUCAUUGAAUAAUCCAUUUGAUAGCAAAAAUAAAAAGUUGCCUUAAAAUAUUUUCCAAAUUUGCAGCUGUUUGAAAGCAAUGGAAAUAGGGCUGUCAUCCCGUAAGACAACUUACCCCAAAUUCUUUUGGUAAGUCAUGUUACGGUACCUAAACCCCAAAUGUUUAUUCCCACAACAAUUGCUCUCUCCUAUUCAAACAAUUCUAUGAAUGGAAUUUGGGAAUAAUUGUAUCCAGAAAAUGAACAAAUUACAUGGACAAAGAUGAUGAAUUUUAGAAUACAUGUUACUCUUUGUGUUAUUUUGUUUGCAUAUGAAUUUAGAGCAACAUGUGUCCUUUUUUUUCUCAAUCCCUGUGUUACUGAAUUCAUUUGUUUUUUAGACGUCAUUCAUUUUCUUUUCAUUAUACCUCUUGGGGUCGGUCUUCUUUGACUCUUGUUCAAAGUUCCAACAUUGAGUUCUACUUGUUGAAUGUUGCAAAAAAAAUUUUUAACUUUUGAUUAAUUAUACUCAUUCAUUUAUAGUUAUUGGAACACUAUAAAUAUUUAGAAAUGUUCUAACAAUCUCCCCCCAUUUUCAAAAUAUUUUAGAUUUUGAUAUUCUUAAAAAUCAAUUUGCAUAAAUGAAUGUGUCUUACGAUUGAAUCUUCACUUAGUGAAAACAUGUUAAAGUUAAUCGAAAUUGCAUAGUAGACUAAACUUUGAACCAGCUAUUCCAUGUCUCACACAAUGAUUUCAACAUCAGUCAAUGCAUAGUAUCUAGGGACACAUUAUGGCUAUGUGUUUGUGUCCUCUUUUCAUAACUGCUGUCAGAGUCAAGCCCUUGAACUCCUAGAAAUGGCCAUACUUCCACUCACAUAGGUAGAUUCCAUCAAGAGUGUUCUCGUAAUUAUAACACUAUAACAUAUUUAUGUUAUGGGUCCAUUAAGAGUACAUUACUCACCCUUCCCUUAUCAUUACGAGUACCUAGCACUUUUAUCUUAGGAUGAAUUUAUUUAUAGUGUUAACAGUCACAUUGUAACACCCCAAAUCUGGUCUAGACGUUAUAGUUGAAUCUGGAAAUGUUACAAAGGAGAAUUGUAAAGUCACCCUUGUUGUAAUGAAAAUAUCGUAUAAUUUGUUAUUAAAAGAAUCCACUUUUUAGGAAAACAUUUUAUUAUACACAUCAUGAAACCAUCAAUUGUUUGCCCUUUUAAGUAAAACUAUAAUUUACAACAGAAAAUGAUGUUCGUUAAGUUAUAAAAACUGAGUUGGUGUUCUCAAAAACAUUUGUUUUCGUAAAUUGUUUUAAUAAGCGUCGCAGGAAACUUAAACAAAAAAUCAACGACCAACAACCAAACCAAAAAUUCUAAAGAGUCCCAUAUUUACAAAACUCUCAAAAAUAAUUCAGGAAUUUAAAUAAAUUUUUAAAUAAAUGAUAACACUAUAGAAUAACGUAUUUUUAUGUAUUAAUUAUGUAUUUAUUCUGAGUAUGAUCCUGCUAAUUUGAGUUAUUUAUGAUCUUUUAUUUCAUGGGGACUAAAUUUGAGGCAAAAGCAAAAUUAAGGGCCAAAAGCGUGAAUUUAAAGAUAAAAUGGGCCAAUGUGCAACACAAGGAAAAGUUGGUGCUAAAAGUGCAAGCAUAAAGGACACAAGGGUUGAAAUGUAAAAAGAAGAGAUUUUAUUCUAUCAGGCUCUAUUUUAAUUAUAUUAGGAUAAUUAAUAUUAAGAUAAUUAUUAAGGAUUAUUUAAUUUAGGAUUUUAUUUAAUUUAUAUUUAUUUAUCUUCAAUUAAAUGUAUUUAUCUUUUGAGAGUUAAGUAGGAUUAGACUAUCUCCCCUAGCACUAUGAAUAGGGGGUGAAGUGACUCAAAAGAGAUCCAUCUUUUUCUGUAAACACUCUCUCCCCAAAAGUCUAGGCUUUUGUUCUUCUCAUAUUUCCUUUCAAUUAAAUCUCCAUUUUUAUUAUAUAUUUUUUUUCCACCACAACCAUGAGCCACUAAACCCAUCUAGCCAAAAGUUGUCGAUAUUCCCCAAAAAGGGUUCUUGAGGCUUAGAGUCUGUACUUAGCCUCCUUGCUGAGUAUUAAUCGUUUCUCCGUACUACGGGGUUGAUGCUUCCAUCCAUAUCCCUUAAGAAGUAAACUUUUCAACAUAUGCAAAGGCGGUCUCUUUGUAUGUUUUGGGAAGGUUGCACAGUCAGUUCAUUAGUUUAUUGCAUCUGAGGUUGGCAAGCCCAAGAGACAAAAUGCUGUGAGAUUCGCCAUUGAGAAACAUUGAUCUAGCAUAAGAUGAUCCCACAGAAACGAUUGUUGGCUGAAGUCAGGUUCCACUAAAUCAUAAGUCUAAAUCCUUGGAGCUGGUGGUCGUAGGCAUCCUCUUCCAUUAUAACUGGCUUAUUUGGUUUGGAAAGGAUCAUCUAAAAGCCAAGGAUUGAACCCAAGGCGGAACGAGACAAUUGGAGGUUGGAACCUCCCAUAAGAAUUUCCUUUCUCUCAACUCUAUUUUUAAUUUCUCAAAUUUUUUAUUUAAUAUUCUUAAUUUUGUUUUUAUUUUAUUUUUCGUUUCUACAUCCAAACCUUUAAUUCUGUUAUUUUUUUAUUUUUUUCCAGGAACGCAGGUUUUCUUGGGAAAGAUUCUACUUGUGAUUUCACGGAACAAGAUAUUGUACAAAUCUAGUCCCUGAGGAUUUGACCCUACUUCCCUUUUACUAUUAUUUUUCAUUAUUUAUUAGGGAUAGGAUAUUUUUUGUGCUUUCAACGACCGCAUCAAAUCUUGGCGCCGUUACCGGGAACUGACAACGUACUAAUCUUAUUUUUCUCUUAUGACCAGAUCUGCUCCAGGUACUCUUGUGUUCGAUUCAAAAAUUGAGAAGGCUGCUAGAGCCAAUCGCAAUGAGACAAAGUUAUAAAAAAAAGCAGUAAGCUGUGGUUAGAACUCAAAGUAACCAACUGACAGAAAUCAAAGCCGACAACGAAGCUGAGUCUAGGGUUAACAAAAACCCUACUCAAACACUUGAAAGUGAAAAAGUAGAAGUCAACUCACCAGAAGAAGUGCUUAACGCUAAGAUUAAUGAAAACUCGAAUCUAGCACACCAACCAAUGGCUCAAACGAUUCGGCAACUAGCCGAAGCUCCGACAGAACAACCGCCAUUGUGCAUCACGUAUCCUACUGUGGAUACUAAUUUUGAGUUGAAGUUAGGUUUAAUCCAGUUACUGCCAACUUUUCCUGGGUUGCAAAAUGAAAAUCCCCACAAGCAUCUGAAAGAGUUUCAUAUGUUUUGUCUUAGCAUGGAACCUCAAGGGGUAACUGAGGAUCAGAUUAAAUUGCGUGCUUUCCCUUUCUCCCUAGUAGAUUUCGCUAAGAAAUGAUUAUUUUAUUUACCCCUAGAUCUAUUGAUAACACUCUAGAAUAACAUAUUUUUAUGUAUUAAUUAUGUAUUUAUUCUGAGUAUGAUCCUGCUAAUUUGAGCUAUUUAUGAUCUUUUAUCUCAUAGGGACUAAAUUUGAGGCAAAAGUGAAAUUAAGGGCCAAAAGCGUGAAUUUAGAGAUAAAAUGGGCCAAUGUGCGACACAAGGAAAAAUUUGUGCCAAAAGUGCAAGCAUGGAGGACACAAGGGUUGAAAUGCAAAAAGAAGAGAUUUUAUUUUAUUAAACUCUAUUUUAAUUAUAUUAGGAUAAUUAAUAUUGAGAUAAUUAUUAAGGAUUAUUUUUAGGAUUUUAUUUUAUCUUUAUUUAUCUUCAAUUAAAUGUAUUUAUCUUUUAGGAAUUUAAGUAGAAUUAGAAUAUCUCCCCUAGCACUAUAAAUAGGGGGUGAAGUGACUCAAAAGGGUAUCAUCUUUUUCUUUUUCUGUAAACACUCUCUCCCCAAAAGUCUAGGCUUUUGUUCUUUUCAUAUUUCUUUUCAAUAAAAUCUUUAUUUUUAUUUUAUUUAUUUUCUUUUCUACCACAACCAUGAGCCACUAAACCCAUCUAGCCGAAGGUUUUCAAAAAUCCCCAAAAAGGUUCUUGAGGCUUAGAAUUCGUACUUAGCCUUCUUGCUGAGUAUUCAUCGUUUCUCCGCACUACGGGGCUAACGCUUCCGUCCAAGUCCCUUAAGAAGUAAGUUUUUCAACAUAUGCAAAGGCGGCCGCUUUGUAUGUUUUGAGAAGGUUGCACAGUCGGUUCGUUAGCUUACUGCGUCAGAGGUUGGCGAGCCCAAGAGACAAAAUGGCGUGGGAUUCGCCAUUGAGAAGCGUUGAUCUAGCAUAAGGCGAUCUCACAGAAGCGAUUGUUAGCUAGAGUCAGGUUCCAUCAAAUCGUAAGUCUAAAUCAUUGGAGCUGGUGGUCGUAGGCGUCCUCUUCCACUAUAACUGGCUUAUUUGGUUUGGGAAGGAUCAUCUAAAAGCCGAGGAUUGAACCCAAGGCGGAACGAGACAACUGGAGGCUGGAAUCUCCCAUAAGAAUUUUCUUUCUCUUAACUUUAUUUUAAUUUCUCGAAUUUUCAAUUCAAUAUUCUUAAUUCUGUUUUUAUUUUAUUUUUCGUUUCUAGAUCCAACAAUUUAAUUCUGCUAUUGUUUUUAUUUUUUUUCAGGAACGCAGGUUGUCUUGGGCAAGACUCUGCUUGGGAUAUCACGGAACAAGAUAUUUUGCAAGUCCAGUCCCUGAGGAUUUGACCCUACUUCCCUUUUACUAUUCUUUUCAUUAUUUAUUAGGGAUAGGAUAUUUUUGGUGCUUUCAACGACCGCAUCAAAUUUUGGUGCCGUUGCCGGGGACUGGCAACGUACUAAUCUUGUUUUUUGUUUCUUAUGACCAGAUCUGCUCCAGGUACUCUUGCGUUCGAUUUAGAAAUUCAGAAGACUGCUAGAGCCAAUCGCAAGGAGACAAAGUUACGAAAAAAGCAGUCAGCGGUGGUUGGAACUCAAAGUAAUCCACUGCCAGAAAUUGAAGUCGACGACGAAGCUGAGUCUAGGGUUAACGAAAAUCCUACUCGAACACUUGAAAGCGAAAAAGUAGAAGUCGACUCACCAGAAGAAGUGCUUAAUGCUAGGGUUAACGAAAACCCAAAUUUAGCACACGAACCAAUGGCUCAAACAAUUCGGCAACUGGCUGAAGCUCCAACAGAACAACCGCCAUUAUGCAUCGCGUAUCCUACUAUGGAUACUGAUUUUGAAUUGAAGUCAGGUUUAAUCCAGUUAUUGCCAACUUUUCGUGGGUUACAAAAUGAAAAUCCCCACAAGCAUCUGAAAGAAUUUCAUAUGGUUUGUCUUAGCAUGAAACCUCAGGGGGUAACUGAGGAUCAGAUUAAAUUGCGUGCUUUCCCUUUCUCCCUAGCAGAUUCCGCUAAGGAAUAGUUAUUUUAUUUACCCCCUGGAUCUAUUACAACUUGGGCUGAUCUAUCUCGUUUGUUUCUGAACAGGUUUUUUCCAGCGUCUCGAGCAGCUGAGCUAAGAAGAGAGAUCAUUGGAAUAAGGCAAAAAGAAGCUGAGUCCCUUUACGAUUAUUGGGAGCGAUUUAAGAAGUUGUGUGCAAGCUGCCCACAACAUGGUAUAACAGAGCAAUCUCUCCUCCAAUACUUUUACGAUGGUUUGAAGCCCAUGGAGAUGAAUAUGGUAGACGCUGCUAGUGGAGGAGCAUUGGUCAACAUGACUCCCCAACAAGCGAGAGACUUGAUCUCCACGAUGGCUGCAAAUUCUCAGCAGUUCCGAGCCAAUACUGAACCCCCUAGAAGGGUUCAUCAGCUAAGUAAUUCAACCUUAGAGGAUAAAGUUGAUAGACUUACUAAUAUGAUGAAUUCUCUUAUUGUAGAAAAAGCGAAGACAGCUCGAUUAUGCGGAAUAUGUGCUACACCUGAUCACACAACUGAUGCAUGUCCCAGUUUGUAUGAUGAUGCCACGGCCCAUCUGGAUGCUGUUGGAAAUUUCCCUGGGCCACCACAAAGGCAGUACGACCCCUACGCUAAUACCUACAACCCAGGAUGGAGGGACCACCCUAACUUAAGUUAUGGGGCAAAUCCACGAAAUAACCAGCCAUACCAAAAUCGAUUUUCACAACAGCUGCAAGGUUCAGGUAAUUUUCUAGAAACCAUGGUCAAUAAGUUAGCAGCUAAUGUUCUUGAUUUUCAGCAGCAAAAUCUUAAUUUCCAAAAAGAGAUGAAGGAUUUCCAACAGAAAACUGAGGCGUCCAUCAGAGAGUUGACCACAUCGAUCGAGAAAUUAACCUCUCAAGGGAAGCUGUCGUCAUAAAUAGAACCAAACCCUAGACAAAAUGCAAAUGCAGUGACGUUGAGAAGUGGAAAGGUACUGGAAUCGAUUCCUGACAGGAAUCUUGCCCAAGAAAUUACCUAGGAAAAAACUAAAAAAGACGAACAGGUCCGACCGAAGCCUCUAUUGCCUAAAAUUCAACCUCCAUUUCCAGAACGAUUCAACCAGUGUCGAAGAGGUAAAGAGGACAAAGAAAUCCUCGAAACAUUUAGGAAUGCCGAGAUCAAUAUUCCGCUGUUAGAUGCCAUCAAACAAAUACCACGGUAUGCUAAAUUUCUUAAAGAGCUUUGCACCAACAAGCGAAAAUUGACAGGUAAUGAAAUGGUGAAUGUUGGUGAGAAUGUAUCUGCAGUGUUACAGCGAAAAAUGUCGGGAAAAUGCAAGGAUAGGGGCAUGUUUACAAUACCAUGCAAAAUAGGCCAUCUGGGAAUUAAAAAGGCUAUGUGUGAUCUAGGGGCUUCUAUAAAUGUAAUGCCAUAUUCUGUUUAUGAAUCACUUAACGCAGGUUUUUUGACAAAAACAGGUGUUAUCAUUCAAUUGGCGGACAGGUCUGUUGUGCAUCCAGAAGGAGUCCUUGAGGAUGUUCUGGUAAAAGUUAACGAGUUUAUUUUCCCUGUAGAUUUUUAUGUGAUCAAAAUGGAUGAGGAUAGCACUCUUGGAUCUUCAGAUCUCCUGCUGGGUCGACCGUUCCUUAGUACAGCAAAUACUAAAAUUGAUGUUCGAAGUGGAACUCUCACGAUGGAGUUUGAUGGGGAGAUCGUAAAGUUUAAUGUCUACAACGCCAUUAGCCAUCCAAGCGAAAUAUUGAGCGUAAAUCGUAUCGACAUAAUUGACUCUUUGGUGGAAGAAAAUUUUGAGCCAAUUUAUGGAGAUAAUUCUGAACUUAAUGAAAUUAAAUUUGUUAAUGAGUUAUUAUCUCCAAAUACUAAAUUGUUACCUUUUGUUAUACAGGCACCAGAGUUGGAGUUAGAACCCAUAGAACAGGCAAGGAAAUUAGACAUCCAAGAGUUAGAAGAAAUUCGCAAUGAUGCCUACGAGAAUGAUCACAUUUAUAAAGACAAAACAGAGUUGUUUCACGAUAAUAGAAUAGCUCAGAAGCGUUUUUCGGUAGGAAAAAAAGUUUUACUUCAUAACUCUGUGCUAAAGUUAUUCCCAGGUAAGCUUCGAUCACGAUGGCAGAGACCUUUUAUUGUUACUGAAGUGUUCACACAUGGAGCAGUUGAAAUAGAGAGUGAAGAAUCUGGAAAGCGGUUCGUAGUCAAUGGCCAGCGGUUGAAGCCAUUUUAUGAGAAUUUUCAAGCCCACACGGUUAAGAAAAUCCAUUUGGAACCACCAUAGAACCAAUAACGGCGUCGAGCUAACGACGUUAAACAAGCGCUUGUUGGGAGGCAACCCAAUUUUUAUUUUUUUUAUUAUAUUUUUUCUUUAUUUUCUUUAUUACUUUAUUUUAUUUUACUUAUUUGGAUAUUAAUAAAUUUUUUCUUCUUUUGCUUAGAUAAAACAAAGCAAAAAAAAGAAGCAAACCGUUAAGCAACACUUAAAGCGCAUUGAGGCCUGACUUGAAACCUUUGGCCAGCAACUGACCAAGCUCAUUGCCAUCAUUUGUGAUCAUACGGGGAGUUUUUCUAAACUUUUCUACCUAUUUAUUUCUUUUCGUCCACAUUGAGGACAAUGUGCUUUCAGUAGGGGGAGGUACUCUUCGUUAUUACUAUCAUUUUCUGCUGUGAUUUUGGUUACUGUUGCUGUUGCUGUGAUUAUUUUUGGCUGGUGUUGCUGCUUGAGGCUUGAUUUUGUCCAUCUCCUGCCUCUUUUCAUGCCCAAGAUUUUUACCAAGAAUUGCCUACUGUUUGACCUACAAGCAUGAUUCUUGUUUUCUGAGAAAAUUACGAAUUUUUCAUAAUUGAUGCCAUCUCCACUGUUUUAUUUUUAUUAGAGUAAAAAUAAUUGUGAUUCAUAAAUUUAACUUUAUCUUGCUUUUCGUAAAAAAAUUUAUUAUUAAUGUCAUUUAAUGUUCCGUGGUUAUGAGUGCAACUUAAAAACGUGACUGACUGAGUAACCGGGGUAGGGUGCUUGGGUUGUCAUUCUAUUUCGCGUCAAAAGGUUGUGUGACGUGUUAGGUAAAACUCCGCUAACCGGAAUUAAUUUUUAAGAACAUGUUGGGCUGAGUAACCGGGGUGGGGUGCUUGGCUGUCAUCUCUCUUCGCGUCAAAAGGUUUGAUGUGUUCUUAAGAAAAUUAUAAUAAAUUAGGAGUUUGCUGGGCUGAGUAACCGGGGUGGGGUGCUUGGCUGUCAUCUCUCUUCGCGUCAAAAGGUUCAGUAUAUUCCUAAAGCAUAAAAAAAACAAAAACAAAAAAACAAAAAAAAAAAGAAAAAAAUAAUUUGGGGACUAAAAGAGGAAACAAAUAGGGUGUCUUGGUAGGUUUGGUAAAUUACCUAAUUUUCAUUAAAUAAUUCAAGUUGAUUCUAAUUUUUGUGUGUAUUAAUUGAAAAACUUUUUUUGUUUUACUUAAAGCAAGCUUAGGGUUCUCUUUAUUUUUCAUAUGCAUUUUUGACUGAUUUUUAUAAAACUUUGGAGUUGUAUUUCUUUUAUGGCAGAAUCUAACUUUCACAGUAGAUAGGAACCAUACUUGAGGGCAAUCAUGGGCUAAGUAGGGGGGAUUUGAUAACACUCUAGAAUAACGUAUUUUUAUGUAUUAAUUAUGUAUUUAUUCUGAGUAUGAUCCUGCUAAUUUGAGCUAUUUAUGAUCUUUUAUCUCAUAGGGACUAAAUUUGAGGCAAAAGUGAAAUUAAGGGCCAAAAGCGUGAAUUUAGAGAUAAAAUGGGCCAAUGUGCGACACAAGGAAAAAUUUGUGCCAAAAGUGCAAGCAUGGAGGACACAAGGGUUGAAAUGCAAAAAGAAGAGAUUUUAUUUUAUUAAACUCUAUUUUAAUUAUAUUAGGAUAAUUAAUAUUGAGAUAAUUAUUAAGGAUUAACUUUAGGAUUUUAUUUUAUCUUUAUUUAUCUUCAAUUAAAUGUAUUUAUCUUUUAGGAAUUUAAGUAGAAUUAGAAUAUCUCCCCUAGCACUAUAAAUAGGGGGUGAAGUGACUCAAAAGGGAUCAUCUUUUUCUUUUUCUGUAAACACUCUCUCCCCAAAAGUCUAGGCUUUUGUUCUUUUCAUAUUUCUUUUCAAUAAAAUCUUUAUUUUUAUUUUAUUUAUUUUCUUUUCUACCAUAACCAUGAGCCACUAAACCCAUCUAGCCGAAGGUUGUCAAAAAUCCCCAAAAAGGUUCUUGAGGCUUAGAAUUCGUACUUAGCCUUCUUGCUGAGUAUUCAUCAUUUCUCCGCACUACGGGGCUGACGCUUCCGUCCAAGUCCCUUAAGAAGUAAGUUUUUCAACAUAUGCAAAGGCGGCCGCUUUGUAUGUUUUGAGAAGGUUGCACAGUCGGUUCGUUAGCUUACUGCGUCAGAGGUUGGCGAGCCCAAGAGACAAAAUGGCGUGGGAUUCGCCAUUGAGAAGCGUUGAUCUAGCAUAAGGCGAUCUCACAGAAGCGAUUGUUAGCUAGAGUCAGGUUCCAUCAAAUCGUAAGUCUAAAUCAUUGGAGCUGGUGGUCGUAGGCGUCCUCUUCCACUAUAACUGGCUUAUUUGGUUUGGGAAGGAUCAUCUAAAAGCCGAGGAUUGAACCCAAGGCGGAACGAGACAACUGGAGGCUGGAAUCUCCCAUAAGAAUUUUCUUUCUCUUAACUUUAUUUUAAUUUCUCGAAUUUUCAAUUCAAUAUUCUUAAUUCUGUUUUUAUUUUAUUUUUUGUUUCUAUAUCCAACAAUUUAAUUCUGCUAUUGUUUUUAUUUUUUUCAGGAACGCAGGUUGUCUUGGGCAAGACUCUGCCUGGGAUAUCACGGAACAAGAUAUUUUGCAAGUCCAGUCCCUGAGGAUUUGACCCUACUUCCCUUUUACUAUUCUUUUCAUUAUUUAUUAGGGAUAGGAUAUUUUUGGUGCUUUCAACGACCGCAUCAUCUAUUACAACUUGGGUUGAUCUAUCUUAUUUGUUUCUAAAUAGAUUUUUUUAAAUGUCUCAAGCAGCUGAGCUAAGAAGAGAGAUCGUUGGAAUAAGGCAAAAAGAAGCUGAGUCCCUUUACGAUUAUCGAGAGCAGUUUAAGAAGUUGUGUGCAAGUUGCCCACAACAUGGUAUAACAAAACAAUCUCUCCUCCAAUACUUUUACGAAGGUUUGAAGCCCAUCAAGAUGAAUAUGGUAGACGCCGCUAGUGGAGGAGCAUUGGUCAACAUGACUCCCCAACAAGCGAGAGACUUGAUCUUCACGAUGGCUGCAAAUUCUCAACAGAUUCGAGCCAAUACUAAACCUUCUAGAAGGGUUCACCAGCUAAGUAUUCAACCUUAGAGGAUAAAGUUGAUAGACUUACUAAUAUGAUGAACUCUCUUAUUGCAGAAAAAGCAAAGAUAACCCAGUUAUACGGAAUAUGUGUUACACCUGAUCAUGCAACUAAUAGAAGUCCCAGUUUGUAUAAUAAUACCAUGGCCCAUCUGGAUGCUAUGGGAAAUUUCCCUGGGCCGCCACAAAGGCGAUACGACCCCUACGCUAAUACCUACAACCCAGGGUGGAGGGACCAUCUUAACUUAAGUUAUGGGGAAAAUCCAUAAAAUAACCAACCAUACCAAAAUCAGUUUCCGCAACAGUCGCAAGGUUUAGGUAAUUUUCUAGAAACCAUGGUCAAUAAGUUAGAAGCUAAUGUUCUUAAUUUUCAACAGCAAACUCUUAAUUUCCAAAAAGAGACGAAGGAUUGCCAAUAAAAAACUGAGGCGUCCAUUAGAGAGUUGAUCACAUCAAUCGAGAAAUUGACCUCUCAAGGGAAGCUGCCAUCACAAACAGAACCAAACCCUAGACAAAAUGCAAAUGUAGUGACGUUGAGAAGUGGAAAGGUAUUGGAACUGAUUCCUAAUAGGAAUCUUGGCCAAGAAACUGCCCAGGAAAAAUCUGAGAAAGACAAACAGGUCCGACCGAAGCCUCCAUUGCAUAAAAUUCAACCUCUAUUUUCAGAACGAUUCAACCAGUGUCGAAGAGGUAAAGAGGACAAGGAAAUCCUCAAAACAUUUAGGAAUUCUAGAUCAACAUUCCGCUGUUAGACGCUAUCAAAUAAAUAUCGCAGUAUGCUAAAUUUCUUAAAGAGCUUUGCACCAACAAACUAAAAUUAACAGGUAAUGAAAGGGUGAAUGAUGGUGAGAAUGUAUCCUCAGUGUUACAGCGAAAAAUGUCGGCAAAAUGUAAGGAUAGGGGCAUGUUUGCAAUACCAUGCAAAAUAGGCCAUCUGGGAAUUAAGAAGGCUAUGUGUGAUCUAGGAUGUAAUGUCGUAUUUAAUGUAAUUUGGUCUUUAUAUUUUAGUUUUUAACGUAAUUUAGUCUUUAUAUUUUUAUAAUGUUAUCAAUUAGUUUAAAUAGUUAAUAUGGUUAACUUUUCUAUUAAAAUAUUACGUGGUUAUAUAUAAUUUGAAAGCAAUUUUUAAAUCCAAAAAGUAGGGGAUUAAAUUCUUAAAAAAUAAAAGUAGGAGGACUAAAUUUGAAAUGUAUGAAGUGUAUAUAGACAUAAAGCCAUGGUUGUUUGAACCAAGAAUUGACCGAGGUACUAGUCCAAAGAGAGGCAUUAGACCACUUGACUUGUGAAUCGAUACAAACAAAUUGAACCAGGUUAAAAAACUGAUUAUUAUUAUUAUUUUUAAUUUUUAUGAUUUUUAAUGAUUUAUUUAAUCAAACAAUACAAACUAAUAUCUGGUCAAUUCGAACCAAUUUUGAAAAUCUUACUUAGAAUAACUUUUACUCUUUAAAUUUUUAUUUUAUAAUUUAACACAAAUAAAAAUAACUAAAAGUGAACCAUGAGUAGAUGUAAGCAUGGGUCGUGCCGGGUUUAACUAAAAUUUUAGGCCCGUUUGCUAGGCCCAAAAAAUGGGCCUAAAAUUUUGCCCAAGCCUUACCCGGAUAAAAAUAUUAAACUUGGGCCCGACUCGGCCCGUCUCGCCCUAUUAAUUUUUAUAUUAAUUUUAUAUAAUUUUAAAAAGAUAUAAUACAUCAAAAAUGCUUAAAACAUCAAAAUAAAUAUUUUCCAACAAAUUGAAAACAAGUUUUAAAAAAUAUAUAUACUUAAAUAACACUAAUAUAAAUGCAACUUAACAAGCAAAUGUUUCUAAAAUAAUAACAAAAUUAACAAAUGUCUUUAAAAUAAUAACAAAAUUAACAAUAAAAUAAGUUUUAUACAAUAUCUAAACAAUAACAACAAAAUAGUAGCAACAUAAUAGUAAAAUGAUAGUAAAAUAGGGAGAAAAAAACAAGAAAAUAAUAUUAAAAAAAAGUAGAUUUUUUUUGUCCUUUAGUGGAUUCGGGUCGGGCUCGAAGCCAAAAAUACCUUACUCGAGGCCCGGCUUAUUUUUUUAAUGGGCCUUAUUUUUUAUCCAAACUCAUUUUUUGAGCCUAUAUUUUUAUCCAAACCCCCAUACAUUUCAACCGACCCGGCCCAUGAUCAGGUCUAACCAUGAGUGAACCAUACUAGCGUUAAAGAAAUAGGAGAUCCACAGUGGUACACGAGUUGCACAAAGGAAGGAACUACCAACUAGGGGUGGGCAUUCGAUUGAAUCAAAUCGAAUCGAAUCGAAAAUUUUCGAGUUAAUUGAGUUUUCGAAUCUCAUUUUAUCAUCCUAACUUUAUUUGAAGUUUUAUCGAAUCGAAUUGAGUGAGAUGAAAUUCGAAUCGAAUUGAAUCGAAUAUAUUUGUUCGAGUUAAAUUUUAAAAAAUAAAUUUAGUGUUGUUUAUUUUUAUGUAAUUUUUCAAAAAAUAAUUUUCUUUAAAGUUUUUAAACAUGAUCAUACAACAAAAAAUUGAAGUAAAUAAGUGAAUAAAUAAAAGCAACACAACAUCAACCCAAAUAAACAACAUGAUUCCAAAUAAACAACAAAAAUAAUACAACAAGAUUAUAAUAAAAAAACAUAAGUAAAAGUCCAAGUAAAUAGCAUGAGUCGAAAUAAACAAUUUAGGGUUUUUUGAGAAAAAUAAAUUUUAGGGUUUGAACUUUGAAUGGAAUGGAAACAGAGAGAAGAAGAAAAUAAAUGGGGGUUUUCAUGAUGGAAUUUGCUGGGGGUGAUCUGGGGGGAGAAAUUGGGAUUUGGGAAAUUAAAUCUUUAGGGCAUGGGCAAACGGGCUUGGGGAAGUAGGAAAAAAUAAAAUGUUUGGGGUUGGGAGAAAUUGGCAAUUAGGUUAAAUACUUGAAAGUAAUUAAGUAAAAGCCUAUUAAAACAUGGCUGUGUGUAAGCCUGUGUAGCUCCUAUGCCUUGCUUCAGUUUUCUGGUUUUCACUUUUUUUUCACUCCUUUUGCUCCUAAAUGCUCUUCUAAGUAUAAAAACUUGAAUUUAAAGGAUUAGGAGUAUAAAAUUCACUAUUAACAUCGAAUAAUCACCUAAAAAUGCAUUAAGAAUGAGAUUAAAACAUGUUACUUUUAGCAUUUAUUAGAAUUAUAAUGAUAUUUAUGAAAUUUUUAGUGUAGUAUUAGUUAUACUUUUUUUCAUAUUGGAAAGAAAUAUUUAAUUUUAUAUAGUGUGAUUUUUUUCUUUUAAUUUUUUUAUAGUUAAAUUGUUCAUUUUUAAAAAAAAUUAAAUUGAUUUGUUUGAUAAGAAAAAAAAUAUCCAAGAAGAAUUAACACUUUUUUACGUUAAAAGAAAGGCUGUUCGGAUUUAGAAAUUUCAUGCCCUUAGAGUAAAAUCCUAGAUCCGUCUCUGCUUCGAUAAAUCAUUCUAUCAUUGGAAUAUGGGAAUAAUUGUAUCUACAAAAUGAACAAAUUACAUGGACAAAGAUAAUAAAUUUUAGAAUACAUGUUCUUUGUAUUGUUUUGUUUGCAUAUGAAUUUAGAACAAUAAUCCAUGUAAAGCUUCAAACUUGAGUUUGUUAUUGAAUCAUUUGUUGUUUCGACCUUAUUCAUUUUCUUUUCAUUAUAUCUCUUGGGAUUGGUCUUCUUUUUGACUCUUGUUCAAAGUUCCAACAUAUCUCAUAAAGGAACGUGAGAUUGAGCUAUACUUGAUACAGGGGAAUUGUAGAGUAGCUAUACUUGAUACAGGGGAAUUGUAGAGUCGUUGCUUGCCAAUUUUAGAUUCCACAUUAAAAAUUCUUUUGGUCUUUGUUGAUAAGAAUUACCUACCCCUAUUGAAUUGGAAUUUUAAUGUGAACCAUUGUUUUAAUUUUUUCUUCCUCAUAUGACAUUCAAGUCUAUUUUGAAGUUCAUUGUUUUGCCUCUUAAUCCUUGUGUUCAAGUAAAUUUGUGUUAUUUACAAAUUUGUAGACAAAUUCAUGGUCGUUGCAUACAAUGACUUGUGUUAUUUAUGUUAUAUAUGCUUAUAGAUUUGUGUUAUUUGCAGAUUUGUAUGUGUUCAACAAAUUACCUUGACAUGUGUGCAUCAAGAGUGGUUGAUUUUGUUAGCUCGUUCAAACAAUCGAAAUAUUCAAGAGGAGGUGAAUUGGGCUUUAAAAACUCAUGAAAGCAAAAGAAUAAAGUAUGAAACAUUGAACACAAUAAUUUAGAGUAGUUCAACCCAAUUACCUACUCCACUACCUUGGCUUUCCACAAUUAAGGAUUUUCCAAAAUUUAUUAAUUUGAUGAACCUUUGAGGACAAGGUCUAUCUUUACAACUCACUUAAUAUUUCUACCCAAAUCUUUGUUAGUACAAAUCUCCUAUGAGGAAAAUCUCGAACACACGAACGGAACUCGAACAGAAAAAGAAGAAAUAGGAAAAAGCUCCAAGGCGUGUAUCAAGUCACUAUCUUUAAGGUUGUAUUCGCCCCCACGUAUCUUCGGUGUGCAAACAAGUUCCAAGUAAAUUAACCUCUGGGAUACAAUGAAGCCAAUGACUAUUUGCAUUUUGCAUUGACAAAGAAUAGCCCACUACACACUGAGCAAUGUAUGACAAGAAACUCAAUUUCUAUAAAGGAUUUCUGCAGUAAUACUUUAUAGAAUAAUCUAAUAAUAUUAGAAAAUGAAGGAAGGAAAAAAAAGAAUAUUACAAUUUAUUGGUAUAAUUUCCAAAUGAAAUCACAUUCCUAUUUAUAGGAAUUUUCAUGUCUCUUCAUAGAGACAUAUUUCAUCAAUAAGUGUCUUUCUGAAUAAUAAUAUCUUUAAAAACACAUAAUUAUUCAUUUAAUAUUAUAACUAUUCAAAUAAUAUUAUUUAAAUAGUUAUAAUUCUUUUUCAAAAAUCAAAUAAUAUAAUCUUUUGAUUAGUUACACCCAUUCAUUUAUAGUUAUUGGAACACUAUAAAUAUUUGAAAAUGUUCCAAUAAUCUCUCCCCAUUUUCAAAUUAUUUAGAUUUUGAUAUUCUUGGAAAUCAAUUUACAUAAAUGAAGGUAUCUUAUGAUUGAACCUUCUCUUAGUGAAAACACGUUAACGUUAAUCAAAAUUUCUUGUUAGACUAAGCUUUGAACCAACUAUUGCAUUUGAUUAAUCAAACACAUCCCAUACAAUGAUUUCAACAUCAGUCAAUGCAUAGUAUCUAAAGACACUAUUAUGGCCAUGUGUCUAUGUCCUCUUUUCAUAAGUGCUGUCAGAGCCAAGCGAUUGAGCUCCUAGAAGCGACCACACUUCCACUCAAAUAGGUAGAUCCCGUCAAGAAUGUUUAUGUAAUUAGAACACUCUAACAUAUUUAUGUUAUGGGUCCAUUAAGAGUACAUUAGUCAUACUUCCCUUAUCAUUACAGGUAUUUAGCACUUUAAUCUAAGGAUGGAUUUAUUUAUAGUGCUAACUGUCACAUACUAAUGAUGUUCUUUGUCUCAUUGAACUCAAGACUUGACAUUAUACCAAGUAUUGAGUCGAGUUUCCAUCAUGGAUGUCUCUAAUUAAUGGGCUUGAGUCCCAUCCCUUUUAAGGUCCUUUUUACUACAUCUCUAGUAAAACUUUUUGUCAAAGGAUCCGCUAAAUUUUCACUUGACCUUACAUAAUUAAUAGUGACCACUCCAUCAGAGAUUAAUUGUCAGACAUAACUAUGUCUUAAUCCAAUGUGUCUAGACUUUCCAUUAUAUACUUGACUAUAUGCCUUUGCUAAAGUAGCCUCACUAUCACAACGGAUAGAAAUAGGUGAAAUUGGCUUAGGCCAUAAAGGUACAUCAUAAAGCAAAUUUCUUAAUCAUUCUGCUUCUUUAGAUGCAGUAGCUAAUGCAAUAAAUUCUGCUGCCAUGGUGGAAUCAGUAAUACAUGUUUGUUUCUUGGAACCCCAAGAAAUGGCUCUUCCACCAAAAAUGAAGAUCCAUCCACUAGUAGAUAUAUGAUCAGUAAGAAAGUAGGUAUCCUUGAUAUAGUAAAAUGAGGAAAUAAAGUGACAAAAAGGGAAAUUUUGAAUUAUGGUAACAUUGGGAAGUAUAUUAUGACAUAUUAGUUCAAGAAAGGAUUAAAUCGUAAAAGUGAGAAAAGUUUUGUUGUUCAAGGGUAAAUAAUCAAAAAUUGAAGGGUUAAAGUGUAAAUAUGAAAAGUUGAAGGACCAAUGGUAUAAAUAUUUUAAGGGUGGAAUGAUCUAGAAACUAAGGAAAAUGGAUGGAUUAGGACUAAAUUGAAAAAGGUGAAGAAUUUUGAGGGACUAAAUCGUAAUUUUACCAAAUUAAGUGAUGACUCAAGGAUGGAAUUUUAAAAGAUCAUAAAGGGCAAAAUGGUCAAUUAGAAUAUAGAGAAAUCUAGAAGAUAAUGAUGAUGUUGGAGAUAUUUUAGAUUAAAUAAAUAAAUAAAUAUUAGUUUAUUAGUAUUUUAAUUCAAUUUUUAAAUGAUAUUUUAUUAUUUUAUUAUUAUUUUAUUUAGUAUAUAUACAUAUGUGUGGAAAGAAAGAAAAAAAAAAGCCACUAUCCCAUCAUUUUUCCAUGCAUCAACAUGAGAAGAAGAGAGAAAGAAAGGAAGUCUUACUUUCUUUACAAUUUGGUCCUUCCACAAAAAAUUCACCAUUUUCAUCUAGAAAUCAAAAGAAUUUCCAUAUAUCCAUCAAGAGAGAAAGAUAACAAUGAGACUAUGGGGAACUAGAAUAUCAAGUUGGAUUCAAGAAAUAGAAGCUGGAGGAGAGAGAAAAUCAAGUUAAAGAUUGAAAUCAAUAUGACAAGGUAAGAACAUCAAGAUUUUAAUAUAUUUUUAAGUUUGAUAUUAUUGAAAAAAUAUGGAAAUGAUGUUAAUGUAAAGUUUUCGUAUAUAUGGUCCUAUGUUCUUGAUAUGUUAGUGAAGAAAAAUAAGAGAAAGUGAUGAGAAAUAGUGUAGAGAAAGAAAAUAAGGGUGUUAUAAACAUGGUAAUAAACAUUUUGCACUAAAAUAGUUUUGGACAGGAACAGUAGACUCAAUUUGAAAUAUCACUAUAAAUUAUGAAAAUCGAACUAGAGUAUGAAUAAAAUAUGAAAUUAAAUCUUAUUGAGUCUAGUUUCUCAUAAAAGAAAUGGUGUAAGUAAUGGAAUUGUAAAUUAUGAGAUAUAAUAAAUUUUGUCAGACAAGGUCAGAAUGAAUUCGGGUUCCCCUGUUUUGAAUUUCAAAAAUCAUUAAAAAUUGUAAAAAAGUAAUUAUUGGUUAUAAUUUAUAUUUUUAAAAUCCUAAAUGAGUCUAUUUUCAAUAUAAACAAACAGGGACAUCAUCCGAAUUCUGUACAAAGAGAUAAUUAAUUUUUAGUGAAGAAGGGUUGGAACUAUCAGAGAGCAGAAUAGAGGUGAAUUUAAAGAAUAAACUGUACUUAUUGGCUUAACCAAAAAUUCUAAAAAUUUUAUAGUAAGAAGAUAUGUGAGUCUAGUUUCAGGAAAAAUUUUCAUAUCUUAAUUCGGUGUCCCAUAGCUCAAGAUAAAAAUAAUUUAGUGACAUGACUCGAGUGGACAGCUUUGAAUGAAUAUAUAAUUAAAUGGUGGAAUUAUAGAUAAUGUUACAUAUAGGCAUAUUAUACAUUAAGGAUGUGGAAUGGAGAGGAGGAGGAGGAGGAAAAAUAUAUGAUUAUUCAACCAGCAUGAGUUUUCAUUAAAAAUGGCUAAUUUGCAUGUUUUAGGUUCAGGGACUAAAUUGAAUAAAAGUAAUAUUUUAAGGGUAAAUUUGUAAAAAUGUCAAAAAGUGACCAAAUUGCAUGAAAUGAAUUGUUUUAUUAUUUAAAUUAAUAAAUUGAAUGAAAUAGUAAUCUAUAUCAAGAUUGGAUGGAAAUUCAAGGGAAAUAGAAAAUUACCAAAAUGUCCCUAAAUUUUGGUAUUUCUACAAUUUAGCUUGGUAAGUUUGUGUAACUUGAAUUAUAUUCUUAGAUGAUUGAAAUAUAUAUAUUGGAUUGAGAAACUGAAUUGAAUUGUGAACAUGAGAAAUUAUGAAUUUAAUGAAAUAGAAAUGAAGCUUUGAAUUACAUGAGUAAAUAUAGGGUCUUGUAGGCCCUAUUUGUUACGAAUAUAAUAUUUUGAGGAUAUGUUGUAAAGAAUUAUAAAAGCACGUUAAUAAUUUAAAAGUAUUAAUUCGGAUGAAAUUUUGUAACUCGGUUUAAUACGUAUGCAAAUGUAUGUCUUCUAGUAAUGCCUCGUACCCUAUUUUGGCGUCGAAUACGGGUAAGGGGUGUUACAAUGUGACAUCGCCAGAUUCGGUCAUAACGUUUAGACCGGGUUUGGGGUGUUACAUGAUCUUCCAAACUUGUAAUCCAACUAGCAUCCGAAUACCCUUCUAAAACUGGAGGAUAUCCACUAUAACACAAUCCAUAGUUAAUAGUUCUAUUUAAGCACCUAAGUACUCUAUUCAAUUGCCAAUGCAAACUACUUGGAUUACUUGUGUACCUACUCAAUUUCCCAACAGCAUAUGCAAUUUCUAGUCUUGUACAAGUCAUUAUGUACAUAAGACAACCAAUUAGACUUGCAUAUUUUAAUUGAUCAAUUUUCCUACCAGUAUUAGAUACUAAUUUUAUUUGAGGAUCCAUGGGUGUAGAUGCUGGUAUACAGUUGAAAAUAUCAAACUUUUUAAGCACAUUUUCAAUGUAACGUGAUUGUGAUAAAGCUAUAGUGCUUUCAUCUCAGGUUAUAUUAAUCUCAAGAAUAACAUCUACUACACCCAUACCUUCAUAGCAAAGUUGUUCGACAAGAAUUUCUUUGUGUUUUCUAUUUGUUCCAAAUCCGUGCCAAAAAUGAGCAUGUCAUCUACAUAUAAGCAAAUUAUGACACAUUUUCCAUUUUCAAAAUUGCUAUAUAUGCACUCAUCGGAUUCAUUUAUUUUAUAGCCAUUAGCUAAAACAACAUUGUCAAACUUUUGGUGCCAUUAUUUUGGUGCUUGUUUAAGUCCAAAUAAAGAUUUAACAAGCUUACAUAGCUUAUGCUCUUGUCUUGGAAUAACAAAUCCUUCCGGUUGUUCCAUGCAUACUUCAUCUUCCAAAUCACCAUUUAAAAAUACAGUUUUAACAUCCAUUUGAUGAACAACCAAAUUAUAUAUAAAGGUAAGUGAUAUUAAGAGUCUAAUUGUAGCAAUCCUUGCUACUGGAGCAAAGGUAUCAAAGUAAUUAAUACCUUGUUUUUGUGUAAAACCUUUGGCUACCAACCUUGCUUUAAAUUCAUCAAUGAUUCCAUCAACCUUCAUUUUCUUUUUGAAGAUCCAUUUACAACCUAUUGGUUUGGAACUCGGUGGAAGAUCAACUAAGAUCCAAGUUUAAUUUCCUAUUAUUGAAUCCAUCUCAUCAUUUAUUGCUUCUUUCCAAAAGGCAGAGUCUUGAGAUUUCAUUGCCUCUUCAAAUGUAAUAGGACCACAUUCCGUAUUAUAACAAUAAGGUUUCUUAUUGCAUAUACUUUCGCCCUUUCCUUAUACAAGAAACAUAAUGAAAUCUGGUCCAAAAUCUUUGACCUUUUUAAUCCCCUUACUUCUUCUUAAUUCUUGACAAGAUUCAUCAUUAUUAUCAAUUUGUUCCAAUGGAAUCUCAUUCUCAUUUGAAGAAUGAAUCACAUUGUUGUGGCUAUAAUUAUCUUGGUAUAAAAUUAAAUCUAUUUUCAUCAAAAAUAGCACCUCUUGAUUCAAUAACAGUAUUAAUUGAAAUUGAAUCAUUUGGUUCAAUUACCAUGAACCUAUAUGCCUUGUUAUUAUGUGUAUAUCCUAUAAAUAUGCAUUCAAUUCCACUUUCAGCUAACUUUUUUACGUUCGGGUGUUAGAAUUUUGAUAAUAGUUCUACAACCCCAAACCUUCAAAUAAUUAAAGUUUGGUUUCCUUUUCUUCCAUUGUUCAUAAGGGGUUAUUUAAGUUUCCUUAUUAGGAACUCUAUUCAAUAUAUGACAAGCUGUUAGAACAACUUCUCCCCAAAAACCUUGUCCAAGACCUUAAUAUGAUAACGAUGAAUUUACCAUUUCAGUCAACACUCUAUUUUUCCUUUCAGCUACACCAUUUUGUUGUGGUGUGUAAGGGGCUGAAACUUGAUGGACAAUUCCAAUGGAUUCAAAAUAACUUGGAUUAUAGUAUUCUCCACCUCUAUCCGAUCUUAAGCACUUGAUAAAUGAUUCACACUGAAGUUCAACUUCAAAUUUAUAAACUUUAAAUUUAUCAAGCACUUCAUCUUUUAAAUGCAAUAAAUAUACAUAACAAUAUCUAGAACAAUCAUUAAUAAAAGUAACAAAAUAUUUCUUUCCACCUAAUAUAGGAGUAUUAUGCAUGUCACAUAAAUCACUAUGUAUCAAACCAAGCAAUUUUGUUUUCCUUUUAACCUUAGGGAAAGGUUUCUUGUAAUUUUAGUCAACAUACAUGUAUUGCAUUGUUCAAUAUUAUUAUUAAAAACAAGAAUUGAAUCUAACUUAUACAUGUCAUUCAUUUUUCUAUAAUUCAAAUGACCUAAUCUAUAAUGCCACAAACAAAAAGAUCCAACCAUAUAAGCAGAAAUAGUAUUUUUAUUUUUAUUAAUAAUAUUGAGUUUGAACAUACUCUCAUACAUAUACCCUUUCCUUACAAAAACUCCUCCCUUAGACAAAAUAAACUUAUCUACCUCAAAAACAAGUUUGAAGCCAAACUUAUUCAACAAACUUCUAGACACUAAAUUCUUCCUAACUUCUGGUACAUAAUAUAAAUCAUUUAAGGUUAAAAACUUUCCAGAAGUGAAUUGUAGUUUAACAGACCCUUUGCCUUUGAUUGCUGCGGUGGAAGAAUUUUCCAUGUACAAGAUGUCAUUUUCACAUUGUGUGAACUUUGUGAACAUGCUUUUGUCUUUGCACACAUGUUUGGCUGCUCCGAUAUCAAUCCACCAUGUAUUAUCAUCUUGUGCCAUAUUAAUUUCAGAUAUCAUUGCAAUGAACUUUUCGUUAUUAUCAGCCUUAGAAGAUGAUUUCUUCUUUAAAAAUUGACAUUCAUUCUUGAAAUGUCCCGACUUACCAUAAUGAUAGCAUGAGCCCUUUUGUUUCUUUUUGAACUUAGGUUCUCUAUCAGUUUGUUUGAACUUAUUCUUGAAUGGUUUAGUAGUUUGUACUUCCUCUGUAACAUGCACUUUGGCAUUUUCAGAAUUUAGGUUCUAGUAUUGCUUUCGAUUUUCUUCUUCAAUACGAAGAUGAUUUGCCAAAGACUCAAGAGAUAUUUCCUCUUUCUUAUGUUUUAGACUUCUUUUAAAGUCUUUCCAAGAUUGAGGAAGUUUGUCUAUUAUGGAGGAUACAACAGUCAUUUCAUCCAUUUUCAUAUCAUAUUGCUUGAAUUGAUUCAGCAUUUUUUCAAUAUCACGGAUUUGUUCCAUAACAAAAUGACCAUCAACCAUUUGAUAAUUAUUGAAACGACUGGCAAGAAAUUUCUUACUUGUAACAUCUUCGAUCAUGUAUCUUGUCUCCAAUUUGUCCCAUAAUUCUUUAGCCGUGACCUCGUUUUGGUAAGUGUCGAACAAACCAUCAGAUGAACCAUUCAAUAUGUGGCCCAUGCACAUGUAAUCAGCAUUGUCCCAUUUUUGACUUUCUCGGGUUGCUGCAACAGAUUCGUUAUCAUUCUCUUCAGGUCUUGGAGUAUCCAAAACACAAACAAUCUUCAAAGUUGAUAAUAAGAAGUGCAUCUUUUCUGCCAUCGUCGAAAAUUACCACCAUCAAACCUAUCAAGUUUGACAAAGCUGGAAGCCAACUCCCUUAGUGUUCCACUUUCAUAUGUUGUGGUAGUCAUCAUGAAAUAUAACCUAAAAUUGUUAGUACAAAUCUCUGGUGAGGAAAAUCUCGAACACACGAACGGAACUUGAGCAGAAAAAGAAGAAAUAGGACAAAGCUUCAAUGCGUGUAUCAAGUCACAAUCUUUAAGGUUAUAUUCUCCCCCACCUAUCUUCGAUGUGCAAAUGAGUUCCAAGCAAAUUAACCUUGAGGAUCAAAUGAAGCCAAUGACUAUUUGCAUUUUGCACUGACGAAAGUGGCCCACUACACACUGGGCAAUGUAUGACAAGAAACUCAAUUUCUAUAAAGGAUUUCUGCAGUAAUACCUUAUAAAAUUAUCUAAUAAUAUUAAAAAAUGAAGGAAGGAAAGAAAAAAUAUUAGAAUUUGUUGGUAUGAUUUCCAAAUGAAAUAUUAUUCCUAUUUAUAGGAAUUUUCAUGUCUCUUCAUAGAGACAUCUUUCGUCAAUAGGUGUCUUUAUGAAUAAUAAUGUCUUUAAAAUAAACACAUAAUUAUUCAUUUAAUAUUAUAACUAUUUAAAUAAUAUUAUUUAAAUAGUUAUAAUUCUUUUUCAAAAAUCAAAUAAUAUAAUCUUUUGAUUAAUUACACCCAUUCAUUUAUAGUUAUUGGAACAUUAUAAAUAUUUGAAAAUGUUCCAACAAUCUUAAGAUACAAACCCUCUCAAAAGAGCAAAAAAAAAAAAAAGAGCAAACUAAGAAAUAUUCCUUACAAGAUUAGAAUGUGUGCCAAUUAAGCACUAAUACAAAGAAAAACAUUUGAGUUGAUGGAAAACAAUAAAUACUCACAAGUGUAUUCAAGAAAUAAUGAAGAAUUUUAAGUACAAAGGUUGAUACUUAAUGAUAAAUAUUGAUUUUUUUACUUUGAUAAAAAAAUUCCAUAAUGACAUCUUUGUAUCGAUACCAAGAAUAGGUAUCGAUAAAAAUGUCUAGAUAUCGAUAUUUAUUGAAAAUAUCGAUACUUGUUAUUUUUGCUCAAUGUUUCUGGACUUUGAAACUUAAAAACAAUUUUAUAAGUAAUAGAGAGCAGUUUUUUACUUGUUUAAAAUUUGUUCAAAGUAUUUUCUGAGUGUUCAAAGUGAUUCUCAAAGUGUUUCAAAAUUUUGACUUUAAACUUCAUUAAUUUUUAUUAAAAAAUAAUUUUUAUUCAAAAAUAUUAUAUUUAUUAUAUCAAAAUAUUUUAUGAAAGCUUGGUUUAUCAAGUUUACAUCAUGCCAAGAAAUUUGAAUCAUUUAGCUUUUGUUGUAUAAAUGACUUGGUUUUGGGAAUUUGAAACAAAAAUGUUGUUUUGGAAAAACAAAAUUAUAUUAACUCUAUGUUCAAAUUUGUAUAUAAAAAAAUAUGCUUAUAUAUAUACAUGUUAGAUUGUUUUGACAUGUGGCUGACUUGAUUAAAAAUAUAUAUACAACUUGUAAACAUAUAUUCCAAACAUACAUACAUACAUAUAGAUAGAUAUUUCAUUUGUAUAUCACAAUAAUCAUAACAAGUAAUUCUAUAGAUUGUUUGUGUUUGAUUGAAGAUGAAUAUUUCAUUGUAUAAUAGUUUUUGAAAUUAAUUAAUGAAAAGGAUUGUUCUUUUAGUUAUGAAAAUAUCUAUGUUUGGUUUAUUUCACCUAGAAUAAUUUUCAUAAAAUGUUUACAUAAAAUCAACUAAUUAUACUAAAAAAAUCACAUUUUUUAAAAAAUUAUACUAUUUUUCAACCAAUGCAACAUAUAAAUAUAAAUUAUGUUCCAUCGUCUAUUGAAAUAAUAUUACCAAAGUUCAAUCAAUGCAUCUAUGCUUUAGAUGCUAAAGUGUGGAAUCAAAAUAAAGAGUUAAAAGACUGGAAUAAAAUCUUGCAAAAAAAAAAAAACCAUUCUGGAACUGUUGCUAACCGCUGAAGGCUGAAGACCCUGGAAUUUGUAUCCACUAGCGUUGAGACUUUUCUUCUCCAGUUGCAGAUGCCAUGGACCUGGUCACUUCGAGAUUUCAUUUUCGCCUGAUUUCUUGUUUCCUGUGAUAAAAGGAAAAGAUAAAAAAUGAAUCUUGCAUACACUUACUCUUCAUUAAUUUGAUCCUGCGGUUAAUAUAUCAAAAUAUUUCCAAAUGAAAUGAAAGUAUAGCAUUUGGACAAGUGAGAACUCACUCUUGAAGGAGACAGCUUCAGGUGUUUCUGUAUCGAUUUUUACGUCGCUGCCCAUUUUAUCCUUAACGUAAUCUACAGACCAUUCCAUACCUGUCAAGGUUAAUUUUGUUAAGCUGGUUAAUUUCUCCAGACCAUCAACCUCUUUUAGUUGAUUGCAGUAUCUGAUCUCAAGAUUCUCCAGGACUGGCAUGGUGCCAUCCUCCACAAUCCAAUGCUGCAGUUCCACCAGCUUCCACAAUUUCAAGGCUUGAAGCUUAGGAAACGUGUUCCUACAAACCAUAGUUUUCCCCAAGAAGGAAUGACCAUAGAGCCUAAGGACCUUCAGUUCUUUCAGCUCCGCAAGCAUUUCCAUUGGAUCAUCUGGUAAAUAUGACCCUGACAAAGUAAGGACUGAGAGACUUCUUGGAAGUUCACCAAGUAUCUUUCUCGGCCCUGUUAGUUCUCCAAGCAGAUAUAAUUUACGCAAGCUCUUGAGCUUGUUCAUGCUCUCCAAUUCAAGUUUUGAAGACUCGUGUCUUUCACUUACUGAUCUCAACUUCAAGGACUGAAGAUUUGUUAGUUCUGAAAGCCAGGCAUCUAUAACUUCCAUAGAUGAUUCAUAGCACGUUAAUUUCAAUUUCCUUACACCAACCAACCUGUUCAACUGGUUGUGCAUCGGGAUCUGUCCUCGAAUUUUCAAUCCCCAUAAAGUAUGAAGGUUAGUUGAAGAUCCCUCAUGAUCACAUCCCUUCUGAAUGGACAAGUCAACAUAAACUUCACUCAUAUAGAGAUGCCGAAGCUUCUUUUCCUCCCAAAUGGUGCUUGGUAGAGUGGUUAUAUUAGUAUGUUUUACAUCUAAAGACUGUAAACGAGGGAGCUCGGCAACUGACUUUGGGACUGAAUCCAAAUGAGUCCGUCUUAAACCCAAAUACUUUAGGCAAGGCAGUCUUCCAAUAUCCUCAGAAAGCGCUGGUUUAUAAACACCUUCUAGAUCAAGCACUACAAGCUUUCCAAAACGGUCCUUGACAAUCUUUUUGAGAAGGUCUCCUAUCCCAUCUGCAGGUCUAUCUCCUUUUCUGUCGUAGAAUGAAAUGUAAGAACGUAGAUUUGUCAUGCUGUGUUUUUCAUGCUCGGUAUGGAUGAACAUUUGUAACCCAUCUGCAAGCCUCCGGAUAGGGAUAUUAUACGGUGUUGUAUCGGAAUUGGAUGCGGUUGAACUGCUGCGAAUGCGAUGUAUGUGGAAAAAUCCAAAGUUCUCGGCAUUUGGAGACAAAGCAUCGUGUAAUGCAUUCGGUAGGAGACAUGUUUUGGGGCUUCCAUCUAAGCUCCAUUUAACGAUCUGAACCAAAUUUCUGCUUUCUAGUUGUACAAACUGUUGCAUGGCCAGCUCUUCCAGAGUUUUUGUGUUCCCUUCUGGUGGUAUGAUCAGUCCUUCAGCAAGCCAUAUGAGAAGCAACCUUCUUAUUGGGAUCUCAAAUGAUCUGGGAAAGAGACCCAAAUGAAGAAGACAGUGAUUUAAAGGGAAGCCUAGGCGCUUAUAGGACUCAUCCAAUGUCUUGAGAGGAUUUUCUUCAGUAUCACUGGAUUUUAGCCUCGCAUCAUUUCCUUCUAUCUUCUCUGUCCCCAAAGAAGCCUGUUGAUUGAACUGACCUGCCAAUAGACCUAUCGAAAGAGGUAGACCACGGCCUCUUUGCAUCAAAUCUGACGGCACGUGCACACUUUUUUGUACCUUCUUUGUGAACAAUUUACGACUCUCAUCCUCAUUUAACGGGCGUAGUGGGAGAACUACAGCUGGUGGAUUCAUAUUGUACGCUAGAUACGCCUUGCGAAGGGUGAGGAUCACCCUGCUACCGUUGGAUGAAUUCGGGAGGACUUUAAUGAGUGUAUUCUUCCAUAUCUGAGGCGUCUGUAAAUCAUCUAAAACUAUCAAAUAUCUCUUCCAAUUCAAGAAAAGGUGAAACCUUCUUUGUAGUUGCUCAAUAGAUAAGCUCUGUUUCUGCUUUUUCUUCAUAAGUUGUCCCAAUAAAUCAAGCAGGAGAUUUCUUUCAUCAUAUUCUUGCGGAACAGUGAUCCAAGCCCGACAAUCAAAGUGCUGCUUCGUUGCAAUGCUGUCGUAAAAUGCCCUCACAAGAGUUGUCUUGCCAGAACCUCCCUCACCUAGCACCGAAAUCAGAUAAUGCAAUCGGUAGCUACUUAGUGCGAGUUUCGCUAAUUCCUCUAUCGUAUCCCUCAUCCCUAUGAUUUCAGACUCGUUUUCCAUGAUAUCAGAAACUGAAUUCCACAGUUGUGCAACCUUUCGAUCUACAGUAUCUUCAUGCAGCUGUUCUAAAUCUAAAUCAGGUAACAACUCUAUCCCGGGAGUCAUUUGAAAGACCCAAGAAUUGGUUUUCCGUGCUAUAUCUGCAUGAGGUACAGUAAGAAUCACCCUGCUACCAGUCAAGGAGUUCGGAAGGGAAAUUUUGAGACUUUCCCAGACACUGGAUGUCCAGACAUCACAUAGAACUAUUAGGUACCUCUUCUGAGCUAAGAAAUUGCAAACCAUUUGUCGCAUUGGCUCAAGGGAUAGUUUAAUUUCCCUGACGCCUAUUUGCUUCCAAAUUUCAACUAAAACAUCUAUUUCUUCGAACUCUUCUUGAACAUGGACCCAAGCAGAGCAUUCAAAAUGCUGCUUGACUUCUUUUUCAUCACAUAUUUCCCGCAAUAGAGUACUCUUGCCAACACCCACAAUUGAAAUGAGAAACAGCAACCUGUCAGAAUUGAGGACCGAUUGCUUUAGCUUACUCAUUGCAGCCUUUAUGGCAAUAGUGCUAGAAUCAUUAUCCAAAUAAGUAAACGAUUGAGGCCAUUCUUCUGAAGCAUGUAUUAAUGCUGCAUCACCAACAACACCAUUUUCUCCAAUGAUCCGUGAACUAUUCUGAAUUGCAAGAAUCACCCGACUACCAUUAAAAGAGAAAGGAAAGGCAGGUUUGAGAUCGUUCCAAAUACUUGCCGUCAAAGCUCCAGAUAAAACUAUCAGAUACCUCUUCCCAACUAAGAAAUCAUGAAGCACCUUGUCUACAUGAAGCACCUUGUCUACAUGAAGCACCUUGUCUACCUGUUCCUCUAAGAAAACAUGAAGCACCUUGUAUACCUGUUCCUCUUUCGUUUUGUUAUGCUUAACUUGUUCUAAAAUGGCUUGUAAGAUAUCCUUUGCUUCAUACUCUUUACGAACAUGGACCCAAGCAAUGCAUUGGAAAUAUUGUUUGAUAUCUUCUGAAUUGUAGACUGCCCACAAAAAAAUUGCCUUACUUGAGAAUGCAACUAAAGCCUUGAAGAUGAGAUAUUGAAGCAUGCAUCGACUAUGGACCGGCUGAGCUAAUUUCUUUACUAAAUCAUCCAAAACGAUCGUAACCGGUUUCUUCUCAAACCAUUUUUGGCCAUGAAUUUCAACUUCUGGUCUAACUCCCACAACUUUUGGGCUAGUUGGCUGACCUUGCUUUAUUACAGCUUCAGUGUUAGUCAAUGACUCAUUUGGUUUAACUUUCAUUUGCUCUCUUACUUUGUCCUUCAAUUUCCCAAUCUUUUUUCUUAAUCGCCUUUCGCUCAACCAGCACUUGAUUCUCUCGGAGUUAUACUUCAUAUUGAAACCUCUGUGGAAUUGCAGUAUCAUAGUGUCCGAGAAGGAGUCAAUCAUGUCCUCCACAAGAUAGAUAUCCUUGACAAGCUUCAACCAGUCAUCGAUAGUUUUUUUGUCAAGUACUUGGACGCUCACAGCACUUUCCAAGGAUUUCUGCAUUUCUUGUAGCUCAUUUAUGGAUUUUUCAACUUCACUUUUCAAAUUUGGAUUGCUAGAGAGCAGACGUAAUUUUCGGCUCAAAUGUUCAGUUAUUUCAACAGCCAUGGAGUCUCAGUUAUCAAUCUUUAAUUCUUCUUUUCCUUUAUAAUAUGUGGCUUAACUUUGUCAGUGAUGUCCUGCAUCCUGCUAAAAUACAAUUCUUUAAUUAGUGAAUGAGGUUUGAAGAAGUUGCCUGCCUAAAAUACAUAAAUUUUUAUGCCAAUUAGGCCUUAAUCAGUCUUUCCUAAUUUCAUGAUGAGAGAUCUCCUAACUUCAGCUACUAAAGUUUAUGAUAAUUUAUCAUAUAACAAGAGAGCUAUAUAAAAGGAAAACAGACAAAUUUGGUAAGUUGUGUUAUCCGUGUGUUUGUGUUCUUCAUGCUAAGCAAUUGCGUAAACAAAAACAUUGUAGUUAUUAACAUACAUGAAUUUUUUUCUAAUAUGCAAUAUUAUACAUAAAAUUUUAUUUUAUACAAUUUUAUAAAUAAAAUUUUGAUUUAAUUUAAUUUUUACAAAUCACUAACAAUAUAUCGAAUUAGCACCAUCUUAAGUUGGGUAUUACAUACACCAACAGUUAUAUUAAUCCAAUAUGAAAAUAAAUAUAUGUAUUCAUUUUUUUAGAUGUAUAUAAUUGAAUUAAAAUUAAGGCUUUACGUAUACAUAUGAACCACAAUUCAAGUUUCAUAUGUAUAAUUAUACUAAAUAAAAGUACAUAUGUAUCAAAUUACACAUUAAAGCAAAAUUCAUCUAUAAAUAUGAUAUUUAUCCCCAAAAUCAUAAAAAAAAUUUAAAUGUGUUAAUAGUGUUUAAAUGGUUAUUUUUACCUUCAUUGAACAUAUAGUAUUCUCAUAACUUUUGUUAAGGCUUAGCUCACAAAUUGAUACUUAAUUUUUUUUUUUUAGCUAACUUUUUUUGUCACAAGUGAUAACUAAAAUUUUUCCCCAAAAUUAAUGCCUCCUUAAAUCAAGCAAUUAAAUUUAAUUUUUUAAGAUAAACUAACCUAUAAAUUAAUACUUAAACUGCGCAUUUUUUUUUCUUAUUUUGGUAUUUAAAUAGCCUCAUUGUACCUAAUUACUUUUUCCCCAUGUAAGUACUUAGAUUAAUUUAUUAGUUAGUUAAAAAUAUUCCGUCUAUUUUAAAAAAAAAAACAUUUCAAGAUCAACAUGUAGCAAAAAAAAAAAAACAAAAUGUUAUAUUUUCUCUUAUAUAUAUAUAUAAUAUUUUCUUUUUUCUUUUUUCUUUCUUUAGAAUUGGGCCAAUAGUAGAAUCGAUCAAAUACUAGUUCUCAGUUUGAUCAAUUUGUUCAAUUCAAUUAAAUAAAUUUAUAAAAAUUUAUAAAAAUAUUUUUAAAAUAGAGAAAACUGAUUCAACCGGUCUAUAUCGGUUGACGAAUCAAUCAUUUCAACCCCUAUCUUCAAAUCAAUAUCCCAGCCAAUUAUUGAUUCAACCAACCAAUCCAGUUCUAAAAAUAAUAGUUUUGAUCAAUGAAAUAACUUUUCCAAUCCUGUCAAGUCGAGCCGAGCAAACAGAAGGUAAAGUUUAAAAACAUAAUUAAUUGUGAGCUUUUCAACCUCAGAAGGGUGAAUUUCAAACAAUAUUAUAAAGGAAGAAGAAAAAAAUAUAAAGAUAGAGAAAUAAUGUAAAGGAAAAUUAAAGAAUUAAAGAAUAUUUUUCUAAGUUUAUAUGAAAUGGCAAUUUGUAAUAUUUUUUAAUGGAUAUAUCAUUUUAGUAUAAAAUGGAUAAUUAAAUAAUAAUUUAGGCACUGAUUGUGAUCCAAAAAAUAUUUAGAUACUAAAAGAAAAACAGUAUAAAUUAGAUACUAAUUUGUAGGUUGAUUUUUUUAAAUAAAUUUAAGGGUUUGACUAACAUUGGACUAAUAAAUUAUGUACCAACUUGAAAAAAAAUUGUUAGUUAAACUUUUAUAUAUAUAUAAAAUCAAAACUAACAUUCUGGAAUUUUGAUUUCAAAAAAUGAACUUAGAUUUGUAUAAAGCAACAUCUAAUCCUUAAAUGAUAGAUAUAUAUAUAUUUUUUUUGAAUUUGAUCUUUAAAUUUUUUUUGUUUAUAAUAAUUUCAUAAUUUAAUAAUUCUUUCUAUUUUGAUCCUUAAACUUUGAUUCCGUUAAUAUUUAAUGUUAUCUCCUAAAUAUUAAUAUACUAGUUUUUUUUUUACUCAAAUAUAUGCGAGCUUGAUUGUACAAAAUAGUUAAAAUUAUUUUAUAAUUUUGUAUAAAUUUAAUUUAUGAUUGGUAAAAUAAAUAAAAUAAAAUCAUUUUAUAAUUUUUUAUAAUUUUGUAAUCCAAUAUUUCUAAAUUUGAUAGUGUAUUUUUAAAUAAGUAAAAAGAUAGUUUUGAAAUUUGAAAUAAAUUGCUUAGGCAUAUUUUAAGUUUUAAGAUAAUUUUAUUUUAAAUUCGAAAUAUAAUUUUUUAAAUUAAAAUUAAAAUCACUCCACUUAUAAGUCAACCAAAAACAAAAUAAGGAGAUGAGAAUUUAAAACGUAAAAUUUGCUUUUUAAUUUCAUUUUUUUAAAUCUUUACUUCCUUCUUUUUCUUUAAGAAAAAUAUUUUUAAAUUAAAAAAUCUUAUCCUACAUAUCAUUUAAAUAUUAAUAAUAAUUUUAAUAAAUAAUUAUAAAUAAGAACUUGGAAUUUCCAAAAAUAAAAUUUUAAGUUAUAAUCUAAAUAACACUUUAUGGAUAAUGAAAAAUUAUAAAAAUUAUCUUUUAUAAAAUGAUAUAAAAUAAAUAAAUAAAUAAAAUCAUUACUUGGCAUCAUUUUAUAAUUUUGUACCUUGUUAUAUUAUAUGAUAUAUAUGGUACAUAUAUAACCUAAAAAUACAAAAAGCAAUAUUAAAAUAUUAUUAAAAAUAAUAUUUUAAAAAAAAAGAAUUAUUCGAUGAUGUAAUACAAUAUAAAAGUGCUCAUACAUUAAAACUUAAUUAAUAAGAAUAGCAAAAACAAAUGAAGUAAAAUACCAUAAAAAGAUACAACAAAAUCAUAUAUUUCCUAAAUUCUUAUAACAAGUGAACAAGAAAGAAGUAAGAAGAGUGAGAUUACGUACCGCUAAGUACGAGUGUUGAGGGUGCACCAUUGCAGAUUGUCGUCUGCAAUUCGAACUUCAGGCCAUAGUUUUUAGCUGAUCUGGCCACAAUAGCUUCCCGGAGACCGCCGGUUAAGCUAGGAAAGUGAGAGAAAUAAAGUAAGAGAGAUUAAGUGUUAGGCACAUGUAAAGAAGAGCUGUAAAAUAAGUCCAGUCAAGGAACGUGUUCUUUUACUAAAGAAAAGGAAUGUUUGAAAUGGGAUUAAAUUGUUUCAGUGAAGCAACAGAUUGCUUUUUAUUGGAAGUGAUGUAAAAAGAAGAAAAAACAAUCAUAAUUCAGUAUUUUUAGAACAUCAUAAUGGCUGAAAUGCUCACUUUUGUUUCAAAAGACCAUGAUGCAAGGCACUGGCGAAUCUCGAGAGGGCUUCCAUGGUCCUGGCGCCCCUAAAAUGUAAAAUUAUUAUUUAAUCCUUUAUAUUAUUCUAAAAUUUUUAAAUUAAUAGAUGAAGGUAAAAUUAUAUUUUAAUUCUCUUAAAAUUAUAAAAAUUCGAUUAAUUCUUUAAAAAUAAUAAAGAUAUAGACUAAAUAAUUAAAUUUUCAUAACAUUGUUCUGGCUUCGCCUUUUUUGAUGAGAAUAUUUUGACUAAAAUAUGCAACAAGUUGUUGUAUUCCAUCGGUCCUUAGGAUUGAGGGGCUUUAACCCUAAAGUUUUUAAAUUUUCAUUAUACCCUUAAAAUUUUUUUAAAAUUUUAAUUUUCUCAAAAAUUUUUGAAAAUUCUUUGUAUACCUUUCAUAUUUUUUAGUUACAUCUCUACCAAUGUGAGUAGUUUUUUUAAAUUUCACAAUGUCAUACCAUCCAAUUUGAUAAAAAAAAAAGUGACUAUGUUAACAGUUAGACCUUAAUUUUAAAACUUGAAGAGUCUGGGUAUAAAUUCUAAAAAAUUAAAAGUAUAGAAAUUAAAAUAUAAAUUUAUAAAGAGUAAAGCAACCUAUAACAUAUUUUAACCAUAUAUUUUUAUAUAAAACUUCUUCAAUUGAGUGUCCCGGUUAAAAAGGUUCCAAUUGCUUCUUCUUUUUCCAAAUAAUUGUUUGGCAAGUUAAUUUAUAGGGAAAAGCAAUUUCUAAUUUGCAAAAUCGGGGGUGGAUAGGAAAGUGAAGGUACAUUAGAGUUCACACCAUUACGUUGCCUUUGUCGACUGAAAAUUUUCAGCUUCACACAACCUAAAAAAAUUCAAGAAAGACCCGGUUUUCCGGCCAAAGAAAAACCUAAUUUCCCGAUGGUCAUAGCAGUGAUAGGCCCCUCAAGCAGGGGCGCAGUGGCCAGCGAGCUUGCCAAACACCUCCAUUUCCACCUCAUUGACGAAGAUGAUAUCAUCCCUACUUCUCAACACUCUUUGCCUUCCUCCUCCGCCGCCGCCGUUGCUGAAUCCAAAACUCUCAACUCGUUCUUCGAACUUGUCAUUCAAAUUGCGAAAACGAUCAGGUUGAAUCAGGGGCUUAUCAUCAGCACAAAGCUCUCUCAUAGCUCCCUCAUCGAUGACCUAAAGCAGCUGGCAGGCACUGCUGAUGAACGUCUGGUAAUUGUUCAAUGCAUCGAAGCCCAAGAUGCGAGCUACAGAUACCAAUUUGAAGGAGUUCAGGUGUUCACUGUUGACCCCAAACGCUUCGAUGCCAACAACCUUUUAGCCGAAAUGUCGAGUAAGGUUGCAAAAAGGAAUUCCACUCAUCUGCAUGCUCUGUCUUUGUAUAACAAUUAUCAGCCAUUCACUGAAUCUGGGAAAGGCCUCAAAUGCAAAAGGUGCCUGGAACUCAUUUCAGGCCCUAUGUAUCAAUGCAUGGAGUGCAAUGAAUACAUUUUCCACAAAUCUUGCGCUGAAGAUCCCUGUGAUUUAAAGCUUGUUCGGCAAAGUUGCCCUAAAAAUCUCCGAGCAUCAAAGGAGCCGCCAGGGUAUGAAUUACCUCCGGAGAAACAGAAAAAGUGUGAGACAUGUGAAUUGAACAAGAAGGAUUUCUCCGUUAGUUGUCGUGAUUGUAUCUUCAAAACCAACAUGGAAGGUAAAUUCCUCCCCCUCAUCAUCAAUCACGGAUCUCACUCACAUCCCCUCAAUCUUUUAAUGAUGCCUCCCUCGUAUGAUUACAAGUUCGAAUGUUGCGGGUGCGGUGAGCUGGGCAAAUCCAUUAGCUACAGAUGUUAUGACUGCAACUUCAAUCUGCACGUAGGUUGCGUUUUGUUAGAGCACACUGCUAAAAGCAUCCGCCAUGACCACAAACUUACACUUGUCUAUGAUUCUCUGGAAGUUACCUAUUGGGAUAAAAACAGUUGUGAAUUUUGUAAUAACGAAAGAAAACCAGAACAAUGGUUUUACUACUGUUCAACUUGCGAAAUCGCGGCUCACAUUGGUUGCUGUGCGGUAGAUCAGUCGCAGUGAUCUUAGGGUUUCCAUCGCCAUGACUGCAUAUGGUCAAACUUCAGCAACGCAGAUCGUUCCUUUUCUUUGGUUUUGCCUAAUAAUAUUGCAUGAUUGUUUUUGUUUUAUUUUCGCAUGAUGCCAUGUGUUCACACAUACAUAUUGUGGGCGACCUCUAGAUAGAGACAUGUAAUAUGGUUCGCCUGCACAUGGCACGAAAAUUGUGUACACGAAUCCACUUCGAGUAUACAUGUGUUAAUCCUAAGAUAAGAUACGUGUCAUCAUGCAUUAAGACUGUAACACCCCUUUACCAAUCCUGAUUACAGGAUCAAGUGCUACAUUAGUUUUCAUAAACUCUAAUAGUAAUAUCUAAAUAAAAAUAAUAUUAUAAUUUGCACAUAUUAGUUUCGUUGUUCCAGUAUAUUAAUUAUUGAUACUCGAGAUAAGCUGAAAUAAAAAUUUUCAACCAUUCUUACAUUUAGAACAAUAUACUAAAGCGAAAGAAUGGACAUUGUGAAAAAUAUGGAACGUGGUUGUGUGGAUUUCAGGAACCAUGUUUAAAUUUGAAAUUCAAGGGAUAAUUUGUUAAAUUAGUUCCUAAAGUUUACCUAGUUUAACCCUUGCUCACAUCUCAAAAUUUAAGCCAAUUUAAUUCAAAAAUAAAUCAUAAUUAAGCAUUUUAAAAAUCCGAAUUUCUUAUAUUACUUAAUUAACAUUUGAAUUAUUUCAUAUGAAUUAAGCAGACAUCAAGUUUUACAGUUAAGUCCCAUCACAUUCAACCUUAAUACACACACCUAGGUACAUGCCAUUUACUGAAACAACAGAAAUUAAUACUUUACCCCUUUCUCGGAUUCACUUAUAUGAUUAGACGAGAUGCCUUCGAUCUUCAAAAAUCCCUUUUCUUCUACUCUUAACCUACGCGUAUAAAACACGCGUUAAACUAUUACUAGCUUAGGAAGUAAAACUAAUAUUUAGAUCAUAAUCUAUAUUAUAAAUUAUAACUUAUUUAUUAUUACUACACAAAAUCAUUUAAAUGACCUGUUUGUAUUCAUCAUACAUAAUUUUUCCAAUCGAUUCACUUAUUCUUACAAUUAGGGCCACAUUUAUUAUUUACUUAUUAAACACCAACUAAACAUACUGAUUUAAUUAUCAUCUAUAUAAUACUAGAAUCACAUGAUCCAUUUUAAAUUCUCAUUUAUUCCAUUUAGCUAAAAUUUCGGAUAAUUUACUUUACUUAUUUCAACCAUAUAUUUUCUUAUUUUUCUCAAUUUCAAAUAUUUUCAACACAUAUAAUCUAUAUAAUUCAAUAAUCACUAAAAUAAUUUAUACAUUUUUCAGAGACCCAGUAGACUAAACAAAACACUUAGGAUAUACGGAAUUGAUACAGAGAUGCACUAAAGUGUGCUAAUAGAACAAUAGGCACCAAAGUGCAAACCACUAAGCACCAAAGUGCAAAAUAGUAAGCGCCAAAGCGGGAAACGAUAACCGCGCUAAAAUUUCCUUAAUGGCAUGCCAUCUAUAUCCCAAUAGUUCUAAUCUCGUCUACUUGGGUAAAUUAUAUCAUGCACACAUAUCACUUUUACAUUUUUGCAUAAUGCUUUUACAUUUUCUACCAUUUAAUCCUAAUAACAAUAUUUCGUAUAAUUAUAUCUUCCUCUUUCAUUAACACAUAUAACUUGUCACAAUAUUUAAUAAUCCUCCAUAAUUUCACUAAUAAUUUUUAUUAGACAUUUGACCUAUCACUUUUACUUUAUUUACAAUUUAGACCACAUCAUGACAUUUCAUGUAACAAUGUCUUUCAUUUUUAAUAACAUAUAUAAAAUGUUUCAUUUCUUAGUUUAAUUUCUAUAUUUCACCACGAAUUCUUAUUAUCAUAUUUAUAUAUUAUUCUUAGUCCUUAAGUCAUCAAUUCACUAAAUAGAACUUUCGUAUCUUUUUAAUACAUGUAACAUGUUUCGCUAUUUAAUAUAAUUUCCAUAAUUCAUCAUUUAUUUAUAACUUAUUUACUUUAUACUACUUUUACAUUUUUAAAAAAUAUUAGUCAUUGUAAAGAUAGUUUAUUUAACAUUAUUUUCUACUAACAAUAAUUCAUGUAUCAUAUCUCAUAUUUAUAAAUUUUCCAUAAUUUACUAUUAAUUCUUAUUAUAUAUUUUUUAAAUAUAUUAUUUUUACAUAUUUUACAAUGCAGUCCCUUUCUUUCUCAUAUUUUGUCAAAUAAUCCCACAACAUUACGACAUCAAUCUACUCAUCAAUUAUAUACAUAUAUCAUUUCUACACUCAUUUUAUUAUUUAAAAAUUAUAGUUCUAUUAACUAUUGUACCUCUUAUGAAUUAGUCCUUUAUAUCUUUUCCUUACUUUUCUUUUAAUUUUCUCUAUUACAUUUUACUUAGUCAAUUCAUCAUACCAAUAUACUCAACCUUAGUCAAUUCAUCAUACCAAUAUACUCAACCAUUAUCACAUUUUAUUCUUUAAUUAAUUAUAUAAUAUGUAAAUUUCUAAUUAAACACUAUAUCUAGAUUUAUUCUCAACAAAUUUUACUUAAUAAUUCAUCACAUAUUUAAAAUAAACAAAACUUUAGUUGUACUUACAACUCAAAGUAUGGAAUCAAGCUUUCUUCCUUUUCUUCCUCCUUUAGCUCCUCCUUUGCUUUAAUUCUCUAUUUGUUUCUCUCUUUUCUUCACUUUUUCUUCAUUUCUCCAUAUCAAAAUACACAAUAUUUACACAUUAAAAUCAUAUUCACAUAUCAUAUUUCAUGUUUUUCAAAUAAAACCAACAUGUAUUUCAAGAAAAGUAUAGCUUUCUUACCUUAAUCACUUGUAUUAAAUACUAAUUCUUAUUUUCUCUCCUCCUACACAAGUAUGGAUGCAUUUCUUUUAACAGUUGGGUAGUUACUACACUUCUCUACUAAUUUUACUCUCUAAUUGUGAAGAAAUUUGGAAAAAAAAAAAAGAAAUCUAGCUUAAUUGUUUUCUAUUUGAUGAAAAGGACUAAAUUGAAAGAAAAAUAAAAGUUAAAAUGGUGUAAAAAUGGUGGCUGACGUGAGCCAUUCCAUCCUUUCUUUUCUCCAUUUCUCUUAAAAGUAUCUCCUUUUAUUUUAUUUACCAUUUUGUCCUAACUAUUCACACUUUUUACUAUUUAUCCUUAAUCAUUACCUUCCAUAAUUAUCUUUUCAAUUCAUUUACCAUUUUACCCUUCCUCUUUUCCUAUAAUAACACCCAUGUGUCCUAUCUCCUUUGGUAUAUUUUUACCUUUAUGUCCUCCUCAUUUUUCAUCAAUUUAAUUUAAUCCUUCAACACCCAACUUUCUCACAUUGUCCAAAUACUUUCCACUAAUUUAAUUGAUUCCCAAAAAAAAUCAUAUUAAUAUUUAUACUUUUUCAAAUAUCUUAUGCACCUAUUUUUUUAUAUCUCAUAACUCUUUAAAUUUCCAGUUUCCUACUUUCUCAAAAUUUCGAAUAAUUUAUUGUAUAUAUAUCACAGUUCAAGACUCUGAAAAUUUCUGGGAUGUUACAGACACCUACCUAGCAUACAUGUAUGAACAGCGACCGUAUCAUAUAAAAACAUAACAUUAACCCAUCUGAGAUGACACACACAGAAAAACACUCAACAAGUCACAAUUGUUUUCAUAUUGAUGUAUAUAUAUAUAAUUUUUUUUAGAAUUAGUCCAUAAAUUUAGCAAUUGAUGUUACCUUGGAACAUAAAUUUUUUUGUCCAAAUUAAUCAAUGAGAUUUCUUUUAAAAAAUUGGACAAAAAAUUUCUAACCCAAUGUGAGAAUAAUUAUCUAGUUCAUAUUCCUAAUUCUCAAAUUUAAGGACUAAUUUAGAAAAAAAUAAAAACAUUUACUAAAUUCAAACUUCAUCUACUACAUUAACUUUUCCUAUUCAACCAAGUUGAUGAAAGGAAGAAAAAAUAUACUGCACUACAGAGAUAAGGUCGAAAUUUUAGUUCUAAAUUUUCGAAGAAAAUUUUUUUUUUUUGGUACAUUCAAUUAUAUUAAUUCAAAUUUCUUAGAAUUCUUAAACUUGGAUAGUUUCUCAUCAAAGAAAUUUAACUUAAGAUGCUUGUAUCUUAAGAUAAUCAUAAAGAAAAUAAUUUGAAAGGCGGGUUUGAGAUUUGAAUUGGUUAUUGUUUUUAUAUUAAGGUUUGAAAUUUUUUUUUCUAGUUAGCCCUUGAACUUAACAAUCUUUUCUAUAUUGAAUUUGAACUUAUUUUUAUCCAAUUUAAUCACUGAUAUUUACUUAAAAGAAGUUUAGGCUCGAUGUGGAAACUAUUUCUUAAUUUAGACCCCACUAUAAGAAUAAUUACCGAAGAGACUAACUAAAAAAAAAAAAGUUUAGAACCAAAUGUGAGAUAAUAAUUUUUAAGAGAGAAUCUGGAGAUGUAGUUUAAGUUUAAAGUGCAUUAAGUGUCAAAUUUUUAUUCUUUUUGUGCUUGUUAAUAGGUGUCCUACUUUAGUAUAUUAAUUUGAUAACUUUUUCCAGCUAUGAAAUUAAGAAAAAAUCGCUUUUUUAAUUAUUUUUAAUGAUUUUUUAAGUUUUGUUAUAUAUAUUUAAAAAUUUUAAGUGAAUUUAUUACUUUUUCUUUACACGUGGUAGUAUGUCAUUGGUGGAUUUAAAAAAAUUUAACCGAAGUACAGAAUUAAAAUACAAGGGCCAAAUUAAAAACAAAAAUAAAAUGCAAAGGCUAAACUGAUAAAAUAAAUAAUACAAAUAUCAAAGUUAUAAUUUAAGUAUUGUACAGGGGCCAAAAGCGGUAUUAAGCCAAACUAAAAGAGAAUGAAUUAAAUUGAAAGAGUAGCAUUUGAUGGGGCGAAGGUGGUGUGAAGGAUCAUUUGUUUUUCUAAUGUGGGUGCUCCUUUCCAGUUCUGCACGAGGCCAAGCGGUGACAAGAGUUAACCCAUACCAGUUCACCAACCCAACACAAGGUGUUUAGUUUUCCGUCACUCACAUUUCAAGCAACAAUCUCUGGUUUCGUUCUGUUUUACGACGCAAGAUCUUUGAGAAGAAUCGGGUAGCCAUUGACCAUUAUAAGUAUUUUUCUGCUACAUCAUUCACAAUCAUUACCAAAAUAUGAACCCUAACCUCUAUUCAUUGUUUCUUUUUGUUUUGUUGAUGAAAAUAUUCUUUUACCAGAGUGCAAGGCAUUUGGUGAUUGCUAUUUUCUGCCGCCUCAGCAUCUCCUCAAGGCCAGGUAGGUACUUUUGCAAUACCUAUGUUUUGUUUUGUGUUUAUUUUUUUAGCAUACUCACUUUUUAUACUUUUUAUAAAUAAAAAAAAUUUAAGAAUUAUUCACCAAUUGGUUUAAAAUAAGCAUAUAAGUUUCCUUUUUUUUUUUCCAUUUUUUAAAAAUAUUAGCUGUAAAAAAAAUCUUUACAUCAUCUUUAAUGGAGUAACCGGAAAAAAUAAUGUCAAAAAUAAUAGUAAAUAAUUGUAAUUUUUUAUAAUUUAUUGAUGGAAACGAGAGUUUAUUAAUAAUUAAGUCACUAAAAGGUUAUUAUAAAAGAAUUUUUAUCAUUUUACAUUUUUAUUUAAAAUUUAUAAAAAAUAAUUUAAACCAAAUUAAAUCUAAAAAAACCGAAUAUAAAAACCUUUUUUUAAUAUACGCAUAUAAUAAAAUUUGAGAUUUGAACUCAAACCCUUUUAGUUUUCAAUAUUUAUAUUUUACCAUUCAGCUAAAACUUUAAUAUUUUAUUAUUUAUAAUCCAUUAUCUUUCAAUAAAUCUAAUAUAACAAUGUAUAAGGAUCAUAAUAGGUGUAAAUCAUAAUUAGUUAUCAUUUAGAAAACUAAGGCAUGAAAUAUAUUUACGUGAAAAAGGUGUGGAAAAAGGACAACAAAUAUGUCCAAUAGUCUUGCAUAAAUUGUGAAUUUAAUUCAAAUAUUUUUAAUUUUCAUACUGUUUUAAAACUUUGUUCAGUUUAUUACCAUCAUCAACUACCAAUGAAAAGAAGUUUUAUCUUCCUUCACUGCUUUUCUUUCUCUCUGAUUUUUCAAUGUUAUCUUUUUUCUUUAUACAAUAUUGCUGUUUAAAUAGUGUCAAAUCGGUAUUUAAUAAGUGCUUUAAUCAUUUAUAUUUAACCCAAUUAUUUUAAUAAAUAUCUUAUUUUUAUCUUUUUUCCCCUAUUUUUAAUGGUAAUUAAGAUAAAUAAAAUAAAACAUCAAGAUAAAUUAGUUGAUUUAUGGAUUUUCAGUUAUAUUUUAAAAGAUAAAAUAUAUAUGUUAUAAAUAAAUAAAGCAAUGGAGAAUUGGCCAUUUAAAUUUUAUCAAUAAUAAUUUAUUUUAUUAAUGUUAAUAUAAAAAAUUAGUAGAAAAAAUUAUUCAAUAUUUAAUUUAAUAAAAAAUACCCAAUUAAGAAAUUUUAAUUUAAUAAUGAUCAUUUUAAUUUUGUUGAUAAAAAAAUAAUUAAUAUUCUAUUUCAAUAAAAAAACAAUGAUUGAAUAAUCAAUUUUAGAAAAUUUAAAGGAUAAAUAUAUUGUUCAUUAUUUAUUAAUAUUUUUAUUUUAAUAAAAAAAGCAUUCAAUUCAAUAUGAGAGUGCAUUUGUUUCGGAAAAUGAUUUUUGGAAAAUAACUUAAUUUUUUAGAAAAAUUAAUUUUUAUAGUAUUUAGAUGAUCCUAUGCAAAAUAUUUUCUAUUGUUUGAUAAAUUUUCGUGAAAAUUAUUUUGAGUGAGAGAAACACACAUUUUUAUCUUUUGAUUUUUUAUUGAAUUUAUGUUAUUUCUAUAAAUUAUAUUUUGCUAUGUUUUUUAUAUAUGUGCCAAUGUUUUAAAUUUUUAAAAUACAUCAAAUUAAAUUUAGGGUAAAUUACACCAUUAGUUACUAAAUUAUGGGUAAUUUUCCGUUCUGGUCACUUAACUAAAAAAUCACAAUUCAGUCACUAAAGUUUUCGAAAUUAUUUUUUUGGGUCACCCAACUAUUAAAUGGCACUUUUUUAAUAGGCAUAAUAACAAUUUUAGUCCCCACUUUUUUUUUGUCAAUUUGAUAUUGAAGCUAUAUAAAAAUAUAAAAGAACUCAAAAUUAUUUAAAAAUAGAAAAUUCUAUAUAAAAUUUCUAGAAAAAUAAAAUCUUGAAAAUGUUGUUGAAGAACUAAUAUGUAUGUAUGGGAAAUAAAGAAAAUUAUCAUUCAAUAAUAAAAAAUUAAAACAAAACAAAAAGAUUAAAUCAUUAUGUGCUUCUUUCGUGUUUCUCGAAAUCAAAUUAAUAAUAUUGUAACACCGAUUCCGGUAGUUGAUAUGGACAAGAGACAUUAUUAGAACAAUUUUGGUACAAAAAUCAGUAAUUUAUGUAAUUUAAUAAAUUAAGAAAUUUACUUAUUUGAAUUAAGUGGUAAUAAAAAUAACUAAUAUUUUAUUUCAAUAAAGAAAAUAUUGAAAAAUUAAAAUUUUAUCAACUAUAAUUUAUUUGGACUUUAAUAUUAAUGGUAAUAUAUUUUAUUAAUAGUUUAUUUUAAUUAAAAAUACAAGAUUGAAUAAAUAAUUUUAGGGUAAACUACAAGAAUAGACACCCAAUUAUUUUUUUUUCUAGCAUAAGAGUAAUUAACUCUAGGUUAAUUAAAAAACUCCUAUUAUUAGAUCAAUUCGUUCUAUUAAUUCUCUUAUUAGAUUUGUCUUUAAUUCGGUAGACUUAUAUCGUCCUAUUUCUAGGAUUGCAUGCAACUUCAUUCAAUUAUGCAAUAUGUAAUCACAAGAAUGGCUUCUUCAACCUUAAACUUAUGCACAUCAAACAUGGAACAACACCCUAGAAUUUAAACCCAAGAACAAUUAAGUCUUCAUAAUUGAAAACAAAGAAAUUAAGAUUUUAUUGAAUAAAAGAUAGAAAUCAAACAAUAGAAUUCAUCCUAAGAUUCAUCUUCCUUAGGUAAUAAGAGAAUUAGUUCAUACUUCCAAGAAUAAACACCAAAAAGUAUAAUAUAACCACUAAAAUAAAAAGAAAUCCAUGAUAACUCCAUUGGAAAUUAGUUGGACUCUUGAAUAUUGUUGGAGAAUUGCUUAGAAAUUGACUUCAAUAGUGUUAUUUGAGUAAUUUUCGUGCUAUUCUAUGACGGAUGCUUUCCUCCUCCUUUAUUUCCUUAUUUAUACCUUCUUAAAGUGCCAAAAUUUAAAAAUCGUCACUUCUAGUUAGCACACAGGGUUCCGGAAAUCUACACGUCCUGAACACAUGCCCGUGUGAAUCACAUGGUCGUAUGGGUAGUUCGUGUGAAAAUUUAUCGCAUGUGUGCAACUUCUGAAAUGCUCCAAUGUUGAAAUUUUCACCCGGUUUUCACUCCUAUUGCUCUCAAGUACCCUAUUAAGCAUUAAAACAUGCAUAUAAAAGAUUAGGAGUAUAUAAUUCACAAUUAAUAUCACAUAAUCACCCAAAAAUACAUUAAGAAUGAGGCUAAAACAUGUUACUAUUGACACUUAUCAUAUAUAUAUAUAUAAAAUGACCUUAAGCUUUUCCUCCAAAUAUAUUUGGGUUUGCCAUCAACUCACGUAAAAAAGUUAGGUCAAAGGUUAGCUUUCCCCAUUAAAAUAAACAAUGCAACGCAAUAAAUCACAAACUUAAAAUCAACCAAGAUGGAAGUUUAAUAUUCCUAAAAUUUAUAAUUAAAUCUUGGUUCAAAUUUGCAUCUAACAACAAUGGGAGAAAAGAAACUUGUAACACCCCAAACUCGGCCUAGACGUUAUGGCUGAAUCCGGAGAAGUUACAAAGAAUGGGUUUUGAAAACGGAGUCGCUACGUUAAAUCAUUUCAGCUUAUUAACUCAUAUUCUUUUAUAUCCAUUGUCAAACACGCCAAUUAAUUGAUUUAUUUGCCAAAACAUAUUUUACAUCGGAAGUCUAAUAAAACUGUUAUAUUUUGGAAAUCCAAUUCGUAUUUUUAGAAAAAUCUUUUUGUUUGAGUAAAAUAGUCAUUUGUAUAAACAUUUUGUUAAACCAUGCAAAUAAACAAGCAAACAAACCAAAACCAAAAGUUUAAAAACUGUCCAAUAAAUUACAAACUCACAAUUAAGUCUGAAAUUUAAAUAAAAAUCAUAAUUACUUAGGAUAAUCAGUUCUCGCACGAAUGGUCACCGCUGAGUCUCUAUUGCAUCAAUCCACCUAAGUUUGUGGAUUACCUGUACAGAACAAACAACAUAUGUGAGUUUCGUAAACUCAGUGUGUAACCCAACAGAAAUAGGCAGGCAAAAUAUUCAGAAAUCUCAUGCUAAGUCAAAUACAAAUACAGACUUAUGUCCAUUUUAGAUACAGAUACAGAUAUGCAGAGUCCUACCCCUAUCCUUUACACACCAACUCCGUCCAUCCCAACACACCAUGUGGGGUUAAAAACACCCACCCAUCCCUACACACCAUAUCGUGUCAUUACGACACAUAUCAGAUAAUAUGCAGCCAUGCUGCCAUAAUAUAGGCGUUGAUCGCUAUAUAGAACACUUCCUCCACAUAUACAAAUCCCACCCUAAAAAUAGUUACAGAAAUCAUAUACAGAAAUUACAGAUAUAACAUGCUUAUCAUGCUUGUGUACAAAUUUCAGAUGUACAUAUAUCAGAAUAGUCAGACAUGCAUAAAAGUGUCAUUCUCAGAGCAUACUAUCAGAAUAUGAAAUUGCAUAAUCUAGGGUUUGAUUAGCCCUUACCGACCCUAUGGUAGGCCCACAGUCGAUCGAAACGACCCGUGCAACCCUUGGGAAAUUUUCAAAAUUUAGGCUCACAUGCCUGUGUGGAAUGCCCGUGUAGGCCCAAACGCCCAAAUUGGUCUUGUCCAUGUGGCCCACACGGCCACACUCACACCACCACACGGUCAUGCCUUGCGGACGACCAAGCCUUCGUCGAUCACACGGCUGUGUCUCGCACACGGCCAACCACACGGGCGACCACACGCCCGUGUGGCAUCAACAGAACAGUCGAGCCUUUCGAAACCGCCAACACACUCGUUCACUCGCACAAAUUAGACUGUUGGAGUGGAACUACUGCUUCACCUUCGUCUCCUAAGCAACAAAUUUACAAAACUUCAACCUCAGAAAACAAAAGCUAAAUGAAUACAACCAACCCCACUUACCGGUUUCACGAAGACCAAAGAUUCAAAACGCCCAAGAGCAAGGUUUAAUGACAGAAUCAGAAGGCGGAGAAGGGGGAGUUUACUACUAUUUUGCCAGAAAGUAGAAGAAGAAAAGGAGAAGAAAAUCAAAGGGAAUUUCUAUUUGGGAAAAAAAAGGUUAGAAACAACGGAUUUUGAGAAAAGAAUAAAAAAUAAAAAUAAAAUAAUUUUAAUAUAAUUUGAAACCUCAAAUCCUACUAAAUUUCACCCACUAACCACAUACAACUACCUUGGAAUUUUGGCUCUACCGAAACUCUUCCAAACAACCGAGCAAAAAUUAACACCCUUGCUAAAGCAAGACCUCCAACACCCAAAUCCCUUACCACUCAAACCAGUAGGCUCAUUCCGAUAUAAAUUAACAAACAAUAUUAUAUAAACCACUUGGACCAAAAAUAACAAAAUUAUCAACAGUGAGACUUGAACCCAAGACGUCAUAUACACACACCUAAAAUACUUAACUACUGAAGCAAAUACACACUUAUAUUAGAUACUUACAGAAACAUAAAUAAAUUUAUCAUGGCGUUAGAAAACUCCCCAUUUGCAAUCGAAGUAACUAUAAGAUUCCCCUGAUUGUAUAACUUUUAUAAAAUAAAAACAUUUUAAACCUUGAUAAACAAGCUGAAAUAACAAAGCAGAAAAAGAACACCAAAAAUCUAAAUUAUAUCUAAAAAGAAAGUCAACUCAGUUUUUCAACUAACUUAAAAUUGAUAUUAAGGAAAGAGAGCAUCUGGUCAAAGGUAAACUGUAGAAGGAAAAGAGAUGUAAAUUGUUAUCUUGAUAGAAUAUAUAAACAUAUUAAAAUUUUGAUAACUAAAUGAAAAAUUUUGUGAAUAUUUGUUGAAUUUUUUAGAUUAAAGAUGAAAUUGAUAGGAUGUGUAAACAUUGAGAGGUUAAAAUAACAAAUUUUGAGAUAUAAAUUUAUUGAAUAUUUUUAGAUUUAAGAUUAAAUUGAUAGAAUGUAUAAAUGAUGAAAGGCUAAAUUUGUUACUAGGUGAAUAUAAAAAACAUUUGUUAAACUUCGGUUACUGAGUUAAAGUUGAGUUACGGUCAAAUAACUUGUGAGUGACUAAAAUGUUUAAUUUUUAAAAGUUGAGUGAUUGAAUUGAAAAAAAAUAAUAGUUGGGUGACCAAAAUAAAACUAAGUGUAUAGUUAGUUGACUAUUCUUAUAAUUUAACCACAUUUUUAAAAAAAAAAUUAGGGAAAAAUGUAUAAUAGUUUUAGAACUGGAUCCAUUCGUAGAGGUGCAAAACUAAAAUAAUUUUCAACCAUUGCAUAAUUUUUUAUAUAAUUAAUGUUUUAACAAUCCAACCAUUAUAUUUUAUUUUCCAUUUAUAUAGAUCAUACAUAUUAAAUUUUACAUAAAUUAGAAAUUUCAACCUAAUAUAUGUUAAUAUGAACAAUAUUUUACAAUGAGCUGUGAUAUGAUUGCUCACUUUAUCUCUCAACCAUGUAAUUGGGGGUUUGAUCCCCACUCAUUGGAAUUAAACAUAUUUUAUGGCUAACCAUUUAUUUUUUGGAAGAGCACUCAUGACAAGGAGAUUAAUUACUACUACUGGUAGAUAUUUUAUAUCGAUAUGAUAAAGAUAUCGAAUUGAUUCAAAAUUAUACACAAAUAUAAAUAUCUUGAUAAAUUCAAUUGUUGAAUUGUUAAAACAUUAAUCGUAUAAUAAAAUAUUAAUUGUGAAAGUAUUUAAAAAUACUGGUGUAAGUCCAACCCUUUCCUAUUUACAUAGAUUAUUACAUUAAAUUAAAUACUUACAUUUUAUUAUGAAAUAUUGUAAUAUUUUAGUUUCAAAUAAUUAUCGUGUAUGCUGGAAAAAAUUAGAACAGAAAAAAGGUGUAUAUAUUUAUCAACUAUUUGAUAUGCCAAUGCAUUCUUAAUAUCUGGACUUGAUGCAGGGACGUCAUGUUGGUGGUGAAGCCAGUAACGAGAUCAAUUUUAGCUAAAGUGGUUAAAGGCGCCAUUGUCAGACCACUUACCAGGACUCUGAAUUACCACAUAAAUUUCGAUAAAUAUGUGAAAGAAUUCGAAGACGCUGAACGUAUUUUGGUAGACCAACUGAAAGAUAUUGAAGCUCAAAAGCAAGAACAGCUUCGUUAUGUGGGAAGAAUGUUAGCGCCUGAAGUUGAAGUUUGGCUAAAACGUGCACGGAUGGUUCUUAAUGACGCCCAAUAUGUUACAGAUGAGAUCAGGAAAGGGAAAUAUAUGUUGCGUUCUAUUGUAGGGAAGCAUGUUGUAAGACUAACUCUGGAAAUGAAGGAUUUGUGUGAACAUGGUUCGUUUGAGAGGAUGUCGUCUUAUGCUGCUUCCUCUGCAAUGACUUCAUUGCCAACAACUGAUAUUGUAGGUAUUUCUCGUGAAGAGGAAAUUUGCAAUUAUUUGAUGAAGCAGGAAGUUAGAAUGCUUGGAGUGUGGGGGAUGCCUGGACUCGGGAAAACCACCAUAAUGAAGCAUAUUUACAAUAAAUUGAUGGAAGGCAAUAAAUUUAGUAAAAUGAUUUGGAUAACGGUAUCCGAAGGUGCUGAUAUCCGUAGGCUACAGAACGACAUUGCACGCAUAUUAAGUAUUGACUUGUCAGAUGAUGAGGAUACAAAUGUACGUGCAAAAAAGCUAUAUGAAGAGCUGAUGAAAACAGGGAGCUACCUAUUAAUACUUGAUGAUGUAUGCCAGAGGAUUUCUCUUGAGGAUGUUGGAAUCCCUAAGCCAUCUGCAGAUAAUGGACGCAAGAUAGUAGUGACAACGCGUGACAGAAAGGUUAUUCAAAAGAUGAGUUGUAAGGCAGUCGAAGUGCGGUUUCUUUCUGAUGAUGAGUCCUUCCAGUUACUCUUAAGCAAAGUUGGAGAAGAUGUGUUGGCUGAUCCAACCAUAAAACCAAUUAUGAAAGCUAUACUUAAGGAAUGCGGUGGUCUUCCGCUCAAAAUUGUCACAGUAGCUAGUUCAUUGAAAGGAGUACUUGAUCGUGAUCGUUGGGUGCAUGCAUUAGACCAGUUGAAAAGAAGCAGAGAUUUACUGAAAACCAGAUAUGAUGAUCUAGCAGGAACAGAUAAAGAUUGUUUCUUACACAGUGCACUAUAUCCUGCAGACUAUGCAAUCCCAAAAGAGGAUAUUAUUGAAUAUUGGAUAGAAGAAGGACUUGUAGAUGAAAUGGAGAGCAGAGAAGAAAGGAAGAGUAAGGGCCAUGCUUGUUUGCAAAGGAUUUUAGACAGUAGCUUGCUACUAGGGGCCGAUGGCAAGAACAUUGUAAUGACGAGUAAAGCCGGGAGAGAUAUGGCACUAUCUUUGAUAGCAAAAGAGUUUCCGUGUUUUGUGAAAGCUGGUAUGAAAUUGAAGGAGCUACCAAAUGAACUAGAAGAGGCUCUAGAUAUAAAGAAGGUUUCCUUGAUGGAGAAUUUCAUAUCUAAAAUACCUCCAGAAAUUUCUCCAAAGAGUAAAAAGCUCACGACCUUGUUAUUGUCAGGUAAUGCCUUGGAAGAAAUCCCUGAAUCUUUCUUCACCCAUAUGCAAGCACUCAAGUAUCUUGACCUUUCUAGAAAUCCAUUCAAAAUUUUGCCAAAUUCCAUCUCAAAUUUGGAGAAUCUGACUGCAUUACUUCUUUCGGAAUGCAAAAAUUUAGAGGAGGUUCCAUCUUUAUCAAAACUUCUAGCUUUAAAGAAGUUGAACCUUGAAAAAACAAGAAUCAAAGAGGUUCCUCAAGGUAUGGGAUUCUUGGUAGAUCUAAGGUAUCUCAAUCUUAGAUUCAUCUCGUGUUUAGAAGAGAUCCCGCAAGGUCUUUUGCCGAAACUCCAACGUCUUCAACACUUGGCAAUACAUCCAACACUGUCAAGAGCAAAGGAGAUAAUGGAAUUGAACAAGUUGGAAAAUUUUGAAGGUAGGUUUGCUGAUCUGCAAGACCUAAGCAAAUAUGUUGACUUUCUUCGGAAACAAAGUCAAAGGACCAUCAAGUACUUCAUUUUGGUGGGCAAGACUGUUGAGUAUAAGUUACGUUCUUGUACCAACUCUGUCAUAGUAAAAGAUUGUAACACCGAAGGCAGUCAUGUGCUUCCUUGGGAUGUCGAGGAAUUCGGAAUUGAGAAGUGCAAUAACUUGAGCAGCUUAAAUGGAGUUUCUGGACUGCAAGAGGCAACCCUUUUGAAAAAAUGCAGAAUUGAGGAAUGUGAAAGACUGGAGUCUGUUUUUUCCUCUAGCUGUCCACCACUUAAAAGCCUCGAGUCCCUAGUUCUUCGGCAUUUGAAGAAUCUGAAUGUCCUAGUUGCAUAUCCAGAACCAUUCCUCCAUGCCUUUUCCUCUCUUAAAGUACUUUUCUUAGUUAAAUGUCCGAAAAUAAAGAUUCUGUUCUCAACUAAGCUGCGGCUGCUACAACAUCUCAUCAACUUGGAACAAGUCAUUAUUUGGGGUUGUGAUCAAAUGGAGCAAAUAAUAGAAGAAGAAGAAGAAGAAGAAAUCCUUAGCGAUGCCACUGAAUUUACCUUUCCAAAAUUAAAGGAACUGGGAUUAUGGCAUCUACCAGAAUUGAAGAGCAUUUGCAGCACCAAAGGAGUAAUGCUUUGUAAAUCUCUCCAAAAGCUAGAGAUAUGGAAUUGUCCCAAGUUAAAGAGGAUUCCUCUGAAGCUGGAUAUUUCCUUUGAGAAUGGCAAAGUAUUUCACCAUCCUCCUCUAAAAGACAUCAAGAUGAAAUCAAAUGAAUGGAAAUCCAUCGAGUGGGACCAUCCCGAUGCUAAAAAAGCCCUUUUACCAUUAGUGAGGAUCAUGUAGCAGUAUCUUAUAGUGGAGUCAAUGAUCCAAGGCAAGCCCUGUCAUCUCCCUUACAAUUUAAAUGGUUCCAACUUAAUUUCUUCUAUUUAUACUUUAACAUUUAUGUUGUUUUCAGCUUUUCAUAACUCUCUACAUCACUGGCAUCAGAAGCAAACUCCAGGCCGAGUGGAGAAACAGAACUCUUGAACCAAAAAGAAAUAAAGUUGCAUGGCUUGAACCAUGACUAUGGAUUGCAUCGAUCAUCUUUCUGUAUUGUAAUUUAUUUUUAUCAUCCCGACUUUAGUCUUUAAUGCUAGUUUGUAUUUGUUUGGAACCUUUUUUUUCUUUUUCUUUUUUUUUUUGUGAAGCUCUAUUCGUUCCCUGGAAAAGGGUCUUUAUGUUGUAGCAUCUGAACAAGAAAUUAUGCUUCUGUUUGUACAAGUUCAGUUGAAGUUGGUACGGUAACUUUAUACCAGAACCAUUGUCUUCAAUUUUCGUAUACCAGUUGAUUUCCUUCGCAGAAAGUAAUAUGACUUUCUGAAUGUUCUUAUAUUUUUGUUAUUUGGUAUAAUGAUAUAUUUUACUCUUCAAUUUUAUAAAAAAUAUCAUUUUAGUUAUUAAUUUAAUUUUUCCUUUAUUUUAAUCUUUGAAUUUGUGUUUUUUUAAUCAAAUCACUCUAAAUUAGAUGAAAAAGUUAAAUUACCAUCCUUCAGUAUCCAUGAAAAUUACUGUCUUGUUGGGCCUCCUUCACCAGCGAAAAUCAUAAGAAUGGACCAAAAAUUACGGUUUAGAUAGCCAUGCACUAUGCAUUAUAAAUUGCUUUCUUCUUCUUCUUCUUCUACCAAAUGCUAUCAUGGCCUUAUAUGCAUGCUUGAUAUUUUGAGUAAACCAUGUAUACCUGCCUAACACUUUCUCACCUUGACAUUGACAUGCAUUAUCUUGCAUGCGUUUCAUGUGAUUACGUGUUCUUUUUAAUGCAAUUUUAAAUUUCUUGCAUUAUGAAAUUCAAAAUAUUUUCCACGUCUUUUAUUUAUCCAUGACUAAAGAUUAUAAGUUCUGAUCAUAUUUGUUAUUUUUAAGAUAAUGCCUAGAGCUAUCCAUAGUCUAUUCUCAACCCAUAAAUAGGAGGAUAAUACGCUUUAGUGCACUCAAACUCACGUUCUCCUGUAUUGACAACAAUGCUCAUGCCAAUCAAGUUAAGACUCAAUCAACUUCAAUAGGUGUCUUUUUUGAAUAAUCACAUUUCUUAAAUAAAUAUAGUUAUUCAAGAGAUACAACUAUUCAAGUAAUAUGUCAUAAAUAAAUAUAACUAUUCAAGUGAUAUUACUUGAAUAGUUAUAAUUCUUUGUUAAAAAAUCAAGUGAUAUAACUCUUCAUAUUUAACAAACAUAAUAACUAUUCAAGUGAUAUUGCUUGAAUAGUUAUAAUUCUUUGUUAAAAAAUCAAGUGAUAUAACUAUUCAUAUUUAACAAACAUAACUCAUUAUUAGAUCUGAUCAUGGGCCAAGCCAUCUACCCAUGCCCAAUAGCUCGCCUAAAAAGUGAGAGAGUUAAGGCAAAUAUAUAGGCUUAAAAAAUGGAUUUAAACAAAAAAAAGGCUUGUUUAGAAAAUAGGCAAGCCUUAGGCAAUAUUUUCUUUGCCCGAGCCUAGCCUGAAUUUGACAAAAAAUUUGUUGUUAUUUGCUUUUGUUUACUGUUGUUAUGUUGUUAUUUUGCUACCAUUCACUAUUAUAUUGCUACUAUUUUAUUGUUAUUGUUUGGAUAUUUUAUUACUCUUAUUUUAUUAUUAUUUUUGUUAUUAUUUUAGAGGUAUUUGUUUGUUAAGUUGCAGCCAUGUUAGUUUUAUUUUUUAUAUGUAUUUUCAAUUUGUUGAAAAACAUUUAUUUUAAUGUUUUUUACCUAUUUGAUGUAUUAUAUUUUUUAAACUUAUUUUUAUAUAAAAAAAAUAAUGCAAGCGGGUUGAGCUAGGCUUAGGUUUAGUAUUUUUAUCCAGAUUGGGCUUGAGCAAAAAUUUAAACUCAUUUUUUCGGGUCAGACCAAGCUCGGGUCUAAAAACUGGGCUUGCUUUUUUGUAUUGACCCGGUCUAGCCCAUGAUCAGCUUUACUCAUUAUUUAAGAAUAGUCAUAACUCUAUUAAGAACUAAAAAUUAUAACCUUCAAUUACAUACAAUUUUUCGUUUAUAGUUAUUGAAACAUCAUAAAUAUUUGGAAAUGUUCCAAUAAUAGGACAAAAGAUUCAUCCUAGAUGACAUGGUAUCAUGAUCCAGAGUAAAUUUACUUACUAACGCGAGAUGGAGGCUAACUUUCAAAACCUCAAAAGCUUAAGCUUUGUCUUAAGAGUUGACGUUACCGAAUUGGUUCUCCAAGGCAAAUUCUUUCAAACUCAAGGUGAUAAUCUAGGUUUGAGCAACUCAUGCGUUUUCAAGUUCAACUUCAACAAUCAAACUGAACCUGAUGACAGAUUUAAGCAACCUGCGUACCCUCAUUCUGUUCUAAAAGUAUCUAUUUGUUCAAAUCCAAUCUCAAUUUAACUCUUUACAACAGCUAUUUCCAGGCUAUAUUAAUGACAUAAUUCUCAGAGCGAUGGAAGUCAAAAUUCUAAAAAUACAAAGCAACCAACUAAAUUAGUAGAUUUGUUGAUGGUCAAACUAUCAAAUUAAAUCGAAUAUUUGUUCGAAAUAUGAUACCUGGAAUGUGGGCUUAGGGAAAAAACUCAAAAUCCUAUCAUAUAUCCAUUUCAGCCUUUGCCUUCAUUUCCACUUUCAAUCAUUUUCAUGUCCACCUUCAACCAUCAGCCAUCACUCACCAUUGCUUAAGCUAUUUUGCAGUUUAGACCAUAAAUUACUGAGUUGAAAACUGUAGUGUCGUUCUGCAGCCCUUUUUGUUUCAGGCUGAAAACUGUAGUGUCGUUCUGCAGCCUUUUUUGUUCCAGGCAGGGCAGGCUGGGCUCAAAAUUUGGGUCGACCUUAAAUAAAACAUUUAAACCCGUAUUUCAUAUUACGCAAGUGUUAAGUUUAGUUCCCAUGCAAAGGUGGCCAUGCACGACAUGCAAAGGUGGUCAUGCUUCUGGAAUCGCAGCAGGCAGUGGUGCCAUGGUGUGCAGCAAGCUGAAGCUAUCCAUUUAGUUUCCUUAAUUGAAUGUUUUGUAUUUAGUUAGGAUCAAACUUAGUUGGUAGCUGCAUUUUGAUGUAAUUAGGUGCUGAAUGACAAGUUUAGGUAGAAGCUUUUUGUUUUUCAAUCAAGUUUACCAAGUUACUAGGCAAUUUAGUGGUGUUAGGUAUGUUAUUAGGUGAUUACUUGUUUGUUUUACUUGUUGACUGAUAUAUGUAAUGGCUUAAUGCCUUGUUGGCUUGCUUAAUGAAAGAUAUCAGCUCAUUUUCAUUCAAUCUUUUUCUCUCUUUUUCUGUUUUUCACUUGCUAGCUUCAUCUUUCUGUUUUCUGCUUCUGAGUUUGCUUCUUCACCAAGCCUCGAGGCUUACUACUCAAGCAAGACUAGAAACAGCUUGCUGCUGCCUCUUGCACCAACAAUUGGUAUCGAGAGCUCUUGUCUUAGUGGACCUGUUGCUUCAAAACAAAGAACUUGAUGGCUUCUUCAGGAUUUUCACCAGCAGCCCCACCAGUCUUCAAUGGAGAAGGCUUUCACAUAUGGCUGGUCAAGAUGAAGACUUACCUACAGGCCUUCGAUCUGUGGGAAGUUGUCAACACAGAUACUGAGCCAGCACCACUGAGGGCUAAUCCCACAGUAGCUCAGAUUAGGCAACAUGCUGAUGAGAGGACCAAAAGGCACAAAGCCAUGUCCUGCAUCCAGAACUGUGUGUCAGAUGUCAUCUUCACCAGAAUUAUGGCCUGUGAGACUCCAAAACAGGCCUGGGAUAAGCUCAAAGAGGAGUUUCAAGGCACUGAGAGAACAAGGCAACAGCAGCUGUUAAACUUGAGAAGGGAUUUCGAGAAUUUGAAGAUGAAGGAAGAAGAAACAGUGAAGCAGUACUCAGAUAGAAUUAUGGCAGUGGUUAACAGCAUAAGGCUCCUAGGUGAGCACUUUGAUGAGGCAAGAAUUGUGGAGAAAGUCCUCUCCACUUUGCCUGAGAGAUAUGAGGCCAAGAUAUCCUCUCUAGAGGACUCAAGAGACCUUGCUAGCAUCUCUUUGACUGAGCUAAUCAACACCUUUUAUGCUCAGGAACAAAGAAGAGCUAGCAGAGCUGAAGAUCACCAAGAAGGUGCAUUUCAAGCCAAGGCCAGAGAAACCUCGAGCACUAAUGCUCAAAGAGGCAAAAGGCCUUGGAAAAACAGGCCUAAGCCUGAUGCUGCAAGGAGCAAUGACCAGCCCUGCAGAUAUUGCAAGAAGCCUGGCCAUCCAUAAGACAGAUGCUGGUUUAGGCCAGAUGCAGUAUGCCAACACUGCAAGAAGAAGGGCCAUGUUGAAAGGGUCUGCAAAAACAGAAGUAAGCCAAGGCAGAAUCAAUUUCAGCAGUCAAAGGUUGAAGCUCGAGUAGCUGAGGACAGUAGUGACCAAGAAGAACAGGUCUUUGCUGUUUCCUGUGUAGCUUCUGAGAAGAAAUGCUCUAAAGGCUGGUUGCUGGACAGUGGUUGCACUAACCACAUGUCACCAGAUGCCUCCUUGUUUAAAACCUUGGACAAAAGUUAUAAAACCAAGGUCAAGGUUGGAAAUGGUCAGUUUAUAAGGGCUGAAGGAAGAGGAGAAGUGCUGAUAUGUACUCCCACAGGCAACAAGAUCAUUCCAAAUGUGCUGUUGGUACCACAGAUUGACAGAAACCUUCUCAGCAUAGCUCAACUGCUCGAGAAAGGUUAUUCUGUUGUGUUCAAGGAUAAACAAUGCCAUAUUACUGAUCCAAGUGGAUCAAGCCUUAUGACAGUCACAAUGACUGAUAAAUGCUUUGAGGUUCACUGGGCAAAUGACUCAAACUCAGCAUACACAGCCUCUGUUGAAGACUCCAAGCUUUGGCAUCAAAGGCUUGGACAUGCCAACUUCAGAUCAAUGGCUCGAUUGGCCAAAGAGGGCUUGGCAGAGAACUUCAUCAGCUCAGUGGAGCAUGAUGAUGUGUGUGAAGUUUGCCAAAUGGGGAAACAGGCAAGACUGCCAUUUCCUACAAAUUCAGCUUGGAGAGCUACUGAAAGACUGCAGCUGGUGCACUCUGAUGUAUGUGGCCCGAUGAGGACUGAAUCACUCAGCAAAAAUAGGUAUUUCAUCCUCUUUAUUGAUGACCUUACAAGGUUUUGCUGGAUUUUCUUUUUAAAACACAAGUCUGAGGUAGCUCAAGUGUUUGUGAAGUUUAAAAAUGCUGUAGAAACAGAAACAGGUUGCAAGCUGAAAUCGAUAAGGACUGAUAAUGGCACUGAGUACACUUCAGCUCAGUUUCAAGCCAUUUGCAAUGAUGCUGGUAUCAAACAUCAGCUUACAAAUGUCUACACACCUCAGCAGAAUGGGGUAGCUGAAAGAAAGAAUAGAAGUCUGAUGGAUAUGGCCAGAUGUCUGCUGUUUGAGAAGAAACUGCCCAAGACCAUGUGGGCUGAGGCAGUAAACACUGCUGUUUACCUUCAGAACAGGCUUCCUACUAAAGCUCUUGCAUCCGAGACACCUUUCGAGGCUUGGUCUGGUUUCAAGCCUUCCUUAGCACAUCUGAAGGUGUUUGGUUGCCUGUGUUAUGCACAAAUACCAGCAGCAAAGAGAGACAAGCUCUCUAAAAGGGCUCAACCAGGUGUUCUAGUAGGCUACAGCUCAGUCAAGAAGGGCUACAGGGUUCUGGAUCCCUUGAUAAACAAAGUCCAGGUGAGUAGAGAUGUCAUCUUUGAUGAAAAAGCCUGCUGGAAUUGGGAGAAAAAUGAGCCAGAAGCAGUUUCAGAAGACCUAGUGCCUAACCAAGCUGAACUUGAGCAGCUAGGACCUGAAAUGGAUGUUGAUGAUGUGCCUGUGAGAGGCACAAGGCCCCUAGAUGAUAUUUAUGAAAGGGCACAGGUUGCAAUAGCAGAACCUAGCAGUUUUGAAGAGGCUGAGGCAGAUGAAGGCUGGAAACGAGCUAUGAUCAAUGAAAUCAACAUGAUUGAAAAGAACCAGACAUGGGAGCUUGUUGAUAAACCUGCUGGAAAGAAGACCAUUGGAGUAAAAUGGGUCUAUCGAGUAAAACAGAAUGCAGAUGGCAGUCUGAACAAGCUAAAAGCCAGGCUUGUUGUCAAAGGAUUUAGCCAAAGGUAUGGUCUGGACUACCUGGAGACAUUUGCACCAGUAGCCAGGCUUGACACAGUUAGAAUGAUAGUUGCCUUGGCUGCUCAACAUCAGUGGACCAUUCAUCAGCUUGAUGUUAAGUCUGCAUUUCUCAAUGGCUUCCUGGAAGAAGAGAUCUACAUCGAGCAGCCUCAAGGAUUUGUGAUCACUGGCAAAGAACACAUGGUGUACAGACUGAAAAAGGCUUUAUAUGGCCUGAAACAGGCUCCUCGAGCCUGGUAUGCUCGAAUUGACUCUUACUUGCUCAGUUUGGAAUUUGAAAGAAGUCCCAGUGAACCAACACUGUAUGUGAAGAAGAACCAAGCUCAAACUCAGCUUAUUCUGUCACUCUAUGUUGAUGAUCUAUUGAUAACUGGAGGAGAUGGAAGAAUGCUGGAAGAUUUCAAAAGAAAAAUGAUGGAAAUGUUUGAAAUGUCUGAUUUAGGCAGAAUGAACUACUUCCUUGGAAUGGAAGUGAACCAAACAGAAAAGGGAAUCUUUCUUUGUCAGAGUUCUUUUACUAUGAAGAUCCUGGACAAGUUCUCUAUGAAGAACUGCAAGCCAACAAGCACACCAAUGGCUGUUGGAGUGAAGCUUUCGAGGCAAGGGAGUGGUGAACCAAUUUGUGAGACCAUGUACAAGAGUCUCAUUGGUAGUCUGUUGUAUUUGACUGCCACAAGGCCCGAUAUCAUGUUUGCUGUUAGUGUGCUAUCAAGAUACAUGAAUUGCUGCAAUGAUCAGCACUUUCGAGCAGCUAAAAGAGUGCUGAGAUACAUCAAAGGCACCAUUGGUCAUGGUGUAUUGUUCAAAAGGGCCAAAAACAUGAAGUUAAUAGGCUAUGUUGAUAGUGACUGGGCUGGAUCAAGUGAUGACAUGAGAAGCACAUCCGGAUAUGCAUUCAGUCUUGGCUCAGGCAUGUUUUGCUGGAGUUCUAAGAAACAAAGUCUGGUGGCACAGUCAACAGCAGAAGCUGAAUAUGUUGCUGCUGCAUCUGCUGUGAACCAAGCCAUAUGGCUUAGAAAAAUCUUGACUGAUUUAAACCAAAACCAAAAGGAGGCAACAAAGAUUUAUUGUGACAACAAAUCUGCUGUUGCAAUUGCAAAAAAUCCCAUUUUUCAUGGCAGAACCAAGCACUUCAAUAUUAAGUUGCAUGUUAUAAGGGAGAUGGAACAAGCUCAUGAAAUCGAGCUGAUUCAUUGCAAUUCAGAAGUGCAAAUUGCUGAUAUCUUCACAAAGGCACUCAAUGUGUCUAAAUUUGUUAAAUUCAAAAGGGAAUUAGGUGUUACUAGCAUGGAAACUAAGGAGGAGUGUUAAGUUUAGUUCCCAUGCAAAGGUGGCCAUGCACGACAUGCAAAGGUGGUCAUGCUUCUGGAAUCGCAGCAGGCAGUGGUGCCAUGGUGUGCAGCAAGCUGAAGCUAUCCAUUUAGUUUCCUUAAUUGAAUGUUUUGUAUUUAGUUAGGAUCAAACUUAGUUGGUAGCUGCAUUUUGAUGUAAUUAGGUGCUGAAUGACAAGUUUAGGUAGAAGCUUUUUGUUUUUCAAUCAAGUUUACCAAGUUACUAGGCAAUUUAGUGGUGUUAGGUAUGUUAUUAGGUGAUUACUUGUUUGUUUUACUUGUUGACUGAUAUAUGUAAUGGCUUAAUGCCUUGUUGGCUUGCUUAAUGAAAUAUAUCAGCUCAUUUUCAUUCAAUCUUUUUCUCUCUUUUUCUGUUUUUCACUUGCUAGCUUCAUCUUUCUGUUUUCUGCUUCUGAGUUUGCUUCUUCACCAAGCCUCGAGGCUUACUACUCAAGCAAGACUAGAAACAGCUUGCUGCUGCCUCUUGCACCAACAGCAAGCUUGAGCAAAAAUAACAGUUAGCAAUACCUUGUCUAAGCCUGGGCCAAAUCCGGCCUAUCAGAUAAAGCAUUCAGAUUGAACUACCGGUAACAUUAUGAGUUUAUGGUCCAUCCUUCAUGGGGAUGCAAAGAACAAAAUUAGCUAACUUUUGCCACUAUAGAAUGUUUGUUCAACUAAAUAAAAUAAAGAUUGUCCUAUAAUUCUAGUUCCAUUCAAGUUAAAACUUCUUCAGGCAAGAUAAUAGUAACAUAAUGCUAAAAGAACCAGCACAACCACCACAGCAGGAGCCGCCCAUAUCCAAUAGUUCGUCGACUUCUUACGUUUUAGUAUGGCUUUUGGGAGGGACUCGGUUCUUUUGGUUUGAUUCCUGUACCUACUAGUAUUCUCCUUUGGUACUUUACCCUUCAUUGAAACGGUAGCAGGAACAGGUGCAUCAGCAUUAACAUCGACCUUCUCGGGUUCUGAAUCUUGUGCCACAGCUUCAAUCAGUUCCUCGGGAUUCACAGCAUUUGUCGAUCCUGCCACCUUCUUCUUAGCUCUCUUUUCACGCUCCCGAAAAAGAUCGAAAGAGUUUCAGUUUCAACCCACAAACUAAUGACCGACAAAGCGAAACCAGAUAAGGAAGCGAAUGAUUUCCUUGAGCUUCUUUUCAGCUUCCAUUUGGGCUCUUCUAGCUGCUUUGGCUGCUGCUUUUUCAGCCAACUUCUUUUUUUCUUUCCAUGGCUUGCUUUGCUUUCGCUAUUUCCUCUUCUCUCUUCAAUUCUUUUGGUUUUGCUGCAUCGACUUCCUUGUUCUUUUGCAAUUUUCCGGAUACCAAAAUUUCCUCUGCUACAACACUAAUAUCUGACAAAGGAUUUGACUCCAUUGCUAUAGUCUCGGCAUCUUUUGGGGCCUUUUUGGCUAGUUUAGUAUCUGGUUGGGGACCUGAUUUGGCCUCUUCCUUUGGUUGUCUUACACUAGGUCUCAGGAUUGUUUCGGUUUCAGAAUCCACUGGUCUCUCGGGUGCAACCAGUGGUUUCUCAUCAGGAUUCCUUAUCCGACCAUCCCGACUCAAUAGCCGACUGUCCAGGGAUAGCAGAAUUCUUUUCUCAUAAUCAUCCCUGAAGGCUUUAUUGCCAUUCCAGAGAGCCAUAAACUUCUCAACCUAAAAGGAAUAUAAAAGAUAAGUGAGCGGCUAAUUAUAAAGCAAAUGAGAUACAUUGGAAGUAACAUUAACAAGCAGUCUGUUGAAAGCUGGACUGCAAUGCAACAUGGAGCCAGAAGCAUGCUACUGUCGAGACCCGCAGCUAUCGAGCUCAGCUCAUUUUACUUGGCGCGCACGAAUGGUUUUUGGACCAAAUGAAGCAACUGACAUUGCUGUUUUGUUUUGAUGUAAUUUAGUUUAGUUCAACUUUAACUAGUUUCCAAAGUUAGUUGGAUUAAGUUUGUGAUUGGAUUGAUGAUGUAAAAGCUGAUAUGUCAGCUUAUUUUGUAUUUGACUUAAGCUUGUAUUAGUUUAGUUUAAGUGGGAGCAGUUAUGUCAUUAGGUAACUGUCAAAUGAAUCAAAAUUUGUAACUCUUUUAUAUAUUCAAAUUUUGAAUGAAAAUUGGUAAUGUUCAGUUACAACUUUGCUGAGUAUUCAAUUUUGUUCAUUGCUUUGCUUUUUCUUUGCUUCGAUUCUUCUUGCUUCAGUCUUACAAAUACAGUUCUGUAACUCUGUUUGAUGUUUGCUGCUGCCUUUGUUCCAACACAGUCUCAACAAACCUCCACAAUUGAUAACUCCUCAAGAGCCUUUAUAUCUUUUUGUGCAGCAAGCAGUUUGGCGUUGUGUACAAUGGUACGGCUCUGGUAAAAGUGAGAAUUCUGAAAUUUUGAGAAAGAAAGUAAUUAAAACGAUUCAUUAGUAACAUCAUGCACAGUAAUAUCUUAAGUGCCACUAGUUAUUCAUGCAUAAAUGAAAAUGUUCCAACAUGGUCAAGUAUAUAUACGAAACAGAUAUCUUAAGAGUUGAAGCAAAGAAAAGGCGAUACCCCCUGAUCACUUUGUUUCCUCAGCUCCUGAAUGUUUUCAAAAGCUUUGUCCCUCUUCAGGGCCACAGCUUUCAGCUCAUUUUGUAAAGACUCGAUUUUAGUCUCAGUUUCAUCCAAUUUAUCUUUAAUUUGCUUUUUCUUGGACCAGAUUGCAUGCUGCUCCUUCCUUACUCCAUUCAAAUCGACACCCAUAAGCUACAAUAAACAAAUAUAGCAAAUUUUUUUAGUGUAACACAAUGGUGCUCUAUAUUCACAGAUAAAAAGUGGAGCAAACUCCGAUGGAUAAAUAGAAUUAUCUUACUUUAACUUGAUCUUGAAUGUCUUCUUUCUGGCCUAAUGAAUCUUGAAUCUUUGAUCUCAUUGCAGCAUUAGCAAUAACUUUCUCGCGGGUUCCCUCCAGGUGUUUGAUUUCUUUAAGGAUUCGCUUCUCCUCAGUCAACGAGAUGCUUUCAUGCUGAAUGCGAUAUUGCAAGCUAUGAAUCUGCAAUUCAUAAAUUCCAUUGAAGUGACUAAAGGAGAAAAAGAAAAGCAUUAACUGCGGCAGAAAACAAUGAAUAAAUCUAAAUGCAGUCAAAGUUUAUAGAAGUAUCAUACAAUAAAACCGAGCUCUUCCUCAGAUGCACAUAAACUAAGUCGAUUAUCAACAUCUUUAUUUUGCGAAGCUUGCCUAAAGCCUGCUGCAGUGGUUCUAUUUCCAUCUUUUUCUCAUCUAAAAUCGUCUUAAAUUGCUCAAAAUCAACAUUCAGCGCUCUCACUUGCGAAAGCAUAUCUGACCGUUCUGCCUGCAUUAGCAUAAAGAUAAUCACAAUUUAGCCAACUGACGGCGCCAUUAUUUUUUACUUCUUUCACAUUUUUUCUCAAAUUCUGAAGGCAAACACAACAAUAACGAAUCAUUAUACCAAUAGGAUAUCUGUAAGUGUCAUUACGUUUCAAGGACAUAAAUUUCAAACAUUCAAAUAAAUGCUUCCGGGUUUAAUUCCCCUACAUUCAUCAUAUUACAAUAAGCACACCGUAAUGACAUAAUGAUAGGGCUAAUAAUUAUCUUAAAAGUAUGACAAUUAAUGGCUACCAUGCUAUACAUCUAAUUGAAAUUAUUAACUUUUCACUCACCCUUUUUGCUUUUAAUUCGUCGGUAAGCUUAAACCGGCUUUAUUCCACUUUUGUAUCUCUUUAUCAGCCUGAUCAAGUUUGGCUUUUAUAGCCGGAUCUUCGUAGAAGCGAUACCUAAUAAAAUGAAAAGAGUGGAUCUGCUUAGGUGCAGGCCACUCGACGACCGCAUCCUUCGGAAAGUCGGGAUCGGAUGCACCAUUCUCUUCUCCUUAUCAGGUUCCUCACUAUGUGAAUCAACUUCAAUGGGGUUAUUAUAAACUGGAUCCUUAUCCAGUUUCCCAUUUUCAUGAAGAAAUGAUUUGUCUACUUCAGUCACUUUGUCAAUAGACAAUUGUGCCAGGUCUGAAUCAACAACCUCAACACCCAUUAAACACAAAAUUGAGCUACCUGAAAACAUCCAAAGACAAAGAUUAUGACACCAUAUAACAACAAAUAUAAAUAUAAAAUAUUAUUUCAUUCAUAAAAUAAAAAUUUUAAAACAGACACCUGAUAGACAUGUAUAAAACAAUAUAUAUUAAAUAAAUAAAUUUUAAAGAACAGUGUAGCCAAUACAAUUUGAAAUGGUGCAAUCUAAAGUCAUUCCUUUAGCUAGUUUUCUCAUUAAUCAGAUCAAAAGAGUGAACAAACAGUAGAAUUGCAAAAAUAUAUGUAUAUAUUCUAAAUAAAUGAUAAACUAUAAUGGAGAAAAACAAUAAUCAGAUAAAAUCUAGAUCAAAAACUAAAUUAUAAGAACAUUAGCUCAUGCUAUAACAAAAGAUCAAGCCUUUAUCCGUCAAGAAAAUUAACAUGCAAAAUCAUAUGACACCAAUGGAAAAGAAGGAAAAAAAACCCAGAAAUUUACAAACAUGAGAUAAAAUGAAAAACAAACAAAAAAAACCCAGAAAUAAAAACACGAGAAAUAAUUAUGUAGUUUGUAAGCCCAGAAAGUUUAUAUUUUUAAAAUGAAAACGUCAAAAUAGGAUGUUUUUGUUGUCGAGAGAGGCAUAGAUACAAAGGUUCUGAGAUUCUGGAUAAAAAAAAAAACUUCAACUUUUUUUAUUUUACAUUGGCAUAAUGCCCAAAUUUUAUAAAUUCUAGUUGUUAAACAUGUCAAGUAAUUUGAUUUGGUAUGGUGGUUAAGUGCCUUGAAUGUUUGCUUUAGGUCUUGGGUUUAAAUUUAUUUUGUUAAAUUUACCCUAUUUAUUAUGGUAUUAUGUUCAACUUGAGCCUUAGGGCUUCUCUUAUUUUCAAUGAUGAAUCUAAUGAUUCACUGGUAAGAUUUUAGCUUAUCACUAAUUAAAAUUUAUAAAAUCUGGUAAGUGGAAUUUAGAUUAACAUAAAAAUUUUUAUUUAUUUAUUUUAAUUUAAUUUUACUAAAUCUCUAUUUUCACUCAUUGUUUCAACCGUUCACACUCUCACCCCACUUUGUACGCUACUUUCUUUUGUUUCCCUAUUCUACCGUUUUAUCUUCUUUUCUCUUCCUUCUUUCUCCUCUUUGAUUGUUCCUGAAUAAUACCGUUUAUUUUAUGAGUUCUAUCACUUGGAUCGUAUUCUGUUUGCAGUGUAAGUUUCAUUUGGUUACUUUUGUUCUCUUCCCAUUAAUAGUUUAGUUUUAUUUCGUUUCUUGAACAAGCUAAGUUUGUGUUAGUAGUUUCUAUUCGUUAUCAUGAUUAGUAUUUUUGUGGUUCUCGAUUAGGCAAAAGGUGUGAGAAUCCUAACCCUCCAGCAAAGUAGUCACAAUUUUCAAUGUUGUUUUGGAGAACUAAGAAUUCGAAUUCUAUUUUAAGGGCUGAAAUUUUGAUUCAACGAUGUUAUUUUGGAUAAGUAUUGUUAGUUAAUCCGUGUGGUUUGAUGAACGUUUAUAGGAUUCGUGAGUUCCAAUUGAGCGGUUGAUCAAAUCAGCAAUAGGUGUAUGAAAUUAACCUGAUAACUCAAUCGAAACUCGAGAAAAAUAAGGGCCACACGAUUAUGUGGGUAUUUUGGCCAAUUUUAAGCCCCAAUUAGGGGCCGAUUAAAGGACUCAAAUAUUGGGUCCAUAGCCAUCAUAUAAGCCCAAAAAAAUGUAAGUUUUAGUAUGUAUAUAUACAUGGCUAAGCUUAGGAGGUAUGUUAAGUAGGUUGUAUAUAAAUCAUAUGCUAUGUUAUGUUCCUUAUAAAAAUAUGUGUAUGCAUGUCAUACGACUUAUGAUAUAUGUAUUUAUGAUAUUAUAAUUAUGAUUAUGCUUAUGUUUUGGGAUGGGUUAUGAUAUGAUGGAGGAAGUGUUAUAUGAUAGUUUUUAUCGCAAUUAUGGCGGCUAGACUAUAAAAUUUCUAUCUAACAGCUCAGUUGCAUAUUUAUGAGUGACAUACCGCCACAUAUUGGUGUGAUUGGAUGGAUGGACUCUUGUAGUCCUAAUUGGUGAUAUUGCUUGGACGGAGAUGGUAUAUAGCAACUGGGGGUAUGAUAUGAUAUGAUAUGAUAUAGGAUAUGGUAUAAUAAGAUAAGAUAUGAAACAUGCUAUAACAUGAUAUGAAAACUGAUAUGAUAUAAGAUAUGCUUCGAUAUGCUAUGAUACAUUCUGAUUUAUAUAUAUACUACAAUGUGUGGGUCAAAUCACAUACUGGAUGUUAAGCUCACACGUUUGUUUAUUUUGUUUCAGGUGAUCUUUAGACCUAGGAUUGGAAGAUGAAUCUAGAGCUCGUAUUUCACUCUUUCGGUUUAAGUAUGCAUUGGACUCUCUUUUGUUUAUAUGGACCUUUUGAGCGUUGGAUAUUUUAAAUUUAUUUGGGACGCUAAAAAUUAUUUUGGCAUUUAUUUUUCAAAAGUUUUAACUUUUACUGAUACUUAAAUCAAGACAACUAAAAAUAAACCAUAGUUAUAAGGUAAAUUUGCUAUAAUGCAUUCUGUUGCAAGUUUUAAGGUCAAUUUGCUAUAAUGUUGUCCACUGCAAGUUUUAUUGAAAUUUGCUAAGAUGUUUUAUCUCACAAACAGAGUAAGUAAAUUAAAUACAUUUUGGUAAAAUUAACAAAUAUGACUUUCUUCAAUGUACUCACGGGUUUUCAAAAAUGGUACAUCUUCAACGGGUUAAUCAAAUUUGUUUUCUUUUGAGUUAAAUAGUUUUUGCCAAAAUGAAGUAAUAUUGUUUUCACACGCAAUGUAAUCUUCACAAUCUGACUGUAACAUCUAGGACAUGUUUGGGAUGUUAGAAUUAGAGUUUUAAAAAAUAAUUAUUUUUUUCUUUUAGAAAUUAAUGUCAUUGUAGGGUUUGAUGGGUUAUCUUCAACUUUAACAGUUAGGUUUCCAAAGUCGGUGAUCCUAUUUAAAUAUAUAAAAAAAUCUUUAAAUUUAAAAGGUGUUCUUAUAAGGAAACAAAGAUGUUAUAUAUGAUUGUUGUCGUGACAUAUAAGCAUUUAAUUAAUAUUUUAAAGUUUUAAAAAAUAAUAAUAAAUAUAUUUUUAAUAAUUGUAAAUUUUAAAAAAUAAGUUAUAUAUUUUUAAAACCUUAAAGUUUUUUUAAAAGCUAAUGUAUCAUCCAUAACAAAUUAUACAUCAUUAACACAUAUUGGGGCAUGGGAAAGAUUUUAAAAAAUUGAACUCAAAGAGUGCUGGUUCAUCAAGGCAUGGCAAGUAAGUGAUAGCUGAAGCAAUUUGUGUCAUGAUUGCCUGUAUUUCUUUCAUAAUUUCUUUAUCACUCUGUACCCCUAGCACACGGCAAAAUCUCCUACAUUUCAAAUUAACUGAUGUGAAGUAAAACAUUAAAGCAGAAGAGGAUCAACUAUUACCCUCACUAUUUGUUUCAAUGCUAAAAUUCCACCUCUCCUCUCCAACACCUCAUUGGUAGCCUUAAUCAUCAUAACCAACACAACCCUAAACUUGAGUUGUCAUAUUCAAAUAUUUAUUUGCACCCUAAGCAAUAGUUUUAGAACAAUUAAAUUUGCAUAAAAUAACAAGUUUUUUACUUGACGUUAAGACUGAGUUAUUAUUCAUUGAUACUGCUUUAGAACACUUAUAGUAAUAGUUUUAGUCUUUCAACUUCAUCAAUUAAUCUUUUAAAGUUAUGUGUUACGAUUGCCGUCAUAGGCCAGCUAAAAUUUUAAUUACGGUAAGUGCAUUUAUUAAUUAAAGAUAUAGUUACUGUGAACAAAGAUAUCAUUCUCACGAAGACUAAAAGUACUAGUAAUUAUCGUUUUUCUAUUAUUUAACUGACAAAUUGGAGUGAUUGAUUAAAGCUAAAAUUAACUAAAGAACACAACAAAGAGUAUAUCAUAAUAAUAAACUAUUAACAACCAAUAAGUGAGACAAUACCUAGGAAAGAAUCCACCUAAACUUCAUCUGUCAUGAUCAAUCUAAAUCACACAAUUUCUUCACUUUGUAUCUUAAUACGGAGAAAUCCCUAAAUUAUGCUAAUAUCUCUCUUUAAGACUAAAAGCUACUGAUUCUAGAUUGAUUAAUUGAAAUUUCUUUCUAAUUAAAAUCCCUAUUAUUGCAUUAACCCGAUCUAUAGAUCCUUCUAUUAGAUUUGACUCUAAUCCAAUAGAUUUAUGUCAUCUUAUCUAAGAUUGCAUGCAAUUCCACUCAAUUAUACUACAUCUACUCUUAAACAAUGUCUAUUCCUCCUCUGAUUUAAGUACAUAAAACAUGGAUCAAUAGUCUAGAAAUAUUAAACCAUGAAUUAAGCACACAUAAUUUAGAACAAGAUUUAAGUAUUUGUUGCAUAAAAAUAAAAAAAAAUAAUAGAAUUCAUCCUAAGGUUUAUCUCCUUAGGUAUUUGGAAAAAAUUAGUUCAUAUAGUAAAUAAAAACAUCUCAAAGAUAGUAUAACCAUAAGGAAUAAAGAAAAUCAUAAUAAACUUUAAAGAAAUCACAAGGAGAACUUCAAUUUUGAUGGAAAUAUGCUUCAAAGUCGGCUUCAAUGGAAUUUUUUGAGUUUUUUUUCUUCAAUAUUAUAUGACAACUCACUUCCCUCUUCUUAUAUUUUUCAUACAUGUCUUAGAAUACAUGAAAAACUUAAAAAUUACGAUUUUCUGUGUGUCUAGAGUACAAUUUGUUCUUUCCACAUGGUUUGACACAUUGUUGUGUGGCAACUCGUAUGGCUCACUCGAUCGUGUGGAAUGACCUAGUCCGUGUGGCUCCUGAAGCUUGUUCUAAUUUUCUAAUUUUUGCUCUUUUUAUUCUCAAAAGCUCUCUUAAGUAUAGAAACAUGAAAUUAACGGAUUGGAAGCAUAAAAUUCACCAUUAGCAUUGAAUAAUCACCCAAAAACGCAUUAAGAUUGAGAUGAAAACAUGUUACUUUUAGAAUCUAUCAUGUAUAUAUAUAUACAUGUCUUCUUAGAUCAUUUGCUAUUAAAUAUAUAUAUAUUAGAGCAAACUCCGGUGAGGAAAAUUUUGAACAUACGAAUGAAACUCGCAUAGAAAAUGAAGCCGAUAUAUAUAUCAAACCAUAUUUUUAAAGUUAUACCCGCUCUCACCUAUAUUCGGUGUUCAAAAUAAUUUCAAGCAAAUUAACCUUGAGAAUACAAUGAAGCCUAUGACUAUUUACAGGAAUUUUUAUGUCUUUCAUAGAGACAUCUUUCAAUAGUUAUUUUUUUAAUAAUAACAUCUUUAAAAAGACAUAUAAUUAUUCAUCUAAUAUUAUAAUUAUUCAAAAAAAUAAUUCUUUUUCAAAAAUUAAGUGAUAUAAUUAUUGACCAAUGACCAAAAGAUUUAACUUUUGAUUAAUUACAACAAAUUUUUAUAAUUAAAUAUAUUGAAUUUACAAAUUAAUGGAAGAAAAUAAUUAAUGGAUUUUAAGAUUUAAGGUUAAUAGUUUGGAAUUUAUCCCAAGUCUAACUUAAAGUUCAACUCUUAUCUAAUUGCGUUGAAAAAAAAAAGCCAAAAGAAAAAUUCCUAUCUAAUUUCAGCAAUUUAAAAAAACUUUAAAUUAAACUUAAAUUUUUAAGAUUCUAAUAAUAUAAAAAAUUAAAUUGAAAUUUUUUAAAAGAAUAUAUUAAAUAAAUAAUUUAUAAUUAAAUAAGAAAUAAAUAUUUUUUACUCUUCUAAAAAAAUCUUUUCUUAUUUUCAGUCUUCCAAUUUUAAAAAAAAAAAUUAUCACUCUUCUUCCUCCUUGGGUUUAUCUACUACGGGUAGAAGAGGAAGGCGAAAUGGGAUAGAACCCAGAUCGUGUCGGGUUGGCAUAGGAAAUGGGUUGUAUGAAGAUCAAGGUUUUUAGGGUUUUUGCAUUGGAGAAGAAGAAAGGUGGAGAAAAAAAGACAAAGAAAAAAAAAAGGUGAAUUUUUUUUUUCUGAAAAACUGAAAUCAGAAAGGAAGGGCUUUGCUUUCUAGGAGAUAGUGUAUUUUAAUGGAAUAUUAUGUAUUUAUUAUAUUGCUCUUUAAUUGCUGGGCUGCAAUUGCAUGCAUGCAUGGACGAUGUAUGUGAGUUGUGUAUCUUUUUUGCUGGAUUUUCUAUAUUGUUUUCCUCCUCCAUCUAUCUUUUUUUUUUUCAUUUUAAUUGAUUCAAUGGGUUUUGUUGAUUCAAUUAGAAUCAUUUGAUUUUUAAUUUGCUGAUUCAAUGGGUUUAUUGAUUCAAUGAGUAGUAGUAUCACUUGAUUUAUUUGCUUAGUGAUUCUUCUCUCAUUUUGACCCAACAAAAAUUGUCUUCGUGGAUGAAAAAAAUGGGAUAACUUUGCUCGCAUUAGGGGUUGACAGGACGAAAUUUCAAGUUUAAAUGGGAGCCAAAACUAUUAUGGAAGAAUUAAAACUAAAAAAAAAAAAAACUUGAGAUUAUUUUGAAUUAUCAGAAGAACCAUGGGGAGAGAUUGAAAAGUAGAAAAGGAGUUUCAUGGAUGUGAUGACUAGAAUUGAAUGUGUGAAAGUUACAGCUCAAAAUAUUUAAACCUCGCCAUGCUAGGUCUGGCUAGACAGUCCAAACCCAAUUAAUGACUGUAGGACAUUCCCACUAUAAAUUAUCCAACUACACUUCGUGUAAAAAGACGAAACACAAAAAAGCUAAAAGAUAGGAAUUCUUCCUAGUAAUUCUGCCUUUGUGGAACCUACCUCGGAAUUUUGCCUGUUUUUAUCUGAACUUUCUUCUUCGUUUUGGCUAUUGUACCCACAACAUUCUUUCUUCUUUACUGUUUUUAAUUUCUUUUGAUUUCCAAGGUCUAUCACAAAAUUUCAAGCAACCAGUCAAGGAAAUUUUCUUUCAUUUGCUUAAUCCGUAACAUGCUUUUCUUUGCUUAAUUCAUGACUUUGCAAUGAUUGUUUCUGGUUAUCUGCUACUCUUAGCAGCUAGCUUUGUAAGACAGUCAACUUCACUGCUUCAUUUUCAGUUCUAUUCUCUCAACACUUUUCAGCCACUAAGUCAGGUAAUAAGAUCUGAAGCUAUGAUUUCCUCCACUGAUUAUCAACAGUUUUAGAUUUUAAGACAAGUUUAUCAGCAGACAUAAGCUACUCUACAUUGAAAUUAAUACAGAAAGAGCUACCCGGAAGCACUAUAAUGUUGAAAUCUCAUACUUAACAUUUUAACUCUUAAUAUUCUGUAAUGAACUGUUGCACACUUGAAUCUAGCAUUUUAUAUACAUUAAGAGCUUAAUUCUGGUGACCAGAAUUUCAUCAUGUUUCUGUCUGCCACCCAUCCAUAGCUCCAUCUAAUAAACGCCAUUGCUUGAAACUUGCAAUCAUGUUUUCCUUUUCAUGCUUACACUGACAUAUCAAUACUUCAUAAAAUAUCCAAUUCAUUCUCUGCUACUGUUAUCUAUGAUUGCAUUGCAGGGACAUAGCAAUGGAGUACGUAGAGCCUGUUGUUGGCAUUGCAAUUUGUCUCGGCACUCCUGUUUGUAAAUAUUUGCAAUAUCACAGAAAGCUGAACGACUAUGUGAGAAACUUCAAGAGGAUCAGAGAUGAGUUGAAUUGCAAAAUGGAAGAUAUAGAGCUGCAAUUGAAAGCAGAGCUUCUUCGGCCUCUGGGGAAGAUACCAAAGAAGGGAGUUGAAAAUUGGUUGAAAGAUGUGAAAGAGAUGAUUCGGGAAGCACUACUUGUUGAAAACAAAGUCAGUAACGGGAGAUAUCUCUGUCGUGCUUGCAACGGGAAGCUGGUUGAUGUAAAGACUCGAGAAAUGAAGGAAUUUCUUGAUAAAGCUCCUAAAGCCUCUGAAGGUCUUGCCAUGGAUGGUCCAAGUGGUGGGUUGCCGCUGCCAACAUCAGAACUAGUCGGAGAGGAAGCUGUCAGAAAUGAGAUUUGGGCAUGUUUGAUGCAGGAGGAGGUGAGCAAGAUUGGAGUUUGGGGGAUGGGCGGUGUGGGUAAAACCACUAUCAUGAAGCACAUCCACAAUGAUCUUUUGAAAGAACAAAGAUUCGAAAGGGUAAUCUGGGUUACCAUAUCAAAGGAGUUCAAUGUAAUGAAGGUACAAGAUAAUAUUGCAAGUGCGUUGAAGGCGAAGGAAUAUUUAGACAAAGAAGAGGACAAGGUCAGACGAGCAGCAAUCUUGUCAGAAAUGCUGAAGAACGCAGGAAAGCAUGUUCUAAUCCUAGAUGAUGUGUGGGAUAAAGUCUCUCUAGAGGAAGUUGGGAUCCCCAAGGCAAGUGGCGGCAAUGGCUGCAAGUUGGUGUUGACAACUCGUUCGGAGCAUGUCUGUAAGUAUACGGGUUGUAAGGUGAUAAAAGUGAGGCCCCUUUCAGAAGAAGAGGCAUUGAUACUAUUCUUGAGUAAAGUUGGACCUAACAUAGUUCAAUGUCCAACUAUAAUGCCAACUCUGAAGCUUGUUGUCAAGGAAUGUGCGGGUCUACCUCUUACAAUUGUCGUGGUAGCUGGUACCAUGAAAGGAGAAUAUAACCCUCGUAUUUGGAAAAAUGCACUCAAAGAUUUGAAAGAGAGAAUAGGGAAAGUGGAAGGAGUGGAAGCUGAGGUAACCGAGCGCUUGAAAUUCAGUUUCGAUCACUUGAAAGAUGAGAAAGUAAAAGAUUGCUUCUUGUAUUGUGCAUUAUAUCCUGAAGAUUAUGAAAUUCGUAAGGUUGAACUAAUCGAGUGUUGGAUUGCUGAGAUAUUCAUAGACGAGAUGGACACAAGACAAGAAAUGGAAGAUAAAGGCCUUACUAUUUUGAAAAGGUUGGAAGAUAACUGCUUGUUGGAAAAUAAUACCACUCAAUUUGGUUUAAAUGGUAUAAAGAUGCAUGAUGCAGUGAGAGACAUGGCAUUGUCGAUCACAAGAAUGAAUCCUCGAUAUAUGAUACAAGCAGGUUUGCAAUUAGAAGAGUUACCAGAAAAGGGGCAAUGGAGUCCGGAUAUUGAGAAAGUGUCACUUAUGUAUAACUCCAUAUCAGAAAUUUCCAUAGAUGUGCUGCCCACAAAAUGUCAACUGCUCACAACCUUGUUAUUGCAGCAUAACCCUAUAAAGAAGAUUCCAUAUUCUUUCUUCAUAAACAUGCCCUGUCUUUGUGUCCUAAAUUUGUCCUAUACAGAGAUCGAGAGUUUACCAAAUUCCAUCUCUGAACUAAAGAACCUCACAAUAUUGUUGCUUUGUGAUUGUGAAGAAUUAAGAGAUCUACCAUGUCUUUCGAUGCUUCAAGAAUUGAAGAAGUUGGAUCUAAGUUGGACUAAAAUUGAGGAAGUCCCUGAAGGAAUGGAUAUGCUGAUAAAGCUAAGAUAUCUUGAUCUUAGAGUGCACACUCUGAAAGAGAUACCCGCUGGACUUUUACCAAAACUCGUUCACCUUCAG
rnacentral:lncRNA from 1 species